rnacentral:lncRNA from 1 species
CUUUUGCCCUGGUGGUGUGAACCUUUAUCCUUCGCCAUAUCCCAUAUAAUUCUGUCCAUAACUGGGAUUCAUUCCUUGGCCAUGUGCACUACCAGUACCCUGCCCUUGAAAUCCAUCAGAACCCUGCCCAUAUGUUCCACUAGGAGCAGGUGCAUAGUUCCGAUUGUCGCUCCUAUAAUCAUUCUGCACUGGAGGUGUAGAGCUCCAUCUAUCUCCUUGUGGCAGGUCUCUCUGCUGCUAAUAGUAACUGUUGUUAUGACCCUGUUGAUUGUAGUUUCCCUGGUAUGAAGGUACUGGAUCCCUCCUCUGCCCUUGAUAUGGAUCCCUUCUACCAGGGGCACAAUUCAUAUUGCCCAUUGGCAUGGGAUUUCUUCUUUCACCUUGCCUUGGGGGACCAUAAGUUUGCUGAGGAGGAUAAUUUUGUGGAGCAUCCCGAUGCAUAGGUCCUUGAUAACCAUAUUGGGGGCUCCCUUGUCUGUUCGGCAUUUGACCUCCUUGCUGGUCAUAUCUAGGUUGGUCAUAAUUUCUAUUGCGGUCACGCCCUCUACCUCCCGGCCUCCCAUACUGAACUGGUGGUGGUCUAUGCGUUAUUACUCCAUUUUCAUAUUUGUCACCUAAUAAUUAGAAAGUUCAACAAAAUAACAAGCGUUCCAGGGUUAUCAUAAACAUGUCUGUUGACACCUAAAUUUUUUGGGUUGAUUUAAAAAAAAAAUGGCAUAUAGUUUAGAAACAUUUUAUUUUUAUUUUUAUUUUGUUUUAUUUUAUUUAGGCCGCCAGUGAACGGAAGAUUUUUCACAUAUUCCAUUUAGAUUUUUCAUAUUUUUAGGUAAUAUACACUAAGAGGUGUAUUUUGUGCAAAGAGGGAAUUUUUCUGGAUAGAAUAUGCGAGAAAUACAAAAGGGGAUAUUGCGCAGGGUGUGUAUAUUUCAACGACAUAUUUAGGGGUAUCGUGCGCAAGUAAAAAGGAAAAAAUAUAUGUCGCGAGGAUACAUUUUUUAGACCUAUAAAAUAAAUUUCGCGCAAAGUAAAAAAGGGUUCCUUUUUCUCGGGCAGUAAAAAAGAACACAAAAAGCAAAAAGGUGAAAGGUGAGUGACGUGAGAGAGAGAAAAGUAAAAAAAAAGGAAGACCCAUUGUCUUCCUCGAGAGGGGGAAACCCUUGACGGCGACGGCACACCUGCGUCGGCAACCGAGCCACCGGCGACCCCUCCCUUCAAUCGCACCAGCGACCAAGCCGCCCGCCGCCGUGAGCAGCACCGCCGCCCCGCUGAUCGGCUACCAAAGCUGCAGCCCGCAAUAGUCGCAACCCGAUCCCUCGUGCAGCCGCGCCGCCCUAUCGCCGAUCUGCAGCCGGAGUCCCAGCGCCCCUGCUCGCCUUCGCCCCGACGCUCGCCGCCGUCGCUCGCCCUUUGCAGCUUCGACGCCCGCAGCUCGUGCCACCCCGACGCUGCCUCUGCUCGUCGCCUGCAGAUCCGAGAUCCCCACAGCAGCCGAUCCAGAUCCGAUGUUGCCCUUGCCUCCCCGUUCGCUGCCCUAGAGCCCCGACGGUCGUCGUUCCGUGUUAAAAAACUUUGGAUGUGUGCACUGCGGAAGCAUGGCUUUGGUAUUGAUGUGUGCAAGUGUAUGUUAUAUUUUGUAGAGAAUGGACAAGGGACAAGAUAUGAUAAUUGAAAGAUAAAGGACAUGAGAUAUGGGGGAAAAUAGUUUCAGUAGUUGAACAAAAUAGUUUGAUGGAGAUUGGUGGAGAUCUAAGACCUCUCACGGUGGAGGGUUUUCCCACAUAAGGUGGACCUCUCACGCCUUUACAUUUGUUGAACUUACAUGCCUAUUAUAGAGACUAAAUACAACAUUCUAGAAUAAUGGAGAAUGUUGUCCACUUAGGCUUAUUCUAGGAAAUUCUAGAUUGUAAUUCUUCUAGAGCCUUCUACCUUCUACACUUUUCUUUUGCCAACUAAGCUAGAUUUUCUUAAGGAUUUUUCUUGACUUUUCUAGCUCAAAUCUUUCAUGAAGUUUCUAGAAUUGGAUCACAAAUUCCAACAUUCCGAAUCCGAUGCCAUCCUUGCUCCGCCCGUGAAAUCGCCGCCGCUGCCGAGCCGAGAUCGGAACGCCGUGUUCGAGCUCGGCCCUGCUCCCUCAAAGCCAGUGACCCGACGCCUCCAUUCGCCAACUACGCCCCGCUGUUGCCGCGCCGGAGUUCCCCCUGCACCCAUGACUGCCUCGCUGGAACCCUCGCCAGUGACCCCCCCCCCAAAAACCAGCGGCCAAGAUUUCCUUUUUUAAAAAAAUUUAAAUUAGGUAUUUUUGCUUUACUUUAUUAGGCAAGUUUACGUUUUUUCUUUAUUUAUUGUUAUUAUUAUCUCUUUAUAUCUUGUUUUCUUUGGUUGAAAUACUUAUCUAUGCAUAAUAAGAAAUCCCAAUAUAUCACCUGAUUUGCAACCACGCCAAGGUUUUUUAUUUCAUCUAUGAGGCUUGAGAUGAUAUAAUUAAUCAAGUGGGAAUAAAAUUGAUAUUUUGAUCUUUAAGGCUUAAGAUCAAUUUAUCGAUUUUAUUAGCAAAAUAUUAUCCCUUGAUCUAAACGAUGUGUGAUAUUUUUUUUGUAAUUUUGAAUGGUCUUGAUUGUUUUAUUUAUCUUGAAAUAUGUAUGAGUUAGAAUAUUGCAUGUUUUAGGGUUAUUUGCAUAUUUAAGUUAAACAUGCUAUUUAUCAUGAAUUUUAAAAAAAAAUAAAAAAAUAAAAAAAUAAAAAAUUCAAAUCAAUUAAUUUAGGUUGCUAGUUUUUUAACUUGAAUUGCAUGUUUAAUUAUUUGGCAAUUGUUAAUUUCGAAAUUAAAAAAAGAAAAAAAUCCAAAAAAUGUUGAAUUAGGAUUAGGUUUGUUUUUUUUGUCUUGCAUAUUUAGAAUAUGGAUUUUAUUUUGAAUAAUGAAAAAGAAAACAAAAGAAAGUACAUUCAUUUAGGAUGCUAGUUUUAUUAUUAUUUGAAUUGCAUGUUAAAUUUUAAUUUGGGAAAAAAGGAAAUGCCACAAAAAAAUCAUCAUGCAUAUGUCAUGUAAAAUUAGGGGCAUAUUUUGUACGUCAUGGCAUAUUAAGGUAAAAUUGCACUUAGUUUAAUUUUGAUAAUUGUUGCGAAAAGACAAGCGAUCGAACAAUAAUUUAAACGAAAGAAGAAAAUAAAUCAGAUACCGGAUUUACGUGGUUCGGUCGUAAAGACUUACGUCCCCAGUAAUAAUAUUUUUCUUAAUUUAUUAUAAGUUUAGGUAUUUCCUUAAAUAGAUUGCAUUUUAGGAUUAUUUGGGUUAAGAUAAUAUUUUAGUUUAAAUUAGGAUUUGGUUUACCUUAAUUCCUAAUCAAAUUGAAUAGGAUCUUAAUCUAGCUAGAUAAUUUUCACAUUUUAUCUAAUUUCGAAUUUCAUGAAAAAAAAACACAAAAAUGUCUUAGAAUAAAUUAGCUUUAUUUUCUAGGAUAAAUUGCAUUCUUUAAAAAAAAAAAGAAAAAGAAAAAAUGUCAUAUGCAUGUCAAUAGGAUUAGAUUCAUGAAAUGCAUGCCAUUUAGUGAUUGUUGUUAGGUCCAUUUAAUUAGAAAUUGCAUGUCAUUGGAAUUAGGUCAUUUAGUUAAUAUUGCAUUGCAUAUUGCAUGAUUUUCAUUAAUCAAGUUAAAGCAAAAAAGAAAUUGCGUGUUAAUUAGAAAUCAUAUCUAGGGUUGUUGAUGUGGAUUCUAAUUUAACAUUGCAGAUGCUUACGUUGUUUUGAGGUAAGAUUUUUUUUUUACAAUUUAUUAAUUAUUUAUCUGGGUGUUAAAUUGGUAGUUUGUGUACCCGCAUGAUCACCUCACAUGUUAGGAAAAUAGAUUUAAAAUCAAUUUAAGCUGCCUGCAAAAACAUUUUUGAAAAUAAAAGAAUGGUACCGAAAGGGCAUUAGAGAAAUCUAGUGUAACCAAGUCCCCGUACCCAUAGUCUCUGGUUCGCAGGAGUAAAGUAAAACUCCCGUUAUUUUACUUGGGUUUCUAAUCGACCCAUCAAGAAUAAAUUAGUGACGACUCCUAAUUAAAAAAUCAAUUGCAUGUUAAGAACUUGAACAUAAGUCGUGAAUUGGUAUGGGCUUGGGAGAGCCCGAGUUAAGUCUAGGCUUAACAAUCCAUUAGCCAAACUCUAGGUGAAUUACCCAAAAAAUUGAUCGCAACAGCUUGGCGACUCCGCUGGGGAUUUGUGUUAAAACACUUAGUGGACUUAGGCCAAAUUUUUUUUUUUGAAAAAUAUUUUUGUUUGACAACGAGGAUUCCAGGUACGUCCCUAACAUUUAGGUGUUAAAUGUUUUUGCAGAUUGGGAGGUAUAAGGGAAGUAGUGAUUGCUAACUUUUGUUUUGUAGGGAGGUGUAGGAAUGUAUGGUGUGUUCUCAUGUUGAAGUGUUGUUUGAUAUAAAUUGCCGUGCAUGCCUUGCAUUUACACUACACUUUUGCACACAACCUGCCGCCGGACCUGGGCCGCACUAGGUCACUUAGGAUGGUAUUGAGUUGGAUACGACUUCGACCGCGAGGCCAUGUAGUAGAGGUUGCCCAACUCAAUCCCGAAAGUUUUUUCUUGGUGUCAAGAAUAUUUACCUCUGCUCGCGAGGCUACAUCGCAUUGGGGUAUCAUUCUUGAUUGAGCCGAAGUUCAGAGGGCUUGAGUUAGUAUGCGAGGCUGCAACUAAGUCAUCCCACCCUUUUAACUCCAUUUUGCUUAGCCUUCCUAGUUAGAAAUCGAACCCCACAUUUCAUGCACUUAUCUAUGUGGUUGCUUUAAUCGUCUAGUAAAGUAAGCUCCCUACCAUUUACUCUUGCAAUUUACUUACUUUAUUAUGUCUUUGGUUAGUCCAUGACAUUAGGUUGGUCGAGUCUUGGUCUAUAAACAAUGGGAAGAUCUGACAUUCGAUUCGUGCCUGCACCAAAGGUUGAACUCAAAUCAUGAUAGGAUCAUCUAAGCCACGAUGGUCAAAGCUAUGUGGAAGGCAGACUUGGUCGCCUUGUUCCCCUCCUCGACAUCGAUGUCUAGAGUGGCGUCAUGCAAGCACUUCCUCAUUUCUGGAGCCCCCGAACAUCAACGUUCAUCUUUGGUAAGCACGAGCUGACUCCGACCCUAGAAGAAUAUAGCAUUGCCAUUGGAAAACCCUUGGAAUUGGAAUUGAUAAAUGCGGCAUCCCAAAAUUCAUAACGACCUCUAGUUACAUUAAAGUCUAUGAAUAUGUGAUGGAAGUAUCAUUAAGUUAUUUUAUAGCUAUUUAAUCCAUAAUUUGCAAUAAGAUUUAUGGCCAAGCUUUUAAUGGAUAAUUAUAUGAUAGGAAAAGAAAAUUCUAUCAUUGGCCAUGUGCAUUAUAAAUUGGAAUUUAUGAAUUUGUGACUACAAGUUUUAUGGCCUUAUUAAUUUUGCAAGUAGAUUCCUAAAACCUACUCUUUGCUUGCUGUAAAGUGUGUGUAGAAGAUGAUAAAUCGUGGUUGUGGUAAGUGGUGCAAUUUCGGAGCUUUGAGGAGAGGUUUGUUGGUCUUGCAUGCUGUUUCUGGAAAAUCAGCUUGACUGUUCACGAGUUUGGGGGUUGCAUGCGACUUUGUAUUUGGAAUUUCACUUCGACCUCUUCACGAAAGUUGUAGAAAACAUCUCAAAGUAUAAUAUACUAAAAUUUGAGACAAAAUUUCUGAGUUUUAAGGGGUGAAACCCUUCCUCUACAAAAAACGCUAGAUCUGAAACUGUUUUGUUGAUCUCUUGGUGGUUUUGUGCGUUGCAUGUCACUUUUUACUGAGAAUUUCACUUCUACUUCUUCACGAAAGUUGUAGAGAACAUCCUGAAUACUAACAUACUCAAAUUUGAGGUAAAACUAACAAGUGUAGCCUAGUGAAACGAUUUUUCCUUUGAAGAUGAUAGAUCUGGAAGUAUUGUACUGGACUCCAGCGACUUCGUGAACUAUAAAGUGACUAUCCGUUGAGAAUCUCGCCUAUAUCCCUUAAUGAAAGUUGUAGUGGAUCUCUUGAGGCAAAACAUAUCAAAAAUUCAGAGGAAAUGAAGGAAGAUAAGUAGGUGAAACCUUGAUUUUUCGGAGACAGCUAAACCUGGACUGUUCGGUACUAGGAACAGGGGCUUCGACCGUCCAUAUUUAAUUAUCUGGGGCGAAUCUGGCAUGGAUGUCUUCAUGAAAAAAUCUACCUUAGGGUCUUGAAUAUCACCUGGUAAAAUUUCAUAAUUUUUGGAGGCCAUUCGGGUAUUUAAAUUGAAAUAUUUCAAGAACUGCGCAAUCUGAUUGUAUCCGAAUUUUGCAAGCUGUAAUGUGUGAGCUAUAUCUUUUUGUGUGAAGUUCUUUUGGGCAUGUGUUCUUCAUGGAGUUGCUACCUCUAUGUCUUGCCUAUCACAUGUUCUGAUUUUAUAAUUUUUGAAGAUCAUAUGGAUAUUUAAUUUAUGUGUUUUCCGAAAUUGUGCAAGCUGGAAUUUGGUAAAUUUCAAAAAGUCAUGAUGUAUGGAUUAUUCUAAGUUGUAUGGACCCCAUGGAUUAUAUUGUCAUAAGUGAUUGGAUCUUGCUGCAUAUAUGAUGAUGAUUGGAACUACAUAUAAGAAUCAAAUGCUGAAAAUGAUCUUGUUUGCCAUCAUAUCAUAUACUCUGUUGAAAUUGAGCCAUAAUUGUGAAUGUGAAAUUGAAAAUGAGAUGUAUGGGAAUAUGCAUUGUGGUGAUGAGAAGACCGUCGGAGGUGUAAGCCGACGAUGCCCCAAGAGUGUCGGGAUGCUCGGAAUGUGGGGGUGCCGGAUGCCCGGUGGCUUAGUGGCUUAAUUCCGGAGGGUCCUCAGGAGUUUCGAGAUGCCCGGUGGUAUACGGUACGUAAUUCCAUAGAGGGGGAAUCCUGGUGGUAUGUCGGUACGUAAUUCCGGAAGCCCUGGAGGUUUGUGCCCAGGGGGAUGCCUCGUGAUGCUAGUUGGGAUGCGAGAUGCCCGGAGGUGUGUGCCGGAUGCCCGGUGGCCUUAAAUGGCUGAAUGCUAGAGGUUCCUGCAAUGUCUGGUUGGAUGUGAGCGAUAAAUUGUGGGAUGCAAACAUUGGUCCCUGAAAAGAAAAACUGAUGAAAUCCUUAUGAAAGAUAAGAAUUGAAAAUGAAUCAUGGGCAUGGGUGUAAGCAUAUGGCAUGAUGCAUGAUCUGCUUAUGAAAAUAAAUUGAUGCUAUUUGACAUUGAGAAUGCGGUCAUGAAGGCUUGAAUGGAUCUCAUGGUGAUGCAUGCUUGAUAGCAUGGAUGAUACGAAUCAUGGUGAUAUAUGCAUGAUGGCAUGGCAAGAUAUGCAUGACUGCAUGGCAAUAUAUGCACGACUGCAUGGUGAUGCGUGCUUGAUAACAUGGAUGAUAUGAGUGCAUGGUGGUAUAUGCACGUUGCAUGGUGAUAUAUGCAUGAAUGCUUGAUGAUGAGUGCAUGGUGAUAUAUGCACCAAUGGCAUGAGUAUGCAUGAAUGCUUAAUGAUGAGUGCAUGGUGAUAUAUGCACAAAUGGCAUGAGUAUGCAUGAAUGCUUGAUGAUGAGUGCAUGGUGGUAUAUACACAUAUGGUAUGGGUAUGCAUGAAUGCUUGAUGGUGAUGGCAUGAUAAUAUAUGUAUGGUUGCGAGGUGAGGUAUGCUUGAUAUGCAUGAAUGAUAUGUGCCUUGUUAUGAUGCCUUGAUUGUUCUGUUUGAUGCAAUGAGUAGUUUGGUGGAUCUUUACUGCUGAGUAGUUGUACUCACCCCUUUUGGGGAAUAAUAUUUCAGACUAGAUAAAAUACCUCUGCUGCCACUGCUACCAGUAGAUGGAUCAAGUGGUUGGAUAUGACCGCGAGGAGGAGGAUAACAAAGGAAUGAACUUUUGGUCGCCGACACUGAUCGAUGGACUUUAAGUAUAUGACUGCUGGAGGAGGUGUCGGUCAUCUUUUGAAGUAUAGCCAAGUAUAGAGAACCAUGGCAUUUUGAUGUACCGAUGAAUGAUGUCCAUCUAGUUUAAGUAAAUAAAAGUGUUCGGCUUUUACCUAUAAAUGUUUAGUUGGUGUGCAUUAUUUUUUGAAUAUAAGGAAGGGAGUUGAUGGAUGUGCUUCCGCCAUAUGAACUGCGCAAGGGACCGAUAAUAAAAGAUGUAAACCCCCAUGGUUGUAUGGACCCACUGCAAUUGAAAUGGUAUCAGAGUGACAUGUUAUCAGGUCAAGCGAAUGGUAAGCGAACUGUGGCGACCUUAACGGAUCGGGAGCUGUUGAGGGGUGCCACAAUAAAUCCACCCCUUGGAUUACAACCAGAAUCAAUUUUGUCUGAUUUUCUUAGAAUGGAUAAGAAUCUGAUAAAAAGAGUACUGAAAGAUAAUUGUCUUGCAUGUCCUUUUUCUUUCCUAGAUCAGAGUUUUGCUAGUGCUAACACUCUCUUAAAAAGUAGGAUCUUCCUCCUAGCUUUCUUCGGGUUUAUUGUUUUCCCUCUUCGUAAAGGCGCUAUUAAUCCUUCUGUCGCAUGGGUGGUUAAACAAGUGUGUGCUAGAAUUAGUUUUGUCAACACUAUUCUAGCUGAAAUAUUUUUAUCACUCACCCGAUUUAAGGAAGAUGAAGAUAAAACCUUUCGUGCACCAAUUGAACUUUUACAAAUUUGGUUCUUCUCUCAUAUGAGUAAGAUUGAUAUUCGCAUGAAUAUUAUUAAUGUCACUAAUUCCCAUCAUCCCAUCAAGGUAUUCAAAAAUAAUCAGGAUUCAACUCCAAAUCUUUCUUACUCAAAAUGGGUCAAAUUGUUGAAAAAUCUGAAUACCAAGAUUUUCCUAUGGUAUGCUAAAUGGUUCCAAGUCUCCAAGGCACGUCUCUCUCAUGGCGAUAAUGAGCCGAUCCCGCUAUUGGGGAUCACCAGUGCCAUUUCCUACUACCCACUCCGAGUGGCCCGUCAAUACUGAGUUGUAUAGGAUCUACCACCCCCUCUCAAGCUGGGUUUGUUCCAAGUCCGAUUCACUGCUAAGGAUGGUGAUCACAAAGAGGAGCUUCGCUGUGUAGAACAAGCUUGGCUCGCAUGUCGCAAACAAAAGUUGAACUUGCUUGAAGAUGAGCUUGAGGGGAAGGAAAAGACUUACUAUGCCACGGCUCGAUACAUCCGUCAGCACAAGAUUCCGAUUGAGUAUCUCCCGAAGGUGCCAGAUGUGACUGAAAAACCCACUCGGCAAGCGGAGCUUAAUCGUCACAAGAGGAAGAUUGAAGAACUCGAGAAGCAAGCCAAGAAGAACGCUAAGGAGAAGAGGCAGCUACGUCGAGCGUUGGCUUCCCAUGUGUUUAUAGAUCGGGCCAAAUAAAGUGGCUUGAAUCUAUUUGGAUUCCCAUGCGUUGGCUUACUUUAGAUUAAUGUUUAAGAAGUUGACUCAUUUACUUGAUCAGUUUAUUUGUCUAGGGCCUUGCAAGUUUCUUUACAUUGUUAAUGUCAAACAAUUUUAUUAAUGAAUAAAAACAGUUAGACUUUCAUCAUGGACCGACAUUGUUUGAUAUGAAGUGCUUAUGUGUAUUCAUUUCUUCAAAUUUAGGUGAUAACGGAUUCUCCACGCUCUCCCAUCAUCACGCAAUUAAGAGCUAGAAUGGCCAAUCAAACUGAAAUGCGCGAUCGUAUCUCCACUAUGGAAGAACAACUUCAACAGUUAACCACCUCCAUGCAGCUUCUGACGACUCAAAUCCAAUUCCUUCGAGCAAAUCCGACUCCUGCGCCCACUCUCCCUGAGAUAAUUGUCUCGAAGGCUCAAAUGGGUGAUGAUCACAUGCCUGACCUGGAAGAUUAUCCACCAUUGAUCACCACUAAAAAGACAAAGCCAAAUAAUGUCCCUAAGGUGGAGCAAGAUGAACGCUUCACAAAGCUAGAAGAAAACUGAAACAAUUGCAAGAGUCAGAAAAUUCACUCCCGUUCGACCUGUCUGUGUAUGAGAAUGUCAAGAUGUCAAAGAAGUUCAAAAUGCCGGAUUUUGAGAAGUGCGAUGGUACUUCCUGCCCAAAAGCUCAUUUGCAAAUGUACCAUGUGCAUAUGGCCCAAUAUGUCAAGAACGAGCCUCUCAUGAUCCAAUCGGUUCAUGCGAGUUUGACUGGACCUGCACUAAACUGGUAUGUCAUGAAGAAUGUGAACCUUCUCGACACCUGGAAUGAAGUGGCCAACGUAUUUCUCAAGCAGUACAAGUUUAAUAUGGAUAUUGCACCUUCCCAAGAGGAUCUUGAGAUGAUGGAGAAAAAGAGAAGCGAAUCAUUCAAAGAGUAUGCCGUGAGAUGGCGAAAUCUGGCAGCUCAAAUCACUCCCGAGCCUACUAACAAGGAGCUGAUGAAGUUGUUUAUCAAAACCCUCUCGUCUGAGUUCCGUAAUCGAAUGGCCAGCACAUACGUUGAAAACUUCAAUCAGCUUAUUCCUAUGGGAGAAAAAAUUAAGGUGGGGUUAAGGGAAGGAUGAUUUACUAAACCAUCGACUAGAAGGUUCUCUGCCAAGAAGGAGAAGGAAGUUGCUGUAGACGUGAAUGUGGCUUAUGGCCAAGAAAGUACCAAUCGUGCCCUGGCUAUCCAGACGAAUCAAAGGCAACAACAAACUGCCGGCCAUCAAACAUUUGCCCAAGCAAGAAGACAGUUCACCCCUCUCCCUGGAUCUCCAUCCCAAGUGUUGGCAAUCCUAAGAAAGAAAGGUUUGCUCACUAGUGAAUUGAAGCGUCCUAACCGUGAAAGCAUUCGAGGCUACAACCCGAUGAAGAAGUGUGAUUACCAUAACAGCGAAUUGGGGCAUUCAACUGAUGAAUGUUUCACUCUCAAGCAUAAGAUCCAAAACCUCUUGGACACAAAGGCCUUCUCAUUUCAAACUGCUCGGUCGAACAUCCAAAAGAAUCCACUACUAGAGUAUGAAGGUACGGUCAAUGCUAUUUUAGAGCCUGAAGUCAAAGGUGCACAUGGCAGAUGCUUACAAUGGGCUAGUGAGAGCUGGAUAUUAUCUAGAUCAUGAGGAUGUUCCUCUAUCACUUAUGAAGGAAAGAGUCACCAGGAUGGUGGAUGAUGGCAUCAUCGUCUAUUCUGACCAUAACUGCAUAGUUUCCACUAUUUCCCCCAUCAUUAUCGAUUGGGAGGAGGAGCAAGCUGCGCUCAAUGCUGAUAAGGAGGAAGUUGAUCCUUCACUCGUGGACAUACCCCCACUUGAAGAUGCAUCCAACGAUGAGAUACUGAUUGAAAUGCCUCAACCGUAUGAAUAUGUCAACAAUAAGGCGGUCCCUUGGUCCUAUGAUCUAGAUGUUGACCUCAUUACAAGAUUUGGUCAAACUUAUCCUCAAGCCAAUGCUCAACCUGCGAAACCUAUCACCGAUGAAGAGGUAAAGGAGUUUCUGGCCAUGAUCAAAGCAAGCGAGUAUAAUGUGGUCGAACAGUUACGAAAGAUGCCCACCCAGAUUUCUUUGCUCGAACUCCUGCUUACAUCCCCUAUGCAUCAAAAGUCGCUGAUAAAGGUGCUGAGUGAAAUUCGUGUACCCGAGAUGGUCGAGACGGACAAGCUAGAAGAUUUUGUGGGAUCGGUCCUUCUCAAGGACAUGAUUGCCUUUUUCUGAUGAGGAAUUCCCUCUUGAGGGCAGGGGGCAUAACAAGACACUCUAUAUAUCUGUCAAGCAUAAGGCUUCUCAUGUGUCCCGAGUACUCAUUGAUAAUAGGUUCACCUUGAACAUAUGUCCACUGGCCACUCUUCAUCGCCUCAAGGUGGACCCGUCCAAGAUACAUGUUGCAAAGACUACUGUUCGAGCUUUUAAUGGUACGAAGAAGGACGUGCUUGGGGAGAUUCAUCUCGAUGUGCAGAUAGGGCUGGUGGUUUUCAAUGUUCCUUUCCAAGUAAUGGAUAUCCCUACUACCUUUAAUUUUCUGCUGGGUCGUCCCUGGAUUCAUACUGCUGGAGCUGUACCGUCAAGUCUGCAUCAAGCUAUGAAGUUCAUGAUUAAAGGGAAGUUGGUCACUGUCUAUGGUGAAGAGGAUCACUGAAUUUAUCAUGAGACGGCUAUUCCCUAUAUAGAGCCAGACUCUGAGUUCGAGUCGAGUUACCACUCAUUUGAGUUGGUGUCCACCAUACAUGCAUCUUGAGGCUCACCACCACCCACUCCUGAAGUUUCAAAUGUUGCCCUUAUGGUGGGAAGGGUGAUGGUUGGGAAUGGUUUUAUUCCUGGUAGUGGCUAUGGAAGAAAUGGUUAGGGGAUUCAAAACCCCAUUGAAGCCCCUCAGAGGUCCCGUGCUGCUGGAUUAAUACCAAGGAAGAGGUGGGGAAAGUUCUAGAGAAUGAAGACAGGAAAGGUGGAACCCGCCACCUGACCAAGGGCAAGGAUGGCAAAACCCAUUACCCCUGAACAUUCACAAGACAUUCCCUGGUCUUCCAAUAAUGAUGCAGGAUGAAGUAGAAAUAAUGGACACCCUGGGGCAGCCAAGCGGAAAACUCGACUAUCUAGUGAAGUAUUCAGCUCCUCCCAGUUUCUACAUUGAUCCCCGCGACAUUGUCCCAGAUGGAUGGGGGGGCAUGGAUGAUCCGACACCCCCAGAGAUAGAAAACCCCGAAGAUGCAUUGGAAGGAAUCACUAGUCUCUUCGAUGACGUCUUCAUAGGGACCAUUGACGAAGGACCUUCAAUGGAGAUGGGCUCUGGCCCACAAGAGUAACUCAUUUACUGCUUUCUCACAUUCCCCUGCGUGGGAAUUUUUAUCGCUUUCUAGGGCUUGUUUUCGAUAUCUUUUUUUUUUCGCUUUCUUUUUAGGGCUUGAAAAUCACAUUUACAUUCAAUAAAUGUAAUUGAUUGAUGAAUAUCAAUAAAAUUACAAGUUUUAUUUUGAGGGCAUGAUGAGGUACACCAAACCAGCCCGGUGAUGAUAUCCAGCGGAUCAAAGAAAAAGAAAAUCCAAUGAGAGCUCUGAGACCUGGGCUUCAUCAUGCUUUCUCGUGUAAAAAAAAAUGUUUUUGCCAAGAUUCUUUUUAAAAAGAAAUUAAAAAAACAAAAACAAAAACAAAAGAUAUAGAUUACUCCAUCUGUCUUUCUAAUUUAUUUACUUCAUGUUUCAAGAGCAAUCUUAUGACAUACAAAGGUAUGAAAAUGGUCCAACCCAAUGCAACAAAUGAUGACAUUGACGAUCUCAAGGACUUGAGUGAAGAUUCCAUUGAGGUGUAGCGAACUUGGGAACAACAUGAAAAAGCCAAGACUCUCACAUCCGAGCAGACUGUCACUAUUAAUUUAGGUGACAUAGAAAAAGUCAAGGAAGUUAAAAUUGGGGCAAAUCUCCCCAAAGACGAGGCCGAGCGCCUAAUUUAGUUACUAAAGGAAUAUCAUGAUGUCUUUGCAAGGACAUAUGCUGACAUGCCUGGUUUAGACCCAUCGAUUGUCGAGCAUUGCUUGCCUACUAACCCGGACGUGCCACCUAAGAAGCAGAGGUUGCGAAGAACUAAACCUGAGCUCUCGAAGAAGAUAGAGGAAGAGGUGAUGAAGCUUUUGAAGGUGGGAUUCAUUGAAGUCUUGCAAUACCUUGAAUGGGUGGCUAACAUCGUGCCAGUGAUGAAGAAGGAUGGUCGAGUUCGAGUUUGUGUUGACUAUCGAGAUUUGAACAAGGCCAGCCCAAAAGAUGAUUUCCCACUGCCUCACAUAGAUGUCCCCGUGGACAGUACUGCUGGAUUUGAACUAUUCUCGUUUAUGGAUGGGUUUUCCGGGUACAAUCAGAUAAGGAUGAAGGAGGAAGGAGGAAGACAAGGAGAAGACUGCAUUUAUCACCCCGUGGGGAACCUUUCAUUACAAGGUCAUGCCCUUCGGACUCAAGAACGCAGGGGCAACUUACCAACGAGCCAUGGUAACACUAUUUCAUGAUAUGAUGCAUUAGGAGAUUGAAGUCUAUGUUGAUGAUAUGAUUGCAAAGACUCGGCCCAGAAGAAGCCAUGUGGAAACCCUGAAGAAUUUGUUUGAUCGACUUCGUGAAUUCAAGCUUCGGCUAAAUCCCGCUAAAUGCAUGUUCUGGGCAACAUCUGGUAAAUUACUCGGAUUCAUUGUAAGCAGUAAGGGGAUUGAGAUCGACCCAUCCAAGGCUAAAGCCAUAUGCGAGUUGCAACCUCCAUCAAUAGUGAAAGAAGUUCUUAGCCUUUUGGGAAGACUGAAUUACAUAGUUCGGUUCAUUUCCCAACUCUCUAAAACUACCAAGCCAUUCUUCAAACUCCUAAAGAAGAAUGCACGAAUCAACUAGGAUGAUGAGUGCCGAGAAACGUUCAAUAAGUUGAAGCAGUACUUGAUAAAUCCACCAGUUCUUGUCCUGCCAUCACCGCGACAUCCCUUGAUUCUUUACCUCACCAUUCAUAGUGAAUCGUUGGGCGCGAUGUUGGCUCAGGAAAGUCCUGUUGAUAAAAAAGAACGAGCCAUUUAUUAUCUGAGUAAGAAGUUCACUAUAUCAGAGCUAAAGUAUUCUAAUGUUGAAAAGACUUGUGCCGCAUUGGUAUGGGUAUUGCAUAGAUUGUGACAAUACACACUGUAUUACCAGACGUUCCUCGUGACUGAGAAUGACCCCAUCAAGUACUUACUUGAUUGGCCAGCUUUGGUGGGUUAGUUGGCCAAAUGGCAAAUUUUGAUCUCCGAAUUUGAUGUUCAAUUCAUGCAACAAAAGUCGGUUAAGGGUCGAGCGAUCGCUGAUCUAUUAGUUGAGAAUUCAGGAGUCUCUAAUGACGAUGACAGUUUCCUUGAUGACCAUGUCUUGAGUGUAAAUGAAGACUCAUGGAAGAUGCUCUUUGAUGGAGCCGUAAAUUUGUCCGGUUCUGGUACUGGGGCAAUUCUGAUAUCCCCAGAUGGACAGCACUACCCGGUAGCUGCAAAAUUGACAUUCUCAUGCACCAACAAUGUGGCCGAGUAUGAAGCUUGCAUCUUCGGACUUUAAGCUGCAAUUUAGAUGGGUGUGGCCAGGUUAAUGGUAUUCGGAGAUUCAGCACUAAUCAUACUGCAGACUGUAGGUGAGUGGAAGACCAAGGAUGCCAAAUUGCUCCCAUACCACAAGUAUUUAAAAGGUCUCAUGAAGCAAUUCAAAGAAAUAUCGUUUGAAUACUUGCCAAGAUCUCACAACCAAUUUGCUGAUGCACUCGUGACUUUGUCGUCCAUGUUACAAGUCACUGAUGGGUUAGAAGUCGAGCCAUUGAAGAUAGAAGUUUUGCCGAAGCCAGCUUACUGUAUGAUCAUAACUAAAGAACCUGAUGGAAAACCAUGGUAUUACGAUAUCAUGAGCUACAUUAAAAGGCAGGAAUUUCCCGAAGGAAGCACUCCCGCUGAUAGGAAGUACAUCACAAAGAUGGCCUUAAAAUUCUUCGUCAGUGGUGAGAAUCUUUACAAGAGAUCCUAUGAUUCAAUCUUGUUGCGAUGUGUGGAUGUAGCUGAAACCACUCAGAUCAUGCAAGAAGUGCACGAAGGAAUAUGUGGCCCUCACAUGAAUGGGCAUAUGAUGGCUAAGAAGAUCAUGAGAUUAUGCUACUAUUGGCUCACACUAGAAAGUGACUGCAUCAAGUAUGUACGAAGUUGUCACCACUGCCAGAUUCAUGGUGAUAAGAUAAAUGUUCCUCCAACUGAGCUGUAUUAGUUUUCCGAGCCAUGGCCCUUCUCAAUGUGGGGCAUUGAUGUGAUUGGCCCGAUAAAUCCUAAAGCCUCAAAUGGGCAUAGGUUCAUCUUGGUAGAGAUAGACUAUUUCUCUAAAUGGAUCGAAGCUACAUCCUUUGCAAGUGUCACCGCUCGUAAUGUUGCGAAGUUCAUUAAACGCGACAUAAUUGCUCGUUACAGCAUUCUGAAGCGAUCGUCACCGACAACGGAACAAACUUGAACAAUAAACUCGUUGAUGAAUUGCUCAGCGAUUUCAAGAUCAAGCAUCUAAAUUCGUUUCCUUACUACCCUAAAAUGAACAAGGCUGUUGAAGCAGCCAAUAAGAACAUUAAGAAGAUCUUGGCUAAAACAGCCGAGAAUUAUUAAGAUUGGCAUGACAGAUUACCUUUUGCACUAAUGGCAUACCGGACAUCGAUCUGCACUUCUACUGGGGCAACCCCUUUUGCUCUAGUGUACGGCAUGGAAGCAGUUCUGCACGUGGAGGUGGAGAUUCAUUCUCUGAGAGUUUUAUCCCAAGUGGACUUGUCUGAGGUUGAAUGGAUGCAGCAAAGACUUGAGCAAUUAAACUCGAUAUAUGAGAAAAGACUGAAGGCUCUUUGUCAUGGCCAAACUUAUCAGUUGCCAUAUCCUUCAACCGAAAGGUAAGAAAGAGACAUUUUGAGAUAAAUGAUCUUGUUCUAAGGAAACUGUUGCUGAUUUUUCCAAAUCCUGGGGGCAAGUUUGCUCCAAAUUACGACGGCCCAUAUGUGGUAAAGAAGGUACUUCCUGGAGGUGCCCUAAUCUUGGCAAAAAUGGAUGGUUGUGAGUUUUCUGCUCCAGUCAAUACUGAAGCUGUCAAAAAGUAUUAUCCAUGAUAAAAUUUGCUAGGUCUUGUCUUGAACUACAAUUAUUUUAUGAUGAAUAAGAUGCCUCAAUGAGUUGAAUUGUUCAAAUUUGUCAUAAAUCUUGCAUUUUUCUUCCUUAAUGAAUUGUGUGAGAUAAAUUGAAUGUGUCAAAUGGGAUACCUUGGAAUGAUGAAAGGCAAACCUUAUUCCAUACACUAUCCCAUACACUAAUUCUCAGUGAGUUGUGUGGAGAAAUUCCAUGCUCGCAAGGAAAAGGGUGAUCUCACAAAGGGUACGUUAACCAAGGUGAUGCGAGGCAGUUUCUUCUUCUACCUAAAACACUACAGGUAUACCCAUUGUUUAGCCCUUUGAGCCCAUACACAUGAAGAGCUUUUUAAAUUAUCCCUGUCAAGGAUCAUCCCAUAUUGAGACAAAAUUUGAAAUGAAUAAUAGGAAUUUUCUUACUCACACUUGCAUCAAUCUUCGAACAUUGCUUUUGCAUUGUAACUCAUACGAUAGUUUGAAGUGCCUUAGGAUGAUGAAGAGCAGUUAUUUUUCUAUCCUAUACACUUUUAUCCACUGUAUAGCCCACUUGAGCUUAUGAAUUCAUCUCAUAUUAAGCCAAGUUGGUGAUCAUCCCCCCACACUGGGGCAAGACAAAAACAUUCAAGUAGCAUGAACUAGAAUGCCGACAAAAUGGAGACUCUUCAAGGAAAAUAAGUGUAAAAAAUGGGGCAUGAAAAAGCAGUGUGAUUGGUAAAAGCAAAGCCAAUGCCCAAAGAAAAAAAAAGGGAGAAGAAAAAUCAAACUCUUGAUAUAAUGAGUCGUAUCCCCAACAAGGCGGUACCAAAACUCAAAUGCUGUUGCAAUUAAUGGAGAUUUGAUGAGAGAAAAUCUUCGAUAGUGGAGAAGGAAAGUAGUGGAAAUGUCAAGAUGAUCACCAACUUUGACUCCCUAAACACCUUUUUGAGCCUAAUGAUCCAUUCGUUUAUCAACCCAUGAACCAAGCCUACAUUACGUCCCUUACAAAGUCUCUUCAGAUUAUGGCACUUGAAUUAACGUAAGAGUUCAUAUGCUUGAAAGCAUUGCUUGACGAUGUGUGAGUAAGAUAAUUUCUACCUCAUUUCGUGUGUUUCUUGACUUGUAAAUCCCAAGACAAUUGCGAAAUGUCAUCUUUCAAUAGCUUCGACUCAAAGAGUCCUCUUUGUUAAGCCAUUGACCAAGCCGACAAUAUGGUCCCUGUUAAAGACCCCUCAGAUUGGUAAGGUCAUACCACUUGCGAGAUAGCUCAAACCCUUGUCUGGCAUGAUGAUGGUGAGAUAGAAUAAUUGUCAAGAUCCUGCAUCAAAGGUCAGGAUAAAACAACCCAUUUUAAAGAGGAAGAGUGAAAAGUCCUUUUAGACUGAAGGAUCUCUCAUUUGACAUAUCCAUGACACUCAUACGUUCAGAUUCGAAUCAUCUUUCGAAAUCAUUUCUAUUGGAAUUAGGGUGAUGCAUGGUUGAUAGAAAUCAUUACGCAUGAACCUUACUUGAAUUAAUGCAUGUCUAUGAUUAUAAAUGCAUGUUGCCUCUCCUACGAUCAUGUUUUGCAGGAGACAUAUAUCCAAGGAACAAAGAUGUCACCACGUAAGUAUAUCCCUAUCCAUACCUUAAAUAUUUGUGAUUGCACAGGUAUUUCCCUUUUAAAUACAUUGACACUGUUGACACCUAAAUUUUGGCGACCGGUUUAUUCAUUUAUCGCAUUAAAAAAUUAGGGAAUAAUUUUAACCCCUAAAAAAAUAUAUUAGUUAAUUAACUAAUUGCAUAGAAUAUAGAUUUAGGUGCAUUUGCAUUUUUUGCACCGGUGGUGGAUGGGUUUGAAUUAGUGGUUCUGAGCUUUAAAUUGACAAGCCGGACUAAGCCCACGAAGUGAGCAAAUUGGCCCAGGCCUUUUUUUUUUUAUAAUAAAGAAUCUCGUGAAAAAUAGGAAUUUGAAAUUUUUCCAAAAUAUGAUGAAUUUUUUGGAUAUGGUAAAUGUGAAAAGCAAAUAUUGCAUUUUGAAAAAGAAUCUUUGUGGAUAUGAAUUUGGAAAAAAUUAAAACUCUAAUCCUCACCCUAUAAAUAAGUUGUUUGCAUAGAGUUUCAAAGGGGGCCACACAAUAGAAAGAUACGGCCACGAUGGGGGUUUUCUCUCGAUUGCCAGAAGAAAGAAAAAAUCGAGCUCAAGCAAAGAGAGAGGUCCUUCGGUUUUUAGGGUUUAUGAGAGGAGAAGGUCUUGACUUUUUCCUUUUGCAAAUUUAAUGCCACAGAAAGUACGAAGGGAGCAGAGAGAGACCGGUGAGUGGGACGUGAGAUAGGCAGGAGGAGAGAGAGGGAAAAUUGAAAAAAAAAAAAGAGAAAAGAAGAAGAACGUUGUUCAUCUUCUCCGGCGUGCUUGCUGCCAUUUGCCUGAGCUUCGGCCGUUGCUCGCCGGACGUCGUCGUCUCGCCACACAAGAGCCACCCAACUCCUACUCUGCCCUGUCUUGCCAGAAACCACGACCCACCGCACCAGCAACGACGCCCCGGCUCCGCCUCUGCCCUGUUGCCGUCGGAGCACCGUUCGCCCACGCCUAGAGCCUGACCCAAGCCGGAUCGUAGCCCCUCCGCUCCGACGACGCCACUGCUGUUCUUGCUUUGUUCGCGUCUACAGCCCUCCGCUCAGCUCUGCUCCGUGCCUCUGUUCAGGCUUGAAGCCAGUCGCUGCACCUCCUCACUCAAGCGACCACCCGAGCCGCUUCCAUCGCGCCAAAUCUGGGCGCCGAGCAGUACGUCCGUCUGACAUCUCGCCCCUGCGACCGUCUCCACUCCACCCGACGACCCGCGACCCUCUGCUCUGACUCGACUCCAGCAGCACCGUGCGACCUGACUCCAGCCCGAAGCUCCGCUAGCCAUUGUUGCACUCACCGUCUGCAACCCGCGGGCCAUCCCGUCCCUAAAGCCCAGCAACGACGCCGCCUUCGUUCAAUCUCAUCGCGCCUCGCCUACCCGCCGCGACACCAGCAACUCGCGAAGCCACCACUGCGUCACCGUCGCAACCCGCUUGCUCGCGAGUCUGAUCUACCAUCUCUGGUCCGACAUCAUCAUCCCCCUGCAGCAAAGCUUGAGCCUUUCGUUCACUGCUGCUCCUCGCUGGCACCUUCAUCCUUGCUGGAGCUCCAACCGGCGUUGCCCCCUUGGUUGAUUAGGCUGCCAAGCCCUAUUUGGAAGGAAAAAGAGGAAAAAAGGGGAAAAAUUAAUAUAUGUAGUUUUAUUUUAUUUUAUUUAUUUAUUUAUUUAUUUAUUUAUUUAUUUUGUUUUUUAGUAUAUUUGUUCCUUAAUGUAAGAUUGAAGCUCCCGACAUGAAAUUGCCUCUGAGAUUUGGGAUUGACAGUUCGAUUUUCGCGCCCGAAAUCCGACUCGCAAUCACAAUUGCUUGAAAAAUCGUCAAUCCGAUCUUCCGCUCGAGAUUUGAUUCGCGAUUUAUUUAAAAAUUGGUCAACCUGAUCUCAUUCGCGAGAUAUGGUUCGCCAAUUUGUGGAUAUCGAUCCUAUCUUAUUUUAUUUGCUAUCAUGUUGGUUGAAUCAAUUUUAUUUAUUUAUUUAUUUUUUUUUUUGGUAAAGGGUAAUGAGAAUCAAUUUUAUUUUGUUAAGUAAAAAUUCCAAAAAAAUGCAUUCAUUUAGGAUGUUAGUUUUUGUUUAAUUUAAGUUGCAUAUUUAAUUACGUGUCAAUUUUUAAUUUCGAAAUUAAUUAAAAAAAAUCACCAUGCAUAUGUCAUGUAGAAUUAGGGCAUUCUUUGCACGUCAUUGCAUAUUAGGAUAGAUUGCAUGCUUAUUGAGAAAAUAAAAAUCAUGUGCACGUCAUAUGAGAAUUAGGUUCAUGAAAUACACGUCAUUUAGUAAUUGUUGCUAGGUUCUUUUAAUUAGAAAUUGCCCGUCAUUAAGAUUAAGUCAUUUUGGUUAAUUUAUAUUGCAUAUUUAAUUAUUGCAUAUUCAUUAAGAAAACACAACAAAAUUAUUUUACUCAUGUCAUAUAUUGCCAUGUCAUAUCAUUUCAUUAGUAGCAUGCAUUGCAUGAUUCCUAUUAAAAAAAAUGAAAACAAAAAUUGAACGAUUGCAUGUUAAUUAGAAAUCAUAUCUAGGAUUGUCGAUAUGAAUUUUGAUUUAACAUUGCAGGUGCUUUCGUUGCUAUGAGGUAAGUCUUGCAAUUUAUUAAUCGUUUUAUCUGGGUGUUAAAUUGAUGGUUUGCGCACCUACAUGAUCACCUCACAUGUUAGGGAAAUAGAUUUAAAAUUAAUUUAAGCUGCCUGUGUUAGGGAAAUCCCUUAUGAUGUUUUGAAGAUGACAAAAUAAAUCAAAGGCUACUAACAUGUUUGAUGGUUGAGUAAUAGACCAUGCAGAUAAUAGAACAUGUAAAGGAUAUUAUCAAAGUCUGAAGACUGCCAGACUCAAGACUCAAAGUCUGAAGAUUGCGAGACUCAAGACUCAAAGUCUGAAGACUGCCAGACUCAAGACUCAAAGUCUGUUCUACAUCAGAAGUCUGUCAACUCUGACUAAUUCCAGACUGAACGUGAAUGCUGAACCAGAAGACAGACUCUAUGCUGAAGCUGAACUGGGUACAGACCUUAAAGCUAAAUCUGUUCAGAAGCAGAUAUGUUCAGACCCAGAUUGUAAAGUCUAGAGACUCAGAUUGUAAAGUCUAGAGACUCAUAUUGUAAAGUCUACAGACUCAGACUUUACAUCCAGAUUCAAUGAAUCGUAACUUAAGCCCAAUCAUACAACGGCUAGUGAUCUGGUUUGGAUUCCACAUCAAGAUUGAUUUGAUUGAUUCAAUCUAAUUGAUUGACGAUUGGAUGUUGAAGACAAGAUCUUUGUAUACGAAGAAGCUUUACUUAUGGAAACCAAGAUUUCGUUUGUAUGGGCGAUCGGAAUCAAUUUGGGAUUCUACCUUUGUCACUCAACGGCUACCAAAUCUUCUAGAUACAGAGCUGUCCAAUGGGUAUAUUGGAAGACGAUUCUCCGGGAUACUGUCCAACGGGUAGUUUGGAAGUGGAGGAGUAUUUAAGGAGAUGAAGGACCGAUGAGCAAGUAAGAGACGGAGCGUAGAAUUUAUAAUUCCAAAGUCUGAGCGACUUUAGAUCAUAUACUUGUCUCUUGAGAGCUUAAACGUUUGUAAUCGUGAGAGAAAUACCAAGAGAGUGACUUAGUGAGAUAGUGUGAUCUACUAAGUGUUUGCACUCGAAGUUGUAAUCUCUUGUUGAUUGCAUAUUGGAAUCCAGCCAAGAAGGCUGUUAUCGUGGGAGAGUGGACGUAGGCUUGGAUUAAGCCGAACCACUAUAAAUCUUGUGUUCUUAUUCUCUUCCCUAACUCCUUUAUUUUGUUCAUACUAGCACUCUCAGCCUGCCAAAGCAUUUUUGAAAAUAAAAGAAUGAUACCGAAAAGGCAUUAGAAAAAUCUAGUGUAACCAAGUCUCCGUACCCAUAGUCUCUGGUUCGUAGGAGUAAAGUAAAAUUCUCAUUGCUUUACUUGGAUUUCUAAUCGACCCACCAAAAAAUAGAUUAGUGGUGACUCUUAACUGAAAUAUCAUUUGCAUGUUAAGAACUUGAACCUAAGUCGCGAAUUGGUAUGGGCUUGGGAGAGCCCGAAUUAAGUUUAGGCUUAACAAUCCAUUAGCCAAACCCUAGGUGGUUCACACCCGAAAUUUAGGUCGCGACAGCUUGACGACUCCACUGGGGACUUGAGUUAAAACUCUUAGUGGACUUAGGCCAAUUUUCUUUUUUAAAAAAUGUUUUUAUUAAGCAGCAAGGAUCCCAAUUACGUCCCUAACCUUUAAGGUGUUAAAUGUUUUUGCAGGAUGGGAGGUAUAAGGGCAGUAGUGAUUGUUAACCCUUAUCUUUCAGGUUGAAGUUAAGGAUGAAUGUUUUAAAUUCAAGUUAUUGAAGUGUUGUGUGAUUUAAACUAUUGUGCAUGCCUUGCAUUUGCAAUACACUCUUGCACACACAACCUGCCAUCGGACCCCUGCCGCAUUGGAUCAUUUAGGAUGGUAUUGAGAUGGAUACCACUCCGACCACAUGCUUGCAGUACGAGUUGCCCAUCUCAGUCCCGAAGUCUCUUUCAUGAUGUCAAGAGUACCCACCUCGGUCCGCAUGCCUGCGACCUAGGUCGGCUCUUUGACCAAGCCAGAGUCAUGAGGACUCGACAUAGUUCACAAGCCCGUGGCUAGUCUGAUCAUUCUUGUGGCUCCACCUUGAUAAGCCUUAUAGACUAGAAAUCGAAUCACUUACCAUGCGCAUGUCUAUGUGAUUGCCGUCGAUUUGUCUUGGUGAAGUAAGUCUUCUAUCUCUAUACUGAUGCAAUUUACUUACUUUGUCAUACUCUUGGUCCGUUCAUGACAAUCUAGGUCAAUCAUUGAUUUAAUUUAUUUGUCAAUUAGAAAUGAAAUGAGGAAAUUGCCAUGCAAUGAAUCAUUUGGAAAAUAACAAAAAAUUUGGUGAAUUUGUUUUCAAUUCAUGUCUAGGAAAUUUGGUCUUGUUAGGGUGUCUAUCUUUAUUUUCCUAGUCCAUUUUUUAGGAAAUGCCCUUCUUGUACGAACUUUUCAUGAAUAAAUAAAAAAAAAUAGAAAAAUCAAUUAGAUCAUUGUCAUAGAUUGACUUUCUAUUUACCCUCAUUCUUACAUGUUCUCGUUCAUUUGAACUAAGUGAUUAUGGAACAAUCUCGCUCACCCAUCUGUUCACGAUCAAGAGCCCAACUGAUGGAUCAAGAACAGCUUAUCUCAUCAAGCAAAAGUGUUGCGAUCUAUCUUUAGUGAGAAAUUGCAACUCCAAAAAGAGAGCCAAGAAGACUUUUUGACUCGUCUCAUUUUCCUAAGGUAGCCGAAUUUGAUGCCACCAUGAAGAGACUAGUGACAUAUCCAAAGGGAAGAAUAUUUGACUUGAAGGGUUCGUAUCACAAGAUCAAUCAGGGUGAAGAAUUCAAGUAUACAUGAUUCAUGGUCCUAAGUAGUUCAAUUUUCUCAUUUAGUCAGGGGCAUGCACCUUCCCCUGCGUGGGAAUUUUUAUCUCUUUUUAGGGAUUGAUUUCAAUUUCUUCUAUGCUUGAACAAUCCAUUCCAAUAAAUGUAAUUCGAUUGAUGAACAUCAAUAAAAUUACAAGUUUUGUUUUGAGAACAUGAUAGGGUACACCAAAUCAAUUCGAUGACGAUAUCCAACGAUGAAAAGAAAAUAUCAUCCAUGGAGAAAUUUUGAAGACCGGGCUUCUUCAUGCUUCCUCAUCCAAAAUAUUCCUAAAAAAAAUCAUUUUUUAAAGACAUUUCCAAAAGCAUGCAUUAGUUUACCCUUAUUUGUUUUUCUAACUCAUUUACUUUAUGUCUCAGAACAUAACAGAGAGGCGUUUGAAAAUAACACUUCAAGUUCUAGUGAUAGUGGGCCUGUUGAUUUGGGAACAUACAUCUGAAGGAAAAAUAGAUGUGGGGGCAAAGGAUCAUUUCCUAGCUAAUCUUGAUAACAUCUCCCAAGAAUGAAGAAGACAUUAAGCACUACUUAUCCUCUUACUUGUUCUGAGCGAUUUCCUUGCACAUUAAUAAGAAACCGAUGGUAAGUCAAAAGAAGAUCAUUUAGAUUCCAAAGUGUGAUGUGUGACACAAAACAUCUCAUUACGAUUUGUGUGAGAUGUCAAAUGAAGUUUUGAGAAAAUGAUGGAACAAGUCAAAAGAGGAUCAUCCGUCUUGGAUGAAAUGGAUACAUUGUGUUCAUGAAUAUAAUUAAUUUUGAAAUUGACACUCUGUUCUUUUCAAUGCAGAUAAUGAAUUGGGGCACUACAAAUUUUAGUAGUGACAUAACUGAGACAAAAUCUCAAUCCGAGCCAAAAUGAUUGUGCAAUUUGAAUUUACUUUGAUAUUGCAUGGUAUUAUUUUCAUGCAUGUUCUUUUGCGCCGAGGCAAAAGUGGAUUUUCAGUCUUGAAUGAUAGGGACAAUCCAAGGACACCCAAUUGCUGAGAUAGUCCCUUCGUGGGACAAUACCUUGAUUGAAUGCUUGAGAUCAUGUUUUUCAUACUUAUGAGAGCAUGUUUUGUCUGUUUGAAAUCACAAAAGUUUUUCAAGCUUAAAGUUGUUGGACUCUUUUGAAAAGAGAAUUUUCAUAUUGAUUUAGCUCACCAAUUUCAUGAGGAGAUUUGUCAAGAUAGACAACUCAAUGGAGAGACACCAAUGCUUAAGAAUGCUGAAUGAGACAUAUCAGGAUGAUGAAAGGCAAGCUUUAUCCUAUACAUAGUCCCUUACUUAUACACUUGUGAGAUGAGUGUAGAAAGUUCCAUAUCCACAAGGUAAAUAAUUCUCUCGCAAAAGGUACGAUAACCGAAAUGAUGAGGGGCAAUUUAUUUCUCUAUCCUAAACACUACAAGUGAUCCAUUGCUUAACCCCUUUGAGUUCCAUACACUUAUGAAAAGUCUUUUCAAAUUAUCCCUGUCAAGAACCACCCCACAUCGGGGCAAAUUGGAGGUAAGACAGCACCAUAAGGUAAAGAAAAUGGAAAGAAAUUUUCUUGCUCUCACUUGCAUCAAUCUUCAAGUCGUGCUAUUACAUUAAAUUCAUGUGAUAAUUUAAGUGCCUUAAGAUGACGAAGAGCAUUUCUUUCUCUAUCUUACAUACUUAUAUCCUUUGCAUAGCCCACUUGAGCCUGCAAUUUCAUUUCUUUAAACCCAGUUGAUGAUCAUCCCCCACAUGGGGCAAGGCAAAAGGCAGAUGAAGACUCUUAAAAAGUUCGAACGUCAUUCAAAGUCUAAUUGUUUAACGCAUGCAUUGUGCACAAGAAUUGAAUUCGAAAUAGGACUAAGGGACAUGAAAAAUCAGUGUGCCUGGUAAAAGCAAGGCCAAUGCCCAUGAAAAAGAAAUGAAAAAAAAAAAUGAAUGAGAACUAGGGGCAUGAAAAAGCGGUGUGCCUGGUAAAAGUAAGGUCAAUGCCCAUAGAUGAAAAUGAAAAAUGAAAAAAAAAAAAAAAAGAGUCAAGAUAGAUGACUAUCAGUUGCAAAGAUUGUAUCCCAAUGGAGCAGUACUCAAAGAGUCAAGAUCAAUAGGGUGCCUUAUGAAGACCAUCCCCGAUGGUAAAAAAGAAAAUUGGUGGCAAUACCAAGAUGAUCAUCAACUCUCACCAUUCACAUAUAUUUUGAGCCUAAUGAUCAUUUCAUUUCUCAAUCCAUGAACCCAGCCUACAUUAAGUCCCUUGCAAAGUCUCUUCUAAUUAGAGGACUUGAAUUAACGUAGGAAUUCAUAUGUUUAUAAGUAUCACUCGAAGAAGUGCGGGCAGGAUUAUUUCUUUAUCAUUUUACAGGGUUCUUGACUUGUAAACCCAAAGAUGUUUGAAAAGUUGUUCUUUCAAUAGCCUUGACUCAAAGAGUCCCUUUGUUUAGCCGUUGACCAAGCCCAAAAUUAGAAAUUGCCCGUCAUUAAGAUUAAGUCAUUUUGGUUAAUUUAUAUUGCAUAUUUAAUUAUUGCAUAUUCAUUAAGAAAACACAACAAAAUUAUUUUACUCAUGUCAUAUAAUUUAGGUUAUAUUGCCGUGUCAUACCAUUUCAUUAGUAGCAUGCAUUGCAUGAUUCCCAUUAAAAAAAGUGAAAACAAAAAUUGAACGAUUGCAUGUUAAUUAGAAAUCAUAACUAGGAUUGUCGAUAUGAAUUAUGAUUUAACAUUGCAGAUACUUUCGUUGCUAUGAGGUAAGUCUUGCAAUUUAUUUAUCGCUUUAUCUGGGUGUUAAAUUGAUGGUUUGCGCACCCGCAUGAUCAUCUCACAUGUUAGGGAAAUAGAUUUAAAAUUAAUUUAAGCUAUCUACCAAAGCAUUUUUGAAAAUAAAAGAAUGGUAACGAAAGGGCAUUAGAGAAAUCUAGUGUAACCAAGUCCCUAUACUCAUAGUCUCUGGUUCGUAGGAGUAAAGUAAAACUCCCGUUGCUUUACUUGGGUUUCUAAUCGACCCACCAAAAAAAUAGAUUAGUGGCGACUCUUAACUGAAAUAUCAUUUGUAUGUUAAGAACUUGAACCUAAGUCGCGAAUUGAUAUGGGCUUGGGAGAGCCUGAGUUAAGUUUAGACUUAACAAUCCAUUAACCAAACCCUAAGUGGUUCACACCCGAAAUUUAGGUCGCGACAGACACUUAAUUGAGUUGUCUUCAAAGAUUUUUCUCCAGAUUUAGUCUGAUUAAGGCGACCGAAGAACGGUUUGAGUCCUGGUCAAAUAAUCUGUGUUGCAACGUUAGGCGACCGUAGAAUGGUACGGAUCAUAAACAACAUUUAUUGCUCUAAUAGGCAAUGGUAUAAUGGCACGGGUCCUGGAAAAGCAAUUUCCCCAUUCAGGCGACUAUAGAAUGGUACGGGUCCUAAAAGGUAAAUCCCCGUUUAGGCCACCAUAGAAUGGACCAGGUCCUAGACAACCUCUAUUUCCCUAUUCAGCCGACUGUAGAAUGGUAUGGGUCCUAGAAAGUGAAUCCCCCGUUUAGGUGACCGUAGAAUGGUAUGGGUCCUAGACACAACCGAGCAUUGACAUACUGGGCGACCAUAGAAUGGUACAGGUUUUGGACAUGUAACACCAACUACCUUGAACUACUCUAUCUUCCUUGAAGGUAAGUUAUUCUAGGUAGGUUCAUUUAUCAUUUGCAUUACCAUUUCUAUGCAUCAUAUAAAUUGCAUUUGAAAAUGGAAUUCAUUUUCAAAAAAAAAAAAUCAUUCAUUGCACGUACAUGAUAAAAAAUUUAUAUCUCAAUUUAUCUUUGAAGGCAACCUCUGCGUGAUCACAUUCAAAGAGAAGCAGCUAUUGACACCUAAAUUUUUGGGAUUGAUAAAAAAAAAAACACAUAUUCAUUUUGUUUAGAAACAUUUUAUUUUUAUUUUCAUUUUGUUUUGUUUUAUUUUAGGCCGCUGGUGAAGGGAAGAUUUUUCACAUAUUCCAUUCAGAUUUUUCAUAUUUUUAGGUAAUAUAUACUAAGAGGUGUAGUUUGUGCAAAGAGGGAAUUUUUCUGGAUAGAAUAUGCGAGAAAUACAAAAGGGGAUAUUGCGCAGGGUGUGUAUAUUUCAACGACUUAUUUAGGGGUAUCAUGCGCAAGUAAAAAGGAAAAAAUAUAUGUCGCGAGGAUACAUUUUUUAGACCAAUAAAAUACAUUGCGCGCAAAGUAAAAAGGGAUUCUUUUUUCUUGGGCAGUAAAAAAGAAAACAAAAAGCAAAAAGGUGAAAGGUGAGUGACGUGAUAGAGAGAAAAAGUUAAAAAAAAAAAAGGAAGUCCCAUCGUCUUCCUCGAGAGGGGGACACCCUCGACGGCGCCGGCACACCUACGCCGGUAAUCGAGCCACCGGCGACCCCUUUCUUCGACCGCACCAGCGACCAAGCUGCCCGCCGCUGUGAGCAGCACCGCCGCCCCGCUAAUCUGCUGCCAGAGCUGUAGCCCGCAGUAGUCGCGACCCAAUCCCUCGUGCAGCCACGCCGCCCUGUCGCCGAUCUGUAGCCGGAGUCCCAGCGCCCCUGCUCACCUUCGCCCCGACGCUCACCGUCGUCGCUCGCCCUCUGCAGCUUCGACGCUCGCAGCUCGCGCCGCCCCGACGCCACCUCUGCUCGUCGCCUGCAGAUCCGAGAUCCCCACAGUAGCCGAUCCAGAUCCGCAGUGCCCUUGCCUCCCCGUUCGCUGCCCUAGAGCCCCGACGGUCAUCGUUCCGAAUCCGAUGCCAUCCCUCCUCCGCCCGCGAAAUCGCCGCCGCCACCGAGCCGAGAUCGGAAUGCCGUGUUCGAGCUCGGCCCUGCUCCCUCAAAGCCCGUGACCCGACGCCUCCAUUCACCAGCUACACCUCGCCAUUGCCGCGCCGGAGUUCCCCCCGCGCCCACGACUACCUCACCGAUGCCCUCGCUGGAACCCUCGCCGGCGACCCCCCCCCCCGGCCAAAACCAGCGGCCAAGAUUUCCUUUUCUUUUAAAAAAAUUAAAUUAGGUAUUUUUGCUUUACUUUAUUAGGCAAGUUUACUUUUUUUCUAUAUUUUUUAUUAUUAUCUCUUUAUAUCUUGUUUUCUUUGGUUGAAAUACUUAUCUAUGCAUAAUGAGAAAUCCCAAUAUAUCACCUGAUUUGCAACCGCGCUAAGGUUUUUUAUUUCAUCUAUAAGGUUUUAGAUGAAAUAAUUAAUUAAGUGGGAAUAAAAUUGAUAUUUUGAUCUUUAAGGUUUAAGAUUAAUUUAUCGAUUUUACUAACAACAUAUUAUCCCUUGAUCUAAACUAUGUGUGAUAUUUUUUAGGUAAUUUUGAAUGGUCUUGAUUACUUUAUUUAUCUUGAAAUAUGUCUGAGUUAGAAUAUUGCAUGUUUUAGGGUUAUUUGCAUAUUUAGGUUAAACAUUCUAUUUAUCAUGAAUUUUCAAAAAAAAAUCAAAAAAAAAAAUUCAAAUCAAUUAAUUUAGGUUGCUAGUUUUUUUAACUUGAAUUGCAUGUUUAAUUAUUUGGCAAUUGUUAAUUUCGAAAUUAAAAAAAGAAAAAAAAUCCAAAAAAUGUUGAAUUAGGAUUAGGUUUGUUUUUUUUGUCUUGCAUAUUUAGAAUAUGGAAUUUAUUUUGAAUCAUGAAAGAGAAAACAAAAAGAAAGUACAUUCAUUUAGGAUGCUAGUUUUAUUAUUAUUUGAAUUGCAUGUUAAAUUUUAAUUUGGGAAAAAAGGAAAUGCCACAAAAAAAAUCAUCAUGCAUAUGUCAUGUAAAAUUAGGGGCAUAUUUUGUACGUCAUGGCAUAUUAAGGUAAAAUUGCACUUAGUUUAAUUUUGAUAAUUGUUGCGAAAAGGCAAGCGAUCGGACAAUAAUAUAAACGAAAGAAGAAAAUAAAUCAGACACCGGAUUUACGUGGUUCGGUCGUAAAGACCUACGUCCCCAGCAAUAAUAUUUUUCUUAAUUUAUUAUAAGUUUAGGUAUUUCCUUAAAUAGAUUGCAUUUUAGGAUUAUUUGGGUUAAGAUAAUAUUUUAGUUUAAAUUAGGAUUUGGUUUACCUUAAUUCCUAAUCAAAUUGAAUAGGAUCUUAAUCUAGCUAGAUAAUUUUCACAUUUUAUCUAAUUCCGAAUUUCAUGAAAAUAAACACAAAAAUGUCUUAGAAUAAAUUAGCUUUAUUUUCUAGGAUAAAUUGUAUUCUUUUUAAGAAAAAAAAAAGAAAAAUUGUCAUAUGCAUGUCAUUAGAAUUAGAUUCAUGAAAUGCAUGCCAUUUAGUGAUUGUUGCUAGGUCCAUUUAAUUAGAAAUUGCAUGUCAUUGGAAUUAGGUCAUUUAGUUAAUAUUGCAUUGCAUAUUGCAUGAUUUUCAUUAAUCAAGUGAAAGCAAAAAAGAAAUUGCGUGUUAAUUAGAAAUCAUAUCUAGGGUUGUUGAUGUGGAUUCUAAUUUAACAUUACAGAUGCUUGCGUUGCUUUGAGGUAAAUUUUUUUUGCAAUUUAUUAAUUAUUUAUCCCGGUGUUAAAUUGGUGGUUUGCGUACCCACAUGAUCACCUCACAUAUUAAGAAAAUAGAUUUAAAAUCAAUUUAAGCUGCCUGCAAAAAUAUUUUUGAAAAUAAAAGAAUGGUAUCGAAAGGGCAUUAGAGAAAUCUAGUGUAACCAAGUCUCCAUACCCAUAGUCUUUGGUUCGCAGGAGUAAAGUAAAACUCCCGUUACUUUACUUAGAUUUCUAAUCGACCCACCAAGAAUAGAUUAGUGGCGACUCCUAAUUAAAAAAUCAAUUACAUGUUAAAAACUUGAACAUAAGUCGUGAAUUGGUAUGGGCUUGGGAGAGCCCGAGUUAAGUCUAGGCUUAACAAUCCAUUAGUCAAACUCUAGGUGGAUUACCCGAAAAAUUGGUCGCGACAAUGUCACAAAGUUGGGAUUAAGGAAUUAGAGGCUGAAGAGAUUAAAUAAAUGCAAAAGUUGUGCAGAGAUGUCUAGUAGAUUAAUUUCCCUGUGUAGUCAAAUCAUGCCUCCGUACUCCUUGUUUUGGGGAUCAAUGUAGGAAUCUGGUAAUAUAAAGACAACUCCAGGUAGAUCUGUUUAUAGCUCAAUAAGUCAGUGCAGAACGAUGAUGAGAUACUAUCAUUCAUUGAUUCCAAUGAGAAACUGAUUAAAGACACUUGCCUCUAAAUUGCUCUGACUCUGCUUCAGUCAUCACAGCCUGAAACCCCUGAUAAGUGGUGGUGCUACAGGCAUAAAUUCUCUUUUUUGCUUCUUCCAAACUGAAACACAAAAAAUGUCAUCUCAUUCAACAUGCAACUAAGAAAUAUCAGCAAUGAUUCAACAAAAAUUGGCAUAUCUAGUGUAAAUGCAGAGAACAAAUUUAAUUACCUAACUUUCAACUAUGAGAAUCAUUCACUUGACAUUUACUUAAGAAAAUUACAAAAUAAGAAAAAGCCUUACGAUGACAGUCCUAAGUAAAGGGAGGAGAAAUGCUGUCAUAAGGAUAAAAAGGGACAAUGACGCUAUUGUCCCUAAACUUUAGCCCAAUGUACGAUGCCAUCCUUACUUUUAAUUCGUUCAAUGUGGUUCUUGAACUACUUGUAAAGUAUAAAGGACCAUGGGAAAAUAUCACCACAAGUCCCUCAAAUUACAAUUCGUUCUAUCUAAUUCCUCAACUUUUCAUUACAAAGUCAAAUAAGUCUUUUGUACAAUUCACACGGAUCGUUAACUAUAAUAUAUAUAUAUAUAUAUAUUGAUUUAGAAAAUAAAUUGAAAUGAAAAGAUGAUCGUCAAUUAGGACAAUACUACAAUUAUGAAAACUUGAGAAUGGUACCACAUGACCAAUUUGAUUUUGUUGUGGAAAGGUGAGCGACUAGAUUGACAAAUUGAAAGCUUAGGAACUAGAUUGCACAUAAUGCGAUAGUUAAGGGACAAAUGUUUGACUUUCUCCCUCAUUCAAUGAAACAAAAAGACUACAUUGUAGCAGCAAGUUCAAAGGAGACACGAAAUGAAUUAAAAGCCAAGGAUGAAAAUGCAGAUUAGACCAAAGUUUAGGGGCUAUUAGUAUCAUUUACCCCCACAAAAAAUACUCAAUUCAGACCCUGAACAUUUUUUGGCUUCCAGUCUGAUUAACUUAUUCAUUCCAAUUUGGUUCAUCUGCACGGCCCCUAUUGGGUGGACAGGCGCAGACACUCGAGUAGCUUCAAUGAGUUAUGAGAACAAGUCAAACCUCUAGCCUAGAGGCUGACCACCCAAGUUGCAACCUGUUAGGAAAGAGAGAAACUUCAGCCUCUUCCAAAAUCACUAGCCAAUUCUACAAGAUAUGUCACCUUACACCACUGACAUUCUGCCUCAACUACCACAUCACCUCUUCCCUGCAUCCGAAGAGCCUCCCAAUUUCCCAGGAAUCCCUUCUUUUACUGUUGAGGAGGGCUUCAAUCCCUCCCAUAAAUUAGAGUUCAUUAGACUUCCAACCUGUAUUGGCAAUGCUUUUUGGCAACACCUGACUUAUCCCUAAGCAUUGCCGGUACUGAGACACCCAUUAAUCUCUAAGCAACACUCAUUUUCAAAUUUUGCAUCUUAUAAAUUAAACAUAAGGCUCCAAAGCCUCUUGAUGACACUCCAUUUCCAUCUUCAAUUGGCAAUACUCGAGCUACCACUAAUGGAUAACAAUAUAAUGGUGGCUUUGUCACCAAAAUUGGAAAGGCACUAAGUUAAACACUUUGGACUAGAUCUAGUACUGUAUACUCCAUCGUCUGGCCAUACAAACAAUUAAAUAAACAUGUCAACCAAUCAUUCUAAGGGACAUGUCUUUCUCUUGGGUUUACGCGCAUGGAUAAAAAGAAAAGGACAUGCACAUACAUGUGCAUAUGAAUGGAAGCAUGCACCACAGAAAGAGAGAGACGGCAGGCAAACAAGAAUUCCUGUCGCUUAUUUUAUUGCUAAACUAAGCUCAGUAAUAUUACAACUCUUUUUAUCAUGUAACCGAGGCAUAGACUCAGCAUCCCAUAUUUGCUUGCUUAAAUUAGUUAACUCUAAACGUCAUCUAGCAUUUGUUCCACGUACUUCCAUAAAUGCCUAAUACCGACGAGGCAACACAUUAACCCAAAAAAACAUGGUGUUGUCAACGAAGCACAUGAAUUAUAGUCUCAAACAUAGGACGCAAUACCUACAAUAAGGCGUUGUUGACACCUAAAUUUCACAAAUUUAUUUAGGACCUAAUCGCAUAAAAAAUUAGGAAUUAGUCACUAAAAAAAAGAGAGAAAAAAAAAUCUCUUAGGGGCCGGGUCGGGCCGGAUCAACCAUGGCCCGGCCCGACUCUCUUCCCUUUCCCCCUGUGUGGGGCCCGGGCCCCUUUUCUCCUGCGCCCCAAGCCAUCUCCCCUUUGGCCUGGCCCAUGCUAGCUUCUUCCUCCUCCUAUCCAUCUUCGCGCCCGGAGCCUGCAAAAAGAGAAAGGAAACUUGUAGAAAAGGGGAGUAAGACAGAAGAGAGAGGGGGAGGCGAACCGUGAGAGAGGGGACCAGAGGGGAGGCUUGGAGGAAGCAGCUCGCCACCCAAGCCACCCGCAAGUCCGCCCCGGCCACCGGUGGCGUCAAGAAGCCCCACUGCCAGGCCACACCUCUCUAAUGGACACCAUGCCUUGACACCUCGCCCCAAUGCCGUCCAGAUCUGAGUGAGUGGGUUUUGGAGAGCAAGGGUUCUGAUGCCGUUCCUGCUGCUAUUGCCGCUGCCACCGGAUGCCAGAUCUGGAGGAGGGGAGACUCACGAUUGCUGUGCCGAACUUCCGCCAUGUUGCUAAUGCCCAGCGAGUCAAAACCCUACAACUGUGCUGUCCCGGCCACCCCCCAACAAUGUCGCUGCAUCGGAUUUCCGCCGUGCCACUGCCGUUCGACCACCAACGACGGUGAGAGAUAGCAUCUGGUUACCGCCGUUCCAUCCCUCGACGCCGUCGCCACUAUUGAACCCUAGACCAACCACCUCAAGAUGUGCCGUCGUUCCCCUUGUCGUCAUCGCUACACCAGAUCUCCGUCGUUGCCGUUGCAGCAACGGUCACUAGGCCCGACGCCUCUACUGCCAACGAUGCCAUCUGCUCGCAAUUCCGUCGCCCACUUCCGGAUCCGCGACGUCCCCAAUGACCUGCUGAGGCCCCUGCCGUGUUGGGCUGCUGUUGCUCUCAUCCGUCACAACGCCGUCGUUCACUGCGAAGCCAUUGUCAAAUCCCUACCCUGCAAUGUGCCAGCCAACCCUCGACGCCGCGGAUCGCCAAACUCGAGGGUUCCAGAAUCUGGGUCCAGGAAGAAGAAGCCAAGUUGGAUCCGAGUAGGUUUUUUCUUAAGAAUUGGGUCUCGGUUUAGGAUCCGGGUCGGGCAUGGGUCGUGAACCGAACAAUUCGAGCCGGAUACCUAAGUCGUGUCUAGGCUGUUUUGGGACGUGGGCCGUGGGCCUGCAUUGGGUCCAUUUUGCAAAAGAGGGAUUGGGCCUGCCAGCUGGGCCUAACCCAAUUUUAAGUAAGGGCCCGACCACCUCUAGUCGGGCCCAGCCCUUUUUCGGGUGGGCUGUCCGGCCCGCCUCGGACCGGAUUUGGGCGGGUUUGACCGGCCCGCCCAAUUCGGUCAAACCCGAGUUAGGUCAGACCAGACUCUACCCGGGCCGGCCCAAAAAAAUUAAUUAUUUUUAAAAAUUAAAAAUUAAAAAAAUAAAUAAUUUUCUAAAAUCCAAAAUUUGUAGGGUUUGGUUAGAAAUUGCUAUGUAUUUUCCUUUUAGUGUAAUUGGGUCUUUAUUUGCUCGUAUAUUAAUUAUAUCACAUGUUUAGUUUGCAUAUAUUGUUAAGUUUAAUUGCACAUGUUUAAUUUUAUGGCAAUUAGGAUCUUGGUAGCUAUAAGUAUUAUCUUAAUGAUUGUGCACCCGCAUGAUCACCUCACAUAUUAGUGGAUAGGUAUGAAAUAAAUUCAAACUGCCUGACAAAAAUCUUUUCUCUUAAAAUGAACAAGAUUAGGUACCGAAAGGGCACUAAUUUAUCAAUUAGUGUACUCAAGUCCCCAACCAUAGAUUCUCUGAUUGCGUAGGAAGUGAGGUACACUCCCAUACCUCACUUGGUUUCUAGCCGACCCCAAUAGGCUAGUGACGACUCAUUUCUGGGAAUUUUUUUUUUUUUAAGAAUAUCCCAACGUCACGAGGGGUAUGGGCUUGGGAGAGCCCACUCCUAAUCAUAGGCCUUAGGCCCGUCCUUUAGGCAAUACCCCUAAACCCGUUCCCUACCCUUGAGGGGUAAGUCGCUACAGCUUGGCGAUUCUGCUGGGGAAUUAGUUUUAAACCUUAGAGAAUUUAGACCAAAAUUAAUCUUGUUCAAAAAUAUUUUUAUUUGUCAGCAAGGAUUCUAGAUACGCCCCUAACAUUAAAGGUGUUAAAUGUUUUUAUAGAAUAGGAGGUAUAAGGGGAAGUGUUUGCUCACCUUUGUCUUGUAGAGAGGUGUAGGAAUGUAUGGUUUAUUUUUUUAUGUAUGAAGUGUUGUUUACCCAUAAAUUGUUGUGCAUGUAUCAUUUGCAUUGUACUACACCAUAGCACACACUACCUACCGCUGCACCUGGGCCACAUAGGAUCACUUAAGAUGGUGUUGAGGUGGAUACCACUUCAACUACAAUCAUGUAGAAUGAGUCGCCCAUCUCAAUCCCGAAAUUUCUUUCUUGAUGUCAAAGGUCCCCACCCUAGUCUGCAACCGCGCUACACGGGUCGAUUCUUUGACGAAGCCGAAGUCAUGGGUAACCCGACCUAGUUGCAACCUUAUUGGUUUGGUUCAGUGAUCCUAUGGCUCUAUUUUGAGCCGUAUAGAGUAAAAAUCGAACCACAUCUCAUGCGCAUGUCUAUGUAAUUAAAAAAAAAAAAGAAACAGAGAGAAAAGUCGUCCCCCACUGUAAGUAUCAUUCUUUUUUUAUUCGCUUUUUUUUUAAUUGAAUUUUCGUCUUGAAAUUCGCGGAAAUUAAUCGAAUGCCCUCAGUGUUGUAGGCUUAUGAUUAAAAAAAUUGGCAAUCACUCUUGAUAAGUGAACAUUGAAUGCAAGUUCUAAGCACUUUGAUUUGGCCCUGUUGAACACAUAGUUUUAUUUAAAUUUCUAGUUAUGGGCUCAAAAUUGUAUUUUAAAAAAAAAAAACUUUCAAGUUGUGAUUAUACAUUGGGGCACAAACAAAAUUGAAAUUGCAUUUUUAAUCAAAUUCUCUCCAUUUUGUGUAUAGAUUUCUCAAAACAAGAGUCAUCUCAUUUUUCUAUGAGUAAAAAUCACAAAUUAAUCUUUCAAAAAUCAAUGCCACUUUUACAUAUGAAACUUUUGGAAUAGAAUGGACAUUCGAUUGAUAGCCGCCGAUCGAUCCUUUAAUGAUGCCCCUUCUCUUAUGACAAAUCUUGGUGAAAUACCAAAAUCCCAUAAUAUGGACUAUGGGGCAGGUACCGUCAUAAGAGGCGACCUCAUUGAAAGAUCAAUUUUUCAUUCACACACUAACAUUGUCUUCUUUUCGCAGGUCAUGCGUGAUGACACUUCUUGACUUCACUCGCUUGAUCAUGCCAAGAAGUCGACUUUAGAAUUAGGAUGAGAAUGGAUUUAUACUCUCAUAUAUGCAAGCGUAUUUUGCAAUAAAUGGGUAAAGCAUCUAAAGAAUAAUAUCCCCAAAUGUGGAAACAAUGAGCAAUCCUCAUCCUUUCAAAAGAAGGAUCUUGAAAAACACAUCUAAUGAUCCAUAUUUAAAUUUUUCAAGCUCCUUGUCAAUUAAACGUCUCUUCAAAAAGAGCAUUUGAAAAAAGCAGGAAUUGAACUUUGUAAUUGUUGUAUACAAUAAAGAAGUGAUUUUCAUGGAUAAAAUCAGGGCCUCAUAGCCAUUUUUCAGUCAAUCCUAGCCACUUCGGUGAAGUUCAUACUUGAAGAACAAAAAUGCGUGAAGGGUAAAUUGUGUCAAUUCCAAUUGCUCAUUUCGAUAGCGCCUUUGACAUGAUCCUUUUUUUUUUUCCUUUGAUAGGAAGACAUCAAACUCUUAAAGGCAAAUGCAAGUGAAGGGUACUGUCGAGUUACCAAAUAUCCACAAGCAUGAAUUCAAGAAAUGUUAGCACUCAAAGGAUAAAAGCGGGUGAAUGGUAAUAAUGUAUCGUUUCCAACAUUUCAAUCCCUAAAGAUUUUUACACUAACAUAUUCUUUUACAUUCUUUACAAGGUUACCACGUCACCAUGCCACAGGUAAGUACCCUUCUUCUCAAAAAAAAAAAAAAACAAAGAAUUUCCAUUACAAAAAAAGAACCUUUUGUGCUUUCCAAGAGACAAGCACAAAAAUGAAUAAUUGAAAAAAAAAAUUUCUACAAACUUUUUGAACAUCCUUUUUAUUUCAAAAUUGUUUUCUUGUUUUAUAGAUUAUUCAUUUUGAAUCAAAAUUCCCUAUGGAGAUUAAUCUACUCAAACGAUCUCAGCAGAGUGAAGUGGAGAUGAUAAUCAUGCCAAGCAGAGGAUACUUAGGAUGAAGAAAUGCAAGCCAUUUCCAAACACAUCCUUUAAACACUUUUGAGAGUUGAGUGAAAGGCAACAUUCUCUUAGGAUGAAUGAUUCAUUCGCAUUGAGCGCAAAUAUCAAAAUGAUAAAGGCAUUUCCUUCAUCAAUCCCAAGUACCAUACUAAUCUCUUGCUAGCCCUUUCGGCUGAAUAAAGAUGAUCCUUCAAAAUACCCCUGUCGAGAACGACCCUACAUUAGGGCAGCAUAGGAGAUUACGAUCGUGUUGUAGAGCGAAGAAUUGAGAAAAAUUCUAUUACUUUCACUUACAUCAAUCUUCUGGUGAUAGCUUCAGAUGAAUUCUCAUUAGAGCUUAACUCAUCCCAAGGUGAAGAAGAGCAUUUCCUUCCCUACCCAAACACUGAUACCCAUUGUUUUAAUCAAUUUUGGCCUGAUUAUUCAUUUCUGAACCCUGAGUGGUGAUCAUCUCCCUUCACUGGGGCAAGGUAUAAGAAUUGACCAAAUACAAUUGAAGUUCACGAGAAAAUGUGAAAAGCAUCUUAAAAGUCAUAAGAGCUACAAAAGUUCAAAGAGCAAAAAGUUCGACAAACUAGGGGGCAUAAAAAAGCAGUGUGCCUAGUAAAAGUAAGGCCAAUGCCCGUCAAGAAAAAGAGCCAAAAGGCUACAUCUUAAGUGAAAAAAAUUAUCAAAGUCCAAGUGCCUGCAUAAAAAAAUCAUCGCAACUACAAAGGAAAUUAGAAAAAGGAGCAAAGCUCUAUUGCAGAAAUGAUUAGUCAAAAAACUUUCGAGGUGCGCUGUGUUUCAAAAGCCAAAUGAUUUUGAAAGAUCGAGUGACUUGGUCACGAUGCCAUGAUGAUCACCGAUUCUUAAAAACCCUCUUGAAAAUUUUAAGCCUUUCGAGCCUCUCCCAAGACAACAUUACAAUCCCCUUCUGAAGUCUCUUCUGAUUGGGAUAAUUUGAGUGAAAAUGAGAAUGCCACAAAGAAGCUACUGCUUGAAGGAGUUGAGGUAAUUAUGUUUUGUCUUAUCUUCCAAGUUCUCGACUUGUAAACCCAAUGAAGAUAGCGACAAAUGUUUCUUUGUUGGCCUCAAAACAAUAAUUCCUUUGUAUAAGCCCUAACCGAGCCUAUAUUGCGGUCCUUUCAAAAGACCUUUUUGAUCGAUCAGAUUGUGCUUAUCGCGAAUGUUUCUGAAAGCCUUUGACAUGGAUUAUGUGAGAUACCCUCAGCAAUUAGUUACUUCCCACGCGAAUAAAUGGAAUCAGGCAGCCAUUUUAUCGAGAGUGUGUGAGAAACCCUUUCUAACUAAGAAGCUCUAGUUUGGCAUGCUUAAUGAGCCUAUUUCAUGAGUCGUAGCCGUUCUGAUAAGAACUUGACUCCCAGAGAAUUUGACGAAUAAUGAUAUAUCCCCGAGCAAGAUGACAGUUUUGCGCCACAUGAUGAUAAUUGACAUUGAAUGUUUCUUAAGGCAAUUAGACUUAGCUUGAUUAGCUUGUUCAAUUAAUGCUGCAAUAUUGCCAAUACGUCUCUUGAUGACGUCUCUAAUGACAUUUGCUCAAGUUGAUUUGACAGGAUUCCUCAGCGACGCCAUGCAGUUUUCAAGGUGUUAGCGGGUGCUUCCCUAAAAACCAAAGGUUCAUGGUCAGCCUUAAACCAUUCCAUCUCCAAAGGUUCAUGGUUAGCCUCAAACCAUGUCAUCUACAAGGUUCAUAGUCAGCCUUAAACCAUGCCAUCUCCAAAGGUUCAUGGUCAGCCUCAAACCAUGUCAUCUACAAGGUUCAUGGUUAGCCUUAAACCAUGUCAUUUCCAAGGUUUGUGGUUUAUCAUUAAACCACAGGGUUGGUGGUUUUUCCUAAAUCACAUGGUUCGUGGGUCAUCCUUAAACCACAAGGUUGGUGGGUAUCCUUAAACCACAAGGUUGGUGGUUCUAUCCUUAAAACCACGGGGUUGGUGGCUUUUCCUAAACCACACAAUUCGUGGGUCAUCCUUAAACCAUAAGGUUGGUGGGUCUAUCCUUAAAACCACGGGGUUUGUGGCUUUUCCUAAACCACACUGUUCGUGGGUCAUCCUUAAAUCACAAGGUUGGUGGGUCUAUCCUUAAAACCAUGGGGUUGGUGGCUUUUCCUAAACCACAAGGUUCAUGAGUCAUCCUUAAAUCACAAGGUUUGUGGGUCUAUCCUUAAAAUCAUGUGGUUGGUGGCUUUUCCUAAAUCACGCGGCUUGUGGGUUCAUCUGUAAACCACGCUUGUCCGCAUUCGGUUGAAACCCGUUUUUACACGGUGAGACAUUUCUUCCAGUCGAAACUCGUUUGUACAUGGUGAGACUAUCAUCCAAACACAGUGAGACUAUCUUCCAAUCAAAACCCGUUUAUACAUGAUGAGACUAUCAUCCAGUUGAAACCCGUUUUUACAUGGUGAGACUAUCACAUCCAGUCGAAACCCGUUUUUAUACGGUGAGACCUUUCUUCAAGUUGAAACAUGUUUGUAUACGGUGAAACUAUCAUCCAGUCGAAACCCGUUUUUACACGGUGAGACUAUCACAUCUGGUCGAAACCCGUUUUUACACGAUGAGACCUUUUUUCUAGUCGAAACCCGUUUUUACACAAUAAGACUACCAUAUACAAUUGAAACCUGUUUUUACACGGUCAAACUAUCACAUCUGGUCGAAACCCAUUUUUACACGAUGAGACAAUUCUUCCGGUCAAAACCUAUUUAUACACGGUGAGACCAUCAUAUCUAGUCGAAACCCGUUUGUACACGGUGAGACUAUCAUAUCUAGUCGAAACCUGUUUAUACAUGGUGAGACUAUAAUAUCCGGUCGAAACAUGUUUUUACACGGUGAAACCUUUCUUCCAAUCGAAACCCGUUUGUACACGGUGAGACUAUCAUAUCCAGUCGAAACCUGUUUUCACACGGUGACACUAUCACAUCCGGUCAAAACCCGUUUUUACACGGUGAGACAUUUCUUCCAGUCGAAACCUGUUUGUACACGAUGAGACUAUCAUAUCCCGUCGAAACUCGUUUUUACACGGUGAGACUAUCACAUCUAGUCGAAACUCGUUUUUACACGGUGAGACAUUUCUUCCAGUGGAAACCCGUUUGUACACGGCGAGACUAUCACAUCCAGUCGAAACUCGUUUUUACACGGUGAGACUAUCACAUCCAGUCGAAACCCGUUUUUACACGAUGAAACAUUUUUUUCCAGUCUAAACCACAAGGUUUGUUGGUUCAUCCUUAAACCACAAGGUUCGUGGGUCAUCCUUAAACCACACAGUUCAUGGGUCUAUCCUUAAACCACGCUUUUAAAAUGUUUAUGAGUCUAUCUUUAAACUGUUGGAGAAAUCUUCUUGAAGAGUUUUGAAGCUGACAAAACGUUUCCAUCAGUCUAGUCUGAAGGUUUGCAGACUCUGCUAUUUAAAGUCUGAAGACCUCCGAACAGCUAGACUCAAGACUCAAAGUCUAUCCUCAUUGACAGUCUCUAAUCCGUUGAAGAAAGGUUAUCUAGAACUGGAUGUUUCAUUAAGGAUAUGACCUUAUCGACUGGAGAAGAUCUCUUGACUGGAUAUGACAUAACGGAAUCCUUUGAUUGAUUGAGAUUGAUUCGAAGACUAAGGAUCCGAUGAUUGGCAAAAUAUUCUUGGAAGGUUCUACUUAUGGAAACUGAGAUCCUGAUUGUAUAGGCGAAUAUGAUUGAUGGGCUAUCGACACGUUCUUUUAAUAGCUCGAAUAAUCUUCCUAAUUGAUUCGGUCCAACGGGUAGAUUGGAGGAAUUCCUUUGGUAAGUGCCAACAGGUAUGAUGGCAUAAAGGAGUAUAUAAGGAAGACGUUCUAAGCUGUUCGAGAGGUGCGCGAUAGAAGAAUUCCAAAGUCUGAAGCUUUUUAUUGUUUUAGCAAAUCACUUUGAGCGAAAUCUUGUACACAAAAGAGAGUCUAUAUUUGUGAGAAACCUUGAGGAGGUGUGGUAGAACAUCUACACUGUGGAAUCAAGGAAAAGCUGUGCUGUAACUUCUCUUUUGUUUAUAGUGAAAUCCAGCCGGUGGGCUGUCAGUGCGGAAAAGUGGACGUAGGCUUGGAAUAAGCCGAACCACUAUAAACCUUGUGUUCAAUUUUUCUCUUCCCUACUCUUUACUUUACUUUGAUCGUACUUCAUUUUGUUAAUUAAAAAAGAACUCCCUUUCUAUCGUUUGAAUCGCUUCCGUAUCUUGAAAAAUUAUUUGUGCACCUAUUCACCCCCCUCUAAGUGCUUAUACUAGCUAUCUUAAUUGGUAUCAGAGCUCGUGUACUCACUUUGUUUGAAGUGUUUUACUUCAGAGUUAAAGAUCCAUGGCUAGUAUGUUGGCUCCAGGACUGGUAGAAGGGCAAAGCAAUACCAGACCGCCUUACUUUGAUGGAAAGGACUACAACAUAUGGAAAAACAAGAUGAAGGCGUUCUUAAGAUCAAAGGAUCAUCUGGAAUGGGACGUUGUAGAAAAAGGAAUCAUUCCUAAAGCUGCACCUGUUUCGGAAAGAGGAAAAGACACUGUUGAGUCUAGCGGAAUGACUCAGGAAGAGAUAAUCAAGAGACAAGCUCUUGAUGCAAAAGCAAUUUAUUCUUUAUAUUGUGCUUUAUCACCUACUGAAUAUAACAGAAUAUCUUCUUGUGAUACAGCCAAAGAAGUCUGGGAUAGAUUACACAUUACUUAUGAAGGAACCGAUCGAGUGAAAGAGACUAGAAUCAACAUUCUUCUCGGUCAAUACGAAGCCUUCAGAAUGAAAUCGGGAGAAUCUAUAACUGGCAUGUUUAGUCGUUUUACAGAGAUCGUGAAUGGUCUUGAAAAUCAAGGCCAACCAAUUUCUGAUCCCAUGAAAGUAAACAAGCUACUGCGUGGACUCUCCAAGGAUUGGAAUCACAUAAAGACCUCAAUCAGAGAGACCCAAAGAAUCAUGCCACUAUCUGUCGAUGAGUUGGUUAGGACUCUUCAGUCUUAUGAAGUAGAACGAAUCAAUGAAGACGAAGAUCCUAAAGGUAAGAAAUCCAUUGCAUUAAAAUCUAAUGAUGAUUCUGAUGCAACAGAUUCUGAAGACGACAUGGAUGAUGAAGAGCUUGCUCUCAUAAUAAGAAGAUUCAGAAAGCUGAACAGAAAAGGAAGAAGAUUCAACUCAAAGAAACAAAGUUUUCAAAAGCAACAGACCAAGUCUGCUGAAGAUGAUGAAUCAAACAAAGAUGUAGUCUGCUUUGAAUGUAAGAAAAAGGGACGCAUCAGACCCAACUGUCCUCUUCUGAGGAAGAAGAAAGGAAAGACUGAAAAGUAUCGAAAGGCUCUCAAAGCAGAAACCUGGAGUGAUACGAAGUGCGAAGAUAGUGAUGAUGAUUAUGCCAACAUUUGUCUAAUGGCACAAUCGGAUUCAGAGUCAAACUCUGAGAUAGAUUCAGAUUCGGAAAGUGAAUUCGAGGUGAGUAACUUCAAAAUCCCUAUUAAAGUUUCAAAAUACAUUGAUGAAUUGUGUUUUAGUCUUAAGACUUCUCUUAAAAGAAUUUCCGAACUCAAAAAGGAAAAUUCUAUUCUAAAACAACAAGAGAAUGUUUUGGAAGAAAAAGUGAAAUGCCUAGACCAGAAAGUUUCUUCUCUCAAAGAAAGUGAAGAUAAUCUUUUAAAAGAAAAUGCAUUCUUGAAAAAUGAUAUUUCAAAUAUUUCCAAAAGAUUUUCUCUAGGAUCUGAAAAACUGGAAAAAAUACUUUCUGUUCAAAGACCUUAUUUCAAUAAAUUUGGUUUGGGAAUGACUACUGAAACCAUUCCUUUAAUUGAUUUUCCUAAAGUGAAAGAAAGAAUCAAACAAAGACCCACAAGAGAUGCUUACAAAAAUCAUUUUAAAAGGACCUUUGUAAAACCAGUAGGUCGCAAUGCUCUCAGAUGUUCAAAGUGCAAUAAUGCAGAUCAUUUUGAAAAAGAAUGUCCUAUGGUGUGGAAACCUGUCAAUAAAGUUUGGGCAAAAACCGCAUAUCAUACUAACUCAAAAGGACCCAAGAAAAUAUGGGUACCAAAGAAAGCUUGAGUCUCUUUUUAGAUGAGGUCACUAUCAAGAAAAAGGUAAAAUGGUACCUGGAUAGUGGAUGCUCGAGACACAUGACAGGAGAUUCAAAGUGUUUCAUAAAGCUUGUUCAAGUGAAUGGUGGAAAAGUUUCAUUUGGAGGAAACAGUAAAGGAAAAAUUGUGGGAUUUGGAACUGUAAAGAUUGGGAACCUCACAAUAAGCAAUGUUUCUUUAGUUGAAGGGCCCAACUACAAUCUGCUCAGUGUCAGUCAGCUGUGUGAUGCCGGUUUCAGAAUCAACUUUCAAGAGGGUAUUUGUUCAGGAACCAGUAAAGACUCUACUCAGACGUUUAUGGGUCGAAGACAUGGAAAUAUCUACCUCUUGGACAUGAAACCAGAUGAAUCGCAAUGUCUAAUCUCAAUCCAAGACGAAGCGAACUUAUGGCACAAGAAGCUUGGGCAUAUUAACAUGAAGCAGAUAGCCAAAAUCUCAGCAAAGAAGCUUGUUCAUGGUCUACCCAAUUUAUCAUACCAAAAGUCUGACCUAUGUACACCAUGUAUAUUGGGAAAACAGGUAAGAAAUUCCUUUAAAUCAAUAAAUCAAGUUUCCACUAACCGUGUACUGCAGCUCUUGCAUAUGGAUCUCUUUGGACCAACAAGAACGCAGAGCGUUGGAGGUAAGAAAUAUUGCCUAGUAAUUGUGGAUGACUACUCACGAUUCACUUGGGUAUAUUUCUUGGCAAGUAAGUCUGAAACUUUCUCUUACUUUAAAAAAUUUGCUAAGAAGAUUCAAAAUGAAAAGGGGUUUGUUAUUUCAAGUAUAAAAACAGACCAUGGAGGUGAAUUUGAAAAUCAAGAUUUUACAAAAUUUUGUGAUGAAUCUGGUUUUCAGCAUUUAUUCUCUUCUCCAUAUACUCCAGAGCAAAAUGGAGUUGUGGAAAGGAAGAAUAGAUCUCUUCAAGAAAUGGCUAGAACACUUUUAAUUGAAAGCAAUAUCUCUUUACGAUUUUGGGCUGAAGCAGUUUCAACAUCAUGUUAUAUUAUCAAUAGAGUUUUUCUAAGGCCUAUUCUUGAAAAACCCCGUAUGAACUAUUCAAAGAAAAGAAGCCUAUUGUUUCAUAUUUUCAUAUAUUUGGAUGCAAAUGUUUCAUACUGAAAAAUGCAAAUGAUCGAGUUGGUAAGUUUGAAGAAAAAUCAGAUGAAGGCAUCUUCCUCGGAUAUUCAACCACAAGCAAAGCGUACAGAGUCUACAACAAGAAGACUCAAACUGUGGAAGAAUCAAUGAAUGUCAAAUUUCAAGACUCUAUUCAUAAUGAAUCUAUUCAGACUCAUCUUGAAGAGACUGAACCUGCUCCAGACUCUAUAAAGUCUAAAUCUCAAGAAGCAGCUCAGACUUUGAAGGACCAGCAACAAGUGACUAUUGAAGAUUCAAGUGAAGGAAGUGAUCAUCAACCUGACAAAUCAACCAGCAACUGGAAACAUAAGUCCAGUCAUCCCAAAGAUCUUAUUAUUGGCGACAUCAAUGAAGUAAUUCGCACAAGAUCAAAAAGGCGCGAAGAGUCUAGUGUUGUGGCUCUUAUUUCUGAAAUUGAAUCCAAAAGCAUAGAAGAAACUUUAUCCGAUGAGAGCUAGAUUGAAGCCAUGCAAGAAGAACUCAGACAAUUCAGAAUUAAUGAUGUCUGGGAGUUGACUCCAAAACCAAAAGGUAAAUCAAUUGUGGGAGCUAAAUGGGUUUUCAGAAACAAAAUAGACGAGAAGGGAAAAGUCAUAAGAAACAAGGCUAGACUCGUGGCCAAGGGAUACACACAAGAAGAAGGGAUCGACUAUGACGAGACUUAUGCACCAGUAGCAAGGUUAGAAGCAAUUUGUUUAUUACUUGCAUUUGCUUGUCAUAAGAAUUCCAAGUUAUUCCAAAUGGAUGUCAAAAAUGCCUUCCUAAAUGGAUUCAUCCAUGAGGAAGUUUAUGUGGAACAACCACCUGGGUUUGAAGACCCAAGGAAACCAGACUCAGUAUUCAUACUCAAAAAGGCCUUAUAUGGCUUAAAACAAGCACCUCGAGCUUGGUACGACAGACUGAGUAAGUUUUUAAUUCAAAAUGGUUUUGUUAAAGGUAAAGUAGACACUACUCUUUUUAUUAAAAGAGAAAGCAAGAGUUUUUUGCUUGUUCAAAUAUAUGUCGAUGAUAUUAUUUUUGGAUCCUCUAAUGAAAGUCUGUACAAGAAAUUCUCAAAGACCAUGCAGGAUGAAUUUGAAAUGAGCAUGAUGGGUGAGUUAACCUUCUUUCUCGGUCUUCAAGUAAAACAACUGAAGGAUGGAACUUUUAUUCAUCAAGAAAAGUAUGCAAAUGAUCUUGUCAAGAAGUUUGGACUGGACAAUUGCAAAAAGGCUGAUAUACUAAUGUCAAGUUCCUUGAAGAUAGACAAAGAUGAAGGAGGAAAGAAAGUCGACCAAAAGUUAUACAAGAGUAUCAUCGGUUCACUUCUUUAUCUUACUACUUCUAGACCUGAUUUGUGCCAGAUUUCAAGCAGACCCUAAAGAAUCUCAUUUAAAUGCUGCAAAGCGUAUUAUCAAAUACAUUGCCUCAACUUCAAGCAUUGGUCUUUGGUAUCCUAAAAGAGGAGACUUUACUCUUCUUGGAUACUCAGACGCAGACUUAGCCGAAUGCAGAGUUGAUAGAAAGAGCACCUCGGGUACCUGUCAACUACUUGGAGGCAGGACAGUGUCUUGGUUUUCAAGGAAGCAGAGUACAGUAGCUCUCUUUACAGCAGAAGCAGAAUAUGUAGCUCUUGGAAGCUAUUGUUCACAAAUUCUGUGGAUAAAACAACAGCUAAGAGACUUUGGAAUUGAAGACUCAUGCACGGAAAUUAAUUGUGACAACACCAGUGCAAUCAAUCUUACCAAAAAUCCAAUUCUUCACUCAAGAGCAAAGCAUAUAGAGAUUCGACAUCACUUUAUUAGAGAUCAUGUUCAAAAUGGAGAAGUUUCAAUUCAAUUUGUUGAUUCAAAGAACCAACUGGCGGAUAUAUUCACAAAGCCUUUUGAGAAAAAUCAAUUUGAAACCAUCCGUUCCAGACUCAACAUUUUAAGGUAUGAGGAAAUCAAAGUCUAGAGACUCUCAGACUCAGACAAACAAGACCUUGACGGUAAGUUAUUCUCUCUCUCGAAUCUCAACUUGAAAAGGUACGAUCGUUAACUGUAUUUGAUUAUUGCUAUAACUAUUGUGACUUUUCAUUUUCAAAAAAGGAAGUUAUUUUUUGAAAAGACUAUUUUCACGGAAAAGGCAUUUAUUUUGAAAAGGCAUCUUUUUAUUUUCCUUUGUGACGAUCCGUAUACCUCCCAUUUUAACCGAUCGUACACUCUUCGCUUUACUCUCAAAAACCCUAGAAAGCAUCAAUCUUCCAUUCCUAUUUUCUUCCCUUGUUUAAUCUUCGAAAAAGUUGUCAUCUUUCUUGGGAAAGUCAAGCAAGGAAUCUUUCAAAGACUAAGAAAGAUGUCGUCUUCAAGAAAGUCUUCGAGAAUUGCAAGCAGGGGACCACGGCAGAUGAGUGAGGGGCCUACGCACUUCGAUCUCACCGAAGAAGAAGUUUCUCCCAAUCAGUAGCAGAGCCCACAACAUUCUCAACAGCGUCAUUCUCCUCCAUCUAGUCCUCAAGGCGUUGAUCAUCAACAAGAGGAAGAAAUCAUUGAGGAUGCAGACCCUGUAAGAGUUCAAAAGCCCGCUUUUAUUUAUAAGCUAUAUCGUGCUUUGAAAGGAACUCGUACUCCUUUGAACUAUGUCGAUGAUUUUCUUAAUGACAAAGGGUAUGGAAAUGAAUAUAUCUUUUUGUGAAAAAUGGAAAGUUUGGGAAUUGCUCGUAAAGGGGUGGCAGAGGAAACCCUUGCGAAUAUCCCAAGUGAUCCUCGUGAUUGGGGAGUUAAUCCUGUAGAUGGAAAUGAUGGUGACAAGCUGUUCAGCCAAUUUCAACCGAGAAUGGGUGUUGCGGCUGAAAAUCGAGGAAAAAUAGGAGAGUUGUUCAGAUUAAAGGAACAAAAAGAUCUAUACUCAAAAUUGUUGAAGCGUAGGGUAAUAAACCCUAGGAGUGUGGAUUUUGAUUUUCUGGAUGCUGUGAAUGUGAACUUGAGGGAAAAGUUCGGUUAUCUUCAACUUGAAAAGUUCUGCUCCGACACUACAGAGGCUUAUGCUGAACUAACCGCAUAUUUCUAUUCAAACCUUAGCUUCUUGGAUGCAAAUAGAUUUUCUUUCAGCGUCAAAGAUUAAGACUUUGUUGUGGAUAUGGAUAUGCUGGCAGAUGUGUUAGAAGUUGAGAGAGGAAGAUAUCAACCGAUCAAAGUUUCUAUUGCUCGGGCUACAUUGGAACUUGUGAAGGACAGGAGAACAGAGGAAAAGAUUUCCUACUUAAGGAUGAGUGCGUUCAACAUCUUGCUCCACAAGAUUGUGAUUAAUUGCCUCCGACCGAAAUCAACUUCCAAGACUGAUGUUUCAAGUUCAGAGGCAAAGCUGAUGUAUGCCAUCCUCACUGGUAAAAGGUUUUCUCUUCCUCACACUAUCAUGUUCCACAUGUAUAGAGCCAUGAUGAAAGACAGAGGUCAACUUCCUUACCCAAGUCUUGUGACGAAGUUAUUCAGACAUCUGAAUAUUCAGCCUCCGCAAAUUUUUUGUGCUCGAUCGUGCGAUCAUAUGGUAGUAGGACUGAAAAUGGUGACCAAAAUGCGUCUGAAGGAACUAAGCAAGGCAUUAGAGAAAUUCAAGGAGAAGACUCCAAUCAAACCUCAUCAAACCUCUUCUUCAUCAAAAAGGAAAGGAAAGGAGCCCUUGAUUUCUUCAAGGACGAAAAGAAGAACUCUCAUUGUUGAAGAUGAAGAUGAUGAUGAUGAAAACAUCACCAUUUCUGCAAUGGCUUUGAAGAAUCUGAGUCGUUCUGUUCCAGAGAAAGAAUCGGAACAAAGGACGAAAGAAGCAGAGGAGAAAGAAGCAGAGGAGAAGGGAGAAGAAGAAAGAGAUGCUGAGAAGGAAAGAGUUGAGAAAGAAGAAGAAGAGAAAAGAGAUCAAGAAGAAGAAGAACCUAAGGGACACUCUUCUCCACCUGAAGGCAUGAAAACAGGGGGAGAUCAAGAGAAAAGAGGAAAGUCCUCAUAUCUUGCUACAAGUGAGGGAGUCAGUCGCUCUCCAGCAGAUCCAGAGGACAUUUAUGCCUCUCAAUUUCUUGAGGAAGGUCAUGAUGUCUCAUCGCCAAAUCUGCGUGAUUAUGCUGAUCUACCAUCGUCUGCAUUUACUCCAUCAGAUCGUGCCGAAGCAAGUACUCAAAUUGAUAAUGCAGCAGAUUUUCGCAGAAUUAUGGAUAUUCUCUUGGAGAUGCGAGGUCAAAUUUAUGCUCUGGGAUGCGAUGUUCAAAACUUGCAGAACGCAGGUCAAGCUUCUUCGGUUUCAUUGAAUGAUCAAAUCCAAGCCCUCUCUGUUCAGAUUCAGGCCAAUGCCAAGGGUGAGGAAAUUGCACAACUAAAGGAAGACUUGAAAAGGCUGGAAGGCAUCGUUCAGUCUAUGGGGGAUUUCCAGCUUGUUCGCGUUCCCAAGCAAUCUUGACUUUAUCCCAUUUUCAUCUCAAACCUUUUUAAUGCUGACAAAAAGGGGGAGAGAUGCAAGAUUUGAAUCAAAACUUUGACUUUGAUCGUAUCGUUUGGAUUGGAUUGUUUUGAUGUUUAACUCUCUGUUUGACUUUAUUUUUGUGUCUGGAUAAGAACUGAACUUGACUUGGACUUGAUUGCUUAUACUAUCUACUAUUGAUAUCUUAUGAAUGGCUUUAUCGCAUACUAGACUAACCUAUUUUCUAUGGUUGCAGAUUCUAGUGUUAUUCAUUUAGCCAUUUAUCUCUAUAAGACAUGCAUAUGUGUUUAAGAAAUGUUUUACAUGUCAAAGUUGUCCAAAUCUGCAGGAAAGUUUUGUCACCAUCAAAAAGGGGGAGAUUGUUGGAGAAAUCUUCUUGAAGAGUUUUGAAGCUGACAAAACGUUUCCAUCAAUCUAGUCUGAAGGUUUGCAGACUCUGCUAUUUAAAGUCUAAAGACCUCCGGACAGCCAGACUCAAGACUCAAAGUCUAUCCUCAUUGACAGUCUCUAAUCCGUUGAAGAAAGGUUAUCCAGAACUAGAUGUUUCAUUAAGGAUAUGACCUUAUUGACUAGAGAAGAUCUCUUGGCUGGAUAUGACAUAACGGAAUCCUUUGAUUGAUCGAGAUUGAUUCCAAGACUAAGGAUCCGAUGAUUGGCAAAAUAUUCUUGGAAGGUUCUACUUAUGGAAACCGAGAUCCUGAUUGUAUGGGCGAACAGGAUUGAUGGGCUAUGGACACGUUCUUUUAAUAGCUCGAAUAAUCUUCCUAAUUGAUUCGGUCCAACGGAUAGAUUGGAGGAAUUCCUUUGGUAAGUGCCAACGGGUAUGAUGGCAUAAAGGAGUAUAUAAGGAAGACGUUCUAAGCUGUUCGAGAGGUGCGCGAUAGAAGAAUUCUAAAGUCUGAAGCUCCUUAUUGUUUUAGCAAAUCACUUUGAGCGAAAUCUUAUACACAAAAGAGAGUUUAUAUUUGUGAGAAACCUUGAGGAGGUGUGGUAGAACAUCUACACUGUGGAAUCAAGGAAAAGUUGUGCUGUAACUUCUCUUUUGUUCAUAGUGAAAUCCAGCCAGUGGGCUGUCAGUGCGGAAGAGUGGACGUAGGCUUGGAAUAAGCCGAACCACUAUAAACCUUGUGUUCAAUUUUUAUCUUCCCUACUCUUUACUUUACUUUGAUCGUACUUCAUUUUAUUAAUUAAAAAAGAACUCCCUUUCUAUAGUUUGAAUCGCUUCCGUAUCUUGAAAAAUUAUUUGUGCACCUAUUCACCCCCCUCUAGGUGCUUAUACUAGCUAUCUCAUAAACUACAAUUUUUCAAAAGGUUCAUGGUCAACCUUAAACCAUGUCAUCUACAAAGGUUUAUUGGUUUUUCUCAAAUCAUGCAUUUUCAACCCGGUUGAAACCCAUUGAUACAUGAUGAGACCUCAUUUCUUUAUUCCCCUUAUCAACACGACGCACUUCCAUAACCCCGAAUCCUUUCCGUUGACCUGGUGCAUGCCUAUGCACCCAGGGUCGCUUUCUCGUCGAAAUAAUUUAGGUGCCUACCAUCUUUGAAUGCAAUCUCUUCAAGACUACAUUCAAAGAGGGGCGACUAUUAACACCUAAAUUUUACCAAUUUAUUUAGGACCUAAUCGCAUACAAAAUUAGGAAUUAGUCACUAAAAAAAAAAGAGAAAAAAAAACAAAAACAACAGAAAAGAAAAAACGCUUAGGGGCCGGGUCGGGCCGGAUCCAGCCUUAGCCUGGCCCGACUCUCUUCCCUUUCCCCCUGUGCUGGGCCCGGGCCCCUUUUCUCCCACGGCCCAAGCCGUCUCCCCUUCAGCCAGGCCCAUGCCUGCUUAUUUCUCUUCCUAUUCAUCUUCACUCGCGAAGCCUGCAGAAAGAGAAAGGAAACCUACAGAAAAGGGGAGCAGGACAAAAGAGAGAGGGGGAGGCAAACUGUGAGAGAGGGGAUCGGAGGGGAGGCCUGGAGGAAGCAGCUCACCACCCAGGUCGCCCACAAGUCCGCCCUGGCCACCAGCAGUGUCAAGAAGCCCCAUCACCAGGCCACACCUCUCCAGCAGACACCGUGCCCCAACACCUCACCCCAACGCCGUCCAAAUCUGAGUGAGUGGGUUUUGGAGAGCAAGGUUCCGAUGCCUUUCCUUCUGCCGCUGCCACUACCACUGGAUGCCGGAUCUGGAGGAGGGGAGACUCGCGGUCGCUAUGCUAGACUUCUGUCGCAUUGCUAACGCCCAAUGAGUCGAAACCUUGCAACCAUGCUGUCCCGGCCACCCCUCGACGCUGUCGCUACAUCGGAUUUCCGCCGUGCCGCUGCCGUUUGACCACCAACGACAUUGCAGAUCGUGUCUAGUUACCAUCGUUCCAUCCCUCGAUGCCAUCGCCACUAUCGAACCCUAGACCAAUCGCCUCAGGCUGUGCCGUCGUUCCACUUGUCGCCAUCACUACACCAGAUCUUCGUCGUCGCCAUCGCAGCAACUGUCGUUUGGCCCGACGCCUCCACCACCGACAACGCCGUAUGCUCGCAACGCCGCCGCCCACUUCUGGAUCCACAACGUCGCCAAUGACCCGCUGAGGCCCCUGCCGUGUUGGGCUACUGUUGCUCUCGUCCGUCACAACGCUGUCGUCCACCGCAAAGCCAUUGUCGAAUCCCUACCCGACAACAUUCCAACCAACCCCCGGCGCUGCGGAUUGCCGAACUCGAGGGUUCCAGAAUCUAGGUCCGCGAAGAAGAAGCCGAGUCGGAUAUGGGUAGGUUUUUUCUUAGGAAUCGAGUCACGGUUUAGGAUCCGGGUCGGGCACAGAUCACGAACCGGGUAAGGUUUUGAACAAUUUGGGCCGCGUACUUAAGUCGAGUCUAGGCUGUUUUGGGACGUGGGUCAUGGGCUUGCAUUAUGUCCAUUUUGCAAAAGAGAGAUUGGGCCCACCAGCUAGGCCCAACCCCAUUUUAAGUAAGGGCCCGACCACCUAUGGUCAGCCCAGCCCCUUUUCAGAUAGGCUAUCUGGCCCACCCCGGAUCGAAUCAGGGCGGGUUUGACCGGCCCGCCCAACCGAGUCAAACCCGGGUCGGGUUAGACUGAACCCUACCCAGUCCAGUCCAAAAAAAAUUAUUUUAUUAUUAUGUUUUUAAGAAAAAAUUUAUUUUAUAAAAAAAUUAAAAAUUAAAAAAAAAGUAAAAAAAUUUUCAAAAAUCCAAAAAUUGUAGGGUUUGGUUAGGAAUUGCUAUGUAUUGCCUUUUUAGUGUAAUUAGGCAUUUAUUUGCUCGUAUAUUGAUUAUAUCGCAUGUUUAGUUUGCAUAUUUUGUUAUGCUUAAUUGCAUGUUUUUAAUUUUAUGGCAAUUAAGAUCUUGGUAACUAUAAGUAUUAUCUUAAUGAUUGCGCACCUGCAUGAUCACCUCGCAUGUUAGUGGAUAAAUAUGAAAUCAUUCCAAACUGCCUGAUAAAAAUCUUUUCUCUUAAAAUGAACAAGAUUAGGUACCGAAAUGGCAUUAAUUGGUUAAUUAGUGUAAUCAAGUUCCCGACCAUAGACUCUCUGAUUGCGUAGGAAGUGAGGUACAUUCCCAUACCUCACUUGAUUUCUAGCCGACCCCAAUAAGCUAGUGGCAACUUCUUUCUGUGAAUUUUUUUUAAGAAUAUCCCAAUGUCACGCAGGAUAUGGGCUUGAGAGAGCCCACGCCUAAUCAUUGGCCUUAGGCCCGUCUUUUAGGCAAUACCCUAAACCUGUUCCCUCCCCUAGAGGGGUAGGUCACGACAGACAUGCACAGUGUAAUUUAUCCAAGGCACGAGCAGAUUACCAACCACGAUAGACCUAACCUAUUUGAAAAUUUUUCAGUCUAAAAAGUUUGAAACCUUUUUUUUUUUUAAUACCCGGGGAACCCAGUAGUAGCCGGCGGGUAAACCCUGGAGCGACGAUAGCGGAGAACCCACCACCCCGACGUCACGCUUAAGACCCCGUGCAGCCAGCGGGAUUCGACCCCCUCCACUUUCGUUAGUUUCAUUAGCCAUAAGUGCUGAACUCAUGCUUUCUAGCCAAACAUUGCUUAACUCCGGCCUCUAACUAAUGAAGAACAAGCAUAUUGGAUAACAAAUUCCUUAACGAAGUACCCUCUCUUCAAUGAAUUUGACUAAAUGGCAGAGCCAUUUCCGACACACUGCGCGGAAAGAAACAACGCAAGCAAAAAGAAAGAUCAAAACCUAAUGUUGAGCCCUUUGGCGCAAGUCUUCUCGUAGGUGCGAACCAUCUCCUCUGGCGUGGGCUUGGGGUCCUUGGGGAAGUCCAUGGUGAUGAGCCAUUGGUUGAAGUCGCACCCCUCGAAGAGCACCGUGUCCGAAUCGAUCUUGUCAUCGUUGUUGUAGCCGUCGGCGUUGUAGGCCAGCGACCGCGAGAAGAACAGCCACAUCGCCGCCGCCGCUGCUGCCGACGAGGAGCGAGGCCGCAGCGCAGUUGCCACGAGAGGCGGCGUCAGACGGCAGACGGCGGCGCGGCGAGGGCUCGCCGGAAGCGGACCAAGCGCAUCACCAUGGCUGCCGUUGAAGAGAGAGAGAGAGAGAGGGUUCUAGAGGUUUUUUGGAGGAGCUUUUUCAGGCAAAUGCGACUUCCGAUUUGCAAGAGCAUGUUACGCCUCAAAAGAGCGAAAUUUUAUUUUUUGUGAUUUUCGACCUGGAAAUUACGAUUUGGCCCCAGAUUUUUAGGGUGGUUAUUGAUAUCGCCCCACCCAGUAUCUCGAGAUUUUGGCAUAAAUCCCUCGAUAUUUUUUACGAAUUGGUUUUUCAGUGUACGCCCGCCCCUUGGUCGGUCACGUGACCAAGGGCGGUGACGACUUCGAGGGCGAAAUCAUCUUUUUCGUUUCGAAUUCCUCGUGUUGAAUCGGUAGAACCAGCAAUUACCCUACUUCCUCUUUUGCUCUUAUUUUGGUCAUUUUUCUGGAUUUUUUUUUUAGCCUUUCUUGUAUUUGUUUGUAUUGGAGAAAUCUUGUGCUGCAGAUGAUGAAGGAUAGGGAAGGACCCAUCUUCUGAAUUUUACUUAUUUGAGACCAAAAGAAAGUAAUUUUUAGCAUAUUUGCACAAAGAAAAAUGAAGAAAAGUUAAUCGAUUUCAUAUAUCUUGGUUUCUGUUCUCUUCCUUCUUAAAACUCCCCAACCUGAAAAAGGGCACUAAUGAAGGUGUGGCACAGGAAUUAAACUUCAAUGAAAUUUAAAUAAUAAUAAUUAAAAACACCUAGCUUAUUUCCGAAUUGACCCUAAGCCAUUUCAGGGCCGAUAGGAUCGCUAUUCAAUUCCAUAAACUUUGAAUCGAUUCUGAUUGGGUAAAUUCCACCUGUAGAGUGAGAAUCGACCAAUCCUGAAACUGAUCAUCAUACGUUUGAUAUGACUUACUUAAAAAAUAACGUCUUCACAAUUUAACAUUUUAUUGAGCAGAUUCCUCCUUUUGCUUCUCAGCCUACGGGAUCUAACGAUACAAUAAAAAUGAGUAGUCUUUCAAUUUUUUUUAAUUAAAUAUAAGCUAAAUAAAUGGACAAGAGAGAAACUUUUCAGUUUUGACUAAUAUUUUCAUCAAAGAGAUGAUUUAUCUUUGAAAAAUAAGUAAAGAAAACCAUUUUACAAAUUUAAUCUGUCAUUUGUUAUCAAUAACUAUUUUUUACAAAUAUUAAAUAGAGUGAAAAAAGCAGAAGUUAAUAAAUAUAAUUUAUCAUGUGUCUUAAUAUUAGAAUUCUACAGAUCUUUUAGAUAUUGUUAAAUAUUUCUUUUGUAAAUUUUAUGUAUUUAUCAGUAUCUCCUUUCCAUAAUUUAAUACUUCAAAUAUUUAGCAAUGAAAUAAUUUUGAUUGAUCUUUAAAAUGUCAAUUUUUCGCAUACACACAACCAGUGUGCACAUUUUUUUAAAAAAAUAAUUCUAGAUAUGUGUGACAUUUAUUUUUACUUUAUCAACAAAUAUUUUGCAUUACCUAAUAAUUCAAAUGUUUCUUAAGAUGCGUUGCAAGUUUAUGAAAAUUUGCUAGACCCGUUUGAUAGGACAAAUGAAAGAGCUUGGAUUUUGCUCGGGAAAAUAACUUCGAAAUUGAAGACUUCACCAAUCAAAGAUAAUUAAUUUUGACGUUCAACACCAAAGAAUUAGAAUAAAAUGAAUUACUCGCUUGAGAAGAAUUCUCAUAUAUUAUCAACUAAAUUCUGAACUUUUACAAUUAAGAAUGCACAUCCUAUUUACGAACAGACUAAGACAUAAGAAUUUAAAAACAUUGAAUUAGGAAACAUUCAACUUUUAGAAACUCUAUCUUAUACCUUCUCCUCUUUGGUCCCAUCAAAUCAUGCUGUGGUCCAAAUUUCCAUUUGUCUGCGCAAAUAUCAAAUGGACCUACUUGAUUGCGGAGGUUUGAGAUGGGCUUGUGAGUAGGGGUGCACAAAGAAUUGAAACCACUGUUCCCAUGGGACUAGUCUAACUCCCGGUUCUAGUUGUGGAACUGCUCACCCAAACUGGAUUGGUACAUACAUAUAUAUGAUUUUUUUUUUAAAUAAAAAUUAUGCAAAGCAUCUAUAUGCUCUUGAGUUUGAUGUAUUUGGGCUUGGAGAUGACCAAAGUGAGUUCAAUUUUAGAUUUGGGGGCUCUUUUAGUGAGUUCAAUUCUAUGGGCUAGAUGGAAAACGGGAAACCUCUAGUGGGUGUUUUCCAUAAGUGGGCAAAUAACUUGAGUGCUAGAGGUAUCUUUGGUCCAACAUUUCUCAAACCUAAAAGGAGACAAGGAGGCAAGGAAUUAUUCACCAUAGGCAUUGAGGAGGAUUGAUUUGUGGUCCGAAGCAUUUUAGUAUGAUGGCCAAUGAUAGGAAGAGCAAAGAAAAUACUGAUUUCAGUGUAGAUGAAGUGUUGCGCCAAUCUAAUCACUUUCACAUACACUGUGUGAAUGCUCUUGUCUACUUUGAACUUCUUUCCACUGAUAAAAUUUUGCAACCAUGAAAAGAUUGAAAGAAGCAACAUUAUCAAUGUGGACUUCAAUCUCUAUUAAAAAACACUAAAAAUUGUGCGAAAAAAGAAAAAAAGAAAAAAGAAGAGUGGCUUUCUAACAUAAGCAAAACUUUUCAAGUCAUACAUAUAUAACGGCCAGUUGUAAAUCUACAGACAAGAUGUUAGUAGCUAAAACCUACUUGCUUUGUAGCUUCUUCAACGCUCUUCGAAAAUCCCUUUACAGAUCCCGAAUUGAUCGAUCUAAAGACCUAUGCCAACAUAAAAUAGAAGUGAAAGACGAUAGUUAAACUUCAUUUUCCUUACGAUUGAAGUCCCUUGAAAAUGCCAAUAAAUUUUAUGUAAAUUCUCCCGGCCUAUACAUGCCAGUUUUCUGGGUCAUGUUCGUCCCUAACUUGUACUUUUUUGUCGCCAUCGAGGCUUGUCGAGGGACAAAGUAUCCACGAAAUCUUGUCAAGCCUUAAGAGAGCAUUCUCAUGCCACGCCUGACGUUUUUCAACUUAAACUUGCGCCACUUCACCGCUUUUCUCCAUCUCUAUUCGAAAUUCUUCCAUAUGUCAAAUGCAGCUUGUCCCCCAACUUUUGCAAUGUAGAUCAUGCCAUGGUCGCCUUGGGACAUUGAUAGUAGACUACAGUCAUCACAGAAUAAAGUGAUGAUCACAUGAUCAGAAAAUAACAUGUACAUGUAAUUACAAUGCUGAAGCGACAUUAAUUUAAUUAUUGUGAAUGUGAGGUUGUGAAUGUCAUUCUUAAAGACAACGUCAAGAUCACUAAAGAGUCUAUGCUUGGGAGUGUCGUAUUGGCCAUCACAUAGAUCUAGCCCACCAAUGAAAGUUAUUAUUUUACAGCUGUUUCCUAGGCUUGAGUGUUGAGAACCACGCACUUUUGGUGGUGCGUGUAUGGGUCCCCACCACUUGGGCUACAAAAGAUCCAUACACCAACAAAUUAAACAAGGAAAGAACACCCCAAGUGCCAAAACUUGGCACGGAGAAACAUUUAAGUGCCAAAAGUUUGGAAAGUGACACUUAAGUGCCAAUAUCGGAAAAAAAAUGGAUCACUUAAGUGCUACUCCGGCCAAAAUGCCGACGUGGCAAUUUUCCGAUGAAGCAAGCGCAAAACGGCGUCAUUUUGCGCGUUCACAUGGCUAAAACGAUGUCGUCUUGUGCUGACGUGGUAAAAAAAUUGAUAUAAAAAUUAAUUAAAUUUAUUUAAAGAUUUUAAACAUAAAAUUAAAAUUAAAAAAAUUUAAAAAGAAAAGGGGGGGUUGGGCAAGCGGCUGAGGGCUGAGCCCUCGCCGCCGCCACCUCCCUGCCACUGCCGGAAGUGGCGGCGGAGGGGGGAGGGUCGGCCGGGAUCGCCGGGCCUUGGCCAAGGGACGGCAACCCCGGCUGACCGGCGGCGAGGGCUCGCAACCCUUGCCGGAUCUGGGCGAGGGCCGCAACCCUCAGCUAGGCCAAGUGGCUAGCGGCCCUUAGCCCAGCCAGGCGAGGGCCGUCGACCCCUACCAGAGCUGGUCGAGGGCCCAUCGCCGCCGGCCCUUUCGGCGGCAGCGGCAGCGAGAGCUCAGCCCUCAGCCACCUGCACCCACCCCCCCUUUUUUUAAAUUUUAAAAUUUUUGAAAUUUUGAAAUUUUUAUUUUAUUUUUAAAUAUUUUAAAUUAAUUUAAUUUUGAAUUUUAUUUUAUUAAUUUUUUUACCACGUCAACGCAAAACGGCAUCGUUUUAGCCAUGUCUGCGUGCAAAAUGACGCCGUUUUGUGCUUGCUUCGUCGGAAAAUUGCCAUGUCGGCAUUUUGGCCGAAUUUUAGCUGAAGUGGCACUUAAGUGAUCCAUUUUUCUCCGAUAUUGACACUUAAGUGUCACUAUCUAAACUUUUGGCACUUAAGUGUCCCUCCGUGCGAAAUUUUGACACUUGGGGUGUUCUUUCGUCCAAAUUAAAUCAAACACGAUAUCAUAUAGGACAGCAUGAGAUAGGUCAAUAAACUUCCGUAGAUUGUCUGAUGAAAGCAAAAUCUUUCCUAUGAAAUUAAACCCGAUUGGAAUAAUCAGGUAAUAUAUAGUAAAAGCAAUGCUUUUGGUGCAAUCCGAUGAUGAGAUUUUGAUUAAGAAUUGACCUGAACAUCUACGAAUACAUACAUAUUGCUUGAAGAUGCUAAGUUUGGUGCUUGCAUAUCGAGGAGCAAGCACACAGCAGACAUCAGAAUGUUGGAAAAACUUCUUCGUCUCUUUGUCAUGAGUUUGCAUCACGCCAUCUUGUGCGACAAUGUGGCACAUGCCGAGUCUUAAUUAAGAGAGAUCUCAAUAAAGAACUAUCUUUUCCUAAGGCAAUAAACGUACAGAAAAUCUAUCACAAAGGGCAUGGAUUUGAAGUUUGGCCAAAUGGUGGGUUACACUAUAAAUGAGGAUACUUAUUCAAGAAAGAGCCAUUAUGUAACAUAUUCUCCAAUUGCAUUUUGUUAAGGUAAGCCAAAAGGAAGAACCAUUAGAGGUCAAGCUUUUUUGUGUCGAAAACCAAAAAACUUCUUCUUUUGUAAACAUUCAUUAAGCCAACAGUAAAAGUGAGAAAAUCCUUCACUAGCUGUGCACCAUUGAGUAAAGGGUGCUCCUUAGGUGCAAUGCCGUUAGAAUAAAAAAUGUGUUGUGGUGAUGGGCUGAUGGGUCUGGGCCGGGGAUAAAACCAAUGGGUUGCUCUUGUGGGCCGCAUCAGUUGGACCAAAUUGUCCUUUUCUACUUGUUAUUUAUUUAUAUUCUUAUUAUUCUUAUUCUUUUGUUCUUUUUACUACCAUUCAUCGUUUUGAUGUUUUUUUUUUAAUUACAAUAAUGCGUGCUUAAUUUGUCAACGAAAUUUCAGGUGUUGAUAGUUACGAAUAUAUUUACCUUAAUAUAUGAAAAAAAAAAUAUCACGCUAUCCAAACAAACCAUAAGACGUUGCGUCAAAUCUUUGAUUGCCAAAGGCCAUAUUUGUUUCUUGAUCGAUGGGAGGGCUAAAAAAUAUGGCACAAUCCAGUUGAAUAGAACAUGUAUGCGUUGAUGAAAUAUCGACCCAUUUAAAAUAACUUGAUUUAUGACCCAUAUUCAUAUUAAGCCCAGAUCCUAUCUCGCCCAUUUGUUGGGUCAAAGUCCCAAAAAUCACUGUGAAGGCUUAAAGAAAGAGCAGUACAAGCGAAGAGAGAGAAUGAAAGAAAAAGAGAGAUGACAAAGAUUCUUUAGUGAAAGAUGAUUCCUUCAUCUUUUUGCUUUCCCCGUUUAGAGGAUUCUUUUUUACUUUACUUAAAAGGUUCCGAAUUAAAGAAAUGAGGAAAGGAUUGAGAAUUCAAAUCCUUUUUAAAAAUAUAUGACCACUAGCUUACUUACGAGGUUACCCUUAAGUAAGUUGUCAUUAUUAUUAGGAUUUUGUCAAUUUCUAAACAAAUUAGUAUAUCAUCACCUCUUCUGAAAUUUCACAAGCGUCUUUUUUAUAUAUCAAUAAUAUAAUAAAGUUAUAUAUAUAUAUAUAUAUAUAUAUAUAUAUCACUAAUACAGUGAUAGACCAAUUUCUUUGAAAUUUUACAACUUUUUUUUGGUAAAAUACCAACUCAAUAAAGAAUCUACCAACCUCACAAUAAAUCAGUGAAUUAUCAAGUUUUUUCAAGUUGCUAAUUAUUAAACUAACAAGAUGAGAUAAGAAAAAAAAAAGGAACAAAUAAAGAUGAGAUAACAUAGGAUAAAGACACGAAAAAGAGUCCAGGAAAAGCAAAUAUGUGGUGGGCCCACACAGUGGUGUAAGGAAAGACGAAACAGUUUUACGAGGAAUAAUUUUUCUGGGCCCCACAGGAACAGUUUUCUCUACCACUCUUUCCACUUCCCUCAACUUAUUGUAGCUCAAGGUAGGGAUGUACAUGGUCUGAGUGGGCGGUUCCCAGCCUAGAAUUGGGAACCGCCCGCUAAGAACUGGUUCCAAAAAGAACCGGGAAUCACCCGUUAAUUGCAUGGAUCCACCCGAGAACCGAACCGAUGGUCUGGUCCCCGGGUGGAUCCAUAGAACCGGUCUCACCAAUAAUAAUACCGUUUUCUAAAUCCCGCUAUAAGUACUCUUCAUAUCGAGUAAUAUUUUUCUUUAAAUCAAACCGGCUUAAUUAAUGGUACCAUUUUUCUUUAUUUUAUUGGAAAACACUACCAAAGAAGAUAAAUAGGUUUUUUUUCUUGUUUUUGAAUCAUUUCAAUUGAAAUCUAAAAUAUUUUUUAAGUUCAAGGUUAUGGAUGAUUGUCAUAUGUAGAUCGUCUUUUCAUUUAUCCCAUAACAGUGCUCAAUCUCUUACGACCUUUGCUUUACCAAAUUCUUUCUGUAGAAACAAUUCCACCGGUAGUCUACAUUUUUUUGAACAUGGUGUCCUAUGUGAGUCCCGGAAGUAUCCUUUGAAAGAGCUAUUUGUUGAGUUGUUGAAAGGUAGUUUACACACUUUACUAAAUUCUUAUAAGAACAUGGAAACCGUGAGAGGAGAUGAAGCCCUAAAAUUUAGGUUUGCUAAUUAGUAAUUUUGAAAUUUAUUUUAAUAUUAAAAAUCAGUCCGGUCCGAGUGGGCGGAUUCACCCAUGGAACCGGAAACCGGACCGAUACCCACCGGUUCACAUAAAUUGAAACCAGGAACCGAACCGGUUCCCUUAAGAACCAUCGAUUCUCAGCAGUUCCAGUCUGGUUCUGGGCGGUUUGGGCGAGUCCUGGUUUUUUUGCACACCCCUAGCUAGGAGUGUGUAUAAUCCGAGUGAAUCGAUUUCAAAAAAUUAGAAUUGGAAAUUGCAUAAUAGUUGCAUGGAUCCAUCUGGAAAUCGAAUCGUUGGUCUGGUCUGAUUCUCAAGUGGAUCCAUAGAAUGGUCCCACUAAAAGCUAUUUAAUAGUUAAAAAAAAUGUUUACCAGAAACAUGAAAUUGUUUUAUAUAAUAACCAACUAAAAGCCUAAAAACAAUCUCUUGAGCUCCACAAAAUUGUCUCAAUCUUUGAAUAGUGAUUACUUUGCCGAUAAUUGCUACAUGCCAUCACCUGUUCAUGUUCUCGUUUCCUCCUUUUUUUUCUUUGAACCUGCUUAUGUCGAUCGACAUCAUCACAUUUCACAUUUGCUAAUUUGUCUCAGUCCUCUCUCUUUAGCAAGGCUUGUCCCUGCAUGGUUUUUACCAUCUCCUUCAUUGUCCUCUCCUCACCCUCAAGCUGCAUUUUCAUGAUGGCCUCAGCCUACUUGUCAAUUGGCUUGAAGUACUCUUCAAUGGCAAACUCCUGCAUAGGUUAGCGGAGAGUUCAAAUUGAGAGAGACGAGAUGGAGAUUGGAGCCAUGAAUUUUAGAUUUGCUAAUUUCGAAAUGUUUUUAAUAUUAAAAAUUAAUAUAUUAUUAUAAUAUAAUUGGUCCAGUCUGGUUGGACGAGUGGGCGGAUCUGCCCAUGGAAUCGGAAACCAGACCAGUAUCAACUGGUUACCGUAAAUUGGAAUCGGGAACCGGACUAGUUACCUUAAGAGCCACCGGUUCCGAGCGAUUCCGGUCCGAUUCUAGGUGGUCCAGGCCGGUUCUUUUACACACCCCUAAUUCUAGCCCUACAAGGCAAGCAUUAUUUCCUUGUUUCUUUAUUUCCUCUCCUUUUAAUCCGAGUCCUAAAACCCGCUUUACUCUAUGAAAUGACUCAAUUCAAUUCUAUGGUCAUGCCAUUAGAAAAUGGGGGACAAUCACCUAUUGAAGAGAACCGGAUAUGUGUCAAUAAAAUAUUGGCCCUUUAAAAAUGAUUUGAUUUAUGACCUGGAUUCAUAUUAAACCCAGAUUUAAUCUUACCCAUUCGGUGAGUCGAAGUUCCAAAUAUCUCAAUGGAAGAUUAGGCGUAGAGUAGUACAAGAUGGGGGAGAGAGAGAGAUGGAAGGUGAAGGAUGAUUCUUUAGUAUUUUUCUGUUCUAUUUUGGAUAUUCUUUUUCACUUUUUCAAAGUUGUCCAAAGUGAAGAAAUGAUGAGAUGUUUGAGGAUUACAAUCCUAUAUGUAAAAAGAUCGAGAAAAUUGUCCAAAAAGUCCUAAACUUAGUAUACUUUUGCGAAGUUGAUUCUAAGCCUUUUUAAUUUUACCAAUAAAGUCCUAAACUUUUGACAAUUUGCCAAUUGAGUCUAUCCAGGCUGUCGGAAAUUGCUGACAUAAGCAUCGGGCAUCCUGCUUGGCACGCUAUCGUUGAAGUGGACAUUUUUAAUGACAUUUUUGAACUUUUCUGGUUUUUUUCUUCUUCUUUUUUUUUUUUUUUUCAUUUCUUUACUUUCUGUUUUGCCUAUCCCAGAUCUAACAAGAGUGUCACGACCCUCACUAGAUCUGGGCGAGGGCUCAUGCGCUCUCGCUUAGUGUUGCGACCCUAGCCCAAGCCUUCAACAGCCAUGACAAGGGCCAUUAUAGCCGUUGAGGAUUGCAAUGUCCUCACCCCAAAAUAGCGAGGAUCGCCAUCUGUCACUGUAAAAACCAAAAAAAAGUGUAAAAGGAAGAUAGUCCAGGCCAUCCAAGCACUCAUUCCUCAGGGUCAAUUCGAGAGGGUCUACUACGAGAGUGCUUCGCCAGGGCAUGUCGCUAGCCCUCCUGAGGUGAAUUCCUCUACCAGUGAUCGGGGUGACACUAUCACCGAUUCACGAGCUUCCUUCUUUGAGGGCACAAUGAAUGCUCUGGAUGAUGAGAAGCUCAAAGUGAUUGGGAUCUACGGGCCCAGUGGCGUGGGGAAGACGACGCUCUUGGAGGAAAUCUAGAAUAAACUCAGGAACGAGAAGAGACUGUUCCACCCGAUUGCCACAACGACUGUAUCGCAGACUCAAGACUUGAAGAAAAUCCAAGAUGACAUUGCUUACGCCUUGAGUCUGGAUCUGAAGAACGAGCCAAGCAAAGUCAGAAGAAGAGAUCUUCUGUUUCGGAAAUUACAGAGCGAUCCGACAAAGAAGGUUAUCAUAAUAUUGGAUGAUCUGUGGGGGCCACUUGAUUUGAAGGCGGUUGGAAUUCCUGCGGGAGACAAGAGCAGGGGAUGCAAGUUGCUGUUAGCAUCAAGAUUUAAAGAUGUGUUGGAGCAAAAGAUGCAUGUGGAUAAAACAUUUCGUCUUGAAGGUUUAAACAACGACGAAGCUUUCAGGCUAUUUGAAAAGAUAGUCGGCGACAAGCUCAAAGACAAGCAAUUGAAAGCAAUAGCAGCUCAAGUGGUCGAGAAGCUCCUAGGUUUGCCUCUUUUGAUUAUCUCCAUCGCAAGCACUUUCAAAUACAGCCUGUUAAGGAAUAUAAAUCAAAAACACCAACUGUACCAACUAUCUAUGCUGCUGAUAUUGAUAAUAGAGAAAAGAGGGUGAAGACAGAUAUUAAAAGAGAAAGAACAGAGGCUGAUAUUAGAGAGAAGGAAGAGCUGCAAAGCAACAAAGUGAGUAACACAGACUGGAGAAGACACAACAACUCAAAUAAACGAUCGCGAUGAAGGUUGAUAUGGAUCGUCAUCAACGGUGAAGAGUUUGUGAUGAAGACUGACACGGAUUGCCAACUCAUGAAGACACGUGAGCAGUUAUUCAGUUGAGGAUUGAAACAGAUUGAGAAACAGUCUUGUUAAAAUCAGUUUUUCUGUUGUAUCUUCAUCUUCUUCGAUAGGAAAAGAUAUAAAGAAGUCUUAGCAGGAUCAUCUUUGUUGUUGUUGAGGAAAACAGAUAGAGAAUUCCUAUAAAUGAAUGCUCUGUAUUUUACAGUAGAGAGAGAGAGAGAGAGAGAGAGUGUGAGAAAUUUAGAAGUGUAAAUCUUCUUUGUUCAUUGAUGAUCCGAGAUAUACAGACUUUGUAUUACAAUCUCGUUGAAACAGAAGAAUUCAAAGCUUCUUGAUUGAUCUUCAGUUCUUCAACAUAUCUCUUCAUCUUCACAUUCUCUAGUUCUUCAAUUCUAUUUCUUCAUCUUCACUUGGUAUCAGAGCAGAAGAUCAUACCUAUUAGAAAGGCUUAUUCAGCAAUCAUUCAUUGAAUCAAAGUGAAGAAACUGAAGUUGCAGCAGAUCGCAGUGUCACGGUAAUUGAGGUUACUAUCAUAAUAUCAUUGCUGUUAUCAUCUUCUUCAAAGCUGAGAGAAUAGAAUAAUGGCAGCAAGAACACAGAAGUAUCAUUUCCCAAUACAUGUGAAUAUCUCUAAUUUUGUCACAAUCAAACUUACCGAAGAUAACUUUCUGUUAUGGCAAGCACAGAUCCACAGAUUUGUGAGAAGCCAAGAACUCUUUGGCUUCAUUAAUGGUGAAUUUCCAUCACCUCCUCGAAUGCUGCAGAUUGAAAUAGAAGGGUGUGAAACUGAAGUUGUAAACCCAGAUUACACUGAUUGGACAAAGACUGAUCAGCUGAUAUCAUCGUGGAUAAGCGGAGCUGUCUCUGAAAACAUUCUGAGCCUAAUCAUUGGCUUAGAAACAUCUUAUGAGGUAUGGAAAACCUUGCUCAAUAGAUUUACACAAAAGUCUGUGGCUAGGGAAUUUGAGUUGAGAGGAAAGCUGCAAGCAUGUCAUAAACGAGAUCGAUCUCUGGCUGUGUAUCUUAGAGAAUAUAAAUCGAUCUGUGGUCAACUCAAUGCUAUAGGGAAGCCUAUAGAUGAAAUAACAACGAUGUUUGGAGUUUUGGAGGGUUUAGGAUCUGAGUAUGAAAAUUUUAAAACCACCAUCUAUUGUUUAAAACCUCAACCAGACUAUGAUGAGGUGAUAUCUCAGCUAGAAAGGUUUGAAGUGAGGUUACAAAGGUACUCAUUGAGUUCAUACAAUCCCAAUCUAGCAUAUUAUAGUCAAAGAAGAACAGAAGUUCAACAAAGGGAAGAACUUGACAAAGAACCUAUGCAGCACAAUUGUCACGCCCCGAUCCUCCGAGCGCGCGAACGUCCCACUCUGGUCGAUACAAAUGCGACUUCCCAGGACACGUCGCCGACCCAUUCAAUUUUUAUUAUGCAUGCGGAAGCGAAACAAAUCCCCUGACAACAUUUAACUUGGGAUAGAAAAGCAGGCAAUCAAUCACAACCAAACAAGCUUUCUAUAAACACAUAGGUUUAUAUACAACAUUGGAUUGACUACAAAAUAGAUAGGCUCAACAACUAGGGAACUGUCCUAUGACCAACUUGUCAGACACGUUCGCCGAUUCUUCAGCCUCCACCUUCCGAACUCCAGGACUUCCGGUCCUCCACGACCGUCAUCUAGGGACCUGAAAUAUUAUCCCACAACCGGGAUGAGACUACGUCUCAACGAGUCCUACCCUCUAAAACUCAAUUAGGGAGAAAAUACGCCUCAGGGCGCUCUAGCCACACAAAUAGAAUAGAGGACUUACCUCACCUCAGUCCCUUUCCUGCACGUUAGUACAAUUCAUAUUCAAACAAUGCUCGCACAAGCUGAAACUACCGACAUACCCAUCGGUCUAUCAAUUCAGUCAAUCCAAUUGAUAUCAUACAAUCCACACAUCUAUCAAUUCAUAUCAUCUAUUAAACCAUACCAUCUAUUCAUCCAUCAAUACAAUUACGGCUCGCACAAGCUGAAAUGGAUGCAAUGCUCUCACAAGCUGAUAUAGAUGGUAGCUCGCACAAGUUGAUAUAUGCAUAGAUGAUAGCUCGCACAAGCUGAUAUAUGGAUCAUUGCUCUCACAAGCUGAUAAACGAUCAUUGCUCUCAUAAGCUGAUAAAUGAUCAUUGCUCUCACAAGCUGACAUACAGUGCUCACACAAGCUGACAAUGAUGCUCACACAAGCUUAUACAUAUAUAAACCAAUUGCUCGCCAAAGCUGAUAAUUCAAUAAUAAACCAACUCAUAUCUCAAUUCAAUCAAUCAAUCAAUCCAAUCGAUUCAAACUGGUCAUACAAAUCAAUUAUGGUGCUAAAAGCCAACACCGGGUAUUUUCAAGUUAAAUAUCACAACUUCAUCAAUAUCACUCAAUUCCACAUUUUUGGAAUAAUUAACCAUAAUCAUCAAUCACUCAAUUUCUCAAUUUAAACAUACAAUUAACACAAACCGACCACACUGCUGCGAUCAACGCGAAAUUCUAACGACCGGCCAUCCCGGCAUAAUUUUCGAAAUUAUUAAAUAAUUAAAUUUAAUUCCGAAAAUUAAAUAAUUAAAUAUUAUAUUAUAAUAAUAUAAUUUAAUAAAAUAAUAUUUAUAAAUUCGAAAUAAUUAAUUAAUUGAAAAUAAUUAAUUAGGGCUUAAACAAGAUUACACUAAUUUAAUCAUACAAUUAGCCCUAAUUAAACACCCAUUAAACUAAUCAUACAACUAAUCUAAUUUACAUUAAAAUAAUCUAAUUUAAUCACAUAAACCUAAUUAGACUAAUCUAAACACCCCUUAAGCAUCAUUAACUCACUAAGCAAGAAUUAGAGGAUAAACUCACCCGAUUAACGAGCCGAACGGCUCAAAACGACGAGGACGAUGCGAGGGUCGAUAGUCUCCAAGGCGGGCCUAGCUUCCGGGGUCGGGAAGCCGACCAAAACGGGCCAAAUAGCCGCUACCAUACCCAUUUUCCAACUCUCUGUUCGCUGCUGGUUGAGGCCGGGAAAUGGCGGAUCCGGGGCUGGUUGGGGUCGGGAAUGGGCGGAGGAGCUGAACCGGACCUAGGCGGGGCUUCACGGUGGCCGGAGGGAGCUCCGGCGGUGGCUCACGGUGCUGGACAGCAGCUCUGGACGCACACCAGACAAGAACGACGGCUGGAAUGGCGGGCUUGGCGUGCGUGGACGGCGGGUGUCGCGAGUGGCGGACGGCGGGCAAGCGGGGCGCGACGGCGGCGGUCCAGCAGCUAGCUGGCUGCUCUGUCGUCUUCCCAGAUCUACUGGGUUUCGAACCACACAAGGAAGAAGGAGAAGAAGCCGACACCAGCAGAAGGGGGAGAGAGGGGCGGAGCUACGUGCGGAGCAGCGGCGAGCAGCGACGGCGAUCGGCGACGGGCGGAGCUGCUCUGGUUCACUGGUCUUCAGCUUCUUCAGCUUGCUGCGUUUCUUCGAGCAACAAGAAGAAGAUGGAGGGGAAAGGCAACGGGAGAGAGGGAGGGAGGAGAGAGAAGGAGAGAGAGAGAGAGAUGGGACCCCUUUCUUUCAUUUUCUUUUCUUUUUUCUUUAAUCCCUCACACAUGGCCCACCAUGACCUAGGAUGACCUCACAAUCCACUCACCCAAUCCUCCACAACCUCUUCCAAUGGUUGCAAUUUCAUUUUCCGCCGGGGUCCAAUUCUUGUACACUUAAUUUAAUCAAUUCUCAAUCAAUUCCAUUCAAUUGAAGCUCAAUUAAAUUAACCCAUGUGUCCUCGGCCUUCUCAUGACAUUUCCCCAUCAAAUGAUCCAACUUGCAUCCUGAAGAUUCGAUUAAAAAAUGGCCCUCUAACAAUCCCGAACAUAAACGGCCUUACUUUGCUUUUCUGCCAAAAAUCUCGGUUUGUAGAAAAAUCUUCUGGAGAUGAGUCGACAUUCCUAAAAUGAAUUGUGACUUGACAGAACUUCCAAUUUCUGUAAUCGGGUUCAAUUUCACGGUUAAAUUCAAUCUGGCGCAACUUUAGCACGUCCUAAUCUACCGGGUAGCUUUUAGGAAUUUUCUGUGCAAUUGACCUGUGGUUGAUUAUUUUCAAGCCACAAAGUGCAUCUUCGAUACAUUGGCGACUCUUGAUUGUCGUAGAAAUCUCGAGGUUUCAAAUACGGACACAGGGUACCAAAAUGACAGAGAAAUCGGUCUAGUGCCGAUCAAUAAGAAUUGUGCAAUUAGGUGGAAUCACCCACACUGAAUUACAUGGUUAUGUUGAAUCGACCUAUCUCCGGUCUCUAAUCGGUCUGUGCCGUAAUGACCCUUGCAGAUUAGAACGGUCGAGCAGUCGUUUCCUGGUCGAAUUAUUAAGUCUAUUGCGUUUAGAUUCCUUAACGGCUUCACCUGAUAGACUAGUUAUCUCGUGAGUGGCCAACUCAGAGAAGAAAGCUAUAAACGCGAAGAUGAAAUGCCCGACUUAUUUAAUUGAAACCAGAAUUGGAAAAUCGGGAUGUCACAACAAUUCUGGUUUUGGAACUUUAAGGGAGAACAGUCGUGGAGGCCGUAGGUAUGGAAGAGGAAGAUUUCUUAAUAACAGAGGUCGAGGCUUUAGAUAUCCUGGAAGAGAUUCAAGUUACAGACCAAAUAACAUCAAUUACAUACAAGAGGGUUACAAAGUUAAGCAAUUCCACAACCCCUCUAGUUCUAUUUCUAAUCCAGGAUUUCGCCCUUAUGCUGGUUCCUCACAGAGAUAUCAAGAAACAAGAUCCUAUCCCACUUCAAAUCUAACCUUUUCUAAGGAUUUGCAGGAUGAGAAAUCAGCUGACAACAUGAGAUUAGAGUGUCAAAUUUGAAAGAGACCAGGACAUGAUGCUUUACAUUGCUGGUAUCAUUUUGAUAAUUCCUAUCAAGCUGAGGAAAUUCCAACAGCUCUAGCAGCAAUACAUCUCGAAGACUCCAAAGGAAGUGAGUGGUAUCCAGACACUGGUGCAACUGCACAUAUCACAGCCAAUCCUGGUAUACUUCAUAAUCCUUCUAGAUAUACUGAUUAUGACACUAUUAUGAUUGGUGAUGGAUCAUGUUUGCCUAUCACCUAUACUGGUAAUACAUUACUACAUACUGAAAUAAAUUCAUUUCCUCCAAAUGAUGUGCUAAUUGUCCCUGAUAUAAAGAAGAAUCUUCUGUCAGUAUCCAAAUUAACAGAUGACUAUCCAUACUCAUUUGUUUUUGAUAAAUUUGGUGUCUAUGUAAAGGACAAUUGCACCAACACAACUCUGCUGCUCGGGAGGAAAAUUAAAGGGCUGUAUCGAGUAAAUUCACAAACAACAAAAGCAUUUCUAACUCAGAGACACAGAGUAGUAGGAGAGGAUACAUGGCAUCAACAAUUAGCACACACCAAUUUGAAUAUCUUGAAGUACCUGUAGAACCAACAACUAAUUCAGUGUAAUACUAGAAUGUAGAACAUGUGUAGUAGUUGUCAAAUUGCUAAGACCACAGCUUUGUCAUUUCCAUUAUCAGAAUCUGUAGCUACUAUGCCCUUAUAUAAAGUCCAUUGUGAUAUCUGGGGCCCUUCACCUGUUACUUCAUUUCAGAAUUUCAAAUACUAUGUUCUUUUUGUAGACAAUUUCUCUCGGUUUAGCUGGAUCUAUCCACUGAAGUUGAAGUCAAACUUAUAUAACGUCUUUGUUCUAUUUCAAAAGCAAGUAGAGAAUCAAUUUGAGUUGAAAAUCAAGAUAUUUCAGUGUGAUGGUGGAGGAGAAUUCAUUAGCCACAGGUUUCAGACUCAUUUGCAGAACUGUGGUAUCAAACAGCACAUCUCUUGUCUUUACACACCUGAACAAAAUGGCAUUUCUGAGAGGAAGCAUCGUCACAUUGUUGAACUAGGUCUUGCCAUGCUUUGUCAUGGCAGAGUUCCACUGAAAUAUUGGGUAGAUGCAUUCAUAACAGCUAACUAUGUUAUCAAUAUACUUCCAACACCAAAAUUGCAGAUGCAGUCACCUCACAGAAGAUUAUACCAAUAAGAACCAAGUUAUGAUCAUCUCAAGGUGUUUGGAUGUGCAUGUUAUCCAUGUUUACAACCCUAUGCCCAACACAAGUUUGAUCCAAGAUCACUCACAUGUGUGUUCAUUGGAUACAGUGAACGUCAUAAAGGUUACAGAUGUCUUGUGCCUACAACAGGUCGUGUGUAUAUUAGUCGACAUGUCCUAUUUGAUGAAAACUCUUUCCCUUUUACUAAAACAAGUCUAACAGAGUAUGCACCACUCACAACACUUUAUUGAUUAUGGGCUGAAGAAACUCAACUUAUGGAAUCAAUAAGCAAGGAAACAGCUCCUGUCUUUUUACAGAUAUAUGCAGAACAUUUGCAGACUAAUGGAGAUAUCACUACAAAUAAUUCUCAACCUUCACAGCAAGUUACAAUACCAUAUACUGAUCAUUCAUCAUUUCUGCCAAAUGUAACACAAGAACAUGGUACCUCUAUAAUAACAACACAAGAUGAAAUCUCUUCACCAGUACAGAACCAAGAGAUGCCUUCUACUGAAACAGCAACAUCCAAUGAUAUAAGUGUUGGAUCUGAACAUGUCAUUCCUCCUUAUGUCUCACAAGGAACAACUUCAAGUCAUUCUAUGCAGACUCGAUCAAAGUCUGGCAUUAUAAAACCUAAUCCCAGGUAUGCAUGUCUUGCUGUAUAUGAAGUACCCACUGAACCAAGAUCAAUUAAAUCAGCUUUAGCACAUAAAGGCUGGUAUAAAGCCAUGACAGAAGAAAUGGAUGCACUGUAUCAGAAUAAAACUUGGGAGUUAACUCCUAGAACUAAUCAAAUGAAUGUGAUUGGCUGCAAGUGGGUAUUUAAAACAAAACUUGCAUCUGAUGGUAGUCUUCAUAGACUAAAAGCUUGACUAGUUACUAAAGGUUUUCAUCAAGAAGAAGGCAUUGACUUUACAGAGACUUUUAGUCCUAUUGUCAAGCAUGCUACAAUUCGAAUAGUUCUCUCUGUAGCAACGAUGAAACACUAGCCAAUUCAUCAACUCGAUGUUAAAAAUGCAUUUUUACAUGGUACCCUAAAUGAGACAGUUUACAUGGAGCAGCCUCCUGGCUUUCAAGAUCCCAAGAAACAUCAUCAUGUAUGUCUCCUCAAGAAGUCUCUCUAUGGACUUCGACAAGCUCCCCGAGCCUAGUUUGACAAGUUCAGCAAUUUUCUACUUGAAUAUGGGUUCUUUUGCAGCUCAACUGACCCAUCCUUAUUCGUAUUUCACAUUGGUACAGACACAAUUCUUCUACUACUAUAUGUCAAUGACAUUGUCUUAACUGGAAGUUCCUCUCAGUUGCUUUCUAAUCUCAUCCAUUCUCUAAGUCUCCAGUUUCAUAUGAAAGACCUUGGCCCACUACACUACUUUCUUGGCAUUGAAGUUAAACAUACUUCUAAUCAUCUGUUUCUUUGCCAAACUAAAUAUGCUAUUGAUCUUCUUACUCGAGCUCAUAUGCUUGAGUGUAAACCAAUUUCAACCCCUCUGUCACUAAGACCAAUCAUUUUGACAAAUGAUUCUAUUCCUCUAUCCAAUCCUAUUGAGUAUCGAAACUUAGUUGGUGGUUUUCAAUACCUGACAUUAACAUGUCCUGACAUUGCCUAUGCUACGAAUUUACUGUGUCAAAAAAUACAAAAACCUACUGUUGCAGAUCUUCAUAAACUCAAGAGGGUUUUGCGAUAUGUUAAAGGCACCAUAAGUCUUGGAAUUUUCAUUCAUUCUCAAAGCUCUCUACAUCUGUAUGGUUUUUCAGAUGCAGACUAGGCUGGAUGUGCUGAAACAAAAAGAUCAACAACUGGUUUCUGUACAUACCUUGGCUCUAAUCUCAUCUCUUGGGCAGCAAAGAAGCAAUCCACAGAUAGUCGCUCCUCUACAGAAGCUGAGUACCGUGCUCUUGCUUCCACUUCUGCUGAACUUACUUGGAUCAGCUUUGUCCUUCUUGACAUAGGAUGCUCUCUACCUCGUCCAACUCAUCUCUUUUGUGACAAUAAAUCAGCCAUUGCUCUUACUGCCAACCCUGUUUUACAUGCUCGCACUAAACAUAUUGAAGUGGACUUCCACUUUGUUCCGGAAAAGGUCUCCUCAAGGUCACUCCAUGUGGGAUAUGUUCCAAGCAACUGUCAACUUGCUGAUAUUUUCACAAAAUCUCUGCCUCGCCUUACACAUUUUCAACUACGAAUCAAAUUGGGCAUUGGUUUUCCACCCAUUCCCAAUUUGAGGGGGGAUGUUAAGGAGUAUAAAUCAAAAACACCAACUGUACCAACUAUCUAUGCUGCUGAUAUUGAUAAUAGAGAAAAGAGGGUGAAGACUGAUAUUAAAAGAGAAAGAAUAGAGGCUGAUAUUAGAGAGAAGGAAGAGCUGCAAAGCAACAAAGUGAGUAACACAGACUGGAGAAGACACGACAACUCAAAUUAACGAUCGCGAUGAAGGUUGAUAUGGAUCGUCAUCAACGGUGAAGAGUUUGUGAUGAAGACUGACACGGAUUGCCAACUCAUGAAGACACGUGAGCAGUUAUUCAGUUGAGGAUUGAAACAGAUUGAGAAACAGUCUUGUUAAAAUCAGUUUUUCUGUUGUAUCUUCAUCUUCUUCGAUAGGAAAAGAUAUAAAGAAGUCUUAGCAGGAUCAUCUUUGUUGUUGUUGAGGAAAACAGAUAGAGAAUUCCUAUAAAUGAAUGCUCUGUAUUUUACAGUAGAGAGAGAGAGAGAGAGAGAGAGAGUGAGAAAUUUAGAAGUGUAAAUCUUCUUUGUUCAUUGAUGAUCCGAGAUAUACAGACUUUGUAUUACAAUCUCAUUGAAACAGAAGAAUUCAAAGCUUCUUGAUUGAUCUUUAGUUCUUCAACAUAUCUCUUCAUCUUCACAUUCUCUAAUUCUUCAGUUCUGUUUCUUCAUCUUCACAAGCCGUGUGUCCGCAUGGAAAAACGCAUUGAUAAAAAUAGAUGAGCCAAAAAUAGAAACUAUAGUGAAGUUGAGUUAUGAUCAUUUGGAGAGUGAGGAAGCGAAGUCCUUAUUCUUGCUUUGUGGUCUUAUUAGCGGGACCAUUAAAGUUGAACUUCUACUGGGACUAGGCAUGGGGUUGGGCUUGUUUGAGAGAUUCAAUGACACGAUAGAAGAUUCAAGGGAUAGAUUGAAUACUAUGCUCGAUAGCCUCCGUUCUGUUUGUUUGUUGCAGGAUGAUGGUGAUGACAUGGAAAAUGUCACCAUACAUGAUCUUUAUAGUAAGGUGGUCGUCUCAACUCCAUUUAGAAGUCAGGAUUCCUUAAUGAUGAACAACUAUUAUGUUUCGUGGCCAAAAGAAAAGCUUGAGAAAUGUUGGGCAAUAUGCCUUGUUAAUGAUUACAGUGAUAGCCUUGCUGAAAAAAUGCGGUGUGUGUUUCCCGACUUGGAGAUAUUCAUGUUGUCUCAACUAGGGUUGUUCGAGGCACCUAUACACCGACAUGAUGUGAGAGAUUGCUAUGGACUAGAUUUCACAGGCAUGGAGCAGCUCCAAGUCCUAUAUCUUCGCUUCAUACAUAUCACCAAUUUACAUUCCUUGAUUGGCACCCUUAGGAACCUCCACUCAUUAUACUUACACUAUUGCAUUGUGGACGAUGUGGCAAUUCUUGGCAAGCUCAAAACAUUGCAGAUUCUCAGCUUGGCAGGAUCUCAAAUUUCUAAGCUACCUAAAGAAAUUGGGGAACGUAGGAAUCUGAGAUCGUUGAAUCUAUAUGAUUGUGACUCGCUUAUGAUAAUCGAGCCCGGUGCCCUAAAAGGCUUAGUCAACUUGGAAGAGUUAUAUAUGAGGGGAAGCUUUAGUCAAUGGAUAGUCGAUGAUGAAAUACCAACGGAAUCGGAUAAUGGUAGGCUUGCUGAGUUGAAGAGCUUGAGAAAGCUACCCUCUUUGGAAAUAUCGAUUCAUGAUCCCACCGUACUCUUAAAGGAUGAUGACCUGCCAUUUGGGACCUUGAUCAGAUUUUGGAUCAACAUAGGAAAUGCUUGCGGAAGGGGAUUUCGUGGUUUGAGAACCAUGAAACUCCAAUUGGAAGGAUGCGAUGGUAUUCUCUCAAAGGAAUGGGUUCAGAAAACUCUGUAGAAAACUCAACACUUAUAUUUGGACGGAUUGGGAGAGUUCAAGGAGAAUGCUCACGGGUUGUGCAUUCGAGGAUUUACGCAACUGAAGCAUCUCAACAUUCAGAACAGCCCCUCAAUCAAGUACAUCGUCAGUUCAUUAAAUGACCUUCUCAUUGCAUUUACGGAUUUAGAGUCUUUGUUCCUUGAAAAUUUUAUUAAUCUGGAGAAGAUAUGCAAUGGCCCUGUCACAACAAAUUGCUUCAGCAAAUUGAAAGUUAUGUGUAUCAAAAAGUGCCACCAAUUGAAAAAUUUGCGGUUCCUCUCAGAGAUGCAAAGACGUGUGCAUUUGGAAGAGAUCAAAAUAUGUGAAUGUGACUCAUUACAAGCCAUUAUCACAGGUGAUGCAGGAAAAGUAGAAGUUGAUGUUGAUGACAUGAUUGAGUUACCUAAUGUACGACGUCUAGAUUUGCGUAAGUUACCAAAAAUGACGAGUGUUUGCACUAAAGCUGAGGGUGCUCCAAUUCAGGUAACUUUUUCAUUUUCUGGGUAUAAAUUUCUUUAAUUCUUAAUCUUGCAAGCAAUACCUAGAUUAUACUAUUAUAGGGGGAUUUAGGAUAAGAUGAUAUUGGUGUUCACCGAGCCUCAGUGAAUAUUGCAUUAAUUUUGAUUAUUUGUACAUCUUGAAACACAUAAAAAAUCCUUUCAAAGAAAACACAAACCAUACAUUUUUAUUCACAUCCAACUGUAGCUAGGGGAAGCCUUUUUCUACGAAUUUUUUUUCAAUUUAUUUCAGUGUUAGAUAAUUGCACUAAUUAUUUGGGCUUUAGCAUGGGUUUGUACUAUGACUAAUUUAUUACUUAUUUAACUUUUUUAAUGAGAAGAAAAAACAUUAUACGGAAUGAAUCUUAAACGAAUGCAUGAAAUUCAACAAUUUCAAAAUGAAGAAAGUGAGAAUAAAUAAAUAGAAGGCAAACUAGUAGCCACGUAACAAAGAAAGUCCACAUAAUUCAUGUUUCACCUACAUGCAAGUUAGCAAUUGAUUCUAACACUCAUGCCAACCUCACCAUGUCCACAUCGUUAUGCUUCUGUCAUCCCUUCGUCUCAAUUAAGUUUUUGACAUUUUUAAGAGACAUCAAACUCAUUCAUAUAUUUAAGUUUCUUUUAUUUCGCUGAAAAUUCAUUGUUGCUGAAAAAUGUCUUCCCGGCAAUUCAUUUUUCUUGUUUUCUUGUAUUUGGUACUGCUGAAAACACAAUCUGAGAGUAACCCAAAUAAAUCAUAUUUACCUGUUCAUAAUGAAAAGCAAUAAGUUAAGAAAUAAUUUAUUAAAAAUUACGAAGGAAAAGAUAACAAUUACGAUGACAAUUGUUUUGAAGAUCAGUAGAUGAUUUCAAAAGAAAAGAGAAAAAAAUUAUGGUCAUAGCUUUGAAGAUCAGCCAAAUCAAAGCUAAUAACUAUGAUGACACGUGGGAGCAGCAUGGUAGUGGUGAGGAUAUCCUCCUGAAAAUCAUUUUGCUUUUUACAGAAGAGAAAUUCAUUUUCUUGCAUUUUAGCCUGAGAUUUCAAUCAUUUUCUCGUAUCCAAACACAAGAAAAUUCUAAAAGCAUUUUUCUAAAAAUAGAUUUACUUGUAACUUACCUUUAAUGAGUUUGAUUGUGGCGCUUCGUUAGGUUUCAUUGCCUUGCUUGGAAUCCCUAGUAAUGGUUGGACUCCUUGGCCUAGAAAAGAUACUCUAUAGUGAUCCCUCAAUAAAAUACAGUGGUCUGAAAUCGCUAAAGAUAGAAGAAUCUAAAUCCACAUUGAGUAUUCCCAAAGAUUGGACAUUGAAGCUGCCAAAUUUGGAGUCAAUGGAAAUUGCGGGCUCUCCAUCAGCAGAAGUAGUUUUCGACCUGGAGGAGCUGAAAGUCAGUGGAGAAGUCGAGAUUCUCUCUCGGCUAAGUACAUUGGCAUUAUCUAAGUUGCCAAACCUGCAGCGCACUUUGAAACAAGACGUACAAUUACAAGGAAUAUCGAUAUUUCGAAACUUGAAGGAGCUCUCUGUCUGUGAAACAAGGCUGUCAUUUCUCUUUCCUGUGUCUGUAGCUAAAUGUCUUCGAGAAAUUGAAGACAUUAAAGUGGAGGACUGUCCAAAUAUGAAGACGGUGAUUGUGGAUGAAGAAGGAAUAGAUGAUAUUAUAGAGCUACCACUACAGAAGCGACUUUCUAUAACGCGCUAUCCCACAGAGAAAUUCUUCUCAUAUCCUCAUCGAAAGAAAGAGUUAGUAACCACUACUUCAUAUCGCAAGAUGCUUAUUUCGAUUCCUUCUUUGAUCAAAAGGUACAAAUCCCUUCUCUUGAGAUUAUACCCACAAUAGCCAUAAGCACAUGCUUUGCAAGGCAAGUAAUCAAAUCUCUUUGAAGAUCUUUAUUUGGUUUUAUUAAUUAAAAUGUGUUCAUAAUUUAUAACUAUAUUUGUCAGAUAGAGGCCACUAAUGGAAAAUUCAUUCUUCCACCACAUUAGAUAGAUUGUGGGGAUUAGGCCAAUUUCACAAAUUUUUCAUAGCUACAAUCUAAUGCAUAGCUCUUAUGAGCAGGUUAGUUUACCGAGCUUGGAGGAGUUAAAGCUUGAGUCAGAAGGAUCCUUCAAAAGAAUAUGGCACAAUGAACUUAUGGAAAAUUCCUUCUGCAAAUUAGCCACCCUCUCUAUUGGAUAUUGCUCUAAGCUACACAACGUCUUCCCUUCCACAAUCAUAGGGAGAUUGCACAACCUAACAAUUGUUGAGAUUGAAAACUAUCCCUCUCUGGAAUCAUUGUUGAUUGUGGGUCCACGAAGCAAACAUUGUGCAAACAACUGUAUUGCUCCCCAAAUCAGAAGUAAAGACGGUGAGGGAAGCAGGAAAGUUGAAAUGUACAGUGAAGAGCGACUCCCAAAUGAUUUUGAGUUUUCCUAGUCUUAAAAAAAGUCCGUGUUUGCAAUUGCUCCAACCUAAGAUAUCUCUUCCCCAGUUGUAGUGCCACAACUCUAGAGAAACUCGAGAGCCUAUGGAUUAGCAAUUGUGAACAGAUGAAGGAAGUGGUUCCUAAGGAGAUAGCCAAAGGAGACGAUGAAUCAUCACAACUGUUGUUCAAUGAGAUGGUUUGCUCCAUCCUUUACCAUGAUCAUCAGAAUUCUUGCAUUUCAUAUUUUAGAACGAACAAUCUAAUAAUUUGUCCUAUCUAUCCUCCUUUCUCACAUUAAACUCGUGCAGGCUAGAUUCCCCAAUAUAAGAAAACUACAAAUUGAAGGUGUCCGGUGCAAAGAGCUAUGGAACAAUCAAAUUCCCUAUGAUUCCUUUUGCAAACUGGAAUUUCUUCGAUUGGAGCACUAUGACAAUCUCCUAUGUAUUGCCCCAUCCCACAUGUGGAAGAGACCACAGCUUUGUCUCGACUUCCUAGAAGUGAGAUCAUGCCGUUUGGUCAAGAGCAUAUACAAAAGUGAUGGGACAGAUACAAAGAGUGGCAAAUUGAGGAGGUUGGCUUUGCAUGAUCUCGAAAACUUGAGGCACCCGUUCCCAAACUUGAGAUACGUAGAGGUUGUGAGGUGCUCUCAUUUGGAAAUUCUUUUCACAACCUUCAUGGCGAAAUUUCUCGGGCAAAUCGAAGAGCUAAUAGUAGAGUCAUGUGAAGAUAUAAAACUAAUUGCUGGCCAUAAAGAAUGUGAAGAAGCGGCCGGUACGACAAUCACCUUCUCCGAGUUAACUGCUUUUAGACUUUUUGAGUUGCCGAAAAUCAGGAGAAUCCUAGCUGAGAAAUACUCUGGGGAAUUCCCAUCCUUGCAAGUCUUUUGUAUGGUAAGCCGUGGAAUGGCGCCGGACCGAGGCCUUGAUGACUGGGAAAGGUACCAAGCCCGCAAGUGGUUUGACUUCAUGAAAUAUGGAUUUGAAGAAUAAUCGUUUCGGACUUCUGCAACGGAAAAUGGUGUUUGGCAAUAUAGAAUAAUGCAUCCGGUAAUAUGAUAUCAUGUUUCUGCGUUAUCUUGUAUAGUUCCCACAAAGUCUCUUGACUAUUUCCUUCAAUAAUCAUUGCUCUGGUUUGUCUCCUGUCCCUUGGAUCUAAGGCCGUGCUAAGGAAGGUCACUUGUUCAUUUCGACUGAGAAUGUAGAGUUGCUAUCAAUGCAUGAUUCUAAUAAAAUGACUGCCUAUUGAGACAUGGUCUCUUAGGGAGUGCAUGAUAACCAAAAUUUUUGUUCCAGAAAUAAUUUUUCUAUUCCAGACCUGUUUAUGGAAUAGAUUCCUGUUUGAUAAACCUACUCAGUUUUUUUAUUUCUGGAAUAGAUUUCUAUUCCAGAAAUUGAUUUGGAAGAGAAAUCAGAAAUAUAAAUUUUCUAUUUCUGAUUUCUGGAAGAGAAAUCAGAAAUAAUUUCUCUCACUAAACCCUAAUUUCGGUGAGUCCUCCCUCAUCUCCUUUACACCUCUGCCUCCUCCUCAUCCGCCUCUCCUCAUUUUAUUAAAAAUAAAAAUAAAUAUAUUCAUUUUAUUCAAUUAAAAAUAAAAAUAAAUUUAUUAAAAAUUAAUAAUUUAUUUAAAAUUUAUUAAAAAUUAAUAAAUUAUUUAAAAUAAAUAAAUUAUUUUUAUUUCUCAUUUUAUUUUUAGUUUAUUAAAAAUAAAUUUAUUAAAUUUAUUAAAAAUAAUUUAUUUAUGAUAAAUAAAAAUAAAUUAUUUUUAUUUGCCUUGAGUGUUUUGCCAGAUAAAUUUAUUUUUAUUUUUUAUUUUUAUUCAUUUUAAAAUAAAUUUAUUCGUAAAAUAAAAUAAAAUAGGAUAUUUUUAUUUUAUUUUUUAUGAUUUCUUUUAUUUUACUUUAUUUUAUUCUUUAUUUUUUGUUAUUAAAUCAUUUUUAUUUUUAUUUUUUAUAUUAAAGGUCGUCAGUCGUCGCCCUCGCCGUCCGAAAGGAAGAAAUUUUGUGUCGUUAUCAAAUGAAUUUCCAUUUUUAUAGUAGAAAUUUUGUGUCAUUAUCAAACGGAUAUUUUUGCUUAUAAACUCUUCUAGAAAUAGAAAUAGAAAAAUCUAUUUCUGUUCCAGAAACUAUUUCUGGAACAGAAUGGUUGUCAUGCGCGCCCUUAACUGACAAGCAUUUAACAAUUACUAGUGAGUCCCAGUUACUUCCUCUAAAUUUCUAAAGAGUCUUUCAUGGACAGUAACAAGUGCAUUGUUUCCAAUUUGUAACUGACAACGAGUACAUUAUUAAGCAAAUGACAUAUUCAAAUAUUUUUCAUCAUAAAUGACUAUCGGAACAAAAUAAUUCUUUUUUUUUAAUUCAAAUUUAUAAACGUGAAUAUUUUCUUAUUUUCGCUAACUAUUUACUACUUGAUGAUUGGAUAUUUUAAAAUGUGAUGUUCAUGAUUAGUAAAUAGAAAGUUACUCUUGCUAUUUUCUCGUUCAUAGAGUCAAUUUUACGAGUUAUUAACAAGAAAUUUUGCCCUAAACUCAUUAAUAGUGAAGGCAUUUAGUAAGCAAAAGGCACUUCUAAUAUAAUGUAUUACCAAGAGAUUCUCCGCCUAUACUUUUACUCUUCUCUUGACAAAAAGCUCUUCAAAUUUUAUUUGGAAAAGAAAAAAGCCGUUUUAUUAAAUAUGAAUGCAUCUAAUGUGCAAAAAUCAAUUUCACUGUUUUAUAUAUACCAGAUUUCAGGCUCUUUCAAGAAUUUCACGAAAUAGAUGAACUCCAUACACACGAGUUUACCAACUUAAGUACACUUCCAACAAUUUUGUCUCAUGAGAAAGAUCAAAACAGGUUUCUUCUCUCUCGAUCGAAUUUACUGGCUAACAAGGCCUCGUCACGUGGCCCUCGACAGAAUUCACCGGCUCUCUUCCUUUCUCUCUCUACAUCAAACGAUCUGAGUCGAUUCCCUUUCGAGAUCAGGCUCGGCGCGCUCUGCGGAGUGGGGCCAGAGCAUAAACAGAGCCACCUUCACACACGCAAAAGGAGCUCCACAAAUUCUCUCUAGCCCUGGUUGAAGGGACUCGCGUGAUUUUUGAGCAUUCAUAAGUCACUCUCUCUCGGAGAUUUCCUUCGAAUCCUUGCCUCUCGCUUCGUUGCUGAUCGUCACCGCUUCCCGAUCGCCGACAGUUCGGUCUGUAAUGGCGAAGUUCUCAAACUUUGGUCGCGACUGCCUGCUUCGACGAUUCCAAUCCUGGAUGUUGUUUCUGUUAUCUCCUUACUCAUAUCCGAUGUCAAUCGCUAUAGCUAAUCAUUCUUCUUUCAACUAAACCACAUUUGCUCUGUUUUCCGUUGCUUCAUAUACGAAGCAGAGGCUGAGUGCUAUUGUUACCGCCUGUGCGAAAACGGCUUCGACUGAGGCUGUAUUGAUGAUCGAACUUGCCGACUGCCUUUGUGAUGAUUUGGAUGCGAAUCACCUGUUUGAUGAAAUUCCUGAACUUAGUCAGUUUGUAUUUUGAUUCAAGUCUUGACCGAGAAUUUCCUUCAUUACUAGAUUAUUGAUUAAUUUCGGUCAUGUAAGCGUAUCUGAGGUCUGUUUCUUCGUAAAAAAUCAUAGGUAUUCAAUUUUGAACUUGCUUUGGAUCUGCUACAACCUGUCGAUACAUGCUGAUUCGUAACUAUUGCAGCCCUGAGCUGAUGUCAUUUGGUCCUUGAUAUUGAUUUUAUUCCACCUAAGUAAGCAUGUUUAAUGAAUUUCAUGUUCCCCUGAAAGGAAUUUAUGUCAUGAAUGAAAUAAAUUCUACCGGGAAUUGAUCCUUUUAUGUUGACCGUCUUAAAAUCCCUGAUUUAGUGUGUGUUUGAUUCCAAUUUGAGGCUAGUUUGGUUAUGGGAUCGUAUAUGCCCAUGCUAGGAAAGCAUUAUGGUGAAUCUCAUGCCGAUUUGCGAGAAUUGGGGUCAUCACCAAACUUGAAUAUGUUAGAAUGAAAGUAUUGCGUGCUGACCAUGCUUGCUUGCAUAAAUUCAGUAUUAAUUUGCCCCUUGAUUGAUGCCAUUUUGAUCAAGUAGACUUAUAUGCGCUGUAGGAAGAUAUGGCUUCAUUUUCAUGUUGAUUACUCAUCAAAAGAUCACAAUUUGCUGUCUCAUAUGCUCUGUUACAAUUAUGAAUGUCUGCUGGAAGUUGUGGAAUAAGCAUAAUUAGAUGGAUAAGAGAUAUGGUGUGUGCAAGUUCCUUGUCAAUUUCACAUGUUCAGAUGGCAAUUGCAUGAUUAAAUUGAUGUAUGUAUGCUUGCUAUUGCCAUGAGAGUCUUGGCCUGAUUAUUGAAUUAGAGAACUCCAAUGUUAACUGAACUUUAAUUCCAUGAUUCUUGCGAUUUCAAAGCUCGGGACAUCUAUUAAAUAAUUUGAAGAAUACUGACUUCGUUUAAAGGUGAUAUGGUAGACUAGCCAGAUUUGAGGAAAUCUCUCAACAAAACUGGUCACUGAGGCCCCAUCAAAAUAUCGCAUGGACGACACUUGCCAACAGAAUCCAAAUAUUCUCUCCCUCUCCUUUGACGCUCACCAUUUAAGGCUUAUUUAUAAGAGCUAUUUCUUAAACCUGACUGAUCCUUCAAGUUCAUGCACUUGUGCCAAUAUACUGUGCACAACACCAAUUGCAACCUAUUGACGCUACUGGAAAUAUCUUCGGGGAAGCUAGAACUCACAUUUGGUUGUGAAUUCCAAUGCGGCAAAUGAAGGGAUAUAUCUCUCUGUCCUUUCCUUCCUCAGAGUUCGCUGGCCAGUGCUGUUCAGAAUGAUGUUUCAAAUAUAUGUUUCUCAUUUCAUUGGAAUGCUCAUGAUAGACUGAUAGUCAUCUGCGUCAACAGCACUAAAGGAGCACGACAGAAGAUUAUCGCCAGUAGGGGGAGGGAAGCUUGGUCACCAGCGAUAAUUUAGUCACCUAUCCAAUUGUCAACAGUCCCAAGGACUAAAAUGCCACGGUACUCAAACUUUGGUCAUAAUUGCCUGCUUCGACAAUUCCAUUCCUUGACAUUGCUUUUGUUAUCUCAUUACUCAUAUCCGAGGUCAAUCGCUAUAGCUAAUCAUUCUUCAUUCAACCAAACUGCAUAUGCUCUGUUUUCCAUUGCUUUAUGUAUGAAGCAGAGGCUGGGAGCUGUUGCUCCCAUCUAUGUGAAAAUGGACUGUGAUUGAGGCUUUAUUAAUGAUUUGAACUUGCUGCAUUUCCUUUGCAAUGAUUUGGAUGUGAACCGUUGCUUUACUUUUGCAUCUAAGCUCCCUAGCUGAAAUGUAUACCACAUGUUUGAUGAAAUUCCUGAACUAAAUAAAUGUGUAAUUCCAGGUCUUGACUGAGAAUUUCAUUCAUUACUAGGAUUUCAUCAAUUUUGGUCAUAUCAGCCUAGUUGUGUUCUGUUUCUUCAUCGAAAAUCAUAGGCAUUCCAUUUUGAACUUGCUUUGGAUUUGCUGGAACCUUGUCAAUACAUGCAGAUUUGCAGCUGUUGCGGCCCUGGGCUAAAGUCCAUUGAUCCUUCAUUGGAUGCUAUUCCACUCAAGUAAGCAUGUGCAGUGACAUAAGAUUGUGUUACGGUAAAUUUCAUGUUUGCUUGGAAAAGAUAUUAUGUCAUGGAUGAAUUAAAUUAUACUUGAAAUCAAUCCUUGGAUGCUGACCAUGUCUUGGUAUCCCAUGAUUGGGUGUGAGUUUGAUUCCAACUUGAGGCUAGUUUGGUUAGGGGAUCUUAUAUGUUCAUGCUAGGAAAGUAAUAUGGUGAAUCUCAUGCCAACUUGAGGCUAGUUUGGUAAUCGCUUCAAUUUCACGUCAAUUUGUCAUCAAACAAUCACGAUUUGCAGUCUUGUAUGCUCUGUUACAAUUCUGAUUGCUGCUGGAAGUCGUGGAUUAAGCACAGAUUAGAUGGAUUUUGUCUCAACUUGCUUGUCAUUUUUAUUGCCCGUGGGCAAGUGAUAUCACGUGUUCAGAUGGCACUAGUUGGCUGUUAGUCCCACAAGAAUGAAAUCAAGGACUGCAUAUCAAAACAGAUAUGUAUUAACAAAGGGUCUCAAUUCCCCAAAAAAGCACAAACUUUAGGUUGACUCUCUGUUCUGAGUUAAACUUUUUUUUGUCUAGAAAGAAUCAACUUCCACUUAAGUCCCAAAUUUGAUCCCUGUUCAAUUGCCGUCCAAAAUCACUGUUGAAGGUCUAACAUGGCAGUCAGUUGUAAAUCCAUGUCAGCUAACUACUCACCAAAAAGAUGCUUUGUUGUUCUUAAAAUUUUGGAAAAAUCGAAACAAUUAUAGGUGGAUUCUUCAAUUCUGCAGACAAAAGUCUUCAAAUUUUGUGUUUGGGAAUCUUCAAUUCAUCGAAUAGACUCACGCUCGAGAUAGUUGGUUUGUUGAGCUUUUAACAAACCAAUUCUGAACUCUGCUGGUCUCGUGAUCCAAGGACAGGUGCUCGACCGAAGACAGCAUCUUCUGCAGGAUCAUUCUCAGUGAAUCGCCUGCAUUCAAGGUAUUUGAUUGAUUUUGAUUCUGGUUCUUCUGAAUCGAGGAUGGAUAGCUAUCUUCUUCAAUGUCAAAGCUCAUUUCAAUUCAUGGUUUUGCAUCUCAUGCGUUAUUCUUACUGAAAGAUGCGAGCUUGAUGUCCUGCUAGGUUGGCAAUCAUGUGCGGAAGAAUUACAUCCACAUAUUGUUCUCAUAUUUUGCCUAUCCGAAAACUCAAUGGAAUGGUGACUCUUCCACAUUGCACUGUUUGUCGUGCAUCAUUAAGCACUGCUGAUGCGGCUAUGUGUUUGACAAACAUUUUCGGAAUGUAUGACAGAUGACGGCUAGAAUGAUCAGAUCCUUCUUCAUUCAUUUGAUCUUUUUGUACUUUCAGCUCUGUGAGGAUGGAAAGUGUCUAUGCAUAUUGAUUCGAGUCUUCUAAGCCAUGGGUAGGGUGUUACUCAUCCACCAUUCUGCAGUAGAUGACCCCUUGAAAUUAUUGUCCUUAAACAAGGAUAAACUGAUUAGGCAAAAAUGUCAUUUUUGCUCUGGUGAUUAACUUCUCCAUUGUUUAGCGAGGACUUCUUAUAUAGUCUCAUCUAAUCACUCACUCCAGAUUGUGUAACCUUGCUUCAUAAACAACAAAUUGAGAUGAAUUAAUGUGUCUAUACGUGAAGUUAAGAUUUGCCCAUGAAACUAUGUUGCAGUAAGAAGCAGAUGCUGCCAUGUUGUUAGCUUGGAUCCUAGCAGUUGUUCUCAUGGCCUAAAGAACCCACAUCGUUAAAAAAAUUCUACCUGCAGAUCAGCUUAGAUCCUGACAAUUGAAUGUAAAUACUAAAAGAGAACAUUGAAGAGGAGGGUAUUGAUUGUUAUUAAUGCAAACUGUCCUCUCGAGGAAUUUCGCACUUUUGUUUUUUCAUAAACCAACUUCUGUUCUUGAAAAAUCUUUUUGCGAUGUAAGACUGUGCGAACUCAGUCACCUCAAUUGUAACCUGGGACGCAGUGCUUCGUCCACGAUCUCCUGCGAAUCUGUGGCUUUCAUACCGGGCGGGCCUUAUUGUUCAACAACCAACUCGACUACAUUAAUGCCACGCGGAACAUGCCGUGGUCCCUCGCCUGGAAGCUGGAUCGUUGGCAUGGGAGGAGCGGGGUUUAUAGCCGAUGGCAAGCUAAGUAGCAGGGGACAAUCGGGGGUUCCUCAGUGCCAGAUAGGCAAGUUACUUUUUGUCCAGCGUGGAUGCGCUUUCAUGGAGAAAAAGAUUGCGAGAUGGCUGGAUAGUUCUAGCAUUUUGGGAGAAAAUAUUGGGUGGGUUUUACCCUCCACGUAGGCGGUGGGUAAAACCACUCAGUGAUCGACACGUGGCGCCACGUAGGCGAGGACGUCAGAGGAGAAAAUAACUCUGUCUCUCUCCUCUCGCGUCUCUCCAUCUUCUGCGCUUCUGUCUCUCUCCUCUCUCCGAAAUAACUCUGGGCUGGUGGCUCGGCUCGGCUCGGCUGGCAGAAGAAAGGACGACUCCCGCUUAAAAUUUCUCUCCUCACUUGAAUAUUUUGGGUUUCGUCUCUCUCUCUCCUCGUGAAGAGCAGAGAACGAGCUGCACCUCCUCUCUGUUUCCUUUUCUCAGCGCAUCCCAACCCCACCCCACGAGCGGCCCCCGCCUCCGGAGGGGCAGCGCCUGAGCCGUGCGGCCGGCGGAGGAGGCGGUGGCGUUGUGAGCGAGGACGGGAAGGCGGAGGAGGCCAAAGCGGCGCGGCGGCCGUGGAAUCUGAGGCCGAGGAGGGCGGUGAACCCUUCGCCGCUGUCGUUGAGGAACGGCGAGGCGUUUCACGACACCGCGGGCGGCACGAUCAGCGGGGACAAGGAGAAUUACGCCGCGCAGCAGCAGCAGUUGCAGCUGCAGCCGAAAUCCGUGUGGUUACGAGACUUCAUGGGGGAGGGCGAGAGGAAGGAGAAGAAGAGGCUUCUCUGCGCCCUCCCUCUUUCCGACCGGCAACCGACGAACCACCGCACCGGACCGGCGAGAGGACCGCGAGACCUAGCUCCCUCCCUCUUUCCGACCGGCGAACCACCGCACGGGACCGGCGAGAGGACCGCGACCUCCUUCCCUCUCUCUCUCUACCCUCCCUCUGUCCGACCGACGAACCACCGCACGGGACCGGCGAGAGGACCGCGACCUCCUUCCCUCUCUCUCUCUGCCCUCCCUCUGUCCGACCGACGAACCACCGCACGGGACCGGCGAGAGGACCGCGAGCAAUCGACGAACCACUACACGGGACUGGCGAGAGGACCGCGACCUCCCUCUCUCUGUGCCCUCCCUCUUUCCGACCGGCGAACCACCGUGAGCAAAUAAGAUGUUUUUGUAGAGAUCUCCCAUCGUCGCCUUCAUCUUCUUUUCCCCCCUUUUUUGUUUUGUUGGUUUUUUCCCCUAGUGUUCUGAUGAUGGAUCUGGAGUUGCAUAUGCUCGACGGCUUCUUCGGCGACCUCCCUGAGGCCAGCGACGUCAUCGGCGCUUGCUCCUCGACGAACGCGUUGUCAUCGUCUCCAGGCUCGGGGCUCUCGUGGUUCAUCGAGAACAUCCUGAUGAAGGACAACGAGGACGGUAGAGUUGCCGGUGGCGGGAUUAGGGCUGAUUCGAGCCAGGAGUUCUGCGAUAGGUUCCUCGCUGACGUGCUCGUUGACUCCCCCGGAGAUGGGUCCGCGGAGAUAGCUGACGGGUCCAGCGACAAGGAGGAGCCUGGAUCGUCAUCCGACGGCUGGGUCAAGGCUGCGAAGGUUGAUGGGGCUAACGUUGGUGGUGAAGCCUAUGAUCCUGCUUCUAAGAAGCUCAGGAGGUACGUUGAUUAGGUUCUCUUGCACUUCUCGUGUGAUUAUUAAGCUUAUUAUAUGAUGCAUUCUGAUUGCUCAGGUGUUUUCACUAAAACCUGAGAAGGCAAUUUCUGAUGCCAUUUUACGACAAGCAAAAAGGCCUUGCAAUUAUUACUGUUGUGAAAGUUGGUAUGAUGGUACCGGCCUUGUGGUUGCUCGUAGGGAAGACGGCUCAUCGUCUCCACCUUCUACAAUUUCUUCAUGUGGAAUAGGGUGGGGAGCAAAGGUAGGCUCGUUUUAUCGUAUCCCUGGAUUUUGAUUUCAUCAACCUUAAGGGCCAAGCGUCGAAACCAACAAGUGUUUUUGGCUUUCAUGCAAUCUGCAGAUUAACCACGUGUAUCAACGUGCUCAAAAUGAUUGUUUAGAUAAUAAACAUCAAUUUGAUUUUUUACUCCAUCCGGAAUGCUUGACAUAUUGUCUGCUUCAUUUCCAUGGUCUCUGUGAGAAUUUUCCUUUGUAAAUGUCUGGUCUGUCAUCCUUCUAUUUCAUGGAAUGUGCCAUUUGUUUCUCCUUUCUGGAACUCUAUCUAAGAACAGUAUUUCUCAGGAUGAGAUUUGGACUUUUUGUUUGAUUAUCAUGUUGCCAUUGAGUUUUCAAGUUCCUUUCUGCAUCUCUGUUCCCUUUCUCUGAAUUUGUGUUUUGCUUUAUUGUGGAAGUGGGAGAAGUCCCUGAAUACCGACACAAGUUGGUUGACACUCUAUCCUCUUAAAACAUACUCAAGAAAAGAAAUCUAGUAGUAAUAUCAGAAAACCAAGUUGUACUAUUUUCUGUGUUCAUAGCACUCAAUAAAAAAUCCUGUCUUUUCCGCAAUAAAAUUGAUGAAGAGGAUUUUUUUUUGGUUAUAGCAUUUAUAGCGCCCUAUGCUUUUGAAAUCUCAAAUGAAAACAAAACAGUAGAUUCUACAAAAGAACUCUAGAGAAUCAAGUUCGUGGGAAUCAAUAUAACAAUGAAAUCAAAGGUUUAGCGUUUCUCUGGAGAUUAGAAAUCAACCUUUGCUUAUUAAGGAGGGAGCAACUGCCGCAUAAGUUAGCCUCUAUUGGAGCUACAAGGAUUCCAGGAAAAUUAAGCAUUGUAGGCAUGCAAAAUGCCACACCCUCCUGCUCUAUAAGCAAAAUGGAUAUUUGGUCACAGUGUAGCUCGCUGAUAUAUGCUUAUCACAGAGGAAUUUUUGUUUUUUUGGCUCUUUAUUGCACACUACAUCUCGUGCCUCAAAUGUCAGUUUAGCUGUCAAUAGUUCCCAUAUUUUUCAUUAAUCCUCUCCCUGCAGAACCAUUUAGCUGUAUAGGACAUGGCAUUUCUAAAUUAUUUGUUUAUGGAAUGAGGAAUUUUUUCUUACAGUACUGCGUGUGGGGGAUUGCAAAUCGAUCUGACUUUGACAAUACCCCUGCUUGGCUGCACAGAACUUUGCUUUAGAUUGUUUUCUUGAAUUCAAGUAUUGCGCUUGCUGGCUUUUCUAAAGUGAUUUACUAUCCAUGAUGUAUAGGAAAUUUUCGUCUGAUCUCUCUAUCUAAUUAAAUUGUAGUGGAAAAAUUUAAGUGCAAAUCAUCUUUUCAACUAUGAUACCAUCUGCAGAAAAAAUGCAGCGCGUUUGACGCAGUCCAUCUCCAUCUCCAUUGACAUUGUUCAAUGCUCUGUUUUCCCGCUUGAUAUAAUGGUGUUCAAUGCUCUGUUUUUCCGCUUGAUAUAAUGGUGUGUUUUUAAUGCCUGUUACUUCUAUGCAUUAAAUUGAGAUAAUCAUUUACGCUUUCAAUCAAACCAUGAACAUAUUCUUUACAUUAUCAUUUAUUGCAGAUAAUUUAUUUGUCUGGUGCUUCCAGUUCCAGUGUUAUAAACAGCUAGUACUCAGUUAAAUAACACCUAAUUUCAAGUGAUAUUGGUUUCCAGGUGAGAGAUGAACUGGAAGAACUUCUUGACGAUGAUGACGACAUGGCAGACCUUUAUUUGUCGAGGAAACUCACUGGAGGGUCUUCUCCUGUCAGCUGGUCUGGAGCUCCAGAUUGGUUCUUUGCCUCUCCUACAACUGGCUCAAAAUUAUCCAGAACAAGUAGGGCAAGUGCGGUAACAGCAAGAGAGGAAAAUGAUGUUGAGGAGCUUGAAAUGUUGCUGGAGGUUAGAUAAAUCCAAUCAAUGGUCUCAUUUUGCUCAUUGAGAGUCCAUAAGUAAUGCUGCUGCUUUUCUGCAGGCAUAUUUCAUGCAAAUUGAUGGCACUUUAAACAAAUUGUCAACGGUAUGCAUUGUCAUUGAUAUCCUUGUACGAGUUUGUUUGAUUAUGUUGCCUCAUAAAUUCUCCUGCAGCAAUUUAAGGAAAAUUUCUUAGAAGAUAAUUAUCUUGGUAGACUAAACUGUACUAUUCCUACAAGCUAAUUCUUUGUAUUCUCUUUCAGUUGCGCGAAUACAUUGAUGAUACUGAGGAUUACAUCAAUAUUCAGGUAAGCUUUUGGAGAAUUUGGAACCAUAUCCUCAACUAUGUGACAUGUAAUUUAAACUAUUUUUCUCUCACAGAACAUCAUUAGACUAUGUAGUAGUAACUAGUGACAUUUUGAUCUGUUUUUUUUGUCUUGUUACAGCUUGAUAAUCAUCGGAACCAGCUUAUACAGGUAGGAUUCACAAGAUACACAAAGCUCCACUAGGUAUUUUGGAAAUUGACUAAUGUUGGCACCCUAUGUUAUCAAACAAAUGAAUCUCCAUUGCACGAAAAAUUCAUGCUCAUUGCUAAUUUCUACUAAAUUUGAACUGGCCAUAGCUAGAGCUCUUCCUCAGUUCAGGAACUCUGUGCUUGUCUGUAUAUUCUCUGGUAGCAGCGGUAUUCGGCAUGAAUAUUCCCAACGUGUGGCAUGAAGGUCAUGGUUAUGUCUUCAAAUGGGUAUGUAAAUCUCAUCCCGAUUGCCUUCCCUGCGAAAGCCUAAUCCUUAAGUCUCACACGACAUUUUGUCUGAGAGCAAGACAUGAUGGAUGGUCUGGUUUUAUUCAUGUUAACGUUCACUGGGGAAACUCUCAGGUGGUCAUUCUCGCCGGAGUUUUGUCUGGAUCCAUUUUCCUGUCAAUAAUGUCCUACGCUCGGCACAAAGGUCUGGUUGGUUCUUGAAGCCAAAUUGAUUCAUUCGGGAGGGAGGUUUCUGCAAAGCUUGAAAUGUCUUCUCAGGCUACCGAAUUUAGGAUCCAUCCGAUGCGCCAGCUCUAGGACAUCAUGUGGACGACAUCACCCUAUUAGUUUCCCACAAAUUGUACCAACCCACGCCAACAAUGUCCACGAGAUGGAUGAGAUGGAAUGGACGCAUAUCUCCCGGUCAAACUCACCAUUCCCUGCAGGUGGUUAGAAACUAGCUGCCAUUGAAAAGUCCAAAGUAGCAAUUGGGGUCAAUUCAAGUGAAGACGAGUCGUUGAUGUUGUGCCAUUGAUGCUGUGCUGCUUGUUAUACGUACAGCUACAGUAAAGGUACUCAUCUAUAUAGCUAUUUUUCCUUUUAAACUGUGGAGUUGUCCUCUGGACUGAUUUUUGGGGUAUGUAUACAUUGCUAUGCAAAAAAACAUUGAUAGUAUCCUAUGAUAUUAACCGUUUUAAUGUGAUAGUAAUUUCUCUAUUUUUAUUAAGUCCUAAGUGGAUGCAAUAAUAGUCUCGGGACAUAGAAAAACUGCUCAUUUUGCAAAGGAUCUUGUUCACUCUCUUUCUUUCUUCCUCAUUUGUCUCUGUUGCUGAGGUGAGCUAUGUAGUCUAGCUUGUAUGGCAUGGGUAUCUGUCCUUAGGCAGUCAUGUAAAAGACUAUUCUCCGAUUACUUAAAAUACUCUUCUAGUUAUAUAUUCAAUAAAAUGAUGAUACUCUUUACCUUUUCAAGCUAUGUGAAGCUGUUUUCAUUAGAUCAUUGUUUGAAAAAGUUUCUACAAAGAGCAUUUCUUGAGAAGCUUGCUUGUUGCCCAUUUCUUAGUGCCAAAGAAAGGGGAAAAGGGAGAGACAUUAGUUGAGAAAGCUUCUGCAGGGAUAUUUUUGAAUAAGCAAUCAUUUGAGAGAACACCAAGCUUGAUUCGUCAUAGAUCCUACUUAAAUUGAGAUGCUCAUAGUAAAAAGUUGGAGAGGUUUAGAAUUUGUAUUUCUCAUUUUCCUAUCAUUUCAUUGCCAGCAGUCUGUGGGGGCUCGUUCCGCUUUCUGAAGUUCUUUAAUUGUUCUCAACUUUUUCAUAAAAUAAUUGGCAGGUGCUUUUGUUGGAUGCUCCCUUCAAGGCAGUGUGGUGACAACGCGGACAAGAGAAAAUUGCCAAUUUUAUGGCAGCCCGUCUAUAAAUGCAUUGUACAUACUACUUGGUUCAUUGCCGAGGCCACCAGCUGCUGCCAUCCUUUUUAACGCACUCGCAGACAUGUAUCAGAAGCUGGAGUGGUCAUCACCAUAUUAGUGCCGUACAGCUUGGCCAAUUGUCUCCGAUACUGCCUAUGGAAGUUCUUAACUGCAAUUCUUGCCACUGUAAAGUUGUCUAUUCUUAUCAAGUGUAUAGCAUGUUCAAACUCAUUGCUUCCCUCUCUUCGCCAGGGGGUUUCGGGAGAGGAAUAUGUAAAUAGUUAUAAUUGCUGGGAUCAAUCUUUGGAAUGUACAUAUAGCUAUACAUUUCAUAUUUGGUGUUUGCUCAGGGUAUUGGGGAAGACAAGCAAAAACCACCCUUCUUUUCAAAUUACUUUGAAGAUUGCUUGGGCAUGUCCUAGAUGAUGGAGGAAAUUUUAUGUGAUUGUUCAUGAUGAACCCAGAAAAACAGGUUGCGUGGUCACGACCUGAUAUACAGCUCUUCUAUGGAUCUUGUUCGGUACUGCACCGCGCAUUAGACUCGAGUCAAUGCAGUGUAAUGGAAGUCCACCUCCCCCCCUGUUUCGAAGUAGUGCAUACAGAUCAUUGCGAUUUCUUGUUAAUUAUCUUGUUGUGCUAGAUCUAUGUUCCCAUGCAAUUUCUCGUUAGUCGUCAAAUGGUGGGGGAACCGAGUGUGAUUAGGAAGGUGGUAAUGUUAAGAAGGAUUAGGAAGUGGCUCAAUAAAUAGACCAAGACUAGGCGUCCAAGAAAUGAACCCUACAAAAAUUUAUGUCCUGACCUAACGUAUAAUCGAAGAUUGACCUGAGAAACCAAAGCGAGAAUGGAGGCAUGAGGUUGCGGAGAACCUGUGGUUUGUUGCUUGUUAAAUUCAUCUCAUUGAAGACAAUGGCAAUGAGAGAGGGAACACGGUUUGCUCCGGCAAAUUUUCCAUCUAGAAUUGAGAGCCCGAUUGUUCAGAUGGUUAAUGGCCAGAAGCCUUUUUCAUCUACAUGUCUCUGCCUGACUAACGUAGGACUGGAACAUAUUAACUAGCACCUCGUGUGGAAUCUGCACUUGUAGGUCAAGAGCAGUUUGUCAUAGCAGCAACAAAGUCGUGAUAAACAACCUGGCGAACCAUAUCAGGAAGUGUCUGCUGGUUUGAUGCUCUCACUAGUCACAGCUCGAAACUAAAAACAUUGCCAUGUACUUGGAGAUCAUGGAAUGACAAGUUUAGCCUGAUCAACUAAGGAGCCAGCAAAAGUGAAACCUCUCCAACACGGCACAUGUAAGCACUCUUAAGAUCAUAUGGAUUGAGCUUCGCAACCAACGGCCCAAAGGCCGGCCACGCACAAAGCGAAAACAAGGGAAAAUUAAAGAUUCUGAGCUUCUCGGCUUGCACAAAUUUGAAAGAAAAUGUUGUUGACACCUCAAUUUUAAUUAGGUUAAUUUUAUUUUAUUAAUUAAGUUUUUAUUUUAUUUAUUUUGUCUUUUUCGGAAUAAUAAACAAAUAACAAAAACAACAAAAAAUAAAUAAAAACAAAGGAAAAAGCAAAAGCAACAUCCCCCUUUUUUUCGCGUGGGCUCGCACGACCUGGCCCCCCCCCCCCUUUUUCUCCUUCUUCUUCCUUCUUCUUCUUCAUCGCUCCUUCCUUCUCCGCCUCUGUAGUUCACGCGCAGCAACGACGACGCGCUCGAAGACAACCUAUGGCCGAGGAGGGUAGGCCGACGUCGGCCAGAAGAGACAGAUCUCGGGCGCCAUCAUGGAUUUCCUUCAAUGCCGAGCACGCCUUGUGGAGGAGCUCGGAUGGGAUGUUGGUUCGGCCGGCGGAGGCGGUUCGGCGUGCGAAGAUUGGCGGUCGAAGCUCCAUCGACCAGCCGCCCCCUCGCCUAUAAAUAGGCUUCUCCCGACGAUGGCAAAGCACGGCGAGCUCGGAGACUUUCCCUUGAGAGACUUCAAGGGAGACUCAAAGAGCGAGCGCGUGAGAGAAAUCCGGUCGCGAACUCGAACGACCUCCCCCCGAGAGACUUCGGGGGAGGCCGACGACAAGCGAACCCGGAGAGAGAGGAACCGAAACAGAGAUCGAAAGCUUGCGAGCACCGGAAGCUUCCCUCGAGAGACUUCGAGGGAGGUCCGAACGCCCGCAAGCCCAGAUCUGUGAGCAAUCGAGGCCGGAAGAGAGGAGAGAGUUCCAGAUCCGCGAGGAGGGGCUGGAGAGAAACCAGAAGGAGCCGCCUCGAGCUGUACCGCCGUCCUCUGACACUGAUUGCUUCAGCACCUACCCGCCGUUGCCAUCCCCUUUCGUCAGAUCUGCUGCAGCGAAGCUGCUGCCUGUUGCCAGCUACUGCUUCCGCCCCCUCGACGCAGAUCCAUCCCCGUGGACUUACUCCCCCGCCGUGCCGCGUCGACCAGAGCCACGCCAGGCACCGACUGAUGCAGCUCACCGCAGCUGCCUGUCGCCGCCGUUCGCCGCGUCGCCGGUGUCGAGUCAUCACCCAGUGACGUCCCAGCCAAGCCCCACCUCGGCGCCGCAAAUCGUCGAGCUCUAGGGUUCCCAAAAUCCGGUUCUACGAAGGAGAAGCCGGGUCGGAAAGCGGGUCGGGCAUGGGUCAGCGAUCGGGUAGGGUUUCCCCCCCGAUGUGGGCUUGCGUGUGUGGGCCGGUUAAUCCCUGGAUUUUUUUUUUUAACGAAAAUGGGCCUUGGUUAGUUCAUGGGCUUGGAAAAAGAAAAAAAGGGAGAAAAAUCUGAGUCGGGCCCGCGUUGCGAGCCCGUCCGCGUGCGGGUCGCCGGCCCGGGUCGAACCCAACCCACGGAUCCGACCCGGGCCGGUUUUUAUAAUAUUUUGAAUAAAUAAAUAAUUUAUUUUCCAAAAAAAUAUAUAUAUAUAUAUUUUCUUUCGAAAAAUAUUAAAAAAUAUUUUAAAUUUUCAAAAAAAGACAAAAAUAUCCAAAAAAUAUUUUAUUUCCAAAAAUACUAAAAAAUGUUUUAAUUUCCAGGAAAUCGAAAAAUAAUGAUAAAAAUAUUUUAUUUUCCAAAAAAUCAAAAAAAAUAUUUCAUAUUUUCCACAAAAUGCCAAAAAUAAAAAAAAAGCCAAAAAUUCAUGAAAAAGCCAAAAAAUUCAUAAAAAGCCAAAAAGACUUGUAUUUUUCCCCAAAAAAAAUACCAAAAAAUCCCUUUUGUGUCCAAAAAAAUUAGAAAAUGACUUAAAAAAUGUUUGUCCUUCCAAAAUGCGUGGAAAAUCCCUCGAACAUCCAAAAAGCCUCAAGGUUUAAACAAGAUUAGGUACCGAAAGGGCAUUAGUGAUUAAUUAGUGUAAUCAAGUCCCCGAUCCUAAUUUCUCUGGUUGCGCAGGAGCGAGUAUUUCUCCCGAUACUUCGCUUGGGUUUCUAAUCAACCUACCCCAAAUUGAUUAGUGGCGACUCCAUUUUAAAAAUCAACUUGCAGGUUAAAAACUUAGACUAUUAAAGUCGUGAAUUGGUGGACUUGGGAGAGUCCGGGCAUAAUUAAAUUCAGCCGAGCCAUUAGCCUCCUUUAGGCGCUCGCCCCUGAUGUGGGCGCCGAAAAAAAAAGAGGUCGCGACAGCUUGGCGACUCCGCUGGGGACAUUUGAAGACUUAGGCCAUUUUAUCUUUGUUUAAAUGUCUUGCUGAUUUGGUUUUUUUCUUUUGUGCAGGGUAAUAGCUUAAAGUUUUAUUCUGUUAAAAUAAAAUGUUUUGUGAUUAUAAAUUGCCGUGUAUCCUUAAAUGUUUUAGCACUACACAUGACACACACAACCCGGCCGCCGGACCUGGGCCGCCAUAGGAUUUCUAAGAUGGUGUUAAGAAAGAUACGACCUCGAACGCGAGACUGCGAUGUAGAGGUUGCCUUUCUUUUCCCCGAAUUUCUUAGCCGAGGUUAGGAGGGUAUGCUGCUAACGCGAGACUGCGACGGGCGGAUAUCCUUUUAAUCUCAACAAUCCUUCUCAGUUAGAAAUCGAGCUACACGUCUCACGCGCAUGUCUUUGUGCUUGCCAUUUUUCUUUAAAAAGCAAAAGUAAUUUCUUUACUGUUACUCAGUCUUUUUAUUUGGCCCAUGGCAAUUUAGGAUAAGCUUUUCAAGUCCCAGUUUAUAUGCGAUGGGGAAAGACGAUAUCCAGUUCAUUCCUACUCCCAAGGCGGAGCUUUUCAGAUGGUGGGGUCAGUUAGAUCAGUUUGCCCAAGAGCGCGUGAAGGCCAAAGUCGGUCAUCUCCUAUCGUUGAUUCAAAUCACUGUUCGUCCUGAAGUCAUACAAGCCAUGGCACAUUUUUGGUGCCCGAAGACAAUUACUUUUAUAUUCGGUAGGUUUGAGCUAACCCCAACCCUGGAAGAAUACAGCAUCAUCACUGGAAUGCCUCUCGAGAAAAAGCUUGUCAGGCCAUCGACAGGCGCCCUCCCAUGGCGUGGGUUAGCACGACUUUUAGGAACUGAAAUCCAUGUCAUGAGGCAAAUUCUUGAAGACAACCAUAAUACCUGCCCACUAGAAUUUAUGAAUGCCUGUUUCCAAAAUCAGCCUAUGACCCAGAAAAUUGAGAUUUUCCUCCUGGCCUUUUUCGGGCUCAUCAUCUUCCCCCAUCAAAGAAAUGCCAUAACUCCCAAGAUGGCAUGGAUAGUUGAUCAGAUCUUAAGAGGGGGGAAUUAUGUCAACAUGAUUUUAACUGAAACAUUCUUGUCCUUUAAUCGUUUAAAGACAACUCGGAGAAAAUCAUGCGAGCCUCUCCUGAAAUUUUACAAGUCUGGUUCUUUUCUCACCUAAGCGAAUUUCGAGACUUCAUGCGAUCGUCUGAAACAAAUGCUUUUGAAAAUCCAUUACAAAAAUUUAUGGUUUUAGGACCGUAUAUUCCCAAUCAAAGUUGUUUAAAUUGGGUAAGCUUCCUAAGAGACCCAGCUCCUGAGGCAUUCCAAUGGUGUGCUGGUUGGUUCCAUGAAAAGAGGGCUUGCUUUGCUUACAUACGCACCUGCCCAAUUCCGUUGCUCGGCCUCACCGGCGCCAUUCCCUAUUACCCGUAUCGGGUAGCACGACAAUAUGGAGCCCUUCAGGAGAUUCCACCACCUUUCAAGAUGAUGAUCCCUCCAGUUCUUUUCAACACAAACCGUGACUAUGCAUUCGAAAUUGCUACCGCUGAGGAAACCUGGAGCAGCUGCCAUCGCAAAAGGAUUGUGAUACCUGAAGGGCUUGAGGGAGAAGAAAAAGCCCACCACGCCUCCAUGUCCUACAUCCACAACCAUCGCAUCCCGAAAAGAUGGAAGCCAUUAGUCCCUCACUCAAUCAGCGAGAGCAGCCAACACGAGCAAGCAGAGCUCAUGGAGAGGGAUUUGGGAAUGGACUGGAUGCACACCUCAGAGCCAGUUCAAGGAAGCAGGCGUUCUCGCAAGAACAAGGCUCCCCGUCGCAUAUAAAUUGGCAAUCAUGUGCCCCUUAGUAUUAAUAGUGUGAAAGUUUUGUCCCAUUGUUUAGGGACUCUUGUUUAAUAUCUAGUAUUUCAUCCUGUCUUUUCAAUUUCAAGUUCUAGAUGUUAGGAGUUGGCAGUCUAUAAAUCCUCUUUUGAUAAAUAAGAAAGCAGUUAGACCAUUGCCAUGGGUCAAUCUUUGUUUACUGUCGUGCUCAUUCAUUGUUUUCACCACGAACAGGUAAUUAUGAAUCGCCGGCCACUAAUCGCCCGCGAAUGGCCUCAUGCAAUAGGGCCCGAUCAAAGUGAUGUACAAAAUCGUCCCAUUAACAUUGAAGACGGCGUGGGACAGAUGUCCAUUGUCCUUCAACAACUCUCGAGACAAAUGAAAUCCACUCAAGUCGAACCCAACUCUGUAGUUGCCUUAAACACCGUCAUGACACCCGCAAAUUUGCCAGAAAAUAGCCAGUACCAUAGACAGUUUGAAAGGAUCAUGAAAAAGUUAAGCCAGCUGCAGGAGCAGAAUCCCAUGGACCUGUCCAAUUACACCGGCAUUGAGAUCUCUGAAAAACUCAAAGCACCUGAAUGCGAAAGGUAUGCUGAUACCUCCCGCCCAGAGACCUACUUGCAGGCCUACUUGGUCCGAAGGAUGAUUCAAUCGUACCAAUCGAGCUUGACUGGCCCUGCCUUACGAUGGUACAUUAUCAGGAAGAUUAGUCCCCUUAAAACCUGGAGGGAACUAAUUCAUGUUUUUCACCAAGAGUAUAAUCUUGACAUCACCUUGCCCUACGAAGAACUGAUGAUCGUGGAGCACGAGGAACCGUUAGUCGCUGAGAUAGGAGAAGAGCAUGUCAAUGAAGCCUUGCAUGAUAAAUGGGCAGCUGAACAACACCUUGUUACUGGAAGAUUUCCCACUAGGAAAGGCAAGGAGCCUUUGUACGAGAUCAAAGACACAGAGCCUGUUCAAGACCGGGGCACGACUGGACAACUCCCCAAGCUUACUUCAAGAGCUAGGGUCCAAAGAAUACCAACCCCUAUCAACCUGGGAAGUGAAUCAGAUAGUGAAACUCCAAUGUCUCUCACUUCCUUUGACAGAAUCGAGCUGGCAAAACGAAGGGCCUUACUCAAAAGAUCUGGACCAGGGGCCAAGAAAAGAAAGCCUAAGCAGAUCAAUGCAGCAUCUGCCGACGAGCCACCGCACCAAAGCUUCGAGCAUUCCCAAGAAUACAACUUUGAAGGCUACCAUCCCCAAGAGUACAACCCUGAAGACUUCCCGGCCCUAGAAUACAAUCCCAAGGACUUCCAGCGUUAUUUCGACAAUGAAACUGACGAUUCAUCGUAUAACUGUUUCCUACUCUCACCCGGAGAUGAAGGCCCGUCAGAAGAGGAAGCAUACGUCUUUAUCCGCUACGAUCCUAACGAAGUACUAAGCUCGUCCUUUGACCAUGAGGAUAGCUUCAAUACUUCAUCCUCAUUCGGAAAUUUUGACCCAGAAGAAAGCAAUGGGGUAAUCUCGGUAGAGUCCAGCUUCCCUGAAACAGAAAAAUUCACCACUACAAUGAAUAUGCAGUGGGAAAACCAGUGGUCUAGCCAAGACAUACCAGGCUCGUCUUGCCCACGUAGGAUCAUGACCCCCAUAGAAAUGUGGAUACCCAAUCUCCGCAAGUAUAACGGCAUGACUUGCCCCGUGGCCCACUUGCAGUACCUCCAUGCUGAAAUGAGUCGAUACUAUGGCCCGAUGUCAUUCACAACUCAGGCUUUCCAAGAAAGUCUUACGGGGUCUGCAUUACAAUGGUUCAUCACAGCAGAUAUCUACCUCAUGAGAGAUUGGAAUGAGCUGUCUUCUGCAUUCCUGCUUCAGUAUCAAAGCCAGAUUGGGACUGAAGUGCCUUGUCAGAACUUGGUUCAUUUUAGAAGAAGACCAAUGGAGGAUUUUCAAGCAUAUGCAAAGAGGUGGGAAGCUUUCAUGAUGCAAAUCUACCCUCAACUGGCUGAAGAAGAAAUGAUAAAGUUGUUCAUAGGGACUUUGCCUCGCGAGCAUCGUUGUUGGUUGCAUGGGUUGUACUUCCAUAGCCUCAAUGAAGUGGUCCUUUCAUGUGAAUACUUCGAGUCUACUGGAGGCGAAGAAUUCAAAGACGCUUAGCUUCAAGACCAGCACUAUCAAAGCGCUCCUUUACACAGGGGUUUUCAUGAUUUUUACUUGUUUUUAUAAUUUCAUGUUUCUCAUCUUGUCUAGUGUGCUACUGUUGUAUUUUCCAUUCCAAGUACUCUAUUGUACAGUUCUAAUAUUUUGUUUUAAGAGCAUGAGGCGGUACUCCAAACCAGCCCAGUGAUGUUAUCCAACCAUGAAAAGAAAAUAUCAUCCAAGGAAAAUACUGAGGGCUGGGCUUCCUCAUGCUUUUUCUCCCCCAAAGACGUAUUUUGAAAAUAAAAAAUAUUUCAUUAUCUAAAAGCUUUUGUCAAAACAAGAUGAUAAAUUUAAGCACGUUUGUCUUUCUAGCCCUCUCGCUUUAUGUUUCUGAACAUCAUCCCCUUUGAUUUAGUGUGACAAAAGGUAUUUGAAACUAGCACAUUGUGUGAACAGACCAAACUCGAGAACACAUUUUCAAGAAAGCAGGGGCAAACAGAAAGGAGCAUCCCGUUUCCAAAAAGGGGUAAGUCUUAUUCCCUUAACAUAAUAGUGAGAAUGACAACCCCUCUCUUCUAUUUACAGGAAACGAAAAUAUGACGUAAUAGGUACAGGCAUACGGUUAAAAUCAAGCCGUCCCUAGGAGCUCUGUACACUCCACCUUGCUCCUGCCCAACUCUUUCACAAGCCAGAGCAAUAUCCUUUCCCCACAAUGUGCCUAAGCAACCAGAUGUUGUGGUUUCAUCAGCGGGACUGCCAGCUUCGACAAGCCCAGAAGCACAAGGAAGGGAUCUCUUCUCUUUCUUUGAAUUGGCUACUGUCAACAGGGAAGAAAUCCAGACAGUUGAAGUGGUCUCUAGCCCCUAUUCAAAAUGAGGACCUAGAAACCUGACUUCCUAUUCAGACGCAUGCUCUCGCAAGAAGUAAUUCCCAUCAGAGAAUUGGAGGUUUUGAUUGUCCAUCUCAGAUUCCAUAGAAGCUUGAGGUACAUGACUUUUGCCCAAUGAUGCUAUAGUUAAAGACAGAAGGAGAAAUUCCACAGAAGGAAGGCGUUGAAGAUGAAUCAACGACCAGCAAUCAUGCAUAUAUGGUCACAAGUGAGGAAGGCCAAUCGAAAGAAAUGCCAAAUUAUGCCAAGACGAAAAGGCUGUCAUCGACAUUCAAACAUCAUCAGGAGUCAGCAAAUACAAACUUUGGAGAAGAGUAAUUUGGUAUCGUUUCCAAUACUCCCCCUACUUGAACUCACAUUUGACAUAUUUUCUCCUAUUGACAGGAAGCAUCGGGAUUCAAGAACCAAGCUUAAUGGUUAAUUUAUGCCAAUCAAGUGACUCGUAUUUAAUUCACCUAACUUCAUGAAAAAGGAUGUGUUGUCUAGGAGCCGGUUUGGUUAAAUGAAAAAAGAAUCGUCCUACGGACACCGUCGGCGCCUCUAGCCGAGUGGUAUCCGGGAAGAAGCAAAAUGGUCCGAAGUCGGGGGUUCGAAUCCCCGACGCGGCAGUUAGCCGCUUGGUAAAAAAAUAAUAAAAAAAUUUUUGCUUAUCUUGCGCCUGCAAAUUACGAGAGAAUAAUUGACCUAACGAAACAAGGGACAUAGGACUUCGUGUCCCCCUUCUCACUUCAGGUUCACCCAAUCAUAUGCAAGCCAGUGAAGGGUAAAGUUGUAUCGAUUCCAGUUAUUCGACUCUUGAAAGAGUUCAUGACUAACACAUUCCCUCUUGUUUGUUGCAGGAUCACCUGACUGUCAAAAGCAAGGAUAAUGAAUCAAUGAGAAGCAUGUCUUGUUUGUUGCAGGAUUACUUGAUUGUCAAAAACAAAGAUAACAAAUCAAAGAGAGGCAUGAAACUCUCCCAAGCAAAAUGGCGUCUCAAGUAUUGCCAAAGCAAAUGACAGAAAAUCUUCAGGCCUCAACUCACAUUUGAUUUUGGCCAGACUAAUUGAGCUACUUAUACAUCUUCUCUUUCUGCAGGGGCAAAAGCAGAGAUGCCUGAUCAAAUUCUCAAUCCUUGGCUGAUCCUUCAUGUGUCAUAUCCCUAAUCAAUAGGGAUGACUAUCGACACCCAUUUGCGAAUAACCCUUUUGAUGUUCAAAAUUUAACAUAUUUGGAAACACCAUCAUGUUAAAGUUGUCAACAGGGUCUUUUUUGAGUCAAAACCAUUCACUUGUUUUGAAAAGUUCAAACUCCAUCAUAUUCAAAAUAUUGCAUGUCAUUUCCAGAUGAAUUCUGCAUGAUGAUUUUGUCUGUCUAAGUCACUGAUUCCACUAAGGAUUAUUAGAAUAGACAGCUAAGUGAAGAAUACAAGAUUGAUCGAGCAUGCUGGAUGAGGCACGUCAGGAUGAUGAAAGGCAAACCAUAUCCUACACACAAUCCCCCAUCUAUACACUUGUGAGAUGAGUGCAGAAGAUUCCAUGACUGUAGGGUAAAGAGUUCUCUCGCGAAUGGUACGAUAACCAAAACAGUGAGAGGCAUUUCAUUGCUCACCCCAUUGAGCCCCAUACACUGAUGAAAUUUCUAUCCUAUCCCUGUCAAGAACCACCCCACACUGGGGCAGAUCGGAGGCGAAGCAGCAUCACAAGGUGAGAAGAGAGAUAGAAAUUUUCUUGCUCGCACUUGCAUCAAUCUUCGGGUGUCCUUAUUGCAUAUGAACACUCACGUUAAUUUAAGUGCCCUAGAAUGACGAAGAGCAAUUCUUUCGCUAUGCACUUGUAUUCAUUGUACAACCCAAUUGAGUCUGUAAUUUCACCCUUACAUGAAGGCAAAAUAGAAGUUACUGCCAUAGCCCAGAGCGCCUAUUGAAGAUGAAGACUCAAGAGUCUAAUAAUGGUGCUUCGAUUGAACUUGCCUAGGCCGGUUCCUCUAAUGACAAAAAUGAAAAAAAAAACAUGGGCAUAAAAAAGCAGUGUACCUGGUAAAAGCAAGGUCAAUGCCCAUAAAUGAAGAACUGGAAUAAAAAAAGGGGCAUGAAAAAGCAGUGUGCCUGGUAAAAGCAAGGCCAAUGCCCCCUAGUCAAAAAUGCAGCCAAGAAAAUGUUGCUGUUGUGGUCCAUAGAACCUCCAUUUGACAGUGAGAAGAAAGACUGGUGACAAAUGCCAAGGCAAUCACCAGCUCUUACCCUUUUACACAUGAAUCAAGCCUACAUUGCAUCCCAUUGUAAAAGUCUCUUCAGACUAGGGGCACUUCAAUUAACGUAGGAUUUCAUAUGUCUAUAAGCAUCGCUCGAAGAAGUACGAGCAAGACUAUUCUAUCUCUUUUCGCAGGACUCUUGACUUGCAAACCUGGAGAUGAUCGUGCGGCACUUCGUUCAUGAGCCUUGACCUCGACGGUCCCAUUUGAUGAGCUAUUCUUCAUCAUAAUUUCAACAAAGACCUCUCACAUUGGUAAAGUCGUACCACUUGCGAGAAUACUCAGACCCCUGCUGACAUGAUGACAGUGAGAAGUGUGGUCCUUAUAAAUCCUGCAUCAAUGGUCAGGAUAGCCUUUUCCAUGAGAGUGAGUGAAAAGUUCUUUCAGACUGAAAGUCCCUCAUCUGGCAUGCUCAAGACAUCUACAUUCUAAAUGAAGGUUGUCUUUCAAAAUCUUCUCCAGUGAAACUCAGAUGAUACAAAACUGACAAAAUUGUCAUGCAUGAAUCGCAUUUAAACUCAUGAAUUUACAGCAUAUGCAAUCAUGUGUGCUUAUUGUGCAAAUAGCAGACAUACUCUCAGAGAUCAGAGAUAUUGCCAGGUAAGCAUAUCUCUAUCCCUAUUUGUCUUAAAGUACCUAUCACUGUCCAGGUACUCUCUUCUUGACACUCGACCUAUUCGAGUCGUCCCUUGAGUUUGGGUGCUUGCAAUUGUCUCAGUAUCCCAUGGUCUUUGAGUACCCACCACUUGCCGGGUACUCCCUCUUAACGACACUCGACCUGUUCAAGUUGUCUCCAGAGUAUUGAUACUUGUGCCUGACCAAGUAUCCCUUUAUCGUUGAAUACCUACUGCUGUCUAGGUAUCCCCACUGUCUUUGAGUACCGGCCACCGUUCGGAUACUCCCUUUUCCUGACACUCGACCUAUUCGAGUUGUCCCCAGAGUAUUGAUACUUGUGCCUGACCAAGUAUCCCUUUAUCAUUGAAUACCUACCACUGUCUAGGUACUCUCCUAUUGACACUCGACCUAUUCGAAUUGUCUUUUGAGUUUCGAUGCUUGCAACUGUCUUAGCAUCCCAUUGUCUUUGAGUACCGGCCACCGUUCGGAUACUCCCUCUUUCUGACACUCGGCCUGUUCGAAUUGUCCCCAGAGUAUUGAUACUUGUGACUGACCAAAGUAUCCCACUACUUUUGAGUGCCUUUCAUUGUCUAGGUACUCUGUUUCCGUGACACUUAACCUGCCUGAGUUGUCCCCAAAUAAUAUAGCAGCUGUUCAAGCAUUCCACUGCUUUAUGUGCCUGCGCCUACCCAGGUAUGCUUUCUUACACUUGGACCUGCUGAGUGGUCCCAGAUCAUGUCAUUAAAUACUUGUGUUCAUCCAAGUAUUCCGGUACUUUGUACUCCUGCGGCUACUCAGGUGUUUCAGCCCUUUUGAGUGCCUGCGGCCAUCCAGGUAAGCCUCGCGCUACAUUCAAGUUUAUGUUGCCAGGAGGUGGGAGACCUUCACGAAUAUGCGAGGCACGCCCUCGAUAUUCCCAAUUACCAGGAGGUGAGAGACCUUCACGAAUAUGCGAGGCACGACCUCGAUAUUCCCAAUUACCAGGAGGUGAGAGACCUUCAUGAAUAUCCAAGGUACGUCCUCGAUAUUCCCACUACCAGGAGGUGAGAGACCUUCACGUAUAUGCAAGACCCAUCCUCGAUAUUUCCACACGAAUAUCUCAGGUAUGCCUUGAUUCUUCCUUCAGAGUUUGUACCUGUGAUCGUCCAGGUACCCCUUCGAUGCUUGUGAUCAUCCAGGUAUCUCCCAAGAGUUUGUGCCUGUGAUCGUCUAGGUACCCCUUCGAUACUUGUGAUCAUCCAGGUAUCUCCCAAGAGUUUGUACCUGUGAUCGUCCAGGUACCCCUUCGAUACUUGUGAUCAUCCAGGUAUCCCCCAAGAGUUUGUACCUGUGAUCGUCCAGGUACCCCUUCGAUACUUGUGAUCAUCCAAGUAUCCCCCAAGAGUUUGUACCUGUGAUCGUCCAGGUACCCCUUCGAUGCUUGUGAUCAUCCAAGUAUCCCCCAAGAGUUUGUACCUGUGAUCGUCCAGGUACCCCUUCGAUGCUUGUGAUCAUCCAAGUAUCCCCCAAGAGUUUGUACCUGUGAUCAUCCAGGUACCCCUUCGAUGCUUGUGAUCAUCCAAGUAUCUCCCAAAAGUUUGUACCUGUGAUCGUCCAGGUACCCCUUCGAUACUUGUGAUCAUCUAGGUAUCCCCCAAGAGUUUGUACCUGUGAUCGUCCAGGUACCCCUUCGAUGCUUGUGAUCAUCCAAGUAUCCCCCAAGAGUUUGUACCUGUGAUCGUCCAGGUACCCCUUCGAUGCUUGUGAUCAUCCAAGUAUCUCCAAAGAGUUUGUGCCUGUGAUCGUCCAGGUACCCCUUCGAUGCUUGUGAUCAUCCAAGUAUCCCCCAAGAGUUUGUACCUAUGAUCGUCCAGGUACCCCUUCGAUACUUGUGAUCAUCCAAGUAUCCCCCAAGAGUUUGUAUUUGUGAUCAUCCAAGUACUAUCUCCCAACAAACAGAUGCCCUGAGAAAGGUCGGCGCAUCUCCCGUCAAGGCGACCGAAGAAAGGUUCGGGUCCUAGACAAAACAACUUAUUGCUCUAACAGGCGACCGAAGAAAGGUUCGGGUCCUGGAAAAGCAAUUCCCCGUCAAGGCGACCGAAGAAAGGUUCGGGUCCUAGACAAAACAAACUUAUUGCUCUAACAGGCGACCGAAGAAAGGUUCGGGUCCUGGAAAAGCAAUUCCCCGUCAAGGCGACCGAAGAAAGGUUCGGGUCCUAGACAAAACAAACUUAUUGCUCUAACAGGUGACCGAAGAAAGGUUCGAGUCCUGGAAAAGCAAUUCCCCGUCAAGGCGACCGAAGAAAGGUUCGGGUCCUAGACAAAACCAACUUAUUGCUCGAACAGGCGACCGAAGAAAGGUUCGGGUCCUGGAAAAGCAAUUCCCCGUAAAGGCGACCGAAGAAAGGUUCGGGUCCUAGACAAACUAACUUAUUGCUCCAACAGGCAACCGAAGAAUGGUUCGGGUCCUGGAGAAGCAAUUUCCUCAUGCAACAGGUAAGAUGACAUCUUGAUACUUGCCAAACUCGGGGUUCACACCCUAUCUCACUCACUCCCGGUAAGUAACUACAGGUAUCUUCUUAUCUGUCUCAGUAUAUGUAAAGUUAUAUUGCUCUUUUUUCCGCAUAGAAUAAUAGGUCCCAAAUAAAGUAUAAUCUGCUACGCAUGCAUGGAUAAAAUUGAGAUAUCAGUCUGUCUUUGAAUGCAACCUCUGCGAGCUCACCUUCAAAGAGGGGCAGCUGUUGACACCUCAAUUUUAAUUAGGUUAAUUUUAUUUUAUUAAUUAAAUUUUUAUUUUAUUUAUUUUGUCUUUUUCGGAAUAAUAAACAAAUAACAAAAACAACAAAAAAUAAAUAAAAACAAAGGAAAAAGCAAAAGCAACAUCCCCCCCUUUUUUUCACGUGGGCUCGCACGACCUGGCCCCCCCCCCCUUUUUCUCCUUCUUCUUCCUUCUUCUUCUUCCUCGCUCCUUCCUUCUCCGCCUCUGUAGUUCACGUGCAGCAACGACGACGCGCUCGAAGACAACCUAUGGCCGAGGAGGGUAGGCCGACGUCGGCCAGAAGAGACAGAUCUCGGGCGCCAUCAUGGAUUUCCUUCAAUGCCGAGCACGCCUUGUGGAGGAGCUCGGAUGGGAUGUUGGUUCGGUCGGCGGAGGCGGUUCGGCGUGCGAAGAUCGGCGGUCGAAGCUCCAUCGACCGGCCGCCCCCUCGCCUAUAAAUAGGCUUCUCCCGAUGAUGGCAAAGCACGGCGAGCUCGGAGACUUUCCCUUGAGAGACUUCAAGGGAGACUCAAAGAGCGAGCGCGCGAGAGAAAUCCGGUCGCGAACUCGAACGACCUCCCCCCGAGAGACUUCGGGGGAGGCCGACGACAAGCGAACCUGGAGAGAGAGGAACCGAAACAGAGAUCGAAAGCUUGCGAGCACCGGAAGCUUCCCUCGAGAGACUUCGAGGGAGGUCCGAACGCCCGCAAGCCCAGAUCUGUGAGCAAUCGAGGCCGGAAGAGAGGAGAGAGUUCCAGAUCCGCGAGGAGGGGCUGGAGAGAAGAGAAACCAGAAGGAGCCGCCUCGAGCUGUACCGCCGUCCUCCGACACUGAUUGCUUCAGCACCUACCCGCCGUUGCCAUCCCCUUUCGUCAGAUCUGCUGCAGCGAAGCUGCUGCCUGUUGCCAGCUACUGCUUCCGCCCCCUCAACGCAGAUCCAUCCCCGCGGACUUACUCCCCCGCCGUGCCGCGUCGACCAAAGCCACGCCAGGCACCGACUGAUGCAGCUCACCGCAGCUGCCUGUCGCCGCCGUUCGCCGCGUCGCCGGCGUCGAGUCAUCACCCGGUGACGUCCCAGCCAAGCCCCACCUCGGCGCCGCAAAUCGUCGAGCUCUAGGGUUCCCAAAAUCCGGUUCUACGAAGGAGAAGCCGGGUCGGAAAGCGGGUCGGGCAUGGGUCAGCGAUCGGGUAGGGUUUCCCCCCCCCCCCCCCCGAUGUGGGCCUGCGCGUGUGGGCCGGUUAAUCCCUGGAUUUUUUUUUUUAACGAAAAUGGGCCUUGGUUAGUUCAUGGGCUUGGAAAAAGAAAAAAAGGGAGAAAAAUCUGUGUCGGGCCCGCGUUGCGAGCCCGUCCGCGUGCGGGUCGCCGGCCCGGGUCGAACCCAACCCACGGAUCCGACCCGGGCCGGUUUUUAUAAUAUUUUGAAUAAAUAAAUAAUUUAUUUUCCAAAAAAAACAAAAAUAUAUAUUUUCUUUUCGAAAAAUAUUAAAAAAUAUUUUAAAUUUUCAAAAAAAGACAAAAAUAUCCAAAAAAUAUUUUAUUUUCCAAAAAUACUAAAAAAUGUUUUAAUUUCCAGGAAAUCGAAAAAUAAUGAUAAAAAUAUUUUAUUUUCCAAAAAAUCAAAAAAAAUAUUUCAUAUUUUCCACAAAAUGCCAAAAAUAAAAAAAAAGCCAAAAAUUCAUGAAAAAGCCAAAAAAUUCAUAAAAAGCCAAAAAGACUUGUAUUUUUCCAAAAAAAAAAUACCAAAAAAUCCCUUUUGUGUCCAAAAAAAUUAGAAAAUGACUUAAAAAAUGUUUGUCCUUCCAAAAUGCGUGGAAAAUCCCUCGAACAUCCAAAAAGCCUCAAGGUUUAAACAAGAUUAGGUACCGAAAGGGCAUUAGUGAUUAAUUAGUGUAAUCAAGUCCCCGAUCCUAAUUUCUCUGGUUGCGCAGGAGCGAGUAUUUCUCCCGAUACUUCGCUUGGGUUUCUAAUCAACCUACCCCAAAUUGAUUAGUGGCGACUCCAUUUUAAAAAUCAACUUGCAGGUUAAAAACUUAGACUAUUAAAGUCGUGAAUUGGUGGACUUGGGAGAGUCCGGGCAUAAUUAAAUCCAACCGAGCCAUUAGCCUCCUUUAGGCGCUCGCCCCUGAUGUGGGCGCCGAAAAAAAAAGAGGUCGCGACAAAUGUGGACCAAAUGAUCCUACUUCUAAGAAGCUCUAGGACAACAGCGACAUCCUCCUCGAUGGCGGGCAACACCAACACCACAACAACCCCCAUGGUGGUGGUCGUCUCCGUCGCAAUGGUCACUUAAGACCGCCGUAAUUGAGUCUCCAAUUCCAACUCCAACUCUCACUCCGGUAUUGAACCAUGAGAGUUCGCCAUCUUCGUAUUCCAUGAGUUCCGACCUCCACCAGUACAUGCUGUAGUCCUCAUCAAACAGUACAUGAGUAUUAUGCAAGAUUUAUUGCCAAGUUAAUAGGUAAGAGCAAAUAAAAGCUACAGAAAUUAGCAACAACAGGAUGGAUAAAUACCUGCAUUCCAGGUCUCAAUAUAAGAACACUCCUUCCAUAACGAUCAUGAAAACUUGCUCUGUAUACUUUUCCAGUUUCACCUUCAAUAGCAACUUCUUCCUGUUUUAGUAAGCAUCACAUUGUCAAAUGGAAGCAUUAUUCAGCGUCCCAAUAAGUACUAUUGCAUGUCUAACACAACCUGCUCAUUAGCCAUAUUGUCAACUAAAACGGUCUAAAUGAUGAUUUUGGAAACAGCAUGAGUCAAAAAAUAUAUUGGGACACUUAGUGUCCCUUGAACAAUAAACUCUCCAACACCUAAUGCUUCAUAUCACUGCAUCAUGGCAGUCUCAUAGAAGACACAAAAGUUGAGAGCCACUCAAUUAUUGUUGACUAACACCAAUCCUGCAUUCGCAUUCAUUCAGAAAAUCAGUUCUUUUCCAUACCAGGAACUUAGUCUACAAAAUAAAAUUAAUUAUCAGGUCAACACAAUAGUUAGGGUAACAAGGAUCGGAUGUCUAUUGAAGUUUAACAGGCAACAGCCAUCGGCAUAAAUUAUCUAUCACAAUACUCGCGCAGGUAUUCAUUCACCGGGACACUUAGCCAUCUUACCCAGCUGAUUUCCUCAGGCUUAAGAGUUGAUCUCCAUUUCAGUGUCUCAUCUCUUUGCUUUAUCUAUGUUCCAGUUUCAAGCUUCCAAGUAUCUCCUCAAGCAUGCAUCAUCACAAUACUUCAAACUUCGCCCAGAGAGUGGUCCCAUAGCUUUCUUAAGUCAUUCACCUACAUGCAAAUGGACUUAAAAUGUAACUGUAUUUCUCCAAUAUUCUAGGAAGGAACAUUGAUUAUCAUUCCACAACUCUAGAAAAUCAAUGCAUCAUGAGACAUUAAACACAUAUAUGAAAGGGGUACACAUCUCUGGCUCAGGGACUUUUUCUUCUUCCACAAUAAAGCAAAACACAAAUUCAGAGAAAGGGAACAGAGAUGCAGAAAGGAACUUGAAAACUCAAUGGCAACAUGGUAAUCAAACAAAAAGUCCAAAUCUCAUCCUGAGAAAUACUGUUCUUAGAUAGAGUUCCAGAAAGGAGAAACAAAUGGCACAUUCCAUGAAAUAGAAGGAUGACAGACCAGACAUUUACAAAGGAAAAUUCUCACAGAGACCAUGGAAAUGAAGCAGACAAUACGUCAAGCAUUCCGGAUGGAGUAAAAAAUCAAAUUGAUGUUUAUUAUCUAAACAAUCAUUUUGAGCACGUUGAUACACGUGGUUAAUCUGCAGAUUGCAUGAAAGCCAAAAACACUUGUUGGUUUCGACGCUUGGCCCUUAAGGUUGAUGAAAUCAAAAUCCAGGGAUACGAUAAAACGAGCCUACCUUUGCUCCCCACCCUAUUCCACAUGAAGAAAUUGUAGAAGGUGGAGACCAUGAGCCGUCUUCCCUACGAGCAACCACAAGGUCGGUACCAUCAUACCAACUUUCACAACAGUAAUAAUUGCAAGGCCUUUUUGCUUGUCGUAAAAUGGCAUCAGAAAUUGCCUUCUCAGGUUUUAGUGAAAACACCUGAGCAAUCAGAAUGCAUCAUAUAAUAAGCUUAAUAAUCACACGAGAAGUGCAAGAGAACCUAAUCAACGUACCUCCUGAGCUUCUUAGAAGCAGGAUCAUAGGCUUCACCACCAACGUUAGCCCCAUCAACCUUCGCAGCCUCGACCCAGCCGUCGGAUGACGAUCCAGGCUCCUCCUUGUCGCCGGACCCGUCAACUAUCUCCGCGGACCCAUCUCCGGGGGAGUCAACGAGCACGUCAGCGAGGAACCUAUCGCAGAACUCCUGGCUCGAAUCAGCCCUAAUCCCGCCACCGGCAACUCUACCGUCCUCGUUGUCCUUCAUCAGGAUGUUCUCGAUGAACCACGAGAGCCCCGAGCCUGGAGACGAUGACAACGCGUUCGUCGAGGAGCAAGCGCCGAUGACGUCGCUGGCCUCAGGGAGGUCGCCGAAGAAGCCGUCGAGCAUAUGCAACUCCAGAUCCAUCAUCAGAACACUAGGGGAAAAAACCAACAAAACAAAAAAGGGGGGAAAAGAAGAUGAAGGCGACGAUGGGAGAUCUCUACAAAAACAUCUUAUUUGCUCGCGGUGGUUCGCCGGUCGGAAAGAGGGAGGGCAGAGAGAGAGGGAGGUCGCGGUCCUCUCGCCAGUCUCGUGUAGUGGUUCCUCGAUUGCUCGCGGUCCUCUCGCCGGUCCCGUGUGGUGGUUCGUCGGUCGGACAGAGGGAGGGCAGAGAGAGAGAGGGAAGGAGGUCGCGGUCCUCUCGCCGGUCCCGUGCGGUGGUUCGCCGGUCGGAAAGAGGGAGGGAGCUAGGUCUCGCGGUCCUCUCGCCGGUCCGGUGCGGUGGUUCGUCGGUUGCCGGUCGGAAAGAGGGAGGGCGCAGAGAAGCCUCUUCUUCUCCUUCCUCUCGCCCUCCCCCACGAAGUCUCGUAACCACACGGAUUUCGGCUGCGGCUGCAACUGCUGCUGCUGCGCGGCGUAAUUCUCCUUGUCCCCGCUGAGCGUGCCGCCCGCGGUGUCGUGAAACGCCUCGCCGUUCCUCAACGACAGCGGCGGAGGGUUCACCGCCCUCCUCGGCCUCAGAUUCCACGGCCGCCGCGCCGCUUUGGCCUCCUCCGCCUUCCCGUCCUCGCUCACAACGCCGCCGCCUCCUCCGCCGGCCGCACGGCUCAGGCGCUGCCCCUCCGGAGGCGGGGGCUGCUCGUGGGGUGGGGUUGGGAUGCGCUGAGAAAAGGAAACAGAGAGGAGGUGCAGCUCGUUCUCUGCUCUUCACGAGGAGAGAGAGAGACGAAACCCAAAAUAUUCAAGUGAGGAGAGAAAUUUUAAGCGGGAGUCGUCCUUUCUUCUGCCAGCCGAGCUGAGCCGAGCCACCAGCCCAGAGUUAUUUCGGAGAGAGGAGAGAGACAGAAGCGCAGAAGAUGGAGAGACGCGAGAGGAGAGAGACUGAGUUAUUUUCUCCUCUGACGUCCUCGCCUACGUGGCGCCACGUGUCGAUCACUGAGUGGUUUUACCCACCGCCUACGUGGAGGGUAAAACCCACCCAAUAUUUUCUCGCAUUUUGGAGGCGGUAGGGCCCAAAAGGCAAUAUUAGUAUAAAGAAAUGGUGGAGGGGGUCCACUUAUUUCAAUCGAAAAUUGCAUGGCCAGUUGCGGGCCGGGGAUUUUGCUCUUCCGUCCAACAGCACCUUUGACCAUCUCUUCAACAGCUACUUUGAAAAUUGCAAUUCUGAAAAAAAAUAUUCAAAGCUUGCUGAAGGAUUCGGUUUCCGACUUCUUGAUAUUUUACAAGCGUGGUCAUAAACUGCCAAUACUCUGAAGAAUUUUGCCAACAUACGAAUGGAUUAAUAAAUUACCAACUUUUUAUCAAUAUUGUAAGGGAUUUAGUAAUAUCCAAAUAAAUUAGAUUUAUCAAUGUCAAAAUAAAUUAGAAAAUUAUUUAUUUUUUUUUUUAAAUUAGACAUGGUUCAUAAGUUUUUAGCGAUGUUAUUAAUUUACUUAUGUCAGAUUAAUUUGUAAGUAACCUCUUAGCCUAGUUAGUUAGGAUCCUUUGAUUCCACCUUCAAAUGCAUGUACUCAAUUCGGGCUUACUCGACUUCAAGGGAGGCUUUCCUCCUGGCGCCCCAUGAGGAUCUAUUAAUUUCUUUCAUUGAUCGAUAUACUUCAAUUUUUGUCCAUGAGGAUCUGUUAAUUUCUUUACUUGAUCGAUAUACUUCAAUUUUUUUCCUAAAUAAUCUAUUUUUCAGUAUAGAAUUUGCAUAUCAUGGAUAUACAUGUAAUUUGUACCUUUUUAACUAGAAUUUUUUCUAUAUUCACAAUCAAUACAAAACAACCUCUAUUGUGACACUGCAAUAUUUAUACAUAUAUGCUGACUAUCCAAUUAUGUUAGGUUAUUUAAAUUUCAGAGUACAUGAGUAAGUAUAUUUCAUAUACCAUUGAUUAAAAUUAUUUUUGUUUUGGGUGACUUACCGAAUUAGGAGGGUUGCUUUUUUAAGAAUAUUGGCUGCUGUUAGUCGUAAAACAAUUUGUACGAAUUUGGGACUAAAUAUAUAAUUGCGUAUGGUCAUGCACACAUUAACGUGACACUUUCAAGCUUUUUCAGCAAUUCCUUUUUAAUUUCUAUUUUACUAGGUAUCAUAUACCUGAAUAAAAAGAUAUUCUUUACUUGAAUAAUUUUAGCAUUCAGUUAUGAAGUCGCCCUACCAAUUCAAUUAUAUAUGUAAUUCAAAACCUGCACAUCGUCACAGGAUUAAUAGAUAUAUGUCUAUUUAAUAUCAAUAAGGUGUCUAGAACUCUCUGAGCAUCCAACUAAUCUCUAUUUGGUGUGAUGGUCCCUCCAUCUCACACACGUCAGGUAAUCACCGGAGACUUACAAAAGUGUGCUUAUGGGAGUGGCCACAAGAGAAUGUCCAAGUAUAGUGAUUUGAUCACAAGCUUUGACAAGAAAGAUAAACACACUUGCCACCUAUGAAGCACGGACACGUUGCCCGUGCUUCCAUGUCGUGUCCAACACUUGUCUGAGCGUGUCGGACACGUCAACACGCUAGGACACGGUCGGACACGCAGUCAACGCAUGUCGGAUUUUCCGACACGCGGUCAACGUUUCUCGACACAUUUUGACACGCAUGUCUGGAAGACGAUGGAUGGUAGAGGCAAGGGAGGGCGAGGGAGCAGAGAUGAGGCCGCGAGCGACGGUGAGAGAUGGCAAGAGAAAGAGCCAAACAAAGAGAAAGAAGAGAGAGAAAGCAAACUCCCUUAGAGUCAUAAUCAAAACAUCACAGCGUCAUGGCCUAGUGCGGUUGCAAAGAAAACUGAUCUCGGGCCUAUUUGGCUCGCGGUUUACUGACCAAAUCUACGAGAACCUUCAUAGAUAUUUUGAUGCGUAUUCAUAGAUCAUAUUCAUUCUCAGGUGUAAUUCCACUCCGAGGGCAGGUAUUUCUUUUAGGGAAUGAGCUUGACUAAAGUAGGGGCAAAUCUUUUUCAUUAGGGGCCUUAUUAGUGAUUCCCUCUUUUUGGUCCCCGGCCGACUAUUCUCUCCAUCGGUGAUAACAUAAUUCGACGUUGAGUUUUGUCAUCUGCUGUCACGGUUGCACCUCAUGGAGAAAUUUACUAGUUUCUUCUUGCUAUUCAUAAUGACUAUUUGACAUAUCGAUACAAGAGCAUAUUUAUUUUUCUAUAUGUCAUAUGUAGGUUAGGCUAGACGUUCGUCAAUAUGUACGUGUGAAUUGUAUUAAAAAAGUCUCACACCGGAUAAUUGAUGUGGUGUGAUUAGUUAAUUUAUCCGAGUUAAUCUAUAACUUAUUGGCUUAAAUUUUUUAGCUCAAAGUAGAUAUGUUGAUAGGUUCAAAUUUGGACUCUCUCUUGGCGACCACCCUGAACUCCCAAUGUGUGGUGUUUGGUAAAUAUCUCAAGGAACUCAAUGUGCAUCAAUAUUUGGUAAGUAUCUUAAGAAAGAAAUCUCGUGAUCAGUGGUUUUCGAGCAGCCUAGUGUUGUGGUGCAGCAUUGCAUUCUCGAUGGCAGUUCGAGAUGAAGGUUGGCAUUGUUGUAGUUGUUGUGACCUCACACGCAACAAAGUGGAGAUUCACAUGUGAAUUAAUGUAGAACAUACCUAAUAUUGAACUCACACCUGAAUGAGUGGGAGAUUGUUGAGUUGCACAUUUGCAUUGUAUUAAAAAAGUCUUACAUCAGAGAAUUGAUAUAGUAGCUAAUAUAUCAUAGUUAACCUAAAACUAGAUAUAUUAAAUGGCUCAAACUUAGACUCUCUUUGGCAAUGUCCUCAAGUGAAGCUAUCAAGCGUCCAACAGUUUUUGAGGUCAGUAGCUUUUUCCAAUGGCAUGCUUGAAAGGCAAUCGGAAGGUUUGAAGGCAAUGGUGCGGCUACAUUGUGCCUCUUAAUAGACUUUGUGAAGGUAUCAAAGUACAAUAGACAAUCAAGGACAGUUGCCUCGUAGAAGGAAGGAAAAAUAAUACAAAUAAUUCAUGAACUUUGGUCCAAUAUACAAUGUCAUCUUUAAUUUGUUUAACUUGGUUCAUGAACUAUUGGUAAAUGUUCAGUGUUAUCUUUGAACUUCUAAUUUAUUCAAUGUGACCUUUAAACCAUUGGUAAAUAUUUAAUAUAGUCAUUCUGUUUGUUCAAACAACAAUAUGAUGACAUGGAUUAUUAUAUUAUAUGCUGAGUUGGAUUUUUAAAAUUAAUGAGUCAAUAUAUCCGUCUUUUAUCCGUCUACUUUAAAAAAGGAAACAAACAAAUUAGGGACUUCAAAUAUCCCACGUGCAAAUUUCUUUUCCUAAUUUGAGAUAAAUAUUUUACGUGGAUAAUCCAUAUAUAAUUUGUCUACCAUUCAUAUUUAAUGGAAUGGAAGUCACGUAUUCCAUUAACUUGAAUUAACGAAAAGAUGACAUUAAAUAAUUUGAUAUAGUUAGGGAAUUAGAUUGAACAUUUAUUAGUAACUCAAAGUUCAGGACUACAUUGAACAUUUACAAAAGUUUAGACAUUAUAUUUAACAAAUUAAAAGUUCAUAAGUAACAUUGCAUAUUGAAUCAAAUUUUAAGGACCAUUUUUGCUUCAUUUUUCCUUAUAAGGAAAGUGAAAGUAGGAACGUCCUCUUUGGUUUCUUUGCAUCUUGCAAGGUGCUUCUCCUCCGUGAACCACCACUUGCAUGCACGACUGACGUACCACGCGUUUUCCAGUUGUCUUGUAGAUGUUUCAAACAUAUUUACCUUAUUAUUUGAAGAAGAAUAUCAUGUCAUAAUGAACAUAGUACAAGACACUAUAUAAUUUUUUUCAUUAAAUCUUUACUUAUCAAAGGCCGGCGAGUUAUUUCUCGAUCGAUGGGAGAAAUGGGCCAAAAAAUUGGGAAAAUCCAGUUGAAUAGAACCCGGUAUGUGUUGAUCAAAUAUUGAUCCAUUUGAAAUGACAUGGGUCGAAGUCCCAUAGAAUGUGGUGGAAGACUAAACAAGGAGUCGUAAAGGGAAGGUGGUGGGGGAAAGAGAGAGAGAGAGAGAGAGAGAGAGAGAGAGAGAGAGAGAGAGAGAGAGAGAUUUCUUUAGUGCAAGAUGAUUCUUUCAUAAUUUUUCUUUAGUGCAAGAUGAUUCUUUCAUAUUUUUAUUUUUCUUUAUUUAAAGGUUCCAAAGUGAAGAAAGGAUACGAUGGUUGAAGGAUUUUUUUUCUCGUCUUUCAGUUCAAAUACUUGGCUUCCAUGAUAGAGGAUUCUUUUUCCCUUCAUUUAAAGGUUCCAAAGCGAAGAAAUGAUGAGACGGUUGAGGAAUUUUUUUCUCAUCUUUCAGUUCAGAUACUUGGUUUCCACAAUAGAGGAUUCUUUUCUUCAAGCCUAGGGAUUCUUCCUCAAAUUAUUCAAAUUAUUAUUUUCUUCUUCAAAGUCAUCAUCUCCUUCCAACGCUAAAUCCAAACCCCAUGUCUCCCACCACGCUGACAUCUUAAUAAGCCACAGAUUAAACUAAUUCCUGCCGGUGAAGAUCUCUAACUCAAAUUUUCUAGAAGCCAUAGCGAUAAUUGCAUACAGACAAAAUAACCCUAGGCUUUGAUACUAGUUUUACAACUAAUGCGCAAACAAGAACAAAUGAAAAUGACUUAAGUAAAAUAUAAAUUGCAUAAAUAAAACCUGAACGCAGCGGAUUUACUUUGUCCAAUGGUAAAACCUACUUUAUGGGGAAAGUUAACAAGGUGGUUUCAUGAUAAUCGGCGAAAAAUGGAUUACGACCGCUCAAUUACACUCACUCAUAAGUGUUUCUCAAUCAUAGAGUUUCACAAGAAUCAGUCACAAGAAAUGAGUUUUCUCACACUCUCAGCUCUCUCGGAUGAUGAUUCUCAAUAGUCUCUAUGUCUCUCACAAGCUUUUAUACAUAUUAAGCACACUCAACAUGCUCAAAAGACCAACUGACCAAUAAAAUAGUUAUAUGCAAAGAAAUUAUCAGCCCGUAUUUGAUGACAACAUUGAUUUCAUCUUCAAUAAUGAAAAGAGUUAUUGUGAGAAAUUAAUGUCCCUUGUUGCAUCACCCACACUCCGAUUGGCAAGAGUCCAAUUUGGACUUCCUAAUAUGGCCUGAAUUGCUUUGCAAUUAAAUUAUGGGUCGAAUAUCAAAUCAAUCGGGAUUAACUUGGAUUCAUAAUCAACACAUAACAACGUCAUGGCUGAGUGCAUUUGAAGAGGCAAUUGAUCUCAAGCAUACUCGGCAAACUGAAUGUUAGCAAACAUCAGUUUAAGGGAGGGAUUGUUAAUAUAAUAGUUAUUUCCUUUUGCACGUGUUGUUGAUUUGGUUGUUCAGUUAUUAGAGUUAGUGGAGUCAUGUGUGUUGGUUAUCCUAGUUUUUAGGUGUUAGUGGGACAAGUGCUUUAUGGAGAACAUGGGUAGUUAUAGUUAUGGUGUGUUUUACGUUAUGUAUUUUGUCUUUUGUAAAAGACUUGGUUGUUCAGUACGUAAGAUGUUUUUUUAGUCUCAUCUCUCCUCCUUUUUAGCAAUUUAACAAAAUCUACAGGAAUAUUCGUAGAUAUUUUUAUGCUUAUUCAUGAAUCAUAUGUAUUCUUAGGGGUAGUUCCUCUGAGGCGGGUAUUUCUUUCGGUUAACGAAUUUGACUAAGAUAUAAGUAGGUGCGAAUAUUUUUCAUUAGUGGCCUUGUUAGUAAUUCCGGUUUUUUUGGUCCCUGGCCAACUAUUUUGUCAUCCGGUGACAACAUGAGUCAAUCUUGAGUUAUGUUGUCUACUGUCGCGGUUACACCUCUUGUAGAAAUCUACUUGCAAGGUGCUUUCAUUGGUCCCUUCUCUGAGAACCAUCACUUGUGUGCUCGGCCAGGGUACUGUAUGUUUUCCGUUAGUUCUUGUAGAUGUUUUAAAUACAUUUAUCCUAAUUUUAGAAGAAGAAUAUCGUGUCAUCGGGAACAAAGUAUAAGACACUGUAUGUUUCGUCACGUCAAAUUUUUACUUACCAAAGGCCAGAGUUAUUUCUCGAAGGGAGAAAUGUCAAAAAAACAAAAAACAUAAAAUAAAAUAAAAAACAAUAACAAAAGCGACAAUCCAGAAGGGUAGAACCUGCUUCAUAUUGACCCCAAAUCCGAUCUCCCCCAUUUGGCACGUCGAAGUCGUAGAAAUCACGAUGGAAGAUUAAAAGAGCAGUACAAGUGAAGAGAGAGAUUGAAAGAAGAAGAAAGGCGGCAGAGAUUUCUUUCGUGAAAGAUGAUUCUUUCAUAUCUAUAUUUUCCUGUUUCGAGGAUACUUUUUCGCUUUAUUUAAAGGUUCCAGGGAGAAGAAAUCAUGAGACGGGAGGAUUCUUUCAUUUAUUCCCUUCAUGUUGAGGAUUCUUCCUCACCUUUCAGUUCAGAUACUUGUCUUCUAUGACAGAGGAUUCUUUUCCUCCAGCAUGGGGGAUCCUUCUUCAAAUUAUUCUUUUCUUGGCCGAGGAAAAAUGAGAUGGUCUUCACGACCUUUCUUGGCCAACACCUUCGUAUAUAUUUUGGGAGUUUCACUCCAUCUCAUUCAGACAUCUGUCGCAUUUCCUAUCUCGAAUUUUCACCGUCCUUCACUGUCUUCUUCCAGCCAUUAGCGAUCUCUCUCUCUCUCUCUCUCUCUCUCUCUCGUUCAUUGUAUUCAUCCUAUUGAACCUUUCCUCUUCUUCAGUCGUUUCGUUUUCGGGAUCCAUCACUUCAGCCUUCCUCAGUAUAUAUAAAUUCUUGACUUCCAUUUCUCUCCAAAGAGGAAGGAAAGAAAAUCAGAAAGAAAUAAAAAAGCGGGAAAAUGGCGGAUAUUGUUCAGUCUAUAGCUUCCAAAGUGGCGGAAUACCUGGCGGCUCCAAUUGGUCGUCGAUGCGGCUACCUGAUAUUCUCCAACAGCUACGUUGGCCAACUGAAGGAAGAACUUGAGAAGCUGGAUGACGCGAUGGUUGGGCUGCAGCGCUCCGUCGAUGAUGCUGAAAACAACAUGAGGGAGAUAAAACGCGAAGUUAACAGAUGGAAGAAUGAUGCAGAGACUGUUGCCAACAAGGCACGCGGCAUGCUGGAUGACGAGGGAAGAGCCAAGAAAACUUGCUUCUGCGGGUGGCUUCCCAACCCAAAGGAGCGUUAUUGUCUCGGCAGGGACGCGAGGAAGACAGCCCAGGCCAUCCAGGCACUCAUCCCACAAGGUAAAUUCGAGAGGGUCUACUAUGAGAGUGAUCCACCGGGGCGUGUCGCUGGCACUCCUGAUGUGAAUUCGUCAGCUGGUGAUGGGGGUGACACUAUUGUGGACUCGCGAGCUUCCGUCUUUCAGGGCAUAAUGAAAGUUCUGGAUGAUGAGAAGCUAAGAGUGAUUGGGGUCUACGGGCCUGGCGGUGUGGGGAAGACUAAGCUAUUGGAGGAAGUCGAGAAGAACCUCAGUAAAGAGAAGGGACCGUUCCACAUGAUCGUUAAAGCAAAAGUGUCGCAGAUUCCUGUCUCGAAGAAUAUCCAAGAUGAGAUCGCUGACGCCUUGAAACUGGAUCUGAAGGACGUGCAAAGCGAAAGCGGCAGGGCAAAUCGUCUGAUGGAGAGAUUACAGCGGGAUCCAAGUGAGAAGGUUCUCAUAAUAUUGGAUGACCUAUGGGGGGAACUUGAUUUGAACGCGGUUGGAAUUCCUUCAAGAGACAUUAACGGGAAAUGCAAAUUGUUGCUCGCAUCGAGAUUUGAAGAUGUGCUGAAGAAAAAGAUGUCUGCCAAUAAAACAUUUUUUCUUGGAGGCCUAAACAACGACGAAGCUUUCGGGCUAUUUGCAAAGACGGUCGGCAACAGGCUCGAAGACGAUAAGGAUUUGAAAGCAAUAGCAGCUCAAGUGGUCAAGAAGCUUGCAGGUUUGCCUCUUUUGAUUAUCUCCAUUGCAAAAACCUUGAAAGAAAGCCCUGUGUCCGCAUGGAGAAUCGCACAGAUAGAAAUAGAUGAGUCAACUAAAGAAAUACAAGAAACGAUAGUGAAGUUGAGUUAUGGCCAUUUGACGACUGAGGACGCGAAGUGCUUAUUCUUGCUCUGCGGUCUUAUUGGCGGGACCAUUCAUGUCGAACUUCUAUGGGUAUUAGGCAUGGGGUUGGGCUUGUUUGAAAAAAUUAAUGAGACGAUACAAAAUUCAAGGGAGAGAUUGAAUAAUAUUCUGGAUAGCCUCCGUUCCAUUUGUUUGUUGCAGGAUGGAGGCGAUGAUAAGAAAAAUGUGACCAUACAUGAUCUUUACAGUGAGGUGAUCAUCUCAAAUGCAUUUAGUGAUCAGAAUUGCUUAAUUAUUAACAGCGAUUAUGGCUCAUGGCCGAGGGAAAAGCUUGAGAAAUGUUGGGCAUGCUUAGUGAAUGUUGGCAAUGGUAGGCGUGCUGAACUAAUGUUGCGUCAGUUUCCCCAUGUGAAGAUACUUAUGUUGUCGGAACAAUACGAUAUGCGAGAUUGCAGUAGAAUGGAUUUCACAUAUAUGGAGGAGCUCCGAGCCCUAUAUCUUUGCUCCAUGCAUAUCACCAGUUUACCUUCCUCGAUGGAAAUCCUCAGGAACCUCCGGUCAUUAGGUAUAAAUUGCUAUGUGGAGGAUGUGGCAAAUCUUGGCAAGCUCAAAGCACUGCGGAUUCUCAGCUUCGAUGGGUCUAUAAUUUCUAGACUGCCUAAAGAAAUCGGGAAACUAACAAAUCUGAGAUCAUUGAAUCUGAACCAUUGCUACUCGCUUAAGAUAAUCGAGCCUGGAGCCCUAAAAGGCUUAAUCGACUUGGAAGAGUUACAUAUGAAGAAAAGCUUUGAUCAGUGGAUGGGCAAGCAUGAAAUACCCUCGAAAUCGUGUCGUGUUGGGCUUGUCGAGUUGAAGAACUGGACAAAGCUAGCAUCUCUGGAAAUAUCGAUUUGUCAUCCCAUCAUACUCUUGGAGGAUGAUGACCUACCAUUUGAGAACCUGGACAAAUUUUGGAUCGACAUAGGAAAUAUUGGGUUUUGGACCGACAUACAAAGUUUUGGGUGGAGGGAAAAUGAAGGUUUGACAACCAUGCAGCUCAAUCUGGAAGGGUGCGAUAGUAUUCUUUCAAGAAAAUGGGUUAAGAAAAAUCUGCAGAAGACUCAAUGCUUAUAUUUAAGCGAGUUGAGUGAGUUCAAAGAGAGCCCUCGUGAAUUGUGCACCCAAGGAUUCCGAGAAGUGAAGUAUUUCAACAUUAAAGACAGCCCCUCAAUCAAGUACAUUGCCGGAUCAUCCAAUGGCCUCCCUCUCAUUGCUUUUGGGAAGUUAGAGUCUUUUUUCCUUGAAAAUCUUAUUAAUUUGGAGAAGAUAUGCCAUGGCCCCAUUGCGCCAGAGUGUUUCAACAAAUUGAAAGCCCUGAGGGUCAGACAAUGUGACCAAUUGAAAUACUUGUGGUGUCUUUCAGAUGUGCAAAGACUUGUACAGUUGGAAGAGAUUGAAGUGUGGAAAUGUGACUCAAUGCAAUCAAUUGUCACACACGAUGCAGGAGAAGAUAUAGUUUCUACCAAUAACAAAGUUGAGUUGCCUAAUGUACGUCAUCUAGCAUUGAAUGAGUUACCAAAUAUGACAAGCUUUUGCACCAAAGCUGAAAUCACUUUAGAGGAUAUUCCAAUCCAGGUAAUUUUCUUUCACUUUUUCCCUCUGUCAAUUUGUCCUAUUAGGAUGAGAUGAUAUUGGUGUUCACUCAACGUUAGUACAUAUUGCAUUUUAACUUUGAUUAUUCAUACAAUUUUAUUCGCGUUUUGAUUUACAAAUGAAAAAUCAUCUCAAAUAGAACACAGGUCAUAUUAUAAUUAGAGGGAAGCUGCUUUCCACAACUAAUUUUUUUUUUUUUCAACGGUAGAUAAUUGGACCGAUAACUAGGGUUUCUACUGUGACUAAUUUAUUAUUUAUUUAACAUUUUUAAUGAGUUGAAAAAAUAGUAGUGUGAUGAAUGAAUGAAAGCAAGAAUGAAUCUUGAAUGAAUAAAUAAAAUUCAAUAAUUUCAAAAUGAAGAAAGCGACGUCUAGAGAUUCAAUAAAUGGAUGGCGAGCAAGAAGCGACGUAACAAAGAAAGUCCCCAUGACUGUGCAGUUGUGCGGCACUAGCAGCAUGAUAGUGGUGAAGAUAUCAUCAUGAAAAUCAGAAGAGAAAUUCAUUGUUUUUUUUUUUUGUAUUUUAGCUCGAGAGUUUCACUUAUUUUCUCGUGAAAAUAACUUGAAUUGAACAAACUCACCUUUAAUGAGUCUCAUUGUGGUGCUUUGUUAGGUUUCUUUGCCUCACUUGGAAUCCCUGGUAAUGGUUGGAUUCAUUGCCCCAGAAAAGAUACUCUAUGGUGAACCCUUAAAAAAAAACAGCAAUAUGAAAUUGCUAAGGAUAGAAGAGUCUAAAUCCACGUCGAGUAUUCCGAAAGAUCGGAUACUCAAGCUGCCAAAUUUGGAGUCAAUGAAUAUUCAUUGUCGUAAUUCAUUAAAUAAUCGGUACGAGUGAACGAAAUUCAACAAUCUCAAAAUGAAGAAAGUGAGAUUAAAUGAAUGAAAUGCGAACCAAGAGCCACGUAACAAAGAAAGUCCACCUAAUUGAUGUUUCACCUACAUGCAAGUUGCAAUUGAUUCCAACACGUCAUGACAACCUCACCGUGUCAACAUUGUUCUGCAUCCAUCAUCCCUUUCUUCAGCUACUAAGGGGAUAUUUCCUUCUCCAUUCUUUCAGGCACGACAAAAAAUAUACAUGUUCCCCACUCUGAUCAAUUAAUUUUUGAAUAAAAUUAAGUUUUUGACAUUCUUAAGAGACAUCAAGCCCAUUCAUGCAUUCAAUAUCCAUUUGUUUCAUUGAAAAUUCAUUAUUGUUGAAAAAAGUUUUCUUGGUAAAUCGUUUUUCUAGAAAAUGAAUUGUUUUCUGUAUUUGGUUCUACCGAAAACGUAAUUUGAAAAGAUAUUUUAUGAUGUUUAUUAACGAAGCACAAAAAUUUACAAAGUGAAGACAAAAACUGUUAUGGAUCCUUAAUAGAAAAAAGCCCGAAUAAGUCAUAUUUACUUGUUCUUAAUGAAAACCAAUAAGUUAACAAAAAAUUUAUGAAAAAUUGAACUUUGAUAUGAUUUUGUUGUCAAUUUUGAAGUUCAAAAUAGAAAAAACAAAAGAAAAGAUAACCAAAUUAUGGUAGUUGUUUUGAAGAUGGGUAAAUGAUUUCAAAAGAAAAGAUAAAAAAUUAUGGUCAUAGUUUUCAAGAUCAGCUAAAGAAAAGAUAAAAAAAAAAAGAUGAUGACAGUUGAGAGAGAGAGAGAGAGAGUGUGUGUGUUGUGCGAUAGUAUUGCAUUUGCGACAUGAUAGUGGUGAGGAUAUCCUCAUGAAAAUGAUCCUUUUUCACAGGGAAUUCAUUUUUUCUGUAUAGUCAUUUUCUUGUAUCCAUGAGAAGUUUGAAAGCAAUUUCCUAAAAAUAGCUUUACUUGAAAGAAACUCACCUUUAAUGAGUUUCAUUGUGGUGCUUCAUUAGGUUUCAUUGCCUUGCUUGGAAUCCCUGGUGAUGGUUGGACUCCUUGGCCUAGAAAAGAUACUCUAUAGUGAACCUUCAUUAAAAUACAAUAAUCUGAAAUCGCUAGAGAUAGAGGAGUCUACAUCCACGUCGAUUAUUCUGAAGGAUUGGAUACUGAAGUUGCCGAAUUUGGAGUCAAUGAAAAUUGCACGCACUCCAUCUGUAGAAGUAGUUUUCGACCUAGAGGAGCUAAAAGUCAUCAAAGAAGUGGAGAUUCUCUCUCGGCUAAGUACAUUGCAAUUAUCUAAGUUACCAAACCUGCGGCACAUGUGGAAACAAAAUGUACAACUACAAGGAAUAUCGAUACUUCAUAACUUGAAGAAGCUCUUUAUCAAAAAUACAGGACUAUCAUUUCUCUUUCCGCUGUCUGUGGCUAAAUGUCUUAGAGAAAUUAGAGACAUUAAAGUGGUGAAUUGUCCAAAUAUGAAGGCGGUGAUUGUUGAUGAAGAAGGAAGAGAUGAUGGGAUAGAUGAUAUUGUAGAGUUCCCAUUAUUGGAGCGACUAUCUAUAAGCCGCUGUCCCACGGAGAAAUUCUUCUCACAUCCUCAUGGAACAAAAGAGUCAAUAACCACUACUUCAGAUUCACAAGAUACUUAUUUGGAUUCCUUCUUUGAUCAAAAGGUAUGAAUCCUUUCUUUAGAGCUUACGCCCAUAAUAGACACCCAUAAUAGUCAUAGGCACGCGAUUGGUGGGGCAAGUAUUAAUAUUUUUUUUUGAAGAUUUUUUUUAUUUGGCUUAUUAGUUAAAAUGUUUUUAUAAUUUAUAGCUACACUUGUUAGAGUAAGCCCAUUGAUGAAAAUUCUAUCCUCCACCGCAUUAGAUAGAUCGGUAUAUGAUUAGGUCAAAUUGUAAAAUUUUUCAUAGCUACCAUAUAAUGUACAACUCUUAUGAGCAGAUAAGUUUACCAAGCUUGGAGAAGUUAACACUCCACUCGCUAGGAUCCUCUUGCCGUGGCUAUGGGCUCGGCCUCGCCAUUGCUGGGCAAGGCGUAUGGCACAAUGAGCUUCCCAAAAGUUCCUCCGACAAAUUAGCCAAUCUCACCCCAAAACAAGAUUUGCAAUCACAAGGAACAUCAAUAUUUCAAAAUUUGAAGGUGCUCUCUAUCAACAAUACAGGGCUGUCAUUUCUCUUUUCGGUGUCUGUGGCUAAAUGUCUUAGAGAAAUUAGAGAGAUUGAAGUGGAGGAUUGUCCAAAUAUGAAUGCGGUGAUUGUUGAUGAAGAAGGAAGAGAUGAUGGGAUAGAUGAUAUUGUAGAGUUCCCAUUAUUGGAGCGACUAUCUAUAACCUACUGUCCCACGGAGAAAUUCUUCUCAUAUUCUCAUGGAAAAAAUGAGUCAAUAACCACCAGUUCAGAUUCACAAGAUACUUAUUCGGAUUCCUUCUUUGAUCAAAAGGUAUGAAUCCUUUCUUUAGAGCUUAUGCCCAUAAUAGUCAUAGGCACGCGAUUGGUGGGGCAAGUAUUAAUAUUUUUUUGAAGAUUUUUUUAUAUGGUUUAUUAGUUAAAAUGUUUUUUAUAAUUUAUAGCUACACUUGUUAGAGUAAGGCCAUUGGUGAAAAUUCUAUCCUCCACCGCAUUAAAUAGAUCGGUAUAAGAUUAGGCCAAAUUGUGAAAAUUUUCAUAGCUAUGAUCUGAUGUACAACUCUUAUGAGCAUAUAAGUUUACCAAGCUUGGAGAAGUUAAUACUCUACUCGCUAGGAUCCUCUCGCCGUGGCUGUGGGGCUUGGCCUUGCCAUUGCUGGGGGAGGCAUAUGGCACAGUGAGCUUCCCAAAAGUUCCUUCGACAAAUUAGUCAACCUCACCCCGAAACAAGAUUUGCGAUCACAAGGACCAUCAAUAUUUCAGAAUCUGAAGGUGCUCUCUAUCAACAAUACAAGGCUGUCAUUUCUCUUUUCGGUGUCUGUGGCUAAAUGUCUUAGAGAAAUUAGAGAGAUUGAAGUGGAGGAUUGUCCGAAUAUGAAUGCGGUGAUUGUUGAUGAAGAAGGAAGAGAUGAUGGGACAAAUGAUAUUAUAGAGUUCCCAUUAUUGGAGCGACUAUCUAUAAGCCACUGUCCCAUGGAGAAAUUCUUCUCAUAUCCUCAUGGAAAAAAUGAGUCAAUAACCACUACUUCAAAUUCACAAUAUACUUAUUCGGAUUCCUUCUUUGAUCAAAAGGUAUGAAUCAUUUAUUCAGAGCUUACGCCCAUAAUAGUCAUACGCACGCGAUUGGUGUUCAAGUAUUAAUAUUUUUUUGAAGAUUUUUUUAUAUGGUUUAUUAGUUAAAAUGUUUUUAUAAUUUAUAGCUACACUUGUUAGAGUAAGGCCGUUGGUGAAAAUUCUAUCCUCCACCGCCUUAGAUAGAUCGGCAUAAGAUUAGGCCAAAUCGUCAAAUUUUUCAUGGCUAUGAUCUGACGUAUAACUCUUAUGAGCAGAUAAGUUUACCAAGCUUGGAGAAGUUAAAACUUGAGUCGGUAGGAUUGUCAAAAAGGAUAUGGCAUGGUGGGCUUCCCAAAAGUUCCUUUGACAAAUUGGCCGAAUUCACCCUUGAAAAGUGCUCCAACCUACUUGAUGUCUUCCCUUCGACAAUCAUGGGCAGAUUGCAGAACCUCAAAAUAGUCGAAGUUUCAAGAUGUCCAUCCUUGGAAUCGUUGUUUGAUUUUGGAUCCCUUGAUUCAUAUACGGAACAAAAAAUUGUGUUGCUCCUCAAAUUGAAAAAAGUCGAGGUUUUAAGCUGUCCCUCCCUGGAAUCAUUGUUUAAUUGGGGGCCCCUUGAUUCAAGUAUGGAGCACAAAAUUUUAUUGCUCCCCAAAUUGGAAGAAGUGGCCAUGAGUGGAGUAGGAAGGCUAAGACACAUGGUGAUGAGUGAUUCCCAAACUGUUUUGGGUUUUCCUAAUCUAAAAGAAGUCUAUGUUCACAAUUGCUUUGAGUUGAGAUCUCUCUUCCCCAAUUAUACGAUUGCAACUCUAAAGAAACUCAACACCCUGUGCAUUCUCAAAUGCGAACAAAUGAAGGAAGUGGUUCCCAAGGAAGAAGGUGGUUGGUCCAAGGCAAAAGUGAUAAGUUUCCCUUCCUUAACUAUUUUGGUUAUUUGGCGAUGCCCCAACAUUAGAGCAUUCAUAUGGAGUCCUACAAGUGCCAAGAGGCAGUUAGGUGAAAUGAUUGAAGAAAAUGAUGAAUCGCUCCAACCGUUGUUCAAUGAUAUGGUUUGCUCUAUAUCUUAUUGUGAUCAUCUUUAAUCUCGCAUUAUCAUGUUUUAGAAUGAACAAUGUAAUAAUUUGUCCUACUUAUUUUCUUUUCUCACAUUAUCCUCGUGCAGGUUACAUUUCCCAAUUUAGAAAAACUAUAUAUUGGAGGUGUCCGAUGCAAAGAGUUAUGGAACAAUCAAAUUUCUGAUGAUUCUUUUUGCAAAUUGAAAUAUUUUAUAUUGAAGGAUUGUGACAAUCUCCAACAUAUUGCCCCAUCCCAUAUGUGGAAGAGGCUGCAGGACUGUCUGGAAACCUUAGAAGUGAAAUCAUGCCGUUCAAUCGAGAUCAUAUACGAGAGUGAUGGGACGGUGGCAAAAAGUGGUAAUUUGAGGACGCUGGAUUUGCGUGAUCUGGACAACUUGAGGCACAUUUGGCAGUACGACAAUCUCCCAAACAUCCCCUUCCUAAAUUUGAGAUACAUAAAGGCUGUGAGGUGCUCCCGUUUGGAUAUGCUUUUCGCCACCUUCACGGUGAAAUUUCUCGAGCAAAUCGAAGAGCUAGUGGUAGGGUCAUGUGAAGAUAUGGAACUAAUUGCUGGCCAUGAAGAAUGUGAAGAAGUGACUGGUGAGACAAUCACCUUCUUUGGGUUAAUCACUCUUAGACUUUACAAUUUGCCGAAAUUCAAGAGCUUCAUACCAGAGAAAUACUCUGUGGAAUUCCCAUCCUUGGAUGACUCGAGUAUAAUAGAGCUAGACCAAGGCAACCAAAGUGCGGAGGAAAGUGAGGGGGAAACUGAGCAGUUAGACCGCGUAAUUGAGGAGUUAGACAGCGAAAUUGAGGAGGUAGACAGUGAAAUGAGGAAGAGAGUGAGGGGCGAAUAAUUAGUUUUAUGAAGUGAGCCACAAAAGUUUGUGAAUGUUGCACCGAAUGGUGUCUGGCAAAACAAAAUGGACGUGUCUGGUAAUAUGAGAUUUUGUUUUUUUUUUCUUUUGCAGUCUCUUCUACACUUCCCGCAAAGUGUGUAACUGUUUUCUUGGCUAUUCAUUUCUUUGGUUUGUCUCCUGGGCUACAGUGAUGAGUGCCCAAUCAUUGGACCAUAAAUUGUGGGGUUAUGCUGUAUAAAUUCUAAUCAAGUGCAUUAUCAUGUUUAUAAAUUUUCCCGUAAUAUUAGAAAAUGUAUGUGCUAUUAUAUUAAGUAAUCGAAGUCAUGAUGAAUUACCUCAUGACAACCGUCACAAGAGGAAGAAGGAGAUCAAGGAGAUUGCAAUCUGGGAAAGCCCAUGUUCCUCCUCCCAUCUCUCUCUCUCUCUCUCUCUCUCUCUCUCUCUCUCUCUCUCUCUCUCUCUCUCUCUCUCUCUCUGUGACUAUUGAUGGAGGCCGAAACUAUUUGAGUUUGAGGGACGGUAGUAUGAUUUCGAGUUCGACAAAGGUUGAAUGUAAGUUGAAAUUGGUGAUAACAAGGAGUCCUUUGAGUGGGUUGAGUAUUUGAAUCUUCAUGAUUCUAAUCAAGGUAAACUUCGCUCUGUUUCUCCUGGAGGAAAGGAUCGAGUGCUUGAUUCCGCCGGCGUGAAAUCUGGAACUUACUGUCCUGAUGAACUCAUUCAGGUGCCCUUGACUGAAACACCUACCAUAUGUUUGAUUGAAUUCCUGAACGGUACUGGCAUGCAUAUUUUGCAAGUAUUCUUGCAUUGUGAUGAUUAUCUGGCAAUGGCGUGCUUAAAUUGAGAGUUCUCCAGGGCAUAUGGUAUUAUUUUCGUUGAUGUUGGUUGAACUCUCCCGGUUGUGCUCAAUGCUCCCAUGACUGAGAAUUUGAACAUGCCGUGUUGGCUUAAUUUACUUAGAAUUAUGUUUUCCUUAUCAAUCUACGAUGUUGUAUAUGGCUAUUUUAAUAUUCAAGACAAUGACCAUCUUUGAAUUGGAAAUUGUGAAAUCCUUCUUCGAAAUGUGCAUCGUUACUGUGUACUUCAAUGAAUUCCUGUGCGGACUUCAUCCUUUGCUUGAUCUCGCAUGUAAUUGGUUUCGUAUGCCUGGAUGAUUUUGCCUUGCAUUUCUCGAUCUGUUCAGUGAUACCUCAACCCCUUCACAUCGCCAAUGAUAUUCGGUUCAUUUUUUUGGGCGAAUGCAUGGGCCUGUACCUCUUUGAUUUUCUUCAUUUACUAAAGAUUCUGAGGUUCAUUCCUCGAUGUCAUUUGCUUGUAACUUCUCUGUGAAUGGCAUGUGGCACCCCUCGACAGCCCCUGAUCCGAUAGGGUCGCCACAGUUCGCUUACCUUUCACUUUCCCUAUUAACAUGUUACUUUGAUACCAUUUCAAUUGCAGCAGGUCCAUACAACCAUGGGGGUUUACAUUUUUUUUUUUUGAUAAGUCCCUUGCGCAAUUCAUAAAGCAGAAGCACAUCCAUCAACUCCCUUCCCUAUAUUCAAAAAACGAUGCACACCAACUAAACAUUUUAUAUAAGUCAAAGCCGUACACUCUUAUUUACAUAACUUGAUGGAUAUCAUUAAUCGAUACAUCAAAAUGCCAUAGUCUUUCUAUACUUUGCUAUAUUUCAAAAGAUGACCGACAUCUCUUCCAACAGUCAUAUACUUAAAGUCCAUCGAUCAGUGUCGGCGUUCAAAAGUUCCUUCCUCUGCUAUCCUCCUCCUCGCGGCCAUAUCCAACCACUCGGACCAUCUACUGGUGGCGGUGGCGGCAGAGGUAUGUUGUCUAGUCUGAAACGUUAGUCUCCAAACGGGGUGAGUACAACCACUCAGCAGUAAAAGAUUCAUCAAGCUAUAUCAAGCAUUACUAUUAAUAUCCAUAUUCAAGUAUGGUAGACAAAAUAGGCAAUCCAUAAAUGAGUAUGCAUCCCAACCAUAUAACUCUUCGAUGCAAUGACUAGUGCAUUUCCAACCAAUAAGAUGCAUCGUGUCCAGCCACACAAGUCCCGAUCAUGGGGCCAAACUGUGAUGACAUGUCCCAUUCCAUGCCUUACAAUUUAGUCCCAUAACCAGACCACACUCACACUUAAUAUAAUCAUCCGUUUUAUCAUUCAAAAGGUUUCAUCCCCCAGAGGACCAAUGUUUGCAUCCUUCUGGGAUUCCGCACCCAACCUGGCAUCGCGGAAGCCUCCGGGCAUGUAUUCAAAAUACAACCAGGCAUCCAAAGGGCAUCGGCUCAUUCGAACCUCUGGGCAUCUCGCACCCCACCUGGCAUCACGAGGAAUCACUGGGGACCAUAGACAUGGUUACCCCUAACCUUCGAGCAUGCAUCAUAAUACAACCCCUCACCCUCCGAGCAUGUAUCAUAAUACAACCGGGCAUCUCGACACUCCCGGGAAAAACCUUUGGGCAUGUAUUCAUAAUACAACCAGACAUCCAAAGGGCAUCGACUCAUUCGAACCUUUGGGCAUCCCGACUCCCGGGGCAUCGUUGACCCGAGGGUUCAACGGUAACAGUUUAGCAUUUUAAUUCACAAAAUAUUCUCAAAUGCUAAAACAAGACGUCUCAUGGACUCUCUAUCACAUCUCAAUAUUGCACAAAUAUUUACAGCCAUUACCAUCAUAUCACAUAGCCAUUCGAAAUACCUUCACUUUCGGAUACUUUUGUAAAAUUCAAGAGCAGAAUAGUCCAAUUUUUACAAUGCACAGUUCUGGUAGGAAUUUUGAAAUAAAUACUAAAUGGACUCAGAAAAUUACGAAAGUUUGACAUGUUAUCAAUGAGACCUAAAGGAACAAAUUUCAUGAAGAGCACAAAGUCAAAUUCCAUACACAUCGAGAGUAAAAACUUCGGUAUUUCUUGCUACAGUUUCUGUAAAAUUUCCAGACUUAGCAUUUCCGUAUGAAAAUCAUUUAGUCGGCAAAAUCUUGUCCAUUUAUGCUAAAUUUUUUAUAUGUUACUCUCACAGAUGUGUUCUCCAACUUUUGUUAAGACUUCGAAAUCAGAUUUUGGCUAGAAAAUUCCAGAAAAAUCGAGAAAUCACUGAUGGUCAUGCUGUUCUUGCGAAAACAGUUUACUAGCCUAAAGAGGACUCUUCCUAUACUUUGAGUUUCAGUAUCCAACUUCCACAACCAAGAUUUAGAAGCACGUUACACCACAAUACAGCCUCUUUACUUCUCAAAAAUUCACCAUAGCUAAAUCCUUGAGUUCUCAUUUCAAUUUAAAAGCAAAAUCCACCAGAAACUUGCUCCAAUACCUCGGCCAGCUUCAUCUCAUUCAUCACAAACAACAUGCAGCUCCAAAUCUCACAUUUUCUCACAUCUACCCACUCUUCACUAGAUAAAACAGCAAGCAAAACAUAGGUUGAAGAACUUCUACUUGCCUUAAACUCUCUCACUCGGUGGCUGUCCGAAAAUGGAGGUUCGGGGGUCGCGGCUUGACCGGUCGGCGACGGGAACCGGUGGCGAGGCGGCGGCAGCUCGAGCACGGCAGAAGGUGGUCCCUUCUUCUUCUUCGCCGUUCACCCACCUGCUGCUCACUCGCGAAUUUCCUCGCUCGAUAUCUCUCUCUCUCUCGGUUCUGCUCGGUCACUCUCUUUAGUUCACUUUCACGAGCAGAUUAGCUGCUGGUUUUGCUAAAAACCAGCCAACAAAGAGGGGGAUUUUCGGUGGAUGCAUGCAUGGAGGACAGGUGGAAGAAGUGUGUCUCCAGCUGGGUUUUCUUGACCUUCGCUGGUUGCUCCACACGAAGCAACAUGGCCUCCUCUGGCCUUGCUUCUCGAUUACCAUUUACCAUGGCCGCUGGUUUUUACUUAAAACCAGUCAACUUAAGGGGAGUUUUUCCAUGGUUUGGCCGCAUGAAGGGCAGCUGGAUUCGUACGUGUCCAGCAUGCAUUUCUUCCUUCGACACCUUGCUCCUCCUUGCAACGUGUCUUCAGCUAUUUAAUUAAUUCUUUUCUUAAUCCCAAUUUGCUGGCCGACCGUGAGAAAGCAACGUGGCAUCAAUGGUCAGAAAUUUUCCUCUCAUAGUUGACUAGGGUGUCGACCAAAUGGAGAGAGGUUCGGGCAGCUUUUGGGCGCAGACGAUUCCUCCUUUUCCGCAUGGGUGUGCAUGUCCCUCAUGCACGGCUGAAUUCAAUUUCUUCGGCUCAGAAUUUUAAUUAAUAGAAGUCCAAAAUUUUCCUCUCAUUUCGUAUACAUUUUGGUGGUACAAUUGUGUAGUGUCAUCAAAGAAAUUUGCACAACUCAAUAAGGUUGAAUGUAGUACUAACGAUGACGAAUUCCAAUAGUAGCUUCAUCAAUCCAUGACGUUUCAUCAUCAUUCAUUUUUUUUUCUAAGAUCGACAAAAUAUGGAUGAGAUUGGUCUCACUAAUAACCUUAUGUAAAGAGGCUUCUGACAAUACUCUAGUCUAUCCCACAAUUGGACUAUUUUCUAAACGUGAGGUAUCGGUCCAUUAAUGAAAUAAAACGGAGUUCACACAUGGUGCCAACGACACCAUUCGACCGUACUUCCAUAAUCAGUCAUGGUCAUCACAUAUCCGAGGGUUGUCGAAAUUCUCGGGUGCCACAUGGCAUGCGAGUCCCUGUCAUACUGACAUUCGAUGGCUGAGUGCAUAAUGAGUUGUUUAUGCCAUGGCCGAAUGCUUUGCUCGAUUCAUUGUCCACAUUGCCGAUUUGUAUGCAUGUUCAGUUGUUGCUGAACGAGUCUCAUCCAUGAGAAUUGAUUGUAGAAUGUGGCUCAAUGUUGUUUUCCUGUGUUACGUUGCUAUGCGUUUCAGUUUUUGUGGCAUGACGUUCUUUGAAAAUGUCUCCGCUGGAGCCACCCGUGGGUAAUUAGAAUGCGGUCUUUAGCAUUUGGUCCCAAGAGUUCCUGUUGUGUAAAAUCAAAGUUGUUUCCAAGUUAUUCAAGUCACAUUAGCAAUAUAUGUUGGAUUCAUGUCGACUCCAUGUUGAUUUCUUAUAGAGUUCAAUGUGUUUUUUGCAUCAUAUGUGGGCUAGGAUUGGAUUUGAUAGAUCUUGGUUUCAUAUGAGGGUUAAUUCGGUAGCACAUGAUGGUACAUCGACAUGUAGAUGAUUUCUCAUCAUUUUGUAGUUACUAGUCCCUAUCUAUCUAAAUCAUGCUCAUGCAUCGUCAUUCUACUACUCGUGUUUCUCAAUUUUUAGUAGUUGAAAUUACCUCAAUAUCGUGAGCCAUAUUGCUUUAGAAUCCAAUGUGAUUAAUUUACAUAUUUGAUCAUGUUGUAAUCGUAUUGGGAAGAGUGGUGGGAUUUUAGGAUUUUGCCUCCCACCUAAGGAAAUGUUUGGAAACUAGCUGUCACAACCAAAAUUUCGGAUGCAUCACCUAAAAUUGGACUAAUGGAUUGUUAAGCCUAAACUUAGCUCGGCUCUCCCAAGCCUAUACCAAUUCGCGACUUAGGUUCAAAUAUCUAGCAUGCAAAAGGGAGUCGCCAUUAAUCAAUUUAAUGAAGGUCGAUUAGACACCUAAGUAAAAUAAUACUCCUACAAACCAUAUUUUGGGUACGGGGACUUGGUUACACUAGACUUCUCUAAUGCCCUUUAGGUACCAUUUCUUUUAUUUUUAAAAAUAUUUUUUGCAGGCAGCUUGGAUUGAUUUUAAAUAUAUUUUCCUAACACAUGAGGUGAUCAUAAGGAUGUGCAAACCACCAAUUUAAUACUCAAUAAAACAAUGAAUAAAUUGUAAACUUACCUUAUAUUAACGAAAGCAUCUGCAACGUUAAAUCAAAAUUCACAUCAUCAAUCCUAGAUAUGAUUUCUAAUUAACACGCAAUCACUCAAUUUUUAUUUUCAGCAACCACUCAAUUUUUAUUUUCAUUUAUUUAACUUAUUUAACAAGAAUCAUGCUUUAUGCAAUGCGUGCUACUAAUUUAAUAUGAAAUGAUAUGAUAUGGCAAUAUCACCUAAACUAUAUGACAUAAUAAACAUGCAGUCUAUUCAAAAGAAAUGCAAUAAUUAAAUGUGUAAUCUAAAUUAACCUAAUGACUUAAUUCUAAUGACGGGCAAUUUCUAAUUAAAUGAACCUAACAACAAUUACUAAAUGAUGUACGUUUCAUGAACCUAAUUCUAGAUGACAUGACUUUUUUUGUAUUUUUUUUAUGAAAAUUCGUAAUUAAAUCACUACAAAAUAAAAAUCUAACUAAAGUGAAAUGCUAUCUAUUCUAAAUGCCUUCUAAACAUGCAUUUAAAAAAAAUAAUAACUAACCUAUCAUGCAAUCAAUCCUAAUCUACAUGAAUGCAAAUGCAAUUUUUUGUAAUUUUGGGAUAAACAAAACAAUUAAAAGAUAAACAUCAUGAUCAUCAAAAAUGCUAUCCACCAUUUGAAUCGAAAUUCAAACUUGACUAUUUCGCUAAUAAAAUCGAUAAAUUGAUCUUAAACCUUAAAAAUCAAGAUAUCAAUUUUACUCCUGGGUGAAUAAUUAUUCCAUUUAAAGCCUUAUGGAUGGGAUUAAAAAUUCGUGCGGUUGCGAAUUGGAUGCUACGAUUUCAAUUAGGCAUCAAGAAAUAUUUCAAACAAUGAGACAAAAUAUCAAAAACUAAAUAAGAUCAAAUAAAUCUACCUAAAAUAAAUCUCUACCUAAAUUUGAAAUUUUACAAAAAAAUCCAAUUGGUAGAAUGGACAACGAUGGAGGCUCGGCACGGCAUGGCUCAAGGGCAGCGGCUGUGGUGAAAGGUCACCCAAGGAAAGGUUGUUGCUAGUGGUGCUAAAGGACAAGUAUUGCUCGAAAAUUCGCUGGGAUUGCCGGGGCGGUGACUGGAUUUGGUCAAGGAAGACCUACAAUAAUAAAAUUCAAACGAAAGCAAAAUAACUGGAUCGGUGGAGGUCUCGGGCACGUCAAGGACGCCUGGAAAAUCUGCAAGAAAGUCGUCAGGUGCGGCCAAGCUGCAUGCGCAUGUCAGAAAGGGACGGGCUGGUGUGGCAAAAUUGGCCGAGAAAGCUGAAGAUCAUGCAAGAGCAGACAUGCAAAGAAGCAUAUGGGCUAGAUUUUGCUAUGGUUCAGAAAUAUGUAUUUUCUCUCAUUCCAUAUUGAUCUCCAAGCAUCGCCAAGUGGAGCCUUGUUAGAGCCGCCAAAAUCUGAUCGUUGUGAGCUUUCAACCAUCGUCAUCGGAGGCUCCUUGGCGUGUGAUCAUCCGAAGGUCGUACCUCGGCUGGACAGCAAAUCGUCAUGGACUCUCGGGACAGCAACUUCGUCAUCGGCACAGCAAAACCAGAGCAGCGGUGUUGUCCUACGGCAGCGGAAGACGUCUCGUCCAGAGGGAGCGCGGCAAGAGGAACGUCCCAAUGGUGCGGCCUCUCUGCCGUGCUAUGGGUUCCGAAUUGCCGGCCCUCUCUUUGUUGACUAUUUUGUCCUAUAGCCGUCUCUAUUUUUCACGAGAUUGUGGCCAUCAUGAUGGUCAGAUAAUGGGAUAACCCAUGUGACCAUCCAUGAUAACGAUGAAUUGUAAAAACAAUAUAGUGGAGUAUGUGAUUUGCUCGAAGAAAAAGGGGGCAGAAGCGUGAAUGUGAUGAGGGGAGGAGAGAAAUAUUGUAAAAAGUCUGAAUUGACACAGUCGCUUCUCUCUCUCUCUCUCGCUACCUCUCACACUUUUUCUCUUUUUUCGUGAAUGAACGCGCUCUCCUCAACGUGGCCGCUUGUAUCAAUUGUGUGGCCCCAAAACUGUACGUGAACAAUCUAGGGUUUCAAUUUUUCCAAAUCAAUAUCUACAGAGAUUUUUUUUUUCAAACGCAAUAUUUAUUUUACCGAACGCAAUAUUUACUUUUCCACUUGCUCUAUCCAAAAAAGAAUUCAUCAUAUCCUAAAAAAUUUCAAAUUUCUAUUUUCACAAGAUAAUCUUUUAUCAUUAAAAAAAAGGGAGCUUGCACCAAUUUGCUCACUUUGUGGGCUUAGUCCGACCUGCCAAGUUAAGGUUCAAAAUCAUUAAUUUGAACCCAUCCAUCACCGGUCCAAUAAAUAAAUGCAAAAAAAUGCAAAUUAAAAAUAAAUGCACAUAAAUCUAUAUGUUAUGCAAUUAAUAUUUUUUUAGAAUUAAAAUUAACCUCUAAUUUUUAAUGCGAUAAAUGAUUAAAUGGGUUGCUAAAAUUUAGGUGUCAACACUAGCCAAAGGACCAACUUUACCGUCUUGGCUCAAAUGGAUCGGAUAUUGCAUUAGGUGGCCUCUCAUUUCCAUGGGAUUAUGUUGGUCCUCAUCCGCAUAAGCCCUCCAAUUCCGUUUGGCUAUUUUGUUCACCCUCUUCAUGAGUUCAAUGCUUUGCAACUCCCUGAAGCUGUCCUCUAAAUCUCCCAAGUGCUCCACCCAAAGCGACAUCCUAUAACCAUAAGCCUGCACAACAUCAUUAAAACAUUAUUAGUCACAAGCUUGAGUUUUUGAUAAAUGUCGAUGCACUCGCUGGGUGUUCAGCUAGUACCUGCUAUUAAAUAGAUGUAACCACAUGGAAAUAUGACAUACUUGAACUUCAUACACAAUUCCAUUGUUGUGCCCUUUGAAUCCAAAAUCAGUGGUAUUAGCUAAUGCAAAAUUCUCAGUGGGACCCACAUACACUCUACAUCUCGCGGCCCUCUGCAGAAUUCUCUGCCUCUCUUCCUGUCUCUCCACAUCUAAUGAACUGAGUCGCUUUCCUUUUCAGCUCAGGCUUGGCGCGCUCUGAAGCAGGGGGCCAGAACAGAAACAGAGGACCUUCCAACACGGAAAAGGAGCUCAACAAAUUCUCUCUAGCCCUCAGUUAUUCCUUUGAUCUUCAUUCCCUCUUCAUUGUCCUCUCUGUCACCCUCCAUCCACCAACAGCUGCUGCCACACCUCCAUCGCUGGCCACCACAGGACAUGUCACACUGAGAAGGGGCAAGAACAAACAGCGUUGAUUAAAGGAACUCGGGUGAUUUUUGAGCAUUUAUAAGGCUGAGAAGAACAGAGGGCGAGCUUUAAUUGACACCGUAGACUGAUGCUUCAACGAGGAUUAUCACCGUAGACAAAUGAUGUGGACAAACAUGAAGAGAUUGUUAAGAUGGAGCUGACUGAAUAGUGAUGGCUAUGUUCUUUUUACUGAAGGCAACGGGAAAGAUACAGUUGGAGUUUUGAUUUGGAUCCCUCUUCCUUGGUGGCUCUUAUACCAUGGAAAUAUUUCUAUGAUUUGCAAGCGAGAGAGAGAGAGAGAGAGAGAGAAUCAACAAAUACUACACCUUUACUCAAUAGCCGAAUAAAAGAGGAUAUAGUAGCUCCACUUAUAAAGCAUGAGAGACAUUAACAAAGCUUCGAUUACCUUAUUUGUGACCACCUGCUAACUGUCGACUAAUUUUCAUAAAUAUACUCCAACACAUAUCACAAUUGGAGCAAAUACUUGACAGUGUUUUUGCAUGUUUUUCCAGGAUGUUAGUGCGUCAUUUUCAAAUAAGUAUCCACAACUGUACAAGGAGGGAAUACAGAAUUCAUACUUCAACUGUAGAGUUGUGGCAGCCUGGUCUGUUUCUGCGGUCUACCAGUCUCUCGUCCUUUUUCACUUUGUGACAGCUUCUAGUUCUACUGGUCUAAAUUCAUCGGGAAAAAUGUUGGGCCUCCAGGACGUCAGCACAAUGGCAUUUACCUUUAUGGUUGUCACUGUAAACUUACGCCUUCUUAUGAUGUGGAAUUCAAUAACAAGAUGCCCUCAUUUCGCUGUCAGUAGAAGCAUCCUUGGGAUGUUUGUUUUAUUUUAUAUGUUCACUUAUGAUGGUGAGUCUUCUCCCUUUCUGGGGGUUCUUUUCUUCCCUUCACCUCAUCUAGUCCUCUUUUGGAUAGCAAUUAUUCUGAUAUUCGUCUUAUUACUUGUAUGCGCAAGAAAGUCUCUACCAUGUCAUCCACGUAUUAAUGAGUACAGUCUACUUCUACCUGACAUUUCUUCUGGUUCCAAUUGUCGCAGUACUUGGUGACUUCUUAUGCCAAGGGCAAGGUUUCAGACUCAUAUCUGGCCCAACAAAAAACAGUCGGGCUUUUUUGUUCUUAGACAUAUUUCUCGUUUAGAAACAGAGAGAAACACUGUAACAUAGUUCUCAAGUAAAUUUGCUCAAGAAUACUGAUUGCGAAUCUGCAAUUUCGCUUUUCUAAAAGUAACAAAUGUCGUUUGUCAUGGAAAUUAUAAUGGAGGACCUCCUUUUUCGCUCAAAUAGCCUUCAUUAUCUUCAUUGUCGAUUUCGUGGGUCCUUUUUUCCCUAUUUGCUCCGAGACAAGAUACAGGGCUUGUCAUGUCCGUACUUUUCCAGUUUCUCAGAUGGUUCAUCAUUUGGGAAUUGUAUCUGCUUCUCUCUCUCUCUCUCUCUCUCUCUCUCUCUCUCUCUAACCCCUCUUCCUCCUCUCUGGGCUGAAGAUGGUCUUAUUUCCGGAAUGCGGUUACAGGAUAAAUCCAUAUAUCAGCCUUAAUUGGUAUAAGUAUUUAUUGGCUUGUGGGAACUUGACAGCUCGCUCAUCUCACGCGAUUGAUUUCUGGGUUCACCAUAUUCUAUUUGGCGGAUUCUGUUUAUUAGCAAUGAGUGUUUUCUUUAAGUAAUUGCAAUGGAUACUUCCUCUGAUUAGUUUCUUUUUUUUCCUUCUUUUUUUUCACGCACUAAUUUUUCAUGCACUUGGUUAUAGGAUUCAAAGGUGGUUCUUCCCAUAUGAUUAUCAGAUAUUAUAGGAAUUUCUAUGGGCACAAGCCACGGGAUGAGGACAAAGCCGAAGACAUUGCCCAGGAGCUCUGAUUUACAGAUAUGUUUCUUAGUACUGUAAAAUGAAAUUUUUAGAUUGUUCGAGUUUCUCUAUUAUUGUCAGAAUCACAAGCAUACGAUCUUUAGGAUUCUGCCUUCCAAAAUUCGUACCCAUCCCUAAACGGAAGGAAAGGGAGGGAUGUGAUGAUAACAGACUUCUGGACUCCUUCCAGACGCCAAGAGUAUCGCACGUUUCAGAGCAGUAGGAAAGCGGCUUACGUUAAUUCUGUUCGUGCAUUUAUGGGCUAGUUCUAGCCCAACCGCAAAGUCCUAAAUGCUUUUCAGUAAACGUUUUUUUUUAUAUCUUCCUGUUCAUUGUUUCUUGACAAAGCUCGCUUCACAAAGGAGGCUUACCUUUUAUUACGAGCCACGCUGCUCAUUUCUCGCAUUGUGACUGCUUAUAUGGCUGCAAUAAGGAGUUCCUUUGCCUGUUCAUUAAUUCUCUGGUCGCUUUUUCUCUGGUUGAGUGGGAGAUCUGUUAACUGUUAGGUUAUUUUAGGUGCUACUCUGGGACCCAUCGCUGGCUGCAUCCCGAAGUUGUUUGAGGAUGACAAACUGACCAUGCCUCUGUCGAAAAAGUCGGGUGGUUUCCUAGGAAUUGCUAAAAGUGUGAUCGUUGAAAGCACCUCAUUAGUUGAAGAAGGACAUUUUCUCAGAUUUUUAUAACUGAUUCCAACCGUGUCCUAUGAUCCCCUUCCAACACAGAAGUCUAUUAUAUUCUGUAAGCAAAAGCCGUUGCAAGAAUCGCAUAUAAUCACCUUAACGAUGGACCAAAUAUCUCAUGAGGAGCUGAUGAACUUGGCCAAGUUUCUGAGACACUUGACUGCUGGGAUUCGUCCAACUGUUCUUCAUUACCAUCGUCGCCAUCAUCAUUCUCGAAAACCAUCUGUAUCCCAUGCUUUUUCAGCGAGAGCCCAGGAAAGUAUGGUGGGUCUCGCAGGACUAUAUCUAUUCCUGUCUCCUUUGAACAGCCGAACCAUUGGCUUGAAUUCUGGAUGUCUAAUCUAGUAAAGCUGGUCUUGGCUUGUGUCAUUUAAUGUCUGACGUGUCUUGGACCUUCAAGCCUAAGAAGCCUUCCUUUAAUGUCCUCGAUUGCUGGUAGCAGAAUGUUUGCCCGGUUUGCACUGUCCAUAGAGACAACAACAGCGAAAAUCAUUCCCUCUAACCUCGCGGUUCUUCUUCGGAGCAGCAAAAUGAGGAACUUCCUGAGAAAACCAUCCAGGAAUCUCACUCCCAGGGACACUCGAGUUGUGAAAAUGCUUUAGAGCAACCUGAAAUUUCCCAUGGAAAAAACACAUUUUAAGGUCAAACUAUCUGCAUUCAUGAUUGAAGAUACUGAACAAAGGUGGAGAAACUGAACUGGUGAUCUUCAUCCAUCUUUUUGCCACAGUUCAAGUAGUUUUCCCAAAAUGGGAGUUAUGAGUUAUCUUUUUCACCUUUUCAAUUCGUCUCUCCCAAGAGUAAAAGCCUCAGAGAUUUCAAUAUCCGGAGACCAGUGACGUCAACUAGAUUGCUGCAAUCAGUAAAGUUUGGCUCCUUCAAAUCAGUAGAAUUCAGAUGAUCGGCGUAAAUUUGAAAUUGAUUAACCUCAACUCGGGAUAGUUCUCGGAGAUGAUGGCCACGACUGCGCUGAGUCGCGGAUCGCCUCCAGAAGGCCCAACGCUAUCUCCUCCCCUCGCUUGAGGCCUUCUUCAUCGAGCCGGAGCUGCAGCACGCUGCUGAGCUCGUGCUUGCGGUAGAGGCAAUCCACGAUGCCAUGGCAGGGGUGUCGGCGCCGCAAGAGCUGAGGAAGACGUCGCAGCGGAAGCGAGAUGAGAACAUAGCGUCGUCCUCUUCGGGAUCGUCUGUCAGCAUCGUUGUCUUCGGCUUCUUGGUCGGCCUCACUUGGGAGUCGCCGGUCUUUUGACAGAGGCGGUCCAUGCAUUGAUUGGGGCACCACUUAACGAUGAGCAAGGAGCAACGAGCACCUUACUGAUAGAUUUGUGUUCCCUUUGAAAAAACUAAAGAGCGAUUUCCACAGCAUGGGAAAUGUGCUGUCUUAAUUUUUAAUUGACAAAUCAUGGCAUUCUCGUUAGUUAAAGGAAAAAUUAUCAAUGUAUGGUGAUCAAUUCAAUUUUAAAUUUAUGUAUUAAUUUAGUAUUAAGCAGUCAUAAAUAAUUUAAUCGUGUCAAUUUAGUCUUAAAUUUUUUAAAAAUUAUAAAUGUAAUCUUUUUGGGUAAUUUUUGUUGGAAAUUUUCUUUCUUUUUAUUUUAUAGUUUUCUUCUUAAGGUCAGCAAGUCCACCGGUCACUGGCCGAGGGCCAGCAGCCCAGACACCCCUGUAAAUAAAAACAAGGAUGGUAAAGAAAAUUAAAAGUUUUAAGGAAAAAAAAAUUCAAGUACUCAGAUUGAUAGUUUAUGCCAUGACAUAGCAACAUGUCUCCUCGAUACGUAACAAAAAUUAUCACGACAAGGAUGUUCAUAUCUACUCCGGUUAAAUGUAGGAUCGCAAGUUUGUCAAUUUAGCCUGAUUUGGUUUUCAAUUUCAAUCCUUUAGACUAAAAUUAAUUUGACCUUGGGGCUGCACGCCUUGCACGUGCUGGUGUCGGAGAACGUCAGCACCUCCCUGCACCGACGGUUGCGGCACGCCGACGUCUUCUUCUCCCUUGGAUCGCAGUCCCCGAACCUCUCUUGCCUCUACAAGAUGACCUCUCUGGUCUUGAUCUGCACAUGAUUUGCUCGUUUGCAUGUAAAAAAAAUGUGCGAUUCAGGAUCGAAAAAUUAUUGAACAAAUCUUUCUUUUCGUAUAAAUUUUUAAUGGAUUGGCCACCAAAAUCACAAACUCGAUUGCGUCAUGAUCCGACGGAAGCAAUCGAAGUGAUGAAUUACCUCACGACAACCGUCGCGGGUGGAAGAAGGAGAUCGAGGAGAUUGCAAUAUGGGAAAGCCCAUGUUCCUCCUCCCACCUCUCUCUUUCUCUGACAAUUGGUUGAGGCUGAAACUGUUUGAGUUUGAGGGAUAGUAUCAUGAUUUCGAGUUUGACCAAGGUUGAAUGUGGGUUGGAAUCGGACAUAACGAGGAUUUCUUUGACUGGGUUGAGUAUUUGAAUCAUCAUGAUUCUUAUCAAGGUAAACUUCGCAUGCUCUGUCUAUGCUAGAGGUGGGGACCGAGUGCUUGAUUCUGCAGGCGUGAAAUCUGGUUGAGUCCAAGAUUGUCCUAAUGAACUCAUACACGUUUCAAUGAUUCAGUGAUUGUUUGGAUGCGCACCUCUUCCUUAUCAUUGCAUUUAGGUGCCUCUACCGAAACGCUUACCCCAUGUUUGAUUGAAUUCCUGAACGAUAUUAGCAUGUGUAUUUCGCAAGCAUUCUCGCAUCGUGAUAAUUAUCUAGCAAUGGCGUGCUUAAACUGAGAGUUCUCCAGUUUAUGUGACAUUAUUUUCCUUGAUGUUGGUUGAACUUCUAAAGUUGUGCUCAAUGCUUCCAUGACUGAGAAUUUGAACGUGCCGUGUCGGCUUAAAUUUACUAGGAAUUAUGUUAUCUAUAUCAAUCUACGAUGUUUGUUUGUGGCUAUUCUAACAUUCGAGACAAUUACCAUCCUUGUACUGGAAAUGGUGAGAUCCUUCUUCGAAAUGUGCAUCAUGUGUUGUGUACUUCAGUAAAUUCCUAUCCUGACUUCAUCCUUUGCUUGAUGUCGAAAGUAAUUGGUUUCGUAUGCUAGGAUGAGUAUGCCUUGCAUUUCUGGAUCCGUUCAUUAAUACCUCGAUACCUUCUGUAUAUUAAUAAUAUUUGAUUCUUUUUUUUUAGGCGAAUGCAUGGCCUCUACCCGUUUGAUUUUCUUCGUUGACUGAAGUUCAUUCCUUGAUGUCAAAACUGACAUUCGAUGGCUGAGUGCAUAGUGAGCUUUUUAUGCCAUGGCCGAAUGCUUUGCUUGAUUCUUUGUCCAUUUUGCAAUUUGUAUACAAGUUCAGUUGUUGCUGAAUGAGUCUCAACUAUGAGAAUUGACUGUAGAAGGCGGCUCAAUGCUGUUUUCCUGUGUUUAUGGGUAGACAGGCAUGCGGCAUGCUGGAAAACGACAAAAAGAGCUAAGAAAACUUGCUUCCGCGGGUGGCUUCCCAACUUGAAGGCACAUUAUCGUCUCGGCAGGGAGGGGAGGAGGACAGCCCAGGCCAUCCGUGCAAUCGAAUCGUAGAUUAAAAUAAUAAUCUAUUUCUUCUAAAAAUAAUUUUCUAGUUCACCACAUGCAAGACAACAUUUUAAAGCUUUGGCUUUUAAGGGCGUCCGACUUUUUAGACCUCAAAGAUUUUCUCGGGCAAAUCUAUUGCUGUUGGUAAUUAUUUUCAUAUAGUUAGUGAAAUCUUAAAUAGAGCGGUAACUUGAGAUAAAUGAAAUAACUUGUACUCGGCAUCCACAAAUUUUAUUGUUGACCUUUAGUUUUCUCUAAAUACGUUGUUGAUUUCAAUACUUGUCUGGAUUCCCUAUUCAAUUUUUCACCUAUACUUUCAAUUUGCUUGGGAUUUCAAUUUCCUGCAUUUCGACUCGAGUUGCUUAUUGUUUCAUAAAAAAAAAAAAUUCAUGUAAUUUCCCGAAAACAAAUACCAAGUGUAGAAAACAAAGGUAAGAGAUGCAAAGGAAAUCUCAGUGAUUGAGGCUAGCUUUCUCUCAGUAAAGAAUAAGACUCAAAUGGCUAACUUCAAAAUUUUCAAGUCUGAUUCCAAGGGAAGAAGGGAACUCUGGAGUCAAUUUCACUUGCAUAGCUCUUUUGCAUCAAAGGGAUUGAGUCGACUAAACGUUCUAUUGACAUCUUAAUUUUUAUCGACAUCUAAAUAUCCAUUUAUUUCGAAAAAAAUAUAUAUAAAUUUAUAAAAAGAUAAAAAAAAAAGGAAAAAAAAGAAUAAUGAAUAAAAAUGGAUCAAAUAAAUUGAAUGAAUGAUGAAAAAUGAAGUCGUGUGGGCAGGCGUGUCUAGCCCACUUGGUUAUUUUGAGCUCACCCCUUACCCAGGCUUCCCAUUCAGAAGGGAAGAACUUAUGUGAGUGUCUCAAUUUCAAUUCAAACAUGGGUUUGGCCCAUUUUCCUUCUUUUCUCUGGCCCACCAGAGCCUAAAAAAGAAGCCCAGCCCAUCACUCUUUCUCCUUGCGCGCGCGCGCGCUCGUGAGAAGAGCGUCUGUGACGCAAGGAGGAGAGAAGGUACAGUGACGGUCACCGAAGAAAUGCCCGUGAGCGAGUGAUGAGAAAGGAACCUAUGAAUCUUAAUCGAUAUACUCGCUGCUCAACCCUGCGAAAGCGAAAUAUAUUCGUGCGAGAUAAUGGAACCUGUCGCGUCGUGUUUUGUUUGGAAAAUAGUGUCAAAGCUGAAUCAAAAACCUGCUCUCGUAGCUGAACAACAUGUGUUCGACAAAAUGCUCGAAUGAUGCACCGAAAUCCAUGUUAUCCGAUCGACGUUAAAAGUUUAGUUCGAGGCUUGAUCACGCAUAUGUUGUUGACGCACGUCUGCUUUCUUCGUUUUUUGCUAUGUUUUUGCUUGAUUUCACGGCCCACCUUUUGAUAUUCGUUAAUGGCCAUGCAAAACCGAACUUGGUUCUGCCGUGGCCAGCGAUAGGCAGACGGCGAGGGCCGGAGAUGUAAUCUGGUGAUGGUGUGUAGUGGUGUGAGCUCCGGUGUCCGUAGAUGGCAUCUAGUUGUACGGGUUCAAAAAAUGGAGAAGAAGACGAAGGUUGGGAGUGAAAAAAUGGCUUCGGGGAAGAAGAGGGGAAGAAAAAGAAGUGGUGCGGUAGAAGUGGACUUAAUGAGGAAAAAGACAAAAGAGAAAAAAAUUCAAAAUAUUUUUGAAAAAUUCGUUUUCUAUAUCCCACCAGGUCGGAUCCGGUAGACGGGUUAGGUCAAUGGGUCGGAUCGGGUUUACGGUCCAAACGCAUUCUCCGAAUAUAAUAAUAAUAAUAAUAAUAAUAAUAAUAAUAAGUAAAAAAUCGAAAAAAUUAAAAAUAUAAAAAAUAUAAAAAAUUCUGAAAAAUUCUAAAAAAUAGUAAAAUUUUAGAAAAUUCGAAAAUCAAUAAAAAUAAAAAUUUUAGAAAAUAAAAAUAUAAAAAAUCUGGAAAAGUCAUAAAGAUACAGAAAAUACUAGAAAAUCCAAAAAAAUAAUAAAAAAUUGGAAAAUUUCUAUAAAAAAAAAGUAAAACCAAAAAUUGUACAAACCAAAAAAAAAGUAAAACCAAAAAAAAAAGUAAAACCAAAAAUAAAAAUGUCAGCUCCAUGUUGAUUUCUUAUAGAGUUCAAUGUGUUUUUUGCAUCAUAUGUGGGCUAGGAGUGGAUUUGAUAGAUCUUGAUUUCAUAUGAGGGUUAAUUUGGUAGCACAUGAUGGUACAUCGACAUGCAGAUGAUUUCUCGUCAUUUUUUAGUUACUAGAGUCUCUAUCCAUCCAAAUCACACCACUUACUUGGUCAUGCUCAUGCAUUGUUUUUUACUCCUCAUAUUUCAAAAUUUUAAGUAGCUGAAAUAACCUCGAUACCCUGAGCCAUAUUGCUUUAGAAUUGACUGCAACUAAUUUACAUAUCUGAUCAUGUCCUAAUCGUAUUGGGAAAAGUGGUGGGCGAUCCAAGAAUUUUGCUGCCCACUUGAGGAAAUGUUUGGAAACCGGCCAAAGGACCGACUUUUCCAUCCCUCUUCACAUUGAUCGGAUAUUGCAUCAGGUGUCCUCUCAUUUCCUUGGGAUAUUGCUAUUUUGUUCACCCACUUCAUGCAUUCAAGUUGGAUUGUAAAAUUCUACGAAAGACCUUUGAUUGUAUGCAACGACAUGAUACUCUCCGAUGGCUAUGUUCGCAAACCUUCAGGGGGAAGCUGUGCAGUUAACUAACGCGAGACAAAGGAUGCAGCAUUCUGUCGAUGAAGCUCAAUACAACACGAAGCCAAUCGAAGCCGACGUCUAGAGAUGGGAGGCAGGCACAGAAAUCCUCGCUUAUGAGGUGCGCAGCGUGCUGGAAAACGAGAAGAAAACUUGCUUCCGCGGGUGGCUUCCCAACCUCAAGGCGCGAUAUCGUCUCAGCAUAGAGGCGAGGAGGACAGCCACGCCAUCCAGGCACUCGAAUCGCAGAGUGAAUGCCAAAACGUCUACUAUGAGAAUUCUCGGCUAUAUAUCAAUAUAUAAGGACUUAAAAGAUGGUUUUAAUCAUCAUGAUGUACUUAGGGAUUUUUAAUUGACCAUAUUAAACUAAUAACCCGUUUCUUUUAGAGAUAGUUGUUUAGUUCACCACCUACGAGACAAUAUUUUAAAGCUUUGACUAUCAAGGACGUCUGAUUUGUCAGACCUCAAUGAGUUUCUUGGAAAAGUCUGUCUCUAUUGGUAAUUUUUCGCAUGUACUUAGUAAAAUCUUAAAUAAAAGUAACUUUUAUUCGGCAUCCGUAAGCUUCAUUGUUCACUUUAAGUUUUCUCUACAUAAGUUGUGGAUUUCAUGACAAGACUAGAUUCCAUAUCCAAUUUUUCACCUAUACUUUCGAUUUGCUUGCGAUUUCAGUUUCCCAAUAAUAAGUCUCUUUAAACGAUGGACGUUGCAAUUCUUAUUUGUCUGUUCGAUUUUUUACCCGCAUUGCUUUAGCUAGUUCAAUUAAGGAGGAUCACUUUUGGGGUAUGAACUAACAGAUGGCACUAUUGAUUAGUAAUUCAGACAGUAGCUAUUUUACUGGUUAAUACUGAAGAAUUCUGAGGGUCGUGUCAUUUUGCGAGUUAAACACAUUGAAGCCUUAUUUUCUUGCAUAACUGAGCUCCUUGGCUCCUCACUUCUGCCUUUUGUUGUCCUUGGCAGAUUCCUGAAAAUGCCGGUUGCAUUGCAAGGACAUGUGCUGCGUCGGCCAUCGGCUUGCAUCUUGUUGGGGUGCUUAGUUGUUCCAACCACUCGAGCUUCUCUUUAGGGUACUUUGAAGACAUUCCUCAGUGAAACAUAUGUUGACGAGUCACUGAUGAUUUGUGAUUGUUGCAUCACCAUCCAGUUUCUUUUGAUGCCUUCAGAGUUUAAACUAGUGAGCCAUGUUUUAGUAAUAUAUUACUAAUUGAAUUCUUAAUCAUACCAGAUAAAAGUACCAUACUACUACUUAAAAUCUAGAUCUUAACAAAAUGGUGAUGAAACUAUCCAAACUUUGUAUGGAGUACUGUCAGGCCACAGGCUAUUUUGGAUAAGUGCUGGCAUUUAGUAUAUAUAAACCACUGCUAUAAGAACAGUAAUCAUCGAUGCAUCACACGUAACAAUAAUCAUGGUCGUGCCAUUUUGAUAUAAGCAAGAUCAUCUAGAAGCAGUUUUGCCUAGAUAACAAAAGGACCGUAUAAGAAGAAGCAACGGCAGGACAUCAAUUGGAGCUUGAAUCAACAGAAACAAGCGGCGGUGGCAACGAUCUGCAUCUGGCGCACCUGAAAGUCUUCCAGACAGAGACAUUGCUAGCCAUAGACAACGAACGUGACUUGGAAUCUCUGUCUACACCAAGCUCAGCGUCAAGGCAGAGCGAGCGGCUCCUUUCUUUGGUCAGGUCGAUUGUGACGUCCUCGCAAGGCGGAGGAGAAGGGGAGAAAAGGCCAGGCCAGGGGAAAAAGCUGAAAUGUUGGGGUGAUGGGCGGGUCUGGGCCGGGGAUAAAACCAAUGGGUUUGCUCUCGUGGGCUGCGCUGCGCCAGUUGGACCAAAUCGUCCUUUUCUAUUUGUUAUUUAUUUACAUUUUUUAUUAUUCUUUUCAUUUUGUUCUUUUUACUACCAUUCAUUGUUUUUAUGUUCUUUUUUUUUUUUUAUUACAAAAGCGCAUGCUUAAUUUUUUGACUAAAUUUCAGGCAUCGACAAUUAUGAAUAUAUUCACCUUAAUAUAUGAAGAAAAAUAUCAUUCCAUCCGAACAAACUACAAGAUGUUGUAUGCUGUAUUGCGUCAAAUAUUUAAUUACCAAAGGCCAUAUUUGUUUCUUGAUCAAUGGGAGAAGUGGGCUAAAAAUAUGGCACAAUCCAAUUGAGUAGAACAUAUAUGCGUUGAUGAAAUAUCGACCCAUUUAAAAUAACUUGAUUUAUGAACCGGAUUCAUAUUAAGCCUAGAACCUAUCUUGUCCAUUUGUGGGGUCAAAGUCCCAGAAAUCGUUGUGCAAGAUUAAACAAAAAGCAAUACAAGUUAAGAGAGAGAUUAAGAGAAACAGAGAUGGCAAAUAUUCUUUAGUGAAAGAUGAUUCUUUCAUCUUUUUUCUUUCCCUCUUUCAAGGAUUUUUUUUUACUUUACUUAGAAGGUUCCGAAUUGAAAAAAUGAUGAAAAUGUUGAGAAUUUGAAUCUUAUUUGGAAAAAUAUAUGACUGCUAACUUACUUAUUAAAUCACCCUUAAGUAAGUUGUCAUUUAUCAGGAUCUUGUCAAUGUCUAAACAAAAUAGUAAAUUAUCUCUUCUUCUGAAAUUUCACGAGCGUCUUUUUCUUUGUUUAUAUAUUAGUUAUGAUAAAGUUACCUAUAUUUCACUACUACAGUGAUUGAUCAAUUUCUUUGAAAUUUUAAAACUUUCUUUUGGUAAAAUACCAACUCAAUAAGGAAUCUACCAACCUCUCAAUAAAUCAGCGAAUUAUCAAGUUUUUUCAAGCUGCUAAUUAUUAAACUAACAAGAUAAUAUAUAAAAAUAAAAAAAGGAACAAAUAAAGAUGAGAUAACAUAGGAUAAAGACAUGGAAAAGAGUCCACGAAAAAGCAAAUAUGUAGUGGGCCCAUAGAGUCGUGUAAGGGAAGAAGGAACUCAUUUUGCAUUUCCCGUUCUUUUUUUUUUUUUUUUUGGUAAAGGGUAAUGAUAUAUUGAGCUAUAACCAGCAAAUAUACAGGAUCCGGCACCACAAAACUUGCACUCAACAAGACAGAAGCCUCUAAUCGAGUGAAAGGGCGCCAGACACAAAACACCGCAAAGCGGUCAACUCAAGCAAGGGCCGAAACAGGAAGCCCAAAACAGCGACGCAGGGUCGAAGCAACAACUAAAAACAGACAGACUAAACAAAAGGCCACGAAGGGCCAAGGAGAAACAACUCGCAAAACUAGACUAAGGCGACCUCGACGAUCGGCAUAGGAGAGUUGAAGAUAGAUGGGUCAAGGCCCCAGUUUCUUUGUAACCUCCUAUUCCUUGGGCAAUCUUCCACGCUUUUGAACGUUAAGGCUUUAUCCUUCACAACUUUAAUGAGAUGCUUCUUGAUAGCCGCAACCACAACCGGAUGAUCUCUAAAGAGGAUGUCGUUUCUAUACUUCCAAAUGAGAUGGCACAAAGCUCUAAAAGAGAAGCAACCAAUGGCGUGAUAGAAAUCCUUACCUGUAAGGAAUCUCAUUGCCCACUGAAGAUUUUCUGUCCAAGUCCCAUUUCUCCAUGGGAGAUUGCACCUGGCCGCCCAAAAGUAGGCCAUGCUAGCCGUGAUGCAGCAACUAAAGAAGAGGUGGUCAAUAGAAUCCGGCGUGAGCUUGCAAAAUGCACAUACUUCAUUCCCAAUUCUCCCAUAAGACAUAAGAAAAGCUUGGGUAGGAAGUCGGUUCUUAGUGAUCAGCCAGAGGUUGAAUUGGUAUCUCGGAGUGAUGGCCUUGUUCCAAAUAAAGGAUGACCAUACCACCUUGUCUUUCCUUUUUCUGAGUAAAUGCCAAGCUGAGGCAAUCGAGAAGACCCCGGAAGGAUCAUCUCUCCAUACAAAUCUAUCCGGAACCCUAGUGAGAAGAGGAAGGGGAUGGUUCCAAGAAUCCAUCACUAGCCUGAAUUCCCGACCCGCCGAAGAAAAAAGGUCUGCGACAACUGCAUACCACGGUAGUCCCGAAUCAGAGAUAGUCUGCUCAGAACAUAUAAGAUCCAGCGGACCUCUCUGAUGCCAAUGGUCAAACCAAAGGGAUGUCCCCUGGCCAUCUCCAAUCUUCCAGUGGAAGUUGAGGCGGAAUUCGGAUCUAAGGUGGAGGAUCCUCUUCCAAGCCCAUGAGCAGCUGCCCGGCGUCUUAGCCACCCAGAAGUUCGCCUUACGAAUAAAAGUAGAGUGAAUCCAUUUGCACCAAAGAGACUCAUUGUCCGUGAAUAGGAUCCAGAUGUGCUUGAGCAUUGCCGCCUUAUUGCACUCUCGCAAACAUCGAAUCCCAAGGCCCCCUUCUUCCCUUGGGAGACAAACAUCCUCCCAGGAAACCUUAGCUCCUCCCCUGCCAAGGCUGGGUCCCUUCCAUAAGAAUUGUCUAAGAAUCUGCUUGAUACGGUCCAGGACUCCUACAGGAAUAAUGAACACACUAGCCCAAUAGGCUUGAAUUGCAUGGAGCACUGACCUUAUGAGCUGAACUCUCCCUGCAAAUGAGAGAAAUCGAUGGGUCCAAGAUUGCACCCUAGCCAUUAUGCGAUCGACUAGACCUACACAAUCCGCCUUCCCAAGCCUCGAGGAAAUAAUCGGUGUUCCUAGAUAACGUACCGGCAAUUUUCCUUCCACAAAACCGAAUGUAUCCUUUAUAUGGCCUCUCAAUUCAUCCGAUCCCCCUGCAAGAAAUACCUCACUUUUGCUAUUGUUCGGCUUGAGUCCACUCCACUUCGAGAAGGUAUCCAGCCCAUCCUUUAGCAGCCGGAUGGAGACCAUAUCCGCAUGGCAAAAGAGGAAGACAUCAUCCGCAAAAAAAAGAUGAGAUAACCGAGUGGCCUUGCACCUCCAAGAGAACUUGAAACCCGGCUGCUCCGCACUAGAAGUAAGGAUCCCGGAGAAGACUUCCAUAACCAAGGUGAAAAGAUAAGGAGACAUUGGGUCACCCUGUCGAAGGCCGCGGCUACUAGGGAAGAAUCCAUGGAAAUCCCCAUUCAAGGAGAUAGAAAACAUCGGGGUACGAACACAUAUCAUGAUAAGGCGAAUGAAGUGGUCCGGGAACCGAAAGGCACGAAGAGCUGAUUCGAGGAAAUCCCAAUCCACUGUAUCGUAAGCUUUCUGAAAGUCUACCUUUACCGCACAUUUGGGGAGAUAUGGCUGCAGGUGAAAGCCGGCAAAUAACUCCUGGGCUAGGAGGAUAUUAUCACUAAUCCGUCGACCCUUCACGAACGCAUUCUGAAAAGGGCUAUGGCAUCCUGGAGUACUGAGGCGAUGCGGUUAGCCAAUACCUUGGUAAUGCAUUUGUAGAUCGUAUUGCAGCAAGCGAUGGGCCUAUAAUCAUUAACCGAGGUAGCAUUAGGAAUCUUAGGGAUCAACACCAGGAUGGUGGAAUUAAUUUCCCUUAAUAGUCUCCCCGUAACAAAGAAAUCUUUUACAGCUUCAACCGUCAACGGUCCAACAAUAUCCCAAUUACUCUUGAAGAAUUCGACACCAAACCCAUCCGGACCCGGUGCCUUCCCACGUGCUAGAGAAAAGAUAGUGUCCUUAAUUUCCGUCUCCGAAAAGGGACGACCAAGAGAAGCGAUUUGAUCCUCUGAGAGCGGACGACGGAUGGCUUGCUGAAGGUCUCCGAAGGCCGGUCCAAUAGGAGGAGAGCGUGAUGCAAACAACUCCUUAAAAUGAGCGACAAAUGUAUCCUGAACAAGGCUCGGCUCGGAGACAAGGUUGCCAUUCCUAUCAAGAACCGAUAUAACCCUAUUCCUUAGUUGCCUCGUAGUCACAGAGUGAUGAAAGUAUUUAGUGUUUUUAUCACCCCUCUCAAGCCAACGGCUUCUGGAUUUCUGUCUGAAGAAAGCCUCCUCCUAACUCCUCAACUCAACGAACAUCCUCCGAUGACUUUUUUCUAGCUCUGCCAAGAGGACAUUGGUCUGGUCGUGCUGAAGGGCCACUUGAGCUUGUGUAAGAGCAUUUCUGGAUUGAGCAACCCUCUCGGACAGGUUGGAGAAAGAGUCUCUAUUCAACUGCUUAAGACGCCCCUUGAGUGUUUUCAAUUUGGUAACCAACCUGAAGAUGGGUACUCCAUCACUCGGGGUCUGCCACACCUGGGUAAGAAUAUCCUGAAAAGAUGGGUGCUCCAUCCAGAAAUCAAAGAAUUUGAAGGGCUUUCUUCGAAAAACUGGCUGGAUCACCUUGACCACCAUAGGAGAGUGGUCUGAAAUACCAGAAGGUAAAAAGGAAGCUUCUGAGUAAGAGAAAUACAAGCUCCAGAGAGCGUUAACUAGAACCCGAUCAAUCUUCCUCGCUUUCCGAUUAGCCCCCGAAGACGUCGACCAAGUAAACCUAAGUCCAACAUAUCUCAAAUCCUCAAGCUCUGCCUGAUGCAGACACUGAUUAAACUCAUCAAAGCAGGGCGGCCAGGCAUUAGUACCCCCUAGCCUAUCAGACGGGUCUCUUAGGGCAUUGAAGUCACCCGCCACCAUCCACGGUAAGUCGAAAAUACAAGAACUCAUCCUGAUCAAGUCCACCCAUAGAGGUCUCCUACGAACAUAAGAAUUCUGAGCAUAGACUACCGAGAUACAACAACAAGAACCUGUCGAGAUCAGUCUAACUCUUCCAUGAAUAACCUGAUCAUUGGAGGAUAUCUCCUCAAAACAGACCAGCGAAGGGUCCCAGCUGAUCCACACCCUGCCCCCCGGAGAAGAAUCAUAGUUGGCAAUCCACGUCCACCCCGAUAAUAGACUCGACGACAGAGAGCCAAAAAGAUGUUCCGGGACUUUAGUUUCCAAUAACCCAACCAAACAAAGGCCACUAGAGAGAGCCCACUUACGGACCUCGGCUCUCCUCAAAGGAUUCACGAGACCUCUAAUAUUCCAAUAACCGAAAUACAUCUAAGCUAUGUACAAACUACUCUAAACAACGAAGAGCAAAGGGCAGCAAGGCCUACCUCAAUUUCUGAGGCCUGCGGCGCGAAACUCCGGACGGCUCAACAGUCUCCACCGGCUCCGGGACAGGGGCUAAGGACAGCAACCUGUGUUGGAUUGUUUCGACUGAUGUAUCUAUCAAGCGAGGAGGCUGACACGGCGCUUCUGGGGAGGAGAUAUCAUCAUCCUCUGAGGAAGAGGCAACCUCUUCCAAACGCUUUCCAGAGUCCUUCAAGGAUGGGGCACGGGUAGGUCGGGACCCAGCCGUGAGAGAGGAGACGACUUUAGGGGGAGCACUGGCGCCCCUAGCCCCCUUGCGAGCAGAGGCGGAAGGAGGGGGAGCUGCUACCAGCGGUCUGUCCCCAGAAGGCUGGUCAGCAGCCGAAGGGAGAGGGGAUUCACCUAUCUUGAGGUCCUUAUUCCUCUUCCUCCUGUUCUUCACCCUUCUCCAAGGUUGAUCCUGGUCGGGCAAAGUUGGAGUCGGUUGAGGGGAGUCGCUAACAUCUGUGAGGGACGCCUGCACAGAGACCGUGGAAGGUUGCAACCGAACCGGAUCUAUAUCAGACUGAGGUGGGAUGGGGGCAUCCACCGCCCGAGGCAGACUCGGAUCAACUUCUGGCCUCUGCACAUCCUGUUCCAAGACAACAGGCGAAGGAGGAGUGGCCGAUCGCGGAUUUGGAGCAUGGACGACCGGCUGAGCAGGAGCAACCGCAUUCUGCCUAGCUGGAUGACAGACAGCCUGUCCUGCAUUCUGUGUGCGCCUCGUGGGAUUUUCCGGGGGGGGGGGGGGGCAGUUGUGGCCGAAGGCGUUGCAAUCCGGACACGCAAUCGGGAGCCAUUCAUAUUCAAUAUUAAUGACCCGAGAGACACCCUUCAAGGUGAUUUUGGCCUUCUCAACUCUUGGCUGAUUGGCCGUGACCUCGACACAAACUCUUGCGAAGGAGACCAUCUUCAUUUCGUCGGUCCGUUGAUCCACAUACAACGGCUUCCCCGCCACACUAGCUAUGGCACUCAUGGCUGGCACUGUCCAAAUGUCAAACGGAAAAUUCCGUAGGCGAAUCCAAACGGGUAUGGUGGAAUGCUCUUCUCUCUUCAAAUCCAUGAGAGGCUUCCACUGCCGAAGUAUUAACGGCACCCUUGCAAUCGUGAUCGGCCCAUCUUCAAGGAUCUUUCUUCUAAAUCCGGGGUCCGGGAUUUGGAGAAAGAGGAAUCCUUGAUCGUCGGCAAAGAUUUCACCAAUCUUGGAGCCCCACGUUUUCCUCAGCACUUGCUCCACCAAUCCGAAUGGUAGCCUCCUUUUCGCAACCAAUUGGCCAACCAAGCAGUCAUGUCAUUUCGGGUCCAUAGCAUCAAGUGCUUCAUCCAGGAGAUUCACAACAGCCUCUCCCUCCACAAAGGUGGGUGGAACAUAAGACAAUUCGGAACCUUUCACAGCCAAUCUAGCCACAUUUGCCCAAGAACGUGCCGGGGCUUCAUGGUGACCAGCAGGUGCUUUCCCUGGGUGCUUGGAAGUUGAGCGAAAUCGGCUUCGUCCUCUCGACCGACGAGCGCGAAGGUCAGACUCCUUCGAAGCUUGCUGCCUAUUCUUCAUUUCCGGACUAAAGUCAGCAACACCCCUGGGUCCAGAAGAGACCAAGCUCGCACGGCAGAAGCACUAGAAAACCAGAGCAGCUCGAAUCUGCAGCUUGCUGGGAGACAACAGCAGGAGAAGCCAAGCUAGGAAGCUGUAGGAGAAUCCCCCGGCAGAACCGAAUCCCUAGCCGUUUCCCUUCAACCCGCAGAUGAGGAGCGAACAGCAGCUCCCACGUACAGUCACGCGCAGCAACUUAUCCGGAUGGAAUUCCUCAACCAGCUCAACCCAACCAGGGACAUUCGGAGGGUGCGAAGGGCUAAGUCUGGCUAGACUCUCUUCCGAGACUCAACCAAAAACAGCCAUGGAAUCUCACCAAACGAACAGCAGAACAGUCGGACAACCAGAGGAGAAAACUGCAGAAAUUCGUACCCUAGGCCAGACGAUUUCUCUGCAUGCAGGCCUUCUAUUGCGAAACCGUUCGGUGGAAACGUAGAGGGGACUGAGCUGAAUCUUCCUUCCGAAAAUCAGCCGAAACCACCCAUCGUAACUCCUCAAACGAACAACAGAUCAGCCAGAAACCAGAGAGAAAAACUGGGCAGUAAUUCGUAACCUAUGCCAGACGAUUUCUUUGCACACAGGCCAUCUUAUGCGAAACCGUUCGGUGGGAAUGUAGAGGGGCCUGAGCUGAAGCUUCCUUCCGAAAAUCAGCCGAAGACACCCAUCGUAGCUCCUUCAACGAACAAAAACAGCCGAGAAACCAGAGGAGAAAACUGGGCAGAAAUUCGUAACCUGGGGCAGACGAUUUUUCUGCAUCUAGGCCAUCUUUCGCGAAACCGUUCGGUGGGAAUGUAGAGGGGCCUGAGCUGAAGCUUCCUUCCGAAAAUCAGCCGAAGACACCCAUCGUAGCUCCUUCCACGAACACAAGAACAGCCGAAAAACCAGAGGAGAAAACUGGGCAGAAAUUCGUAACCUAGGGCAGACGAUUUCUCUGCAUCUAGGCCAUCUUUCGCGAAACCGUUUGGUGGAAACGUAGAGGGGACUGAGCUGAAGUUUCCCUCCGAAAAUCAGCGCAUUCCGACACCCAUAGCCACGGGAAUCAGCAACACACCAGACGGAUGAACAGUGACUCGGGAAUCCGAGUUGAGAGCAUAGUUUUGGAGAACUUUUUGCAUUUCCCGUUCUUUUUUCCCACUUUAACGAGGAAUAUAUUUUGUGGGCCCCAUAGGAACAGUUUUGUCUACCACUCUUUCCACUCCCCGCGCUCUUGUUCUAGCCCUACAAGACAAGCAUUAUUUCCUUGUUUCUUUGUUUACUCCCCUUUUAACCCAAGUCCUAAAACCCGCUUUACUCUAGGAAAUUAUCCGAUUCGAUUCUAUAAGGGUCAUGUCAUCAAACAAAGGGGGACAAUUGCCUGUUGAAUAGAAUCGAAUAUGUGUUGAUAAAAUAUUGACCAUUUUAAAAUGACUUGAUUUAUGACCCGAAUUCAUAUUAAAUUUAGAUUCGAUCUGAUCUAUUUGGUGAGUUGAAAUUUAAGAUAUCACGAUGGAAGAUUAGACUUAGAACAAUACAAGGAGGGAGGGGGGGAGGGGGAGAGAUAUGGGAGGUGAAAGAUGAUUCUUUCGUAUUUUUCUUUUUCCAAUUUGAGGAUUCUUUUUCACUUUUUCAAAGUUUUCCAAGGUGAAGAAAUGAUGAGAUGCUUGAGAAUUACAAUCUCGUUUGUAAAUGGAUCGAGAAAACUAUCCAAAAAGUUCUAAACUUAUUAUAUUUUAUCAAUUCAAUUCUUAAUUUUUUUAAUUUUACUAACAAAUUCAUUAACAUUUUGACAAUUUGCUAAUUGAGUCUAUCCAAGCGACCGGAAAUCGUUAACAUGAACACUAGGCAUCUUGCUUCACACGUAGUCAUUAGAGUGGACAUUUUUAAUAACAUUUUUGAAUAUUUUAUUCCCAUUUCUUUACUUUCUUUUUUAUUUUUGGAGUGAUGGCCGACCAAAGCAAGGGUGUGUGAGCCCUUGCCUAUGCAAGGGCUGCCAAACCUUCGCCUAGCCUAGAUCUAACGAAAGUGUCAUGGCAUUCAUUAGAUCUAGGUAAGAGCUCGUGAGCUCUCGUUUAGUGUCGGGGACCUAGCCUAGGCUUUCAACAGCCAUGGUGAGGGCCCAUAUGGCCAUUGAGGAUUGCAAUGCCCUCACCCAAAACUAGUGAGGAUCGCCAGCCAUCACUCCAAAAACCAAAAAAAUAAAUAAAUAAAGAAUAAAAAAAAAAAAGCUAUUUGUCAUCGUUGAUAGCAAUGUGUGUUAACUUGACUAUAGAUGCUACGAUAAGAACAGAGAAAUAGAGAUGAGCUGUUAAUGGUAUGCGUAAAGAAACAAGGUGGAUGAACGCGAUGACUUCUUCAUCCUUUGCAAUGGCGCUGAGAUAUUUUAUAUAGGAGCGAGAGGUUGUUUUGAUUUCUUUCGUUGAUCAAUAUCUUGUAAUUGUUUAUCUUACAUUACCUGUUUUUCAAUAUAGAACUUGAAUAUCACGGCUACAGAUGGAAAAUAAACCUUUUUAACUAGAAUUUUUUACUAGGUUCACAGUUGGUAGAAAAAUCUUCUGUUGCAGCAUUACAACAAUUAUGCGUAUAUGAUGUCUAUUUGAUUAUAUCGGGUGAUGUAAAUUUAUGGAUUAUAUGUAAGUAUUUUUUCCCGUCAAUUAAAACUAUUUCUGUUUUGGAUAAUUGACCGAAUUAAAUGGUUGUGCACACAUUAACGUGAUGCUUUCUAGCUUUUUCCAGCAAUUCCUUUUGAAUUUCUAUUUUACUGGGAGUACAGGGAGAUACAUGUACGUUUUUUCUUUUAUGUAGUUGGAUUGACGAUAUCUUUACUCUUAUUUUCCGAUGACUGAGUUUUGACUUCUUUCGAUGCAAUUGACUAUAUGCUUGGAGAUGUAGGGGCUAAAUAAUUUCAUAAACAUUUUGUCUUUUUUAAUUUCAUAAACUUUUCAUAUGUCAUUAUCUUAAAUUCGCAUCUAAGUAAAAGAAAGAACGAUAUUCAAAGUCCUUAGUAAUUGUCAUUCAAAUGAUGAGGUAUGAUCAAUUAAAAUCUAACAAUAAAAAUUUUGGAUCACUGGCUUGGAAGAACUUGUGAUUGAGGGUUGUAGCAUAAUUAGCUUAAAUAUUAAAAUUAUAGGAAAACUGAGCGCAACUCUCGUGGACCUUAUCUUCAUUACGUUUCAUCAAAUAAAUUGGGUGUAAUCAGCUGUGCAAUUGAUGUAGCCUCGUACCCCCGUCGGCAGCUUGAGGUUGACAUAACACAAAGCUUUAAUAAUUCCCAAGGGACGGACGACGGUGAAAAAGCAACUUAACUCCACCCUGGUUAACUUUUAGCCUCACUUUGCGCUGUCUCCUCCACCACCUCCUCCUGGUCUGUGUUUUAGAGAGAGAGAGAGAGAGAGUGUGUCGUUGGUACGUGUUAUCAACGUGUGGCUUUGUGAAUUGUUACAUCGCUUUGCCUUGAACGAAUCGGAAAGAGGGUCAUUCCACGGAGGUUAAUAGCGAAGGGAGGUCAGCAAGAGAGAGAGAGAGAGAGAGAGGUGGUCCCAUAUAAUCCAUGAAAUAGGAUGACAUUAUCGAGUGCAAGCAGCACCGAUAUGGAGUUCAUGAUCCCCUCAAACAUACAUAUAAUUACAUAAAAAAUACUUCAUAUUAACUAGAUCCAUGGUGUGAUCAAUCAAUGAGAUUGGAUUCUUUAGAACUAUUAAAUCGAGGUUUCAAGAAGUAAAUGAUGAUUAUAACAAAGGCAUCUUCCAUGAACUUUCAAUUUCUCUCAAUCAGAUGGAGGCAUUUGCUCUUUUGGAGAUUCCGUAGAUGUUGUGUAAAGAUGAUCAUAUGAAGCAUUACACUAUCCAUGUAAGCGCGGCCACCGUGCAUGCAUUAACAAAAGUAUGAAAUGGAGCUCAGGUUCGCAGAGUCCAUGUAAAAGAAAUACAGGUAAGUUCACUGUUACCAAGCUUUUGAUGAAAGAGAGCAUCAUAUUGAUAAAAGAUCAAAAAAACCUCAAUACAAGUAGCCAGAUUUUCUAAAUGUGAGAGGGAAGUUCGAAGUUUUAUAUAUGAUAUGUGUCGGCUGGCCUUUAUUUAGUUUGCGAAAAUGGUGGUCUUUUCAGUUCAUGCUUUUAUCUAAGAACGAUUAGAGAUUCUUCUAUAAAAUUUCAUAUGAUAUUUUAUCCAACAAUUUAUACUUUUAGAAUAGUUCAUAUUAUAUUUUAUCUGACAGCUUAAACUUUUAAAACACUUAACAUAACGCACUAAAACUUUGAUAAUUCCCAAAUGACCACUAAUGGUCAAAAGGCAACUUUACUCCACCUUGUUAACGUUUUAUGUAUUAUAUUUUCUCUGACGAGAGAGAGAGAGAGAGAGAGAGAGAGAGAGAGAGAGAGAGAGAGAGAGAGAGAGAGAGAGAGAGAGAGAGAGAGAGAGAGAGAGAGAGAGAGAGUGUGUGUGUGUGUGUGUGUGUGUGUUAUGUAGGGAGAGACACAGAAGCAUUUGGAAGUCUGUAGUGAGAAGUUUCAGCUUUGUGAACUGUUUCGUUGCUUUUGCUUAGAAUGAAUCGGAAAGAGGAUCAUUCCGUGGAGGUUAAUAGCAAAGAGGUCAUAGAGAGAGAGAGAGAGUCCCAUAUAAUCCAUGAAAUAGGCUGAUAUUGAGUUAAUGAUCCCCUUUAACAUACAUAUAAUUACAUACAAAUACACUUCGCAUUUAUUGGAUCUAUGGUGUAAUCAAUCAAUGAAAUAUUACCUAGAAUUAUUAAAGUGAGGUUUAGAGAAAUAAAUGAUGAUUAUAAUAAAGGCAUCUUCCAUGAACCUUCAGUUUCUCUCAACAAAGUUUUGUAUGUUGCUCUAAACCUAUGCAUAUUCACAAGAUUAAUAAAUAGGUGUCUUUUAGUUACCAAUGGAGUAUCUAUGACCUCUUUAGUUGCAUUUGGCAAUCAAGAUCAGAUUCAAGAUAUGAUAAAAUAUAUCAUAUCUUGUGUUUAAUGCAUGCUUAAGACAGGAUAAAGUCAAAUAUAAAUAGAUAUAAAUCAAAUUAAAUUAUCUCAUGGGGGGAGGUAAGAUAAAUGUGGAUAAGAUUUCUAAUAUCCAUAAUAGAAAAGUUAUUUUUAUGAAUAACAAACUUCUUAAAUUAAGAAAUUAAAAUUAUAUUUAAUAUAGUUAAUAUUUGAAUUCUAAUAUGAGAAGUUCAAAAUAACAAAAAAAAUAAUAAUUUAGUUAUUUUAUUUUUAUCUUAUUUUUAUCUAUAUAUUCGAAUUUAAUUAUAUUUUAUAAUAUAAAUUCAAUAUAUAAAUAUAGAUAUACAUUUAUAUUUAUUACAUAUUUUAGGUAUAUUUGUACAGUUUACUAUUUAAUAAAAAUUUAUUAUAAAAUGAUGGAAGGGUAAGAAAGAAAUAAAAAAGAAAUUAAUUAAAAAAGAGAGGAAAAUAAAAUAAAAAAAAAGUAAAAAAGAGUGUCCCGAAAGAUUUUUAACAUAUUCAUUUGUAAAAUUUUUAGUUCAUUUUUACUAAUAUGCCAUUUUUACUAAACAAUGUAUAUGAUAUAAUAUGAAUAUAUUUGACUUUUAUCACUACAAAUAUCAAACAAUGGAUAAGAUAUAUCAAAAACCCUGGAUUUCAUAUCCUAUCCUAGUUAAAAAUUCGAACAAUCAAAUAUAAUCUUUAAGCAUUCGAUUGAUUUUCAUCAGGUGUGACAGUCACUGCAUUUCACACCUACCAAAUAAUUACUAGAGACACGGUUUUUAUAUUACAUUCUUUUGAAAAACUAUUAGUUGCCACACUUGAUUUUUUUAUCUCAAUUUCUAUAUGAAGUUGGUUUUGGCAGCUUAACGUUCUAAACUUGGGAGCUAAGUGCCUUGUCCUUUUUUGUUACUCCUGGGAAGGUUUUGUGAAUAUUUUUUCUAUACUAGAAACAAUUACUUAUCUAAUUUCUAACCUUAAUCUUGCAUUACAUAUGUCCUUUUUUUCAUGUGAAAAAAUAAGAUAUAAUUCGUGCAUACCUAUAGGGACCAAAAAUCUACGGAUAAGUACAUUGGAAACCCUAAGACUUAUCAUAAAAGUGCAAUUGAGUUCUAAAAUUUAUCAAAAGUGCAAUCAAGCUCUAAAAAUUGUCAAAUUGAUACAAUCAAAUCAUUCCAAUAACUCCAUCCAAUUAGACUAAGGUGACUUUUUUAAUAUUUUCCCUUCUACGUGGCAUUAUCUUAUUAAAACAUGAAAGACAGGACUAAAAUGAAGUUGUUUUGAUAUAAAUCCUACUUUUUUAAUUGAAAAAUCAAUUAAAUGAGAUCAAGAAAUAAAAGAGGUACUUGGCAGACUUAUUACAUACAAGAUGCUUUUAUAAGGAAAAUAAUACAAACUUUCAAUGAGAAAAGCAUUUUGGUCAAGACUAGUGGUGAAGUGAUUGGAAUUGGAGUGUAUUAUCUGAAUCGAAAUCUGGCCUUCGGCUGCUGUUGAUUUGCUGGAGUCAAGCACGGCUCUCGUAAUUUUGAGCUGGCGGGGCCUGAAGUCAACUUCAAUACAAAAGAAGUUGGGGAGUGAGCCCUUUUGUUUUCAAUCAAACGUAAUCAGAUGAAGGCAUUUGCUCUUUGGGAGAUUUCAUAGAUGUUGUGUAAAGAUAAUCAAACGAAGCCUUGCACUAUACAUGUAAGCUCGGGCACCUUGCAUGCAUCGACAAAAGCACAAAAUGGAGCGAAGGUUCGCAGAGUCCCUACAAAAAAAUAAAAAAAUACUGGUGAGUUAAGAGUUACCGAGCUUCUGACCAAAAAUAACAUCAUAUUGAUAAAUGAUCAAGGGAUCCUCAAUACACGUAUCGGGAUUUUCUCAAAUGUGAGGGAAGUUGGAAGUUUUAUAUACGAUGAUGGCAUGAUGGCAAACGGCCUUUGUUUUAUUUUGCGAAAAUGGUGGUCUCUUCAAUCUACAUCUUCAUCUAAUAAUUUAAAACUUUUAGAAUAGUCAGUAUCAAAUUUCACAUGGUAUUUCAUCCAACAGUUCAAGCUUUUACAAAAUUACACAUAUUAUUUUAUCUCAGAGUUUGGGCUUUUAGAACAAUUGACAGUGGUUCUAUAAAUUCUCAUAUGGUAUCAAAGCUAGGAGGUCUUGAGUUCAAAUCUUCCGUGCUCCUAAUUACCUCUCCUUAAUUGAUCUUUUUUGGAAGUCAUGACAUUAGAAAGUCUUAAUUGGAUCUCUGGUAUGACCAGAAAGCAUCAAUUGCACAUGUACCCUAUGGUUAAUAUGUAUGCAGCUCAGUGGAAGAUAUUCAGCUAUUGCCAUAUCUAUGUGCUCUUGAGAUUAUUAUUUCAUAACAUGCUUGUCCUUUAAUCAAAAUUAGUGAUGGACGGUAAAAAACAUAGUACUAAAGCCCAUGGUGAUUAAUGAUGAGUCCAUCAAAAGAUGACCUUCAGAAAUUAAUGUUUACUUUACCUCCACAUCUGACAAAUGGAACAUAGUUCAGCUAUCGUGAUGAAGAAGAGAUCCCAUAGGAUGCCAAGGAAUAACCGAUGAUAAAGCCUUUUUCUAAAUUCUAAUAGAAUACUAAUCGAGGGGCUCCAUUUGAUUCCUCACAUGAAGUACUUUCUUUCAAAAAGUUUUAGGGGUCACGUGAUAUCCAUUAUAGCUUUGUAACAAAUACAGUAGCUACUCUGAUGACAAAAUACUGUGAUAAGUAAUAUGUUCGUGGUAGUCGUGCUAUAUAUUAAGUAAUCUUUAGGUGUCAUUGUGUACGGCAGAUUUAUGCAUGUAAAACUCAAAUGGCUCUUCAUUAACUCGACCGGUUUGGAUUUAUGACUGAUACUGCUCCACCAUGGAAUGAUGAAUUGGGAAAUUUUGAUCUCAAGAAAAGGAUAAUCUCUAGGGAAAUGCUCAUCUCGUUUCAUCGGAGUCCAGCUAUCCCGAAAUAGAACGAAAUUGUGGACUGCCUGGGGAUAGAACGAAAUUGUGGACUGCCUGAAUCAAAACAGAUGCACAUCUACAAAAGGGUCUCAAGACUCUCAACCACCAGAGGUCACGUCAAUUUCAAUACUUGAAAAUCUUUCUACGGUGUAAGACGGUGUCUGAAAUUGCUCACCUCAAGCUAUGGUGAUGGGAGGGUAUCCUCGGGAAAAUAAAAAUUUAUGUUAGUGGACAUGGGCCCAGGGGUGGGUUUAUGUGUAACUUGGUAGCGCUCUCUCUAUUAAAGCCAGAUGCUCCUCUUUCUGAGCGUUGCAACUCUCAAUGAUCUCUUCCUCCCUCUAGAUUUCCAUCUCCAUUUACGCCUAUUGCUGGAAGCUGUCUCUUUUCUCCUAAUUUUUCGUGGUUGUGGAUUCAUCCUGCUGAAUCUUUCCAGUUCAGUCAUUUCGUUUCGUUUCCGGGUUCCAUCAGUUCAUAUAUCGAGAUGGCGGAUAUCGUUCUGUCUGUAGCUUCCAAAGUGGCAGGGUACCUGGUGGCUCCGGUCGGUCGUCAAUGCGGCUACGUGAUAUUCGCCAGCAGCUAUGUUGACCAACUUGAGGAAGAACUUGACAAGCUGAAAGACGCGAGUCAAAGGGUGCAGGAUGAGGUCGAUGUAUUUGAAAACAACAUGAAGCCGAUUCAAUCCGACGUCAAGAAAUGGGUGGAAAAAGCGAAGACCGUCAUCAACAAGGCUACCGUGCUGAAAAACGAUGGAAGAGCCGAAAAAACUUGCUUCUGCGGCAGGCUUCCCAACCUGAAGGCGCGUUAUUGUUUUAGCAAAGAGGCGAGGAGGACGGCCAAGGAGAUCCAGGCACUGAUCCUACAGUGUCAUUUUGCCAAGGUUGCGUACGAGAAUCCUCCACCGGGGCUUGUUGGCGGUGCGCACGAGGUGAAUUCGUCGGCCGGUGAUGGGAGUGACACUGUCUCUGAUUCGCGAACUUCCAUCUUUCAGGGCAUAAUGAAAGCUCUGGAUGAUGAGAAGCACAAAGUGAUUGGGGUCUGCGGGCCUGGCGGCGUGGGAAAGACUACGCUGUUGGAGGAAAUCGAGAAGAAACUCAAGAAAGAGGGGAGACCGUUCCAAAUGAUUGUCAAAGCGACAGUCUCGCGGACUCCAGACUUGACGAAAAUCAUAUACGACAUCGCUUAUGGCUUGAGUCUAAAUCUGAAGGACGUGCCGAGCGAAGACGGAAGAAAAGAUCUUCUGUCCAAGAGACUAAAGGACUUGAAUGAGAAGGUUCUCAUAAUAUUGGAUGACCUGUGGGGAGCACUUGAUUUGAAGGCGGUUGGAAUUCCUUCGGGAGACGAGAGCGUGAAAUGCAAAUUGUUGCUCACUUCGAGAGAUAAAAGUGUGCUAGAGCAAAGGAUGCGUGCCGAUAGAACAUUUCAUCUUAAAGGUUUAAGCGACGAAGAAGCUUUCAGCCUAUUUGAAAGGAUGGUCGGCGACAAGCUCAAAGACGAUGAGGAACUGAAAGCAAAGGCGGCUCAAGUGGUAAGGAAGCUUGCAGGUUUGCCCCUUUUGAUUACCUCCGUUGCAAGCACCUUAAAAUGUAGCAAUGUGUCCACGUGGGAAAGCAUGUUAAUAAAAGUAGAAGACCCAAAUAACGAGAGAAUAGUGAAGUGGAGUUACGACCAUUUGCAGUAUGAGGACGCCAAGUGCUUAUUCUUGCUUUGUGGUCUUAUUGGUGGGACCAUUGAAGUCGAACUUUUGCUGGGGCUAGGCAUGGGUUUGGGCUUGUUUGAGGGAUAUAACGAAAGAGUACAAUAUUCAAGGAAUAGGUUGAAUGAGAUGCUCGAUAGCCUCCAUUCCUUUUGUUUGUUACAAGAUGGUGGCGAUGGCAAGAAAAAUGUGACCAUACAUGAUCUUUACAGCGAGGUGGUUGUUUCACGUGCAUUUGGAGGUCAGAAUUCUUUAAUGAUGAACAGCAAUUAUGGCCCAUGGUCAAAGGAAAAGCUUGAGAAAUGUUGGGCUAUACGCCUAGCUUGUGUUGACAAAGAUAGGCUUGAUAAACUAAUGACGUGUCAGUUUCCUGACUUGAAGAUACUCAUGUUGUCUCAACCAAAAGGCUGGAGUUGGAUGCAAGUACACGAACAUGAAGUGGGAGAUUGCUCUGGACUACCAGAUUUCACAUACAUGAAGGAGCUCCGUGUCCUAUAUUUUCGCUCUAUGCUUAUCGACAGUUUACCUCCCUCGAUUGGAAUCCUCGAGAACCUCCACUCUUUAUACUUACAGCAUUGCAAUGUGGAGGAUGUGGCAAUUUUUGGCAAGCUCAAAGCAUUGCAGAUUCUCAGCUUUAUGUGGUCCACAAUUUCUAGGCUACCUAAAGAAAUGGGGGAACUUACAAAUUUGAGAUCGUUGAAUCUAAGCAACUGCAAAAAGCUUCAAAGAGUCGAGCCUGUUGUCCUAGAACGCUUAAUCAAAUUAGAAGAGUUACAUAUGAAGGGAAGCUUUAAUCGAUGGAUGGGCAAAAAUGAAAAACCAUCGGAAUUGUGUAAUGCUGGGCUUGCCGAGUUGGGGAGCAUGACAAAGCUAAAUUCUUUGGAAAUAUCGAUUCGUGAUCCCAUCAUACUCUUGGAGGUUGAUGACCUGCCAUUUGAGAACUUGACUAGAUUUUGGAUCAACAUUGGAAAUGCUGAAGGAAGGGAAUUUAAAGGUUUGAGAACCAUGAAGAUCAAAUUGGAAGGGCAUGAUGGUAUUCUUUCAAAAAAAUGGGUCCUGAAAACUCUCCAAAAGACUCAAUACUUGCUUUUGGACGGAUUGGGAGAGUUCGAGAAUGCUCACAAGUUGUGCAUUCGAGGAUUUUCACAACUGAAGCAUCUCGACAUUCAGGAUAGCCCAUCAAUAAAGUAUAUUGCCAGUUCAUCCAAUAGUGCUUUUACGAUUUUGGAGUCUUUGUUCGUCAACAAUCUUAUCAAUCUGGAGAAGAUAUACCACGGCCACAUCGCCGCAGAGUGCUUUAGCAAACUAAAAGCUUUGAGAGUCAAAGUGUGCAACCAAUUGAAAUACUUGUGGUGUCUUUCACAAAUGCAAAAUCUUGUACAGUUAGAAGAGAUUAAAGUAUGGAAAUGUGACUCAAUGCAAGCCAUUGCAAGAAAAUAUAUAGUCCCUGCCGAUUACAAAGUUGAGUUGCCUUACCUUCGUCGUUUGGAUUUGGCUAAGCUACCAAAUAUGAUGAGUUUUUGCACAAGAGCUGAGAUGACUUCGGAAGGUGCUCCAAUUCAGGUAACUUUUUCAUUUUCUCCCGUGUCAGUUUGUCUUAUUGAGAGGGUAUAAGUUUCAUUCACAUACUACACAUUUUCAUUCACAUUCAACUAUAGGUAGAGGGAAGCCUCUUUCUAUGACUGUUUUUUUUUUUUUCUAUUUUUUUCUAUUUUAGAUAAUUGCACUAAUUAAUUGGGUUCAAGGGUUUCUACUAUGACUAAUUUAUUACUCAUGUCACAUUUUUAAUGAGUAGAAGAAACAGUGUAUUGAACGAACGAACCUUCGAUGAAUGAACGAAAUUGAAUAUUUUCAAAAUGAAUAAAGCAACCUCCGGAGAUUAAAUAAACCGAAGGCGAACGAAGAGUCACAUAACAAAGAAAGUCCACGUGGUUCAUGUCCCAACUUCAUGCAAGUUGGAACUGAUUCCCACAUAUCAUGCCAUCAUAACCGUGUCAACGUCAACUACUUUGGGGAUUUUUCCUUCUUCAUUUUCUCAGGCUUGAUGGAAGAUCUUAAGCUUUCCCUCUCCAUCCAAUUGAGUUUUAAAUAUUUUAUACCGAUCGAUUAAGUUUGCGACAUUUUUAAAAGCAAUAAUAAGCCCAUUCAUACACUUUGGGUCCAUUCAUAUUCUUUUAGGCAGGGGUUGUGGAUGGAGGAGGAGGAGGAGAUGAAGGGACAGAGCUAGUCACCACUACUUCAGAUUUACAAAAUACCUAUUCAGAUUCCUUCUUCGAUAGAAAGGUAAAUAGCCCUUCUCUUGAGAUUUUACCCACAAUAACCAUAGAUACUCAGUUUGCUACGGCAGGUAACAAUAUCUUUUUGAAGAAUCUUAUUUGGUUUUAUUUGUUAAAAUGUGUUAACAAUUUAUAAGUACAUUUAUCAGUGAAUAUUAAUUCUUCCACCACAUUAGAUUGGUGAUUAGGAUUUGCCUAAAUUGUCAAAUUUUUCACAAUUGUAAUCCAACGCAUGACUCUUAUGAGCAGGUUAGUUUACCGAACUUGGAAGACUUAGAGCUUGACUCAGUGGGAUCCUUCAAAAGGAUAUGGCACGAUGAACUUUCCAGAAGUUUCUUUUGCAAAUUAGCCACCAUGAGUGUCAAGAAUUGCUCCGACCUACUCCACAUCUUUCCUUCGACGAUCAUAAGGGAAUUGCACCACCUGAAAAGUGUUGAGGUUAAAAACUGUCCAUCCUUGAAAUCAUUGUUUGAUUGUAGAUCCCUGGAUUCAAAUACGGAACAAGCUAUGGUGUUGCUCCCCGAAUUGUUUAGCAUCAACGUUGAAAGCUGUCCCUCCCUAGAAUCGUUGUUUAAUUGUGGGUUGCUUGAUUCAAAUGCGGAACAGAAAAUUAAAUUGCUCCCCAAAUUGGAAGAACUGAGAGUGAGUGGAGCAAAAAAGUUGAGAAAUGUGGUCAUGAGCCACUCCCAAAUAGUUUUGGGUUUUCCUAGUCUUGAAAUUGUUAGUGUUGAGAAUUGCUCUGACCUGAGAUAUCUCUUUUCUAAUUAUAUGGCCACAAAUUUGGUGAAACUUGAGAGGCUAGAAAUUAUUAAAUGCGAACGGAUGAAGGAAGUGAUUCUCAAGAAAGAAGUUGGUCAAUCAAAGGCAGAAGUGAUGAGUUUCCCUUGCUUAAAAUAUCUAAGAAUUGUGGGGUGCCGUAACUUUGGAGCGUUCAUAUCGAGUCCCACAAGUGUCAAGAGGCAGCUAGGUGAGACGGCCGAAGAAAAUGAUGAAUCGCCACAACCGCUGUUCAAUGAGAUGGUCCGUUCUAUUAUUUAUUGUGAUCAUUUGGAUCCUCACAUUAUCAUGUUUUAUAAUGAAGAACAUAAUAAAUUUGUCUUACUUAUCCUCCUUUCUCACAUUAUCCUCGUGCAGGUCACAUUUCCCAAUAUAAGAAGUCUAGAUAUUGAAGGCAUUCCAUGCAAAGAGCUAUGGAACAACCAUGUUCUCAUCGAUUCUGUUGUUUGUUCUCAUCGAUUCCUUUUGGAAAGUGUCGAGGUUAAAAAUUGUCCAGCCUUGAAAUCAUUGUUUGAUUGUGGGCCCUUGGAUUCAAAUACGGAACAAACAACAGUAUUGCUUCCCGAAUUGGCAAGCAUCAACGUUGAAAGCUGUCCCUCCCUGGAAUCGUUGUUUAAUUGUGGGUCCCCUGAUCCAAAUGCAGAACACAAAAUUAUAUUGCUCCCCAAAUUGGAAAAAGUGAGAGUGAGUGAAGCAAAAAAGUUGAGACAUGUGGUCAUGAGUCACUCCCAAAUAGUUUUGGGUUUUCCUAGUCUUGAGACUGUCAGUGUUGAGAAUUGUUCUGAUCUGAUAUAUCUCUUCCCUAAUUAUACGGCCACAACUUUGGUGAAACUUGAGAGGCUAGAAAUUAGUAAAUGCGAACAUAUGAAGGAAGUGAUUCUGGAGAAAGAAGUUGGUCGAUCAGAGGUAGAAGUGAUGAGUUUCCCUUGCUUAAGUGAAUUAAUACUUAAGGAGCUUGAUAACCUGAUUAGUUUCGGUUCGGGAAGUUGUUCAUAUUAUUUUUCCUCCUUAAGAAAUCUAAGAAUUUUGGGUUGCUGUAACUUUGGAGCAUUCAUCCCAAGUCCCACAAGUGUCAAGAGGCAGCUAGGCAAGACGACCGAAGAAUUUGAUGAAUCGCUACAACCGUUUUUCAAUGAGAUGGUUCGUUCUAUCAUUUACUGUGAUCAUUUGUAUUCUCGCACUAUCAUGUUUUAUAAUGAAGAAUGUAUUGAAUUUGUUCUACUUAUCUUCCUUUCUCACGUUAUCCACAUGCAGGUUACAUUUCCUAAUAUAACAAGUCUGGAAAUUGAUGGCCUUCAAUGCAAAGAGCUAUGGAACAAUCAAAUUCCCACUGAUUCCUUUCAGAAGUUGAAAUUUCUCAAAUUGAAUAACUGUGACAAUCUUCAACGUAUUGCCUCUUCUUAUAUGUGGAAGAAGCUGCAGCGUUGUCUCAAGGAACUUGAAGUGGUUUCAUGCCGUUUGAUCGAGAUCAUAUACGAUGGUGAUGGGACAGAUACUGAGAGUGGUGAAUUGAGGAGGCUGGUUUUGCAUGAUCUCGAAAACUUGAGAUGCGUUUGGCAGUUAGACAGUCUCCCAACCAUCCCGUUCCCAAAUUUGAGAGAUGUAAAGGCCGUGAGGUGCCACCGUUUGGAAAUGCUUUUCCCUAUCUUCACAGCGAAAUUUCUCGGGCAAAUCGAAGAGCUGAUGGUGGAGUCAUGUGAAGAUAUGGAAAUAAUUAUUGGUCAUGAAAAAUGGGAAGAAGCAAUCGGCACCACAAUCACCUUCUCCGAAUUAAUUGUUCUUAGACUUCUUAAGUUGCCGAAAUUCAGGGGCUUCUUACCUGAGAAAUACUCUCUAAAAUUCUCGUGCUCCGAGGACUUCCCAUCCUUGCGAGUCUUGAGUAUAGAAAGCUGUGGAGCAGAGCCGGACCAAGUCCUUGGUGACUGGCUGGACCAAAUGCAACGAGAAUUGUGCAUGCUCGAAAGAAUUGAGGUAUUCCUUCAAUAUUUCAUUUCUCAGUGAACCCACACGUACUCUACAUCAUGUAGCCCUCUCUCUUCCUUUCUCUCUCUAGCUCUCUUCCUUACUCUCUUCAACUAACGAUUUGUCGAUUCCCUUUUAUACUCAGGAAUAGUGCCCUCUGGAGUCCCCUUGAUCUUCAUUCCUUGUUCAUUCUCCCUUUCCGUCGCCUUCCAUCGACCAACAGCCGCCAUCAAGAGUCCAUCGCUGGCCACCACACGACGUGGCACGCUGAGAAGGGACGAAUGACAAAGAGCAUUGCUCGAAGGCUCUUGGUGAUUUCAAUUGAAUCCUUUCCUCUCACUUUGCUGCUGGUCGUCACCGCUUCCCGAUCACCACCUGUUUCGCUGCCGCGAGGAAGUUCUGUAAUGCCGGAGUGCUCAAACUUUGAUCAUGACUGCCUGCUUCCACGACUCCAUCCCUUGAUGUUGCUUCUGUUAUCUCCUGGCUCAUGUCCGAUGUCAAUCGCCAUAACUAAUCGUUCUUCAUUCAACUAAACCAUGCAUGCUCUGUUUUCCAUUGCUAUUGCUACUAUCUGCGUGCAAAUUGACUGUGUGAUAGAGGCUAUAUUAAUGAUUUGAACUAGUGCUCCUCCGCUGAAAUGUGUACCAUCUGUUUGAUGAAAUUGUUUUGAACUAAAUUUGUGUGUAUUUUGAUUUAGUUCUUGACUAGAUUCUUGAUCUAUUCUGGUCAUACAAGCGUAUUUGAGUUUUGUUGCUUCAUAAGAAAAACCAUAGGUAUUCAAUUUCAAAUUUGUUUUGAAUUUGUUGGAAACUUGCCAGUGCAUGUUGAUUUGUGGCUAUUGUGGCCCUGAACUGAUGUGAUUCUGCUCAAGUAAGCAUGUGCAGUAAUAUAAGAUUGUGUUAUGGUGACUUUCAUGUUCGCUUGGGAAAGAAAUUAUGGCAUGAAUGAAUGAAAUUCUAUUGGAAAUCGAUCCGUAGAUGCAGACUCUGUCUUGAUAUGCCUGAUUUGGCGGGUUAUUGAUUCCAUCUUGAGACUAGUUUGGUCAUGGGAUCGUAUAUUUUCAUGCUAGGAAAGUAAUAUGGUGAAUCUCAUGCCAAUUUUGUGAGAAUUAUAGUCAUAUGGCUUGUAGGAAGAUAUGGCUUCAAUUUCAUGUCUAUUAGUCAUCAAAUGAUCACGAUUUGUAGUCAUGUAUGCUCUGUUACAAUUCUGAACGUGUGCUAGAAAUUUUUGGAAUGAGCAUGAAUCACAUGGAUUUUGUCUUUGGUUUGGUUGCCUUUUUGAUUGCUUGUGGAUAAAUGAUAUCGCGUGUGCAUUAUUAGAUUGAUGAAAUGCGUGCUUAUUCUUGGCCUUAUAAAUGAUUUAGAGGACUCCGAUGUUAAUUGAAGUUUAAUUGCAUGAUUCUUGCAAUUCCUCUGCUAGUACACAUAUUCUAAAGGUGAUCUGGUAGAUUGAGCUAGAUCCGAGGAAAUCUCUCAACAAAGCUGGUCAAUGAGACCCCUUGAAAUAUCGCACGUACGACGCUUGCCAACAAAGUACAUGUUUUCUCUCCCUCUCCUUCAAUGCUCACCUUUCAAGGCUUAUUUAUAAGAGCUAUUGCUUAAUCUAAUCGAUCCUUCAAGUGUGUGUGUUUGUGCUAACAUAGUGUACACAACACCAAUUGGAACCUACUCAUUCAUGAUGUCCUUUCCUUCCUUGGAGUGUUCACUGGCCACUGCUGUUCAAAAUGAUGUUUCAAAGAUACGACUUUUGUUUUCCUCCCUCCCUCAUAAAACUCGCAAAAGCAACCCUCACCAACACUACCAGUACCCCGCCCUUGAAAUCCAUCAAGACCUGCCCAUAUGUUCCCCCUGGAGUAGGUGCAUAGUUCAGAUUGUCUCCCCUAUAAUCCAUUCUGCAAUGGAACUGUAGAGCUCCAACUAUCUCCUCGCAGUAGGUCUCCCCAUUGAUUGUAGGUCCCCUGAUCUGAAAAAGUUGAAUCUUUCCCUCUAAGAGGUUCAUGCUAUAAAUCUCGAAUGGAAAACAUUUAGGCAAGAACUUGAUGAACCAUAUGAAUUUAUCUUAAUGUCCACACGAUAAUGUCAACUCAUAUGAAGCAUUUUAUACAACAAUGGCAUCGUGUGUCCUUUCCACAACUUGCUUUAAUUAGUAGAGAGUAUCUAUUUGAAUCAUUACUUUGUCAUGCUCAUGAAUGCUCAUUGCACUCAUAUUUCUUCAUUUCAACUGCUCAAAACAAUGAGAUUUAACCCAAAAUCACUAGAAAAUUUUGUUAUAUAUUAUUGCAUUUGUACACCGUCAGAAUCAAAUGCCACUAAUUUGACAUGAUUGAUCAUGUCGUGAGAGCAUCGGGAAGAGUGGUGGGCGAUCCGAGGAUUUUGCCGCCCACAUCAGAAAACCUUUCAAAACUGGCCAAAGGAUUGACUUUACCGUCUCUGCUCACAAGGAUGGGACACUGCAUCAGGUGCCCUCUCAUUUCCCUGGGAUCAUGUUGGUCCUCAUCCGCAUAAGCUUUCCAAUUCCGUUUGGCUAUUUUGUUCACCCUAUUUACACAAUCAAUGCUUUGAGGUUCCCUAAAGCUGUCCUCUAAAUCUCCCAAGUGCUCCACUCAAAGUGACAUCCUAUAAUCGUAAACCUGCAUAGCGUAAGUCAACAUAAUUAUACAAAAGCUUAAGGUUUUUGAAUGGAUGUCGCUGCACUCGCUCGGACAUACGCUUUGUAUAUGCUAUUCAAAUGAGAGGCUAACCCGAUGUAACUAACCUGGCCACGCGGAUGCCUCUUUUUCCCAGCCCAAGUGUGGCAUGGCUGAUAAGCCCCCAUUGCAAUUUCAGUGUCUCUUGAGCCAUCCAGAGAUCUUUGGUUGAUAUUUGCCGAUCCCAUGAUCACAUACUCAUCAUCUACUAUCAUUCCUUUGGCAUGCACAUAUAUCAUGAAUCUGCGAAAACUUUUGAACCAACGCUUGCAUGGAUAGAAACAACAGCAUGCUUCAACCAAAAGUCUUUUUACCACUCAUGCUCUUAAUGACUUUUUUCGUUUUGUUUUUUUUAACGGAUGAGUCAAAGGAAGAAUCCCUGAAAAGAGUAUAGACAUAUACCACGGAAUUAUUUUCGGAUUGUCGAUUCAUUGCUUGGAAUGAAGACUGUGAAGAGGACAGGGGCUCCCGCUUGCCUAGUCAGUAGAAGUUCAAGUAAUCCAGGGGAUGGUACUUGUGUGACAACCCGGCUCUUUCGAGAGCCUGGGCGAUAAUUUUGUACAUCAUUGUCAUGGUUUGUCCCUAUCCACAUUAUAUAUACACAUACGAUAAUAGUGAAUAUUAAUAUUUUUACAUCAUCAUAUCAAUAUUUUUACAUCAUCAUAUCUCUUGGAGAAAAAUACUAAAAUGACUGAAAUGGGGUCGGGUCCCAAAUUUCCCCUCUAAGUUUCUCGGCUUGGUCUGCUUGCAUCACUUCGUUUUUUGCUUAAUUCCGUUGGCAUGUUAUUUAUUUUCGAUUUGCUUGGACAUCAUCGAUUUACAUGUGUCAUCACUAUUUCUUUACAAGAUGAAAGAAUUUAUCCUUGAUCUGACCUGCCAGAAGAGAAUUUCCUGCACUGCAGCACUAGUAGGGGCACCCUCCGGCCAUGUCGAUAUCACUAUAUACAUACAGAAGCGCUCGUCUGCACUGAUCUUGCUUGCGAUCUUCAACGCCAGCUCCAUCAGCACUAAAUUAUUUGCAGCUGCAUGUCAAAACCAAAUCAAGCGUUGGUUGCCAUAUAAAAUUGAACUCAAGAAAUUAGAUAGGCCAAGACAAAACUAGAAAAAAAGGAGGAAAAAUAUGCAUUUAAAAAGUUCAGAGAGUCGGUCUCAAAAAUAUAACAUAUUGAAUCAGAAUGCACGCUUAAUGUCUUAUACAGUGAGUUCUAGCGAUUAUUAGCUGACACACAAUCCUCAGAGGGAGCCAAAUCCAUACACUCUUUACUGGAGGCAUUGUUGCUCGGUCAACUCAGUCGGUCGAAAUGAAUAGAAACGGGCAUCUUAUACCUGCAUUUUUGUAUGGUGGCCAACGAUAGCAAGAGCCAAGCAAAUAUUGGUUUUCAAUGUAAAUGAAGUGUUGUGCCGAUCUAAUUGCUUUCACAUACGUCUUGUGAAUACUCUUGUCUACUUUCAAGUUCUUUCCACAUAUAAGAUUCUGCAACCGUGAAGAGAUUGAAAGAAUGAACAUUAUUAAUUUGGAAUUCAAUCUCUACUCAAAAACACUAAAAACUCUGCAUAAAAAAGAAGAGUAACUUUCUAAUGUAAGAACACUUUUCAAGUUAUGCACAUAUAACAGCCAAUUGCAAAUCUAUCAAAAUGGUAUUAGCAGCUAAAAUUACUCGCUUUGCAGCUUCUUCAAUGCUCUUCGGGAAUCCCUUUACAGAACCUGAAUCAAUCGAUCUAAAGACCUACGCCAACAAAAAAUAAAAAUGAAAGAUGGUUGUCACACUUCAUUUGUUUACAAUUGAAGUUCCUUGAAAAUGGUAAUUAAUUUGAAGUAAAUUCUCCCGACCUGCACAUGCCAAUUUUCCGGGUUGUCUUCGUCCCUGACUUGUACUAUUUUUUCGCCAUCGGGCUUGUCAAGGGACAAAGUAUCCACAAAAUCCUGUCGAGCCUUAAGAGAGCAUUCUCAUAUGCCAACGCCUAACAUUUUUUGGCUUAUACUCACGCCACUUCACUGCCUUUCUCCAUCUAUGUACAAGACUCUUCAAUUUGUGUACACAGCUUGUCCCUCAACUUUGGAAUGUAGAUCAUGCCACGGUUGCCUUGGGACAUUGAUGGUGGACUAUAAUUAUCACAAAGAGCGAUUCCUUCUCAUGAUUAGAACAUAACAUAUACAUGUUAUUACAAUGCUAAAGGUAAACAUUAGCAUACUACUGUGAACGUGGGGUUGUGAAUGUUAUUCUUAAAGACCGUAUCAAGAUCGCUAUAGAGUUUGUGCUCCAGAUAGUCAUAUCGUCCAUCACAUAGGUCUAGCUUGCCAAUGAAUGUGGUUAUUUUGUAGUUGUUUCUCAAGGCUUGAGUGUCAAGAACCACAGACUUUUGGUAAUGCAAGGACAAGGUCACCCCACUUGGACUACAGAAUAUUGUAAAAUUCCCUUUUAGAACCGUCCUAAAUUUAUGUCAUUAGGUUAGAAAACACUUGAUAUGAUCUAGGACAGCAUGAGCUAGAUCAAUGAACUUUUGCGGAUUGCCUAAUGAGAGAAAAUCUUUGUUAUAAAAUUAUACCCGAUUGUAAUAAUCAGGUAAUAUACAACAAAAGCGGUGUUUUUGAUGCAAUCUAACGAUUAGAUUUUGAUUAAGAAUUGACCUAAACAUCUAAGGAUACAUACCUGUUGCUCGAAAAUGCUGAGUUUGGUACUUGCAUAACGAGGAGAAGGCACGCAGCCGAUGCCAGAGUGUCGGACAAACUUCUUCAUCUCUUCAUCAUGAGUUUGCAUCAUGUCAUCCUAUGCCACAAUAUGGCACGUGCCAAGUCUCAGUGAUGAGAGAUCUCAAUAAAGAACUAUCAUUUCCUAAGUCAUGGAUUUGAAUUUUUUUGGCCAAACGGUGCAUUGCACCAUAAAUGAGGAUACUUUUUCAAGAAAGAGCCAUUAUAUAACAUAUUUUUCCAAUUGCAUCUUGUAAAGGCAAGCCGAAAGAAAGAACCAUUAGAGGUCAAGAAUUUGUGUUAAAAAAAAAAUAGAAAACUUCUUAUACUGUAAACGUUCAUUAAGCCGAUAGUAAAAGAUGGAAAAUCUUUCACUGUCUGCGCACCCUUGAUAAAAGGAUGAUCCUUACUCUAUUGCACUAGCCCAACAAAUCAACAGUGAUGGAAGCCACAAGCGGGCAAAUUUUCUCAACCUAGUAGUACUCCAAUCAUCCCAAAAACCAUAGAGACAUUUCCAUGUUUUAGCGAUGCUUAAUUACACGUGAGUAUAGUCCAGUAUUACUGUCUUCAAAAGGAUCAACUCAAGCCGAACGCAGCGUGGUCAUUCACACAUAAAGUGCUCAUCUUGCAAGGGUUCUUAUAGGUCGGGAUUAUUGACACUUGAACUGUACCAACAAUGAAACAAUAAAAAGAAGAAUAACAAUAAUCAUAAAAAAUUUGUCAUACGCGACAGCUAAUGUGAUAGAAUUUUUCGUUCCCUAGGGCCCACCGCCGAUUUUCCCUUAUCUCUUGAAUUCGGUUAACCAAAGGGACAUUUUCGUCGUUUAAAUCAGGGCACUUUCGUCAUUUGGUGAGGAAGUUCUCGAUUCUGCUUCGCGUCCGUAGCCUUUACCGUCCUCUCUAGCUUCACCGAUGGCCGCUGGGUCCACCGGAAGCCGCCGUCGGCCUUCCGUCUCCGAUCACGGCAGAUGCACGGAGGGAGGCACACAACACACACGCACAAGAAACAAAGCUUGAUCCUGGAAUCCAAAGUUCAUUGUCGUUGAUUCGAGGUUCGCCGGAGGUGAAUCGACGUCGAUUCCACUGUUCAUGACUUCGAUUGCGGUUCCGGUGUCGUCUGGUUGCAGUUCCGAUCGCGUGCUGUUCUGACCACGAGGCGUUCCUGCGAUUCGUUCUUUCGUUUCAGUGAUCGGCGGAAGUUUUCGGUAGAUUCGAAUCGCAUGGAAAAGGACGCCCCGUCUCAGUUGACUCCAACCAUCGCUUACGAAUCUUCUCUCCACCGAUUGAGCUCUUCAAUUCUUACUCUAAAUCAAGCCCAAGAGUCGUCAUCUCGUCGAAUGAAUGUACGGAUAUUGCUCAGGAAGUGUUCAAUGAAAUGACUGAAGGAAUCCAUCCGUUAUUCUGUCCUGUUGGUGGCCGUUAGAAUCAAUGCUAUGAUAGUGAGGCUGUGCUCGCCGUCUGGAAAGUCGCUAAGUCGUCAUCUCGAGCUCGCGCCCUCCUCGGCACCAAUUCAUCAGGUCGUCUCUUCUCCAAUUAAACUUCGUUAUUGGUGUCGAUUUGUUCUAGACUCGUCUCUCUUGAUCUCUGUUCUGUUUAUUUUUUUUUUCCUCGCCUUUCACUUCUACCGCUUCGUCAUUUGCUGCGUCGUUGUGCCGAGACACUCCUCAUCGCCAAAAGCCAGAAGCAAGACUGCGACGGCAGAAGCCAAGGAGAUGCGGUCGCGAUUGCUUUCGAUAAUUCCGCUUGCGUAGCUCACUGCACAGAGGAAUCUAGUCAACUAAAACCUUCUACAAAGAACAAUAAUCAUUGAUGCAACACACGUAACGGUAAUCAUCAAUGUGCCAUUUUGAUACUAGCAACAUCAUCUAAAAGUAGUUUCGUCUGGAAAGCAAACCGACCGAAUAAGAAGGAAGCAACUGGAAUGACAUCAGCUGGAGCUUGAAUUCACGGAAACGAGCAGCGGCGGCAAUGAUCUGCAUCCGACGCUCCUAAAGGUCUUCUGGUAGAGACAUUGCUAGCCGAAGACAAUGAACGUGACUUGGUAUUCUGUCUACUCCAAGCUCAGCGUCGACGCAGAGAAGGCCAGGCCAGGCUAGGGGAAAAGGUUGAAAGGUGGGGAGUAACGGGGCUGAUGGGUCUUGGCCGCGGAUCAAAUCAAUGGGUUGCUCUUGUGGGCCGUGCCAGUUGGAUUAACUUUGGCCUUUUCUAUUUGUUAUUUAUUUUUAUCUUUCUAUUACUCUUUUUCUUUUGUUGUUUUUUACUUCCAUUCAUUGUUUUCAUGAUCAUUUUUAUUAGAAAAACGUGUGCUUAAUUUUUCGAUUAAAAUUUCGAUGGUUUCGAAUAUGUUUACCCUAAUUUUUUAAGAAGAACGUCAUGACAUCUCGAACAAAGUACAAGACGCUAUAUGUUUUGUUGUGUCAAUCUUUAGUAACCGAGGGCCAAAGUUGUUUUUAGAUAAAUGAGAAAUGGGCCCAAAAAAUGGGACAAUCCAAUUGAACAGAAUCGGGUAUGUGUUUAUGAAAUAUCGAUCUAUUGAAAAUGACUUAAUUUAUGAACUGUAUUCAUAUUGACCCAAGUCCAAUCUCACAAAGAGCACUACUACUACUACUACUACUACUACGAGAGAGAGAGAGAGAGAGAGAGAGAGAGAGAGAGAGAGAGAGAGAGAGAGAGAUGGCUGAGACUUCUUUAGUGAAAGAUUAUUCUUUCGUAUUUUUCUUUUGCUGUUUGUGGAUUCUUUUUUAUUUUCUUUAAAGUUUCAAAAGUGAAGAAAUGAUGAGAUGAUUGAGGAUUCCCCCAUCUUCUUUGUAAAAAGAUAUGACCACUAAUUUAUUUGUCAGAUCACCCAUAAAUGAGUAAUCAUCAUUAUCAGGAUUUUACCAAUGUAUAAAUAAAUUGGUAAAUUAUGAGCUCUUCUAUUAUUUUACAAGUGUCUUUACCAAUAUAUCCAAUAAUAUAAUAAAGUCACCAAUAUUCCACUAAUAUAGAGGCCGACCGACUUCGUUGAAAUUUUACAAAUGUUUUUAGUAAAAUACCAACUCAAUAAGAAAUCUGCCAACCUCCUAAUAAAUCAGCGAAUCAUCAGUUUUUUCCAUGUUGGUAAUUAUUAGACUAACAAGAUGAGGAAGAAAAAAAGAAGGAACAAAUAAAGAUGAGAUAGUGAACAUAGGAUUUAAGACAUGGCAAAGAGUCGAGGAAAAAGCAAAUAUGUUGUGGGCCCACGGAACUCAUCGCGUAAGGGAGGAAGGAACUCAUUUUGUAUUUGCCCCUCUCUUUCCUCCCACUUUUAAGAGCAAUAUAUUUUGUCUACCAUUCUUUUCACUUCUUCCGCAUUUAUUCUAGCCCAACAAUGGAAGCAGUUCCUUCGAUCUUUAUUUUUGAUUCCUAAAACCCGCUUUAUUCAAUGGAAUGGCCCGAUUCGAUUCUUUUAUGCGUCGUGCUCUCAAAAGAAAAAAUUAAGGAGGCGAACAUUUUUUUUUUUGGUAAAGAGGAGGCGAACAUUUGGAGUGGCUUUUUAUCCAUAAAUAAUAUCUUCAUAUUGAUGUGAAAUUUGAAAUGUACAAAUUCCUCUAUAAAUAUGUGUUCUCAUCGAUAGCAAUGUGUAUCGACUUGACUAUAGAUGCUAUGAUAAAAAUGAAGAAGUAGAUAUAAGCUAUAGAUGGUAUGCGUGGAAAAACAAGGUGGAUGAGCGAGAUGACGUCUUCAUCCUCUGUAAUAGCGCAUAAAGGUAUUUUAUAUAGGAGGGAGAGGUUCUGAUUUCUUUCACUGAUCAAUAUCUUGUAAUUAUUUAUCUUAUAUUACUUGUUUUCUUAAUAUAGAACUUGAAUACCACGGCUAAAUAUGGAACAUAUAUCUUUUUAAUUAGAAUUUUUAAUUAGGUCCACGGUCGGUAGAAAAACAUCUUCUAUCACGUCGCUACAAUAAUUAUAUGUGCAUGAUGACUGUUUGAUUAUAUCAAGUGAUGUAAAUUUAUGGAAUGUAUGUAAGUAGAUUUUCCCAUCAAUUAAAACUAUUUUUGUUUUGGGUAAUUGACCGAAUUAAAUGGUUGCGUUUUUUUUUUUUUUUUUAAACUUGCUUCUGUUAUUCGUAAAACAAUAUGUACAGAUUUGGGACUAAAUAUGUCAUUAAAUAUGGUAGUGCACAUAUUAACAUGAUGCUUCCAAGCCUUUUCAGCAAUCCUUUUGAAUUUAUAUUUUAUUAGGUGUAUAGGUAGAUGCAUGUAUUUUUUUUUUUUUUUUUGUUCUUGGAUGAAAGAUAUUCUUUACUCUUAUUUUCCGAUGAUUGAGUUCUGACUACUUUUGGUGUAAUUAAUUAUAUGCUUGGAGAUCUAGGGACUAAAUAAUUUCAUAUACAUUUCACAUGUCAUUAUUGUAAAUUUGCAUCUAAGUAAAAGAAAGAACAAUAUUUACAUUUCAAUCAUUCGAUUUAAUUAAAGAAACUGAAAGAAAAUGCACAAAUUAUACAAAGUCCUUAGUAAUUGCCAUCUACAGUGUGAGUUUGACAUAACGCCAAGCUCCACCAUGUUCGACCAUUAACAUCAGUCUGCUCUUUUCUUCUGUUUGGUGUAGCGCCGCGUUUGUCUUCCUUCUCCUCCUCUGCGUUUUAGAGAGAGAGAGAGAGAGAGAGAGAGAGAGAGAGCAGCGGCAGCAGCAGCAGCAGCAGAACAACGAUGGUGAACGUGGGGUUGGUACGUGUUAGGGAGGGAGAGACACGUAAGAAUAUGGAGUUUGCAAAGAGAAGCGUCGGGUUUGUGAUGAAUUGUUCACGUUAUAUUCUGCGGAGAAGAGGGUCGUUUACGUGGAGGUUAAUACCAAAGAGAGGUCAGAAAGAAGUGGUCAAGCUCGACUGUUGGAUAAUCUGUGAAAUAGAGUCACAUUAAGUUGACGGUCUGUGAGGAGAGAACCUUCUUGGAGCACUGAAUUCUCCAACUCACUCCAUCCUCUUUUCUCAAUUUGACCUCCACCGAACCUUAAGAGAAUAUCUUGACCUCAGCAAAUCCCACUAUCUCCUCCCAAAAUGGCCGAGAAUCAUGUGCCAAAUAUGUGGCCAUAUAUCAUUCCCUUUUGUGAUGAUUCCUCUUGUUGGCCGAAUGAAUCAAUCGCCUACCAUGAUGGGCAAUAGCUUAAGAGUUAUUCACAUUCUUUCCUUGUCGAUCUUAUUCUCUAAUUGGAAGCAUCACUCGACAUGCAUGCGAAAACUUCGGCUAAGCCAAAUGGGGUUUGGCUGAGUUCAUUCGUAGGGGUCCAUACUCAUGUGGGCUUAGUCUUAAAAAUUCAAAUGAGUCCAAAGUCAAGCUUAUUUUGCAUGUUGGGUUAAUUCGAAUGCAAUUCAUGACUGGACCAAUUUAGAUGAAAUUUAUUUGAUGUGGACAUGCUAUUACUAAACGAAAGAUGUUCCCAAUGCCUAAUUGCAAUGUGAAUGCAAAAUUACGUCUUUUUGUUUAGGGUGAGCUUGAUCCCUAAUUUUCCAAUGAGUAAAUGAUGAAUUUACGAGUCAAAAAUUAGGUGUUAGCAGAGAUCGACCAAGAUAGGGAUGUAUUGGAUGUCUCUAGGAUCUACCAACCAAAAGAAGAACUUAUGAAAAUUGAUUCCUCAUAUGGUAUCUCAUCGAUUUGAUGGUUGAUCGUAAUUUGGACAUUUUAUAACCAAGGAAGUCCGAAUUAUAUGCAUGGUAUGAACAAAAGGCAUCAAAUGCACAAGUAUCAUAUGGUUAAUGUGUAUGCAACUCAGUGGAAGAGAUUCAUUUAUUGACAUAUCUAUGUGUUCUUGAGAUUAAUAUUUCAUAAAAUGCUAGUCCUUGAAUCAAAUUUAGUGAUUCAUGGUAAGCAAAAUUAGAAAGUGGUUUUUCUUUUUUGUUGUUGGUGCCGAAUGUGAUGUCCGAUGCAUAUAUUCAAUUGAAAUAAUCAAAAAAGAUGUGAACACCUUAGAAAUCAAUGUCUUCUCCAGAUUUGACAGAGAUAACAUAAUUUUGCUGUAGUGAUCACGAAUAGAUCCUAUAGGAUGUCAAGUGCCAAACAAUAGUAAAGCCUUUUCCUAAAUUCCAAUAGAAAUAUCAUCCAAAAAGCUUCAUUUGUACUUUCUUCCAAAAGUUUUUUGAAUCUUGUUGUGACAUCCUGAUUUUCCAAUUUUGGUUUCAAUUAAAUAAGUCGGGCAUUUCAUCUUCGCGUCUAUAGCUUUCUUCUCUGAGUUGGCCACUCACGAGAUAACUAGUCUAUCAGGUGAAGCCGUUAAGGAAUCUAAACGCAAUAGACUUGAGAAUUCGACCAGGAACCGACUGCUCGACCGUACUAAUCUGCAAGGGUCAUUACGGCAUAGACCGAUUAGAGACCGGAGAUAGGUCGAUUCAACAGAACCAUGUACUUUGUGGCUUGAAAAUAAUCAACCACAGGUCAAUUGCACAGAAAAUUCCUAAAAGCUACCCGGUAGAUUAGGACGCACUAAAGUCGCACCAGAUUGAAUUUAACCGUGAAAUUGAACCCAAUUACAGAAAUUGGAAGUUCUGUCAAGUCACAAUUCAUUUUAGGAAUGUCGACUCAUCUCCAGAAGAUUUUUCUACAAACCGAGAUUUUUGGCAGAAAAGCAAAGUAAUGCCGUUUUUGUUCAGGAUUGUCAGAGGGCCAUUUUUAAUCGAAUCUUCGGGAUGCAAGUUGGAUCAUUUGACGGGGAAAUGUCAUGAGAAGGCUGAGGACACAUGGGUUGAUUUAAUUGAACUUCAAUUGGAUGGAAUUGAGUGAGAAUUGAUUGAAUUUGAUGUACAAAUGUAUGAAAUUCGUAUACCAUGGGGGGAGAGCUAUUUUGCACCUAUUGGCAAGGUUGUGGAGGAAGAUUGAGGAGAGAGAGUGGAUGAUGUCAUGUGAUGUCAUGGUGGGGGCAAAGCAAAUGAGGUUUAGACAAGUGUUGAGCUCUAGUGAGCCACCAAGGAGGCCCCCCUCUUCAGCAGACCAUCUUCUUCCUUCAUUCAUGGCUUUCUCCAUGGUUGAGGCUUAGGAAAAGCUCAAGAGAACCAGAGGAAACCGAGCUCACCAGCCCCUCCAUCGUCGCACGCCCGGAAGGCCACCGUCGGCCGUUUUCCUCCCUUGUUUUCCCCUCGUUCCAGUUUCUGCUCCAGCCGACCUUUCGCCAAAGAUCCGAGUAAAAAGUUAACUUCCCGGUUGAAUCAGCGAACGAGCCACCCAUCGCCGCGAAGAAGACAUCCAGACCGUUCCGGAGCACCUCGCCGCUCGCCGGAACGAUUCUCCAGCCGUCCCGUACGGCCGCCCGAAGCUGCCGCUCGCCGGACCGUCUGGUUCCGCCCUGCUCCGCCUGUUCCGCGUUUUCUUGCUGUUUCGCCCCUUUCCGACCCUUCCUUUGCCCAUCCCAACCUCCUACAAGAUCCCCAAGACCCCCGGGAGCCAUUGGUUGCCAACCACCCGCUUGCCGGAGCUCCGAUCGGCCCGUUUUCGCCGUUGAAGUUGCUGGUUUCUUCUCUGCAGUUCAGUCCAGAUCAGAAGCAGAAAACCAGAAAGCCGAGAGGUCUUCGAGGCCCGUUUUCAGUGUCUUCCCGGCCUUGGUUGGUGUCGCCGCCUUGAGGUUUAUCGCCCGCCUUGGUGUCGGGGUCGCCGUGAACUCACCGGCGCGCAAAACCGGUGAGUUUAUCCUCUAAUUCUUGCUUAGUGAGUUAAUGACGCUUAAGGGGUGCUUAGAUUAGUCUAAUUAGGUUUAGGUGGUUAGAUUAGAUUAUUUUAAUGUAAAUUAGAUUAGUUGUGUGAUUAGUUUAAUGGAUGUUUAAUUAGGGCUAAUUGUAUGUUUAAAUUAGUGUAAUCUAGUUUAAGCCCUAAUUAAUUAUUUUUAAUUAAAUAAUUAUUUCGAAUUUAUAAAUAUUAUUUUAUUAAAUUAUAUUAUUAUUAUAAAAUAAUAUUUAAUUAUUUAAUUUUCGGAAUUAAUUUAAUUAUUUAAUAAUUUCGAAAAUUAUGCCGGGAUGGCCGGUCAUUAGAAUUUCACGCUGAUCGCAGCAGUGCGGUCGGUUUGUGUUAAUUGUAUGUUUAAAUUGAGAAAUUGAGUGAUUGAUGAUUAUGGUGAAUAAUUCCAAAAGUGUGGAAUUGUGUGAAAUUCAUGAAGUUGUGGUAUUUAACUUGAAAAUACCCGGUGUUAGCUUUUAGCACCGUAAUUGGUUUGUAUGACCAGUUUGAAUCGAUUGAAUUGAUUGAUUGAUUGAAUUGAGGUAUGAGUUGGUUUAUUAUUGAAUUAUCAGCUUUGGCGAGCAAUUGGUUUAUAUAUGUAUCACCUUGUGUGAGCAUCAUUGUCAGCUUAUGAGAGCAAUGAUCAUUUAUCAGCUUGUGAGAGCAAUGAUCGUUUAUCAGCUUGUGAGAGCAACGAUCCAUAUAUCAGCUUGUGCGAGCUACCAUCUAUAUCAGCUUGUGAGAGCAUUGCAUCCAAUUCAGCUUGUGCGAGCCAUAAUUGUAUUGAUGGAUGAAUAGAUGGUAUGGUUUAAUAGAUGAUAUGAAUUGAUAGAUGUGUGGAUCGUAUGACAUCAAUUGGAUUGACUGAAUUGAUAGACCGAUGGGUAUGUCGGUAGUUUCAGCUUGUGCGAGCAUUGUUGAAUAUGAAUUGUACUGACGUGCAGGAAGGAAUUGAGGCGAGGUAAGUCCUCUAUCCUAUUUGUGUGGCUAGAGCGCCCUGAGGCGUAUUUUCUUCCUAAUUGAGUUUUAGAUUGAGACGUAGUCUCAUCCCGGUUGUGGGAUAAUAUUUCAGGUCCCUAGAUGACGGUCGUGGAGGACCGGAAGUUCUGGAGUUCGGAAGGUGGAGGCUGAAGAAUCGGCAAACGUGUCUGACAAGUUGGUCAUAGGACAGUUCCCUAGUUGUUGAGCCUAUCUAUUUUGUAGACCAUCCAGUGUUGUAUAUAAACCUAUGUGUUUAUAAGAAAGCUUGUUUGGUUGUGAUUGAUUGCCUGCUUUUCUAUCCCAAGUUAGAUGUUGUCAGGGGAUUUGUUUCGCUUCCGCAUGCGUAAUAAAAAUGAAUGGGUCGGCGACGUGUCCUGGGAAGUCGCAUUUCUAUCGACCGCAGAGGGAUGUGCGCGCGCUCGGAGGAUCGGGGCGUGACACUUGUAAUAUAUAUUACGGCUUUGUAACAACCGUAGUAGCUAUCGCAGCGAGAAAACACCGUAACAUGUGGUACAUUUGUGGUAGACUUGCAAUAUACUAAUUAUAUUGCUUUGAACAGGCCAUAUAAUUGACAACUAAUUCUUCGAUUGAUUAAUAUGUUUUGUCAGGGAACAUAAAUUUCAACCUAUGGGAUUCGGCAACUGUCAAGGUGGUUAGUGAAUUUGAUAUGAAAAUUAAGUAUCGAUAUAUCAUGGUUUUAUACUAUGUAUUUUUUUUUUUGACAAUGAUAUUUAAGUUUACACGUUGAAAAAAGUGGAUAUGCAUCCAUUUGCAACUUGUACUAUUCCAAAGCAACUGAAGAGUUUCUUGGAUCAUAAGUAACAUUCAACAUACAUGCAGUAAGUAACUUUUCAACUACAAAAGUGGUAUCAAUAAAUGUAAGGUUUGUAAUUAUUGAGCAUCAAUUAGUAACUUUUCUUAGUAACUUUUCUUAUUUAAAAGGUGAGUUUGUACCCUUUUUCUAUGACAAGGAAGCCCACCCUCCUAAGUAAAACAUGAACCCAUAAAAAUACCCUACUAAUAUCAUAAAUCAUGUAAAAUGUGAGUUAAGAUCCAGAUAGAUGGUCCAAAUAUAAUAUUAUUUGUAUUUGGUAGUGUGGGAAGAUGGAUAUUUGUAACCAUUUGUAAACUAUACCAUUGAUGAUGGUUUGUAUGUUUAUACGAGGAAAAGAAACUUCUCCAAGUGAUUAGUAAUUUUUCACGUAGAAAAGAUAAUUUUAAAUUGCCAAGUAAUUACGACAAAUUAUCUUUUUAUUUGAAAAGUAAGUUUCUACCCCUUUUUCUAUGACAAGGAAGCCUACCCUGACUAGUAAUACAUGAACCCAUAAAAAUACUCUAUUGAUAUCCUAAAUCAUGUAAAAUGUGAGUUAUGAACUAGGUAGACAGUCCAAACAUGAUAUUAUUUGUAUUUGGUAGCAUAAGUAAAUAAAUAUUUGUACCCAUUUAUACACUACUAUUCAUGAUGAUUAGUACGUUUAUAUGAGGAAAAGAAAUUUCUCGAAGAGAUGAAUAAUUUUUCUCAUUGAAAAGUAAAUUUCAACUUACCAAGAAAUUAGGACAACUUUUUUUUUUUUUUUUCGCAACGGUGAGUAGCUUUAAAUCUUGACAAAAGUAAUGGAUGAUUGUAGUUUACCAGUGUCUUGUGAAUUGAUUAGUAAAUUUUGUUAAUCAAAUGUAACUUUCAAUCUAUUAGGAAUCAGAUGCUGAAUAGGGAGACGAACCCUGAGACCGGCCAUUGUCGGUUAAAGAGCUGUCCUUUUUAGAUUCUUCUGGGAGAACUGGUGGAAUGGCGGCAACCUGCCACGCGUUACCGGCUAUUCGCGGUUGCUCCUUUUCUUAAGCUUCACACAUCCGCUUCGCCUCGUCUCUCAGCCCUGUUCUGUCUCUGUUAGCGUUUGAUUUUCAAAAGAUGAUAUUCUCUGUUUGAUUCUCUGGUCCCAAUUUGAUUUUUGCCCCCACCAAGUUGUUGCCUUCCAGCUCCAUUUCUUGUCAGAUCAAAAAAAAAAAAAAAAAGCUCCAUUUCUUGAAGGUAAUUCAAUAUUCUUCUUCUCUUUCUGUUCUCUUUCCUCUUCCUAAGUCAUUUCCUUUGUGGGUUCUGCAGUCCCGCCUUCCUCGGCAUAUAUAAAUUUUUAACUUUCUUCCUCCACAAAGAGAAAAGAAAGAAAACCAGACAAGUAGAAGUCGAAAAGGGGGAAAAAUGGUGGAUAUUAUUAUAUCUGCAGCUUCCAAGGUGGCAGAGUACCUGGUGGCUCCAGUCGGUCGUCACUGCGGCUACGUGAUAUUCUCUAACAGCUAUAUUCGCCAACUUAACGAUGAAGUUGAGAAGCUGAAUGACGCCAGGGUCGGGAUCCAGCGUUCCAUCGAUGAUGCUCAAAACUGAUAUUGCUAGUGUAAACACCUAGAGGGGGGUGAAUAGGCGCACAAACUAUUUUUCUCAAAUACGUAUGCAACAGAUUGAAAUACGAUCGAUGUAGAGAGAGUAAGGAAGAGAAAAUCAAACACAGGAUUUAUAGUGGUUCGGCUUAUUCCAAGCCUACGUCCACUCUUCCGCACUGACAGCCCACGGGCUGGAUUUCACUAUGAUCAAAAGAGGAGUUACAGCACAGUUUUGCCUUGAUUCCAUAGUGUAGAUAUUCUAUCACACCUCCUCAAGGUCUCUCACAAAUAUAGACUCUCUUUUGUAUACAAGUAUUCGCUCAAGAGAUUUAUCUAAACAAAUAGGAGCUUCAGACUUUGGAAUUUUUCUAUCGCGCACACUCUCUUAAACAACUAAGAACGUCUUCCUUAUAUACUCCUUUAUGCCAUCAUACCCGUUGGCACUUUCCAAAGGAAUUCCUCCAAUCUACCCGUUGGACGGAAUCAAUUAGGAAGAUCGUUCGAGCUAUUAAAGGAACGUGUUGAUAGCCCAUCAAUCCUGUUCGCCCAUACAAUCAGGAUCUCGGUUUCCAUAAGCGAAACCUUCCAAUAAUAUUUAGACAAUCAUCGAAUCUUCAGUCAUUGAAUCAAUCUUGAUCAAUCAAAGGAUUCUGAUACGUCUUCUCUAGCCACGAGAUCUUCUCCAGAUGAUAAGGUUAAAUCCCAAACAAAACAUCCAGUUCGGGAUAACCUUUCUUCAACAGAUCAGAGACUGUCAAUGAGGAUAGACUUUGAGUCUUGAGUCUGGCAGUCUGGAAGUCUUCAGACUUUAACUGGCAGAGUCUGCAGACCUUCAUACUAGACUGACGGAAACAUUUUGUCAACUUCAAAACUCUUCACGAGGAUUUCUCCAACAAAAACAACAUGAAGGAGAUAAAACGCGAAGUUGACAGAUGGAAGAAUAAGGCAGAGACCGUCGCCGACAAGGCGCGUCGCAUGCUGGAUGAUGAUAGAAGAGCCAACAGAACUCGCUUCUGCGGGUGGCUUCCCAACCCAAAGGAGCGUUAUUGUCUCGGCAGGGACGCAAGGAAGACAGUCCAGGCCAUCCAAGCACUCAUUCCUCAGGGUAAAUUCGAGAGGGUCUACUACGAGAGUGCUCCGCCGGGGCAUGUCGCUAGCCCUCCCGAGGUGAAUUCCUCUACCAGUGAUCGGGGUGACACUGUCACCGAUUCACGAGCUUCCUUCUUUGAGGGCAUAAUGAAUGAUCUGGAUGAUGAGAAGCUCAAAGUGAUUGGGAUCUACGGGCCUGGCGGCGUGGGGAAGACUACGCUCUUGGAGGAAGUCCAGAAGAAACUCAGGAACGAGAAGAGACUGUUCCACCUGAUUGCCACAACGACUAUAUCGCAGACUCGAGACUUGAAGAAAAUCCAAGAUGACAUUGCUUACGCCUUGAGUCUGGAUCUGAAGAACGAGACAAGCGAAGUUGGAAGAAGAGAUCUUCUGUUUCGGAAAUUACAGAGCGAUCCGACAAAGAAGGUUCUCAUAAUAUUGGACGAUCUGUGGGGGCCACUUGAUUUGAAGGCGGUUGGAAUUCCUGCGGGAGACGAGAGCAGGGGAUGCAAGUUGCUGUUAGCAUCAAGAUUUAAAGAUGUGUUGGAGCAAAAGAUGCAUGCGGAUAAAACAUUUCAUCUUGAAGGUUUAAACAACAACGAAGCUUUCAGGCUAUUUGAAAAGAUAGUCGGCGACAAGCUCAAAGACGAGGAAUUGAAAGCAAUAGCAGCUCAAGUGGUCGAGAAGCUCCUAGGUUUGCCUCUUUUGAUUAUCUCCGUCGCAAGCACUUUGAAAUACAGCCGUGUGUCCGCAUGGAAAAACGCAUUGAUAAAAAUAGAGGACUCAAAUAUAGAAACCAUAGUAAAGCUGAGUUAUGACCAUCUGAAGAGUGAGGACGCCAAGUCCUUAUUCUUGCUCUGUGGUCUUCUUGGUGGGACCAUUCCAGUCGAACUUCUGCUGGGACUAGGCAUGGGGUUGGGCUUGUUUGAGGGAUUCAAUAACACGGUAGAAGAUUCAAGAAAUAGAUUGAAUACUAUGCUCGAUAGCCUCCGUUCUGUUUGUUUGUUGCAAGAUGAUGGUGAUGACAUGGAGACUGUGACCAUACAUGAUCUUUAUAGUGAGGUGGUUGUCUCAGCUCCAUUUAGAAGUCAGAAUUCCUUAAUGAUGAACAACUCUUAUGUUUCGUGGCCAAAAGAAAAGCUUGAGAAAUGUUGGGCAAUAUGCCUUGUUAAUGAUUACGGUGAUGGCCUUGCUGAAAAAAUGCGGUGUGCGUUUCCCGACUUGAAGAUAUUCGUGUUGUCUCAGAUAGGGUCGUUCGUGACACCUAUACACCGACAUGAUGUGAGAGAUUGCUGUGGACUAGAUUUCACAAGCAUGGAGCAGCUCCAAGUCCUAUAUCUUCGCUUCAUACAUAUCACCAAUUUACGUUCCUCCAUUGGCACCCUCAGGAACCUCCACUCAUUAUACUUAGACUAUUGCAUUGUGGACGAUGUGGCAAUUCUUGACAAGCUCGAAACAUUGCAAAUUCUCAGCUUGGCAGGAUCUCAAAUUUCUAAGCUACCUAAAGAAAUUGGGGAACUUAGGAAUCUGAGAUCGUUGAAUCUAUAUGAUUGUGACUCGCUUAUGAUAAUCGAGCCUGGUGCCUUGAAAGGCUUAGUCCACUUGGAAGAGUUAUAUAUGAGGGGAAGCUUUAGUCAAUGGAUAGUCGAUGAUGAAAUACCAACGGAAUCGUAUAAUGGUAGGCUUGUUGAGUUGAAGAGCUUGAGAAAGCUAGCCUCUUUGGAAAUAUCGAUUCAUGAUCCCAUCGUACUCUUAAAGGAUGAUGGCUUGCCAUUUGGGACCCUGAUCAGAUUUUGGAUCAACAUAGGAAAUACUUACGGAAGGGGAUUUCGUGGUUUGAGAACCAUGAAACUCCAAUUGAAAGGAUGCGAUGGUAUUCUCUCAAAAGAACGGGUUCAGAAAACUCUGCAGAAAACUCAACACUUAUAUUUGGAUGGAUUGGGAGAGUUCAAGGAGAAUGCUCAUGAGUUGUGCAUUCGAGGAUUUAAACAACUGAAGCAUCUCGACAUUAAGAACAGCCCCUCAAUCAAGUACAUCACCAGUUCAUUAAAUGACCUUCUCACUGCAUUUACGGAUUUAGAGUCUUUGUUCCUCGACAAUGUUAUUAAUCUGGAGAAGAUAUGCAAUGGCCCUGUCACACCAGAUUGCUUCCGCAAAUUGAAAGUUGUGUGUAUCGAAAAGUGCCACCAAUUGAAAAUUUUGUGGUUCCUCUCAGAGAUGCAAAGACAUGUACAUUUGGAAGAGAUCAAAAUAUGUGAAUGUGACUCAUUACAAGCCAUUAUCACAGGUGAUGUAGGAAAAGUAGAAGUUGAUGUUGAUGACAUGAUUGAGUUACCUAAUGUACGACGUCUAGAUUUGCGUAAGUUACCAAAAAUGACGAGCUUUUGCACUAGAGCUGAGGGUGCUCCAAUUCAGGUAACUUUUUCAUUUUCUGGGUAUAAAUUUCUUUAAUUCUUAAUCUUGCAAACAAUACCUAGAUUAUACUAUUAUAGGGGGAUUUAGGAUAAGAUGAUAUUGGUGUUCACCGAGCCUCAGUGAAUAUUGCAUUAUUUUGAUUAUUUGUACAUCUUGAAACACAUAAAAAAUCCUUUCAAAGAAAACACAGACCAUACAUUUUUAUUUACAUUCAACUAUAGCUAGGGGAAGCCUUUUCCUACGAUUUUUUUUUUUUCAAUUUGUUUCAGUGUUAGAUAAUUGCACUAAUUAUUUGGGCUUUAGCAUGGGUUUAUACUAUGACUAAUUGAUUACUUAUUUAACAUUUUUAAUGAGAAGAAAAAACAUUAUACAUAAUGAAUCUUAAACGAAUGCACGAAAUUCAACAAUUUCAAAAUGAAGAAAGUGAGAGAAUAAAUAAAUAGAAGGCGAACUAGUAGCCACAUAACAAAGAAAGUCCACAUAAUUCAUGUUUCACCUACACGCAAGUUAGCAAUUGAUUCUAACACGUCAUGCCAAUCUCACCAUGUCAACAUUGUUCUGCUUCUGUCAUCCCUUCGUCUCAAUUAAGUUUUUGACAUUCUUAAGAGACAUCAAACUCAUUCAUAUAUUUAAGUUUCUUUUGUUUCGCUGAAAAUUCAUUGUUGCUGAAAAAUGUCUUCCUGGCGAUUCAUUUUUCUUGUUUUCUUGUAUUUGGUUCUGCUGAAAACACAAUUUGAGAGAAACUAACCCAAAUAGAUCAUAUAUCACCUGUUCAUAAUGAAAAGCAAUAAGUUAACAAAUAAUUUAUUAAAAAUUUAACUCCGACAUGAAUUUGUCUUUAAUUUUGAAGGUCAAAAUAGAAAAACGAAAGAAAAGAUAACAAUUACGAUGACAGUUGUUUUGAAGAUCAGUAGAUGAUUUCAAAAGAAAAGAGAAAAAAAAUUAUGGCCAUAGCUUUGAAGAUCAGCCAAAUCAAAGAUAACAACUAUGAUGACACGCGGGAGCAACAUGAUAGUGGUGACGAUAUCUUCCUGAAAAUGAUUUUUCUUUUCAUGGAAGAGAAAUUCAUUUUCUUGAAUUUUAGCCUGAGAGUUUCAGUCAUUUUCUAGUAUCCAAAUACAAGAAAAAUUCUAAAAGCAUUUUUCUAAAAAUAGAUUUACUUGCAACUUACCUUUAAUGAGUUUGAUUGUGGUGCUUUGUUAGGUUUCAUUGCCUCGCUUGGAAUCCCUAGUAAUGGUUGGACUCCUUGGCCUAGAAAAGAUACUCCACAGUGAACCCUCAAUAAAAUUCAGUGGUUUGAAAUCACUAAAGAUAAAAGAAUCUAAAUCCACAUUGAGUAUUCCGAAAGAUUGGAUACUAAAGCUACCAAAUUUGGAGUCAAUGGAAAUUGCGAGCUCUCCAUUAGCAGAAUUAGUUUUCGACCUGGAGGAGCUAAAAGUCACUGGAGAAGUCGAGAUUCUCUCUCGACUAAGUACAUUGGCAUUAUCUAAGUUGCCAAACCUGUGGCGCAUGUUGAAACAAGAUGUACAAUUACAAGGAAUAUCGAUAUUUCGAAACUUGAAGGAGCUCUCUGUCUGUAAAACGAGGCUGUCAUUUCUCUUUUCAAUGUCUGUGGCUAAAUGUCUUAGAGAAAUUGAAGACAUUAAAGUGGAGGAUUGUCCAAAUAUGAAGACGGUGAUUGUGGAUGAAGAAGGAACGGAUGAUAUUAUAAAGCUACCACUAUUGAAGCGACUAUCUAUAACGCGUUGUCCCACAGAGAAAUUCUUCUCAUAUCCUCAUGGAAAGAAAUAGUCAAUAACCGCUACUUCAGAUUCGCUAGAUGCUUAUUUCGAUUACUUCUUUGAUCAAAAGGUACAAAUCCCUUCUCUUUAGAUUAUACCCAUAAUAGCCAUAGGCACAUGCUUGCAAGUCAAGUAAUCAAAUCUCUUUGAAGAUCUUUAUUUGGUUUUAUUAAUUAAAAUGCGUUCAUAAUUUAUAACUAUAUUUGUUAGAUAGAUGCCACUAAUGGAAAAUUCAUUCUUCCACCACAUUAGAUAGAUUGUUGGAAAUAGGCCAAUUUCACAAAUUUUUCAUAGCUACAAUUUGACGCAUAGCUCUUGUGAGCAGGUUAGUUUGCCAAGCUUGGAGGAGUUAAAGCUUAAGUCAGAAGGAUCCUUCAAAGGAAUAUGGCAUAGUGAACUUAUGGAAAAUUCCUUCUGCAAGUUAGCCACCCUCUCUAUUGGAUAUUGCUCUGAGCUACACAAUGUCUUCCCUUCCACAAUCAUAGGGAGAUUGCACAACCUAACAAUUGUUGAGAUUGAAAAUUGUCCCUCUCUAGAAUCAUUGUUUGAUUAUGGGUCCACAGAAGCAAAUACUACGCAAACAACUAUAUUGCUCCCCAAAUCAGAAGUAAAGAUGGUGAGGGAAGCAGGAAAGUUGAAAUGUACGGUGAAGAGUGACUCCCAAAUGAUUUUGGGUUUUCCUAGUCUAAAAAAAGUCCGUGUUUGCAGUUGCUGCAACCUAAGAUAUCUCUUCCCCACUUGUAUGGCCACAACUCUAGUGAAACUUGAGAGCCUAUGGAUUAUCAAUUGCGCACAGAUGAAGGAAGUGGUUCCUAAGGGGAUAGCUAAAGGGGAUGAUGAAUCAUCACAAACAUUGUUCAAUGAGAUGGUUUGCUCUAUCCCUUACUAUGUUCAUCUAUAUUCUUGCAUUUCAUAUUAGAAUGAACAAUCUAAUAAUUUGUGCUAUUUAUCCUCCUUUCUCACAUUAAACUCGUGCAGGCUAGAUUCCCCAAUAUAAGAAAACUACAAAUUGAAGGUGCUCGGUGCAAAGAGCUAUGGAACAAUCAAAUUCCUUAUGAUUCCUUUUGCAAACUAGAAUUUCUUCGAUUGGAGCACUGUGACAAUCUCCUAUGUGUUGCCCCAUCUCACAUGUGGAAGAGAUUGCAGCUUUGUCUCGACUUCCUAGAAGUGAGAUCAUGCCGUUUGGUUGAGAUCAUAUACAAAAGUGAUGGGACAAAUACAAAGAGUGGCAAAUUGAGGAGGUUGAUUUUGCAUGAUCUCGAAAACUUGAGGCAUAUUUGGCAGUCCGAUGGUCUCCCAAAUAUCCCGUUCCCAAACUUGAGACAAAUUAAGGCUAUGAGGUGCUCCCGUUUGGAAAUUCUUUUCACAACCUUCACGGCGAAAUUUCUCGGGCAAAUCGAAGAGCUAGUAGUAGAGUCAUGUGAAGAUAUAAACUAAUUGCUGGCCAUGAAGAAUGUGAAGAAGCAACCGGUACGACAAUCACCUUCUCCGAGUUAACUGCUCUUAGACUUUUCGAGUUGCCGAAAAUCAGGAGCAUCUUAGCUGAGAAAUACUCUGUGGAAUUCCCAUCCUUGCAAGUCUUGUGUAUAGUAAGCUGUGGAAUGGCGCCGGACCAAGGCCUUGACGACUGGAAACACUACCAAAGGUUCAAUAGUUAUAAACUCGAAGAAGUAUUGAAAUAUAGGUUUGAUGACUUCUCGUUUGGGACUUCUGCAGUAGAAAAUGGUGUUUGGCAAUAUAGAAUAACGCGUCCGGUAAUAUGAUAUCAUGUUUCUGGGUUAUCUUGUACAGUUCCCGCAAAGUCUCUUGACUAUUUCCUCCAAUAAUCAUUGCUCUGGUUUAUCUCCUGUCCCUUGGAUCUAAGGCCGUGCUGAGCGAGGUCACUUGUUUAUUCUGACUGAGAAUGUAGAGUUGCUAUCAACGCACGAUUCUAAUAAAAUGACUGUCCAUCUAGACAUUUUCUCUUAACUGACAAGCAUGUAAGAGUUACUAAUGAGUCCUAGUCACUUCCUCUAAAUUUCUGAAGAGUCUUUCAUGGACAGUAACGAAUGCAUUGCAUCCAUUUUGUAUCGAAAUGGUGGUUCUGCAUUAAUAAGCAAACGAAAUAUUCAAAUAAUUUUUCAUCAAAAAUAACUACGAAGAACGAAAUAAUUCUGUUUUUAGUCGAAUUUAAAAACGUAAAUAUUUUCUCAUUCUCACUAACUAUUUACUACUUGAUAGUUGGAUAUUUUGAGAUGUGAUGUUCAUGAUUAGUAUUUUAGAAAGUUACUCUUGAAAUUUUCUUGUUCAUAAGGUCAAUUUUACUUGUUAUUAACAAGAAAUUUUGCUCCUAAACUCAUUAAUAGCAAAGGCAUUUAGUAAGCAAAAAGCAUUCCUAAUGUAAUAAAUUAUCAAGAGAUUCUCUACCUAUACUUUUACUCUUCUCUUGACAAAGCUCUUCAAAUUUUAUCUGGAAAAAACAAAAGCCGUUUUAUUAAAUAUGAAUGCCGUUUCAAUGUGCAAAAAUCAAUUUUACUGUUUUAUAUAUACCAGAUUUCAGGCUCAAUCAACAAUUUCACAAAAUAGAUGACCUCCAUACAUGCGAGUUUACCAACUUAAAUACGCUUUUAUUAAUUUCGUCUCAUGACAAAGAUCAAAACAGGUUUCUUCUCUCUCGAUCGAAUUCACUGGCUAACAAGGCAUCAUCACGUGGCCCUCAACAGAAUUCACUGGCUCUCUUCCUUUCUCUCUCUACAUCUAACGAUCUGAGUCGAUUCCCUUUCGAGAUCAGGCUCGGCGCGCUCUGCUGAGUGGGGCCAGAGCAUAAACAGAGCCACCUUCGCACACGCAAAAGGAGCUCCACAAAUUCUCUCUAGACCUGGUUGAAGGGACUCGCGUGAUUUUUGAGCAUUCAUAAGUCACUCUCUCUCGGAGAUUUCUUUCGAAUCUUUGCCUCUCGCUUCGUUGCUGAUCGUCACCGCUUCCCGAUCGCCAACAGUUCAGUCUGUAGUGCCGAAGUUCUCGAACUUUGGUCACGACUGUCUGCUUCGACGAUUCCAAUCCUGGAUGUUGCCUCUGUUAUCUCGUUACUUGUAUCCGAUGUCGAUCGCUAUAGCUAAUCAUUCUUCUUUCAACUAAACCACAUUUGCUCUGUUUUCCGUUGCUUCUUAUACGAAGCAGAGGCUGAGUGCUAUUGUUACCAUCUGUGCGAAACCGGCUUCGAUUGAGGCUGUAUUGAUGAUUGAACUUGCCGACUGCCUUUGUGAUGAUUUGGAUGCGAAUCACCUGUUUGAUGAAAUUCCUGAACUUAAUCAGUUUGUAUUUUGAUUCAAGUCUUGACUGAGAAUUUCCUUCAUUACUAGAUUAUUGAUCGAUUCUGGUCAUAUAAGCGCGUUUGAGGUCUGUUUCUCCAUUAAAAAUCAUAGGUAUUCAAUUUUGAACUUGCUUUGGAUGUGCUACAACCUGUUGAUGCAUGCUGAUUUGUAAUUAUUGCAGCCCUGAGCUGAUGUCAUUUGGUCCUUGAUAUUGAUGUUAUUCCACUCAAGUAAGCAUGGGUAGUGAAUUUCAUGUUCCAUUGAAAGGAAUUUAUGUCAUGAAUGAAUUAAAUUCUACAGGAAAUCGAUCCUUGUAUGCUGACUGUGUCUUAAAAUCCCUGAUUUAGUGUGCAUUUGAUUCCAAUUUGAGGCUAGUUUGGUUGUUGGAUCGUAUAAGCUCAUGCUAGGAAAGCAUUAUGGUGAAUCUCAUGCCAAUUUGCGAGAAUUGGGGUCAUCACCAAAUUUGAAUAUGUUAGAAUCAAAGUAUUGCAUGCUGACCGUGAUUGCUUUGUGUAAAUUCGGUAUUAAUUUGCCCCUGGAUUGAUGCCAUUUUGAUCAAGUAGACUUAUAUGUACUUGUAGGAAGAUAUGGCUUCAUUUUCAUGUUGAUUAAUCAUCAAAGGAUCACAAUUUGCUGCAUCAUAUGCUCUGUUACAAUUAUGAAUGUCUGCUGGAAGUAGUGGAAUAAGCAUAAUUAGAUGGAUAAGAGAUAUGGUGUGUGCAAGUUCUGUGUCAAUUUCACAUGUUUGGAGGGCAAUUGCAUGAUUAAAUUGAUGUCUGUAUGCUUGAUAUUGCCAUGAGAGUCUUGGCCUGAUUAUUGAAUUAGAGAAUUCUGAUGUUAAUUGAACUUUAAUUCCAUGAUUCUUGCGAUUUCAAAGCUCGGGGCAUCUAUUUUUUGUAAUAUUAAAUAAUUUGAAGAAUACUGACUUCGUUUAAAGGUGAUAUGGUAGACUAGCCAGAUUUGAGGAAAUCUCUCAACAAAACUGGUCACCGAGGCCCCAUCAAAUAUUGCGUGGAGGACACUUGCCAACAGAAUUCCAAUAUUCUCUCUCUCUCUCUCUCUCUCUCCCCUUCGACACUCACCAUUUAAGGCUUAUUUAUAAGAGCUAUUGCUUAAACCUGAUUGAUCCUUCAAGUGUGUGCGCUUGUGCCAAUGUACUGUGCACAACACCAAUUGCAACCUAUUGACGCUACCGGAAAUAUCUUUCGGGGAAGCUAGAACUCACAUUUGGUUGUGAAUUCCAAUGUGGCAGAUGAAGGCAUAUACUCUCUGUCCUUUCCUUCCUUGAAGUUCGCUGGCCACUGCUGUUCAGAAUGAUGUUUCAAAGAUAUGUUUCUCAUUUCAUUGGAAUGCUCAUGAUAGACUGAUGGUCAUCUGCGUCAACAGCACUAAAGGAGCACAACAGAAGAUUAUCGGACAGAAGAUUAUCGCUGGUGGGGGGAGGGAAGCUUGGCCACCAGCAAUAAUUUAAUCACCUAUCCGAUUGCCAACAGUUCCGAGGACUGAAAUGCCACAGUACUCAAACUUUGGUCAUAAUUGCCUGCUUUGUCGAUUCCAUUCCUUGACGUUGCUUUCAUUAUCUCCUUACUCAUAUCCAAGGUCAAUCGCUAUAGCUAAUCAUUCUUCGUUCAACCAAACUGCAUAUGCUCUGUUUUCCAUUGCUUUAUGUAUGAGGCAGAGGCUGGGACCUGUUGCUACCGUCUAUGUGAAUAUGAACUGUGAUUGAGGCUGUAUUAAUGAUUUGAACGUGCUGCAUUUCCUUUGCAAUGAUUUGGAUGUGAAUCGUUGCUUUACUUUUGCAUCUAAGCUCCCUAGCCAAAAUGUAUACCACAUGUUUGAUGAAAUUCCUGAACUAAAUAAAUGUGUAAUUCCAGGUCUUGAUUGAGAAUUUCAUUCAUUACUAGGGAUUUCAUCAAUUUUGGUCUUAUCAGCCUAGUUGUGUUCUGUUUCUUCAUUGAAAAUUAUAGGCAUUCCAUUUUGAACUUGCUUUGGAUUUGCUGGAACCUUGUCGAUACAUGCAGAUUCGCAGCUAUUGCGGCCCUGGGCUAAAGUCCAUUGAUCCUUCAUUUGAUGCUAUUCCACUCAAGUAAGCAUGUGCAGUGACAUAAGAUUGUGUUAUGGUAAAUUUCAUGUUCGCUUGGAAAAGAUAUUAUGUCAUGGAUGAAUUAAAUUAUACUUGAAAUCAAUCCUUGAAUGUUGACCAUGUCUUGAUAUCCCAUGAUUGGGUGUGAGUUUGAUUCCAACUUGAGGCUAGUUUGGUUAUGGGAUCGUCUAUGUUCAUGCUAGGAAAGUAAUAUGGUGAAUCUCAUGCCAACUUGAGGCUAGUUUGGUCAUGGAUUGAUGCCAUUUUGAUCAAGUCAAUUUGUCAUCAAACAAUCAUGAUUUGCAGUCUUGUAUGCUCUGUUACAAUUCUGAUUGCUGCUACAAGUCGUGGAUUAAGCACAGAUUAGAUGGAUUUUGUCUCAACUUGCUUGUCUUUUUUAUUGCCCGUGGGCAAGUGAUAUCAUGUGUUCAAGUUCCUUGUCAAUUUCACGUGUUCAGAUGGCACUAGUUGGCUGUUAGUCCCACGAGAAUGAAAUCAAGGACUGCAUAUCAAAACAGAUGUAUUAACAAAGGGUUUCAAUUCCCCAAAAAAGCACAAACUUUAGGUUGACUCUCUGUUCUGAGUAAAACUUUUUUUUGUCUAGAAAGAAUCAACUUCCACUUAAGUCCCAAAUUUGAUCCCCAUUCAAUUGCCGUCCAAAAUCACUGUUGAAGGUCUAACAUGGCAGUCAGUUGUAAAUCCAUGUCAGCUAACUACUCACCAAAAAGAUGCUUUGUUGUUCUUAAAAAUUUGGAAAAAUCAAAACAAUUAGAGGUGGAUUCUUCAAUUCUGCAGACAAAAGUCUUCAAAUUUUGCAUUUGGGAAUCUUCAAUUCGUCGGAUAGACUCACGCCCGAGAUAGUUGGUUUGUUGAGCUUUUAAUAAACCAAUUCUGAACUCUGCUUGUCUCGUGAUCCAAGGACAGGUGCUCGACCGAAGACAGCAUCUUCUGCAGGAUCAUUCUCAGUGAAUCGCCUGCACUCAAGGUAUUUGAUUGAUUUUGAUUCUGGUUCUUCUGAAUUGAGGAUGGAUAGCUAUCUUCUUCAAUGUCAAAGCUCAUUUCAAUUCAUGGUUUUGCAUCUCGUGUUAUUCUUACUGAAAGAUGCGAGCUUGAUGUCCUGCUGGGGUUGGCGAUCAUGUGCAGAAGAAUUACAUCCACAUAUUGUUCUCAUGUUUUGCCUAUCCGAAAACUCAAUGGAAUGGUGACUCUUCCACAUUGCACUGUUUGUCAUGCAUCAUUAAGCAUUGCUGAUGCGGCUAUGUGUUUGACAAGCAUUUUCGGAAUGUAUGACAGAUGAUGGCUAGAAUGAUCAGAUCCUUCUUCAUUCAUUUGAUCUUAUUCAUUUUGUACUUUCAGCUCUGUGAGGAUGAAAAGUGUCUAUGCAUAUUGAUUCGAGUCUUCUAAGCCAUGGGUAGGGUGUUACUCAUCCAUCAUUCUGCAGUAGAUGACCCCUUGAAAUUAUUGUCCUUAAACAAGGAUAAACUGACGAGGCAAAAAUGUCAUAUUUGCUCUUGUGAUUAACUUCUCCGUUGUUUAGCCAGGACUUCUUAUAGUCUCAUCUAAUCACUCUCUCCAGAUUGUGUAACCUUGCUUCAUAAACAAUAAAUUGAGAUGAAUUGAUGUGUCUAUACGUGAAGUUAAGAUUUGCACAUGAAACUAUGUUGUAGUUAGAAGCAGAUGCUGCCAUCUGGUUCUAACUUUUAUGACCUACGUGCUUGGUUAUAGCAUCCUAGAUGAUUGAGUCAUGGUUUGUAAGUUAACACCAAUCUUCCUUACUGAUGACAGCUUUUUUGUUGUCAUCUUGGAUCCUAACAAUUGUUCUCAUGGCCUAAAGAACCAACGUCUUAAUUAAAAAAAUUCUACCUGCUCCUGGCGGUUGAAUGUAAAGACUAAAAGAGAGCAUUGAAGAGAAAGAGGGCUUUUGAUUGUUAUUAAUGGAGAAUGUCUUCUCGAGGAAUUUGGCACAAGUGUUUUUUCACAAACCAACUUCUAUUCUUGAAAAAUCUUUUGCAACGUAAGACUAUGUAUGAACUCACUCACCUCAAUUGUACUUGGGACGCAGUGCUUCGUCCACGAUCUCCUGCAAAUCUGUGGUUUUCAUAUCCAGCGGGCCUUAUUGUUCAACGGCCAAGUCGAGUACAUUAAUGCCACACGGGACAUGCUGUGGUCCCUCGCCCGGAAGCUGGGUCGUUGGCAUAGGCAGUUACUUUUUGUCCAGCGUGGAUGCGCUUUCAUGGAGAAAAUGAUUGCUAGAUAGCAGAAUAGUUCUAGCAUUUUGGAGGCGGCAGAGCUCAAAAGGCAAUGUUAGUAUAAAGAAAUGGUGGAGGCGGUCCACUUAUCUUGCGUCUAACGGCACUUUGACCACCUCUUCAACGGCUACUUUGAAAAUUGCAAUUCUAUAAAAAAGAUUCAAAGCUUGCUGAAGGAUUCGGUUUCCGACUUCUUGAUAUUUUACAAGCGUGGUCAUAAACUACCGAUACUCUGAAGAAUUUUGCCAACAUACGAAUGGAUUAAUAUAUUACCAACUUCUUAUCAACAUUGUAAGGGAUUUAGUAAUAUCCAAAUAAAUUAGAUUUAUCAAUGUCAAAAUAAAUUAGAAAAUUAUGUAUUUUUUUUUUUAAAUUUAGACACGGUUCAUAAGUUUUAACGAUGUUAUUAAUUUACUUAUGUCAGAUUAAUUUGUAAGUAACCUCUUAACCUAGUUGGUUAGGAUCUCACCCUGAGAUCCGAGAUCCAGGAGGUAAGGGGCUCAAAGCCCCUAAUAUUUAUCUUGUCAUUUAUCUUGUCCCUUGAAUUGAGGCGUGUGUUCACUGCUGCUUUGAUUCUACCCUUAAAUGCAUGUACUCAAUUCGGGCUUACUCGACAUCAAGGGUGGCUUUCCUCCUAGCGCACCAUGCGAAUCUAUUAAUUUCUUUCGUUGAUUGAUAUACUUCAAUUUUUGUCCUACAUAAUCUAUUUUUCAGUAUAGAAUUUACAUAUCAUGGAUAUACAUGUAAUUUAUACCUUUUUAACUAUAAUUUUUAUUAUAUCCACAAUCAAUACAAAACAACCUCUAUUUUGACACUACAAUAUUUAUACAUAUAUGCUAACUAUCCGUUUAUGUCAGGUUAUUUAAAUUUUGGAGUACAUGUGUAAGUAUAUUUUAUAUACCAUUGUUUAAAUUAUUUCUGUUUUGUGUGACUAACCGAAUUAGGAGGGUUGCUUUUUUAAAAAUUUUGGCUGCUGUUAGUCGUAAAACAAUUUGUAUGAAUUUGGGACUAAAUAUAUAAUUGUGUAUGGUCAUGCACACAUUAACAUGACACUUUCAAGCUUUUUCAGCAGUUCCUUUUUAAUUUCUAUUUUACUGGGUAUCAUAUACUUGAAUAAAAAGAUAUUCUUUACUUGAAUAAUAUUAGCAUUCACGUAUAUGAAGUCGCCCUACCAAUUCAAUUAUAUAUGUAAUUCAAAACCUAUGCAUUGUCACAAGAUUAAUAGAUAGAUGUCUAUUUUAUAUCAAUAAGGUGUCUAGAACUCUCUGAGCAUCCAACUAAUCUCCAUUUGGUGUGAUGGUCCCUCCAUCUCACACAUGUCAGGUAAUCACCGGAGACUCACAAAAGAGUGCUCAUGGGAGUGGCCACAAGAGAAUGUUCAAGUAUAGUGAUUUGAUCACAAGCUUUGACAAGAAAGAUAAACAUACUUGCCACCUAUGAAGCACAGACAUGUUGCCCGUGCUUCCGUGUCAUGUCCGACAUUUGUCUGAGCAUGUCGGGCACGUCAACACGCUAGGACACGGUCGGACACGAGGUCAACGCAUGUCGGAUUUUCCGACAUGCGGUCAACGUUUCUCGACACGUUUUGACACGCAUGUCUGGAAGACGAUGGAUGGUGGAGGCAAGGGAGGGCGAGGGAGCAGAGAUGAGGCCGCGAGCGAUGGCGAGAGACAGCAAGAGAAAGAGCCGAACAGAGAGAAAGAAGAGAGAGAAAACAAACUCCCUUAGAUUCAUAAUCAAAACAUCACAGCGUCAUGGCCUAGUGCGCUUGCAAAGAAAACUGAUCUCGGGCCUAUUUGGCUCGCGGUUUACUGACCAAAUCUACGAGAACCUUCAUAGAUAUUUUGAUGCGUAUUCAUAGAUCAUAUUCAUUCUCAGGUGUAAUUCCACUCCGAGGACAGGUAUUUCUUUUAGGGAAUGAGCUUGACUAAAGUAGGGGCAAAUCUUUUUCAUUAGGGCAAAUCUAUUUCAUCAGGGGCCUUAUUAGUGAUUCCCUCUUUUUGGUCCCCGGCCGACUAUUCUCUCCAUCGGUGAUAACAUAAUUCGACGUUGACUUUUGUCAUCUGCUGUCACGGUUGCACCUCAUGGAGAAAUUUACUAGUUUCUUCUUGCUAUUCAUAAUGACUAUUUGAUAUAUCGAUACAAGAGCAUAUUUAUUUUUCUAUAUGUCAUUUGUAGGUUAGGCUAGACAUUUGUCAAUAUGUACGUGUGAAUUGUAUUAAAAAAGUCUCACACCAGAUAAUUGAUGUGGUGUGAUUAGUUAAUUUAUCCGAGUUAAUCUAUAACUUAUUGGCUUAAAUUUUUUAGCUCCAAGUAGAUAUGUUGAUAGGUUCAAAUUUGGACUCUCUCUUGGCGACCACCCUGAACUCCCAAUGUGUAGUGUUUGGUAAAUAUCUCAAGGAACUCAAUGUGCAUCAAUAUUUGGUAAGUAUCUUAAGAAAGAAAUCUCGUGAUUAAUGGUUUCCGAGCAGCCUAGUGUUGUGGUGCAACAUUGCAUUCUCAAUGGCAGUUCGAGAUGAAGGUUGGCAUUGUUGUAGUUGUUGUGACCUCACACGCAACAAAGUGGAGAUUCACAUGUGAAUUAAUGUAGAACAUCCCUAAUAUUGAACUCACACCUGAGUGAGUGGGAGAUUGUUGAGUUGCACAUUUGCAUUAUAUUAAAAAAGUCCUACAUCGGAGAAUUGAUAUAGUAGCUAAUAUAUCAUAGUUAACCUAAAACUAGAUAUAUUGAAUGACUCAAACUUAGACUCUCUUUGGCAAUGUCCUCAAGUGAAGCUAUCAAGCGUCCAACAGUUUUCGAGGUCAGUAGCUUUUUGCAAUGGCAUGCUUGAAAGGCAAUCGGAAGGUUUGAAGGCAAUGGCGCGGCUACAUUGUGCCUCUUAAUAGACUUUGUGAAGGUAUCGAAGUGCAAUAGACAAUCAAGGACAAUUGCCUCGUAGAAGGAAGGAAAAAUAAUACAAAUAAUUCAUGAACUUUGGUCCAAUAUACAAUGUCGUCUUUAAUUUGUUUAACUUGGUUCAUGAACUAUUGGUAAAUGUUCAGUGUUAUCUUUGAACUUCUAAUUUAUUCAAUGUGACCCUUAAAUUAUUGGUAAAUAUUUAAUAUAGUCAUUCUGUUUGUUCAAACAGCAAUAUGAUGACAUGCAUUAUUAUAUUAUAUGCUGAGUUGGAUUUUUAAAAUUAAUGAGUCAAUAUAUCCAUCUUUUAUCUGUCUACUUUAAAAAAGGAAAAAAACAAAUUAGGGACUUCAAAUAUCCCACGUGCAAAUUUCUUUUCCUAAUUUGAGAUAAAUAUUUUACGUGGAUAAUCCAUAUAUAUAUUGUCUACCAUUCAUAUUUAAUGGAAUGGAAGUCACGUAUUCCAUUAACUUGAAUUAACAAAAAGAUGACUUUAAAUAAUUUGAUAUAGUUAGGGAAUUAGAUUGAACAUUUAUUAGUAACUCAGAGUUUAGGACUACAUUGAACAUUUACAAAAGUUUAGACACUAUAUUUAACAAAUUAAAAGUUCAUAAGUAACAUUGCAUAUUGAAUCAAAUUUUAAGGACCAUUUUUGCUUCAUUUUUCCUUAUAAGGAAAGUGAAAGUAGGAACGUCCUCUUCGGUUUCUUUGCAUCUUGCAAGGUGCUUCUCCUCCAUGAACCACCACUUGCAUGCACGACUGACGUGCCACGCGUUUUCCAGUUGUCUUGUAGAUGUUUCAAACAUAUUUACCUUAUUAUUUGAAGAAGAAUAUUAUGUCAUCAUGAACCUAGUACAAGACACUAUAUAUUUCUUUUCAUUAAAUCUUUACUUAUCAAAGGCCGGCGAGUUAUUUCUCGAUCGAUGGGAGAAAUGGGCCAAAAAAUUGGGAAAAUCCAGUUGAAUAGAACCCGGUAUGUGUUGAUCAAAUAUUGAUCCAUUUGAAAUGACAUGGGGUCGAAGUCCCAUAGAAUGUGGUGGAAGACUAAACAAGGAGCCGUAAAGGGAAGGUGGUGGGGGGAAAGAGAGAGAGAGAGAGAGAUUUCUUUAGUGCAAGAUGAUUCUUUCAUAUUUUUAUUUUCCUUUAUUUAAAGGUUCCAAAGUGAAGAAAGGAUACGAUGGUUGAAGGAUUUUUUUUUUCUCGUCUUUCAGUUCAGAUACUUGGCUUCCAUGAUAGAGGAUUCUUUUUCCCUUCGUUUAAAGGUUCCAAAGCGAAGAAAUGAUGAGACGGUUGAGGAAUUUUUUUCUCAUCUUUCAGUUCAGAUACUUGGCUUCCACAAUAGAGGAUUCUUUUCUUCGAGCCUAGGGAUUCUUCCUCAAAUUAUUCGAAUUAUUAUUUUCUUCUUCAAAUUCAUCAUCUCCUUCCAACGCUAAAUCCAAACCCCAUGUCUCCCACCACGCUGACAUCUUAAUGAGCCACAGAUUAAACUAAUUCCUGCCGGUGAAGAUCUCUAACUCAAAUUUUCUAGAAGCCAUAGCGAUAAUUGCAUACAGACAAAAUAACCCUAGGCUUUGAUACUAGUUUUAUAACUAAUGCGCAAACAAGAACAAAUGAAAAUGACUUAAGUAAAAAAUAAAUUGCAUAAAUAAAACCUGAACGCAGCGGAUUUACUUUGUCCAAUGGUAAAACCUACUUUAUGGGGAAAGUUAACAAGAUGGUUUCAUGAUAAUCGGCGAAAAAUGGAUUACGACCGCUCAAUUACACUCACUCAUAAGUGUUUCUCAAUCAUAGAGUUUCACAAGAAUCAGUCACAAGAAAUGAGUUUUCUCACACUCUCAGCUCUCUCGGAUGAUGAUUCUCAAUAGUCUCUAUGUCUCUCACAAGCUUUUAUACGUAUUAAGCACACUCAACAUGCUCAAAAGACCAAACUCACCAAUAAAAUAGUUAUAUGCAAAGAAAUUAUCAGCCCGUAUUUGAUGACAACAUUGAUUUCAUCAUCAAUAAUGAAAAGAGUUCUUGUGAGAAAUUAAUGUCCCUUGUUGCAUCACCCACACUCCGAUUGGCAAGAGUCCAAUUUGGACUUCCUAAUAUGGCCUGAAUUGCUUUGCAAUUAAAUUAUGGGUUGAAUUUCAAUCAAUCAGGAUUAACUUUGAUUCAUAAUCAACACAUCACAACGUCAUGGCCGAGUGCACUUGAGGAGGCAUUUGAUCUCAAGCAUACUCGGCUUGAGGUUUACCAACCCAAUCUACAGGAAUAUUCGUACAUAUUUUAAUGCUUAUUCAUGAAUCAUAUGUAUUCUUAGGGGUAGUUCCUCUCUGAGGCAGGUAUUUCUUUCAGUUAAUGAAUUUGACUAAGAUAUAAGUAGGUGCGAAUAUUUUCAUUAGUGACCUUGUUAGAAAUUCCGGUUUUUUUGGUCCCUGGCCAACUAUUUUGUCAUCCGGUGACAACAUGAGUCAAUCUUGAGUUAUGUUGUCUACCGUCGCGGUUCCACCUCUUGUAGAAAUCUACUUGCAAGGUGCUUUCAGUGGUCCCUUCUCUGAGAACCAUCACUUGUGUGCUCGGCCAGGGUACUGUAUGUUUUCCGUUAGUUCUUGUAGAUGUUUUAAAUACAUUUAUCCUAAUUUUAGAAGAAGAAUAUCGUGUCGUCGGGAACAAAGUAUAAGACACUGUAUGGUUCGUCACGUCAAAUUUUUACUUACCAAAGGCCAGAGUUAUUUCUCGAAGGGAGAAAUGGAAAAAAAAAAAAAAAAACAAAACAAAAGCGACAAUCCAGUAGGAUAGAACCUGCUUCAUAUUGACCCGAAAUCCGAUCUCGCCCAUUUGGCGCGUCGGAGUCGUAGAAAUCACGAUGGAAGAUUAAAAGAGCAGUACAAGUGAAGAGAGAGAUUGAAAGAAAAAGAGAGGCGGCAGAGAUUUCUUUCGUGAAAGAUGAUUCUUUCAUAUCUAUAUUUUCCUGUUUCGAGGAUACUUUUUCGCUUUAUUUAAAGGUUACAGGGAGAAGAAGUCAUGAGACGGGAGGAUUCUUUCAUUAUUCCCUUCAUGUUGAGGAUUCUUCCUCACCUUUCAGUUCAGAUACUUGUCUUCUAUGACAGAGAAUUCUUUUCCUCCAGCAUGGGGGAUCCUUCUUCAGAUUAUUCUUUUCUUGGCCGAGGAAAAAUGAGAUGGUCUUCACGACCUUUCUUGGCCAACACCUUCGUAUAUAUUUUGGGAGUUUCACCCCAUCUCAUUCAGACAUUUGUCGCAUUUCCUAUCUCGAAUUUUCACCGUCCUUCACUGUCUUCUUCCAGCCACUAGCUCUCUCUCUCUCUCUCUCUCUCUCUCUCUCUCUCUCUCUCUCUCGUGUUCAUUGUAUUCAUCCUAUUGAACCUUUCCUCUUCUUCAGUCGUUUCGUUUUCGGGUUCCAUCACUUCAGCCUUCCUAAGCAUAUAUAAAUUCUUAACUUUCAUUUCUCUCCAAAGAGGAAGGCAAAAAAAUCAGAAAGAUAGAAAUAAAAAAGCGGGAAAAUGGCGGAUAUUGUUCUGUCUAUAGCUUCCAAAGUGGCGGGAUACCUGGCGGCUCCAAUUGGUCGUCGAUGCGGCUACCUGAUGUUCUCCAACAGCUACGUUGGCCAACUGAAGGAAGAACUUGAGAAGCUGGAUGACGCGAGGGUUGGGCUGCAGCGCUCGGUCGUUGAUGCUGAAAACAACAUGAGGGAGAUAAAACGCGAAGUUAACAGAUGGAAGAAUGAUGCAGAGACUGUUGCCAACAAGGCGCGCGGCAUGCUGGAUAACGAGGGAAGAGCCAAGAAAACUUGCUUCUGCGGGUGGCUUCCCAACCCAAAGGAGCGUUAUUGUCUCGGCAGGGACGCGAGGAAGACAGCCCAGGCCAUCCAGGCACUCAUCCCACAAGGUAAAUUCGAGAGCGUCUACUAUGAGAGUGCUCCGCCGGGGCGUGUCACUGGCACUCCCGAUGUGAAUUCCUCAGCCGGUGAUGGGGGCGACACUAUCGCAGACUCGCGAGCUUCCGUCUUUCAGGGCAUAAUGAAAGCUCUGGAUGAUGAGAAGCUAAGAGUGAUUGGGGUCUACGGGCCUGGCGGCGUGGGGAAGACUACGCUAUUGGAGGAAGUCGAGAAGAAACUCAGGAAAGAGAAGGGACCGUUCCACAUGAUCGUCAAAGCAAAAGUGUCACAGAUUCCUGUCUCGAAGAAUAUCCAAGAUGAGAUCGCUGACGCCUUGAAACUGGAUCUGAAGGACGUGCGAAGCAAACGCGGCCGGGAAAAUCGUCUGUUGGAGAGAUUACAGCGGGAUCCAAGUGAGAAGGUUCUCAUAAUAUUGGAUGACCUAUGGGGGGAACUUGAUUUGAAAGCGGUUGGAAUUCCUUCAAGAGACAUUAGCGGGAAAUGCAAAUUGUUGCUCGCAUCAAGAUUUGAAGAUGUGCUGAAGCAAAAGAUGUGUGCCGAUGAAACAUUUUUUCUUGGAGGCCUAAACAACGACGAAGCUUUCGGGCUAUUUGCAAAGACGGUCGGCAACAGGCUCGAAGACGAUGAGGAUUUGAAAGCAAUAGCGGCUCGAGUGGUCAAGAAGCUUGCAGGUUUGCCUCUUUUGAUUAUCUCCGUUGCAAAAACCUUGAAAGAAAGCCCUGUGUCCGCAUGGAGAAUCGCACAGAUAGAAAUAGAUGAGUCAACUAAAGAAAUACAAGAAACGAUAGUGAAGUUGAGUUAUGGCCAUUUGAAGAGUGAGGACGCGAAGUGCUUAUUCUUGCUCUGCGGUCUUAUUGGCGGGACCAUUCAGGUCGAACUUCUAUGGGUAUUAGGCAUGGGGUUGGGCUUGCUUGAAAAAAUUAAUGAGACAAUACAAAAUUCAAGGGAUAGAUUGAAUAAUAUUCUGGAUAGCCUCCAUUCCAUUUGUUUGUUGCAGGAUGGAGGCGAUGAUAAGAAACAUGUGACCAUACACGAUCUUUACAGCGAGGUGGUCAUCUCAGGUGCAUAUAGUGGUCAGGAUUCCUUAAUGAUUAACAACAAUUAUGGCUCAUGGCCAAAGGAAAAGCUUGAGAAAUGUUGGGCAUGCCUGGUUAAUGUUGGCAGUGAUAAACUUGUUGAACUAAUGCUGCGUCAGUUUCCCCACGUGAAGAUACUUAUGUUGUCAGAACAAAACAAUAUGGGAGAUUGUAGUAGAAUUGAUUUCACAUACAUGGAGGAGCUUCGAGUCCUCUAUCUUCGCUCUAUGCAUAUCACCAGUUUACCUUCCUCGAUGGAAAUCCUCGGGAACCUCCGGUCAUUAAGCAUAAAUUGCUAUGUGAGGGAUGUGGCAAAUCUUGGCAAGCUCAAAGCACUGCAGAUUCUUAGCUUCGAUGGGUCUAUAAUUUCUAGACUGCCUAAAGAAAUCGGGAAACUAACAAAUCUAAGAUCGUUGAAUCUGAACCACUGCUACUGGCUUAAGAUAAUCGAGCCUAGAGCCCUAGAAGGCUUAAUCAACUUGGAAGAGUUACAUAUGAAGAAUAGCUUUGAUGGGUGGAUGGGCAAGCAUGAAAUACCGUCGGAAUCGUGUGUUGUUGGGCUUGCUGAGUUGAAGAGCCUGACAAAGCUGGCAUCUUUGGAAAUAUCAAUUCCUGAUCCCAUCAUACUCUUAGAGGAUGGUGACCUACCAUUUGAGAACCUGCACAAAUUUUGGAUCAACAUAGGAUAUUUGGGGUUUCGGAUGGAGAGGGAAUAUGAAUGUUUGACAACCAUGAGGCUCGAUCUGAAAGGGGUGGAAGGGUGCAAUAGUAUUCUUUCAAGAAAAUGGGUUAAGAAAAAUCUGCAGAAGACUCAAUGCUUAUAUUUAGGAGGGUUGAGUGAGUUCAAAGAGAGCGCUCACAAAUUGUGCACCCAAGGAUUCCAAGAAGUGAAGUAUCUCAGCAUUACAAAAAGCCCCUUAAUCAAGUACAUUGCUUAUUCAUCCAAUGCCGAUCCAUCCAAUGGCCUUCCUCUCAUUGCUUUUGGGAAGUUAGAGUCUUUUUACCUUCAAAAUCUUAUUAAUUUGGAGAAGAUAUGCCAUGGACCCAUUGCGCCAGAGUGCUUCAACAAAUUGAAAGUUAUGAGAGUAACUUGGUGCAAACGAUUGAAAUACUUGUGGCGUCUUUCAGAUAUGCAAAGACUUGUACAAUUGGAAGAGAUUUCAUUGUGGGAAUGUGAAUCAUUGCAAUCCAUUGUCACGCAUGAUGCCGGAGAAGAUAUAGUUUAUACCAAUAACAAAGUUGAGUUGCCUAAUGUACGUCGUCUGGGAUUGAUUGACUUACCAAAUAUGACAAGCUUUUGUACCAAAGCUGAAAUCACAUCAAAGGAUAUUCCAAUCCAGGUAAUUUUUUUUUUUCACUUUUUCCCUCUAUCAAUUUGCCCUAUUAGGAUGAGAUGAUAUUGGUGUUCACUCAAUGUUAGUACAUAUUGCAUUUUAACUUUGAUUAUUCGUACAAUUUUAUUCGCCUUUUGAUUUACAAUUGAAAAAUCAUCUUGAUUAUUCGUACAAUUUUAUUCACCUUUUGAUUUACAAUUGAAAAAUCAUCUCAAAUAGAACACAGGUCCAAUUAUAAUUAGAGGGAAGCUGCUUUCCACGACUUAUUAUUUUAAAAAAAAAUAAUCAAUGGUAGAUUAUUGGACCUAUAACUGGGGUUUCUACUGUGACUAUUUAUUAGUUAUUUAACAUUUUUAAUGAGUUGAAAAAAUAGUAGUGUGCUUAAUGAAUAUAAGCAAAAAUGAAUCUUGAAUGAAUAAAUAAAAUUCAAUAAUUUGAAAAUGAAGAAAGCGACGUCCAGAAAUUCAAUAAAGAUGGCGAGCGAGAAGCCACAUAACAAAGAAAGUCCCCAGAAUUCAUGUCCCACCUAACAUGCAAUUUUGUAACUUCCAACAUGUCAUGCCAAGUUUCCAAUGUCGCCAUGACAACAUGACCGUGCAAUUGUGCGGCACUAGCAGCAUGAUAGUGGUGAAGAUAUCAUCAUGAAAAUGAUUUUGCUUUUCACAGAAGAGAAAUGAUUUUAUUUUAUUUUUUUGCUUUUUAGACUGAGAGUUUCACUUAUUUUCUUGUGAAAAUAGCUUGAUUUGUAACAAACUCACCUUUAAUGAGUCUCAUUGUGGCGCUUUGUUAGGUUUCAUUGCCUCACUUGGAAUCCCUAGUAAUGGUUGGAUUCCUUGCCCCAGAAAAAAUACUCUACAGUGAACCCUCAAUAAAAUACAGCGUUGUGAAAUCGCUAAGGAUAGAAGAGUCUAAAUCCACGUUGAGUAUUCCAAAGAUAGGAUACUCAAGCUGCCAAAUUUGGAGUCAAUGAAUAUUUGUUGUCGUUAUUCAUUAAAUAAUCGGUACGAGUGAACGAAAUUCAACAAUCUCGAAAUGAAGAAAGUGAGAUUAAAUAAAUGGAAGGCGAACCAAGAGCCACGUAACAAAGAAAGUCCACCUAAUUGAUGUUUCACCUACAUGCAAGUUGUAAUUGAUUUUAACAAGUCAUGCCAACCUCACCAUGUCAACAUCAUUCUGCUUCCGUCAUCCCUUUCUUCAGCUACUAAGGGGAUAUUUCCUUCUCCAUUCUUUCAGGCACGACAAAAAAUCUACAUAUUCCGUCCUUUGAUCAAUUGAUUUUUGAAUAUUUAAUUUUGAUCAAUUAAGUUUUUGACAUUCUUAAGAGACAUCGAGCCCAUUCAUGUAUUCAAUGUCCAUUUGUUUCAGUGAAAAUUCCUUACUGUUGAAAAAUGUUUUCUUGGUAAAUCGUUUUUUUCUAGAAAUUGUUUCCCCGUAUUUGGUUCUACUGAAAACGCAAUUUGAAAAGAUGUUUUAUGAUGUUUAUUAACGAAGCGCAAAAAUUUACAAAGUGAAGAUAAAAACUGUUAUGGAUCCUUAAUAGAAACAAAGCUCGAAUAAGUCAUAUUUACUUGUUCUUAAUGAAAACCAAUAAGUUAACAAAAAAUUUAUGAAAAACUGAACUUUGAUAUGAUUUUUUUUUUUUUUGUCAAUUUUGAAGUUCAAAAUAGAAAAACAAAAGAAAAGAUAACCAAAUUAUGGUAGUUGUUUUGAAGGUACGUAAAUGAUUUCAAAAGAAAAGAUAAAAAAUUAUGGUCAUAGUUUUGAAGAUCAGCUAAAGAAAAGAUAAAAAAAUAUGAUGACUGUUGAGAGAGAGAGAGAGAGAGAGAGAGAGAGAGUUGUGCGAUAGUGUUGCAGAGAGAGUUGUGCAAUAGUGCUGCAUUUGCAACAUGAUAGUGGUGAGGAUAUCCUCAUGAAAAUUAUCCCUUUUCACAAAAGAGAAAUUCAGAAAUUCAUUUUUUUCUAUAUAGUCAUUUUCUUGUAUCCAUGAGAAGUCUGAAAGCAAUUUCCUGAAAAUAGCUUUACUUGUAAGAAACUCACCUUUAAUGAGUUUCUUUGUGGUGCUUCAUUAGGUUUCAUUGCCUUGCUUGGAAUCCCUGGUGAUGUUUGGACUCCUUGGCCUAGAAAAGAUACUCUAUAGUGAACCUUCAUUAAAAUACAGUAAUCUGAAAUCACUAGAGAUAAAGGAGUCUACAUCCACGUCGAUUAUUCUAAAGGAUUGGAUACUGAAGUUCCCGAAUUUGGAGUCAAUGAAAAUUGCGUGCACUCCAUAUGUAGAAGUUGUUUUCAACCUAGAGGAGCUAAAAGUCAUCAAAGAAGUGGAGAUUCUCUCUCGGCUAAGUACAUUGGAAUUAUCUAAGUUACCGAACCUGCGGCACAUGUGGAAACAAAAUGUACAACUACAAGGAAUAUCGAUACUUCAGAACUUGAAAAAGCUCUUUAUCAACAAUACAGGACUCUCAUUUCUCUUUCCACUCUCUGUGGCUAAAUGUCUUAGAGAAAUUAGAGACAUUAAAGUGGAGGAUUGUCCGAAUAUGAAGGCGGUGAUUGUUGAUGAAGAAGGAAGAGAUGAUGGGAUAGAUGAUAUUAUAGAGUUCCCAUUAUUGGAGCGACUAUCUAUAAGCCACUGUCCCACGGAGAAAUUCUUCUCAUAUCCUCAUGCACAAAAAGAGUCAAUAACCACUACUUCAAAUUCACAAGAUACUUAUUCGGAUUCUUUCUUUGAUCAAAAGGUACGAAUCCUUUCUUUAGAGCUUACGCCCAUAACAGUCAUAAGCACGCGAUUGGUGGGGCAAGUAUUAAUAUUUUUUUGAAGAUUUUUUUAUUUGUUAUAUUAGUUAAAAUGUUUUUAUAAUUUAUAGCUACACUUGUUAGAGUAAGGCCAUUGGUGAAAAUUCUAUCCUCCACCGCAUUAGACAGAUUGGUAUAAGAUUAGACCAAAUUGUAAAAAAUUUCAUAGCUAUGAUCUGAUGUACAACUCUUAUGAGCAGAUAAGUUUACCAAACUUGGAGAAGUUAAUACUCGACUCGCUAGGAUCCUCUCGCUGUGGCUGUGGGCUCGGCCUCGCCAUUGUUGGGCGAGGCAUAUGGCAUAGUGAGCUUCCCAAAAGUUCUUCCGACAAAUUAGCCAACCUCACCCCGAAACAAGAUUUGCAAUCACAAGGAACAUCAAUAUUUCGGAAUCUAAAGGUGCUCUCUAUCAAAAAUACAGGGCUAUCAUUUCUCUUUUCGGUGUCUGUGGCUAAAUGUCUUAAGGAAAUUAGAGAGAUUGAAGUGGAGGAUUGUCUGAAUAUGAAUGCGGUGAUUGUUGAUGAAGAAGGAAGAGAUGAUGGGAUAGAUGAUAUUAUAGAGUUCCCAUUAUUGGAGCGACUAUCUAUAAGCCGCUGUCCCACGGAGAAAUUCUUCUCAUAUCCUCAUGGAAAAAAAGAGUCAAUAACCACUACUUCAGAUUCACAAGAUACUUAUUCGGAUUCUUUCUUAGAUCAAAAGGUACGAAUCCUUUCUUUAGAGCUUACGCCCAUAACAGUCAUAGGCACGCGAUUGGUGGGGCAAGUAUUAAUAUUUUUUUGAAUAUUUUUUUAUUUGUUUUAUUAGUUAAAAUGUUUUUAUAAUUUAUAGCUACACUUGUUAGAGUAAGGCCGUUGGUGAAAAUUCUAUCCUCCACCGCAUUAGAUAGAUCGGUAUAAGAUUAGGCCAAAUUGUAAAAAUUUUCAUAGCUAUGAUAUGAUGUACAACUCUUAUGAGCAGAUAAGUUUACCAAGCUUGGAGAAGUUAGUACUCCACUCGCUAGGAUCCUCUCGCCAUGGCUGUGGGCUCGGCCUCGCCAUUGUUGGGCGAGGCAUAUGGCACAGUGAGCUUCCCAAAAGUUCCUCCGACAAAUUAGCCAACCUCACCCCGAAACAAGAUUUGCAAUCACAAGGAAUAUCAAUAUUUCGAAAUCUGGAGGUGCUCUCUAUCAACAAUACAAGGCUGUCAUUUCUCUUUUCGGUGUCUAUGGCUAAAUGUCUUAGAGAAAUUAGAGACAUUAAAGUGGUGAAUUGUCCAAAUAUGAAGGCGGUGAUUGUUGAUGAAGAAGGAAGAGAUGAUGGGACAGAUGAUAUUAUAGAGUUCCCAUUAUUGGAGCGACUAUCUAUAAGCCGUUGUCCCACGGAGAAAUUCUUCUCAUAUCCUCAUGAAAAAAAUGAGUCAAUAACCACUACUUCAGAUUCACAAUAUACUUAUCCAAAUUCCUUCUUUGAUGAAAAGGUAUGAAUCAUUUCUUUAGAGCUUACACCCAUAAUAGUCAUAGGCACGCAAUUGGUGGGGCAAGUAUUAAUAUUUUUUUGAAUAUUUUUUUUAUUUGGUUUAUUAGUUAAAAAAUGUUUUUAUAAUUUAUAGCUACACUUGUUAGAGUAAGGCCGUUGGUGAAAAUUCUAUCCUCCACCGCAUUAGAUAGAUCGGUAUAAGAUUAGGCCAAAUUGUAAAAAAUUUCAUAGCUAUGAUCUUAUGUACAACUCUUAUGAGCAGAUAAGUUUACCAAGCUUGGAGAAGUUAAUACUCCACUCGCUAGGAUCCUCUCGCCAUGGCUAUGGGCUCGGCCUCGCCAUUGUUGAGCGAGGCAUAUGGCAUAGUGAGCUUCCCAAAAGUUCUUCCGACAAAUUAGCCAACCUCACCUCGAAACAAGAUUUGCAAUCAGAAGGAACAUCAAUAUUUCGGAAUCUGAAGGUGCUCUCUAUAAAAAAUACAGGGCUGUUAUUUCUCUUUUCGGUGUCUGUGGCUAAAUGUCUUAGGGAAAUUAGAGAGAUUGAAGUGAAGGAUUGUCCGAAUAUGAAUGCGGUGAUUGUUGAUGAAGAAGGAAGAGAUGAUGGGAUAGAUGAUAUUAUAGAGUUCCCAUUAUUGGAGCAACUAUCUAUAAGCCGUUGUCCCACUGAGAAAUUCUUCUCAUAUUCUCAUGGAAAAAAAGAGUCAAUAACCACUACUUCAGAUUCACAAGAUACUUAUUCGGAUUCCUUCUUUGAUCAAAAGGUAUGAAUCCUUUCUUUAGAGCUUAUGCCCAUAAUAGUCAUAGGCACGCGAUUGGUGGGGCAAGUAUUAAUAUUUUUUUGAAGAUUUUUUUAUUUGGUUUAUUAGUUAAAAUGUUUUUAUAAUUUAUAUCUAUACUUGUUAGAGUAAGGCCAUUGGUGAAAAUUCUAUCCUCCAUCACAUUAGAUAGAUCGGUAUAAGAUUAGGCCAAAUUGUAAAAAUUUUCAUAGCUAUGAUAUGAUGUACAACUCUUAUGAGCAGAUAAGUUUACCAAGCUUGGAGAAGUUAGUACUCCACUCGCUAGGAUCCUCUCGCCAUGGCUGUGGGCUCGGCCUCGCCAUUGUUGGGCGAGGCAUAUGGCACAGUGAGCUUCCCAAAAGUUCCUCCGACAAAUUAGCCAACCUCACCCCGAAACAAGAUUUGCAAUCACAAGGAAUAUCAAUAUUUCGAAAUCUGGAGGUGCUCUCUAUCAACAAUACAAGGCUGUCAUUUCUCUUUUCGGUGUCUAUGGCUAAAUGUCUUAGAGAAAUUAGAGACAUUAAAGUGGUGAAUUGUCCAAAUAUGAAGGCGGUGAUUGUGGAUGAAGAAGGAAGAGAUGAUGGGACAGAUGAUAUUAUAGAGUUCCCAUUAUUGGAGCGACUAUCUAUAAGCCGUUGUCCCACGGAGAAAUUCUUCUCAUAUCCUCAUGAAAAAAAUGAGUCAAUAACCACUACUUCAAAUUCACAAUAUACUUAUCCGGAUUCCUUCUUUGAUCAAAAGGUAUGAAUCAUUUCUUUAGAGCUUACACCCAUAAUAGUCAUAGGCACGCGAUUGGUGGGGCAAGUAUUAAUAUUUUUUUGAAGAUUUUUUUUAUUUGGUUUAUUAGUUAAAAUGUUUUUAUAAUUUAUAGCUACACUUGUUAGAGUAAGGCUGUUGGUGAAAAUUCUAUCCUCCAUUGCAUUAGAUAGAUCGGUAUAAGAUUAGGCCAAAUUGUUAAAUUUUUCAUAGCUAUGAUCUGAUGCAUAACUCUUAUGAGCAGAUAAGUUUACCAAGCUUGGAGGUGUUAGAACUUGAGUCGGUAGGAACGUUAAAAAGGAUAUGGCGCAGUGAACUUCCCAAAAGUUUCUUCAACAAAUUAGCCAACCUCACCCUUGGAAAGUGCUCCAACCUACUUGAUGUCUUCCCUUCGACAAUCAUAGGGAGAUUGCACAACCUCGAAAGUGUCGAAGUUUCAAAGUGUCCCUCCUUGGAAUCUUUGUUUGAUUUUGGAUCCCUUGAUUCAUAUACGGAACAGACAAUUGUGUUGCUCCCCGAAUUGAAAAACGUUAAGGUUUUAAGCUGUCCCUCCCUAGAAUCGUUGUUUAAUUGGGGGGCCCUUGAUUCAAGUACAAAACACAAAAAUGUAUUGCUCCCCAAAUUGGAAGAAGUGUGCAUGGGUGGAGCAGGAAGGCUGAGACACCUGGUGAUGAGUGAUUCCCAAACUGUUUUGGGUUUUCCUAAUCUAGAAGAAGUCUUUGUUUUUAAUUGCUCUGAGUUGAGAUAUCUCUUCCCCAAUUAUACAGCCACAACUCUAGAGAAACUUGAUACCCUGUGCAUUCUCAAAUGCGAACAAAUGAAGGAAGUGGUUCCCAAGGAAGAAGGUGGUCGAUCCAAGGCAGAAGUGAUGAGUUUCCAUUCCUUAGCUAAUUUGGUUAUUUGGCGGUGCCCCAACAUUAGAGCAUUCAUAUGGAGUCCUACAAGUGCCAAGAGGCAGUUAGGUGAAAUGAUCGAAGAAAAUGAUGAAUCGCCCCAACCGUUGUUCAAUGAUAUGGUUUGCUCUAUAUCUUAUUGUGAUCAUCUUUAAUCUCACAUUAUCAUGUUUUAGAAUGAACAAUGUAAUAAUUUGUCCUACUUAUUUUCCUUUCUCACAUUAUCCUCGUGCAGGUUACAUUUCCCAAUUUAGAAAAACUAUAUAUUGGAGGUGUCCAGUGCAAAGAGUUAUGGAACAAUCAAAUUUCUGAUGAUUCUUUUUGCAAUUUGGAAUCUCUUAUAUUGAAGGAUUGUGACAAUCUCCAACAUAUUGCCCCAUCCCAUAUGUGGAAGAGGCUGCAGGACUGUCUGGAAACCUUAGAAGUGAAAUCAUGCCGUUCAAUCGAGAUCAUAUACGAAAGUGAUGGGACGGUGGCAAAAGGCGGUAAUUUGAGGACACUGGAUUUGCGUGAUCUAGACAACUUGAGGCACGUUUGGCAGCAUGACAAUCUCCCAAACAUCCCGUUCCCAAAUUUGAGAUACAUAAAGGCUGUGAGGUGCUCCCGUUUGGAUAUGCUUUUCGCCACCUUCACGGCGAAAUUUCUCGGGCAAAUCGAAAAGCUGGUGGUAGGGUCAUGUGAAGAUAUGGCACUAAUUGCUGGCCAUGAAGAAUGUGAAGAAGUGACUGGUAAGACAAUCACAUUCUCUGGGUUAACUACUCUUAGACUUUACAAUUUGCCGAAAUUCAGGAGCUUCUUACCAGAGAAAUAUUUUACGGAAUUCCCAUCCUUGGAUGACUCGAGUAGAAUAGAGCCGGACCAAGGCAACCGAAGUGCGGAGGAAAGUGAGGGGGAAACUGAGCAGGUAGAACACGCAAUUGAGAAGUUAGACUGCGAAAGUGAGGUGGAAAGUGAGGGGCAAAGUGAGGGGGAAUAAUUAGUUUUAUGAAGUGAGCCACAAAAGUUUGUGAAUGUUGCAACGGAUGGUGUCUGGCAAAACAAAAUGGACGUGACUGGUAAUGUGAGAUUUUGUUUUUUUCUUCCGUAUUCUCUUCUACACUUCCCUCGAAGUGCGUGAUUUUUUUCUUGGCUAUUCAUUUAUUUGGUUUGUGUCCUGGGCUACAGUGACGAGUGACUAGUCAUUGGACCAUAAAUUGUGGGGUUAUGUUGUAUAAAUCCUAAUCAAGUGCAUUAUCGUGUUUAUAAAUUUUCCCGUGAUAUUAGAAAAUGUAUGUGCUAUUAUAUUAAGCAAUCGAAGUUGUGAUGAAUUACCUCACGACAACCGUUGUAGGGGGAAGAAGGAGAUCGAGGAGAUUGCAAUCUGGGAAAGCCCAUGUUCCUCCUCUCUCUCUCUCUCUCUCUCUCUCUCUCUCUCUCUCUCUCUCUCUCUCUCUCUCUCUCUCUCUCUCUCUCUCUCUGACAAUUGAUAAAGGCUGAGACUAUUUGAGGUUGAAUGUGAGUUGAAAUCAGUGAUAACGAGGAUUCCUUUGAGUGGGUUGAGUAUUUGAAUCUUCAUGAUUCUUAUCAAGGUAAACUUCGUUAUGUUUCUCCUGGAGGUAAGGACCGAGUGCUUGAUACCGCCAGCAUGAAAUUUGGUCGAGUUCGGGACUAUCCUGAUGAACUCAUUCAGGUGCCCUUUAUUGAAACGCCUACCAUACGUUUGAUUGAAUUCUUGAACAAUACUAGCAUGCGUAUUUCGCAAGCAUUCUUGCAUUGUGAUGAUUAUCUGGCAAUGGCGGUGCUUAAACUGAGAGUUCUCUAGGUCAUAUGACAAAUUAUUUUCAUUGAUAUUGGUUGAACUCUCCCGAUUGUUCUCAAUGCUUCCAUGACUGAGAAUUUGAACAUGCCGCGUUGGCUUAAUUUACUCAGAACUAUGUUUUCCUUAUCAAUCUAUGAUUUCGUAUAUGGCUAUUCUAAUUUUCAUGACACUUACCAUCUUUGAAUUGGAAAUUGUGAAAUCCUUCUUUGAAAUGUGCAUCGUUACUGUGUACUUCAGUGAAUUCCUAUGCGGACUUCAUCCUUUGCUUGAUCUCGCUUGUAAUCAAUUUCAUGUGCCUGGAUGAUUAUGGCUUACAUUUCUUGAUCCAUUCAGUGAUACCCAACCCCUUUGCACUGCCAAUGAUAUUCGGUUCAUUUUUUUGGCAAAUGCAUGGGCCUCUACCUCUUUGAUUUUCUUCAUUUACUGAAAACUCUGAAGUUCAUUCCUCAAUGUCAUUUGCUUGUAUCUUUUCUGUAAAUGGCGUGCGAGUCCCUGUCAUAACUGACAUUUGAUGGCUGACUGCAUAAUGAGUUGUUCAUGCCAUGACUGAAUGCUUUGCUCGAUUCAUUAUCCACAUUGCCAAUUUGUAUACAAGUUCAGUUGUUGCCGAAUGAGUCUCAACCAUGAGAAUUGUUCCCGUGUUUAUGAUGUUGCGUUUCAGUUUUUACAGCAUGAUUUCUUUGGAAAUGUGGUCUUUAGUAUUUGGUCCUAACAGUUUUUUUUGGUGUAAAAUCAGAAUUGUUCCCAAGUUAUUCAAGUCAUUUUAUCAAUAUAUGUUGGAUUCAUGUUGACCCCAUGUUGAUUUCUUAUAGAGUUCAAUAUGUUUUUUCCGUCCCAUGUGGGCAAGGAGUGGAUUUGAUAGAUCUUGGUUUCAUAUGAGAGUUAAUUCGGUAGCACAUGAUGGUACAUCGACGGGCAGAUGAUUUCUUGUCAUUUUUUUAGUCACUAGAGUCUCUAUCUAAAUCAUGAUCAUGCAUGUCAUUCUACUACUCGUAUUUCUCAAUUUUCAGUAGUUCAAAUUACCUCAAUACCAUGAGCCACAUUGCUUUAGAAUCGAAUGUGACUAAUUUACAUAUCCGAUCAUGUUGUAAUCGUAUGAGGAAGAGUGGUGGGCAAUCUGAGGAUUUUGCCGCCCACCUGAGGAAAUGUUUCGAAACUGGCCAAAGGACUGACUUUACCUUCUUUGCUCAGAUGGAUCGGACAUUGCAUCAGGUGGCCUCUCAUUUCCUUGGGACUAUGUUGGCCCUCAUCCGCAUAAGCCCUCCAGUUCCGUUUGGCUAUUUUGUUCGCUCUCUUCAUGCGUUCAGUGGUUUGUGGCUCCUAGGAGCUGUCCUCUAAAUCUCCCAAGUACUCCACCCAAAGCGACAUCCUAUUACCAUAAGCCUGCACAGCAUCAUUAAAACAUUAUUAGUCACAAGCUUAAGUUUUUGAUAAAUGUCGAUGCACUCACUGGGUGUUCAGCUAGUACCUGCUAUUAAAUAGCUGUAACCACAUGGAAAUAUGACGUACUUGAACUUCAUACACAACUCCAUAGUUGUGCCCUUUGAAUCCAAAAUCAGUGGUAUUAGCUAAUGCGCAAUUCUCAGUGGGACCCACAUGCACUCUACAUCACGCGGCCCUUUGCAGAAUUCUCUGCCUCUCUUCCUGUCUCUCUACAUCUAAUGAACUGAGUCGCUUCCCUUUCAGCUCAGGCUUGGCGCGCUCUGCAGCAGGGAGGGCAAAACAGAAACAGAGUACCUUCCAACACGGAAAAGGAGCUCAGCAAAUUCUCUCUAGCCCUCGGUUAUUCCUUUGAUCUUCAUUCCCUCUUCAUUGUCCUCUCUGUCACCCUCCAUCCACCAACAGCCGCUGCCACACCUCCAUUGCUGGCCACCACAGGACAUGUCACGCUGAGAAGGGGCAAGAACAAACAGCGAUGAUUAAAGGAACUGGGUGAUUUUUUAGCAUUUAUAAGGCUGACAAGAACAGAGGGCGAGUUUAAAUUGACACCGUAGACUGAUGCUUCAACGAGGAUUAUCACCGUAGACAAAUGAUGUGGACAAACAUGAAGAGAUUGUUCAGAUGGAGCAUGUUCUUUUUACUGAAGGCAACGGGAAAGAUAAAGUUGGAUUUUUGAUUUGGAUCCCUCUUCCUUGGUGGCUCUUAUACCAUGGAAAUAUUUCUAUGAUUUGCAAGCGAGAGGGAGAGAGAGAAUCAACAAAUACUACACCUUUACUCAGUAGCCAAAUAAAAGAGUAUAUAGUAGCUCCACUUAUAAAGAUUGAGAGACAUUAACAAAGCUCCGAUUACCUUAUUUGUGACCACCUGCUAAUUGCCGACUAAUAUUCAUAAUUGUACUUCAACACAAAUCACAAUUGGAGCAAAUACUUGACAGUGUUUUUGCAUGUUUUUCCAAGAUGUUACUGCGUCACUUUCAAAGAAGUAUACAAAACUGCACAAAGAGGGAAUACGGAAUUCAUACUUCAAGUGGAGAGUUGUGGCAGCCUAGGCUUUUUUUGCAGUCUACCGGUCUCUUGUCUUUUAUCACUUUGUCACAGCUUCUAGUUCUACUGGUCUAAAUUCAUGGGGAAAAACGUUCGGCCUCUGGGAUGUCAGCACGAUGGUAUUUGCCUGUGUUGUCACUAUCAACUUACGCCUUCUUUUGAUGUGUAAUACAAUUAAAUUAUGGCGUCAUAUUGCUGUCAGUAGGUUGUCAAUGGGUCCUGAACGGAAGGAAAUUUUGUUAAUACAAUUACAGAUAUGUUUCUUAAUACUGUAAAAUGAAGUUUUUAGACUGUUCGAGUUUCUCCAUUAUUGUCAGAAUCACAAGCAUACGAUCUUUAGGAUUCUCCCUUCCAAAAGUCGUACCCAUCCCUAAACGGAAGGAAAGGGAGGGAUAUGAUGAUAACAGACUUCUGGACUCCUUCCAGACGCCAAGAGUAUCGCACGUUCCAGAGCAGUAGGAAAGCAGCUUACAUUAAUUCUGUUCGUGCAUUUAUGGGCUAGUUCUAGCCCAACCGCAAAGUCCUAAAUGCUUUUCUGGAAACGUUUUCUUAUAUCUUCCUGUUCAUUGUUUCUUGUCAAAGCUUGCUUCACGAAGGAGGCUCACCUUUUAUUCCCAGCCACGCUGCUCAAAUCUUGCAUUGCGACUGCUUAUAUGGCAGCAAUAAGGAGUUCCUCUGCCGUUCAUUAAUUCUCUGGUCGCUUUUUCUCUGGUUGAGUGGGAGAUCUGUUAACUAUUAGGUUAUUUUAGGUGCUACUCCGGGAGCCAUCGCUAGCUGCAUCCCAAAGUUGUUUGAGGAUGACAAACUGACCAUGCCUCUGUUGAAGAAGUCGGGUGGUCUAUUAGGAAUUACUAGAAGUGUGAUCGUUGAAAGCACCUCAUUAGUUGAGGAAGGAACAUUUUCUCAGAUUUUCAUAACUGAUUCCAACCGUGUCCUAUGAUCCCCUUCCAGCACAGAAGUAAUUAUGGACUCGGCUCGGUCCUUGCAUAAGUACCAGCGGCUCUGUACUUGAUCAUUUCAUCUUAUGCAGGGGAAAGGCAGAGGAUAUCUGUUGGAGCAGUAUCCUAUUCUAUUCUGGAAGCAAAAGCCGUUGCAAGAAUCGCAUAUAAUCACCUUAAUGAUGGACGAAAUAUCUCACGAGGAGCUGAUGAACUUGGCCAAGUUUCUGAGACACUUGACUGCUGGGAUUCGUCCAACCGCUCUUCAUUACCAUCGCCGUCAUCAUCAUUCUCAAAAACCAGCUAUAUCCCGUGCUUUUUCAGCAAGAGCCCAGGAAGGCAGGACUAUAUCUAUUCUUGUCUCCUUUGAACAGCAGCUCUGUACUUGCUUUUUCAGCAAGGCUUCUCAGACUUGAAUUCUGGAUAUCUAAUCUGGUAAAGCUGGUCUUCGCUUGUGUCAUUUAAUGUCUGACGUGUAUCGGAUCUUCAAGCCUGAGAAGCCAUCCUUUAAUGUCCUCGAUUGCUGGUAGCGGAAUGUUUGCCCGGUUUGCACUGUUCAUAGAGACAACAGCGAAAAGCAUUCCCUCUAACCUCGCAGUUCUUUGGAGCAGCAAAAUGAGGGACUUCCAGACAAAACCAUCCAGGAAUCUCACUCCCAGGGACACUCGAGUUGUGCAAAUGCUUUAGAGCAACCUGAAAUUUCUUCUGAAAAAACACAUUUAAGGUCAAACUUUUUGCAUUCACGAUUGAAGAUACUGAACAAAGGUGGAGAAACUGAACUGAUGAGUAGUUUUCCCAAAAUGGGAGUUAUGAGUGAUCUUUUUCACCUUUUCAAUUCUUCUCUCCCAAUAGUAAAAGCCUCAGAGAUUUCAAUACCCGGAGACCAGUGAUGUCAACUAGAUUGCUGCAAUCAGGAAAGUUUAGCUCCUUCAAAUCAGUAGAAUUCAGAUGAAAGGCGCAAAUUUGAAAUUGAUUAACCUCCACGCGGGAUAGUUCUGGGGGAUGAUGGCCACGACGGCGCCGAGUAGUCAAUCACCUCCGGAAGGCCCGGCGCUAUCUCCUCCCCUCACUCGAGGCCUUCUUCAUCGAGCCAGAGCCACGGCACGCUGCUGAGCACGUGCUCGUGGUAGAGGUCCUUAUUGAGGAGUCGCCGGUCUUUUGAAGGUGGUCAAUGCAGAGAUUGGGGCACCACUUAACAAUGAGCAAUGAGCAACGAGCACCUUGCUGACGGAUUCGUGUUCCCUUUGAAAAGAGCGAUUUCCACAGCAUGGGAAAUGUGCUGUCUUAAUUUUUAAUUGACGAAUCAUGGCAUUCUCAUUAGUUAGGAUAAAUUAUCCAAAAAAUUUAAAAUUUAUUGUACGGGAAUCAAUCUAAUUUUAAGUUUAUGUAUUAAUUUAGUAUUAAGCAGUCAUAAAUAUUUCAAAUGUGUCAAUUUAAUCCUAAAUUUUUUUAAAAAUUAUAAAUGUAGUCAUUUCGGGUAAUUUUAGUUGGAAAUCUCUGACGUGGCAUUCUAGUCAAUACUAGACAUCCUAUGUGAAAGGCUCAUAUGAAUGUGGAAAAUUGUGUUUAAUUUUAAAAGAAAAAACAAUUUUUAUUUUUUUAUUUUUUUAUUUUUCUUAUCUUAUCUUUCUUUUUAUUUUAUUGUUUUCUUCACAAGGCCGGCAAGUCCACCGGUCACUGGCCGAGGGCCAGCAGCCCUGCCACCCCUGUAAAGAAAAAAAAAAGAUGGUAAAGAAAAUUAAAAAUUUUAAGAAAUUAAAAAAAUUCUUAGUAUUCAUGAUGGAUAGUUUAUGCCAUGACAUAGCAACAUGUGUCCUCGAUACGUAACCAAAAUUAUCACCACCACAAGGAUGUUCAUAUCUACUGCAGUUAAAUGUAGGAUAACAAGUGUUGUCAAUUUAGCUUUGAGUUGGUUUCAAUUUCAAUCCUUUAGACUAAAAUUAAUUAGACCUUGAGGCCGCACGCCUUGCACGUGCUGGUGUCGGAGAACGUCAGCACCUCCCUGCACCAACGGUUGCGGCACGCCGACGUCUUCUUCUCCCUUGGGUCGCAGCCCCCGAACCUCUCUUGCCUCUGCAAUAUGACCUCUCUGGUCUUGAUCUGCACAUGAUUUGCUCGUUUGCAUGUAAAAAAUGUGUGAUUCAGGAUCAAAAAAUUAUUGAAGAAAUCUUUCUUUCCUUAUAAAUUUUUAAUGGAUUGGCCACCAAAAUCACAAACUCUAUUGCUUCAUGAUCCGAUGGAAGCAAUCGAAGUGAUGAAUUACCUCAUGACAACCGUAGCGGGUGGAAGAAGGAGAUCGAGGAGAUUGCAAUCUGGGAAAGCCCAUGUUCCUCCUCCCAUCUCUCUCUCUCUCUCUCUCUUUAUCUCUCUCUCUCUCUCUCUCUGUGACAACUGAUUGAGGCUGAAACCGUUUGAGUUUGAGGGAUAGUAUCAUGAUUUCGAGUUUGACGAAGGUUGAAUGUGAGUUGGAAUAGGAUAUAACGAGGAUUUCUUUGACUGGGUUGAGUAUUUGAAUCAUCAUGAUUCUUAUCAAGGUAAACUUCACAUGCUCUGUCUCUGCUGGAGGUGGGGACCGAGUGCUUGAUUCUGCAGGCGUGAAAUCUGGUUGAGUCCGAGAUUGUCCUGAUGAACUCAUACACGUUUCAAUGAUUCGGCGAUUGUUUGGAUGCGCACCUUUUCCUUAUCAUUGCAUUUAGGUGCCCCUACCGAAACGCUUACCCCAUGUUUGAUUGAAUUCCUGAACGGUAUUAGCAUGUGUAUUUCGCAAGCAUUCUCGCAUCAUGAUAAUUAUCUAGCAAUGGCGUGCUUAAACUGAGAGUUCUCAAGUUUAUAUGACAUUAUUUUCCUUGAUGUUGGUUGAACUUCUAAAGUUGUGCUCAAUGCUCCCAUGACUGAGAAUUUGAACAUGCUGUGUCAGCUUAAUUUACUAGGAAUUAUGUUAUCUAUAUCAAUCUACGAUGUUUGUAUGUGGCUAUUCUAACAUUCGAGACAAUUACCAUCCUUGUACUGGAAAUGGUGAAAUCCUUCUUCGAAAUGUGCAUCAUGUGUUGUGUACUUCAGUAAAUUCCUAUCCAGACUUCAUCCUUUGCUUGAUCUCAAAAGUAAUUGGUUUCGUAUGCUUGGAUGAUUAUCCCUUGCAUUUCUGGAUCCGUUCAUUGAUAGCUCAAUACCUUCUGUAUGUUAAUAAUAUUUGAUUCAUUUUUUUUAGGCCAAUGCAUGGCCUCUACCUAUUUGAUUUUCUUCGUUGACUGAAGAUUCUGAAGUCCAUUCCUUGAUGUCAAAACUGACAUUCGAUGGCUGAGUGCAUAGUGAGCUUUUUAUGCCAUGGCCGAAUGCUUUGCUUGAUUCUUUGUCCAUUUUGCAUUUGUAUACAAGUUCAGUUGUUGCUGAAUGAGUCUCAACUAUGAGAAUUGACUGUAGAACGAGGCUCAAUGCUGUUUUCCUGUGUUUAUGGGUAGACAGGCAUGCGGCAUGCUGGAAAACGACAAAAAGAGCUAAGAAAACUUGCUUCCGCGGGUGGCUUCCCAACUUGAAGGCACAUUAUCGUCUCGGCAGGGAGGCGAGGAGGACAGCCAAGGCCAUCCGCGCACUCGAAUCGUAGAUUAAAAUAAUAAUCUAUUUCUUCUAAAGAUAAUUUUCUAGUUCGCCACACGCAAGACGGCAUUUUAAAGCUUUUUUUGGCUUCCAAGGGCGUCCGAUUUGUUAGACCUCAAUGAUUUUCUCUGGCAAAUCUAUUGCUGUUGGUAAUUCUUUUCAUAUAGUCAGUGAAAUCUUAAAAUAGAGUAGUAACUUGAGAUAGAUGAAGUAACUUGUACUCGGCAUCCACAAAUUUUAUUGUUCGCCUUAGUUUUCUCUAAAUACAUUGUCAAUUUCAGUACAAGUCUGGAUUCCCUAUUCAAUUUUUCACCUAUACUUUCAAUUUGCUUGGAAUUUCAGUUUCCUACAUUUCGACUCAAGUUGUUUAUUGUUAGAGAAAAAAUUCAUGUAAUUUCCCAAAAACAAAUACCAAGUGUAGAAAACAAAGGUAAGAGAUGCAAAAGAAAUCUCAGUGAUUAAGACUGGCUUUCUCUCAGCAAUGAAUAAGACUCAAAUGGCUGACUUUAAAAUCCGAUUCCAAGCGAAGAAGGGAACUCUGGAGUCAAUUUCACUUGCAUAGGUCUUUUGCAUCAAAGGGAUUGAGUCGACUAAAACAUUCUAUUAACAUUCAAAUUUUUAUCGACGUUCUAAAUAUCCAUUUAUUUCGAAAAAUAUAAAAAUUUAUAAAAAGAUAAAAAAAAAAAGAAUAAUGGAUAAAAAUGGAUCAAAUAAAAUGAAUGAAUGAUGAAAAAUAAAGUCGUGUGGGCCGGCGUGUCUAGCCCACUUGGUUGUUUUCAGCUCACCCUUAACUGGGCUUCCCAUUCAGAAGGGAAGAACUUAUGUGAGUAUCUCAAUUUCAAUUCAAACAUUGGUUUGGCCCAUUUUCCUUAUUUUCUUUGGCCCACCAGAGCCUAAAAAAGAAGCCCAGCCCAUCACUCUUUCUUCUUGAGCGCGCACGCGCUCGUGAGAAGAGCGUCUGUGACGCAAGGAGGAGAGAAGGUACAGUGACGGUCACCGAAGAAAUGCCCGUGAGCGAGUGAUGAGAAAGAACCUAUGAAUCUUAAUCGAUAUACUCCCUGCUCAACCCUGCGAAAGCGAGAUAUAUUCGUGCGAGAUAAUGGAACUUGUCGCGUCGUGUUUUGGUUGGAAAAUAGUGUCAAAGCUGAAUCAAAAACCUGCUCUCGUAGCUGCACAACAUGUGUUCGACAAAAUGCUCGAAUGAUACACCGAAAUCCAUGUUAUGCGAUCGACGUUAAAAGUUUAGUUCGAGGCUUGAUCACGCAUAUGUUGUUGAUGCACGUCUGCUUUCUUCGUUCUUUGCUAUGUUUUUGCUUGAUUUCACAGCUCACCUUUUGAUAUUCGUUAAUGGCCAUGCAAGACCGAACUUGGUUCGGCCGUGGCCGGCGAUAGGCAGACGGCGACGGCCGGAGAUGUAAUCUGGUUAUGGUGUGUAGUGGUGUGAGCUCCGGUGUCCAUAGAUGGCAUCUAGUUGUACGGGUUCAAAAAAUGGAGAAGAAGAUGAAGGUUGGGAGUGAAAAAAUGGCUUCGGGGAAGAAGAGGGGAAGAAAAAGAAGUGGUGCAGUAGAAAUGGACUUAAUUAGGAAAAAGACAUUUGCUCAAAAAAAAAUUAGGAAAAAGACAAAAAAUAUUCAAAAUUAAAAAAAUAUUCAAAACAUUUUUUAAAAAAUUCGCUUUCUAUAUCCGACCGGGUCGGACCGGUAGACGGGUCAGGUUAACGAGUCGGAUCGGGUUGACGAUCUAACCCAUUCCCCCAAUAUAAUAAUAAUAAUAAUAAUAAUAAUAAUAAUAAUAAUAAGUAAAAAAUAUAAAAAAAUUAAAAAUUCUAAAAAAUUCUAAAAGAAGUAAAAUUUUUAGGAAUUUCGAAAAUCAAUAAAAAAUAUAAUUUUAGGAAAUCAUUAAAAAUUAAAAAAAUCCUGAAAAGUCAUUAGAAAUUAAAAAAAUCGAAAAAAAUUAUUAAAAAAUUGAAAAUUCAGAAAAUAAUAAAAUACAGAAAAUAAUAGAAAAUCCAAAAAAUUUUAAAAAAUUGGAAAAUUUCUAAAAAAAAGUAAAACAAAAUAUUGGACAAGCCUUUAGGGCUUUAAAAUAAGGUUAUUGGUUUUGUGCUGUCUUUUUUAUUUUUUAGGGACGAUAUUAGGAUGCUUGUAUGCCUUCCUUUACAAUUAAAAUUGCACAUAUCAAUAUUUUAGGUGUUACUUUCCUGUUCUAGAAUGGUUAUGACAAAUCUUUGAUUUCUUUUGGAUAGGCUGCUGUGGCAUUCGUUAACACAUAGUCAAUGUCCUGAAUAUAGAAUCUCUAAUUGCAAAAAGUAAGAUAUUCUCUAGUAUCUUAAUUUCUUGCUGAUCGAAAAGGCUAGUGGUGACUUAUUUGUCAAAAUUUAUGUAGGCUUAAUUGAUUUAAAAUCUGAACACCCGCUGUCACGUAAGGUACGAGCUUAGGAGAGCCCAAGUUAAUAGAAGCUCGUCAACCUGAAGUUGAUAAUAUCCCUAAACAUAACUCUCUCCCCCCAAGGGAUUAAGUUGCGACACCUUCCAGUAAGUACAAAUUGGCACAAUCUAGAACGAUAAUCAUUGGUGCAUCGCACGUAACGACAUCGAUGUGCCAUUUUGAUACUAGCAAGAUCAUCUAAAAGUAGUUUUGCCUGGAUAGUAAACCCAUUGAAUAAGAAGGAAGCAACAGGAAUGACAUUGGCUAGAGCUUGAAUUCAUGGAAACGAGCAGCAAUGGCAAGCGCCUGAAGGAGAUAUUACUAGCUGGAGACAACGAACGUGACUAGAAAUCUCUGUCUACUCCAAGCUCAUCGUCAAGGCAGAGCGAGCACUCCUUUCUCUGGUCAAAUCAACAGCGACGUCCUCGCAAAGCAGAGGAGGAGGAGGGGAUAGAGAAGGCCACGUCAGGGGAACAAGCUGAAAUGUUGCGUUAUGGGGCUGAUGGGUCUGGGCCGCGGAUCAAAUCAAUGGGUUUGCUCUUGUGGGCCAUGCCAAUUGGACCAACUUGGCCUUUAUUUAUUUUUAUUUUUUUAUUAUUCUUUUUAUUUUUGUUCUUUUUACUACCAUCCAUUGUUUUUAUGCUCUUGUUUUACAAAAAUGCAUGCUUAAUUUAUUGACUAAAAUUUAGGUGUUGACAGUUUCAAAAGCAUUUACCUAACAUUCGAAGAAAAAUAUCAUGUCGUCGCGAACAAACUACAAGAUGAUGUAUGUUUUGUUUCGUCAAAUCUUAACUUACCAAAAGCUAGAAUAGUUUCUUGAUCGACAGAAGAAAUGGGUAAAAAAUAUGGGACAAUCCAAUCGAAUAGAAUUGGGUAUGUUUUAAUGAAAUAUUUCCUACAAUGAUUAUAUGUACUCUUGCAUUAUCAUGUUUUAGAACAAACAAUACAGUAAAUUUGUCCUACUUAUCCUUUUUACAUUAUUCUCGUGUAGGUCACAUUUCCCAAUAUAAGAAGUCUAGAAGUUAAAGGCCUUCAAUGCAACGAGCUAUGGAACAAUCAAAUUCCCAGCCAUUCUUUUGGAAAUUAAAAUCUAUUGAAUGAAGGACUGUGACAACCUCCAACGUCUUACCUCGUCCUAUAUGUGGAAGACGUUGCACUGCUCUCUCUGAAUCCUAGAAGUGAUUUCAUGCCGUUCGAUCGAGAUCAUAUACGAAGGUGAUGGGAAAGAUACUGAGUGUGGUGAAUUGAGGAGGCUGAUUUUGCGUGAUCUCGGAAAUUUGAGGCGCAUUUGGCAGUCUGAUGGUGUCCCAAACGUCCCAUUCCCAAACUUGAGAGAAGUAGAGGCUGUGAGGUGCUCCCAUUUGGAAAUACUUUUUCCUACCUUCACUGUGAAAUUUCUCGAGCAAAUCGAAGAGCUGGUGAUGAAGUCGUGUGAAAAUAUGGAACUAAUUGAUGGCGAUGAAAAAGAGGAAGAAAGGACCGGCACAAUAGUCACCUUCUCCAAGUUAAAUAUUCUUAGACUUUUCGAGUUGCUGAAAUUCAGUAGGUUGUUCUAUGAGAAAUACUCCCUGAAAUUCACGUAUUCUUGAGGACUUCCCAUCCUUGUGAGUCUUGAGUAUAAGCAGCUGUGGAGCAGAGCCGGACCGAGGCAUUGGUGACUGGGAAAGACACCAAAGACAACAAGAACGAAAAAUAGCCUAUGCCUUUUCUGAGCAAGUGGGCGUCGUGUAUUAGCUAAUGCACAAUUCUCAGUGGGAACCACGCGGCCCUCAACAAACUUAUCGGCCUCUCUUCCUUUCUCUCUGCAUCUAACAAUCUGUCGGUUCCAUCUUAAGCUCAGGCUCGGUGCGCUCUGCAGAAACAUCACACCAACAGCCACUGUCGUUGGUGGUUCCUUUGAUCUUCAGCGUUGGUCGUAGGGACUCGGGUGAUUUCUGAGCAUCCAUAAGCCACUCUCUCGGUGAUUUCAAUUGAAUCCUUUCCACUCGCUUCGUUGCUGGUCGUCAGCGCUUCCCGAUCGCCAACAGUUCCGCCAAGCCGCGAAGAAGACUCGUUAACGUUGCUUCUGUUUAUCUCCUUACUCAUUCCCCAUGUCAAUCGCUCUAUAGCUAAUCACUCUUCAUUCAAAUAAACCACAUUUUCUCUGUUUUCUGUUGUUAUUGGUACCGUCUGUGUGCAAAUCGACUGUGAUUGAGGUUGUAUUGAUGAUUUGAACCGGUGACCCUUGGCCGAAAUGCAUACCACCCGUUUGAUGAAAUUCCUGAACUCAGUUGGUGUCUAUUUUCAUUCACUCUUCAUUACUUGAUUGUUGAUCUAUUUUGGUUAUGUAAGUGUAUUUGGGUUGUGUUUCUUCAUAAAAAAAUCAUAGGUAUUCAAUUUCGAACUUGUUUUGAAUCUGUUGGAACCUUGUCGAUACAUGCUGAUUCGCGAUUGUUGCAGCCCCGAGCUGAUGUCGAUUGGUACUUGAUUUUAUGCUAUUCCAUUCAAUUAAGCAUGUGCUGUGAUAUAAGAUUGUGUCAUGGUGAAUUUCAUGUUCGCUUGGGAAAGAAAUUAUGGCAUGAAUGAAUGAAAUUAUACUAGAAAUCGAUCUGUGGAUUCUGACUCUAUCUUGAUAUCCCUGAUUUGGUGUGCUUUUGAUUCCAGCUUGAGGCUAGUUCAGUUAUGGAUCAUAUAUGUUCAUGCUAGGAGAAAGUAUUAUGGUGAAUCUCAUUCCAAUUUUGCAAGAAUUAUAGUCAUAUGGCUUGUAGGAAGAUAUGGCUUCAAUUUCAUGUCUAUUAAUCAUCAAAACGAUCACGAUUUGUGGUCUUGUAUGCUUUGUUACAAUUCUGCAUGUGUGCUGGAAGUUGUGGAAUAAGAAUUAAUUAGAUGGAUUAUGUCUUAGUUUGGUUGCCUUUUUGAUAUCAUCUGUUCCAGUUCCCUGUCAAUUUCACUUGUUUGGAUGGUAAUUGCAUGAUUAAAUUGAUGAGAUUGAUGCUUAAUAUUGCCAUGAGAGUCUUGGCCAUUGCUGUUCAGAAUGACUUUUCAAAGAUUCGAUUUUUGUUUUCCUCCUCCCUCAUAUAAUUCACUUGAGGGUUGCUUCUGCGAAAUCUAGGGGGAAGGGAUGCCCUUGAAAUCCAUAAGGACCCUACCCAUGUGUUUUACCAAGAGUAGGUGCAUAGUUCCAAUUGUCUCUCCUAUAAACCAUGAUGCACUUGAGGUGCAAAGCUCCAUCUAUCUCCUUGCGGCAGGUCUCUCUGUUGCUGAUAGCAAUUGUUGUUAUAACCUUGUUAACUGUAGUUUCCCUGGUAUGAAUGCACCAGAUCUCUCCUCUGUCCUUGAUAUGGAUCCCUUCCACCGAGGGCACAAUCCAUAUUGCCCAUUGGCAUGGGAUUUCUUCUUUCACCUUGCCCCUUGUCUAUUUGCCACUCAACCUCCUUGCCCAUCAUAGUUUCUAUUGCGACCACACAUUCUAACCACCUAGCCUCCCAUACUGAACUGGAGGUGAUCUGAGUAAUUACUCCAUUUUCAUACUUGUGACCUAAUGACUUAGUAAGCUCAACAAAACAACAAGCGUUGCAGGGUCACGAAUCAUAGACGCAUUGGAAAGUUGAGGUUAUGGAAUUAGAGGAUGAAUGGAUUAAAUGACUAAGAAAAUGUGGCAGAGAUGUAUAGUAGGUGAAAUUCCCAGUGGAGUUGAGUCAUACAUCCGUACUUCUUGAUUUGGAAAUCAAUGGAGGAAUCUAGUAAUACGAAAACAACUCCUGGUAGAUAGGAAACUCAUCAAAGACCCUUGCUUCUGAAUUGCUCUGACUCUGUUUCAGUCCAUCACAGCCUGAGAAGUGGUCGUGCAACAUGCACGAAUUUUCUUUUGCUUCCUCCAAAUUCAAACACGAGUAUCAAUUGUCAUCUCAACUUUGCAAUGUAGAUCAUGCCGCUGUUGCCUUGGGACAUCGACAGUGGACUACACUCAUCACAAAAAGCACUUAAUUCUCAUGAUCAGGAAAUAACAUAUGCAUGAUGUUAUGGUGGUAAAUGUAAACAUCAAAUUAACUACUAGAAAGUGGGGUUGUGAAUGUCGAUUUUUAGAGAAGGUGUCAAGAGCCUGUGCCUAGGAGAGUCGUAUUGGCCAUCGCAUAGGUCCAACCCGCCAAUGAAAGCCGUUAUUUUGUGGUUGUUUAGCAAAACAAUUGGUUUGCAUUGAGAAAAAGUACACAAUAGGAACCCCCUACUUCAUUGAAUGAUUUUUUAAGGUUACAUUAUGCUUUUGAGUUAUUUUUCAAUAAAGAUAAAUUUUAUAUAAUUAGUCAAUGAAAAUUAAUUAUACACGUUGCCCUACUACACUUGUUAGUGAGGAUAAUUUGCUUUUAGAAAUAUGGAUGCCCGUGCUGAUUCAUUUUGCCAUACUUGUGCCCAAUUUAUUUAUUCUUAUUUAUCAUUACAAAUCCUUGUUUGACCAAAGAUCUCCAUCCUUACUACCUUAACAUCUUGUUUUAAGUCGCUUAAAUAUUUUCAACCUUUCCUCUCUUUUUCCGACGUGGAUAACUUCUUAAAAACAGAACAUAACUUCAUUUAGUAUUAAGCAGAUAUUGAUAUUUUCAAACUUUCUAGCAGGAAGGAGGGAGGGAGGGAGGGAGAGAGAGUUUAUGAAAUUAAAUGAAGGCAUAUAAAUGAGGAAUUAGUGGAAAGGAAGUAGAUAGAGCUGGUAACACAAGGGUGCAAAAUCCUUUGAUCAGAGUGAUACUUCACCAUUACAAUAUUAUUAUAGUAAGAGAACUCGUGAAAUUGAUCUGAAUAAAUUUUCUAUUGAAAAUAUCAAUAUGAUGAUCCAUGAAGUUUCAUCAAAAAAAUUAAAUUGAUUAGUUAAAUCUGACAAUCAAAAAAAUAAAUUAGUAAUGAAAGAGAUUGUUAUCUGCGUUGACUUUCGGGGAGGAUUUUGUUGGCUACAAAAGACUCUCGAGUAUUAUUAUUUUUCUAAUUUAAACAAAGAAGGGCGAUAAUCCAUCCAAAUUACAAAGUUCUAGUCGAAAUCAAUACCAUGAAAUGGAAAAGAAUGCUAUGAGAUAUUAAAUGAAAAUCAAAACUCUAAACUGAAAUUGAACGUGGCUUGAAAUAAAAGGUACAUUUGACUGCAAUCUGAUAGGGAGGAACUCAUUUUGCAUUUCCUUAUGUUUUCUCCCACUUUUAAGAGGAAAUAUUUUUGUGAGCCCACAAGAAAACUUUUCUCUGCCAUUCUCUUCUUCACUUCCCUCCCACUCAUUAGCAAACAGAGAAACUGACGCAGAGAAAGCGAUGCUUUGGAAAGAAUUCCAAAAGAUGGUGUUUAUUUUGAAUAAUGAAGUGCCGAUUACAAUAUCUUUGGCGCCUAUUUAUAAGAAGGUCGCCAUCUAGAAAAUAACAAAAUAACUUAAAUCUAGUAACAAAUUUGAAAAGAUAUUGAUAAACUAGAAAAUCUAAAAUCUAAUAACAAAUUAAAGAAACGAUAUUGAUAAACCAGAAUAUUUCAGAUAAACCAGAAUAUCUGAAAUCUAAUAAUAAAUAAAGGGAAACGCGUGAAUCAAAUAUUGUAAUCCCUUUUGCAAUCUUGAAGAUCACACAAUCCUCUUUGAUUUGUGGGACCGCCCGCUCUUAUGACGCUCCAUUGUUUCCAGAAAGGCAUUUGCAUAUUGUUCUACAUCAGUCUCCUCCACUUCAGAAGAACUCGACCCCGAGUUAUGAUUAGGAUAAAGAGGAGUAUCUGGAGGAUGAUACUCAAAUAGGUCCGCUACAUUGAAUGUCGGGGAGAUGUUGAGGUCACUAGGAAGAUCAACAACAUAGGCAUUAUCAUUGAUUUUCUUCACAAUUCGACAGGGACCAGCUUUCUUGUGCUUCAGCUUGUUAUAUGUACCAAUAGGAAACCGUUCCUUGCGGAGGUAGACCAUUACUUCAUCACCCUCAGCAAAGACCUUGAGGCGACGAUGUUUAUCUGCAGCAACUUUGUAAACUGUAGUGGAAGCUUCUAGCUGUUGCUUCACACCCUCUUGUAUCUCUUGUAAUUUUGUUGCUAAGUUUUCAGCCGCAACACUAUAUCCUGGGACUUUGGGCAAAGGCACGAGAUCCAGUGUAUGUUGUGGCGUUCGCCCAUAGAUAACCUCAAACGGAGACUUGCCCGUGGAACGGUUGACGGUGUUGUUAAAAGCAAACUCAGCAGGAGCAAGAUACCGGUCCCAUUGCUUUGGCAUGUCACUACAGAGACACCGAAUAAUAUCCGCCAUAGUACGAUUGACAACUUCAGUUUGCCCAUCGGUUUGAGGAUGAAAGGAACUGCUAUACUGCAAAUCCGUCCCAAAUAAACGCCAGAGGGUCCUCCAAAAAUGACUAAGGAAUUUGGUAUCACGAUCAGAGGUGAUAGUUUUUGGAACACCAUGCAAACGAACUACUUCUCGAAAAAAUAAACUCGCUACAUGAGAAGCAUCAGAAGUCUUCUUGCAAGGGAUAAAGUGUGCCAUCUUUGUAAACCUGUCCACUACCACAAAAACAGAAUCCAUACCUCAUUGGGUUCGGGGAAGCCCCAACACGAAAUCCAUUGAAAUGUCUAUCCAAGGUCUAGAAGGAAUAGGUAGAGGGGUGUAAAGUCCAGUGUUCUGAGAAUGGCCUUUCGCAGUCUGACAACUGUAGCACUUUCUCACAAAUCGUCCAACGUCCCGUUUCAAUUGAGGCCAAUAAUACCGCUCCUCAACUAAGGCAACAGUUUUAUCUCGCCCACAAUGUCCUCCAAGGGAGCCACCAUGCAGCUCUCGAAUAAGUUGUUCUCGCAAAGAGCUUCGAGGAAUGCACAACCUGUUGCCAAAGAAUAAAAAUUUGUCCUGAACGAUCAUGUCACCGUGAGAACCUGUCUCAAAACAUUUUUCCCAAAUUUCCUGAAAAUCUUCAUCAUCAGCAUAAAGAGCACAAAGGUGGUCAAAGCCCACAACGUCAGUGCGCAUGGUGACAAGUGUUGCAGCACGACGGCUAAGUGCAUCAGCGACUUUGUUCAAGUGGCCCGCCUUGUGUCGAAGCACGAAAUUGAAUUGCUCCAAAAAGGAGACCCAUCGUCCAUGCAUUCGAUUUAGAUGUCUUUGGCUCUUAAUAUAUUUGAGUGCCUGAUGGUCAGUGUUAAGGACAAACUCAUGUUGAUAAAGAUAGGGCUGCCAAUGCUUGAUAGCUCGUACUACAGCAAAGUACUCUUGCUCAUAAGUAGACCAUCGCUUGCGAACAUCAUUAAGUUUCUCGCUAAAAUAAGCAAUAGGCUUACCUUCCUGGGAAAGAACAGCACCAAUUCCUACACUAGAAGCAUCACAGUCUAGUUCGAAUACCUUUUCAAAAUUCGGGAGCAUCAGUAUUGGUGCCGUGGAAAGUUUUUCCUUGAUGAGAGCAAAGCUGGCUUCUGCUUCGUCACCCCAAUGAAAUUUUCCUUUCUUCAAGCACUCGGUAAUCGGAGCCAUAAUAGAACUGAAAUUCCGAAUAAAGCGUCGGUAGAAUGUCGCAAGCCCGUGGAAGCUACGCGCCUCCCCAACGGUUUGGGGAGUCGGCCAGUCGCGGAUGGUAGCUACCUUUUCUGCAUCAACUUGAAGGCCUUCUGCUCCGACAAUAUAUCCCAAGAAGCGAAGUCGAUCAGUCAUGAAGCUACACUUCUUCAAAUUAAUGUACAAUUGGUUCGUCUGCAAGGCCGAUAAGACGUCCCUUAGAUGCUCCAUAUGUUGUUGGUCAUCGGGACUAUAUAUGAGAAUGUCAUCAAAGUAGACCACCACAAAUUUGCCAAUAAAAGGUUUAAGAACUUGAGUCAUCAAACGCAUGAAGGUGCUAGGCGCGUUCGUGAGGCCAAACGGCAUGACAAGCCAUUCAUACAAACCUUCACUUGUUUUAAAGGCCGUUUUCCAUUCAUCGCCAGGGCGGAUGCGUACUUGGUGGUAUCCGCUACGUAGAUCAAUCUUUGUAAAGACCUUUGAUCCCGCAAGCCGGUCGAGCAUGUCAUUCAAGCGAGGGAUUGGGAAUCGGUACUUGAUAGUAAUCCGAUUAAUUGCCCGGCUAUCAACGCACAUACACAUGCUUCCAUCUUUCUUCGAAGUGAGGAGUGCGGGUACUGCACAAGGGCUCAUGCUUUCGCACAAGAAGCCUUUUCGAAGCAGCUCUCCCACUUGGUCUUGCAAAAUCUGGUUCUCCUUCGGAUUCAUCCGGUAGUGCGGCAAAUUAGGGAGGCUCGCUCCUGGAAGAAAGUCAAUCUCAUGUUGGAUAUCCCUCAAGGGUGGUAAUCCAACAGGUAGAUCCUCCGGAAUAACAUCGCUGAAUGCCCUCAAUAAGGGCUGAAGAGCCACCGGAAUUGGAAUAAUGGCUUCUUGAUUACCUUUCUCCACAAUCAUAUACAUGCCCUCACGUUUACGAACGUUUAGCAUAAUUCCUGCACUUUGCUUCUUUGGGGCCUGGGGAGUGUUACUCAUCGGCUUCAAAAUAAUUUUCGUCUUUUUCCACACAAAAGAAUAUGUGUUCUCACGAGCUCUAUGAGUGAUAUCAACAUCGUAUUGCCAUGGUCGCCCCAAUAGGACAUGACAUGCAUCCAUCUCCACUACAUCACAAAUUAUGGUGUCCUUAUAGGACUUUCCAAUUGAAAUAGGUAAAUGACAUACCUGCGUCACCUUGAGUUCGGCCCCUUUACGAAUCCACCCGAUUGUAUAAGGGGAGGGAUGUAACUCUGUCUUUAGUUGUAGAUGGUCCACCAAAGCCUUGGACACUAUGUUCUCACAACUUCCGCUAUCGAUGAUGACAUCGCAAACUUUGCCGUUGACGGUACAACGGGCACGAAAAAGACUAUUCCGCUGCGUGUCUUCUCUUCGCGGAGCGAGCAAUAGUUUCCUAACAACGCAAUUGACAUGCUCGCCCUCCUCAUCCUCCACUUCUUCCUCAUCAAUCCAGUCAUCUUCGUAAAUGUCAUCGUCGUGCACGACAACGUUGGCCAUCUUCCGCCGUGGACAAUCACUCGAACGAUGUCCUACUUCGUUACACUUGUAGCAUUUGAUUGGUGGUGGCUUAGCGUAUGGGUUCUGGGCACUCUGAUUGGCGUUACGGUUGUUUGCGAUGACUGGUUCCUUGCGCACCCCAGUACUACUUCCCGGAGUUUGGUUCAUAGUGUUGGUUUGCUGGUUGGAGGAUUCUGAAACAUCUAGUUGUCUCCCCUUUCCAGAUAAUCCUCGAGCGGAAUAAUUGUUAGCCCGAUUAAUGGGGCUAGUUCUCUCUAAUUGCAUCUCAACCUUUCGGGCCAUCUCUUGAGCAUCCUCAACAGAGAACAAACGAUGUAGCGAAACACGAUCUUGAAUAUUAAGUCGCAAACCAUUAAUGUACCUCGCAGUCUGUUGUGCCUCCGACUCAGCCAGGUUGUUACGGGCGGAAAGUCGGAGAAACUCCUCCGUGUAAGCUUGAACUGAUCGGCUUAGCUGCUUACAAUUUUGAAAUUGUUGAAAUAAUAAUUGCUCAUAAUCGGUUGGGAGGAACCGAACCUUCAACAUUUCCUUCAUCCGAUUCCAUGUUCGGAUGGGAGCUUUUCCUUGUCGACGUCGGGUCAGUUGCGUUUGCUCCCACCACGCUGAGGCACCGCCCUUCAAUUUGUAUGCCACCAAUUUUACUUGGCGAUCCUCUUCAAUCUCCAUGGCAUCAAAGAAUUUCUCGACUUCCCAAAGCCAAUCCAAAAAGUCUUCAAUAUUCAAAUUGCCAUUAAAGGUCGGAAGGUCAACCUUAAGUUGAUAUUGCUCGGGGUCUCGUCGAUAUCCCCGGUUCCGAUGGCCUCCACGAACAGGCCGAUCCAGGAACUCUUCUUCUCCUUCAGAGUCCUCGACAUAGGCUUGUCGCCUCUGUCGGGGAUUUGCCCCACGUUCCAUAGCUACUUCCGGGUCGCGAGCUGCCUGAUCAUGUUCAGCCAGAAGAACACCAGGUAUGGGGUUGGUAGACAAACGCUGGAUGGCGACAAGUAAUUCUUGAAACCUCCGUUCGGUUUGCUCCGCAAAUUGGUUGAACUCAUCCCGUGUAAUAGGCUCGUUUCUGCGGCCUUCAGCUACGGGGAGAUUGAACUUUUCUCUGCCAUUCUCUUCUUCACUUCCCUCCCACUCAUUAGCAAACAGAGAAACUGACGCAGAGAAAGCGAUGCUUUGGAAAGAAUUCCAAAAGAUGGUGUUUAUUUUGAAUAAUGAAGUGCCGAUUACAAUAUCUUUGGCGCCUAUUUAUAAGAAGGUCGCCAUCUAGAAAAUAACAAAAUAACUUAAAUCUAGUAACAAAUUUGAAAAGAUAUUGAUAAACUAGAAAAUCUAAAAUCUAAUAACAAAUUAAAGAAACGAUAUUGAUAAACCAGAAUAUUUCAGAUAAACCAGAAUAUCUGAAAUCUAAUAAUAAAUAAAGGGAAACGCGUGAAUCAAAUAUUGUAAUCCCUUUUGCAAUCUUGAAGAUCACACAAUCCUCUUUGAUUUGUGGGACCGCCCGCUCUUAUGACGCUCCAUUGUUUCCAGAAAGGCAUUUGCAUAUUGUUCUACAUCAGUCUCCUCCACUUCAGAAGAACUCGACCCCGAGUUAUGAUUAGGAUAAAGAGGAGUAUCUGGAGGAUGAUACUCAAAUAGGUCCGCUACAUUGAAUGUCGGGGAGAUGUUGAGGUCACUAGGAAGAUCAACAACAUAGGCAUUAUCAUUGAUUUUCUUCACAAUUCGACAGGGACCAGCUUUCUUGUGCUUCAGCUUGUUAUAUGUACCAAUAGGAAACCGUUCCUUGCGGAGGUAGACCAUUACUUCAUCACCCUCAGCAAAGACCUUGAGGCGACGAUGUUUAUCUGCAGCAACUUUGUAAACUGUAGUGGAAGCUUCUAGCUGUUGCUUCACACCCUCUUGUAUCUCUUGUAAUUUUGUUGCUAAGUUUUCAGCCGCAACACUAUAUCCUGGGACUUUGGGCAAAGGCACGAGAUCCAGUGUAUGUUGUGGCGUUCGCCCAUAGAUAACCUCAAACGGAGACUUGCCCGUGGAACGGUUGACGGUGUUGUUAAAAGCAAACUCAGCAGGAGCAAGAUACCGGUCCCAUUGCUUUGGCAUGUCACUACAGAGACACCGAAUAAUAUCCGCCAUAGUACGAUUGACAACUUCAGUUUGCCCAUCGGUUUGAGGAUGAAAGGAACUGCUAUACUGCAAAUCCGUCCCAAAUAAACGCCAGAGGGUCCUCCAAAAAUGACUAAGGAAUUUGGUAUCACGAUCAGAGGUGAUAGUUUUUGGAACACCAUGCAAACGAACUACUUCUCGAAAAAAUAAACUCGCUACAUGAGAAGCAUCAGAAGUCUUCUUGCAAGGGAUAAAGUGUGCCAUCUUUGUAAACCUGUCCACUACCACAAAAACAGAAUCCAUACCUCAUUGGGUUCGGGGAAGCCCCAACACGAAAUCCAUUGAAAUGUCUAUCCAAGGUCUAGAAGGAAUAGGUAGAGGGGUGUAAAGUCCAGUGUUCUGAGAAUGGCCUUUCGCAGUCUGACAACUGUAGCACUUUCUCACAAAUCGUCCAACGUCCCGUUUCAAUUGAGGCCAAUAAUACCGCUCCUCAACUAAGGCAACAGUUUUAUCUCGCCCACAAUGUCCUCCAAGGGAGCCACCAUGCAGCUCUCGAAUAAGUUGUUCUCGCAAAGAGCUUCGAGGAAUGCACAACCUGUUGCCAAAGAAUAAAAAUUUGUCCUGAACGAUCAUGUCACCGUGAGAACCUGUCUCAAAACAUUUUUCCCAAAUUUCCUGAAAAUCUUCAUCAUCAGCAUAAAGAGCACAAAGGUGGUCAAAGCCCACAACGUCAGUGCGCAUGGUGACAAGUGUUGCAGCACGACGGCUAAGUGCAUCAGCGACUUUGUUCAAGUGGCCCGCCUUGUGUCGAAGCACGAAAUUGAAUUGCUCCAAAAAGGAGACCCAUCGUCCAUGCAUUCGAUUUAGAUGUCUUUGGCUCUUAAUAUAUUUGAGUGCCUGAUGGUCAGUGUUAAGGACAAACUCAUGUUGAUAAAGAUAGGGCUGCCAAUGCUUGAUAGCUCGUACUACAGCAAAGUACUCUUGCUCAUAAGUAGACCAUCGCUUGCGAACAUCAUUAAGUUUCUCGCUAAAAUAAGCAAUAGGCUUACCUUCCUGGGAAAGAACAGCACCAAUUCCUACACUAGAAGCAUCACAGUCUAGUUCGAAUACCUUUUCAAAAUUCGGGAGCAUCAGUAUUGGUGCCGUGGAAAGUUUUUCCUUGAUGAGAGCAAAGCUGGCUUCUGCUUCGUCACCCCAAUGAAAUUUUCCUUUCUUCAAGCACUCGGUAAUCGGAGCCAUAAUAGAACUGAAAUUCCGAAUAAAGCGUCGGUAGAAUGUCGCAAGCCCGUGGAAGCUACGCGCCUCCCCAACGGUUUGGGGAGUCGGCCAGUCGCGGAUGGUAGCUACCUUUUCUGCAUCAACUUGAAGGCCUUCUGCUCCGACAAUAUAUCCCAAGAAGCGAAGUCGAUCAGUCAUGAAGCUACACUUCUUCAAAUUAAUGUACAAUUGGUUCGUCUGCAAGGCCGAUAAGACGUCCCUUAGAUGCUCCAUAUGUUGUUGGUCAUCGGGACUAUAUAUGAGAAUGUCAUCAAAGUAGACCACCACAAAUUUGCCAAUAAAAGGUUUAAGAACUUGAGUCAUCAAACGCAUGAAGGUGCUAGGCGCGUUCGUGAGGCCAAACGGCAUGACAAGCCAUUCAUACAAACCUUCACUUGUUUUAAAGGCCGUUUUCCAUUCAUCGCCAGGGCGGAUGCGUACUUGGUGGUAUCCGCUACGUAGAUCAAUCUUUGUAAAGACCUUUGAUCCCGCAAGCCGGUCGAGCAUGUCAUUCAAGCGAGGGAUUGGGAAUCGGUACUUGAUAGUAAUCCGAUUAAUUGCCCGGCUAUCAACGCACAUACACAUGCUUCCAUCUUUCUUCGAAGUGAGGAGUGCGGGUACUGCACAAGGGCUCAUGCUUUCGCACAAGAAGCCUUUUCGAAGCAGCUCUCCCACUUGGUCUUGCAAAAUCUGGUUCUCCUUCGGAUUCAUCCGGUAGUGCGGCAAAUUAGGGAGGCUCGCUCCUGGAAGAAAGUCAAUCUCAUGUUGGAUAUCCCUCAAGGGUGGUAAUCCAACAGGUAGAUCCUCCGGAAUAACAUCGCUGAAUGCCCUCAAUAAGGGCUGAAGAGCCACCGGAAUUGGAAUAAUGGCUUCUUGAUUACCUUUCUCCACAAUCAUAUACAUGCCCUCACGUUUACGAACGUUUAGCAUAAUUCCUGCACUUUGCUUCUUUGGGGCCUGGGGAGUGUUACUCAUCGGCUUCAAAAUAAUUUUCGUCUUUUUCCACACAAAAGAAUAUGUGUUCUCACGAGCUCUAUGAGUGAUAUCAACAUCGUAUUGCCAUGGUCGCCCCAAUAGGACAUGACAUGCAUCCAUCUCCACUACAUCACAAAUUAUGGUGUCCUUAUAGGACUUUCCAAUUGAAAUAGGUAAAUGACAUACCUGCGUCACCUUGAGUUCGGCCCCUUUACGAAUCCACCCGAUUGUAUAAGGGGAGGGAUGUAACUCUGUCUUUAGUUGUAGAUGGUCCACCAAAGCCUUGGACACUAUGUUCUCACAACUUCCGCUAUCGAUGAUGACAUCGCAAACUUUGCCGUUGACGGUACAACGGGCACGAAAAAGACUAUUCCGCUGCGUGUCUUCUCUUCGCGGAGCGAGCAAUAGUUUCCUAACAACGCAAUUGACAUGCUCGCCCUCCUCAUCCUCCACUUCUUCCUCAUCAAUCCAGUCAUCUUCGUAAAUGUCAUCGUCGUGCACGACAACGUUGGCCAUCUUCCGCCGUGGACAAUCACUCGAACGAUGUCCUACUUCGUUACACUUGUAGCAUUUGAUUGGUGGUGGCUUAGCGUAUGGGUUCUGGGCACUCUGAUUGGCGUUACGGUUGUUUGCGAUGACUGGUUCCUUGCGCACCCCAGUACUACUUCCCGGAGUUUGGUUCAUAGUGUUGGUUUGCUGGUUGGAGGAUUCUGAAACAUCUAGUUGUCUCCCCUUUCCAGAUAAUCCUCGAGCGGAAUAAUUGUUAGCCCGAUUAAUGGGGCUAGUUCUCUCUAAUUGCAUCUCAACCUUUCGGGCCAUCUCUUGAGCAUCCUCAACAGAGAACAAACGAUGUAGCGAAACACGAUCUUGAAUAUUAAGUCGCAAACCAUUAAUGUACCUCGCAGUCUGUUGUGCCUCCGACUCAGCCAGGUUGUUACGGGCGGAAAGUCGGAGAAACUCCUCCGUGUAAGCUUGAACUGAUCGGCUUAGCUGCUUACAAUUUUGAAAUUGUUGAAAUAAUAAUUGCUCAUAAUCGGUUGGGAGGAACCGAACCUUCAACAUUUCCUUCAUCCGAUUCCAUGUUCGGAUGGGAGCUUUUCCUUGUCGACGUCGGGUCAGUUGCGUUUGCUCCCACCACGCUGAGGCACCGCCCUUCAAUUUGUAUGCCACCAAUUUUACUUGGCGAUCCUCUUCAAUCUCCAUGGCAUCAAAGAAUUUCUCGACUUCCCAAAGCCAAUCCAAAAAGUCUUCAAUAUUCAAAUUGCCAUUAAAGGUCGGAAGGUCAACCUUAAGUUGAUAUUGCUCGGGGUCUCGUCGAUAUCCCCGGUUCCGAUGGCCUCCACGAACAGGCCGAUCCAGGAACUCUUCUUCUCCUUCAGAGUCCUCGACAUAGGCUUGUCGCCUCUGUCGGGGAUUUGCCCCACGUUCCAUAGCUACUUCCGGGUCGCGAGCUGCCUGAUCAUGUUCAGCCAGAAGAACACCAGGUAUGGGGUUGGUAGACAAACGCUGGAUGGCGACAAGUAAUUCUUGAAACCUCCGUUCGGUUUGCUCCGCAAAUUGGUUGAACUCAUCCCGUGUAAUAGGCUCGUUUCUGCGGCCUUCAGCUACGGGGAGAUUGACAUUAACGUUAUUAGCCAUCGUCACAGGAAAAACCUGCUCUGAUACCAAAUGACGCAGAGAAAGCGAUGCUUUGGAAAGAAUUCCAAAAGAUGGUGUUUAUUUUGAAUAAUGAAGUGCCGAUUACAAUAUCUUUGGCGCCUAUUUAUAAGAAGGUCGCCAUCUAGAAAAUAACAAAAUAACUUAAAUCUAGUAACAAAUUUGAAAAGAUAUUGAUAAACUAGAAAAUCUAAAAUCUAAUAACAAAUUAAAGAAACGAUAUUGAUAAACCAGAAUAUUUCAGAUAAACCAGAAUAUCUGAAAUCUAAUAAUAAAUAAAGGGAAACGCGUGAAUCAAAUAUUGUAAUCCCUUUUGCAAUCUUGAAGAUCACAAUCCUCUUUGAUUUGUGGGACCGCCCGCUCUUAUGACGCUCCAUUGUUUCCAGAAAGGCAUUUGCAUAUUGUUCUACAUCAGAAACCCGAGCAACAUUAUCUUUUCUUUCUACUAUAAAUUCCGAGAAUCUUUAUUAUUUUACUUAGACACCUGGGUGAAUCCUUUGCGAAUUUGUAAGAAACUCUUUAUUUAUUAAUAAAAUAAAAAUUACAAUUCAAUUCUAAUUUAAAGACGAAUAGAAUUGAUUAUCAUAUAUAUAUUUCUAUAUUUCAUGUAGAAAGAUAAAGAAGAAUAAGUCUCAUUUAUUUAAUUAUCCAUUUCUUGCACUUAUUAUUUAACAUAUAUACUCACUAAGAUAUACUCAAUAUAAUUAUAUACGAAUUAUAAUUAUUCUAAGAUAUCUUUCUAACUAUAACAAUUACAAAUAUUAAAUCAAGGUACCUGUUCUAUGAUAAUUUUUAACAACUUACCCUUUCUCUUUGUGCCUUUAGUGGGCCUCGGACUCAUCGGCUUCCACUCUAGUAGUGGCGAAUCACUUCACCACUUCUUCGCCUGCCCAGACAUCGACCACCGAGGCCUUCUACCUGUGGAAGACCACUCAGGCAACCUGUUAAAAUAUGUCUCGAGUUUAAGACCAAUGCAAAAUUACGAAUAUUCCGAAUUGGAUAUGUUGCGAAUGUUCGAAAUCGAGCAAAGAAGAUUCGAAUAUCAACUUCCCAAAUUUGAAUCUGCGUAGGAGAGUCUGGCUACUAAAAUAGGAAAGUCCAACUUUGACUAGGACUUGGAUUUUAUUUAAAAUAUACAAAUAUAUGUUUUGGAUAGGAAACAAAAUCCUAUGAGAAGUUGGCAAAAGAAUAAGGUUUUUACUUAUAUAUAGACUUGAGGCCGUGGGUGAUAGGUGUGGAUCACAAAUUGUCUUGAAGCGCCGCAUGAGUGCUUGGUGUUCCGCCGUUGAUCGUGAAUAAUUGGUCUUGAAGCGCCGCCUCGUUGUCGAGUGCUUGGGAGGGAUUUUCUUUGUUGUGAAUUACAUCCAAGAAGGUUUAGUGUUAAAGCCAAUUAAAUCUUGUGGUAAGAUUUGCGUGUAAUUCCUUCGUGAGAUUGAGAGAUUAUUUCUUGAGGAAUUUCGAUACUAAAUACUGUGUUUGUUAUUGGGUGUAACUGUGGCUUGGGAAACACCGAGUGAGUGUUUGAGUGACUUGAGUGUGUAAUCUCCUUGUAUCGCUUAAUCUAUAGUGAAAUUCGCCGAUGCUCUCCUCGUGGACAUAAGUCUUUACGACUGAACUACGUAAAUCUGGUGUCCGAUUUAUUUUUCUUUUUCUGUCUAUAUUAUUGUUCGAUCGCUUGCCUUAUCGCAACAUAACCAACUCCACCUCUCCUUUGAACAAGGGAUUGCCGCGGGGGACGUUGGCGGCAAUGAUAGUGGAGAUUAGGAUGGGGGACGGAUUCUGCUGGUUGGGGCAGCACCACAGACACUGCAAAGUAGAUACACCGCAAAUGUGGAUAGGGCACGGUGCACGUCGUGGUGAAGCAAGGUGGUGUGGCCGUGGCCACUGUGGCCUGUUGGUGUUGCGACUGCAAAUGUGCCUCUCUAUUGUUACGAACCACGCCGCCGUCUCUGCCGUUGCCCCCCGAGCCCCACCGUCGCCUGUCGAAGCCCCAUUGAUAGCUUCAAUUCGUCCCCUACCACUCUCUCUCUCUCUCUCUCUCUCUCUCUCUCUCUCUCUCCCGGAAAACGAUUCCACUUUACUCUCUCUCGUCCAGCAAACCACGCUUACGUUGUUGCCUCCCAAAUAAUAAUUGUUUUUUUUUAAAGAUAGUUUUCUAGUUCACCUCAUGCAAGACGACACUUUAAAGCUUUGACUUUCAAGGGCAUCCGAUUUGUUAGACAUCAAUGAUUUUCUCUGGCAAAUCUAUUGCUGUUAGUAAUUUUUUUCAUAUAGUUAAAAAUCUUAAAUAGAAUGGUAUCUUGUGAUAAAUGAAGCAAGUAACUUGUACUCUGCAUCCAUAAAUUUUAUUGUUCGCCUUUAGUUUUCUCUAAAUACGUUUGUUGAUUUCAGUACAAGUCUAGAUUUCCUAUUCAAAUUUUCACCUAUACUUUCAAUUUGCUUGUGAUUUCAGUUUCCUAUAUUUCGACUCAAGUUGUUUAUUGUUUCGAAAAAAAUUCAUGUAAUUUUAUCGAAAAGAGAAACCGAGUGUAGAAAACAGAGGUAAGAGACACAAAGGAAAUCUUAGUAGUCAAGCCUGUCUUUAUCUCGGUAAUGAAUAAAAUUCAAACCGCUGAAUUCAAACUUUUCAAGUCCGAAUCCCAGGGAAGAAGGGAACUCUGGAGUCAAUUUCACUUGCAUAGCUCUUUUGCAACAAAGGGAUCGAGUCGACUAAAACCUUCUGUUGACACCCAAAUUUUUAUCGAUGUUCUAAAUAUCCAUUUAUUUCGCAAAAAUAAAAAAUAUAAAAAGAUAAAAAGCAAAAAAAAAAGGAAAAUAAAAAAAUGAACAAUGAAAUGAAUGAACGAUGGAAAAAUGAAGUCGUGUGGGCCGACGUGUCUAGCCCACUUGGUUAUUUUCGGCUCACCCCUUAACCGGGCUUCCCAUUUACUUUAUUCUCUUUGGCCCAUUGUCCUUCUAUUCCAUCAGCCUACCAGAGCCUAAAAAAGAAGCCCAGCCCAUCACUCAUUCUUGCGCACGCGCGCGCGCUCGUGAGAAGAGCGUCUGUAACGGAAGGAGGAGAGAAGGUACAGUGACGGUCACCGAAGAAAUGCCCGUGAGCGAGGGAUGAGAAAGGAGCCUGUGACGGAAGCGGAUCCGAGAGCGUGAAUCUUAAUCGAUAUACUCGCGGCUCAACCCUGCGAAAACGAGAUAUAUUCGUGCGAGAUGAUGAUGUCUAGAGCCCGUCGGGUCGUGUUUUGGUUGGAAAAUGGUGUCAAAGCUGAAUCAAAAACCUGUUCUCGUGGCUGCACAACAUGUGUUCGACAAAAUGCUCGAAUGAGGCACCCAAAUCCAUGUUAUCCGAUUGACGUUAAAAAUUUAGUUCGAUGCUUGAUUGCGCAUAUGUUGUUGACGCACCUCUGCUUUCUUCGUGAUUUGCUAUGUUUUUCGUUUGAUUUCGCGGCCCACCUUUUGAUGUUCGUUGACGGCCAUGCAAAACCGAACUUGGUUCGGCCAUCGCUGGCGAUAGGCCGACGACGGCCGGAGAUGUAAUCUGGUGAUGGUGUGUGGUGAUGUGAGCGCCGGUGUCUGUAGAUAGCCUCUAGUUGUAUGGGUUCAAAAAAGGGCUUCGGAGAGGAAAAGGGGAAGAAGAAGUGCAGUAGAAAAGGACUUAAUAAGGAGUAAGACAAAAGAGGAAAAAAAAUUAAAUAAAAAAUGCAAAAUAUAUUUUUGUAAACCCGACCGGGUUGGAUCCGGGUAGACGGGUUGGAUCGGGUUUACGGUCAGAACCCAUUCCCCGAAUAUAAUAAUAAUAAUAAUAAUAAUAAUAAUAAUAAUAAUAAUAAUAAUAAUAAUAAUAAUAAUAAGUAAAAAAAUUCGAAAAAAUUGAAAAUUCAGAAAAUGAUAAAAAAUAAAAAAUUAAUAAAAUUCAAAAAUCAAUAAAAAUUUAGAAUUUUGGAAAAUCAUUCAAAAUUGAAAAAAUCUGAAAGGUCAUCAAAAAAUGAUAUUUCGAAAAAAAUUCAAAACCUUGAAAAUUCAGAAAAAUCAUAAAAAUUCAAAAAGUCCUAGAAAAUCCAAAAAAAUUCAAAAAUUGGAAAAUUUCUAUAAAAAAAGUGAAACGAAAAAAUAAGGUUAUUUGUUUUGCAUUGCCUUUUUACUUUUUAGGGCUAAUAUUAAGAUACUUGUAUAGUUCCCUUUACGAUUAUAACUGAUUGUGCAUUUCAAUAUUUUGAGUGUUACUUUCCUAUUUUAGAAUGGUUAAGAUGAUUCUUAGAUUUCUUUUGGAUAGGCUAUUAUGACGUUUGUCAACACAUAAACAAGUAUGUACUAAAAGGACGUCAGUCUUAAUGCUAACGUAAUCAAAUUCUCGAGUCUAGAAUAUCUAGUUACAAAAAGUAAGAUUCCUCUCAUAUCUUACUUAUCUUACUUAGUUUCUAGUCGACUAAAAAGACUAAUGAUGACUCCUUUGUCAAAAUUUGCAAUGCUAAAUUGAUUUAACAUUGAACGUUUGAUGUCGUGCGAAGUAUGAACUUAGAAGUGUCCAAAUCAAUGGAAGGUAUGACAACAUCCCUAAACAUAACUCUCCUUCCCCCGAGGGUUAUGUUGCGACACAUUCUAUUAAGAACAAUACGACAAAAUCUAAAACGAUAAUCAUAACAAUAAUCAUCGAUGUGCCAUUUUGAUACUAGCAAGAUCAUCUAAAAGCGUUUCGCCUGGAUAUUAAAAUGGCGGAAUAAGAAGGAAGCAACUAGAAUGACAUCAGCUGGAGCUUGAAUUCAUGGAAAUGAGCAGCGAUGGCAAGGGUCUACAUCCGGUGUGCCUAAAGGUCUUUCUGGCAGAGACAUUGCUAGCCGGAGACAACGAACGUGACUAGGAAUCUCUAUCUACUCCAAGCUCAACAUCAAGGCGGAGCGAGCACUCCUUUCUUUGGUCAAAUCAACAGCAACAUCCUCGCACGGCGGAGGAGGAGGAGGGUAAAGAGAGAAGGCCAGGUCUAGGGAAAAAGCUGAAAUGUUGUAGCGAUGGGGCUGAUGGGUUUGGGCCGCGGAUCAAAUCAAUGGGUUGCUAUUGUGGGCCACGCUAAUUGGACCAACUUGGCCUUUUCUAUUUGUUUUUUUUAUUUUUAUCUUUUAAUUACUCUCUCUCUCUCUCUCUCUCUCUCUCUCUCUCUCUCUCUCUCUCUCUCUCUCUCUCUCUCUCUCUCUCUCUCUCUCUCUCUCUCUCUCUCUCUCUCUCUCUCUCUCUCUCUCUCUCUCUCUCUCUCUCUCUGGGUUCUUUUUACAACCAUUCAUUGUUCCAUUCAUUGUUUUUAUGCUCUUUUUUAAGAAGAAUGUAUGCUUAAUUUGUCUACUAAAAUGUAGGGGUCGACAGCUUUAAAAAUAUUUACCUAAUAUUCAAAGAAGAAUAUCAUGCUAACACAAACAAACAACAAGACAUUGUAUGUGUCGUUGCGUCCAAUCUUAACUCACCAAAGGCUAGAGUAAUUUCUUGAUCAAUGGAAGAAAUGGGCCAAAAAUAUGGGAAAAUCCAAUCAAAUAGAAUCAGGUAUGUGUUGAUGAAAUAUUGACUCAUCUGUCGCGACCUCUUUUUUUUCGGCGCCCGUGAUCGGGUACGCGCGCCUAAGGAGGUUAAUGGCUCGGUUGAAAUUAGUUAUGCCCGGACUCUCCCAAGUCCACCAAUUCGCAACUUAAUGGUUCAAGUUUUUAACUUGUAAAUCAAUUUUAAAACGGAGUCGCCACUAAUCAAUUUGGGGUGGGUCGAUUAGAAACCCAAGCAAAGUAUCGGGAGAAAUACUUGCUCCUACGCAACCAGAGAAAUUAGGAUCGGGGACUUGAUUACACUAAUUAAUCACUAAUGCCCUUUCGGUACCUAAUCUUGUUUAAACCCUUAGGCUUUUUGGAUGUUCAAGGGAUUUUCCAUGCAUUUUUGGGAGGAAAAACAUGUUUUAGUCUUUUUUUUUCUAAUUUUUGGACACAAAAGGGAUUUUUUGGUAUUUUUGACAUUUUUUGGAAAAUAUGGAAUAUUUUUGAUUUUUUUGAUUUUUCGGAAAAUAAAAUAUUUUUAUCAUUUUUUUAUUAUUUUUCGAUUUUCUAGAAAUUAAAAAAAAAAUUAAUAUUUUUUGGAAAAUAAAAUAUUUUCUUUGGAUAUUUUUUUAAAAUUAAAAAUGCUUUUUUUAAAUAUAUAUAUAUUUUGAAAAGAAAAUAUUUUUUGCUUUUUUUGAAAAUACAUUAUUUAUUUAUUAUUAAAAUAUUAUAUUAAAAUAAAAACCGACCCGGGUCGGAUCCACGGGUUGUGCCCGACCCGGGCUGGCGACUCGAACGAGGACGGGCCCGACUCAGAUUUUUUCAUCUUUUUUCCCCUUUUUUUUCUUUUUUUGAGCGAAGGGACCCAAGUCCACAACGAAAUUGGGCCCUUCCGCGUAAAACAGGCCCGUGCGCAAACGAGCCCAGCUGACCCGGGCCUACGAAAAUACCCGCCCGGCUUGGAAACCGGGCCAGUCCCGGUCCGAGCGACUAAAACCCCAGGGGAACCGGGUCAUCCGCCCGACCCGAUUCCGCUCCACUUCGCGACUUCCUCUCUCUCUCUCAACUCGCGGCGCUGAAGGAAGGGCUGGGGCGGCAGCUUGCGGUGAUGACGACGGUGACGCAGAGGACGGCGGUAGCCGGUCGUUCGUCGAACUGGAGAGCGUGACUCAACAACAACAGCCGGGAUCUAUUUGGUCGGUCGGGACUAGGGUUUAGGGCUUCACGAACGGGGGGCCGACGGCAACGACGCGGUAAACAGGGACGGCGAGGGGUGGCGAGUGAAAACGACGACGGCCAAGAGGGGCUUGAUACCUGCUUAUGGAGAGGAUACGGCGCGGCGGCGUGGCUGGUUGGCGAGAUGGAAUCGUUGGUGGUGGAGGCUUCGUCGGUGGCGUCGAGGAGGGAUCACAGCAUGGUGGUGAACAAAUCCGAGCCUCCCCCUUCUGAUUUCCUUUCGCUCACCCCCCUUCUUCGCAGAUCUAACCCCUCGUGCUCGGAUCUCUCUCACUCUCGAUCAGAUCUCUCCCCCUCCGGCCAGAUCCGAGCCUCCACCGGCCGAAUCUGACCUCUUCGGACUCGCUCGCCGGCGGCCUCCCCCGAAGUCUCUCAGUGGGAGGUCGGCCUAGCUCGCGACCCGAUUCCUCUCUCGCUCGCCUUCUUCUCGUUCGCUCUUCAACCUCCUCCGAAGUCUCUCAGGAGGAAGCUUCCAAGCUCACGAUCUUCUGGCCUCUCCCUCCGUCAACGGUGGCCCCCCUCUAUUUAUAGGCGCGGGAGCGGCCGGUCGGCGAGGCCUUGACCCGCCGGUUGGACCGCCGUCCCAUCCACCAUCAUCACCUCCUCCGGUCAUGUCCCGUCGACGCCACCUGCUCCUCUGCUCCGCACGCAACUGCCGUCCGUCCACCCCCUUCCUCUCCAUCGCGCCCUCUGCACGUGCGCUACAGAGGCGCGAGGAAGAAGAAGAUGCGGUGGGGGCCGGGUUUGGCGGAAAUGGGCUGAGAGCCCAUGGAGGGGCUGCCCCUCUUUUGCUUUUUUUUUUUUUUUUUGCUUUGUUUUUGUUGUUGGUUUUUUGGUUUAUUAUCCGAAAAUCAAACAAAAUAAUAAUAAAGUCUAAUCUAAUUUUAGGCGUCAACAGCUGCCCCUCUUUGAAGGUGAGCUCGCAGAGGUUUCAUUCAAAGACAAAAUGAUGCCUAAAAUUUGGUUAUAUAUGCGUAGCGGAUUAUAUUUUAUUUGGGACUUAUUAUCCUAUGUAAAAAGAGCAAUAUAACAUUACAUAUUCUAAGACAGAUAAGAAGAUACCUGUAGUUACUUACCGGGAGUGAGUGAGAUAGGUUGUGAGCCCCGAGCUUUGGCAAGUAUCAAGGCGUCAUCUUACCUGGUGACAUGAGGAGGUUGCUUUUCCAGGGCUCGAACCAUUCUUCAGUCGCCUGUUAAAACAAUCAAUAAUUUGUCCAGGACCCGAACCUUUCCUCGAUUGCCUUGACAAGAAAUUGCUUCUCCAGGACCCGAACCAUUCUUCGGUCGCAUGUUGGAGCAAUUAGGGGUUUGUCUCGGACCCGAACCAUUCUUCGGCCGUCGUGACGGGAAAUUGCUUCUCCAGGACCCGAACCAUUCUUCGGUCGCAUGUUAAAACAAUCAAUGAUUUGUCGAGGACCCGAACCUUUCUUCGGUCGCCUUGACGGGAGAUUGCUCCUCUAGGACCCGAACCAUUCUUCGAUCACCUAUUGGAGUAAUCAAGGGUUUGUCUCGGACCCGAACCAUUCUUCGGUUGCCGUGACGGGAAAUUGCUUCUCCAGGACCCGAACCAUUCUUCGGUCGCCUGUUAAAACAAUCAAUGAUUUGUCGAGGACCCGAACCUUUCUUCGGUCGCCUUGACGGGAGAUUGCUCCUCUAGGACCCGAACCAUUCUUCGGUCGCCUGUUAAAACAAUCAAUGAUUUGUCGAGGACCCGAACUUUUCUUCGGUUGCCUUGACGAGAGAUUGCUCCUCUAGGACCCGAACCAUUCUUCGGUCGCCUGUUUGAGUAAUCAAGGGUUUGUCUCGGACCCGAACCAUUCUUCGGUUGCCGUGACGGGAAAUUGCUUCUCCAGGACCCGAACCAUUCUUCGGUCGCCUGUUAAAACAAUUAGUGAUUUGUCUAGGACCCGAACCUUUCUUCGGUUGCCUUGACGGGAGAUUGCUCCUCCAGGACCCGAACCAUUCUUCGGUCUCCUUGACGGGAGAUGCACCAACCUUUCUCAGGGCAUCUCAUUUGUGGGUGCCUGAUUUGUAUCGAGGACACCAGUUGGUACCCGACCUUUCUCGGGAGGAUGCACCGACCUUUCUCAGGGCAUUGAUUUGGGGGAUACCUAGACAUUCACAAGCAUAUCAAAGAGUACCUGGAUAUUCACAAGUACUAACCUAAAGGGUAUCUGGGCUUUUGCAGGCGUCAAAAUGGGUAUUUGGCUGACCAUAGGCAUUGAAUAGGUACUUGGAUGAUCACCAGUAUGAAUUAUUGGGGGAUACUUGGGCAUUCACAAGUAUCGAAUGGGUACUUGAUAAUUGGAAAUAUUGAGAACAUACAUUGGAUAUUUGUGAAGGUAUCCCUACCUCCUGGCAAUUGGGAAAUAUCGAGGGCAUACCUGGGAUAUUGGUGAAGGUCUCUCACCUCCUGGUAGUUGGAAUAUCGAGGACGUACCUUAGAUAUUCAUGAAGAUUUUUCACCGACUGGUAAUUGGGAAUAUUGAGGACGUGCCUCGCAUAUUCGUGAAGGUCUCUCGCCUCCUGAAUUGCCACAAGCACUUAAAAGGGGUGGAACACUUGGACAACGGUGAAUACUUGACGAUAUGGGGAUACCUAGACAGCAGUGGGCAUUCCAAGAAAUACUUGGUCAGUCGUGAGUAUCAACACUCUGAGGACAACUCGAACAGGUCGAGUGUCAGGAAAAGGGAGUAUCCGAAUGGUGGCCGGUACUCAAAGACAAUAGGGAUGCUAAGACAGUUGCAAGCAUCCAAACUCAAUGGACAACUCGAAUAGGUCGAGUGUCAAUAAGAGAGUACCUGGACAGUGAUAGGUACUUCAAGACAAAUGGGGAUAGCGAUAUGUUUACCUGGCAAUAUCUUUGAUCUUUGAGAGUAUGUCUGCUAUUUGCACAAUAUGCAUGCAUGAUUGUAUAUACUGUAAAUUCAUGAUUUAUGCAUGAUAACUUUAUCAAUUGCGUAUCAUUCGAAUUCCAUUGGGGAAGAUUUUGAGAGACAACAUUUAUUCGGAAUAUAGAUGUUUUGAGCAUGCCAGAUGAGGGACUUUCAGUCUGAAAGGACUUUUCACUCACUCUCAUGGAGAAGGCUAUCCUGACCAUUGAUGCAGGAUUUACAAGGACCACACUAUCUCACUGUCAUCAUGUCAGCAGGGGUCUGAGUAUUCUCGCAAAAGGUACGACUUUACCAAUGUGAGAGGUCUUUGUUGAAAUUGUGAUGAAGACUUGGUUAAUAGCUCAUCAAAUGGGACCGUCAAGGUCAAGGCUCAUGAACGAAGUGCCGCACGAUCAUCUCCAGGUUUGCAAGUCAAGAGUCCUGCGAAAAGAGAUAGAAUAGUCUUGCUCGUACUUCUUCGAGCGAUGCUUAUAGACAUAUGAAAUCCUACGUUAAUUGAAGUGCCCCUAGUCUGAAGAGACUUUUACAAUGUAGCGUAGACUUGGCUCACAUGUAAGAGGGUGAGAGUUAGUGACUGUCUUGGCAUUUGUCACUAGUCUUUCUUCACGGUCAGCUGGAGGUUGUAUCAUUUAAACAACAAUUUCUCUUGGGAAUACAAAUGGCUAUGUUUUUAUUUGGGGCGUUGGCCUUGCUUUUACCAGGCACACUGCUUUUUUCAUGCCCCUAUUUCUCAUCUUAAUUUUUCAUUCGUGGGCAUUGACCUUGCUUUUACCAGGUACACUGCUUUUUUCAUGCCCCAGUUUUUGUUCUUGUUGCUUGAUGAACUGAUCUUGACAAGUUCAAGCGAAUGCCUUUGCUAGACUAUGGAGUCUUCAUAUUUUGUUGGCACUUCUGAUUAUGUUGCUCAAGCGACAGUGGCUUCUGUUUUGCCUCCAUGUGAGGGUGAAUUUUCAGACUCGAUUGAGUUGUACAAUGGAUACGAGUGCGUAAAUAAAGAAUUGCUCUUCACGACUCAAAGGCACUUAAAUUAACGCGGGUGUUCAUAUGUAAUAAAGACACUCAAAGAUUGAUGCAAGUGCGAGCAAGAAAAUUUCUAUCCCCUUUCUCACCUUAUGAUGCUGAUUUGCUUUUGACUUGCCCCAGUGUGGGGGUGGUUCUUUGUCGAGAGUAUUUAUCAGUAUAUGGGGCUCAUAGUGAGCGAUGGGGUGCCCCUCACUGCUUUGAUCAUCGUACCAUUCGCGAGAGAACUCUUUACCCUAUAGUCAUGGAAUCUUCUGCACUCAUCUCACAAGUGUAUAGAUGGGGGGGACUGUGUGUAGGAUAUGGCUUGCCUUUCAUCAUUCUGACGUGCCUCAUCCAACAUACUCAAUCAAUCUUGUAUUCUUCAAUUAGCUGUCUAUUCUAAUAGUUCUCAAUGGAAUCAAUGAUUUAGACAGACAAAAUCAUCAUGCAGAGUUUACCUAGAAAAAUGCAUGCAGUGUAUGAUGUGAUGGAGUUUGGUACUCUCAAAAUAAAUGAAAGGCUUUUUACUCAAGAAGAACUUAUUAGCAGCUUUAGGGGUACUUAUUUGGUGGAACGGUAUUCACAAAUGUGUUGAAAUUUGAACAUUUAAAAGAGUUAUUUACAAAAGGUUAUUCACAAAUGGGUGUCGAUGGAUGUCCCUAUUGAUUUGAUUGGGUGUCUCUGCUCUUGCCCUGGGUUUGGAUCACUUGGUUUGCCCCAUUCAACCAUUAAGCCUGGCCCUUGAAUCCCAAUGCUUCCUAUCAAUAUAAGCUCAGAGAGUGAGUGCUAGAGAUGACACCAAGUUGCAUUUCCCCCGAGUUUAUAUGAGCUAGCUUCUAGGGAUACUUGAAUGUCGAUGAUGGCUUCUUUGCAGUUCCAUGCUUCUUUCGACCGGCUUUUCUUACUUGUGGCCACAUAGGCAUGAUUGCUAGCUGUUGAUUUACUUUCAAUGCCUUCCUUUUGUGGAACUUCCCCUCCUGUCUUUGAUUAGUAGCAUUGGGCAAAGUCAUGUAUCUCAAGCUUCUAUGGAAUUUUGAGAUGGCCAAUUAAAAUUUCCAUCUUUCCAAUAGCAAUUGCUUCUUGCAAGGGCACCCGUCUGGAACAAGAAAUGAGGUUUCGGGAUUCUAAAAUUGUUGACUGGGACAGAAGGUUCCUUCUAACCAGGCUGGCUCUUGAACGACGCAUCUUUUACACCAAGCUAGGCGAAAUUGACAUGGAUUACUCUUGUGUGUCUGCCUGGGUAAUGUCAAUUUGCUCAAGCUAUACCAUCGAGUUUGCUACUUGGUUUUUGACACUUCCUUAUGUGCUGGUGAUUACAAUUCAUUUUUCUCCAAAUACACGAUUUUCAUGACGGUGUAAAUACAUCACUCAUAUAUAAAAGGUGCAUAGGCAUUUUCAAAAUGAUAGAGAGGUGUUUGGCAAUGCCAGAUGAUGAACAUCAUUCAAGGGUAGUACUUUUUUACGGCAUCGGAAUUAACUGGCUUAGAAAACUCUCGCCCAUCCAUCUCGGUUAGGAUCAAGGCUCCUCCGAGGAGUAUCUUCUUUAUUACAUAAGGACCCUUGUAAUUUGGGGCGAACUUGCCUCCAGGCUCUGGAAAGAUUGGCAGCGUCUUUCUCAAGACUAGCUCAUUUACCUCGAAGUGCCUAGGUCGCACCUUUUGAUUAAAUGAUCGAGCUACCUUCUGCUGAUAACACUGACCAUGACAGAGGGCUUUCAGUCGCUUUUCAUCGAUCAUGUUCAGCUGCUCGAGCCUUUGUUGUGUCCAUUCCUCCUUAGAUAAUCCAGCCUGGGAUAAAAUUCGUAGGGAAGGGAUUUCUACUUCCACGGGUAAAACUGCCUCCAUACCGUAAACCAGGGAAAAAGGGGUCGCCCCAGUAGAAGUUCGAAUCGAAGUUCGAUAUGCUGUUAGUGCGACGAGUAGCCUCUCGUGCCAGUCGCGGUAAUUUUCAGCCGUCUUGGCUAGGAUUCUCUUGAUGUUCUUGUUGGCAGCCUCUACAGCCCCAUUCAUUUGCGGGCGAUAAGGGGAUGAGUUCAGAUGCUGGAUCUUGAACUUAGAAAAUAAUUGGUCAAUCAGCUUGUUGUUCAGAUUUGUCCCGUUGUCGGUGACGAUGGAAUCUAGCACGCCAUAUCGAGCGAUUAUGUCACGUUUGAUAAACUUCAUAACAUUCCGUGCAGUUACACUUGCAUAUGAUGUGGCCUCGAUCCAUUUCGAAAAGUAAUCAAUUGCAACCAAGAUGAACCGAUGCCCGUUUGACGCCUUUGGGUUAAUUGGGCCGAUUACAUCGAUGCCCCACAUUGAAAACGGCCAUGGCUCAGAUAACUGAUGCAGUUCAGUUGGAGGGACAUUUAUCUUAUCUCCGUGAAUUUGACAAUGGUGACAACUUCGUGCAUGCUGAGCACAAUCAUUCUCUAAGGGGAGCCAGUAAUAACCCAGUCUCAUUAUCUUCUUGGCCAACAUACGUCCAUUCAUGUGAGGGCCACAUACUCCCUCGUGUAUUUCUUGCAUUAUUCGUGUGGCUUCUGCCGCGUCCACACAUCUUAGCAGGACUGAAUCAUACGAUCUUUUGUAUAGAUUUUCACUGCUGACGAAAAACUUUGAAGCCAUUUUCAUUAGGAAUUUUCGAUCAGAGGGAGUGCUUUGUUUAGGGAACUCCUGCUUCUGGACGUAUUUCAUGAUGUCGUAAUACCAGGGUCUCCCGUCGGGCUCUUCAGUUAUGGCCAUGCAGUAGGCCUGUCUUGCCAGGACUUCGAUUUUUAAAGGCUCAACUUCUAACCCUCUUGUUGCUUGCAACAUAGAUGAUAGCGUUGCUGGUGCAUCAGCGAACUGAUUAUGAAUUCUAGGUAGGUAUUCAAACGAGAUGUCUUGGAAUCUUCCCGCCAACUUUUCUAAGUAACCAUGAUAAGGCACAAGUUUGGCGUCUUCUGUCUUCCAUUCGCCCAAUGUCUGGAGGAUUAUUAAGGUAGAAUCACCGAACACCUUUAGCUUCGUCACUCCCAUUUCAAUAGCCGCUUGCAGGCUGAGGAUGCAUGCUUCAUAUUUGGCUAUAUUGUUGGUACAUAGAAACAUCAAUUUUGCAGCCACAGGAUAAUGCUGUCCAUUUGGGGAUAUCAAGACUGCCCUAGUGCCGGAGCCUGAUAAAUUUACAGCUCCGUCAAAGAACAUGCUCCACGUGUCUUCUUCUACCGCGGAAAUUCGAUCGUCCGAGGGAUUAUCCUUGCAUACUUCUUUAGGACAGUCUACUAACAUAUCAGCAAUCACCCGCCCUUUAACUGAUUUUUGUGACAUGACUUGAAUGUCGAAUUCCGAGAUCAGGAUUUGCCAUUUAGCCAAUUUUCCUACCAAUGCUGGGCGACUGAGCAAAUACUUAAUCGGAUCACUUUCGGUUACGAGGAAAGUUUGGUAAUGCAAGCUAUACUGUCGGAGUCUAUGCAACACCCAUACUAAUGCGGCGCAUGUUUUUUUUUAUUUGGAAUAGUUUUGCUCUGACGUGGUGAACUUUUUGCUCAAAUAGUAGAUGGCUCGCUCCUUCUGGUCAUGGGGCUCCUUUUGUGCCAGCAUUGCACCUAAGGACUCACUGCUGAUUGUAAGGUAGAGAAUUAAAGGGUGCCCCGGUACUGGAGGUACUAGAAUCGGGGGUUUCAUCAAGUAUUGCUUUAGGUCUUCAAAUGCCCGUCGGCAAUCAUCAUCCCAUUUAAUUUGUGCAUCUUUCCUAAGAAGUUUAAAGAAAGGUUUUGCAGUUUCAGAAAGCUGGAAAAUGAAUCGAGCAAUGUAAUUUAAUCUCCCCAUGAGGCUCCGGACUUCUUUUACAGUUGAGGGAGGAGGCAUCUCAAAUAUCGCCUUGGUUUUUGAUGGAUCUACUUCUAUCCCUUUACAGCUUACAAUGAAUCCAAGUAAUUUGCCAGAAGUUGCCCCAAACACACAUUUCGCCGAAUUCAAGCGCAACUUAAACUGGCGAAGUCGCUCAAAUAGUUUCUCCAAGGUCUUCACAUGGUUUUCUCCAUGUCUGGUUUUAGCGAUCAUGUCAACGACAUAUACUUCAAUUUCUUUGUGCAUCAUGUCAUGGAAAAGGGUGACCAUGGCUCGCUGGUAAGUUGCUCCAGCAUUUUUCAGGCCAAAAGGCAUGACCUUAUAAUGGAAAGUGCCCCAUGGAGUAAUGAACGUCGUUUUUUCCUUGUCUUCCUCCUUCAUCUUUAUUUGGUUGUAUCCCGAGAAUCCAUCCAUAAAAGAGAAUAGUUUGAACCCUGCAGUACUGUCUACCAAAACGUCUAUGUGGGGUAAUGGGAAGUCAUCUUUCGGGCUUGCUUUGUUCAAGUCACGAUAGUCGACACAAACACGUAUUCAACCAUCCUUCUUCUUCACUGGCACAAUGUUUGCUACCCAGUUGGGGUAUCGCGAGACUUCGAGGAAACCCACUUCGAGGAGCUUCAUUACCUCUUCUUCAAUCUUUUUUGACAAUUCCGGCUUGGUUCUUCUUAGCCGUUGUUUCUUAGGGGCUAUAUCAGGGUUAGUUGGCAAACUAUGCUCCACGAUCAUUGGAUCAAGGCCUGGCAUAUCCGCAUAUGACCAUGCGAAUACGUCUUGAUACCUCUUUAAAAGAGCAAUCAGGUUCGCAGCUUCUUCUUCAGGAAGGUUGGUGCCAAUCUUUAUCUCUCUUGGACCUUCUGUGCUGCCUAAAUUGACAGUGACGGUGUCUUCAAUGGUAGAGGGCCUUGUUUCCUCAUGCCGCUCCCAGUCUCAUUGAAUUUCAUUGGAAUUAUCAAAGUCAUCAUCUGAGCUAUCAGAAUUGCUAUCAUGGCUAUCCACGAUGCUAGUUUGGACCGCUCCCAUACCCUGGCCUACCGCUAGAUUAUUCCUGUGUCAUAGAGUAGAUAGGCUAAGAGGACAAAUAAGGUUAGUAGUAUGCAUGCUUUUUUUGGAAAUGUGAUAAAUUGUUCUUGAAGAUUUAGGAUAAGGAAACAUGAGGAGACCCGGGCCUCAGAUUUCUUCUUUCAUUUGAUGGCUGGCUAUCAUCAACGGGCCGGUUUGGUGUGUCUCCCCAUGCCCUCAAAAUGUUUUCAACUUUAUUUAUUAGUAGACGGAUUUACAAAGUGAUUUCAAAAAAUGGUUCCCCAAGUGGAACAGGUGUUGAAAACAAAACAAGCCAAACUCUUAAAAAAAUAUGUACAGGUUCCCACGUAGGGGAGUAUGCGAAGGAAAUAAAAAGGAUUCUACACGAGCGAGUCUGCGCCCAUUUCCCCUGGCGGUCCUUCAUUGAUAGUGCCCACGAAGAAGUCUUCAUACCAGCUACCAGCCACAUCUCCCUGUGCUUGCGGCUUUGCAGAUUCCAGAUCAUCCAUGCCUUCCCAUCCAUCAGGGACGAUGCGGCGAUGAUGAUCAUAGAAACUUUGGGGGAUUGAAUAAUUGACAUAGUAGUCAAAUUUACCACUUGGCUGACCCAAAGUGUCCAUGAUCAUCUCUCCUUUACGUGCUUCCUUAGCAUGCUCAGGGAACAUGGUACGAGUGCUGGGUACCACGAGGAGGUGAUUUUGGCCAAAACACAGCCACGGAGAGCGGAACGUGAAUACCCCAGCAUCUAAAAGAUCCUGAACCUUGUCUUUCAGGAUGGUACAACCAUCUAACGAGUAUCCUAAUUCUCCCGAAUGAUAAUCACAUUGCUUGGAUGGAUCAUAAUCAAGGAAGUACUCGGGAGUAGGAUGACUCAGUUCCCUGGCGAUUAGCCCUUGCUCUAGGAGGAUGGGAAAAACGAUGGUCAUCGAUUUAGGAAGAGGCGAAUACUGCCUCAUGCUUUUUUAGGACUGAGAUAGCCAGACCCCUUGCCAGAUCGCAUCAGUAGGGUCUUCUUCAUUUACUACUAAAUCUUCAUUAUGACGAGAGCGAAAUGUGCGGGUAGCUUGAGCAAAGUUUUCCGUCAAGUGGUGUACUGUCUCGCGUAGUUCAUCAACUUGGCGCUGAAGCUGGAUGAAUGAGAAGUUAUCGCCUGCUCCUUCUAACUGUUCUUCCUCAAUAGCACAUAUAGAAAUGUCUCCAAACAUGGUGGUCAUGUCAUCCGGCCCCUCUUUCUUUGAGGGCCAAGUUGUGCCCUCCUGGAUUACGGGCAAGUUUGAGCUCUCGGGGUUGAACCAAUUUGAAGUAUUGAUCACUCCUUCCUCUUCAUGCAUCAUCCGAGCUGGGCCUGGGAAAGUUUCCUCGAGACGGGGGUAUAAAAGGCUGACUUUUUUCUUUGCUUUUCUAUCCGGGAGGUAUCCUAAACCGACAGUGUAGGGUCUCCUCAGGGCUUCAAUAGGUUGACGGAUGCCCUGGCCUUCCUUACCAAGUCCUUGUCUUGGAAUGAAACCGUGUCCAACCAUGAUUUUUCCUACCAUGAUCGCAGCACUUGAUACUUCGAGGAUGAGGGGCAAGGUCCCUCGAUUUUCGUGUACAGUAGACACAAGCUUGAACGAUUGAUAGCUAGCUUCAUUCUUGUCACUAGGCUCAACAUAAGGAAUGGCUGUCUCGUGGUAGAUACGGUGGUCUUCUUCUCCUCGAACUGUGAUUAGCUUCCCUCCAACCACGAACUUCACACUUUGGUGGAGGCUUGAAGGUACUGCUCCUGCGAUGUGGAUCCAUGGGCGCCCUAAGAGGAAAUUGAACGCAGUGGAGAUAUCCAUUACUUGGAACAAAAUUUUGAAUAUAGUUGGGCCAAUUUGAACGUCGAGCUCAAUCUCUCCUACUGUUUCCUUCUUUGUUCCAUCAAAUGCUCGAACAGAAGUCUUGGGUACUUGGAUCCGUGAUUUGUCUAUUUGAAGGCGACAGAGUGUUGCUAGUGGACAUAUGUUAAGAGCAGAUCCAUUGUCAAUCAGCACUCGAGCAACGUGAGACGCGUUGCAUUUGACUGAUAUGUAGAGGCCUUUGGUGUGUCCUCUACCCUCCUCAGGGAUUUCUUCAUCAGAGAAUGCCAUUUGAUCCUUCAAUAGGAUGGUGCUAACAAAUUCCUCGAGUUUGUCAUGUUCAAUUGUUUCAGGGACAUGUACCUCACUUAAUACCUUCAUAAGGGAUUUUUGGUGCUUGACAGAUGUCUGAAGCAAUUCCAGCAGAGAGAUCUGUGCUGGUGAUUUUCGUAAUUGCUCCACCACAUUAUACUCGCUUGCCUUAACUACGGCCAAAAACUCCUUAGCUUCUUCGUCGGUGACGGGCUUAGCAGACUGCGUAUUUGCGUGAGCAUAGGUUCGCCCAAAUCUCAUGACUAAACCCACAUCGAGGUCAUAAGACCAUGGUACCACUUUGUUACAUUCAUAUUUGUAAGGCUGGGGGAUUUCAAUGAUUAUAGCUGCUUCCGCUAUCGAUGCUUCGAUUAUAUCCUCCGGUGGGGUGGAAUCUUUCUUCUUCCUUUCUGCAUUUAGCGCGGCACAUUCCUCAUCCCAGUUGAUGAGGACUUGCGAUAUAGUGGAAACUAUGCCGGUAUGACCAACAUGUAUGAUUACUCCGGCUUCUAUCAUUCUUGAUACCCUUGCUUUCAUUGUCCCAAAAGGUGGUAUUUCGUCAUUCGAAUAAUACCCGGUUUCCACUAGCCCUUGAUAGAUGUCAACAAUAGGGGUACUAACAUUUCUGAUUUGACUAGCUUCAGAACCGAAUAUCGCAUUUACUUUGUCAGCAUGAUCAGGGAGCGGAUUGCUUUGGACAUUUGGCCUCGUCGUCUGGAAUGAGAAGGCUUUGGUAUCCAGCAGGUUCUGGAUCCGAUGUUUAAGGAUGAAGCAAUCAUCAGUUGAAUGGCCUAUUUCUCCCAUGUGGUAAUCGCAUUUUUUGGACGGGUCGUAGCUGGCGAAGCUUUCAGCAUUGGGUCGUCUUGGCUCAAUCGAGAGGAGAUUCUUGUUCCGGAGGAUUGCCAAAACCUGGGAAGGAGAUCCCGGAAGCGGAGUGAAUUGUCUUCGGUUGUUGUAGCGUUGAGGCUGACGGCUAUUGGUUUGUUGUUGGCCUGUGCUUGUCUGAACAGUCGGGAGGUGACCGGUAUUUGCGGUGUAGGUGGCAUUGACAUCGCUCAGGGGCUCUUUAUCCUUUUUCAUGCUGAAUCUUCUGCUGACAGGUGAAGGCUCGGUGAACCAGCCAUCUCUUAACCCUAUCUCUAUCUGCUCUCCCACUGGAAUGAGUUGAUUGAAUGAUUCAGCGAUCGUAGUCACCAUCCGGUUGCGGUAUUCAUAGGGGAGUGUUUUGAUGAACAUUUUUCUUAAUUCAAAGUCAGUCGGUUCGGGACUGAUCUGGGCGGCGAGAUUCCUCCACUUGAUAGCAUAUUCUUUGAAAGAUUCCUGCUUCUUCUUUUCCGCGCGAUCAAGAUCCUCACGAGAAGGGGUAAUGUCCACUAUGAAUUUGUACUGCUUGAGGAAUGCCUCGCUUGCUUCACUCCAUGUUUCGAUGAGGUUUAUGUUUUUCUUGAUGUACCACCUCAAAGCAGGACCUACUAGACUUGACUGGAACAACUGGAUCAUUAAAGGCACAUUAUUAACGUACUGGGUCAUUCGAACCAAGUACAUUUGCAAAUGAGCCCUUGGGCAGGUUGUGCCAUCGUAUUUCUCAAAUUCAGGCAUCUUAAACUUUUCGGGCAUUUUGACUUUGGAGUAGAUGGAGAGGUCUGUUGGAGUAGGAUCCUGUAGGCCUUGCAGUUGCUUUAGCCUUUCUUCAAGCUUCUCCAGACGCUUAUCAUGCUCGGUCUUAGACGAAAUGUUGGGUUUUACUUUCUCAACGAUGAUUUGGUGUGCGUUGUCCUCCAAUUCAGGCAUGCUAUCAUCGAUUUCUCUUCCUUGUUCUCCUCGGGUGGAUGAUUGUGGUAAUACUACUUCGAUUGAGGCUGGGGUAGGAGUCAAUUUGCCCUGAAUGGAAUCUACUUGCUUUGAGAGCUGUUGAAGCACAUUGAAGACCUGCUUCAAUUCUCUUUCCAUAAUCUCGACACGGCUUGGUACAUUUUCUUCAGCCAUCUAAGCUUUUGGAUUUGGUGAAUAUGGCUAUGUUGUGAUUACCUGCUAACACAGGAAAUGGAGAAAACGUAAAUAAAGGAAACACAUGGAACACUAGCUCAUGGCAAGGGUCGAGUCAUUCUUAUUUAUUAACAAGAGAUUUAUACAAUGCCAAAAGGAUUUUUGACAUAAGUCAGGACGACCCUAGACAUUCACAUUAAAACACACAUCAAAAAGCCACAACGUCCAUUUUUAUAUGCGAUGGGAAGUCCCGAUCUUGCGACGCCGUUUGCUCUUUUGAGAUAACUUUGAUAUGCAACUCUUGCUGGUCUCCAAACUUUCUUCAAGAGACUUGAUCAUUUCUUGCUUGGUAAGUUUGCUGCUUACAUCAGGGAUUACCGGCUGCAACUCCUCAAGAAUCCCAUGGUUGAGGAUGUAAAAGGUGGAUGCAUGAUGGGCUUUUUCCUGUCCCUUCAAUCUUCUGGGUACGAUAAUCCUCUCUGGGUGGCAUCUAUCCCAUGCAUUCUGAAUUAUGUUGAUUUCCUCUGAGUAGUCAUAACCGGUGGGGUUGAAAGAAACCCGAAACAAUCCUGUCUUGAGUGGUGGCGGGACUUCUUGAAGGAUCCUUUACUGGCGAGCUACCCUAUAUGGAUAGUAUGAGGUAGCUCCGGAGAGGCCCAGCAGUGGGAUGGGAUCGUAAUAAUCAAGCGCGAAACGUGCCUCGCUCGCAAGGAACCACUUAGUUCGCCAUAUGAAUGUCUCUGGGACUGGGUUUUUUAAUAAUUUAAUCCAUCGAGAAUAUUCUUCAUUGGGAGAAUAUUUCUCCAAGCUUUGGAAUUUUUGCAGUGGUGCUUGAACUCAUUGAUUUCAAAUAUUUGCAUGAGGUGCCCAAAUCUUUUGAUAUGAGAAAAGAACCACAUUUGUAAAAUUUCUGGGGCAGCUCUCAUGAUCUUUUCUUUUCGAUCUUUGAAACGAUUAAGGGAUAAAAAUGUUUCGGCUAAAACCAUGUUUACAUAUCCCGCUCCAAAAGUGAUUUGAUUUAUCCCCACGAUUGAAGGAUUUAUGGCAUUCUUUCUAUGGGGAAAGAUAAUAAAUCCAAAGAACGCCAAAAGGAAGAUCUUGGUUUUUUGGGACAUUGACUGUUUUUCAAAGCAUUCGGUUAAGGAUGAUAGCGGGAAAGCAUUGUUGUUAGUUCUAACAAUUUCUCUUACUGAAUGAUUUUUUAAAAAACGUGAUAGACUGACUAUGGGGUCAAUGCCAAUUUGUGGCUUAGCAAGCUCUGCUCCCAAGGGCAUUCCUAUGGCGAGACUAUAUUCCUCCAAAGUGGGAGUUAGUUCAAAUUUGCCAAACACGAAAGUGGAUGUUUCCGGACACCAGAAAUGUGGCAAGGCUUGCAUGAUCCCAGAGUGAAUAUUGAUUUGGAGCAAUGGGAGGAGAUGACCAAUCCUCAUUUUGACACGCUCUUGGCCGAGCUGAUCUAACUGAUUCCACUACCUGAGGAGCUCUUUCUUUGGGGCAGGAAUGAACUUGAUAUCGAUUCUUCCCAUCGCAUUAAAAAAAGAGGCUACACAACCUGACCCUAUUUUGCCAUGAGCCAUAAAAGAUUAAGUAAAAGUAAAUAAAUUACUUUGCUUCUAAAUAAAAUGGCAAGGGCAAGGACAUACAGAUGGGAUGUGCAGCUCGAUUUCUAACUCAAAAGGCUUGAUGAAAUUAAAAGGGUAUCCGCCCGUCGCAGUCUCGCGUUAGCAGUAUACCCCCUUAACCUCGGCUAAGAAAUUCGGGGAAAAGAAAGGCAACCUUUACAUCGCAGUCUCGCGUUCGAGGUCGUAUCUUUCUUAACACUAUCCUAAAAAUCCUAUGGCGGCCCAGGUCCGGCGGCCGGGUUGUGUGUGCCAUGUGUAGUGCUAAAAUAGUAAAGCAUGCACAAUAAUUUAUAAUCACAAAACAAUAUAUAAAAUUAUGAUAAAUUUCUAAACUUUUGACCUGCAUAAAAAAAAAAAAAAACCUAAGUCAGUAAAGAAUUUAAAUAAGACAAAAAUGGCCUAAGUCCUCACUUCCCCAGCGGAGUCGCCAAGCUGUCGCGACCUCUUUUUUUUUUGCGCCCGUGAUCGGGUACGGGCGCCUAAGGAGGCUAAUGGCUCGGCUGAAAUUAGUUAUGCCUGGACUCUCCCAAGUCCACCAAUUCGCAACUUAAUGGUUCAAGUUUUUAACUUGUAAAUCAAUUUUAAAACGGAGUCGCCACUAAUCAAUUUGGGGUGGGUCGAUUAGAAACCCAAGCAAAGUAUCGGGAGAAAUACUUGCUCCUGCGCAACCAGAGAAAUUAAGAUCGGGGACUUGAUUACACUAAUUAAUCACUAAUGCCCUUUCGGUACCUAAUCUUGUUUAAAUCCUUAGGCUUUUUAGAUGUUCGAGGGAUUUUCCAUGCAUUUUUAGGAGGAAAAACAUGUUUUAGUCUUUUUUCUAAUUUUUGGACACAAAAGGGAUUUUUUGGUAUUUUUGACAUUUUUUGGAAAAUAUGGAAUAUUUUUGAUUUUUUUGAUUUUUCGAAAAAUAAAAUAUUUUUAUCAUUUUUUUAUUAUUUUUCGAUUUUCUGGGAAUUAAAACAUUUUUAAUAUUUUUUGGAAAAUAAAAUAUUUUCUUUGGAUAUUUUUUUUUUAAAUUAAAAAUGCUUUUUUUUAAAUAUAUAUAUUUUGAAAAGAAAAUAUUUUUUGCUUUUUUUGAAAAUAAAUUAUUUAUUUAUUAUUAAAAUAUUAUAUUAAAAUAAAAACCGACCCGGGUCGGAUCCACGGGUUGUGCCCGACCCGGGCUGGCGACCCGAACGAGGACGGGCCCGACUCAGAUUUUUUCAUCUUUUUUCCCCCUUUUUUUUUUUUGAGCGAAGGGACCCAAGCCCACAACGAAAUUGGGCCCUUCCGCGUAAAACAAGCCCGUGCGCAAACGAGCCCAGCUGACCCAGGCCUACGAAAAUACCCGCCCGGCUUGGAAACCGGGCCAGUCCCAGUCCGAGCGACUAAAACCCUAGGGGAACCGGGUCAUCCGCCCGACCCGAUUCCGCUCCACUUCGCGACUUCCUCUCUCUCUCUCUCAACUCGCGGCGCUGAAGGAAGGGCUGGGGCGGCGGCUUGUAGUGAUGACGACGGUGACGCAGAGGACGGCGGUGGCCGGUCGUUCGUCGAACUGGAGAGCGUGACUCAACAACAACAGCCGGGAUCUAUUUGGUCGGUCGGGACUAGGGUUUAGGGCUUCACGAACGGGGGGCCGACGGCAACGACGCGGUAAACAGGGACGGCGAGGGGUGGCGAGUGAAAACGACGACGGCCAAGAGGGGCUUGAUACCUGCUUAUGGAGAGGAUACGGCGCGGCGGCGUGGCUGGUUGGCGAGAUGGAAUCGUUGGUGGUGGAGGCUUCGUCGGUGGCGUCGAGGAGGGAUCACAGCAUGGUGGUGAACAAAUCCGAGCCUCCCCCUUCUGAUUUCCUUUCGCUCACCCCCCUUCUUCGCAGAUCUAACCCCUCGUGCUCGGAUCUCUCUCACUCUCGAUCAGAUCUCUCCCCCUCCGGCCAGAUCCGAGCCUCCACCGGCCGAAUCUGACCUCUUCGGACUCGCUCGCCGGCGGCCUCCCCCGAAGUCUCUCAGUGGGAGGUCGGCCUAGCUCGCGACCCGAUUCCUCUCUCGCUCGCCUUCUUCUCGUUCGUUCUUCAACCUCCUCCGAAGUCUCUCAGGAGGAAGCUUCCAGGCUCACGAUCUUCUGGCCUCUCCCUCCGUCAACGGUGGCCCCCCUCUAUUUAUAGGCGCGAGAGCGGCCGGUCGGCGAGGCCUCGACCCGCCGGUUGGACCGCCGUCCCAUCCACCAUCAUCACCUCCUCCGGUCAUGUCCCGUCGACGCCACCUGCUCCUCUGCUCCGCACGCGACUGCCGUCCGUCCACCCCCUUCCUCUCCAUCGCGCCCUCUGCGUGUGCGCUACAGAGGCACGAGGAAGAAGAAGAUGCGGUGGGGGCCGGGCUUGGCGGAAAUGGGCUGAGAGCCCAUGGAGGGGCUGCCCCUCUUUUGCUUUUUUUUUUUUUUUUGCUUUGUUUUUGUUGUUGGUUUUUUGGUUUAUUAUCCGAAAAUCAAACAAAAUAAUAAUAAAGUCUAAUCUAAUUUUAGGCGUCAACAUCAUCUAAAAUGACUUCAGUUAUGACUCAGAUUCAUAUGGACCCAAUUUCGAUCUUGCCCAUUUGGUGGGUUUAUGUCCCAGAAAUCACAAUGGAAGAUUAAAUAAAGAUUGGUACAAUGCAAGAGAAAGAGAUGGCUUUUUAUAAUGAAAGAUGAUUCUUUCGUGUUUUAUUUUUCCUAUUUGAGGAUUCUUUUUCAAUUUAUUUAAAGGUUCUCAAAGUGAAGAAAUGAUUACACAUGGCAAAGAGUAAAUAAAGAAGCAAAAAAUGAAUAAAUAUGUUGAGAACAACAUAGGUGUAAAUAAAACUAAUGUUUAUAAAGUUUCACCUAAAAAAUCCGACCAAGUGACUAGUCAAGUGGUUCAAGACUUGAUUUAUAAGUCAAAGGUCGCAAGUUUAAUUUCCCAAUCUAUUAUCCAUUUUGGGAUAAUUAUGCGAAUAACUUGGUGGAAUUAAUUUGAACAAUAUCUUAUGGCCAACAAAUUCACCCGUUUGGGGUCAAAGAUUGUUGUGGGUUGGAGAAACUCCAAAUAGAAUUUCUAGCAAAAACAUUUGAGUUGCCGUUGAUGCCCCUCGAUGAAGGGUUGUGACUCCACUUUGACGAAUUUCCACUUCCACCAUGAAGUUGAGACAAUUUCCUUCAUUCGCAAUAGCAUAAUUAACAACAAUCUUUUUCGACAAUAACAAUAAUAAUAGACAAUUUCAUCUCCAUACUGGAAAAAAAGGCAAAUAUAUGGUGGAGUAGUCAGCACUAAGCAUUUGACCCUUGAGAUUUCAUUUGCUUCCAAUUAUAUAAACACAAAAUCCUUUUCUUCUCUCGAAUAAGUAUAAACUUAUUUGGUAUUUCAGCACACGAAGUUACAAUUGAUGCGGAAUUGCAACAAUCAAGUCAUAACGAUGAAUUAAAUGUUGAUGAUAAGCUUUUAUAGAGGAUGAUAGUGUGAGACGGUUGAAUAAAACACAUAUUUUGUAGGUAUUGUGGCUCGAAGGCAAUUUUAGUACAAAGAAAGGUGGUGUGUCCCUUGUUUUUAAUUAGCGGAGUGUAGGAUUUGGGAGACUUUUUUUUGUUCAAAAAAUAAUUUUGGAUUCUUUGAGGUCAAGCAUAAUCAAAGGACGUGUUUAUUUUUAUUUUUUCUAGUGAUUAUGUAGAUGUUGAAGAUGAUCAGAGGACACACUGUACAACCUAUGCGCAUUGAGGAGAGGCCCAGAGAUGCAAACAAUCUAAUAUUGUCUCUAAUAAUCCGUCCAUUAGUAGUGAAGGUGGAUUUUGAUGGUACAAAACGUUUGAUAGAGUGAGCUUGUCAUGUUCCACUGUAGAAAGAACAGGAAAACUACUUUGGCCUUCCAUUACAGUAGAAGGUCGACAUUCUCUUCCUCGAAUUUUUCAAAUGUCGUUCCUAUCAUCCUUGCCGAGAUAUUCAUUCACCUCACCAGCAAUUGGCACCGAAGUGCUUGAGGCCUACCCUUCUUUUUUGGGGCACAUGUGGCCCAAGAGCACGGGUCCGAAGUUGCACGGCCCGUUGGCCAUCCUAGCUAAAAUCUAUCUGGGCUCAUGUAUAGAUAUUAGAACAUUUUCUGAUGGUCGAGGACCCUUCACUAAAAAGAAGUUGUUACCGACACCUUCAUAGAUAUUUUUGUAGCUCCAAUCCAUCUCAUUCGAACAUCAAAUCACAUUUCCCAUCUUGCAUUCACUUUAUGUCCGUCAUCAUUGUCUCCUGUCUUUCACCGAAAGCGUUAUCGAUAGCCUCGCAGAUAAUUUCGGAACCUUAACCUUAGCCCAUCGACAUCCGUAAAAUUUCCCCUCUCGUAGUCACUCUGUGUCCUUUUUAUCCUCCACCGAAAAUUGUUGGUGACAGCUUCGUUGACGUUUUAAGAGCCUCGACCAAUCUUUUUGAGACAUCUAUCCACAAUUCGCAUCUCCCCAUUCAAUCCGUGUCCUCUCUGUCUUCUAUCCUUUCACGGUAAUUCAGAUAUCUGUUACAUGUCCCAUCUCGAAACGAACAAGAGUGCAGAAAAUGCAGUAUGUUAGGGGCCCCACUGAACUUGUCUUUUAUGGGAAGAAGGAGCUCAUUUUGCAUUUCCCCUCUCUUUCCCCUCACUUUCCGGGGGAAAAAAUCUUGCGGGCCCCCACAGGAAAAUCUUUCUCUACGGUUCGCUUCGUAUUCCUUGAAUCUUUGUUUUCCUCGCUUCUUUUCACCCAAUUCCUGAAACCCGCUUCAUUCUACGAAAUGGCUCCAGUCGGAUUUAUAUAUAUGGGUCUUGCUCUCAAAAGAAAAAUCAUGGCAGCAAACAUUUGGAGUGGCUCCUUGUCCUUAAACAACAUCUUUCGCCCGAUGAGAAACUCGAAAUGUAAGAAUUAUCCCACAAGUGUUGAUGUCCUUGUUAAUAAUAAUAUGUAUUGACUUAACUACUAUAAUUGCAUGAGUAGACGGUCCUCAAAGAAACGUCAAUAACAUUGGUAAGCUUCUAAAUUCAAAUUAUGUUUUGCACUCGGCAUUAUAGCCUGUCGUUUUUUUUUUCCUAGCCCAUCAAGCCAUACUAAGAAUGAAGUAAAGAAGAGAUGGAGAUGGUUUGCACAAAGAAAAAAGUAGAUGAACAAGACGACGUCUUCGUCCUCAGCAAUGGUGCAUAGAGAUAUUGUGUAGAGGAGCGAGAGGUUCUUUUAAGUUCUUUCGUUGAUCGAUAUCUUGCAAUUAUUUAUCUUAUAUCAUCUAUUUUUAAAUAUUGAAAUUGAAUAUCAUGGCUACAUAUGGAAUAUGUACCCUUUUAACUAGAGAUUCUUGUUAGGUCCAUAGUUGAUAGAAUAACAACUCCAAUUGUGACACUAAAACAAUUAUACGUGCAUCAUGAUUAUUUGAUUAUGUUGGGUUAUUUAAAUUUUUUGGUCAUAUUUUUAAGUAUGUUUUCCCAUCAUUUAAAGCAGUUUUUGCUUUGGGUUAUCAACUGAAUAUGUUUUUUUUUUUUUGGUAGGAUAAUCAAUCGAAUUGAGAAGUCGUUUUUUUCAGAAUAUUUAUUGUUGUCAUUCGUAAAACAAUUUGUGCAUUGGGACCAAAUAUGUAAUCAUAUAUGGUUAUGCACAUAUUAAGUCGAAGCUAGAUGGGACAAAGUUUAGAGAGAGAGAGGAUAGCACAAUGGAAUUGGGUCCCCUGGCGUGAGGUUGAAAAUGCAAGAAGCUUUAAUAAUUGCAUCCCGUUCCACAAUGUAUAAAGUCAUAUAUGCAUCGCGAGGUUGACCUAACACUAACCUUCAAUAAUUGCAACGUGAUCCACGAUGGCAAAAAAACAACUUAACUCCAAGCCGAUUAAACUCUUAACCUCGCUUUGUUCUGUCUUUCUCCCUCCUCCUCCUCCUCCUCUGCAUUUUAGAGAGAGAGAGAGAGAGAGAGAGAGAGAUAGCAGUAGUAGCAUCAAAGGAACGACUGUGGACACGUGUGGUUGGUACUUGUUAGGGAAGGAGAGAGACGCAAGGAUUUGGAGUUUGUAGAUAAUUGGAAAGACGGUCAUUGAAUUGUUAACGAGGUGUAGUCAAUCAAUGCAAUCGUCCGGUUUUCUUUAAAAAUAUUUAAAGUGAGGUUUUGAGAAAUAAGUGAUGAGUAUAAUUAGUAAUUUCAAUACAAAAAAAGAAACAUGAAAAGGUGUCUGUCAUGGACCUUCAAUUUCUCUCAAUGGAGUUGUGCAUGUAGCUCAAAGCCUAUGCAUGUUCACAAGAUUAACAAAUUGUCGUUUUUUAAAUUUUAAUGAAGUGCCUAGAAGCAUUCAACAUAUCUCCAUCAAACGUGGCACUUCUUCCAUUUCAUACACAUCGGAUAAUUAUCGAAGAUUAAUAGUUUUUAUUACUACAUAAAUUUACCAUUUAUAUUAUUAUCGUUUGAAAAUGGGCAAGUUGCCACGCUCGAUUUUUUCAUCUCGAAUUCUCUUCGAAGUUAAUUUUGGUAGCUUAACGGUCUACACUUGGGAGCUGAGCCCCCCUUCCCUUUUUUUCCCUUUAAUUCUUUGGAAGGUUUGGUGAGUUUUUUUUCUCUACUAUAAACUAUUAGUUAUUUAAAUUAUAACCUUAAUCUCACAUUAUUCAUAUUUUUUCAUGUGAAAAUAGAAUCAAGAUGUCGGGAAUGAGAAACUACUUUAUUAAACUUCACAUACUAAAAUGAUAAGGUAUGAUCAACUAAAAUCUAAUGAUAAAAAGUUUCGGUCACCAGCUUGGAAGAAUUUAUGGUUUGAUGACUGCAGCAUAAUCGGCCUAAAUAUUAAGAUUGAUAGGGAAACUGAGCACGACUCUCGUGGCUCUUAUCUUAUUACGUUUUGUCAAAUAAAUUGGGUGCUAUUAGAGACACAAAUGCCUAUCUUCUCCAUGAUUGAUGUAGGGGGCUGAAUAUUUUCCUAUACUUUUCACAAGUCAAUUGUCGUACAGAGCAUCUAAGCAAAAGAAAGAUGGGACAAUUCGGUGGAGUUGGGUUCCUCGGUGAUUGGCUGAGUAGCCUUCACGUGCAUGAAGCCGUACUGCCCAUGCGCACCACUAGGUUGACAUAACACGCAACUUUAAUAAUUGCCAAGCCACCGAUGAUGACCAGGCAGCAACUUCAUCUCCACCCUGGUUAACUCUUAACAUCACUUUGUUCAAUCUUCCUCCUCCUCUGCGUUUUAGAGAGAGAGAGAGAGACAGUGCACCGUCCGAACUGGCAUUGCCCAUUGGCUAUCCUAAUUAAAAUCCAUUCGGGUUCAUGUACCAUUUUCUGAUGGUCGAGAAUCCUCCACUUAAAAAAAUGUUGCCGACAGCUUCAUAGAUAUGAUAUUUUAGGGACUUCAGCCCAUCCCAUUCGAACAUCCAUCACAUUUCCCAUCUCGUGUUUGACUUUAUGUCCGUCCUUCACAGUCUUCUUUCACCGAAAGUGUUGCCGACAGCUUCGUAGAUAAUUUGGAAAGUCAACCCAUCAAUUCGGACAUCUGUAAAGUUUCCCAUCUGGCAGUCACUCUGCGUCCUUUCUAUCCUUCACCAAAAAUUGUGGGUGACAACUUCGUUGACGUUUUAUGAGCCUCUUCCAAUCUUAUUCAGACAUCUAUCCACAUUUCCCAUCUCCCGAUUCAAUCCGUGUCCAUAUUGUCUUCUAUCCUUCACCAUAACUCGGACAUCUGUCCCCUGUCGCAUCUCCAAAUGACCAAGAGUCCAGAAAAUGCAAACAUGUAAUGGGCCCACUGAGCUCGUCAUUUGAGGAAAAGAAAGAGCCCCAUUUUGCGUUUCCCACUAUUUUCUCCCCACUUUCCGAAGGAAAAUAUGUUGCGGGCCCCCACAGGAAAAUCUUUCUCUACCGUUCUCUUCGUAUUCCUUGAAUCUUUUAUUUUCCUCACUUCUUUUCACCCAAUUCCUGAAACCCGCUUCAUUCUACAGAAUGGCUUCAUUUGAUUAUAUACAUACGGGUCUUGCUCUCAAAAGAAAAAUCAAGGCAGCAAACUUUCGGAGUGGCUCCUCGUCCGUAAACAACAUCUUCCGUUUGAUGGGAAACUCAAGAUGUAAGACUUCUCUCACAAGUGUCGAUAUCCUCAUUAAUAAUAAUAAUAAUAAUAAUAAUAUGUAUAGACUCAGCUAUAAUUACAUUAAUAGAUGUUACUCAACAAAAUGUCAAUAAUAUCAUCAAACUUCUCAACUCAUAUUAUCUUUUGCACUCUGCAUUUAAAAAUGAAGUAAAGAUGAGAUGUAAAUGGUUUACACAAAGAAAAAAAGUGGAUGAACAAGGCGACGUAUUUAUCUCAGCAAUGGUGCAUGCAGAUGUUUUACAUAGGAGACAAAGGUUCUUUUCAUUUCUUUCGUUGAUCAAUAUCUUGUAAUUUUUUUUUUAUCUUUUAUUAUCUGUUUUUCCAUAUAGAAAUUGAAUAUCAUGGCUACACAUGGAAUAUAUAAAUUUUUAACUAGAAAUUUACUUAGGUCCAUAGAAUAACAAAUCCUACUACGAGACUAAAAUAACUUUACAUGCAUGAUGAUUAUUUGAUUAUAUCGGGUUAUUUAAAUUUGUUUGUCAUAUUUAUAAAUAUGUUUUCCCGUUGUUUAAAGCAAUUUUUGUUGUAUAAAGCAGUUUUUGUUUUGGGUGAUCGAUCAAAUGUGUUUUUUUUUUUGGUGAGGAUGAUUGACCCAAUUAAGAGGUUGGUUUCUUUAGAAUAUUUGUCGGUCUUGUCCAUAAAACGAUUUGUACGAAUUUGGGACCAAACGUUUAAUCAUAUAUGGCUUUGCACAAAUUAAGUUGAAGCUAGUGGGACAACGUUUAAAUUGAUAGAGAGAGAGGAUAGUACGGUGGAGUGGGGUCCCUCGGCGUGGGGUUCAAAAAGCAUGAAGCUUUAAUAAUUGCAACACGAUCCACAAUGUAUCAAGACAUACUGUCCAUCUGCAUCACGAGGUUGACAUGACACCCCAGUUAAAUUCUUAACAUCACUUUGCUUUGUCCUCCUCCGUUUUAGAGAGAGAGCGCGCGCGCAAGGAGCAAUGAUCGUGGAGGUGUGUGGUCAGUACAUAUUAGGGAAGGAGAGAGACUCCCAAGGAUUUGGAUUUUACAGAGAACUGGAAAGAGGGUCAUUAAAUUGCUAACGAGGUAUGAUAAAUCAAUGGAAUCGGGUUUUCUUUAGGACUAUUAAAGUGAGAUGUUGAGAAAUAAAUGAUGAGCAUAAUUAGCAAUUUCUAUACAAAAGAAAAAUGAAAAAAGGCAACUUUCAUGGACCUUCAAUUUCUCUUAAUGGAGUCGUGGAUGUAGCUCAAAGCCUAUGCAAGUUCACAAGAUUAAUAGAUUGGUGUUUCUUAGAUAUUAACGGAGUGCUUAGGCCUCUUUGAGCAUCUCACGAAUCUCCAUCAAAUGCGGCGAUCCCUCGAUUUUAUACAUAUCGGAUAAUUACUGAAGACAAACAAUUUUUAUUAAUAGAUUGGUUAUAAAUUAUCUUUUAUAUUACAUUCUUUUGAAAAGGGCAAGUUGCCACAUUUGAUUUUAUCAUCUCAGUUUCUAUUUGAAUGUUGGUUUUGGCAACUUAACGAUCUAAAUUUGGGAGUUGAGCCUCGUUCCUUUUAUAUAACAGUUCCUUGAGUAUCAUAAUUUUUUGUCAAUUAAAUGAGUGUCAUGACUUAAAAAUAUUUUUAUUUAAGUGUCAUGGCCUUCAAUUGCUCAUUUAAAGACUACAACUCCCAUCACUAUUGGGCAACGUCUUUGAAAAGGUUAUAAUGAUCAAGUGAAUAUUUUUUAGAGGUUUUAAAAUAUUUAAAUGAUCGGAAAAAAAAUUUAUAAUACUUAAAUAAGCGUCAUAUCUAGUGACCUUUUUUCAAAAUUAACCUUGUAUAGCUAGGGCAUUAUAGACUUCUACAUGCUAUGACAAUACAAUCGCGAAAGCACUGCAAGAUGCUUUUGCAUGAAAAUGAUACAAACUUUUAUGAAGAAGAAGGGACGGGAAGAGCGUUUUGGUCAAAAUUGGUGGUCUCCACGUGAUACGACAGUAGAAAGCAUUAUUGCACUCAGCGGACUCUAUCGUUGUGCAACUUUAUCAAAGCUGAUACUUAAAACUGCUCAUGAAACGACUGAAAUUGGAGUGCAUCAUCUGAAUCGGAUUCUGGACUCAUAGAGAUUGGGGCCUCGCCGCUGUUGACAGCUGGAGCUGAGCACGUAUGAAAUGAUUGAUGGACAAUGAUAGUCAUAGACAGCUACUUAAUUGUCGCAUUCUUAGAGCGAUGGGGUCCGAAGGCAAUUUUAGUCCAAAAAGAAAUGGUGGAGUGGAUUUUUUUCGAACCGUUAAAUUGAGGUUCUCCAUUGAGGUGCAUCAUCUGAAUCGGAAUCUGGACCAUAGCUCGGUCCCAAAUGGAGAUUGGUGCAUCGCUGCUGCAGUGCUGCUGAUUUCUAGAGCUGAGGUCAGAUGUGUUAAACGAUUAAGCAUUAAUCAAAUGGGAGAAAAUAUUUGGGGGUCCCGACUGCCAAGCCAGCGUGUACCCCGACCAAUGAGGAAGUGACGCGUGGCUCCACGAUGCGCUAGCUGCUCCACUGGUUUUCCUGCACAAAAUAUAUUAUUGUCCCUUUUCUGCUUAAGAAUUUACAGUCAUUAAUAGAUCUGAUGCCGCUUUAAAUUCUCUCCUCUCUAAUGGAGUAGGCCUGAAUGCAUUAAAGGAGCUUUGUCUCUCGUCAUUUCUUUCCUUCUCAAUUCAAAAUUUUGGGUGAGAAUUCUCUGGCCCAAAAGCACGUUGCUCCUCCGCCUUGCUUCGGCGCCGGUUCAUCUUCGCUCUCUGCCCCAAAGCUCGUUGCUUCUUCGGCCUGCGUUGUUGCAUUCCUUCUCCGCCCUCUGCUCCGGUGUUGUUUCCCUGCCCAAGACGGUGAGGAAUGUUCUUGCUGUAAGUCGCAAACUCCAAGCGACAAGAAGUUCCAGCUCUCUCCGAUUCGGCUUUGGAUCUGCUACGUUCGCAGCUCAUAACAGUGAGUUGAUUCUUUCCCUGAUUUUUUUACUCUUCUUUUCUUUUCUUUUUCUUUGCUGUUUUUGCCUCUUUUUAUUUGUUAAGUUUUAGUUUCUUUUGUUGGUGGGUGAUUGCACGAGCUUGGCUAUCGAGUCGGCAAUUUUGCCCGUGAGUGUCCGGUGUUGUGAUUUUUGGGAGGUUGGUUUGUCUAGGCUAGUGUCACGGGUCGAGAGAUUCCUUGGCCUCGGAAACGACCCGCGGGCGCCUAGCGAGCGGAAUUCGCCAGGCCAGCCCUUUCUUUAGCUGUUCCACGAACGAUACGGUGAAUGAUUCUUCGUACGAGAUCCUACCACGCCCAGCUUCGCUCGGGCGUCUAGUCCAUCGAGUAAGACAGCAGUUCUCUUUAGGCACAACAAAUGGUUUCGACCUGCCAUGGCCUCGUCAGGAGAGCGGCAUCAGCUCCCGACCAGUUUGUGCACGGGAGGCCUACCCCGUCUUCAGAGCUCCUAAGUGAUAUAAUCCUUCUAUCCUAGAACUCCUAGCACCAACCGUCCUGACGCCACUCCCACGGACCAGUUGUGUUCUACCCUUCUGCCUCACACUCUUUACCAAAUAACCCCAAGCGCCACUCACAAGUGUCACGAGUACGGGAGGAUUCACGGACCGUGACAUUCUCCCCCACUCAAUUCGCAACGCUCUCGUUGCGAUCUCUACUCUGUCGCUUCCUUGCGUAAAUUAACCAUUGACGUGCCACUUUUGGGAAUUCACAUCGAACGGUCACGCUCGCCCAACAAAACAGGUUUUGCUCCAUUGGUGGCCUCUUUUGAUCUCAGCCGCUCGGCCCUUCGGUCACCUGCGCUUUCCGGCAAGUGUGGCAUCUUUCGCCAACCGCAUCUUUUGGUAGCNNNNNNNNNNNNNNNNNNNNNNNNNNNNNNNNNNNNNNNNNNNNNNNNNNNNNNNNNNNNNNNNNNNNNNNNNNNNNNNNNNNNNNNNNNNNNNNNNNNNNNNNNNNNNNNNNNNNNNNNNNNNNNNNNNNNNNNNNNNNNNNNNNNNNNNNNNNNNNNUUGCCUCUUUUUAUUUGUUAAGUUUUAGUUUCUUUUGUUGGUGGGUGAUUGCACGAGCUUGGCUAUCGAGUCGGCAAUUUUGCCCGUGAGUGUCCGGUGUUGUGAUUUUUGGGAGGUUGGUUUGUCUAGGCUAGUGUCACGGGUCGAGAGAUUCCUUGGCCUCGGAAACGACCCGCGGGCGCCUAGCGAGCGGAAUUCGCCAGGCCAGCCCUUUCUUUAGCUGUUCCACGAACGAUACGGUGAAUGAUUCUUCGUACGAGAUCCUACCACGCCCAGCUUCGCUCGGGCGUCUAGUCCAUCGAGUAAGACAGCAGUUCUCUUUAGGCACAACAAAUGGUUUCGACCUGCCAUGGCCUCGUCAGGAGAGCGGCAUCAGCUCCCGACCAGUUUGUGCACGGGAGGCCUACCCCGUCUUCAGAGCUCCUAAGUGAUAUAAUCCUUCUAUCCUAGAACUCCUAGCACCAACCGUCCUGACGCCACUCCCACGGACCAGUUGUGUUCUACCCUUCUGCCUCACACUCUUUACCAAAUAACCCCAAGCGCCACUCACAAGUGUCACGAGUACGGGAGGAUUCACGGACCGUGACAUUCUCCCCCACUCAAUUCGCAACGCUCUCGUUGCGAUCUCUACUCUGUCGCUUCCUUGCGUAAAUUAACCAUUGACGUGCCACUUUUGGGAAUUCACAUCGAACGGUCACGCUCGCCCAACAAAACAGGUUUUGCUCCAUUGGUGGCCUCUUUUGAUCUCAGCCGCUCGGCCCUUCGGUCACCUGCGCUUUCCGGCAAGUGUGGCAUCUUUCGCCAACCGCAUCUUUUGGCAGCACCAUUUCAGCCUAAUUAGCAUCUUGACCCCAGCAAACCAAUGGAGGUUCUUUUUCUUGUUGAAAACGCGGCAGUAGACCUCUUCUUCGUAUUCACGAUCAAUCCGGGAACGUUAUCCCCAUUCAGCAAGGGUUCGGUUCUUCUCUAACUCGCAUUCCGCUCGACGAGAAGCCGACUCGUCCUAGCACCCAUCCACUAGGACUUAUCUGUUGAACGCAAAUUGCGCAACCCCAAGAUCUCCAUAACCAGAACAAGAACAUGCAUAAUUGAGUAGAAAGAUUAACGCACCUGUUUUAGGAUCCAUCGAACAUAAAGCGGAAACAUAAAAAGGAUUACCCACAUAUAUCAAGGGAAUCCACGCAUCAAGUCCUUCUCCUCUAUUGCCCUCCGUAUCACUGGCUCAAUGAGCCAAGAUCUCCAUAACCAGAACAAGAACAUGCAUAAUUGAGUAGAAAGAUUAACGCACCUGUUUUAGGAUCCAUCGAACAUAAAGCGGAAGCAUAAAAAGGAUUACCCACAUAUAUCAAGGGGAUCCACGCAUCAAGUCCUUCUCCUCUAUUGCCCUCCAUAUCACUGGCUCAAUGAGGCAGCCCCCCUCACGUUUAGCGUUAGGUAAACGCCCCUUAGGUGAGGAUACAUGUGAGAAUUAGGGUUAGAGGAGAGACUUGAGCACUAUUUAUAGAGUUUCCAGCCAGUCCCUCUCAUUACGGGCCAGGCUCAACUCGGCCCACACUAGCCAGCUCAUAUUAAACUAAUUAAGAAACCUUCUAUCUCACCUUAGAUCAACCCUGUUUUACGGUAACCGUAAAAACAGUAAAUUACAAUAUCAAUUAAUUUAGUCCACAUUUGGAAAAACUCUUACAUUCUCCCACUUGGACUAUAUUAAUUGAAAUCGUAUUGUAUGUGCGCACAUUUGGUCCAGAGAUAAUUCUUAAUAGUCAAUCCUAUCCCAUAAAGUCUUAAACACCGAAUCAUGGCGGUAACUGCAUGUAUACACACAAAGCCUUCCAUGGUCACGAAUGUUUUCAACUUUAUUGAUAUGGAUUCAAUAUGGUAGUGUGUCAAAUGGAUAACAUCUCUCAUAGAGAGAUCUCAUUUGUCAGUCACCAUUCUCUUACCUUAGGCGUCACAAAAAAACUUGUGCCACUAGAGAAUGCUUUAUGGUUCCAAUGAACCCACAUAUGUCUUGUCCUUAUGGUUAACCUUUAUUUAUGUAUCACAAGACAUAUGCACAAGGCUAAUAACCGGAUGCCCGGAUGCCCCUAGCCUUCACUCAAGGUCUAUACAAUCCCUUGAGACUUUAUCAAUAUGUAUUCAACAUAAUAACAACACAUUUAAAAUAUUUUAUUGAAUGCAAAAGUUGAUACAUAUCAAACCGUUACUAAGUGUAACGAACCACAGAUGUGAACUUUAUCAGAGUAAAGCUAAAAUAGCUCCCACUAAACAACAGUAUCCGAAGAUACUCCUAGGCCCAUGUUUACAAUAUGUUACUAAAAUAUACAUGGGCGUAGGCCUUUAGUUUGUGGAUCUGCAACCACAUCAUCUGUGAAAAUAUAUUAUAUCAUAAGUCACCUUUCUGUACCGUUUCUUUAUGGUAAAAAAUAUUUGACCACCAUAUAUUUAGACCCCUUGAGACCUCUGUAGUAAAUAAAUAAUACUACAAAUUUGUUAUCUCAAUACAACCGUAUGGGUCUAUCCAUAAAGUUAAAAUAAUUAACUCCUUUCAUGGGGUUCUGGAGCCUAAAAACCCAAGUAACAGCUUAAAAGAAUGUUACUAACACUGCUUACAUAGUAGAAGAUGACAUAAAACUUUAUUUACUGCACUUACUGCUAACAUAAAUAUGUAUUCUGUUAUUGAGCGCAUGUCAUCAGAACAGCCAGCAAAGUUUACAUCUAAAUACUCUACUAACUGCAAGAAUUGAACAUGUCUAUAAAUUAGCAUAUAAUCUCUUGUCUUCUUUAAGUACCUUAAAACCUUCUUGACAGCAACCCAGUGAUCAUGUCCUGGAUUUGACCGAUAUCUGCCUAGAAGUCCCGUCACAAAGACAACAUUUAGUCUAGUCAAAUUCGAGCAUACAUUAUACUUUUAAGUGCACUUACACAAGGUACUCUCUUUAAUUAGAUUUUCUCAAUAUUUAAAUAAGGACAAUGUGAUAGAUUCAGUCCAUCACCCUUAACAACAGGAGCAAUUCCUGGCUUGCAAUGAUGUAUAUUUAAUAUUUUCAAAAUAUGAUAAGCAAAUGUCAUCCAAGAAAAUCUAAUAUAAAAUCCGAUAUCUAUGACAAGAACAAUUCUUAAAGACCUUAGUGUAAAAGAUGCAUCAAGGUCACUACUUGUAAACAAAAAUCAUGUACAUAAAGUAUGAGAAAAAAUAAAUUUCCUCCCACUGACCUUGCAGUAUAUUGAAUUACUUUGUUCCCAAUUGAACAAAAUAACAACACUAUGAAACUUUAAUAAUAUUGUAUGGAAACUUGCUUAAGACCAUGAAUUAGAACUUUUCAGUCUAUACACAAGUUUACUUAAAUCUGCUACAAAAUCAUCCAGUUGCACAAUAUAGAUUUUGUAUCUAUUUGGCGUAACUUUAUAUCAAAAUAAAUUAUUAAUGCCACGUUCACUCUGAAAGAAAAUUUAAAGAAAUAAUUAUUUCUUCACUAUAAACAAUCCACCCCUCUUUCAGAGUUAAAACGUUAGUUACAAAUAUGGCUUUAAAUUCCACAAUCUUUGUUUGAAAUUCUUUUAAUUUUGUACGCCAAUUUGCAACUAAUAAACUUGUGAUCUUUAGACAAGUUAGUAAGUUUCCAAACAUGUUUCAUAGAUUGUAUAUCGCAUUUUAUGGCAUCUAAUCACAUACUUAAUUGAGAAUAAGAAACGACAUUUAUAAAUAUGUCAUUACAUCAACCAUAUAGUGGAUAUUGUAAUCAUGCUCUCACAAAUAGACUAUAUAGUCUGAUGGUAUAACUGAUCGUCUUUCCUUAACAAAUCUCAUUAAUAAAGUUGCAACCACUUCAUUCUGCACUUGAGAGAUUUAAGAAAUUUCAUUAUAAACUAUAUCAAAAAUAGUACCUUGAACCUCCACAAGUUUAGUCUAUGGUACAGGAGAUUCCAUAAUUAUCUGUAUAGGUAAAGACAAAAACAUAGUAACAUCCAUCAUACUAUUAUCUUUUAAUAGUCUGAGAGCAAUUAUCCUCUACAAUUACGUCAAUUUUUAAAAACUUUAGAGUAUGUGAUUCCAUAAUUCUUGUACUUUCUUUAGGGUCAUAAAAUCAAUACCCCUUUUAUAUAUGAAAAAAUUGAUUUCAUAAUAUCAGCCCACAAAAGACCAGAUAAAUUAGUCUUACUAAUCAUACUCAUCACCAUGUUCAAUAUGGUGCAUUUAUGCCUUUUGACCAAAUCUUUUUGUCAGAAUUUUCAGGUAUAGUAAUUAAAUUACCACCCCAGAAUCUACCAAGUAUUUGACAAAUGACCCUUUAAGUUAUUUCGCAUUGUCAUACUUGCCAAAAUACUCAUAGCCACUGUUAAACCUGACAACUUUUUAAGACCUUUACGAGAUGUAUAUGUCAUUAGGACUUAAACACAACUUUUGCAUAUGUGUCCUAAUUUCAAUAUCAGACAAUACAUAAUUUCAAGCAACUAAGGCUUCCAUCAUCUUAUAGCAGUGCAGUCCGUAGGCAAACCUCUUUUCAAGUGUUCAAGAAUGGAACGCUUCAUGGACAGUAAGCAAAUUCAAUCAUAUGUCCACAACUUAAAAUUUGAAGCAGUAAAAACCUUAAUGGUGACGGAAUUACCAUUUACAGAAAAGGUGACUGAAAAACAAGCAGUAUAUAAUUAGCAUCAUGUGAGCAUUGUGUAACUUGACGUACAAGUACACAUCCAGAGAGUUACAUGCAAAAUCAUAUAAUCACCUUUGGGCAGAAUACAUGAUAUGCAAUUGUACACUCCCAACAUGAUAAGGGUUAUGAGAAUAUAUUCCAAUCUUCGUGAAUUCAUCACCUUUGGGCAUAUGAACCAUUAGGAUCAGUCACUCCUCCACCACACUAUCAUGUAUGCCUCCAUGAACUAAUACACAAUCACCUCCUUUGGGAGUAUAACUAUGCAUUAGACCAGGAAACAUCCCAAUCAUCAUACGAGACCGAAAUUUCUCAAACCCAAUCAAGCGUGUCACUUUGGCGGUCACUACUCAAUUGAAUCAUUGAAAUUCUCUCAUACCAAGGAUAUAAACUUUACUCAUCACAUACACCAUAUAUAUGUGAUUUUAACUUUAGUGAUAGGGGCAUCAUAUCACCAAAAUCACAUAUCAUGCUAAUUACAUUGCUUUAUUCAUUAAUAUAUAUAUAGCGAACCUGAAAGUCAGAUUCCAAUGAGAUCAUUGAUCACAGUAAUACAAGAAAUUUCUCAUAACAGAUAAUAAAACACAUCUUAUGCACCCCAAUUACAUAUUACUAGAACAACAUAAAAAGAAUUAUGAUCUAUAAUAUCUCUCACAAAUUAACAUCAAUAGUAAUAUAUGGUACACCAAAUUGACAAGCUUGACAGCCGAUCCAUUAUCACUCAUGAGUUCAUAAGGUAAAAUUGACUCCAAGGCCAACAACUGAUUUAUUAAUCAAUUUUAGGUAACAAAUAUCAUUACUUCACCCAGUGGCCUAUUAAUUGAGUCAAACCAGAGAACCAAAUAUCUAAAAUUUAAUAGUAGAUACUAUUGCUCUGCAUAAAUGUUGUCAUACUCCUUAACCAUAAAAAAUAUUCAACUUGAUAGACAUUAACAAGUGACCAGAUGAGUUCAUGUACAAUAUGCAGUAACUUAAUUGACAUGCAUUACCCACAUUCAGCAGAUGUGUUAAUCAGUACAUCAGUUUGGUCACGAGUCCUUAAGUCGUCUAUCAUUCAAAAAUUACCAGUGUGUAAAGGAGUAUACUUGAGUAACAAAAGUUUCAUAAUCUUUAUUGUUUCUCAUCAGCUCAAUACAUAGCUCAAAUACAAUCUCAUAUGAAUUGUAUCUCAUUAAGCUAGCUUCAGUUCACAAUAAAGUUUGAUUUUUAUUGAUGAAUCACACCUUUUAUUAUGUAAUAACAUACUAGUAACCCAUCACUUGUAUUUCCAAAAUCACAGAAAAUACAAGAAAAAUACGCAAAAAUACACUAAAAAUACACGUAUUUAGGGUUCCAUAUGCAAUUUCACAUCAAUAAAACCAUCAAAAAUAUAAAAUAAAUAUACCACAAGAUAGGAAAUCACCAUACGAGUCCAACGCCACCAACCACGCGCCAAGAUAAGCUUCCACGUGCCUGCACGCGCCGUCUGAGUGCGCGGCGCGUGGGGCUCACGCGCAGCGUGCGUUCGACGCCUAGGCGGCGCGUGGCCGCGCGUGGGGGCGCGUGCGUCAUCCCCCAGCGACGCGCCGCCGACCCUCUUGCUCGUCUCGUCUCCCCCAAUCCAAAUUUGUGAUUUAAUUUAAUUUUCAUUGAACAAAAAAUCUCGAAAAUCACAAAUUAGGGCAAGAUCAAUACCAAUUAGGGCUAAUCCAUACAAAUUAGGGUAGAUCUGUACAAAUUAGGGCAAAACCAAUUGUGUUCGAGUUCUAGGGUUAUGGUUGCUAUGAUACCACAUGUUGAACGCAAAUUGCGCAACCCCAAGAUCUCCAUAACCAGAACAAGAACAUGCAUAAUUGAGUAGAAAGAUUAACGCACCUGUUUUAGGAUCCAUCGAACAUAAAGCGGAAGCAUAAAAAAGAUUACCCACAUAUAUCAAGGGAAUCCACGCAUCAAGUCCUUCUCCUCUAUUGCCCUCCGUAUCACUGGCUCAAUGAGCCAAGAUCUCCAUAACCAGAACAAGAACAUGCAUAAUUGAGUAGAAAGAUUAACGCACCUGUUUUAGGAUCCAUCGAACAUAAAGCGGAAGCAUAAAAAGGAUUACCCACAUAUAUCAAGGGGAUCCACGCAUCAAGUCCUUCUCCUCUAUUGCCCUCCAUAUCACUGGCUCAAUGAGGUGGCCCCCCUCACGUUUAGCGUUAGGUAAACGCCCCUUAGGUGAGGAUACAUGUGAGAAUUAGGGUUAGAGGAGAGACUUGAGCACUAUUUAUAGAGUUUCCAGCCAGUCUCUCUCAUUACGGGCCAGGCUCAACUCGGCCCACACUAGCCAGCCCAUAUUAAACUAAUUAAGAAACCUUCUAUCUCACCUUAGACCAACCAUGUUUUAUGGUAACCGUAAAAACAGUAAAUUACAAUAUCAAUUAAUUUAGUCCAUAUUAGGAAAAACUCUUACAUUAUCUGCUUGACCCGCACUUGAGUGAGGAGUCCGAUUCUCCGACUUGCUCACUCGCCUACUAGAGGGAUUCCUGCUUUGAUACCACUUGUCACGAGUCGAGAGAUUCCUUGGCCUCGGAAACGACCCGUGGGCGCCUAGCGAGCGGAAUUCGCCAGGCCAGCCCUUUCUUUAGCUGUUCCAUGAACGAUACGGUGAAUGAUUCUUCGUACGAGAUCCUACCACGCCCAGCUUCGCUCGGGCGUCUAGUCCAUCGAGUAAGACAGCAGUUCUCUUUAGGCACAACAAUUGGUUUCGACCUGCCAUGGCCUCGUCAGGAGAGCGGCAUCAGCUCCCGACCAGUUUAUGCACGGGAGGCCUACCCCGUCUUCAGAGCUCCUAAGUGAUAUAAUCCUUCUAUCCUAGAACUCCUAGCACCAACCGUCCGGACGCUACUCCUAAGGACCAGUUGUGUUCUACCCUUCUGCCUCACACUCUUCACCAGAUAACCCCAAGCGCCACUCACAAGUGUCACGAGUACGGGAGGAUUCACGGACCGUGACACUAGCACUGAGUUUCAGUCCGAGGCAAAACGAAUGGUUGGAAGUUUCCGGGAAACCGGGGAGAUUAGCAGAAAACGAAUGCUUAGUAAUAUUGAUGACGAUGUGGAAGUAUUUCGUUGAAACGAAUAGUCGGCACUUGUCUGAUUUUUCUAUUGUUGGCUUUUGUCAUCAAGUAUUUCGGUGGAAGUAAUUCGAUUGGGGAGAAUGGCGGAUAUUGUUCCGCCUCCUCGGCAUAUAUACAUUCUUAACUCUUGUUUCUCCGCAGAGAAGGGAAGAAAACCAGAAAGAAUUCAAAAAGGGGGAAAAUGGCGGAAUUCGUUCUGGGCGCAGUUUCCAUAGUGUCAGGGUACCUGGUGGCUCCGGUCAAUCGUCUUUGCGGCUAUGUGAUAUCCUACGAAGGUGACGUUCGCAAACUUAAGGCCAAAGUUGCGGAGUUGGGCAACGCGAGGCAAAACGUGCAGGAUUCCAUCAAGGAUGCUCAAAACAACGUGAAGCCUAUCAAAGCCCAUGUCAAUAAAUGGAUGGAAGAUGUAGAGAAGGACACCGGGGAGGCGCACCGUGUUCUGGAUGACGACGAAAGAGCUAAGAAAACUUGCUUCUACAGGUGGCUUCCCAAGGUGCGAUAUCGUCUUGGCAGGGAGGCGAGGAGGAAAACCGAAGACAUCCAGGGACUCAUUGAUCGGAAACCAUCUGGGGAGGUCUACGACGAUCCUCCUCCAGGACUCGUUGAUGGUACUUCCGACGUGAUUUCAUGGGCCGGUGAUCGAGGCGACACUACCUUUGAUUCUCGAGCUUCCAUCUUAGAGGACAUAAUGAAUACUCUGUAUGACGAGGAGCACAAAGUGAUUGGGGUCUACGGGCCUGGUGGCGUGGGGAAGACUACGCUGUUGAAGGAAGUUGAGAAGAAACUCAGAGAAGCGGGGAGACCGUUCCGCAUGAUCGUCAAAGUGAGAGUUUCGCAGAUUCCAGACUUGAAUAAUAUCAGAGACCAGAUCGCUGACGCCUUGGGUCUGGAUCUGAAAGACAAGCAAAGCCCAGAGGGAAAAGCAGAUGUUCUGUCAGAGAGAUUGAAGAGUAAUCCGAAUGAGAAGGUUCUCAUAAUAUUUGACAACCUAUGGGUAAAACUUGAAUUGGAGGCGGUUGGAGUUCCUUGGGGAGACGUGAGCAGCAAAUGCAAGUUGUUGCUCACGUCAAGAUUUAAAAAUGUGGUGGAGCAACAAAUGGGUGCCGAUCAAACAUUUCUUCUUCAAGGUUUAACGGACGGCGAAGCUUUCAAGCUAUUUGAAAACAAGGUCGGCGACAAGCUCAAAGACAAUGAGGAAUUGAAAUCAAUAGCGAAUCAAGUGGUCAAGAAGCUCGCAGGUUUGCCUCUUUUGAUUAACUCUGUUGCAACCACUUUGAAAUCUGGCGAUGAGUCCGCAUGGAGAAACGCGCUGAUAGAAAUAGAUGACUCAAAUAAAAUAAAAAAAGAAACGAUAGUGAAGUUGAGUUAUGGCCAUUUGAAGAGCGAGGACGCGAAGUACUUAUUCUUGCUCUGUGGUCUUAGUGGCGGCACCAUUCCAGUCGAACUUCUGUUGGUACUAGCCAUGGGGCUGGGCUUGUUUCAAAGAUUUAACAAGACGAUGCCAGAUUUAAGGGAUAGAUUGAAUAAUAUGCUCGAUGAACUCCGUUCCGCUUGUUUGUUGCUGGAGGGUGGCGAUGACAAGGACAAUGUGACCAUACAUGAUCUCUACAGCGAGGUGGUCGUCUCAACUCCAUUUCAAGAUCAGAAUUCCUUAAUGAUGAACAACAGUUAUUGCGCAUUGUCAAAGGAAGAACUUGAGAAAUGUUGGGCAAUAUGCCUAGAUGAUGAUGGUACAGAUAGGCUUGCUAAACUAAUGCCGUGUCAGUUUCCAAGCUUGAAGAUACUUAUGCUGUCUAUGCCAGAAGCUUGGGAAUUGCGAGAAUGUGUAGAAGAUUUAGGAGUUCCAUUUGAUGUGGAUUAUUGCUCGACACUACUAGAUUUCAAGGACAUGAAGGAGCUUCGAGUCCUAUGUCUUCGCUUCAUGCACAUCACCAAUUUUCCUCCCUCAAUCAAAAUCCUCGAGAACCUCCGGUCAUUAUAUUUAUACAAUUGCCAUGUGGAGGAUGUGACGAUUAUUGGCAAACUCAAAGCAUUGCAGAGUCUCAGCUUCACAAGGUCGACAAUUUCUAGGCUACCUAAAGAAAUGGGGGAACUUACAAAUUUGAGAUUGUUGAAUCUAACCAAUUGCAAAAUGCUUUGGAGAAUUGAGCCUGCUGUCCUAGAACGCUUAAUCAAAUUAGAAGAGUUACAUAUGAAGGGAAGCUUUGAUCAAUGGAUGGGCAAAAAUGAAAAACCAUCAGAAUCGUGUAAUGCUAGGCUUGCCGAGUUGAGGAGCAUGACAAAACUAAAUUCUCUGGAAAUAUCGAUUUGUAAUCCCAUCAUACUCUUGGAGGUUGAUGACCUGCCAUUUGAGAACUUGACUAGAUUUUGGAUCAACAUAGGAAAUGUUUACGGAAGGGAAUUUAAAUGCUUGAGGACCAUGAAGAUCAAAUUGGAAGGGCACGAUAGUAUUCUUUCAAAAACAUGGGUCCAGAAAACUCUCCAGAAAACUCAAUACUUGUGUUUGGUCGAAUUGGGAGAGUUCGAGAACGCUAACGGGUUGUGCAUUCAAGGAUUUCUGCAAUUGAAGCAUCUUGACAUUUGGAACAGCCCAUCAAUAAAGUAUAUUGCCAGUUCACCCAAUAGUGCUUUUUCGAUUUUAGAGUCUUUGUUCCUCAAUAAUCUUAUCAAUCUGGAGAAGAUAUGCCAUGGCCACAUCGCGGCAGAGUGCUUCAGCAAACUAAAAGCUAUGAGAGUCAUAGAGUGCAACCGAUUGGAAUACUUGUGGAGUCUUUCACAUACGCAAAAUCUUGUACAGUUAGAAAAGAUUAGAGUAUGGAAUUGUAACUCAAUGCAAGCCAUUGCAAGAAAAGAUGCAGUUCCUGCCGAUUGCGAAGUUGAGUUGCCUUACCUACGUUGUAUGUAUUUGGCUGACUUACCAAAUAUGAGGAGUUUUUGCCUAAGAGUUGAGAUGACUUCAGAAGGUACUCCAAUUCAGGUAAAUUCUUCAUUUUCUCCCCCAUGUUAGUUUGUCUUAUUGAGAGGGUAUAAGUUUAUUCAACAAUAGGUAGAGGGAAGCCUCUUUCUAUGACUGCUUUUUAUUUUAUUUUAUUUUAUUUUAUUCCCAAUUUUAGAUAAUUGCACUAAUUAUUUGAGCUCAAGGGUUUCUACUAUGACUAAUUUAUUACUCAUGUCACAUUUUUAACGAGUAGAAGAAAUAGUGUAUUGAAUGAAUGAACCUUCAAUGAAUGAACGAAAUUGAAUAUUUUCAAAAUGAAUAAAGCAACCUCUGGAGAUUAAAUCAACCGAAGGCAAACGAAGAGUCACAUAGCAAAGAAAGUCCACAUAAUUUGUGUCCCAACUUCAUGCAAGUUGGAACUGAUUCCAACAUAUCAUGCCAUCAUAACUGUGUCAACGUCAACUAGUUUGGGGAUUUUUCCUUCUCCAUUUUCUUAGGCUCAAUGGAAGAUCUUAAGCUUUCGCUCUUCAUUCAAUUGAGUUUUAAAUAUUUUAUAUUGAUCGAUUAAGUUUUCGACGUUUUUAAAAGCAAGAAGCCCAUUCGUACACUUUGGUUCCAUUCAUAUUCUUUCAGGUGGGGGUUGUGGAUGAGGGAGGAGGAGAUGAAGGGACAAAGUUAGUAACCACUACUUCAAAUUUACAGAAUACUUAUUCAGAUUCCUUCUUCGACAGAAAGGUAAACAUCCCUUCUCUUAAGAUUUUACUAAUAAUAGCCAUUGAUAAUUGGCUUGCUAGGGCAGAUAAUAAUAUCUCUUUGAAGAUUCUUAUUUGAUUUUAUUUGUUAAAAUAUGUUCACGGUUUAUAACUACAUUUGUCAGUGAAUAUUAAUUCUUCCACCGCAUUAGAUUGGCGGUUAGGGUUAGGCCAAAUUAUCAAUUUUUUUCACAAUUGUAAUCCGAUGCAUAACCCUUAUGAGCAGGCUAGUUUACCAAACUUGGAGAAGUUAAAGCUUAAGUCGGUGGGAUUGUUCAAAAGGAUAUGGCACGAUGAACUUUCCAGAAGUUCCUUUUGCAAAUUAGCCACCAUCAGUGUCAAGAAUUGCUCCAACAUACUCCACAUCUUCCCUUUGACAAUCAUGGGGAGAUUGCACAACCUGAAAAGUGUCAGGGUUAAUAACUGUCCAUCCUUGAAAACAUUGUUCGAUUGUGGGUCCUUGGAUUCAAAUAUGGAGCAAACAACGGUAUUGCUCCCCGAAUUGGUAAGCAUCGACAUUAGAAGCUGUCCCUCCCUAAAAUCGUUGUUUAAUUGUGGGUCCCUUGAUUCAAAUGUGGAGGACUUAAAGCUUGGCUCGGUGGGAUCGUUCAAAAGGAUAUGGCACGAUGAACUUUCUAGAAGUUCCUUUCGCAAAUUAGCCACCAUCACUGUCAAGAAUUGCUCCGACCUACUCCACAUCUUCCCUUCGACAAUAGUAGGGAGAUUGCACGACCUGAAAAGUGUCAGGGUUAAAUACUGUCCAUCCUUGAAAUCGUUGUUUGAUCUUAGGUCCCUAGAUUCAAAUACAGAACAAAAUGCGGUAUUGCUCCCUAAAUUGGAAUGGAUCGACAUUGAAACCUGUCCCUCCCUGGAAUCGUUGUUUCAUUGUGCGUCCCUCGAUUCAAAUGCGGAGCACAAAAUUAUAUUACUCCCCAAACUGGAGAAAGUGAGGGUGAGUGGAGCAAAAAAGCUAAGACACGUGGUCACGAGCCACUCCCAAAUAGUUUUGGGUUUUCCUAGUCUUGAAACUGUUAGUGUUGAGAAUUGUUCUAACCUGAGAUAUCUCUUCGCCGAAUAUACGGCCACAACUUUGGAGAAACUUGAGCUGCUAGAAAUUACUAAAUGCGAACAAAUGAAGGAAGUGAUUCUCGAGAAAGAGGUUGGUCGAUCAAAGGCAGAAGUGAUGAGUUUCCCUUGCUUAAGUGAAUUAACACUUAAGGAGCUCGAUAACCUGAUUAGUUUUAGUUCAGGAAGUGUCAAGAGGCAGAUAAGCGAGACAGCUGAAGAAAAUGAUGAAUCGCCACGACGAUAUUGCUCCCUGAAUUGUCCAUCCUUGAAAUCAUUGUUUGAUUUUGGGUCCCUAGAUUCAAAUACGGAACAAAACGCGAUAUUGCUCCCUGAAUUGGAAAGGAUCAAAGUUGAAAGCUGCCCCUCCCUGGAAUCGUUGUUUAAUUGUGCGUCCCUCGAUUCAAAUGCGGAGCACAAAAUUAUAUUACUCCCCAAACUGGAGGAAGUGAGGGUGAGUGGAGCAAAAAAGCUGAGACACGUGGUCACGAGCCACUCCCAAAUAGUUUUGGGUUUUCCUAGUCUUGAAACUGUCAGUGUUGAGAAUUGCUCUGACCUGAGAUAUCUCUUCCCCAAAUAUACGGCCACAACUUUGGAGAAACUUGAGUUGCUAGAAAUUACUAAAUGCGAACAAAUGAAGGAAGUGAUUCUCGAGAAAGAGGCUGGUCGAUCAGAGGCAGAAGUGAUGAGUUUUCCUUGCUUAAGUGAAUUAACACUUAAGGAACUCGAUAACCUGAUUAGUUUCGGUUCAGGAAGUGUCAGGAGGCAGCUAGGCCAGACAACCGAAGAAAAUGAUGAAUCGCCACGACCGCUAUUCAAUGAGAUGGUUCGUUCUAUUCUUUACUGUGAUCCUUUGUAUUCUCGCAUUAUCAUGUUUUAUAAUGAAGAAUGUAAUGAAUUUGUCCAACUUAUCCUCAUUUCUCACAUUAUCCUUGUGCAGGUCACAUUUCCCAAUAUGAGAAAUCUAAAAAUUGAAGGCGUUCCAUGCAAAGAGCUGUGGAACAAUCAUGUUCUCGCCGAUUCCAGUGUUUGUUCCCACCAAUUCCUUUCAAAAAAUGUUGAGGUUAAAAACUGUCCAUCCUUGAAAUCAUUGUUUGAUUUUGGGUCCCUAGAUUCAAAUGCGGAACAAAACGCGAUAUUGCUCCCUGAAUUGGAAAGGAUCAAAGUUGAAAGCUGCCCCUCCCUGGAAUCGUUGUUUAAUUGUGCGUCCCUCGAUUCAAAUGCGGAGCACAAAAUUAUAUUACUCCCCAAACUGGAGGAAGUGAGGGUGAGUGGAGCAAAAAAGCUGAGACACGUGGUCACGAGCCACUCCCAAAUAGUUUUGGGUUUUCCUAGUCUUGAAACUGUCAGUGUUGAGAAUUGCUCUGACCUGAGAUAUCUCUUUCCCAAAUAUACGGCCACAACUUUGGAGAAACUUAGGUGGCUAAAAAUUACUAAAUGUGAACAGAUGAAGGAAGUGAUUCUCGAGAAAGAAGCUGGUCGAUCAGAGGCAGAAGUGAUGAGUUUUCCUUGCUUAAGUGAAUUAACACUUAAGGAACUCGAUAACCUGAUUAGUUUCGGUUCAGGAAGUGUCAGGAGGCAGUUAGGCCAGACAACCGAAGAAAAUGAUGAAUCGCCACGACCGCUAUUCAAUGAGAUGGUUCGUUCUAUUCUUUACUGUGAUCCUUUGUAUUCUCGCAUUAUCAUGUUUUAUAAUGAAGAAUGUAAUGAAUUUGUCCAACUUAUCCUCAUUUCUCACAUUAUCCUUGUGCAGGUCACAUUUCCCAAUAUGAGAAAUCUAAAAAUUGAAGGCGUUCCAUGCAAAGAGCUGUGGAGCAAUGAUGUUCCCGCCGAUUCCAUUGUUUGUUCCCACCGAUUCCUUUUAAAAAAAGUCGAGGUUAAAAACUGUCCAUCCUUGAAAUCAUUGUUUGGUUUUGGGUCCCUAGAUUCAAAGAUGGAACAAAACGCGGUAUUGCUCCCUGAAUUGAAAAGGAUCAAAGUUGAAAGCUGUCCCUCCCUGGAAUCGUUGUUUAAUUGUGGGUCCCUUGAUUCAAAUGCGGAGCACAAAAUUAUAUUGCUCCCCAAAUUGAAGGGAGUGAGGGUGAGUGGAGCAAAAAAGCUGAAACACGUGGUCAUGAGCCACUCCCAAAUAGUUUUGGGUUUUCCUAGUCUUGAAACUGUCAGUGUUGAGAAUUGCUCUGACCUGAGAUAUCUCUUUCCCAAAUAUACGGCCACAACUUUGGAGAAACUUGAGUUGCUAGAAAUUACUAAAUGUGAACAAAUGAAGGAAGUGAUUCUCGAGAAAGAGGCUGGUCGAUCAGAGGCAGAAGUGAUGAGUUUUCCUUGCUUAAGUGAAUUAACACUUAAGGAACUCGAUAACCUGAUUAGUUUCGGUUCAGGAAGUGUCAGGAGGCAGCUAGGCCAGACAGCCGAAGAAAAUGAUGAAUCACCACGACCGCUGUUCAAUGAGAUGGUUCGUUCUAUUCUUUACUAUGAUCCUUUGUAUUCUCGCAUUAUCAUGUUUUAUAAUGAAGAAUGUAAUGAAUUUGUCCAACUUAUCCUCCUUUCUCACAUUAUCCUUGUGCAGGUCACAUUUCCCAAUAUGAGAAAUAUAAAAAUUGAAGGCGUUCCAUGCAAAGAGCUGUGGAACAAUCAUGUUCUCGCCGAUUCCAGUGUUUGUUCCCACCAAUUCCUUUCAAAAAAUGUUGAGGUUAAAAACUGUCCAUCCUUGAAAUCAUUGUUUGGUUUUGGGUCCCUAGAUUCAAAGAUGGAACAAAACGCGGUAUUGCUCCCUGAAUUUGAAAGGAUCGACAUUGAAAGCUGUCCCUCCCUGGAAUCGUUGUUUACUUGUGGGUCCCUUGAUUCAAAUGCGGAGCACAAAAUUAUAUUGCUCCCCAAAUUGAAGGGAGUGAGGGUGAGUGGAGCAAAAAAGCUGAAACACGUGGUCAUGAGCCACUCCCAAAUAGUUUUGGGUUUUCCUAGUCUUGAAACUGUCAGUGUUGAGAAUUGCUCUAACCUGAGAUAUCUCUUCCCCAAAUAUACGGCCACAACUUUGGAGAAACUUGAGUUGCUAGAAAUUACUAAAUGCGAACAAAUGAAGGAAGUGAUUCUCGAGAAAGAGGCUGGUCGAUCAAAGGCAGAAGUGAUGAGUUUCCCUUGCUUAAGUGAAUUAACACUUAAGGAACUCGAUAACCUGAUUAGUUUCGGUUCAGGAAGUGUCGGGAGGCAGAUAAGCGAGACAGCUGAAGAAAAUGAUGAAUCGCCACGACCGCUGUUCAAUGAGAUGGUUCGUUCUAUUCUUUACUGUGAUCCUUCGUAUUCUCGCAUUAUUAUGUUUUAUAAUGAAGAAUGUAAUGAAUUUGUCCAACUUAUCCUCAUUUCUCACGUUAUCCUCAUGCAGGUUACAUUUCCUAAUAUAACAUGUCUGGAAAUUAAGGGUCUUUGGUGCAAAGAGCUAUGGAACAAUCAAAUUCCCACCAAUUCCUUUCAAAAGUUGAAAUCUCUUGUAUUGGAGAAUUGUGACAAUCUCCAAUGUAUUGCCAGUUCUUAUAUGUGGAAGAAGCUGCAGCGCUGUCUCGAGAAACUAAAAGUGAUUUCAUGCCAUUCGAUCAAGAUCAUAUACGAAGGUGAUGGGACGAAUACAGAGAGUGGUGAAUUGAGGUGGCUGGUUUUGCUUGAUCUUGAAAACUUGAGGUGCAUUUGGCAGUCCGAUAGUCUCCCAAACAUCCCGUUCCCAAAUUUGAGAGACAUAGAGGCCGUGAGGUGCCCCCGUUUGGAAAUGCUUUUCCCUACCUUCACUGUGAAAUUUCUCAGGAAAAUCAAAGAGCUGGUGGUGGAGUCAUGUGAAGAUCUAGAACUAAUUGCUGGCCAUGAAAAAUGGGAAGAAGUGACCGGCACCACAAUCACCUUCUCCGAGUUAACUGAUCUUAAACUUUUCAAGUUGCCGAAAUUCAAAAGCUUCUUACCUGAGAAAUACUCUCUAAAAUUCUCGUGCUACGAGAACUUCCCAUCCUUGAAAGCCUUGAGUAUAGUAAGCUGUGGAGCAGAGCCAGACCUAAGCUAUGAAGUAGAGUCGAACCAACUCUCUGAUUACUCGGAAGACUCGGACCCGCGCUAUGAAGCAGAGUGGAACUAAGUCCUUGAUUACUCGGAAGACUCCCAAAUAGAAUGAAGACUUCGCAAGCAUUCAUAAGACAUCAGGUAUUCCUUCAAUAUUUCAUUGCUUUGGUUUGGCUUUUUGUUCCUUUGAAUCAAAAAUCGGUUUGUAUAGCUAAGACACAAUUCUUAGUGGGACCCAGACGCACUCUACAUCACGUGGCCCUCUCUCUUCCUUUUUCUCUCUCUCUAGCUCUCUUUCUUACUCUCUUCAACUAACGAUGUAUCGAUUCCCUUCUAUCCAUCCACCCACAGCCGCCACCGAGAGUCCAUCGCUGGCCACCACAUGACAUGGCGCGCUGAGAAGGGACGAAGAACAGAGAGCAUUGAUCGAAGGCUCUCGGUGAUUUCAAUUGAAUCCUUUCCUCUCACUUGGCUGCUUGUCGUCACCGCUUCCCGAUCACCACUUGUUCUGCUACCGCGAAGAAGUUCUGUAAUGUCGGAGUGCUCGAACUUGGGUCACGACUGCCUACUUCGACGAUUCCAUCCCUUGAUGUUGCUUCUAUUAUUUCUUUACUCAUAUCCGAUCUCAAUUGCUAUAGCUAAUCGUUCUCUAGUCAACUAAACCAUAUAUGCUAUGUUUUCUGUUCCUAUUGCUACUGUCUGUGUGCAAAUCAACGACUAUGAUUGAAGGGUUGUAUUAAUGAUUUGAAGCAGUGCUUCUCGGCCUAAAUUAAUGUAUGCAACCUGUUUGAUGAAAUUCCUGAACUAAGUCGGUGUGUAUUUUUUAUUCAAUUCUUGACCGAGAAUUCCCUUGAUUACUAGAUUGUUGAUCUAUACUGGUCAUUUAAGCAUAUUUGAGUUGUGUUUCUUCAUAGAAAAAUCAUAGGUGUUCAAUUUCAAACUUGUUUGGAAUCUGCUGGAACCUUGUCGAUACUUGCUGAUUCGCCAUUGUUGCGGCCCUGAGCUGAUGUCAAUUGGUCCUUGAUUUUAUGCUAUUCCACUCAAGUAAGCAUGUGCAGUGAUAUAAGAUUGUCUUAUGGUGAAUUUCAUGUUUGUUUGGAAAAGAAAUUAUGUCAUGGAUGAAUGAAAUUCUACUGGAAAUUGAUCCAUGUAUGCUGGCCCUGUCUUGAUAUCCCUGAUUGGGUGUGCUUUUGAUUCCAGCUUGAAGCUAGUUUGGUUAUGGGAUCAUAUAUGUUCAUGCUAGGAAAGUAAUAGGGUGAAUUUCAUACCAUUUAGCGAGAAUUGGGUUCAUCUCCGAACUUGAAUAUGCUAGAGCGAAGUAUUGCAUGCUGACCAUGAUUGUUUUGUUUAAAUUUGGCACUAAUUUGGUCUUUGAUUGAUGUCAUUUUGAUCAAGUAGACUCAUAUGCACUUAUAGGAUGAUAUGGCUCCUAUUCAUGUGAAUUAGUCAUCAAAAGAUCACAAUUUGUGGUCUUUAUGCUCUGUUACAAUUUUGAACACGUGCCGGAAUUUUUGUCUUUAUUUGGUUGCCUUCUUUAUUGCCCGUGGAUAAGUGAUAUGCAUGUGCAUGAUUAAAUUGAUGAGACGUGCGCUUGAUAUUGCCAUGAGAGUCUUGGCCUGAUAAAUAAUUUAGAGGACUCUAAUGUUAAUUGAAGUUUAAUUCCAUAAUUCUUGCGAUUCCAAAGGAAACCCUUUACUAGUACACAUAUUUUGAAGGUGAUAUGGUAGACUAAGCCAGAUUUGAGGAAAUCCCUCAACGAAGCUAGUCAAUGAGGCCCCUCGAAAUAUCGCAUGUAUGACACUUGCCAACAAAGUUCAUGUAUUCUCUUCCUCUCCUUUGACGCUCACCGUUCAAGGCUUAUUUACAAGAGCUAUUGCUUAAAUCUAAUUGAUCCUUCAAGUGUGUGUGUUUGUACCAAGACACUGUGCACAACACCAAUUGCAACCUACUCAUUCAUGAUGUCCUUUUUCUAGGAGUGUUCACUGGUCACUAUUGCUCAGAAUGAUGUUUCAAAGAUACAAUUUUUGUUUUCCUCCCUCCCCCAUAGAAUUUGCAAAGGCAUGUCACUAGCACUACUAGUAACCUGCCCUUGAAAUCCAUCAUGACCCUGCCCAUAUGAUCCACCAGGAGUAGGUCCCUAGUUCCGAUUGUCUCUCCUAUAAACUAUUCUGCAAUGGAGGUGCAGAGCUCCAUCUAUCUCCUUGCAUCUAUCUCCUUGCAGCAGGUCUCUCUAUUGAUGAUAGUAAUAAUUUUUUAUGACCCUGCUGAUAGGAGGUCCCCUGAUCUGAAAAAGUUGAAUCUUUUCCCUCUAAGAAGUUUAUGCUAUAAAUCUCGAAUGGAAAACACUUAGCCAAGAAGAACUUGAUGAACCAUAUGAAUUUAUCUUAAUGUCCACACGAUAACAUCAACUCAUCCAAAGCAUUUUAUACAACAAUGGCAUUGUGUGUCCUUUCCACAACUUGCUUUAAUCAAUAGAGAAUAUCCAUCUGAAUCACAACUUUGUCCUGCUCAGCUCAUUCUACUCAUAUUUCUCAAUUUCAGCAACUCAAAACACUGCGAUUUAACCCAAAAUCACUUGAAAAUUUUGUUAUAUAUCAUUGCAUUUGCAUACUAUUAGAAUCGAAUGCCACUAAUUUUACAUAGUCGAUCAUGUCGUGAGAGCAUCGGGAAGAGUGGUGGGCUAUCCGAGGAUUUUGCCACCCACAUCGGGAAACGUUUCGAAACCGGCCAAAGGACCAACUUUACCGUCUCUGCUCACAUGGAUGGGAUACUGUAUCAGGUGGCCUCUCAUUUCCUUGGGAUUAUGUUGGUCCUCAUCCACAUAAGCUUUCCAAUUCUGUUUGGCUAUUUUGUUCACCCUCUUCACGCAUUCAGUGCUUUGAGGUUCCCUAAAGCUGUCCUCUAAAUCUCCAAAGUGCUCUGCCCAAAGCAACAUCCUAUAACCAUAAACCUACGCAGCAUAAGCUAACAUUAUUAGUCACAAGCUUAAGGUUUUGAUAGAUGUCGCUACACUCGCAAGGGUGUCUACCUAGUACCUCUAUUUAGAUAAGAGGCUAAUCCGAUGUACUAACCUGGCCAUGCGGAUGCCUCUUUUUCCCAUCCCAAGUGUGAUGCGGCUGAUAAGCCCCAUUGCGAUUUCGGUGUCUCUUGAGCCAUCUAGAGAUCUUUGGUUGAUAUUUGCCGAUCCCAUGAUCACAUACUCAUCAUCUACUAUCAUCCCUUUGGCAUGCACGUAUAUCAUGAACCUGUGAAACUUUUGAACCGAAGCCUGCAUGGAUAGAAACGACAGCAUGUUUCAAAGCAGAAGUCUUUUUACCACUCAUUCAAAAACCAUAGCUCUUAAAGACUAUUUUUGUUUUGCUUUUUUAACAGAUAAGUCAAAGGAAGAAUCCAUGAAAAGAGUAUAGACAUAUACCAAGGCAUUAUUUUCGGAUUGCUGAUUCGUUGCCUGGGAUGAAGAUUGUGUAGAGGACAAGGGCUCCCGCUUGCCAAGGCAAUAGAAGUUCAAGUAAUCUGACAGAUGGUACUUGUGUGACAACCCGACUUUUUUGAGAGUCUGGGCUAUAAUUUUGUACAUCAUCGUCAUGGUUUGUCCCCGUCCACGUCAUGGUUUGUCCCCAUCCACAUUAUCAAUACAUAAAUAUGAGAGUAGUGAAUGUUUAUCUCUUGGAGAAAAAUACUAAAUGACCUAAACAAGGUCGGGUCUCAUUUUUUCCCCUUUGAGUAGCUAGGUUUCUUCUGCUUGGAUCACUUCCUUUUCUGCUUAACUCUGUUCAAUGUGUUAUUCAGUUUCAAUUUGCUAGGACGUUACUUAUUGAUAUACCGUUAUCGAAAUGCAAGUGUCAUCGCUAUUUGUUUGCAAGAUGAAAGAGUUUAUCCUUGAUCUGACCUGCCAGAAGAGAAUUUCUUGCACUGCAGCACUAGUAAGGACACCCUCGGGCCACAUUGGUAUCACUAUAUACACGUAGAAGCGCUCAUUUUCACUGAUCUUUCUUGCGAUCUUCAACGCCAGCUCCAUCGGCACUAGAUUGUUUGCACCUGCUUGUCAAAACCAAAUCAAGCGUUGUUUCCCAUGAAAACUUGAACUCAAGAAAUUAGGACUGAAACAAAACUAGAAAAUGGGGGAAAAAUCUAAAUUUAAAAAGGUUUGACCUCAGAAAUAUAACAUAUUGAAUCAGAAGUCAAUUUUAAUGUCUUAUAUAGUGAGAUCUAGCUCUUAUUAGCUGAUACACAAUCCCCAGAGGAAGCAAAGUUCGAUACUCUUUACUAGAGGUGCUAUUGCUCACUAAACUCAAGUCAGUUAGAAUGAAUAGAAAUGUGCAUCAUAUACCUGCAUUUUUGUAUGAUGGCCAAUGGUAGGAAGAGCCAAGAAAAUAUUGGUUUUCAAUAUAGAUGAAGUGUUGCGCCGAUCUAAUCGCUUUCACAUAUGCCGUGUGAAUCCUCUUGUCUACUUUCAAGUUCUUUCCGCAUAUAAGAUUCUGCAACCAUGAAGAGAUUGAAAGAAGCAACAUUAUCAUUGUGGGCUUCAAUCUAUAUUAAAAAACACUAAGAGUUGUGCACAAGAAAGAAAAGUGACUUUCUAAUGUGAGGAAAAAUUUUCAAGUUACGCUUAUAUAACGGCCACUUGCCUAUCUACUAGCAUGGAAUUAGCAGCUAAAACUUACUUGCUUUGCAGCUUCUUCAACGCUCUUUGGGAAUCCCUUUACAGAUCCUGAAUCAAUUGAUCUGAAGAUCUAUACCAACGUAAAAUAGAAAUGAAAGACCAUCAUUACACUUCGUUUUGUUUACGAAUGAAGUCCUUAAAAAUGGUCAUUAAUUUUACAUAAAGUUUCCCGACCUGCACGUGCCAAUUUUCCAGGUCAUCUUCGUCCUUAACUUGUACUUUUUGUUGCCAUCGGGGCUUGUCGAGGGACAAAGUAUCCAUGAAAUCCUGUCAAGCCUUAAGAGAGCAUUCUCAUGCCAACGCCUGACGUUUUUUAGCUUGAACACGCGCCACUUCACCGCCUUUUUCCAUCUCUGUUCGAAAUUCUUCAAUAUGUCAUACACAGCUUGUCCCUCAACUUUGCAAUGUAGAUCAUGCCACGGUUGCCUUGGGACAUUGACAGUGGACUACAGUCGUUACCCAAAAAAAAAAAAGCAAUGAUUAAAUGAUCAGAAAAUAACGUUUACUUGUGUUUACAAUGCUGAAGAGAAACAUUAGCUUAAUUACCGUGAAUGUUGGGUUGUGAAUGUCAUUGUUAAACACGGUGUCACGAUCGCUAUAGAGUCUAUGCUUGGGAGUGUUGUGUCGGCCAUCACAUAGGUCCAACCCACCAAUGAAAGCUGUUAUUUUGCGGUUGUUUCCCGAGGCUUGAGUGUCGAGAACCACGCACUUUUGGUGGUGCGUGUACAGGGUCCCCACCACCUGGACUACAAAAGAUCCACACACCAACAAAUUAAACCAAACAUUUUCAUAGAUUUAUGCUGGAUUUCAAUUGAAUGUGCAGUCUCUACAACACUAUCAAAUUCCCUAUUAGAGCUGUCCCAGAUGCAUGUCAUUAGGUCAGAAAACACAUGAUAUGAUAUAAGACAGCAUGAGACAAAUCAAUAAACUUCCACGGAUAGUCUGAUGAAAAGAGAACCUUUCCCAUGAAAUUAUACCCGAUUGGAAUAUCAUGAAAUUAUACCUGAUUGGAAUAAUUAGGUAAUAUAUAUCAAAAGUAAUGCUUUUGAUGCAAUCAGACAAUGAGAUUCUGAUUAAGAAUCGACCUAAACAUCUAAGGAUACAUACAUGUUGCUUGAAAAUGCUGAGUUUGGUGCUUGCAUAACGAGGAGCAAGCACACAGUGGACACCAGAGUGUUGAAAAAACUUCUUUGUCUCUUCAUCAUGAGUUUGCAUCACGCCAUCCUACACAACAACAUGGCACAUGCCGAGUCUCAAUGGUGAGAGAUCUCGAUAAAGAAAUUUUCCUAAGUCGGACAGAUUUUUAGUCACAAAGAGCAUGGAUUUGAGAUUUGGCCAAAUGGUGGGUUGCACCAUAAAUAAGGAUGCUUAUUCAAGAAAGAGCCCUUAUAUAACAUAUUCUCCAUUUGGAUUUUGCAAAGGCUAACUGAAAGGAAGAACUAUUAGAGGUCAAGAUUUUGAUUAGUCCAUCCUUUGUGUCGAAAAACAAAAAACUUCUUGUUUUGUAAACAUUCAUUAAGCCGACAGUAAAAGUGAGAAAAUCCUUUACUGACUAUGCACCAUUGAUAAAAAGGGUGAUCCUUAGAUGCGAUGCCAGUAGAAUGAAAAAUAUGUUCGCAUGGGCUCUCACCACCAUUGAUGCAUUGAUUGUAACUUCAAACCACUCUAUUGCACUGGCCCAACACAUCAGUAGUGAUGGAAGCCGCGGGCGGACAAAUUUUUCUCGACCUGACAGUAUUUCAGUCAUCCCAAAAACCAUAAAGACAUUUUCAUGUUUCAGCAAUGCAUAGUUACAUGUAAGCAUGGUUUAGUAUUACCGUCUUCAAGAGGAACUUGUCGUGUGAAGUUUUGUCAUCCCAAACGAGCACGACCACUCGGACGCCUUCCUCGGACUUGUGCUUCAGGAGCUCCCCUAAAGAGAGCUUUCCUUCAUUCGGCAAUUCCCUUGUUGUUAGGGAAAUCCCUUAUGAUGUUUUGAAGAUGACAAAAUAAAUCAAAGGCUACUAACAUGUUUGAUGGUUGAGUAAUAGACCAUGCAGAUAAUAGAACAUGUAAAGGAUAUUAUCAAAGUCUGAAGACUGCUAGACUCAAGACUCAAAGUCUGAAGACUGCCAGACUCGAGACUCAAAGUCUGAAGGCUACCAGACUUUAGUAUCAAAGUCUGUUCUACCUCAGAAGUCUGUUAACUCUGACUAAUUCCAGAUUGAACGUGAAUGAUGAACCAGAAGACAGACUCUAUGCUGAAGCUGAACUGGGUACAGACCCAGAUUGUAAAGUCUAGAGACUCAGAUUGUAAAGUCUAGAGACUCAGAUUGUAAAGUCUCAAGACUCAUAUCGUAAAGUCUAAAGACUCAGACUUUACAUCCAGAUUCGAUGAAUCGUAACUCAAGCCCAAUCAUACAACGGCUAGUGAUCUGGUUUGAAUUCCACAUCAAGAUUGAUUUGAUUGAUUCAAUCUACUUGAUUGACGAUUGGAUGUUGAAGACAAGAAAUUUCUAUACGAAGAAGCUUUACUUAUGGAAACCAAGAUUUCGUUUGUAUGGGCGAUCGGAAUCAAUUUGGGAUUCUACCUUUGUCACUCAACGGCUACCAAAUCUUCUAGAUACAGAGCUGUCCAAUGGGUAUAUUGGAAGACGAUUCUCCGGGAUACUGUCCAACGGGUAGUUUGGAAGUGGAGGAGUAUUUAAGGAGAUCAUGGACCGAUGAGCAAGUAAGAGACGGAGCGUAGAAUUUAUAAUUCCAAAGUCUAAGCGACUUUAGAUCAUAUACUUGUCUCUUGAGAGCUUAAACGUUUGUAAUCAUGAGAGAAAUACCAAGAGAGUGACUUAGUGAGAUAGUGUGAUCUACUAAGUGUUUGCACUCGGAGUUGUAAUCUCUUGUUGAUUGCAUAGUGGAAUCCAGCCAAGAAGGCUGUUAUCGUGGGAGAGUGGACGUAGGCUUGGAUUAAGCCGAACCACUAUAAAUCUUGUGUUCUUAUUCUCUUCCCUAACUCCUUUAUUUUGUUCAUACUAGCACUCUCAAUUGGUAUCAGAGCCAAGUGCUCGGUUUAUAAAAGUGUUUUUACUUUUGAGCUAAAGAUUCUUUAUGGCUAGUAUGUUGGCACCAGGACUUAUGGAAGGGCAAAGCAACACAAGGCCACCAUAUUUCGAUGGAAGAAAAUACAAGCAGAAUGGCCAGAAAAGAAUCAUGAAAGAAGAUGAUGAGCAAAGAAAUCUAUGCUUAAUGGCACAUUCAGAAUCUGAGUCUGACUCAGACACAGACUCAGAAACAGAGUCUCAUUCAGAACCAGACUCAGAAUCCGAUGAGGAAAUCAAGGGGAGAAAUCAAAUCCAAAAGAAAAGGAAAAGAAUCGUGAUCAUCUCAAAAAGGCAACAAAUUGAGGGGGAGCUUUGAUCAAUUAUGGAAAAAUCUUUUUUGAUUGAUCGUGAUCUUAUUAUGGAUGGAAGGAAAGGUAAUUGUGUCAGAAUUUAUUCUACAAAAUCCGGUUAGUGCAUCUCUUAUUACCUUUUGUCAUUAACAAAUCUCAUAUUGAUAUUAUCAUGACAAAAAUGGUACGUGAAUUUUAUGAUGCAUCAGUGAUUUUUAUUGGAUAUUUGCUGAUAUAAUCGAAGUGAGCUAUAUUGCAUAUCUUUAAUAUUCGAUAAAAGCUGAUUUUUGAAAAUUGUGAUUCAUGCAAGAUAUUUGUUAUCAUUCUCUACGUGAAUCCAUUAUCACUUUUUAAUUAUGACAAAAAGGGGGAGAAGUUAUGAAUAUGCAUAUGUGCUGAUUGGUUAAUAUUAUAUUAUCUAUGGCAUAAUAUUGAGCUGCGAUUAUUUUCUAUAUAUUCUUAUGCUCAAUCUAUUUGUUAUCUUGUGAUAUCCUUUGAUUUAAAAGUAUGUUUACAAAUCUGCAUAUUCAGAGAUUGUUUUGUCAUCAUCAAAAAGGGGGAGAUUGUUAGGGAAAUCCCUUAUGAUGUUUUGAAGAUGACAAAAUAAAUCAAAGGCUACUAACAUGUUUGAUGGUUGAGUAAUAGACCAUGCAGAUAAUAGAACAUGUAAAGGAUAUUAUCAAAGUCUGAAGACUGCUAGACUCAAGACUCAAAGUCUGAAGACUGCCAGACUCGAGACUCAAAGUCUGAAGGCUACCAGACUUUAGUAUCAAAGUCUGUUCUACCUCAGAAGUCUGUUAACUCUGACUAAUUCCAGAUUGAACGUGAAUGAUGAACCAGAAGACAGACUCUAUGCUGAAGCUGAACUGGGUACAGACCCAGAUUGUAAAGUCUAGAGACUCAGAUUGUAAAGUCUAGAGACUCAGAUUGUAAAGUCUAGAGACUCAGAUUGUAAAGUCUAGAGACUCAGAUUGUAAAGUCUCAAGACUCAUAUCGUAAAGUCUAAAGACUCAGACUUUACAUCCAGAUUCGAUGAAUCGUAACUCAAGCCCAAUCAUACAACGGCUAGUGAUCUGGUUUGGAUUCCACAUCAAGAUUGAUUUGAUUGAUUCAAUCUAAUUGAUUGACGAUUGGAUGUUGAAGACAAGAACUUUCUAUACGAAGAAGCUUUACUUAUGGAAACCAAGAUUUCGUUUGUAUGGGCGAUCGGAAUCAAUUUGGGAUUCUACCUUUGUCACUCAACGGCUACCAAAUCUUCUAGAUACAGAGCUGUCCAAUGGGUAUAUUGGAAGACGAUUCUCCGGGAUACUGUCCAACGGGUAGUUUGGAAGUGGAGGAGUAUUUAAGGAGAUCAUGGACCGAUGAGCAAGUAAGAGACGGAGCGUAGAAUUUAUAAUUCCAAAGUCUAAGCGACUUUAGAUCAUAUACUUGUCUCUUGAGAGCUUAAACGUUUGUAAUCAUGAGAGAAAUACCAAGAGAGUGACUUAGUGAGAUAGUGUGAUCUACUAAGUGUUUGCACUCGGAGUUGUAAUCUCUUGUUGAUUGCAUAGUGGAAUCCAGCCAAGAAGGCUGUUAUCGUGGGAGAGUGGACGUAGGCUUGGAUUAAGCCGAACCACUAUAAAUCUUGUGUUCUUAUUCUCUUCCCUAACUCCUUUAUUUUGUUCAUACUAGCACUCUCACUUGUGAGCUCUCUCACAAGCCUCACAUGAUGAUAAAUGGACCAACCAAUGAUGUAGAUCAAGUGGUAGGUCUCCAAAAUGGCAUGGCAUAUAUCCUUUCAGCACCUACCUUGCUCAUAAAUCUUCCCAUCAUCAAGCAAAAUCUAAGGCAGCUUGCGCUUUGGGACAUGAGCAUCUUGCUAAAAUGUCACAUCCCCACCUUUCCUUAAGUGGAAAAUAUGUGUUUGGUACACUCACAUAGUUUGGCCCAACCCCAACACCAUUCUUGCAUAAUAGAUUAUCACUAAUCAGCAUGAAUUGGAUCGAGAUGUGAAGUUUUGGAUAGGACUUGAGGGGGCUUCUGAAGUUGUCAAUUAUUGGGAACUAGCCAUUGAUCGUGUUGCCAAACACAAUCUUGUCCAUUGGUAUAUCCACGACCCUGAUGAGCUCGGCCCCAAAUGCAUCUUUGUUCUUCACAUAAGACUCCACCUUCAUUAUUGGCUGCGCUAAGGAGGAAUAGAAUUGCUUGUCCCAUGGAGGUUUUCACAAUUCAAAAUUAUUAACACCUAAAUUUUGUCAACAAUGCACGGACAAAAUUAUGAACAACAAUAAUGGUAAAAAAUUGUCACACGACUUUACCUAAAAAAAAAAAAAAUUGUCACACGCCAUUGCUGGACUUCGAUUGCGGGUUCCAGUGUCGUCUGGCUGCAGCUCUGAUCGCGUGCUGUUCGACCGCGAGGCGCUCCUUCGGUUUGUUCUUUCACUUCAGUGAUCGGCGGAAGGUUGCCGUAAGUUCAAACCGCAUGGAAAAGGACGCCCCGGCUCAGUCGACUCCCAACCAUCACUUUCGAAUCUUCUCUCCACUGAUUGAGCUCUUCCAUUUCUUACUCUAAAUCAAGCCCUAGUGUCGUCCUCGCGUCAAGCUCUGGGAAUCAGAAUCAAAGUUGCUCUCGCGUCGAAUGAAUGUUUGGAUACUGCUCAGGAGGCGUUCGAUGAAAUGAUAUUUGGUCCUAAAGUGGUGGUGUGAUUAAUUGUCUUCACAUUGCAAGUGGGAUCAUAAAAUUCCAUGAAUUGGACCUUUGAUUGUAUGCGACGACACGAUAUUCUUCCGCAGCUAUGUUCGAGAAAGCUGCGAAUUUAAUUAAUGCGAGACAAAGGGCGUAGCGUUCCGUCGAUGAAGCUCAAAACAACACGAAGCCGAUCAAAGCGGGCGUCCAGAAAUGGGUAGACAGGCGCGGAGAUCCUUGCCGAUGAGGCGCGCGGCGUGCUGGAAAACGACAGAAGAGCCAAGAAAACUUGCUUCCGCAGGUAGUUUCCCAACCUGAAGGGGCACUAUCGUCUUGGCAGGGUGGCGAGGAGGACAGCCGAGGCCAUCCGGGCACUUGAAUCGCAGAGUGAAUUCCGAAAGGUCUACUACGAGAAUCCUCAGCCAUAAAUCAAUAUAUAAGGACUUAAAAGAUAGUUUUGAUCAUUUUAAUGUAAUUAGGGAUUUUUAAUUGACCAUAUUAAAAUAAUAAUCUGUUUCUUUUAAAGAUAGUCUUCUAGCUCACCACCACCCAUGAGUUGAUAUUUUUAAGCUUUGACUAUCAAGCGUGUUUGAUUUGUUAGACCUCAAUGAUUUUCUCGGGCAAAUCUGUUGCUAAUUUCUUUUCUUUUUUCAUGUACUUAGUUAAUAGAAUGUAACUUCAAAUAAAUGAACCAAGUAAUUUCUACUCGACAUCCAUAAAUUUCAUUGUUCGCUUUAAGUUUUCUCUAAGUACGUUGUCCAUUUCAAUACAAGUUUGGAUUUCUUAUUCAAUUUUUCUCUAGUAUUUUCAAUUUGCUUGCGAUUUCAGUUUCCUGCAUUUCAAUUCGAGUUGUUAAUUGUUUUGGAAAAGAUUUCAUGUAUAUUUAACAAAAAAGAGAAAUCGAGUGCAGAAAAUCUCAAUGAUUGAGCCUGACUUUCUCUCAAUAAAGAUCAAACUAAAACUGUUGACUUCAAAUUUUCAAGUCCGAAUCCAAGGGAAGAAGGAACUCUGGAGCCAAUUCUGCUUGUAUAGUUCACCACCUCAUAGGGAUCGAGUCGAAUAAAACCUUCCACUAAGAACGAGAAGACACAAUCAGGACGAUAAUCAUCAAUAUAUGCAGUUAACGAUAAUCAUCUAGAAGCGGUUUUGCCUGGAUAGCAAAACGACCCAACAAGAAGGAAGCAACGGCAAGACAUCAUCACUCGGAGCUUGAAUUCUAGGAAACGGCCGGCGAUGGUAAUGAUCUGCAUCUGGCGUGCCUGAAAGUCUUUCUAGUGGGGACAUCGCUAGCCGAAGACAACGAACGUGAAUUUGGAAUCUCUGUCUACUCCGAGCUCAGCGUCGAGGCAGAGUGAGCGCUCCUUUCUUUGGCGGAGGAGGAGGGGAGAGAAAAGGCCAGGCUAGGGGAAAAAGUUGAAAUGUUGUGGUGAUGGGCUGAUGGGCUGAUGGGUCUGGGCAGGGGAAAAAAGCCCACGGGUUGCUAUUGUGGGCCGCACCAGUUAAACCAAAUUGUCCUUUUCUAUUUGUUAUUUAUUUAUAUUUUCAUUAUUAUUUUUCUUUUGUUCUUUUUACUACCAUUCAUCGUUUUGAUGUUCUUUUUUUUUUCAAUUACAAUAAUGCAUGCUUAAUUUAUCAACUAAAUUUCAGGUGUCAACAGUUACGAAUAUAUUUACUUUAAUAUAUGAAAAAAAAUCACGCUAUCCAAACAAACUAUAAGACGUUGUAUUUACUAUUGUGUCAAAUCUUUGAUUACUAAAGGUCAUAUUUGUUUCUUGAUCGGUGGGAGAAGUGGGCUAAAAAAUAUGGCAGUGGGCUAAAAAAUAUGGCACAAUCCAGUUGAGUAGAACAUGUAUGUGUUGAUGAAAUUACAACUCAUUUAAAAUAACUUGAUUUAUGACCCAUAUUCAUAUUAAGCCCAAAUCCUAUCUCGCCCAUUUGUCAGGUCAAAGUCCCAAAAAUCGCUGUGAAGGAUUAAACAAAAGCAAUACAAGUAAAGAGAGAGAUUGAUAGAAAAAGAGAGAUGGCAAAGAUUCUUUAGUGAAAGAUGAUUCCUUCAUCUUUUUGCUUUCCCUCUUUAGAGGAUUCUUUUUUACUUUACUUAAAACGUUCCAGAUUAAAGAAAUGAUGAAAGGGUUGAGAAUUCGAAUACUGUUUAAAAAAUAUAUGACCACUAGCUUACUUAUGAGGUUACCCUUAAGUAAGUCGUCAUUAUUAUUAGGAUUUUGUCAAUGUCUAAACAAAUUGGUAACUUAUCACCUCUUCUGAAAUUUCACAAGUUAGUAAAUUAUCAUCUCUUCUGAAAUUUCACAAGCGUCUUUUUUAUAUAUCAGUAAUAUAAUAAAGUUAUAUAUAUUUCACUAAUACGGUGAUUGACUAAUUUCUUUGAAAUUUUACAACUUUUUUUGGUAAAAUACCAACUCAAUAAGGAAUCUACCAAUCUCUCAAUAAAUCAGUGAAUUAUCAAGUUUUUUCAAGUUGCUAAUUAUUAAACUAACAAGAUGAGAUCAAAAAGAGGAACAAAUAAAGAUGAGAUAACAUAGGAUAUAGACACGAAAAAGAGUCCAGGAAAAAGCAAAUAUGUGGUGGACCCACACAGUGGUGUCAGGGAAGAAGGAACAGUUUUACGAGGAAUUAUUUUUCUGGGCCCCACAGGAGCAGUUUUCUCUACCACUCUUUCCACUUCCCUCACACUUAUUGUAGCUGGGGUUGUAUAUAAUCCGGGUGAAAAUUAGAAUUGGAAAUCGCAAGUUAGUUGCAUGGAUCCAUCCGGAAUGGGAUCGUUGGUCCAAUCUGAUUCUCAAGUGGGUCCAUAGAACCGAUCUCACUAAAAGCUAUUUAAUUGUUAUACAAAGUGUUUACCAGAAACAUGAAAUUGUUUUAUAUAAUAACCAACUAAAGGCCUAAAAACAAUCGCUUGAGCUCCACAAAAUUGUCUCAAUCUUUGAAUAGUGAUUACUCUGCUGAUAAUUGCUACAUGCCAUUACCGGUUCAUGUUCUUUUUUCCUCUCUUUUUUUUUUUCUUUGAACCUGCUUAUGCCGAUCCACAUCAACACAUUUCGCAUUUGCUAAUUUUUCUCAGUCCUCUCUCUUAAGCAUGGCUUGUCUCUGCAUGGUUUUUACCAUCUCCUUCAUUGUCCUCUCCUCAGCCUCAAGCUGCAUUUUCAUGAUUGCCUCAACCUACUUGUCAAUUGGCAUGAAGUACUCUUCAAUGGUAGAUUCCUGCAUAGGUCAAGUGAGAGUUCAAACUAAAAGACGAGAUGGAGAUUGGAGCCAUAAAUUUCUAGAUUUGCUAAUUUUGAAUUUUUUUAAUAUUAAAAAGUAAUAUAUUAUUAUAAUAUAAUUGGUCCGUCCUGGGUGAACGGGUAUGCGGAUCUGCCCAUGGAACCGGAAACUGGACCAAAUCUGGACGGUUCCGAUCCAAUUCCAAGUGGUCCAAGCGGGUUUUGGUUCCUUUACACACCCCUAAUUCUAGCCAUAAGGCAAGCAUUAUUUCCUUGUUUCUUUAUUUCCUCUCCUUUUAAUCCGAGUCCUAAAACCCGCUUUACUCUAUGAAAUGACUCGAUUCAAUUCCAUGGGUCAUGCCAUUAGAAAAAGGGGGACAAUCACCUGUUGAAUAGAACCGGAUAUGUGUCGAUACAAUAUCAGCCCUUUAAAAAUGAUUUGAUUUAUGACCUGGAUUCAUAUCAAACCCAGAUUUAAUCUUACCCAUUUGGUGAGUCGAAGUUCCAAAUAUCACAAUGGAAGAUUAGACAUAGAGUAGUACAAGAUGGGGGAGAGAGAGAUGGAAGGUGAAGGAUGAUUCUUUAGUAUUUUUCUUUUCUAAUUUGGGGAUUCUUUUUCACUUUUUCAAAGUUUUCCAAAGUGAAGAAAUGAUGAGAUGCUUGAGGAUUACAAUCCUAUAUCUAAAAGGAUUGAGAAAAUUGCCCAAAAAGUCCUAAACUUAUUGUACUUUUGCGAAGUUGAUUCUAAGCCUUUUUAAUUUUAUCAAUAAAGUUCUAAACUUUUGACAAUUUGCCAAUUGAGUCUAUCCGAGUGGUCGGAAAUUGCUAACAUAAACAUCAAGCAUCCUACUUGACACGUUGUCAUUGAAGUGCACAUUUUUAAUAACAUUUUUGAACUUUUCUGGUUUUUUUCUUCUUUUAUGGUUUUCUUUUUCAUUUCUUUACUUUCUUUUUCGCCUAUCCCAGAUCUGACAAAGGUGUCACGACCCUCACUAGAUCUGGGCAAGGGCUCAUGCGCUCUUGCUUAGCGUUGCAACCCUAGCCCAACCCUCAACAACCAUGACAAGGGCCACUAUGGCCAUUGAGGAUUGCAAUGCCCUCACCCCAAAAUAGCAAGGAUCGCCAUCCGUCACUCUAAAAACCAAGAAAAGAGUAAAAGUACAAAAAAGUACAAAAAAAAAUUAGAAAAAAAAAAACUAUUUGUCAUCGUCAACAGCAAUGUGCAUCGACUUGACUAUAGAUGCUAUGCUAAAGAAUGAAUAAAUAGAGAUGAGCUGUAGAUGGUAUGCGUAAAGAAACAAGGUGGAUGCACGCAGCGACGUCUUCAUCCUCUGCAGUGGUGCUAAAGAUAUUUUCUAUGGGAGCAAGAGGUUCUUUGGAUUUCUUUCGUUGAUCAAUAUCUUGUAAUUUUGUAUCUUAUAUUACCUCCUUUUCAGUAUAGAACUUGAAUAUCACAGCUACAUAUGGAACAUAAACCUUUUAAACUAGAAUUUUUUUUAUUAGGUUCACGGUGAGUAGAAAAACAUCUUCUAAUGCAGCAAUAGAAUAAUUAUAUGUGCAUGAUGACUAUUUGAUUAUAUUGGGUGAUGUAAAUGCAUGGAUUAUAUAUUAGUAUGUUUUCUCAUCGAUUAAAACUGUUUUUGUUUGGGCAAUUGACCGAAUAAGUGGUUGCGUUUUUUUAAAAUUUACUGCUGGUAUUCGUAAAACUUGUACAAAUUUGGGACUAAAUAUGUCAUUAGAUAUGGUUGUGCACACAUUAAUGUGAUGCUUUCAAGCUUUUUUCAGCAAUUCCUUUUGAAUUUCUCUUUUACUAGGUGUACAGGUAGAUACAUGUACUUUUUUUUUUUUUUAAUAAAUGUACUAGGAUGAAAGAUAAUCUUUACUCUUAUUUUCCGAUGACUGAGUUUUGACUUCUUUCAGUGCAAUUGAUUAUACAUUUCGAGAUGUAGGGACUAAAUAAUUUCAUAUACUUUUCAUAUGUCAUUAUCAUAAAUUUGCAUCUAAGUAAAAGAAAGAACGAUAUUCACAUAUCAACCAUUCAAUUUAAUUAAAGAAAAUGCACAAAUUAUACAAAGUCCUUAGUAAUUGCCAUCUACAGCGUGAGGUUUACAUAAGACCAAGCUCCACCAUGUGCGACCAUUAACAUCACUCUGUUCUUUUCUUCUGUUUGGUCUAGAGCCGCGUUUGUCUCCCUCCUCCUCCUCUGCGUUUGAGAGAGAGCGAAGAAGGGGAGAGAGAGAGGGAGAGAGAGCAGCAGCAGCAGCAAAAGAACAACGAUGGUGAACCAUAUAAUUAAAUUGGGUUCUUUUUUGGAAAGAGGGGUGGUCCGGCUCAACCAUUGAAUAACGUGACAUCCAUAAAAUCCAUGGAGUUAAUGAACCUGUUAACAUACAUAUAAUUCCCUACAGAUACACUUUAUUUUCACUGGUCCCGUUAAUGAAAUGUAGUUAAUUAAUUAGAUUGGGUUCUUUUUGGAAAAGUGAUGUUCUCAGAAAUAAUAUAUGAUUUUGCUUAGUACUUAAAAAAAAAUGUUAACAUACAUAUAAUUCCCUACAGAUACACUUUAUUUUCACUGGUCCCGUUAAUGAAAUGUAGUUAAUCAAUUAGAUUGGGUUCUUUUUGUAGUUAAAAGCAUCUCCCAUGAACCUUCAGUUUCUUCCAAUGGAAUUACUUACGUUGUUCAAAACGCAUACAUUAUCACAAGAUUAAUAAACAUAGGCAUCUCGUAGAUCUCAUUGGAGAGUACCUCGGGCUUUUUGAACAUCCAACUAAUGUCCAUCAAGUGCAGCUGUCCCUCUGUCUCACACACGUUGGGUAAUUCUCGGAAACACAUAAGUCCCUGCUCCUGUGGGCGACUCCAAGAGACUACACAAAUACAGUGAUUUAGUCAUGUGCCCUGAGCGAGGAGGAUAGACACACUCAUUACUUGAGCAAUUACUUGGGAUUAAAAGAUAGGUGUCGCUAAGUUUUCUUAAAAGAUAACCGAUCUAAUUUAAAGUGAAAACUCUUAAUUUUUCCUUAGAGAACAAUUCUUAAUUUCCCAAAUGAAUUGUCUCCUUGUGAUCAUGGUUUUAUAUCACGUUUUUUAGAAAAUCCUAUAGUUGCCACAAUUGAUUUUUUCAUCAAAAUAAUAUUCGAAGUUGAUUUUGGCAACUUAGGGUGUGUUUGUUUAUAUUUCUUUUUUGUGUUUUUAAACACUUUUUCUGUUUUUUUGUUCUUUUGUUCCCAGGAACAAAAAAGAAACAGAAACAAGAAACACAAAUUUUGUGUUUCUUGUUUCUGAAACACUUUUGAGAAACACUUAUUAUUUUUUUAUUUUUUCUCUUAUUUUCUUGUUCUUUUUUCUUUUGGCCGGUCGCCGGCCUCGGCCAUGGCCGUAUUCCGGCCCACGCGAACCGGCCGCCUCGCCCAGCCACGGAGAGGGCUCGCCGUCCCCCGGCUAUUUGUAACCUUAAUUAAUUUGUAAUAGAGGCAGAUGGAAGAUAGCCUGACUUACGAUGCAUAUAAAAAGUGACUUUAGUGAGGUAGGAUAUACCAUUAUGCUGAUAAAAUAUCUGGAUGGAGGUUUCUGUAUUCCUGAGAGUAUCCUCCUGGGCCCUGGAAUAUAGAUGAGGCCUCACUCAACUUAAAAUAACGUCAUAAAUUAUCUCUCACAAUGANNNNNNNNNNNNNNNNNNNNNNNNNNNNNNNNNNNNNNNNNNNNNNNNNNNNNNNNNNNNNNNNNNNNNNNNNNNNNNNNNNNNNNNNNNNNNNNNNNNNGCCUUGGCCGGCGACCGGCCCAAAAAGAAGAAAAAAAAUGAAAAAGAAAAAAAGGAAAAAUAAGAAAAAAAUAGAAAAAAUAAAAAAAUUAUCCAAAUUUACCAAACAUGUUUCUGUUUAUUUUUUAUUCCCGGCCCGAAGUUAAUUUCAGUGCAAAAGAAAUGACGGAGUGGGUCCUUUUGUUUUCAAUCAAGCGUAAUUAGACAGGCAUUUGCUUUGUUGGAGAUUCCGUAGAUGUUGUGUAAAGAUGAUCAAAUGAAGCCGUACAACACACAUGUAAGCGCCGGAACCUUGCAUGCAUCGACAAAAGUACGAAAUGGAGCCAAGGUUUGCAGGGUCCACGCGAAAAAAAAUACAUGUUAGUUAAGAGUUACCAAGGCUUUGAUGAAAAAAUAACAUCAUAUUGAUAAAAAAUCAUGGGAUCCUCAGUACAAGUACCGGGAUUUUUCAAAUACGAGAGGGAAGUUGAAAGUUUUCUAUAUGAUGAUAGCCGGCUAGCCUUCAUUUUAGUUUGCGAAAAUGGUGGUCUCUUUAGUCCACAACCUCCAUCUAAAAGUUUAAAAUUUCAGAACUAUUGUAGUGUUUCCACAAAAUCUUCCAGACGUCCCAAGUCCGAUAUCAUGUGAGAUUUUGGUAAGAUUACCGCCAAGCGCUCUAAAAAUUUAAGCUGUUAUGUGAAUGUGUGGUUUAUUAUUUAAAUAUUUUAACAUACAAUAUAAUUAAGACAACAAAAUACAAAACAUUUCAUGACAUUGUGGAUGGUGGCAAAAUUCUUGACAACGUAUACCUCUUCAGAUAUAGUAAAUCCUCCACCCCUCAGCAUCGUCAACCCUUCCCUCCACAUCUUCCUCUCCACUCAUAUCUCUCAAAGAUCCCCUCUACAUCGAUCCGGUGGGCCAACACAAUUUGAGACGGUGAGAUUAUUAGUCCUCCCUUAAUUCUGGCUUUUGAGCGAUAACAUUAAGACAUUUUUGACAUUUAAGACAUUUUUAGUUCGUGAAAAAGGUUUUUCAGAGAACUCCGGGUACAAUAAUAAGUCCAUGACCAAACGACUUAUUACUAGUUUCUAUCCAGCCUUCUAUGGCUACUUGAAGAACUGAUCUUAUGUCGUACCAUGUCGAGCCUAAAUGCCGUGCUGUAAUUUUUGCACAAGGUGUCAUACCAUAUAAGCGCUUAGAAAUUUUCAGUAAUAAUCAUUUCUAUGGUAUGACAAUUGUGUAGUAGCUACACAAAAUUGUUUUCUAUAACGGAAAAAAAAAACUUCUAAAGAAAAUUUUUAAACAAUGAAGAAAAUCAGAUUCUCCUAAGGAUGGGUAGAGCUUCAUGUACCCGAUCCCAAUACUCGAAGAAUCGUGGAAAAUUGCACUACACUGCUUGUACAGAAGAUAUCAUUGCACUUUGACUUUCCACAAUUCAAGUCAAGUUCAAAGACAACAUUUUCUUGAAAGUCGUAUUAAAAUGUUAUUUUUUUAAUGCUCCAUUGGACUUGUUUUGGGAAUUCUUCUCCCCGGACGCGGGGAACUCAUCAAAUUGAUCGUUCAAGAGCUCCAAAUUAAGCUGAAGGGUCAAACAUAGGUUCAUUACCGAAUAUGGAGGCUGUAUUGAAUGAUCAAGAAGAAGGCAUAGUGAAAAAUAUCAGAUGCCGAAUCUGCAGGAGCACGUUUUGUUGUGAUAUACAGGUUUGGUGGCGGUGGGAAGAUGACUUUGCCGGUGUAAUCAUUAGCCAGUUAUUAGCUAGCUUCAACUCUUCAACUUGGAGAGUGUAGUUGGCCACCGAAGAGUGCAUAUUUUGAUUCAAACACUUUCCAAUUCUUAUGCAAGUUAUGAUAGAAGCUAGCCAAAAUAAGGACACAACAAAUAAUGUAACUUUCAAAUGACGGUUAUUUGAGUGUUAUGAUUUUUUUUUUCAAUUAAUUGAGUGACGUGGCUUAUAACAAAUUGUUCACUUGAGUUCAUUGACUUCUAAACUUUCAAUGGAUCAUUUAAAUGUUAUGACCUUUCCAAAAAAAAAAAAGUUCACUAUGAGAGUUAUGAUACGUUGAAUUUCUAGCACUUGUAGUGAACGUCUUUGAAAAAACUAUGGCACUCUAUUGAACAUUUAUUAGAAGUCAUGGCAUUCAAGUAACCGAAAAAAAAAAUAACUAUAGCACUUAAGUAAUUGAAAAAAAAAACUUGGGUUCUCAAGUUAAUGCCAUACGAAAAUCAUAAUAUUUGUAAUGUCAUUUCUCCAAUCUAAGAGCAUUGUGGACUUAUUAAAUGCAAGAUGUUUUUACAGGAAAAUAACACAUUUCGACAGAAAAACAUUUCGUCCAAAAUCAGUUGUCUCCACGUGGUAUCACAAGAGAAAGUAUUAUUGCACUUAGGGGACUCUAUUUUUGUGCAACUUUAUUAAAGCUGAUACGUAAAGAGUUCGUGAAGUGACGGGAAUCAGAGUGCAUUAUCUGAAUCGGAAUUUGGACUUGAUUUGCAAGUCUAAGGUUGCAAAAUGGAUUUUGCAGUUUAGGGUGCAUUUGUUUGCGUUUCUGUUUAAAAAUUGUUCCAGGGAACAGAAAUAAAAAAAAGUGUUUCUGUUCCUGGGAACAAUUUCUGAACAAAAAAACGCGUUUGGUAAACUUGUUCCGGGAACAAAAAAUAAAUAGAAACACGUUUGGUAAAUUUGUAUAAUUUUUUUAUUUCUUUUAUUUUUUCUAUUUUUUUCUAUUUUUUCCUUUUUUCUUUUUCCUUUUUUCUUUUUUUUUUUCUUUUGGCCGGUCGCGGAUCGCGGUAAGGUCUUGAACUCUGUUUAAGAAAAGUCCAUUUUGGGAAGCCCAAGUUGAGUCCAAUUUGCAGUUGAACCCCUCUCGAAGCCCAAUUCUGGACAAGAAGGGGCACUCAAAAUUAGUCGGACAGAGAACCUGGUGAGACCGGGCUGAAAAUGGGAAAGGAAGAACGAAGAAGCACUGUUAACCUAAGAGUUCUUAACUUCUAAGUUAUAGCUGAGAUGAUCUGCCUNNNNNNNNNNNNNNNNNNNNNNNNNNNNNNNNNNNNNNNNNNNNNNNNNNNNNNNNNNNNNNNNNNNNNNNNNNNNNNNNNNNNNNNNNNNNNNNNNNNNCGCCCCCUCCCCUUCCUUUCUUUUUUUCCUGUCUUCGUUCUAGUUGCUCCCUAUCCCCGCUUGAUGUUCUUCGCUCUUUUUUAUCCGCUCCUAUGUAGAUAUAUUUCCCCUACUUGCCCCCCCUCGUCGGCCGGUCAUCGGCCAUGGCCGAGGCCGGCGACCGGCGAAAGAAAAAAGAAAGAAAAUAAGAAGAAAAAGAAGAAAAAAUAAAAAAGUGUUUCUCAAUUGUGUUUCAGAAACAAGAAACACAAAUUUUGUGUUUCUUGUUUCUGUUUCUUUUUUGUUCCUGGGAACAAAAGAACAAAAAAGGAACAGAAACGCACCCAAACGCGUUUCUGUUCCUUUUUUGUUCCCAGGAACAAAAAAACACAAAAAGUGUUUAAAAACAGAAAAAAGAAACAUAAACAAACAGGCCCUUAUUCUCAGCUUUGGGAUAACUAAAUUAGUAUGCGAAUAACUUUAGCAAAAUGGAUUCAGACAUCGGACAAUAUUUGGUGGCAAAUGCGUUCACUUGUUUGUUGUUAAAAAUUGUAGUGGCUUGGAGAAACUCCAAACAAAAUCGUCCGGCAAAAAAAAAUUAUGUUCAUUGUUGAUGCCGGUCAAUGCCAGAUUAUGACUCUACUUUGAUGAGUUUUCACUUGACUUUCACAAAGGCUUUGUUAAAUUACUAUAUCGAAUUUGAGCCGUUUACGAAACUCGACUCGAUUUUGAUGAGUCUUUAAUUUUCAUACUGAAGAGCAAUCUCACUAAAAGACAAAACAGAGGCACAAAGUCCACUGUGAGAGAAAGAAACAAAAAGCCUUACCAUGACAUUCCUAAGCAAGGAGGGAAAAUAAGCUGUCGAACUCACGAGAAAUACUUAAUUCAGACCCUAAACAUGUUUUGGCUCGUCUCGGUGCCAAUUUUCAGUCUGCUUGAUUGGCUCUAACAGAUGAAGUUCGUCAGAUGUUUAAUUUUACUUUUCACUUUUAACGUCAAUAUUUUAGCGUCAAUAUUUUAGGGUUAUUUAUUAAUAGUGAAUUCACAUCGUUCAUUCGAUCACGAUGCAUUACGGAGGCAAAGAGAAUUCAAAUUUUCAGUGAACGUUUCCAAUUGAAGAAAAUAUUUUAAUUUCAAUCCAUUUUGACGAAAACUGUUAAAAUCAAAGAGUGAGAAAAAAAAAUUAUGCAUGUGUCUAUCUGCCGACUACAUGGACAUACAUAGCUUCACAUAAAAAAAAAAUGAUGCAUGCGUCUAUCUGCCGACUAUCUGGACAUACAUAGCUUCGCAUUCAAAAUUUCACACUAACCUUCAGCGUUUCUUUGUCCACUUUUUGGGGACUCUAUUUUCAACAGUUCACACGAACUUUCAAAAGCUUUAGAUUUCUCCCUCAACAAAUAUAUAAUAAAGUACAAAUCUCAAGAAAAGAAGCCCAGCUUUUAUGUUGACGAAGACUAGCUGAUCAACUUGGCUUACUUCGAGGGGCGAUAAAGGAUAGCCACGUAAUAAAGGUAUUACUAUUUGGGCAUUGAGGGCGAGUUUAUACUGUUUUUCUUUCUGUGGAGUAGGGGAAAUGUACACUCAUCAAGCCCUCCAGCGCUUUUCGACAGGCUCGUGUUUACAAGAGACUCCCCUCCGAAUGAUCGUUACAGGCUCUCAGAACGUGCAGAACAUGUCAUUUCAACUUUAAAAAAGUUUCUUUUGACUCUUGAGGUCAUUGAUUCCUUCCUUUAUUGUGAAGAUAAAUCAGUGUGGUAGAUAAUGGGAAAAUAUUAAAAAGUCAUGGGUGAUUCCCCUAAGGAAGUCUAGGAAAUGUUGUUGCUAAGUUCCGAUAAGUUAGAAAAUGGGAAAAAGCAAGCAUUGCUCAACAAUAUCGUUUGUCUUUCGCUGGGUGGAUAAUGAUAUUGCAUCUAAUUAUAAAAAACAAAUCAUUUUCGUGCCUUGCAAAUACAAACAGUGUCUGGUAACAAAAUACCACGAUAAGAAAUCGAAAGACUUCAUUUGAUGCCUCACAUGAAGUGCUUUCUUCCAAAAGUUUUAGGAGUGAGGUAAAACAUGUUACAAAUUUCAAACAAAUAUAUUAGCUACUAUGGUAACUAAAUACCGUAAAAAGUAAUGUGUUUGUGGUGGAGUAGACUUGCGAUGUUAAUCUUUAGUUGUUCUCGUGUACAACAUAUAUAUGUAUUUGAAAUUCAAUUGACUCUUCAAUAACUCUACCAAUUUGGAUUUGCGACAAAUACUUCUCAAGUAUGGAAAUGAUUUGGGAAAUUGUGAUAUCAAGAAUAGGCUAAUCUUAGGAAAAUGGUUAUAUUGUUUCAUCAUAGUUCAGCUAUUCAGAAUAGAAUGAAAUCGUGGACUACCAGAAUCAAAACAGCUGCAUAUUUACCAAGGCUCUCAAUCACUAGAGGUCUAUGCUUUGUCCCGUAAAAUUUUACACAUUUUUUUCUUUUCUUUCUUUUUCUUUUUUUGGCACAAAUCAAUUUCAAUACUUGAAAAGAAUUUUUUGCAGUGUAGGGCUGCGUAUGAACUCACUCCCCUCUAAGGAUAAAGCAAUGGUGACAGCUGGACAGCCCGCCGCAUUGGAGGACGAGAUGGCAUCUUCGAGAAGUUAAAAAUUGUUGUCACUAUAAACGGGCCCAGAGGUGGGUUUAUGAGUGUGUAACAAAUAACAGGUAACGCUGCCUCUAUUAAAGCCAGGUGCUGCUCUUUCCGAUCGCUGCAACUCUAAAUGAUCAAUUCCUCCCUCUAGAUCUCCAUCUCCAUUUACGCCUAUUGCUAGAAGUUGUCUCUUCACCCAAUCUUUCGUGGCUGCGGAUUCAUCCUACUGAAUCUUUCCAGUCCGGUCAUUUCCGUUUCAUUACUGGGUUCCAUCAGUUCCGCCUUUCUCAGCAUAUAUAAUUUCUCAACUUCCAUUUCUCCUACUAGAGAACCACAAAAGUCGAAACCGAAAGGGGGGAAAUGGCUGAAAUUGCUACGGCUGUGGCUUCCAAAGCGGCUGCCGAAGUGGCUGCCGAAGCGGCAAAGCCCCUGCUGGCUCGGGCCCGUCGUCGAUGCGGCUAUGUGAUAUUCUCCAAACGCUACGUCGGCCAACUUGACGAAGAACUUAAGAAGCUGAAGAACGCGAUGGACAGGGUACGACAUUCUGUUGAUUAUGCAGAGCAUAACAUGAAGCUGAUCGAAGCCGACGUCGAGAAUUGGGUGAAAGAAGCGGAGACAGUCGCCCAGAAGGCAGGCGACGUGCUUGCCCAUAAGGCAGGCGACGUGCUCGAUGACGAGGGAAGAGCUAAGAAAACUUGCUUCUGCGGGUGGCUUCCCAACCCGAAGGGGCGUUAUUGUCUCGGCAGGGACGCGAGGAAGACAGCCGAGGCCAUCCAGGAACUCAUUCCGCAGGGUAGAUUCGAGAAGGUCUACUACGAGAAUGCUCCUCCGGCUCUUGUUGAACGUGCUGCCGCAGUGAAUUCGUCAGCCUGUGUCGGGGGCGACACUAUCCAGGAACUCAAUGCGCGGGGUCAAUUCGAGAAGGUUGACUUCGAGAAUCCUCCACCGGUGCUUGUUGGCGUUGCUUCUGGCGUGAAUUCGUCGGCCAGUGAUGGGGGCGACUUUAUCACCGGUUCGCGAGCUUCCAUCUUUCAGGACAUGAUGAAAGCUCUGGAUGAUGAGAAGCUAAAGGUGAUUGGAGUCUACGGGCCUGGCGGCGUGGGGAAGACUACGCUGUUGAAGGAAGUUGAGAAGAAACUCAGAGAAGCGGGGAGACCGUUCCGCAUGAUCGUCAAAGUGGAAGUUUCGCAGAAUCCAGACUUGAAUAAGAUCAUAGACCAGAUCGCUGACGCCUUGAGUCUGGAUCUGAAGGACAAGCAAAGCCCACAGGGAAAAGCAGAUGUUCUGUCGAAGAGAUUGAAGCGUGAUCCGAAUGAGACGUUUCUCAUAAUAUUUGACAACCUGUGGGAAAAAGUUGAUUUGGAGGCGGUCGGAAUUCCUCGGGAAGACGUGAGCAGCAAAUGCAAGUUGUUGCUCACGUCAAGAUUUGAAGAUGUGCUGGAGCAAGAGAUGGGUGCUGAUCGAACAUUUCUUCUUCAAGGUUUAAAGGACAACGAAGCUUUCAGGCUAUUUGAAAACAAGGUCGGCGACAAGCUCAAAGGCAAUGAGGGAUUGAAAUCAAUAGCGGAUCAAGUGGUCAAGAAGCUCGCAGGUUUGCCUCUUUUGAUUAUCUCUGUUGCAACCACUUUGAAAUCUAGCGAUGAGUCCGCAUGGAGAAACGCGCUGAUAGAAAUAGAUGAUUCAAAUAAAGAAAAAAAAGAAACGAUAGUGAGGUUGAGUUAUGACCAUUUGAAGAGUAAGGACGCAAAGUACUUAUUCUUGCUCUGUGGUCUUAUUGGUGGGACCAUUCAAGUCGAACUUCUGUUUGUACUAGCCAUGGGGUUGGGCUUGUUUGAAAGAUUUAAUAAGACGAUACAAGCGUCGAGGGAUAGAUUGAAUGAUAUGCUCAGUGAACUCCGUUCUGCUUGUUUGUUGUUGGAUGGUGGCAAUGACACGGAUAGUGUGACCAUACAUGAUCUUUACAGCGAGGCAGUCGUCUCAGAUGCAUUUAGUGGUCCGGAUUCCUUAAUGAUUAACAAAAAUGAUGGCUUAUGGCCAAAGGAAAAGCUUGAGAAAUGUUGGGCAUGCCUGGUUAAUGUUGGCAAUGACAAGCUUGCUGAACUAAUGCUACGUCAGUUUCCCCACGUGAAGAUACUUAUGUUGUCGGAACAAACCGAUAUGAGAGAUCGUAGUAGAAUUGAUUUCACAUACAUGGAGGAGCUUCGAGUCCUCUAUCUUCGCUCCAUGCAUAUCACCAGUUUACCUUCCUCGAUGGAGAUCCUCGGAAAUCUCCAGUCAUUAAGCAUAAAUUGUCAUGUGGAGGAUGUGGCAAAUCUUGGCAAGCUCAAAGCAUUGCAAAUUCUCAGCUUCGCGUGGUCCACAAUUUCUAGGCUACCUAAAGAAAUUGGGGAACUUACAAAUUUGAGAUCGUUGAAUCUUAGCAACUGCGAAGAGCUUCAGAGAAUAGAGCCCGGUGUCCUAAAACGCUUAAUCAAUUUAGAAGAGUUACAUAUGAAGGGAAGCUUUAAUCGAUGGAUGGGCAAAAAUGACAAACCAUUGGAAUUGUGUAAUGUUGGGCUUGCCGAGUUGAAGAGCAUGACAAAGCUAAAUUCUUUGGAAAUAUCGAUUCAUGAUCCCAUCAUACUCUUGGAGGUUGAUAACCUGCCAUUUGAGAACUUGACUAGAUUUUGGAUCAACAUAGGAAAUAUUGGGGGGAGGGAAUAUGAACGUUUGACAACCAUGAAGCUCAAUUUGGAAGGGUGCGGUAGUAUUCUUUCAAGAAAAUGGGUUAAGAAAAAUCUGCAAAAGACUCAAUACUUAUAUUUAAGCAAGUUAAGUGAGUUCAAAGAGAGCCCUCGCGAAUUUUGCACCCAAGGAUUCCAAGAAGUGAAGUAUCUCGACAUUAAAGAUAGCCCCUCAUUCAAGUACAUUGCCUACUCAUCCAAUGACCACCCUCUCAAUGCUUUUGGGAAGUUAGAGUCUUUUUCCCUUGAUAAUCUUAUUAAUUUGGAGAAGAUAUGCCAUGGCCCUAUCGAACCAAAUUGCUUCAGAAAAUUGAAAACUGUGAGUGUCGGACAAUGCAACCGAUUGAAAUACCUGUGGUGUCUUUUAGAUAUGCAAAUACUUGUACAGUUGGAAGAGAUUGAUGUGUUGAAUUGUGACUCAAUGCAAUCCAUUGUCACACAUGACGCAGGAGUAGGUAUAGUUUCUACUGAUAACAGAGUUGAGUUGCCUAAUAUACGCUGUUUGCGAUUGUUUGGGUUGCCAAAUAUGACGAGCUUUUGCACUAAAGCUGAAAUCACAUCAGAGGAUACUCCAAUCCAGGUAUUUUUUCCCCCAUUUUCCCCCCUUGUCAAUUUGUCCUGUUAGGAUGAGAUGAUACUAGCGUUCACUCAACAUCGGUACAUAUUGCAUUUAACUUUGACUAUUUGUACAAUUUGAUUCACGUUUUGAUUUACAAAAAAAAAAAAAAAAAAUCCCCUCAAAUAGAACACAUACCAUAUUAUAGUUAAAUAGAAGCCUCUUUCCAGGACUGAUUUAAAAAAAAAAAUUUAAAAUUUCAACAUUGGAUAAUUACAUUGCGAACUUGGGUUUCUAUUGUGACUAAUUUAUUACUUAUUUAACAUUCUUAAUGAGAUGAAAAAUUCGUGUGCUGAACAAAUGAAAGCAACAAUGAAUCUUGAAUGAAUAAAUAAAAUUCAAUAGUUUCAAAAUGAAGAAAGCGAUGUCCGGAGAUUCAAUAAAUGGAUGGCGAGCAAGAAGACACGUAACAAAGACAGUCCCAAUAAUUCACGUCCUGCCUAACGUGUAAUUUGCAACUGAUUUCAAUAUGUCAUGCCAAGUUGCCAACGUCCUAGUGUCAACAUCAUUGUGCAGUUGAGCUACAUUGAUAGCAUGAUAGUGGUGAGGAUUUCCUCAUGAAAACGAUUUCACUUUUCACGGAAGAGAAAUUCAUUUAUUUUUUAAUUUGGCCCGAGAGUUCCACUUAUUUUCUCGUGAAAAUAGCUUUACUUGUAUCAGACUCACCCUUAAUGAGCUUCAUUGUGAUGCCAUGUCAGGUUUCAUUGCCUCGCUUGGAAUCCCUGGAAAUGGUUGGACUCCUUGGCCUAGAAAAGAUACUUUACAAUGAACCUUCUUCUAAAUACAACAAUCUAAAAGCACUAAUGAUAAAAGAGUCUAAAUCCAUGUCAAAGAGUAUUUUGAAAUUAGAUUGGAUAUUGAAGCUGCCGAAUUUGGAAUCAAUGUCCAUUGAGAGCUCUCCAUCAGCAGAAGUAGUUUUCGACGUGGAGGAGCUACAGAUCAACGGAGAUGUGGAGAUUCUCUCUCAGCUAACUAGAUUGACAUUAGGGCGGUUACCAAACCUGCAGUGCAUGUGGAAACGGGAUGUAAAAUUGCAAGGAAUAUCAAUACUUCGAAACCUGAGGUUGCUAUAUGUCUAUGAAAUGGGGCUAUCAUAUCUCUUUUCAGUGUCUGUGGCUAAAUGUUUUAGAGAAAUUAGAGCCAUUACAGUGAGGAACUGUCCAAGUAUGAAGGCGGUGAUUGUGGAGGAAGGAAGAGAUGAAGGGACAUAUGAUAUUAUAGAGUUCCCAUUAUUGGAGCAACUAUGUAUAAUCCAAUGUCCCAUGGAGAAAUUCUUCCCAUAUCCUCAUGGAAAGCAAGAGCCAAUAACCAGUACUUCAGAUUCACAAGAUGCUAACUCCGAUUCCUUCUUUGAUCCAAAGGUACAAAUCCCUUCUCUUGAGAUUAUAUCCAUAAUAGCCAUAGGCACACGCUUUGUUGGGGGUUAUAAAAAAAUCUCUUUGAAGAAUUGUAUUUGGUUCUAUUAGUUAGAAUGUGUUCAUUAUUUAAAAUUACAUUUGUCAUAGUAAGGCCAUUAGUCAAAAUUCAUUCUUCCAUCGCAUCAAAUAGAUUGUUAAGAUUAAGCCAAAUUGUUAGUUGAUUCAUAGCUAUGAUCUAACGUAUAACUCUCAUGAGUAGGUUAGUUUACCAAGCUUGGAAUUUUUAUGACUUGAUUCAAUAGGAUACUUCAAAAGGACAUGGCAAGAUGAACUUCCCAUAAGUUCUUUAUGUGAAUUAGCCACCCUCAUCCUUGAAAAUUGCUCUAAGCUACUCAACGUCUUCCCUUUGACGAUCAUAGGGAGAUUGCACAAUCUAAAAGAACUCCGAGUUUCAAACUCUCUCCCUUGGAAUUGUUGUUUGACUGUAGGUCCUUUCAUAUUAUCAUGUAUUAGAACGAACAAUGUCAUAAAUUUGUCCUACUUAUCCUCCUUACAUUAUUCUCGUGCAGGUCACAUUUCCCAAUAUACGUAGUCUAAAAGUUGAAGGCCUUCAGUGCAAAGAGCUAUGGAACAAUCAAAUUCCUGACCAUUCCUUUUGGAAAUUGGGAUCUCUUGAAUUGAAGGACUGUAACAACCUCCAACGUAUUGCCCCGUCCUAUGUGUGGAAGAGGUUGCAUCGCUCUCUCCGGAUGCUAAAAGUGAGUUCAUGCCGUUCAAUCGAGAUCAUAUUCGAAGGUGAUGGGACAGAUAUUGAGUGUGGUAAAUUGUGGAGGCUGGUUUUGCAUGAUCUCAGAAAUUUGAGGGACAUUUGGCAAUCCGAUGGUCUUCUAAACGUCCCGUUCCCAAACUUGAGAGAAGUAGAGGCUGUGAGGUGCUCUCGUUUGGAAAUGCUUUUCCCUACCUUCACGGUGAAAUUUCUUGGGCAAAUAAAAGAGCUGAUAAUGGAGUCGUGUGAAAAUAUGGAACUAAUUGCUGGCCAUGAAAUAGGGGAAGAAGCCACCCGCACCACAAUCACCUUCUCCAAGUUAAUUGCUCUUAGACUUUUCAAGUUGCCGAAAUUCAAGGGCAUCUUACUUGAGAGAUACUCUCUGAAACUACUGGAGGCCUUCCCAUCGUUGCAAGUCUUGAGUUUGGCAGACUGUGGAGCAGAGCAGAACCUACGCCGUUUAAGCAGGCAUAGGUACCGGAUUGUAAAGAAUAGGUACCGGGUUGUAAAGAAUUUGCGCUGUUUAAGCUGGCGUGGGUACAUCGACCAGAAAAACAAAAAAACAAAAAACAAAAAACAAAAAGCUGGCGUAGGUACCGGAUUGUAAAGAAUUUGCGCCGUCGUGUCAGGUAAUGCACAAUUCUCAGUGGGACCCACACGCACUUUACAUCACGUGGCUCUCUUCCUUACUCUCUACAUCUAACGGUCUGUUCAUUCCCUUUUAUGCUAAUCAAAUUCUUUCUAGCCCUCUGUUAUUCCGAUUCCUCUGAUCUUCAUUGUUUUCUCUGUCGCCCUCCAUCCACCAACAGCCACCGCCGAACGGAGAGCAUUGAUCGAAGGUACUCGGGUGAUUGUUGAGCAUCCGCAGAUUACUCUCUCGGUGAUUUCAAUUGAAUCCUUUCCUCCCGCUUCGUUGCCAAUCGUCACCGCUUCCCGAUGGCCGCCAAUAGUUCCACCAAGCCGAGAAGGUCUGUGGUGCCGAAGUGCUCGAACUUUGGUCAUGACUGCCUGCUUCAACGAUUCCAUUCCUUGACGAUGCUUCUAUUAUAUCCUUACUCAUGCCCAAUGUCCAUUGCUAUAGCUAAUCAUUCUUCAUUCACCUAAACCACAUGUACUUUGUUUUCCGUUGCUAUUACUAGUGUAUGUGUGCAAAUCGACUGUGAUUGAGUUUGUAUUAAUGAUUUGAACUGGUGUUCCUCCGCCGAAAUGUACACCACCUGUUUGAUGGAAUUCGAACUAAGUCUGUGUGUAUUUUGAUUUAGUUCUUGACUGAGAAUUCCCUUCAUUACUAGAUUGGUAAUCUAUUCUGGUCAUAAAAGCAUAUUUGAGUUCUCUCUCUUCAUAAAUAGUCAUAGGUAUUCAAUUUCGAACUUGUUUUGAAUAUGUUGGAACCUUGUUAAUGCAUGCUGAUUCACGACUGUUGCAGCCCUGCCUUGAUGUCGAUUGGUCCCUGAUUUUAUGCUAUUGUGCUCAAGUAAGCAUGUGCAGUGAUAUAAGAUUGUGUCAUGGUGAAUUUCAUGUUUGCUUGGGAAAGAAAUUAUGUCAUGAAUGAAUGAAAUUCUACUGAUCUGUGGAUGCUGACUCUAUCUUGAUAUCCCUGAUUUGGUGUGCUUUUGAUUCCAGCUUGAGGUUAGUUCAGUUAUGGAUCAUAUAUGUUCAUGCUAGGAGAAAGUAUUAUGUUGAAUCUCAUGCCAAUUUUGCAAGAAUUAUAGUCAUAUGGCUUGUAGGAAGAUAUGGCUUCAAUUUCAUGUCUAUUAAUCAUCAAAAUGAUCACGAUUUGCAGUCUUGUAUGCUUUGUUACAAUUCUGCACAUGUACUGGAAGUUGUGGAAUAAGAAUGAAUUAGAUGGAUUAUGUCUUAGUUUGGUUGCCUUUUUGAUAUCGUGUGUUCUAGUUCCUUGUCAAUUCCACUUGUUCGGAUGGUAAUUGCAUGAUUAAAUUGAUGAGAUGGAUGCUUGAUAUUGCCCUGAGAGUGUUGGCCACUGCUGUUCAGAAUGAUGUUUCAAAGAGACGAUUUUUGUUUUCCUCCCUCCCUCAUAGAGUUCACUUGAGGGUUGCUUUUGUGAAAUCUAGGGGAAAGGGAAGAUUAGUCACCAGCAUUACCAGUACCCUGCCCUUAAAAUCCAUGAGGACCCUACCCAUAUGUUUUACUAGGAGUAGGUGCAUAGUUCCGAUUGUCUCUCCUAUUAACCAUUAUGCACUUGAGGUGCAGAGCUCCAUCUAUCUCCUUGCAGCAGGUCUCUCUGUUGCUGAUAGCAAUUGUUGUUAUAACCUUGUUAACUGUAGUUUCCCUCAUAUGAAUGCGCCAGAUCUCUCCUCUGUCCUUGAUAUGGAUCCCUUCCACCGGGGGCACAAUCCAUAUUGCCCAUUGGCAUGGGAUUUCUUCUUUCACCUUGCCCCUUGUUUAUUUGCCACUCAGCCUCCUUGCCAGUCAUAGUUUCUAUUGCAACCACGCAUUUUGCCCGCCCAACCUCCAUACUAAACUGGAGGUGGUCUGAGUAAUUACUCCAUUUUCAUACUUGUGACCUAAUGACUUAGUAAGCUCAACAAAACAACAAGCGUUGCUAGGUCACAAAUCAUAGACGCAUUGGAAAGUUGAGGUUGUGGAAUUAGAGGAUGAAUGGAUUAAAUGACUGAGAAAAUUUGGCAGAGAUGUAUAGUAGGUGAAAUUCCCAGUGGAGUCGAGUCAUACAUCCGUACUCCUCGAUUUGGGGAUCAAUGUAAGAAUCUGGUAAUACGAAAACAACUCCUGGUAGAUAGGAAACUCAUCAAAGACACUUGCUUUUGAAUUGCUCUGACUCUGUUUCAGUCUAUCAUAGCUUGAUAAGUGGUUGUGCUACAUGCACAAAUUCUCUUUUUUGAUUCCUCAAAUUUAAACACGAGUAUCAAAUGUCAUCUCAACUUUGCAAUGUAGAUCAUGCCACGGUUGCCUUGGGACAUUGAUAGUGGACUACACUCAUCACAAAAAGCACUUAAUUCUCAUGAUCAGGAAAUAACAUAUCCAUGAUGUUAUGGUGCUAAAUGUAAGCAUCAGAUUAACUACUGUCGAUUUUUAAAAAAGGUGUCAAGAGCCUAUGCUCAGGAUAGUCAUAUCGACCAUCGCAUAGGUCCAACCCGCCAAUGAAAGCCGUUAUUUUGUGGUUGUUUAGCAAAACAAUUUGUUUGUCUCGAGAAAAAGUACACAAUAGGAACCCCCUGCUUCAUUGAAUGAUUUUUUAAGGUUACAUUAUGGUUUUGAGUUAUUUUUCAAUAGAGAUAAAUUUUACUAUAAUUAGUCAAUGAAAAUUAGUUAUACACGUUGCCUGACAACACUUGUUAGUGAGGGUAAAUUGCUUUUAGAAUUAUGGAUGCCCAUGCUGAUUCAUUUUGGUAUACUUGUGCCCAAUUUAUGUAUUCUUAUUUAUCAUUACAAAUCCUUGUUUGACCAAAGAUCUCCAUCCGUACUACCUUAACAUCUUGUUUUAAGUCGCUUAAAUAUUUUCAACCUUUCCUCUCUUUUUCCGACGUGGAUAACUUCUUAAAAACAGAAUGUAACUUCAUUUAGUAUUAAGCAGAUAUUGAUAUUUUCAAACUUUCCUAGCAGGAAGGAGGGAGGGAGAAAGAAAUUAUGAAAUUAAAUGAAGGCGUAUAAAUGAGGAAUUAGUGGAAAGGAAGUAGAUAGAGCUGAUAUAAAAAGGGUGCAAAAUCCUUUGAUUAGAGUGAUACUUCACCGUUAUGAUAAUAUUAUAGUAAGAGAACUCGUGAAAUUGAUCUGAAUAAAUUUUCUAUUGAAAAUAUCAAUAUGAUGAUCCAUGAAGUUUCAUAAAAAAAAAAAAAAUUUUGAUUAGUUAAAUCUGACAAUCAAAAAUAAAUUACUAAUGAAAGAGAUUAUUAUCUGUGUUGACUUUAGGGGAGGAUUUUGUUGGCUACAAAAGACUCUCGAGUAUUAUUAUUUUUCUAAUUUAAACAAAGAAGGGCGAUAAUUCAUCCAAAUUACAAAGUUCUAGUCGAAAUCAAUACCAUGAAAUGGAAAAGAAUGCUAUGAGAUAUUAAAUGAAAAUCGAAACUCUAAACUGAAAUUGAAUGUGGCUUGAAAUAAAAGGUACAUUUGACUGUAAUCUGAUAGGGAGGAACUCAUUUUGCAUUUCCUUAUGUUUUCUCCCACUUUUAAGAGGAAAUAUUUUUGUGAGCCCACAAGAAAAUUUUUCUCUGCCAUUCUCUUCUUCACUUCCCUCCCACUCAUUGCAGCCCAACAAGGAAACAAAAUUUCUAAUUCUGUACCAUAACACGGUAGGUUAUAUCUUUGAAAAUCAGAAUGGGUCAACAAAUGUUCAAACAUAGCUUGUAUUUCCGAGCAUGCUUACUAAAUACUAGUUUGACACGCUAAGGUAGCUUAUUAGCAUUGGUGUAUUGUCCUCGAACAUAAUGGUAAGUUCUCCCAUGUUGAAUGUAGAUUAUGACUUUUUGAAAUUACAAAAUUUGGCCAAUUUUCCAUUGCCUUUCUAAUUGCAUUUAUGCAUUAGCAGAUAUGGAUUAAUGAUCCCAUUAACAUACAUAUAGAAACAUACUAAUGCACUUUAUAUUCACUUGUUCCAUUAAUGACAGGUACAUCAUUGCGUAAUGGAAGAAUGCUUGGCAAGCUCAGUGCAAGGCCCACUUCUUUAUUUUUACUACUUACAACUAGAGAACUCUCUCUCUUCCUCCCUCCCGCGCUUGGUCCUCUGUCCAACCCAAAGCAAGCACAACCUUAAUUUUCAUACUCCCAUAAAGAAAAGUCCUUCCCCUUUUGGGUUGAUUGUGGGCAAGGAGGGAUUCAAAGUUUCCCCAGAAAUAGCAAACAGGGAAACCCGAGCAACAUUAUCUUUUCUUUCUACUAUAAAUUCCGAGAAUCUCUAUUUUUUACUAAGACACCUGUUGUUGGAUUGAAUUCUAACGAAUCAUUCGUGAAUCUGUAAAAAACUCUUUAUUUAUUAAAUAAAAUAAAAAUUAGAAUUCAAUUCUAAUUUAAAGACAAUAAUAGAAUAGAUUAUCAUAUAUAUAUUUCUAUAUUUCACAUAGAAAGAUAAAGAAGAAUAAGUCUCAUUUAUUUAAUUAUCCAUUUCUUGCACUUAUUAUUUAAUAUAUAUACUCACUUAGAUAUACUCAAUAUAAAUAUAUACGAAUUAUAAUUAUACUAAGACAUCUUUCUAACAAUAACAGGUACAAAUAUUAAAUCAAGGUACCCGUUCUAUGGUAAUUUUUAACAACUUACCCUCUUUCUUUGUGCCUUUAGUGGGCCUCGGACUCACCGGCUUCCACCCCGGCAGUGGCAAAUGACUUCAACACUUCUUCGCCUGCCCAGACAUCGACUACCGGGGCCUUCUACCUGUGGAAGACCACUCGAGCAACCAACUCCACCUCUCUUUUGAACAAGGGAUUGCCGCGGGGGACGUUGGCGGCAAUGAUAGUGGGGAUUAGGAUGGGGGACUGAUUCUGCUGGUUGGGGGCAGCACCACAGACAGUGGAAAGUAGAUACACCACGAAUGUGGAUAGGGCACGGUGUGCGUCAUGGCGAAGCAAGGCGGCGUGGCCGUGGCCACCGUGGCCUGUUAGUGUUGCAACUGCAAAGGUGCCUCUCUAUUGUUACGAACCACGCCACCGUCUCAGCCGUUGCCCCCCCGAGCCCCACCGUCGCCUGUCGAAGCCCCAUUGACAGCUUCAAUUCGUCCCCUACCACUCUCUCUCUCUCUCUCUCUCCCGGAAAACGAUUCCACUCUACUCUCUCUCGUCCAGCAAACCACGCUUACGUUGCCUCCCAAAUAAUAAUUGUUUUUUUUUUAAAGAUAGUUUUCUAGUUCACCUCAUGCAAGACGACAUUUUAAAGCUUUGAGUUUUAAGGGCAUCCAAUUUGUUAGAUAUCACUGAUUUUCUCAGGCGAAUCUAUUGCUGUUAGUAAUUUUUUUUCAUACAGUUAGUAAAAUUUUAAAUAGAAUGGUAUCUUGUGAUAAAUGAAGUAAGUAACUUAUACUCAGCAUCCAUAAAUUUUAUUGGUCGCCUUUAGUUUUCUGUAAAUACAUUUGUUUAUUUCAGUACAAGUCUAGAUUCCCUAUUCAAAUUUUCACCUUUACUUUUAAUUUGCUUGUAUUUUCAAUUUCCUGCAUUUCGACUCGAGUUGUUUAUUGUUUCGAAAAAAAAAUGAUUUAAUUUUUCCGAAAAGAGAAACCGAGUGUAGAAAAUAGAGGUAAGAGAUACAAAGGAAAUCUCAAUAAUCGAGCCGGUCUUUCUCUCAGUAACGAAUGAAACUCAAACUGCUGACUUCAGAAUUUUCAAGUCUGAAUUUGAGGGAAGAAGGGAACAUUGGAGUCAAUUUCGUUUGCAUAGCUCUUUUGCAACAAAGGGAUUGAGUCGACUAAAGCCUUUUGUUGACACCCAAAUUUUUAUUUCACAAAAAUAAAGAUAAAAAUAAAAAAAUGAAUAAUGAAUAAAAAUGGAUCAAAUAAAAUGAAUGAACGAUGAAAAAUUGAGUCGUGUGGGCCGGAGUGUCUAGCCCACUUGGUUAUUUCCGGUUCACCCCUUAACCGGGCUUCCCAUUUACUUUAUUCUCUUGGGCCUAUUUCCUUCUUUUUCUUCGGCCCACCAGGGCCUACAAAAGAAGCCCAGCCCAUCACUCAUUCUUGCUCUUGCGCGCACGCGCUCGUGUGAAGACCGUCUGUGACUCUGGGACGCAAGGAGGAGAGAAGGUACAGUGACGGUCACCGAACAAAUGCCCGUGAGCGAGGGAUGAGAAAGGAGCCUGUGACGGAAGCAGAUCCGAGAGCGUGAAUCUUAACCGAUACACUCGCGGCUCAACCCUGCGAAAUCGAGAUAUAUUCGUGCGAGAUGAUGAUGUCUAGAGCCUGUCGCGUCGUGUUUUGGUUGGAAAAUGGUGUAAAAGCUGAAUCAAAAACCUGUUCUCGUGGCUGCACAACCUGUGUUCGACAAAAUGCUCGAACGAUGCGCCCAAAUCCAUGUUAUCCGAUCGACGUUAUAAAUUUAGUUCGAGGCUUGAUUGCGCAUAUUUUGUUGACGCUCGUCUGCUUUCUUCGUGUUUUGCUAUGUUUUUGUUUGAUUUCACGGCCCACCUUUUGAUGUUCGUUGACGGCCAUGCAAAACCGAACUUGGUUCGGCCGUCGCCGGCGACGGCGGCCGGAGAUGUAAUCUGGUGAUGGUGUGUGGUGGUAUGAGCGCCGGUGUCCGUAGAUGGCCUCUAGUUGUAUGGGUUCCAAAAAUGGAGAAGCAGAUGAACGUUCGGAGUGAAAAAAUGGCUUCGGGGAAGAAAAGGGGAAAAAGAUUAAGGGCAGCAGAAAAGGACUUGAUAAUGAAAAAGACAAAAGAGGAAAAAAAAUUUAAAACAAAUCAAUAAAAAUUUCAAAAUAUAUUUUUUUGUAAAUCCGACCAGGUCGGAUCUGGGUAGACGGGUUGGAUCGGGCUUAUGAUCCGAACCCAUUCCCCGAAUAUAAUAAUAAUAUAUAAUAAUAAUAAUAAUAAGUAAAAAAAUUUGAAAAAAAUCCAAAAAUAAAAAAUCAAUAAACAUUUAGAAUUUUAGAAAAUCAUUAAAGAUUUAAAAAAAAAUCCGAAAGGUCAUCAAAAAAUAAUAUUUCGAAAAAAAUUUCAAAAAAUUGAAAAUUCAUAAAAAUCAUAAAAAUUCAGAAAAUCCUAGAAAAUCCAAAAAAUUCAAAAAUUGGAAAAUUUCUAUAAAAAGUGAAAUGAAAAAUAGGGUUUUUUUAGGGCUGAUAUUAGAAUGCUUGUAUAGUUUCCUUUACAAUUAUAACUAAUUGUGCAUUUCAAUAUUUUGAGUAUUACUUUUCUAUUCUAGAAUGGUUAAGACGAUUCUUAGAUUUCUUUUGGCUAGGCUGUUAUGGUGUUCGUCAGCACAUAAUCGAGUAGGUACUAAAAGGGCAUUAGUCUUAAUGCUAACGUAAUCAAAUUCUCGAAUGCAGAAUAUCUGAUUACAAAAAGUAAGAUAUCCUUCCAUAUCUUACUUAGCUUCUAGUCGACCGAAAAGGCUAACAGCAACUCCUUUGUCAAAAUUUGCGUAUGCUUAAUUGAUUUAAAAUUUGAACGUUCGAUAUCGUGCGAAGUAUUGGCUUGGGAGAACUUGAGUCAAUGGAAAGUAUGACAACACCCCUAAACAUAACUCUCUUUCCCCCAAGGGGUUAGGUCGCGACACCUUCCAUUAAGAACAAAACGACACAAUCUAGAGCAAUAACCGUAACAAUAAUCAUCGAUGCACCAUUUUGAUACUAGCAAGAUCAUCUAAAAGGAGUUUCGCCUGGAUAUUAAAACGGCCGAAUAAGAAGGAAGCAACUGGAAUGACAUUAGCUGGAGCUUGAAGUCAUGGAAACGAGCAGCGAUGGAAAUGGUCUACAUCUAGUACGCCAGAAGGUCUUUCUGGCAGAGACAUUACUAGCCGAAGACAACGAACGUGACUAGGAAUCUCUGUCUCCUCCAAGCUCGGCGUCAAGGCAGAGCAAGCACUCCUUUCUUUGGUCAAAUCAAUAGCGACAUCCUCGCAGGGCGGAGGAGGAGGAGGAGGGGAAAGAAGGCCAGGUUAGGGGAAAAAGCUUAAAUGUUGCUGUGAUGGGGCUGAUGGGUUUGAGCUGCAGAUCAAAUCAAUGGGUUUGCUCUUGUGGGCCGCACCAAUUGGACCAACUUGGCCUUUUUUUAUUUGUUAUUUAUUUUUAUCUUUUAAUUAUUCUCUUUUUUUGUUCUUUUUACUACCAUUCAUUGUUUUUAUGCUCUUUUUUUAGGAAAAAUGUAUGCUUAAUUUGUCUACUAAAAUUUAGGGCUCGACAGCUUUAAAAAUAUUUACCUAAUAUUCAAAGAAGAAUAUCAUGCUGUCACAAACAAACAACAAGACAUUGUAUGUGUCGUUGUGUCCAAUUUUAACUUACCAAAGGCUAGAGUAGUUUCUUGAUCGAUGGAAGAAAUGGGCCAAAAAUAUGGGACAAUCCAAUCAAAUAGAAUCAGGUAUGUGUUAAUGAAAUAUUGACUCAUCUAAAAUGACUUCAUUUAUGACUCGGAUUCAUAUGGACCUAAUUUCGAUCUCGGCCAUUCGGUGGGUUGAAGUCCCAGAAAUCACAGUGGAAGAUUAAAUAAAGAUUGGUACAAUGCAAGAGAAAGAGAUGGCUUUUUAUAAUGAAAGAUGAUUCUUUCGUGUUUUAUUUUUCCUAUUCAAGGAUUCUUUUUCAAUUUAUUUAAAGGUUCUCAAAGUGAAGAAAUGAUUAAACAUGGCAAAGAGUCGAUAAAGAAGCAAAAGAAAUGAAUAAAUAUGUUAAGAAUAACAUAGGUUUAAAUAAAACUGAUGUUUACAAAGUUUCACCUAAAAAAAGGGACCAGGUGACCGGUCAAGUGGUCCAAGACUUGAUUUGCAAGUCAAAGGUCGCAAGUUUAAUUUCCCAAUCUAUUAUCCAUUUUGGGAUAAUUAUGCGACUAGCUUGGCGGAAUUAAUUUGAACAAUAUCUUGUGGCAAACACAUUCACCCGUUUGGGGUCAAAGAUUGUUGUGGGCCGGAGAAACUCCAAAUAGAAUUUCCAGCAAAAACAUUUGAGUCGCCGUUGAUGCCCCUCGAUGAAGGGCUGUGACUCCACUUCGACGAAUUUCCACUUCCACCAUGAAGUCGAGACAAUUUCCUUCAUGCGCAAUAGCAUAAUCAACAAAAAUCUUUUUUGACAAUAACAAUUAUAAUAGGCAAUUUUGUCUCCAGAAUGGAAAAAAAGUCAAAUAUAUGGUGGAGUAGUCAGCUAUGUAGCACCGACACGGACACGUGACACGUGACACGACACGACACGACACGUCGACACAUCAUUUCUUAAAAAUAGAGAAUUUCGACACGUUCCGACACGUUAUAUAUUAGAUAUAUUUUUAUAUAUAAAUACAUAAAUAAAUAAUAAUAAAAAUAGCCUAGAAUUAAUUUACACAAAAAAUAUUAAAUAAUAUCAUUCAUUAUUUUAAUUUGUUACAAUAAUACACAAAACUUAGAGGAAAAAAACAUUGUUUAAAGAAAAAUGCUGAAAUUAUAUUUUUAAAUUUAUUUAUUUAUCAUAUAUAGCAUUUUUUAUUACUUCUUUCAGAGUAAAAGACUUUUAAAAAAAAUAAAACAAUUCUAAAAAAUAAAACUGAAAAAAAAAAUUGACCCCGUGUGUGUAUAUUUAUAGAAUAUUGCCCAGACAGAGAUUGAAUUAUCGGGUAUAGGGAGUCCAGAAUUCUUCAGGGAGAAUUUUGGUGUCUAGAAUUGAACAACUUGCUCCUGUGUCAAUGAGAGCAAUGACAGUGAUCGGUUUGGCAAACUUUGAGGUGAGGAUUUUAACUGGGAAGUGUGGACAAUGGGUUUGACUUGAAAAUAUGUUAGAGUUUGGUUCUGGGGAUGAAGGUGAUAUAUGGAAAAUAUCCUCAGACUCUGAGUCUGACUCAGUCUCACUGGAAGUUUGGUAGGAGGGAAUAGCACAAAGAGUUUGUUCAGAUGGUUCUUCAUCAACAGAGAAUAAGGAUUCAAUAUCAUCAUUUUCAAGAGAAAUACCUAUUUCGCUUUCAAUAUGAUGGAUGAAAUGAUUCUGACCUUUUCUUGCUUGAGGACAACUUUUGGCGAAAUGUCCUUUCUGAUUGCAAAUGUAGCAACGAUUUGAUUUUUUGUGGCUUGUGCGAUCCUUUCUUUUGCGUAGGUAUCGCCAUUUCUUCUUUUUCCGGAAAUGCUUGGAGCUUUGUUUGGAUUUCUUCAUCCAAAACUUCUUGUAGUGCUUCUUCUUGCGGGAGUGCUUGCCACAUGUUCCAUCACAGUCUUUUUUGGAGCAUUUAAUUUUCAAAUCUUGUCUGGAGCAGGCUGAUUCUAGGCGUCUGUCAUCUGUGAUGUAUGUUUGCACCAUUCUGCGCUUUAAGCAUAAUUCUUCAAGGCAUAUAUGGAUCUCUUGCUGUAUUUCUCCCAAGGGAAUAUCUUGUAUCUGCCUUUGUUUUCCAAAGAAUGAUCUUUCGACCAUCUGGGAUAGUUCUUUUGGAAUGGAAGUAAGGAAAGCAUGCUUCAGAUUUGGUUCUGCUCCAAUCUGAUAAAAGGUUUGAAGCAUUAACUUGAAAUGCUUAUCAAGGUGCUUCUUCUGGAGGGAGCAGCAUCGCCUUUCGAAGAACUCUCUUUUUUUUUUAUCUCUAUGAGAUCGUCGGGUUUUCCCACAAAGACAUGAUAUAAGAGAGUGAUUGCAUGGCUGAACGCGGGUGACAUUAGGAAAUGGAUCUGAUCCUGUUCUGAAAGGGAUUGCCACCAGUGCUUUAGGCUUCCUGUAAAUCUUGUAACAAAGUUGUACAAUACAUCAUUCAUAUCAUGGUUGGUGAUAGACAGUGUAUUCAUCCAAGUGUGAAAUUCUUCAAGUCUUAUCGGCCAUUUUUGAUAAGGAAUAUCAUCAAUGGUGAAGAAUUGUUUUGAUGCAGUGGACACCUGGUGAGUAGGCUUGCUUGUCUGGCCUAUUUCGGGGUCAGAAUAAUCUGAUUCCAUAUCAUCGUCUAGGGAGUCAGCCAUGAAUAUUGAUGAAGUAAUUGGUGCAAUAGGAAGGGUAUCAACUGUAGGAACUGAGAAGGACGAUGAAGAGGAAGUAAGGGAUACUGAAGAUUCUGUUUCAGUUGCUGAAGAUUCUGUUUCAGUAUCAUAAGAAGCUUGCUUUAUUGAGAGCAAAGUCUGCUUUUCCGGAGGAUCAGGUUGUUCAUGCUGUUGGAUAACAGAGUCAGGUUCCUGGGUGCCUAAAUCCUUUAGAAAAAUUUCUAAUGGAUUUGAUAGCAUCAUCUGUUCUGGUCUUUCUCUUAUAAUAAUGGAACUUGAUCCUGUAGGUGGUGUUUUUUCUUUUCCCUUUUCUUUCUGUAGGGUUUUGAGGCGAUUUCGCAAAUCUGCCAUAUCCGGUUCUCUUCUGUAAGGAUCUGUUGGGAUAGUGGCGAAAAUGGAUUUUUUUGGUGGUGGGGGUAAAUAUCCAGUUUUAGCAGGAGGUGCUAAAGGAUCAAAUGGUCUGAACCUUCCUUCUUCAAGAAGUUGGAUUUGGUUCUUGAGUUUUUCUAUUUCUGGCUUUGGAUUUUCAAGAUAAUGGUACCCAAGAUGUUGUCCUGAUUCCAAGGCGUGAAGCCUUUUCUGGAAUUCAGAGAGUAUCUUUUUGGUACUUUCGUCAUACCUUCGGAGAUCUUGUUGCACAUUUCCGAUUUUGGAGUCAACUGCCUUGAAGGCAUUGUUUUGUGCUAACAGAGUCUCUGAUUGCCAGUUUAGAACAGCUUCAGCAGCAGAGGUUUUUUUUUGUCUUCCAUGUUCGUCCACAUCAGUGGGAGUAGAAACUUUAGGAACAUGUCGAUAUCUUCCUUGCGGAUUAAUAAACUCUUCUGCAGCCGGGAAAGAGAGUUUAGAACCUUCCUUGACCAGGGGCGGAAAGUCAGCAUCCUGGAACAUAGCGAUAGAAGAAGUAGGUGGUACUUCUUUUGGAACUUCGAAGGGGUAAGAAUGCUUCUUAGCCCACUUAAGAAUUGGCUUAUAGAAAGGAGAGAGGGUUUGCUUUUUGUGAGGAGGAGAUGGUGGUGGUGUUUUUGGUGGAUCUAGUGAGGUUUGGAAUAUAGUACUGGACUCUGGUGAUGGUGGUGGUGCAUAAGAAACCAGGAAUUGGUAUUUGUCGCUUUCACCAAGAGUAUCGAUGGAUGAAUCUCCAUCUAAGUACCUUUGGUACAUUUUAUCCUUUGGCCUUUUCCGCCGAGGUGGAGGUUUUUCAAACGGGUUUACCUCGUCAGGAGAAUUUAUACAGGAGGAACAUGGGCAGAAAGGAUCCCAAAAACAAUGGCCAUAAUUGUCUUGAUAGUAAUGAACAGGAUGUCCAUCACCAUCAAAGUGUCGAACAUGCUUUUUUGGAUCUGGCUCAGAAAUGGAUGGAGGAACACAUGGUUCAAUCAUGAGUAAGGUUUGGAAAAUGGAAGGACUUUCUUCCUUUUCUUUGCUAAAUUUGAUGGAAACCGUUCCAUCUUUUUUCCUUACGACCUCUGAGUCCGUAGAUUGGAUAGGCUUGUUGUGCUGGUGUAGCUUCUCAUAGUUGGUAAUCCAGGUUUCUGGAAGAAGCUUGGCUAACUUCUCCUUUGGAAUCUGUCUGGGAACAUGGAUGCAGGAUGCCUGGUCAUUUUGCAUGGAGAUGAACAAGGCAUCUUCAUUACCAUUGUUGAGGUUAAGAUCAAGCGCAUGGUUUUGCACUCGGUAAACCGUCUGGUAAUGUAAUGUUGCAGCUACAGAGUCAGCAGUUUGAGGGGCUCCAGUGAGUUGAAGUUGGACUUUCAUAAAAGAAAGUAACUGAGGAUCUGAAAGGGCUAUGUUGAAGUUGGGGUAUAGAGUGACAAAGACGGUUCCUGCAUUCAAAGUAGUCUGAACAGUACCAAUGCAAGCAUGCUGGUAUUGUAAAAACCCGGUGUCUAAUAAUGCUAUUCUUGCCACAACCGGUAGACCUUUACGACCAUGGAACGUGAGAGCAAGACGAACAGCUCCAUAAUGGACAUGAGUGUAUCCCUGUUGAGCCCAUUGUCUGGGGAAUUCUGGAGGGAUCUGAAGAGUAACAAAGUAUUCCUUUUCAGUAGCAGGAAUAGGAUGCUGGUCGAAUUUGGAGGACUGGACGUACUCCUUUACUUGCUUUGGGCUUUGGUGAAUUAGCUGACGGAUGGAGCGAAUCGGUGAGAAUGAUGAGUUUGGUUUUGCAAAAGCAGAAUUUCUUUGUCAGGCUUCCUUUUAAGAAAAAUGAAGAUAUAAACCCAACUAAGGCAAGCCACGUGGGAAUGAAGCCAGAACAUUUGGUUCUAGCCCAAAGGGAAUGCUCGGAACUUUUACAACAAGGACUUAUUGAAGUCUCUGACUCACAAUGGGCCUGUGAAGCUUUUUAUGUCAAUAAACGUGCCGAGCAAAACAGAGGAAAAAUGAGAUUGGUAAUUAACUAUCAGCCUCUCAAUCUUUUCCUUCAAGAUGAUAAAUUCCCUUUACCAUCUAGAGACUCUCUCUUCAGUGGCCUAACCAAGGCCCACAUCUAUUCCAAAUUCGACCUCAAAGCCGGAUUUUGGCAAUUGGGCAUCCAUCCUGAAGACAGAUCCAAAACAGGAUUCUGUAUCCCGAACCAACACUUUCAAUGGAAAGUUCUUCCUUUUGGCUUAAAGGUAGCACCAUCCCUUUUCCAGAAGGCCAUGUGUCGUAUCUUCCAGCCAAUUCUAUCAAGUGCAGUAGUAUACAUUGAUGAUAUCCUGCUCUACAGUCCUGAUGAACAGUCACACUGUCAACUUCUUGAGCAGUUUGCAGAAAUCAUAAAAAAACAUGGUAUUAUGCUUUCCCAAAGGAAGAUGAAUAUUGCCCAGACAGAGAUUGAAUUUCUUGGUAUGCACCUUAACAAAGGUACAUACUACCCAGGGCCGCAUAUAGCCCAAGAAUUAUUGAAGUUUCCUCAGGACAAUUUCACAAUAAAGCAAGUUCAGCAAUUCCUCGGGAUAAUUAAUUAUCUCAGGGUCUUUGUCCCAAAUAUUGCAAAACUCCUGAUCCCUUUGCAAUCCAUGCUGAAGAAGAAUUCCCCACCUUGGGGAAAAACUCAGACCAAAGCAGUAGCAGAACUGAAGGAGAUUAUGCAGAAUCUCCCACAAUUACAAAUACCAUCAACAGGCAAGAGAAUUCUCCAAACUGACGCCAGUGACGAAUACUGGGCAGCUGUUCUCUUUGAAGAAAUCGAUGGUAAGAGACUCCUCUGUGCUCAUAAAAGUGGAAAGUUUUCCCAAGCUGAAAUGCAUUACCAUUCCACUUUCAAAGAAAUCUUAGCAGUCAAAAAUGGAAUCAAAAAAUUUGAGUUCCACCUCAUCGGCCACCAUUUUCUGGUAGAAUUAGACAUGGCAUCUUUCCCUCAGAUGACCAAGUUUAAACAGAAGCAGAUUCCAAAUUCCCAGCUGCUUCGAUGGGCUGAAUGGUUUUCAAAAUACUCCUUUGAAACUAAGCAUAUUCCUGGAAAGAAGAAUGUACUUGCUGAUUUCUUAUCAAGGCCAAAGGCACCAGCCGAGAUCAACAUGUAUAUCAAAAGGCCUGCUUUCCAUAUGCUCAACUAUGGGGUAAAAUACAAAAUUGAGAACAUCAAAGAUUUGCAAAGCUGGAAAUAUCCCCAGGAGAUUAUUCAACAAAUCCAGAACGACAGCCUUGAUGAAAACAUGAAGAACCUCAUGUGGCAGAGCCACACAAACCUAUUCAGGUUCAACAGAGGUUCGAUUCUUUAUCCUUUUGGGUUAAACAUGAAUUAUCCAUUCAUUCAUCCUCUUAUCUGGAAAGAAGAUGAUUUUCCUGAACAGCUCAAAACGUUAUUAUGGUACUUAACCAAUAAGUAUCUAAUAGCCUUUGAAAUCCCAACCAGAAGAUUCAUUGCUAACCUCACAAGGAUAUUCUUGCUCGGAAGAAACAUUGAAAAAGAAUGCGAUAAGAAUCUUUUAGAAUUUCUAAAUUGGUUCUAUCAUCCUACAUGUUGGAAACAAGACUUGGAAAAAGAACUGAGAACCAUGACACCAGAUCCUGAAGUCCAUACCAUCCUAUUUUUCCGACGCCCUUGGAAUUUUUGCAGAAAUAAUGGUAGUAUUCUUGAUGCACCACUGGAAAUAGGAACUACAUCUUAUAAACCUAACUUGAACAGCCGAGAAUCCCGGAUUUACAAAUCUUAUCCUAGAUCUGUUCGAAUCUGUGAAAGUAAAUAUCGAGAACUCCAGAGAAUCCUAUGCCAGGAAAACAAGACCAUUCCCGAAGAUAUUUGGAAUAAUGCACCCACUACGUGGGAUCAUUAUGAUCUAGCACCAGAAGCUAAGGAAGCACUCGGACAAUACAGACAAGCCUCAUCGUCCCAAGAGCCUGAAAUGACAAGCGAAGAUGACGUUGUCCAAUCCACCCAAGACCCCUAUGCACGCUUUGGAGGAGCUCUGUCCCAGGAUCCCUACGAACAGUUCCAAAGCAUGGACACAUCUUUUUAUGCAGAACCAUCCAACUGGCCUCAGCCAAGAAUUAUUGACCUUCAGCAAGAUGAAGAUACAAACUGGGCUGAAGAAGAAGCAUCACAUUGGGCUCAUGAACAAGCAUCCUCAUCACGAAGGCUGAAUCAAAUUCUCUCACCAGAAGACCUUGAAGCCCUUGAACAGAAAUACGAGGCACAUCUCCUAGAAGAAAACUCGGAUGAUUCAACUUGCGGCUACAAUGCUCGAGACGGACGAGACCGUUGAGUCCGUACAAAUUUACUGUAGCAAAUCACUGUUCACUUUUACUGUAGCACUAGGCUAGGGAAUGUACUGUUCACAGUACAGUUACUGUUCAUAGUGUGCGAAUAAUUCCCUUUCGGUGCCCCUGUUUGUCCCCGGACCCGUGAGCUAGGUCCCUGUGUGUGUCCUUGUCACUUCUUAUUGCCUAUAUAAGGCAAGGAAGGUGUAUUGUUUUGGGCAGAGUCCCCUGAAGUAAAGUGUGUGCUUUGUGAAAAUCUCUCCAUGGCUUUCUAAAUCCCUCUUCUUCUUCUCAAAUCUGGUAGGAUCCUUCAAGAAAGGCAGCUUGGAUAGAUUAGAAAUGAUUCCAUCCUGGCAUCUCUGAGUGUCUCUAGGCUCUGAACUAAAGGGCUGAGUGGUUUUUUGCUAACAGGCUGUCCCUGAAGGGCUAGGUUCGCCCAUGUGGGAUGCAUACCUGCAAAAGAUUUACUCUCCUUCCCUGGUUCUAAGUCUAGGUCCAUUCAUGGUAUCAGAGCCAUGGUCCCAUUUUUAAUAAAUCCAUUCCAUGCGCUUGGCAAGAGAAUCCAGAUCUGAGAAGAUCUCCCCUCAUAAUGUCUGCAGAACCAGAAAUCCUUGAAGCAUCAGUUACCCUGGCACCUCCAGCUUCAUCUUCAAUACCUCCAGAAUUUCGUGUUUCUAAUGCUUCUAAGAUAGACUAUCUCUAUGAAGUCUCUCUUAGCGAUGAAACCAAGAUUUCAGAAACCCAACUCCCCCUCAUGAACCCUUAUUCUGCUUUUGCAAAACCAAACUCAUCAUUCUCACCGAUCCGCUCCAUCCGUCAGCUAAUUCACCAAAGCCCAAAGCAAGUAAAGGAGUACGUCCAGUCCUCCAAAUUCGACCAACAUCCUAUUCCUGCUACUGAAAAGGAAUACUUUGUUACUCUUCAGAUCCCUCCAGAAUUCCCCAGACAAUGGGCUCAACAGGGAUACACUCAUGUCCAUUAUGGAGCUGUUCGUCUUGCUCUCACGUUCCAUGGUCGUAAAGGUCUACCGGUUGUGGCAAGAAUAGCAUUAUUAGACACCGGGUUUUUACAAUACCAGCAUGCUUGCAUUGGUACUGUUCAGACUACUUUGAAUGCAGGAACCGUCUUUGUCACUCUAUACCCCAACUUCAACAUAGCCCUUUCAGAUCCUCAGUUACUUUCUUUUAUGAAAGUCCAACUUCAACUCACUGGAGCCCCUCAAACUGCUGACUCUGUAGCUGCAACAUUACAUUACCAGAUGGUUUACCGAGUGCAAAACCAUACGCUUGAUCUUAAACUCAACAAUGGUAAUGAAGAUGCCUUGUUCAUCUCCAUGCAAAAUGACCAGGCAUCCUGCAUCCAUGUUCCCAGACAGAUUCCAAAGGAGAAGUUAGCCAAGCUUCUUCCAGAAACCUGGAUUACCAACUAUGAGAAGCUACACCAGCACAACAAGCCUAUCCAAUCUACGGACUCAGAGGUCGUAAGGAAAAAAGAUGGAACGGUUUCCAUCAAAUUUAGCAAAGAAAAGGAAGAAAGUCCUUCCAUUUUCCAAACCUUACUCAUGAUUGAACCAUGUGUUCCUCCAUCCAUUUCUGAGCCAGAUCCAAAAAAGCAUGUUCGACACUUUGAUGGUGAUGGACAUUCUUUUAUUAUUUCUUUUGUGUAUAUUUAUAUUUUGACCCUUCAAGUAUUAUAAAUUUUUAAAAUUCACCCCGUGCGUGUCGGAAUCGCGUGUCGGAAUUCUGGACUCGCGUGUCGGAAAGAGUUGACCACGUGUCGGAUUUUUCGACACUCGUUGACCGCGUGUCGGAGCGUGUCGGGACGUGUCGGAGCGUGUCGGACACGUGUCGGAGUGUCGGACACGACACGAAGGCUUUCGGAGAGUGUCCGUGCUACAUAGGUAGUCAGCACUAAGCAUUUGACCCUUGACAUUUCAUUUACUUCCAAAUAUAUAAACACAAAAUCCUUUUCUUCUCUCGAAUAAGUAUAUACUUUAUUUGGUAUUUUAGCACAUGAAGUUAGAAUCAAUGCAAAAUUGCAACAAUCAAGUCAUAACGAUGAAUUAAAUGUUGAUGAUAAGCUUUUAUAGAGGAUGAUAAUGUGAGAUAGUCGAAUAAAACACGUAUUUAGUAGUUAUUGUAGCUCGAAGGCAAUUUUAGUACAAAGAAAUGGUGUAGUGCCUCCCUUGUUUUUAAUUAGCGGAGCAUAAAAUUUGGGAGACUUUUUUAAAAAAAAUAAUAAUUUUGGAUUCUUUGAGGUCAAGCAUAAUCAAAGGGCGCAUUUUUAUUUGUAUUUUUUUUAGUGAUUAUGUAGAUGUUGAAGAUGAUCAGAUGACACACUGAACAACCUGAGCGCAUUGCCAAGAGAUGCAAACGAUCUACAUUAUAGUAACUCAACCUUUUGCCUACUGUCUCUAAUAAUUCAUCCUUUGGUAGUGAAUGUGGAUUUUGACGGUACAAUUCACGUUUGAUGUCAUGUUCCACUGUAGAAAGAACAGGAAAACACGAUACUGUGGCCUUCCAUCACCUAGAAGGUCGACAUUGUCUUCCUUGAAUUUUUCAAAUGUAGUUCCUGUCAUCCUUGCUAAAAUAUUCAUUCACCUCACUAGCAAUCAGCACCGGAGUGCUCGAGGCCUGCCGUUCUUUUUUGGGGCACAUGUGGCCCAAGAGCAUGGGUCCGAAGUGGCACGGCCCAUUGGCCAUCCUAGCUAAAAUCUAUCUGGGCUCAUGCACAGAUAUUCGAACAUUUUCUAUAGUCGAGGACCCUUCACUAAAAAAGAGUGUUGCCCACACCUUCAUACAUAUUUUUGGAGCUCCAAUCCAUCUCAUUCGAACAUCAAAUCAUUCCCAUCUUGCAUUCACUUUAUGUCCCUCCUUUGCUAUUUCCUGUCUUUCACCGAAAGUGUUACCGACGGCCUCGCAGAUAAUUUCGGAACCUCAACCCAUCGGACAUCUGUAAAAUUUCCCAUCUCGUAGUCACUCUGUGUCCUUUCUAUCCUUCACCGAAAAUUGUCGGUGACAGCUUCGUUGACGUUUUAGGACCCUCGACCAAUCUGAUUCGGACAUCUAUCCACAAUUCGCAUCUCCCCAUCCAAUCCGUGUCCUCCCUGUCUUCUAUCCUUCACGGUAAUUCAGACAUCUGUCACGUGUCCCAUCUCGAAACGAGCAAGAGUCCAGAAAAUGCAAUAUGUUAUGGCCCCACUGAGCGUGUCUUUUCAAGGGAAGAAGGAACUCAUUUUGCAAUCCCACCUUUCCCCUCACUUUCCGGAUAAAAAUAUCCUGUGGCCCCCACAGGAAAAUCUUUCUGUACCAUCCUCUUUGUAUUACUUGAAUCUUUAUUUCCCUCACUUCUUUCCCCUCAAUUCCUGAAACCCGCUUCAUUCUACGGAAUGGCUCCAUUCGGUUUUAUAUAUACGGGUCUUGCCCUCAUAAGAAAAAUCAAGGUAGCAAACAUUUGGAGCGGCUCCUUGUCUAUAAACAUCUUUCGCUUGAUGUGAAACUCAAAAUGUAAAAAUUCUCCCACAAAUGUCAAUGUCUUCGUCGACAAUAUGUAUCGACUUGACUAUAAUUGCAUUAGUAGACGUUCCUCAAAGAAACAUUAGAGCUUGUUGUUUUUGUCAUGCCCAUCAAGCUAUACCAAGAAUGAAGAAGUACAGACGAGAUGUUAGAUGGUUUACACAAAGAACAAAAGUGGAUGAACAAGAUGAUGUAUUGAUCAUCAGUAAUGGUGCAUGGAGAUGUUUUACAAAAGAGCCAGAGGUUCUUUUAAUUUCUUUCAUUGAUCAAUAUCUUUUCAUUGUUUACGUUACCUAUUUUUCAAUAUAGAAAUUAAACAUCAUACCUUUUUAACUAGAAAUUUUUGUUAGGCCCUAGUUGAUAGAAUAGCAACUCCUAUUACAACACUAAAACAACUAUGCGUGCAUAAUUACUAUUUGAUUAUAUCGAGUUAUUUAAAUUUUUUGGUCAUACUUAUAAGUAUGUUUUCCUAUCGUUUAAAGCAGUUUUUGUUUUGGGUGAUCGACUGAAUAUGUUUUCUUUUUCUUUUGGUUAGGACGAUUGACCGAAUUAAGAGGUUGGUUUUUUUUAGAAUAUUUUUCGCUCUUAUUCGUAAAACAAUUUCUACGAAUUUGGGACCAAACGUAUAAUCAUGUGUGGCGUUGCACAUAUUAAGUCAAAGCUAGCUGCUACAACAUUUAGACAGAUAGAGAGAGAGAGAGAGAGAGAGAGAGAGAGGAUGGUACGGUGGAGUGGGGUCCCUCGACGUGAUGUUGAAAAAGCAAGAAGCUUUAAUAAUUGCAACACGAUAUGUAUAAAGUUAUAUUGUCCGUAUGCAUCAAGAGGUUGACACAACAUGAACCUUCGAUAAUUGCAACUUGAUCCACGAUGGCCAAAAAACAGCUUAACUCCACCCCGGUUAAACUCUUAACCUCACUUUCUUUUGUCCUCCUCCUCCUCCCCUGCAUUUUAGAGAGAGAGAGAGAAGAGAGAGAGAGAGCAGCAUCAGAGAGCAAUGGUCGUGGACGUGUGUGGUGGGUAAAUGUUAGGGAAGGAGAGAGACACUCAAGGAUUUUGAUUUUAUGGAGAACCGGAAAGAGGGUCAUUGAGUUGUUAACGAGGUAUAAUAAAUCAAUGGAAUGGGGUGUUCUUUAGAACUAUUAAAGUGAGGUUUUGAGAAAUAAAUGACGAGCAUAAUUAGCAAUUUCUAUAGAAAAGAAAAAUAAAAAGGCGGCUUUUAUGGACCUUCAAUUUCUCUCGAUGGAGUUGAAUAUGUAGCUCAAAGUCUAUACAUGUUCACAAAAUUAAUAGAUUAGUGUCUCUUAAAUAUUAAUGGAGUGCCUAUGUAUCCCAUGAAUCUCCAUCAAAUGCAGGGGUCCCUCCAUUUCAUACACAUCUGAUAAUUACUAGAGAUAAACAAUUUAUAUUGAUAUACCUAUAAUAAAUUUACAUUUUAUAUUACAUUCUUUUGAAGAUGGGCAAGUUGACAUGCUUGAUUUUAUCAUCUCAAUUUCUAUUCGAAGUUGGUUUUGGUAGCUUAGGGGCUGCAUGGAAACACUUCUGUUCUUUUUUUGUUCCAGGGAACAAAAAUAAAAAAAAGUGUUUCUGUUCCGGGGAACAGUUUUUGAACAAAAGAAUGCGUUUGGCAACGUUUGUUUCGGGAAUAAAAAAUGAAUAGAAACACGUUUGGUAAAUUUUAUUCUUUUUUUGUUUCUUUUAAUUUUUUAAUAUUUUUAUUUUAUUUUUCCUUUCUUUUUUAUUUUUUCUUCUUUCGGCCGAUCGCCGGCCUCAACGAGACCGGCAGCCUCGCCUAGCCAUGGCGAGGCUCGCCGGCCCCCAGCGAGGCCGAGCGUCGGCGAGGCUGAGCCUCGUCUGGGGCCGGCAACGCUCGGCCUCGCCUUGGCUAGGCGAGCUCAGGCUCGCCUAGAUCCAGCGAAGCCGAGCCUCGCCAUGGCUGGGCGAGCUCGAGCUCGCCUAGAUUCGGCGAGGCCGAGCCUCGCCGGGGGCCGGCGAUGCUCCGGCGAGGUCGCCGACCCUCGACGGCGUCACCGGCCCUCGACGGCCCGUCGCCGGCCAUGGCCGAGGCUGGCGACCGGCCAAAAAAAAAAAGAAGAAGAAAAGAAGAAGAAAAGAGAAGAUAGAGAAAAAGAAGUGUUUCUUCAAAAUCAUUUCUGGAAUAAGAAGUAAGUUUUUUUUGUUUCUUUUUUUUUGUUUCAAUUUUGUUCUGGGAACAAAAAAAACAAAAAAAGAACAGAAACGCAAUCAAACACGUUUCUGUUCUUUUUUUGUUCCCAGGAACAGAAAAACAAAAAAAUUGUUCAGAAACAGAAAUAAGAAGUGUUUUCAUGUAGGCUCUUAACAGUCUAAACUUGGGAGCUGAGCCCCCAUUCCUUUUAUACAUAGUUACUUGAGUGUCAUAAUUUUUUGUUGAUUAAUUUGGUGUCAUGAAUUUAAAAAAAAAAAAUCAUUUAAGUGACCUAACUUCGAAUAAGUGUCACGACUUUCAAUUGAUCAUUUAAAUACUACAACUCCCACCACAAGUGUCAUAAUACGUGGCACUUUUGGGGAACGUUUUCAAAAAGAUUAUAGCACUAAAGUGAAUAUUUUUUAGAAGUUUUAUAGCAUUUAAGUUAUAAAAAAAAGUGAUGAUGCUAUAAUUAUUCAAAGUUAGCCUUAUAUAACUAGGGCAUUACAGACGUUAACAUGCUAUGAUAAUACAAUCACGCAAGCACUGCUGCACUGCAAGAUGCAAUUGCAUGAAAAUGAUACAAACUUUUACCGAAAAAAAUGAGACGAGAAAAGCAUUUUAGUCAAAACUGGUGAUCUUCACAUGGUACAACAGUAGAAAGUAUUAUUGCAAUGAGCGGACUCUAAUAUUGUCCAACUUUAUUAAAGCCGAUACUUAAAAGAGCUCAUGAAGUGAUUGAAAUUGGAGUGCAUCAUCUGAAUCGGAUUUUGGACUUAUAAAGAUGAGGACCUCGGGGCUGUUGACAGCCAGAGCUGAGCACGUAUGAAAUGAUUGAUGGACGGUGAUAGUGAUAGAUAGCUGGAUAAUUCCCGCAUUUCACAAGUGGUGGGGUCCGAAGGCGAUUUUAGUUCCAAAAGAAAUGGUGGAGUGGGUUUUUUAGAUCCGUUAAAUUGAGGUUCUCAGAAAUAAAUAAUAAUUAUGCUUAUUAAUUUUUAUAAAAUUAAAUGAAAAGGCGUCUUUCGUGAUCCUUCAGUAUUCCAAUGGAGUCAUGUGCAUAGCUCAAUGCAUAUUUAUAAGAUUAAUAGAUAGGUGUCUUUUAAAUAUCAAUAGAGUGUCUAGAAUUCUUUUAACACUAAUAAUCCUCAUCAAGUAUGACGGUCUUUUUGUCCCACACACAUCAAUGAUCAUCGGAGAUACAUGUCUAUGCUCCCAAAGGUGGCCCUAAGUAAAUGCACAAAUUUGGUGAUUCAUUCACAAUUACCAUUUGAGCAACCUCUUAAAUUUAAAAGAUAGGAGCCGCUUAGUUUUCUUGAAAGAAAGCUGACAUAAUUUAAAGUGAAAACUGUUAAUUUUUCCUUAUAAAAAAUUAUUGAUUUUGUAAAUGAUAUAUAUCAUUGUGAUCAUGGAUUUAUAUCACAUUCUUUUGAUAAUAUUUUAGUUGCCACCCUUGAUUUUUUAAUCUCAAUUUAUAUUCGAAGUCGAUUUUGGUAGCUUAAUGUUCUAAACUUGGGAGCUCAGCCCCACUUUUUUUUUUUUAAACUCAUGGGAAAGGUUUUGAAAAUAUUUCUUCUACACUAGAAAUAUGUCGUUAAAGUUUAUAUUCAAAUGAUGACGUGUGAUGAAUCAAAAUCUAAUUAUAAAAGUUAUGGGUCACGAGGUUCAAAGGUCUUGGAGUUGAUGGUCACUGCAUAAUUAGCUUAAAUAUUAAGAUUUAUAUGGAAAUUGAGUGCAACUGUUGUGGAUCUUAUCUUUCCCGGAGAGGUGUAAGUUGGAGGAACAUUUCUCACCUUGGCAGCACCAUUCUAGUUUGUCGACAUCAAAAUUUCAUGUUGUCGCGGUACUGCCACAUAUUUCAAACAAAUUUGAAAACUUGUCAGCUCUCAUUAUCGAUGAAUGCUCGGCACUUUCCUGUUUUGAAAGGCUUGGUGAAGUUGAGGAAACUACGAAUUACUAGGUGCAAAUGCCUCAUAAGGACACUAAAUCUGUUGGGCUACAAUCCUUGGAGCCUCUCAAUUAGAAAGACUUGUUGAGAUUCAAGGUUUGCGGGCAUCGAGAUCUUUGUUGCACCUAACAGUUUCCUACUGCGAUUCAAUUGAAAGAUCACCUAAGCUAUGCAAGCUGAAGAAGCUUAGGUAUGUUGAACUGAGGGGUUAUGCUAAGCCAAGAGCCAUGGACAGCCGCAGUAGCCUAGGGUCUUCUUGCAAACCAAAGGUUGUAGAUCUCUCGAAAUGUGCCACCCAUGUUGUCGAGAUCGACCAAAAGAGAGACGGAUUAGAUGUCUCUUUAUGAAGAUUGAUUCCUCAUGAGGGACCUCAUCAGUUUGAUGGUUGAUUAUAUUUGAACAUUUAUAAUCAAGCAAGUUUUAUUCAUGGUAUGAACAGAAAGUAUCAGAAGCAGAAGUACAAUAUGGUUAAUGUGUAUGCAACUUAGUGGAAGAGAUUCAUCUAUAGACUUAUCUAUCAAUUCUUGGGAUUAAUAUUUGACAACAUGCUUGUCCUUGAAUUAAAUUAGUGAUCGAUGGUAAGAAAAUUAGGCACCGGUUCUUUGGCGGUGGUUGUUGUUGUUCAUGUUGUCGUCGUCAUUGUUAAUAAUGGGGAUAAUUAAUCAAAAAGUCCAACACCUAUUGUAUGAUGGUCAGUUCAGUCCUAAACAUUUCCUUUAUGUCUAUUUAGUCUAAAAUCUUUUAAUGAUUUCUCAGUGUAGUCAUCUCAGUCAAUUUUAAUUGGAAAUCAAUGACGUGAAUGUCUAACGUCCGACAUAGUCAAUUUUCUAAUAUUUUAUCAAUCUUUUAAAUUGUCUAUGCGUAGAACCAACGUCAAAAUAGGUAAAAAGAAAGAUAUUCUCCUAUUAUGUAGGACGCUGAGCCUAAUGAUUUUAAGCUUCAAACCGAACUCUAUAGAAAUGACUUGACUCGGGAUGAGAUAUAAUUUGGUUCUGAUGAACCGAAGCAGUGGAAAGUGGCCCCAAUCGAGGUGGCCUGUAUAGUGUUAAUUGAUAUUGACUGUUGAGCCACAAGAUUUAAGCUUACUGCAAUAUGGCCUCUUAGUUACCAACUUACCACAUGUCGUAUCCCGGUUCCCUAGUUUCCAGAAAUCUACGAAUAUUUAGUUGAGUGGAUGUCACCCUGUUUUGCAAAACAACGAUCACAUAUUAUAGACAACUCUAGUUAUGAUAACAAGUUAAUUAGCCGAGCAACUUAUUGCACGUUUUAUCCAGCCUUCUAAGGUCACGUGAAGAACCAAUCCCCCGUUGUAUCUUAUCGAGCCCAAAUUCAGUGUCAUGAUUUCUGCACAAUUGCCAUACCGCACAAACAAUUACAAAUUUUCAAUAAUGGUUGUUUGUAUGGUAUGACAAUUUAUGUAGGAGUGAGGGGAAAUUUGGGUUCAAUAACGGAAAAAACUUAUAGAUAAAAUAAUCAGAUUCUUCUAAGAGUGGGUAGAGCUUAAUAUUACCCGACCACAAUACUCGAAGCAGUGUGCAAAAUUGCACUGCACCACAUGUACAGGAGUUAUUAUUGCACAUUGACGUUCCAUAGUUUAAGUUCAAAUACCAUAUUUUCUUGGAAGUUGUAUUAAAAUGUUAUUUUAUAGUUCUUCAUUUGACUUGUUUUGGCAAUUCUUCUCAACAGACAGACGCGGGGAACUCUAUCAAAUUGAUCGUUCGUGAGUUUCCGGUUAAGCUGAAGGUCAAACAUAAGUUCAUGACUGAUCAUUUGGUCAUAUUGAAUGAUCAAGAAGAAGGCAUAAUGAAGACAUCGCUUUGUUGUAAUAUAUAGCAUUGGUGGCAAUUGCAAGAUGAUUUUGGUGGUCCUAUCAUUAUCUGCUAGCUUUAACUCUUGUGCAACUUGAAGAGUGCAGUUGGCCAUUGAAUAGUGCAUAUCUUGAUUCAAAUGCUUUCCAAUUCUAAUAGAAGUUAAUUGAGAUAAGAAUAUAACAAUCGAUGUAACUUUUGUACGGCAAUUAUUCGAAUGUCAUGAUUUUUUUAUUAAUUGAGUAUCACGACUUUUAAAAAUAAUAUUCACUUGAGUGACCUAAUUUUUUAAUUUUUUUUUUAUCUAAGUAUCAUAAUUUUUAAUUGGUUAUUUAAAUUCUAUAACUCCCAUACCACAAGUGCCAUGACAGGUAGUAGGCAGCACUUGUGGGGAAUGGUUGGACAGAACCCGAAUUUUGCAUUUCAAAUCUAAACAGGGAACUCAUUUUGCAUUUCCCUCCUUUCCUCCCACUUUUGGCGGAAGAAUAUCUUUUGCAACGUGACCCACGAUGCAUCGAACUCGUACUGCCCAACUGCAGCAUGAAUGAGAUUGACAUAACAUGAAGCUAUAAUAAUUGUCAAGUGAUCGACGAUGGCCUAAAAGCAAACUUAACUACACCUGGUUAAUUCUUAUCCUCAUUUUGUUCUGUCUUCAUCCUCCUGCGCGUUUUAUAGAGAGAGAGAGAGAGAGAGAGAGAGAGAGAGAGAGGGGGCAGCAUCAGAGCAACGAUGAUGGACGAGUUAGGGAGGGGAAGACACGUAAGGUCUUGGAAUUUGGCAAUGAGAAGCGUCGGCCUGUGAAUUGUUACGUUACUUAUUUUUUUGCAGAGAAUUUGAAAGAACGUCGUUACGUGCAGGUUAUUGGCAAAGAGAGAUUAGACAGAGAGAUCCAUAUAAUCCAUGAAAGAGGCUGACAUUAUCAAGUGCAUGCAACACUGAUAUGGAAUUAACGAUCCCUUAACAUAAACACAUAAUUACAAACAAAUACACUUCGUAUUCUUUGGAUCCAUUGACGAGAUGUGAUCAAUCAAACAAAAUUGGAUUUUUUUAGAACUAUUGAAGUGUGGUUUUGAGAAAUAAAUUAUGAUUAUAAUUUGUAACUUAAUUUGUAACUUCUACACAAAAAAUGAAAAAGUCAUCUCCCAUGAACCUUCAAUUUCUCUUGAUGGAGUUGUGCAUGUAAGUCAUAACCUAUGCAUAUUCCAUUAAUUAAAUUAGAUUAAGAAAUAAAAAAGGGAACUUGUGAUGACAUUUUUCCGAAGUUAGCCUUAGGCCAUUGCAGACUUAUUGCAUGCAAGAUGCUUUUACAAGGAAAAUAAUACAAUCUCUUGAUAAGAAAAGCAUCUUGGCCAACGCUGGUGGUGGCCAUAUAGUACAACAGGAGAAAGCAUUAUUGCACUAAGUGGACUCCAUUAUUGUCCAACUUUAUUAAAGCUAAUGCUUAAAGAGCUCGUGAAGUGACUGAAAUUGGAGAGCAAUUUUCUGAAUCGAAAUUUGGACCGUGGCUGCUGCUGAUUUGCUAGAGCCAAGCAUUGCUCUCGUAAUUUUUAGCUGGCACGGCCUGAAGUCAAUUUCAGUACCAAGGAAACGGUGGAGUGGACCCUUUGUUUUCAAUCAAGCGCGCUCACAUGGAUACAUAUGUUCUUUUGGAAAUUCCAUAGAUGUUGUGUAAAGAUGAUAGGACCAUAUGCUGAAAUAUGAAUGUGAAUACAUCAUAGAGAUACGACUUAAAAAAGAUAUAACUAGAAUCAAGUUAUUCAUUUAUUAGGAUAUUCAAGUGAUUGACAUAUAUAUGGUUCUCAAUUUUUUAUUAUUAUUUACAGACACACAUAUAUUAUCCUUUAGAUUUGUAUUAGUGGUUAACGAUCACGUGUCAAGAUAUGACGGAUUUUGCACUUCAAUCUCGGCUUCUCCUACUUAGAACAACUUUAGAGGCGACGCUGUCUUCUGGUAGAUGAAACCUUACGCGAUACAUGUAAGCACAGGCAGCUUGCAUGCAUCAACAAAAGUACGAAACAAAGCCAAGGUUCGUCGAGUCCAUGCAAAAAAAUACGGGUAAGGUAAGAGUUGCCAAGUUUCUGAUGAAAGAUAACAUCACAUGGACCAAAGAUCACGGGAGCCUCAAUAACAAGUACUGCGAUUUUCACAAGUAUGAGAGGGAAGUUGGGACCAAAUAUGGCUGUGCACAUAUUAUGUCGAAGCUAGACGAGACAACGUUUGGAUGGAGAGAGAGAGAGGGAGGGAGGGAGAGAGGGAGAGAGGAUGGUACGGGGGAGUUGGGCCCCUCAGCGUGAGGUUGAAAAAGCAAGGAGCUUUAAUAAUUGCAACAAGAUCCACAAUGCAUGAAGUCAUAUUGCCUAUAUGGAUCAUGACAUUGGCAUGACACGAAGCUUCAAUAAUUGCAACGUGAUCCACGAUGGUCAAAAAGCAACUAACUCCACCCUAGUUAAACUCUUACCCUCGCUUUGUUUUGUCCUCCUCUUCUACGUUUUAGAGAGAGAGAGAGAGAGAGAGAGAGAGUAGCGACAGCAGCAUCGGCCCAACAAUUGUGGACGUGCAUGGUCGGUACUUGCUAGAGAAGGAGAGAGACACAAGGAUUUGGAGUUUGCAGAGGAUCAGAAAGAGGGUCAUUAAAUUGCUAAGGAGGUGCGGUCAAUCAAUGCUAUUAAAGUGAGGUUUUGAAAAAUAAAUUAUGAGCAUGAUUAGUAAUUUCUAUACAAAAAAAAAAUGAAAAGCCGGCUUUCAUGGACCUCCAAUUUCUCUUUAAUAGAGUUGUGUAUAUAGAUCAAAGUCUACGUAUAUUCACAAGAUUAAUAGAUAGGUUUCUUGAGCAUCUGAAUCUCUAUCAAAUGGGUGGUCCAUUCAUUUCAUGCACAUCAAAUAAUUACUAGAGAUAAAUAGUUUUUCUUUUUAAAUGGGCAAGUUGCCACACUUGAUUUUUUUUCAUCUUAGUUUCUAUUUGAAGUUGGUUUUGGCUACUUAACGGUCUAAACUUGGUCGUUGAGCCCCUGUCUUUUUUUUUUUUUUAAUUCCUUGGAAGGUUUGGUGACUAUUUCUUCUAUAUUAGAAAUUAUUAUUUAUUUAAAUUCUAACCUUAAUCUCACAUUAUUCAUGUUUAUUCAUUUGGAAAAAAAUAAUAAUUAAGAUGUUGGGAAUGAGAAACUAGUUUCAUUAAAAUUUACAUUCAAAUAAUGAGGCAUAGUCAAUUAAAAUCUAACCGUAAAAUUUUGGUUCAUCGGCUUGGAAGAAUUUGUCGUUGAUGGUCAUAGCAUAAUCAGCUUAAGAUUGAUAGGGAAAUUGAGCACGACUCUGAUGGAUCUUAUCUUUAUUACAUUUCGUCAAAUAAAUUGGGCGUUAUCGGAGAUGCAACACCUAUCUCCUGCACAAUUGAUGUGGGGGGCUGAACAUUUUCAUAAUACUUUCCACACGUCAAUUGUCGUACAGAGCAUCUAAGCAAAAGCAAAGAUAGAUGGGAUGGUUCGGUGGAGUUGGGCAGUAGCCUUCACGUGCAUAAAGUCGUACUUCCCAUGCGCACCACCAGGUUGAAUAACACAAGCUUUAAUAAUUGCCAAGCGAGCGACGGUGGCCGAACAACAAACUUUAACUCCACCCUGGUUAACUCUUAACAUCACUUCGUUCGAUCUUCCUCCUCCUUUGGUGUUUUAGAUAGAUAGAGAGAGAGAGAGAGAGAGAGAGAGAGAGCAGCAUUAGAGCAACCAUGGUGGACGUGUUGUUGGCACGUGUUAGGGAGGGAGAUGCACGUACGGAUUUGGAAUUUGCAAUGAGAAGCGUGAAUGAUUUCAUUAUUUUUGCAGAGAAUCGAAAAGAUGGUCACUACGGGGAGGUUAUUAGCAGAGAGAGGUCACAGAGGAGGUGGUCAAGCUCGACCAUUGAUUAGAAUGAGAUCCUUAUAAUCCCUGAAAUAAGCUCACCUUAUCAUGUCCAUGCUAUGCUAAAAUGGAGUCAAUGAUCCCCUUAACAUGCAUAUUUACAUACAAACACACUUUUUAUUAACUAGUACAGUUAAUAAGGUGUAAUUAAUCAAUGAAAUUGGAUUUUUUUAGAAUUGUCAAAGUGAGGUUCUCAAAAAUAAUUGAUUAUGCUUAUUAAUCUUUAUAAAAUUAAGACUCAAUUCAUUUCUCAAAAAAUUCAUUUCUCGGAAAAUAAAUCGAUUGAGGAAAACAUUUCCCUUAAGGGAAAAAAACUUCUAAAAUAAGGGAUUGUCUUCACUCACUCUCUUUUAUCUCACGCUCUUACUAGUCCUCACUUCCUUCUUUUCAUUUCUUUUAAAUUCGAUUUUUUGUUUCGCUUUUCCUCUUUCUUGACUGGUGCAGGGCCCUGGGGCCUCGGAGCUACUGAUAAUUGAUGGACGGCGAUGGUGGCAGAUAGCUUGGACAAUUCUCGCAUUCCGCAAGAUGUGGGGUCUGAUGGUAAUUUUAGUCCAAAUAGAAAUGGUGGAGUGGGGCCCACUUGUUUUAACUCAGCAUCCUUAAGGUCAAGCAAUGGAAGACGCAAGGGGCAUCUUAGGGAACAUCAAUCUGGUAACGCCACAUGUAUGUAUUAACGCUCCGUGCCCCUCUCUCCGACCACCAUUGCAUCGUCUAAAUGAUUUCUUCCUCGCUCUAGAAGCCCUCUCUUUCACCUGAUCUUCUGCGGCUGUUCUUUUUGUUUGAACCGCCGCGUGUGCACCGUAUUGAAUCCUUCCUCUUCUUCAGUCAUUGUCGUUUCCGGGUUCCAUCAGUUUCGCCUUCCUCGGAAUAUAUAAAUUCUUAACUCUCGUUUCUCCGCAAAGAAGAAGGAAAGAAAGCCAGAACGGUAGAAGAAGUCGAAAAGUGGGGAAAAUUGUUAGGGAAAUCCCUAUGAUGUUUUGAAGAUGACAAAAUAAAUCAAAGGCUACUAACAUGUUUGAUGGUUGAGUAAUAGACCAUACAGAUGAUAGAACAUGUAAAGGUUAUUGUCAAAGUGUGAAGACGACCAGAAGACUGAACGUAACUCAUGUCCAAAGUAUAUUAUGAAGAUUUCCAGACUUUUGUGUCAAAGUCUAAAGAUUGCUAGACUCAAGACUCAAAGUCUGAACACUGCCAGACUUUAGUGUCAAAGUAUGUUCUACAUCAGAAGUCUGUCAACUCUGACUAAUUCCAGACUGAACGUGAAUGCUGAACCAGAAGAUAGACUCUAUGCUGAAGCUGAACUGGGUACAGACCUUAAAGCUAAAUCUGUUCAGAAGCAGAAUAUGUUCAGACUCAGAUUGCAAAGUUUAUCGCACUCAGACUCAGAUUGUAAAGUCUAUGGCUAUCAGACUUUACAUCCAGAUUUGACAGAACGUAACUCAAGCCCAAUCAUAUAACGGCUAGUGAUCUGGUUUGGAUUCUACAUCAAGAUUGAUUUGAUUGACUCAAUCUAUUUGAUUGACAAUUGGAUGUUGAAGACAAGAUCUUUCUAUACGAAGAAGCUUUACUUAUGGAAACCAAGAUUUUGUUUGUAUGGGCGAUCGGAAUCAAUUUGGGAUUUUACCUUUGUCACUCAACGGCUACCAAAUCUUCUAGAUACAGAGCUGUCCAAUGGGUAUAUUGGAAGACGAUUCUCCGGGAUACUGUCCAACGGGUAGUUUGGAAGUGGAGGAGUAUUUAAGGAGAUCAUGGACUGAUGAGCAAGUAAGAGACGGAGCGUAGAAUUUAUAAUUCCAAAGUCUGAGCGAUCUUCACUUGUCUCUUGAGAGCUUAAACGUUUGUAAUCGUGAGAGAAAUACCAAGAGAGUGACUUAGUGAGAUAGUGUAAUCUACUACUAAGUGUUUGCACUCGAAGUUGUAACCUCUUGUUGAUUGCAUAUUGGAAUCCAGUCAAGAAGGCUGUUAUCGUGGGAGAGUGGACGUAGGCUUGGAUUAAGCCGAACCACUAUAAAUCUUGUGUUCUUAUUCUCUUCCCUAACUCCUUUAUUUUGUUUAUACUAGCACUCUAAAAAAUGGCGGAUAUUGUUGUGUCUGUAGCUUGCGAAGUGGCAAAGUGCCUAGUGGCUCUGAUCGGUCGGCACUGCGGCUACGUAAUGUCCUCCGACCGCUACGUUCGCCAGCUUAAUGAUGAAGUCAAGAACCUAGGUUACACGAGGGAUGAGGUGCAGCAUUCCAUCGAUGAAGCUUGAAACAACAUGAAGCCGAUCAAACCCAAGGUCGAGAGAUGGGUGAACGACGUGGAGACCGUCGCUAAUGAGGCGCGUGACGUGCUGGAUUACGACGGAAGAGCUAAGAAAACUUGCUUCUAUGGGUGGCUUCCCAACCCAAAGGCGCGAUAUCAUCUCGGCAAAAAGGCGAGCAGGACGGUCAAGGACAUCCAGGCACUUAUUGCAGGGGGUCAAUUCGAGAAGGUUGACUUCGAGAAUCCUCCGCCAGGGCUUGUUGGCGGUGCUUCCGACGUGAAUUUGUCGGCCGGUGAUGGGGGCGACUUUAUCACUGAUUCGCGAGCUUCCAUCUUUCAGGGCAUAAUGAAAGCUCUGAAUGAUGAGAAGGCGAAAGUGGUUGGGGUCUAUGGGCCUGGUGGCGUGGGGAAGACUACGCUGUUGGAGAUAGUCGAGAAGAAACUCAGGAAAGAGGGGAGACCGUUCCGCAUGAUCGUCAAAGCGGAAGUCUCGCAGACUCCGGAUUUAAUUGAUAUUCAAGGCCAGAUUGCUGACACCUUGAGUCUGAAUCUGAAGGUCAAGGAAACCCGACAGGGAAGAAGUGAUAUUCUGUUUCAGAGAUUGCAGAGGGAUCCAAAUGAGAAGGUUCUCAUAAUAUUGGACGACCUAUGGGAGGAACUUGAUUUGAAAGCUGUCGGAAUUCCUUCAGGAGACACAAGCGGAAAAUGCAAAUUGUUGCUUACAUCGAGAUUUAAGGAUGUGCUGGAGCAGAAGAUGCUUUCCGAUCGAACAUUUUUUCUUGAAGGCUUAAACGACGAUGAAGCUUUCAAGCUAUUUGAAACGACAAUUGGCGACAGGCUCAAAGACAAAAAUGAAUUGAAAGUAAUAGCCGCUCAAGUGGUGAAGAAGCUUGCAGGUUUGCCUCUUUUAAUUAUCUCCGUCGCGAGCACCUUGAAAAAUAGCAGCGUGUCUGCAUGGAGAAACGCUUUGACAAAAAUAGAUGUAAAAAAAAUGGAAACCAUAGUGCAGUUGAGUUACCACCAUUUGGAGAGCGAGGAUGCUAGGUCUUUAUUCUUGCUCUGUGGUCUUAUCGGCGGGACCAUUCCGGUUGAACUUCUACUUGUACUAGGCAUGGGGUUGGGCUUGUUUGAGGGAUACAAUAACACGAUACAAAUUUCAAGGGAUAGAUUGAACACUACACUUGAAAGCCUCCAUUCCAUUUGUUUGUUGCAAGAUGGCGGCGAUGACAAGGAAAAUGUGAUCAUACAUGAUCUUUAUAGCGAGGUGGUUGUCUCAACUCCAUUUGGAGGUCAGAAUUCUUUAAUGAUGAACGGCAAUUAUGGCUUAUGGUCAAAGGAAAAGCUUGAGAAAUGUUGGGCUAUAUGCCUAGCUGAUGUUCACAAAAAGAGGCUUGAUGAACUAAUGAAGUGUCAAUUUCUUGACUUGAAGAUACUCAUGUUGUCUCGUCUAAAAGACUGGCGUUGGGCACGAGAAGACUCACACUGGCGUUGGGUGCGAGACUCAGACAAAGAUGAAUUGGUAGAGUGCUUGAGACUACUAGAUUUCACGUCCAUGAAGGGGCUCCAUGUCCUAUAUUUUUGCUCCAUGCAUAUCACCAGUUUACCUCCCUCGAUUGGAAUCCUCGGGAACCUCCGCUCUUUAUUCUUAGACGAUUGCAAUGUGGAUGAUGCGGCAAUUCUUGGCAAGCUCAAAGCAUUGCAGAUUCUUAGCUUCGCACGAUCCACCAUUUCUAGGUUGCCUAAAGGAAUCGGGGAACUUACAAAUCUAAGAUCGUUGAAUCUAAGUGAAUGCAAAAAGCUUAGAACAAUUGAGCCUGGUGUCCUAAAAGGCUUAACCAACUUGGAAGAGUUAUAUAUUUACAGCUUUUCUCAAUGGAUGGGUAAGGAUCAAAUACCAUCAAAAUCAUGUAAUGCUAGGCUUGCUGAGUUGAAUAGCUUAACAAAGCUAUCCUCUCUGGAAAUAAUGAUCCCUGAUCCAACUAUGCUCUUGGAGGAUGAUGACCUGCCAUUUGGGAACCUGGAUAGAUUUCUGAUCAACAUAGGACUUGUGGAGUGGGUGUAGGAAUUUAAAGAUUUGAGAGUCAUGAAACUCAAAUUGAAAGGUUGUGAGAGUAUUCUUUCAAAAGAAUGGGUUCAAAAAACUCUACAGAAGACUCAAUGCUUACAUUUACAUGAGUUGAGAGAGGUCAAAAAGAGCGCUCACGAAUUGUGCACCCAAGGAUUCAAAGAAGUGAAGUACAUCAAGAUUGAACGCAGCCCCUUAAUCAAGUACAUUGCCAAUUCAUCCGACGGCCUCCCACUCACUGCUUUUACAACAUUAGAGUCUUUGAUCCUUGUAGAACUUAUUAAGUUGGAGAAGAUAUGCCAUGGCCCCGUCGCACCAGAGUCCUUUAGCAAAUUGAGAGCCAUUAGGGUCAAAGAUUGCCACCCAUUGAAAUACUUGUGGUCUCUUUCAGAUACGCAAAGACUUGUACAGCUGAAAGAAAUUGACGUGUGGGAAUGUAAGUCAAUGCAAUCCAUUGUCGCACAUGAUGCAGGAGAGGGUAUAGUUUCUACUGAUGACAGAGUUGAGUUGCCUAAUAUAUGUCAUCUGAGCUUGAGUGAGUUACCAAAUAUGAUGAGCUUUUGUGCAAAGUUGAAAUCACAUCAGAGGAUACUCCAAUCCAGGUAAUUUUUAUUUUCAUUUUUUCAUUUUUUCCCUUUGUCAAUUUGUCCUGUUAGGAUGAGAUGAUAUUGGUGUUCACUCAACGUCAGUACAUAUUGCAUUUAACUUUGACUACUUGUACAAUUUGAUUCAUGUUUGAUUUACAGAUAAAAAAAAUCCUCUCAAAUAGAACACAGGCCAUAUUAAAGGGAAGCCUCUUUCCACGACUGAUUUUUAAAUAUAUAUAUAUAUAUAUAUAUAUAUAUAUAUAUAUUUUAAAAAUUGACAUUAGAAAAUUGCACUACUUACUUGGGUUCCUACUGUGACUAAUUUUUUACUUAUUUAACAUUCUUAAUGAGAUGAAAAAAAUAGUGUCCUGAACGAAUGAAAGCGACAAUGAAUCUUGGAUGAAUAAAUAAAAUUCAACAAUUUGAAAAUAAAGAAAGCGACGUCCAUAAAUUUAAUAAAUGGAUGGAGUCACGUAACAAAGAAAGUCCCCAUAAUUCAUGUCCCGUCUAACAUACAAUUUGCAAUUGAUUCCAACAUAUCAUGCAAAGUUAGUUGCCAAUGUCACUAUGUCAACAUCACUGUGCAGUUGAGCUGCAUUAACAGCAUGAUAGCGGUGAGGAUAUCCUCAUGAAAAUGAUUUCGCUUUUCAUGGAAGAGGGUUUUUUUUUUUUUUUCUGUAUUUUAGCCCCGGAGUUCCACUUAUUUUCUCAUGAAAAUAGCUUUACUUGUAACAGACUCACCUUUAAUGAGUUGCAUCGUGACACUUCGUUAGGUUUCAUUGCCUCACUUGGAAUCCCUGAAAAUGAAUGGACUCCUUGGCAUAGAAAAGAUGCUCUACAAUGAACCUUCGUUAAAAUAUAGCAAUUUAAGAUCACUAGUGAUAAACAAGUCUAAAUCCAUGUUGAAGAGUAUUCUGAGCUCUCCAUUGAAGCUGCCGAAUUUGGAAUCAAUGGACACUGUGAGCUCUCCAUCAAUAGAAGUAGUUUUCGACUUGGAGGAGCUAGAGGUUAGAGGAGAUGUUGAGAUCCUAUCUUAGCUAACUGCAUUGACAUUAAAACAAUUAUCAAACUUGCAGUGCAUGUGGAAACGGGAUGUGAAAUUACAAGUAAUAUCGAUACUUCGUAACCUAAGGAAGCUCUAUGUCUAUGAAAUGGGGCUAUCAUCUCUCUUUUCGAUAUCUGUGGCUAAAUGUUUCAGGGAAAUUAGAGACAUUAUAGUGUCGAACUGUCCAAAUAUAAAGGCGGUGAUUGUGGAUGAAGGAAGAAAUGAAGGGACAUAUGAUAUUAUAGAGUUCCCACUACUGGAGUGUCUAUCUAUUAAGGGAUGUCCCAUGGAGAAAUUCUUAUCAUAUCCUUGUGGAAAGAAAGAGCCAGUAAUCAUUUACUGCUUCAGAUCCACAAAACUCCAAUUCCUUCUUUGAUCGAAAGAUACAAAUCCCUUCUCUUGAGGUUAUACCUAUACUACACAUUUUUAUUCACAUUCAACUAUAGGUCGAGGGAAGCCUCUUUCUACGACUACUUUUUUAUUUCUAUUAUUUUUUCAAUUUUAAAUAAUUUCACUAAUUAAUUGGGCUCAAGGGUUUCUAAUAUGACUAAUUUAUUACUCGUAUAACAUUUCUAAUGAGUAGAAGAAGCAGUGUAUUGAACAAAUGAACCUUCAAAGAAUGAACGUUUUAAAAUAAUUUCAAAAUGAAUAAAGCAACCUCUAGAGAUUAAAUAAACAGAAGGUGAACGAAGAGCCACGUAACAAAGGAAGUCCACACAAUUCACGUCCCAACUUCAUGCAAGUUGGAACUGAUUCCAACACAUCAUGCCAACAUUACCGUGUCAACGUCAGCUAUUUUGGGGAUAUUUUGGGGACAUUUCCUUCUCCACUUUUUCAGGCUCGACGAAAGAUCUCAAGUUUUCAUUCUCCAUUCAAUUGAGUUUUAAAUAUUUUAUAUUGAUCGAUUAAGUUUUUGAGGUUUUUAAAAGCAAUAAUCCCAUUCGUACACUAUGGGUCCAUUCAUAUUCUUUCAGGCAAGGGUUGUGGAUGGAGGAGGAGGAGAUGAAGGGACAGAGUCAGUAAUCACUACUUCAGAUUUACAGAAUACUUAUUUAGAUUCCUUCUUCGAUGAUAAGGUAAACAUCCCUUCUCUUGAGAUUUUACCCAUAAUAGCCAUAGACACUCGGUAUGCUAGGGCGGGUAACAAUAUCCCUCUGAAGAUUCUUAUUUGGUUUGUUUGUUAAAAUGUGUUCCCAAUUUAUAACUAUGUUUGUUGGUGAAUAUUAAUUCUUCCACUGCAUUAGAUUGGUGGUUAGGAUUAGGCCAAAUUAUCAAAUAUUUCACAUUCGUAAUCCGACGCAUAACUCUUAUGAGCAGAUCAGUUUACCAAACUUGGAGGACUUAAAGCUUAACUCGGUGGGAUCCUUCAAAAGGAUAUGGCACGAUGAACUUUCCAGAAGUUCCUUUUGCAAAUUGGUCAAAAUCACCAUUAGAAAUUGCUCCGACCUACUCCACAUCUUCCCUUCGACAAUCAUAGGGAGAUUGCACAACCUGCAAAGUAUCGAGGUUAAAAACUAUCCAUCCUUGAAAUCGUUGUUCGAUUUUGGGUUCCUAAAUUCAUACAUAGUACGAAACACGGUAUUGCUCCAUGAAUUGGUAAGGAUCGACGUUGAAAGUUGUCCCUCCCUAGAAUCAUUGUUUAAUUGUGGGUCCCUUAAUUCAAAUGCGGAGCACAAAAUUAUAUUGCUCCCCAAAUUGGAGGAAGUGAGGGUGAGUGGAGCAAAAAAGCUGAGACACGUGAUCAUGACCCACUCCCAAAUGGUUUUGAAAUUUCCCAGUCUUAGAACUGUUAGUGUUGAGAAUUGCUCCCACCUGGGAUAUCUCUUCCCUAAUUAUAUGGCUACAACUUUGGAGAAGCUUAAGAGGCUAGAAAUUGGUCAAUGUGAACGGAUGAAACAAGUGAUUCUCGAGGAAGAAGUUGGUCGAUCAGAGGCAGAAGUGAUGAGUUUCCCUUGCUUAAGUAAAUUAACACUUAAGGAGCUCAAUAACUUGAUUAGUUUCGGUUCAGGAAGUGUCGAGAGGCAGUUAGGCGAGACAGCCGAAGAAAAUGAUGAAUCGCAACAACCGCUGUUCAAUGAGAUGGUUCGUUCUAUUCUUUAUUGUGAUCAUUCGUAUUAUCGCAUUAUCAUGUUUUAUAAUGAAGAAUGUAAUAAAUUUGUCCAACUUAUCCUCCUUUCUCACAUUAUCCUUGUGCAGUUUACAUUUCCAAAUAUGAGAUAUCUAGAAGUUGAAGGCGUUCCAUGCAAAGAGCUAUGGAACAAUCAUGUUCCUGCCGAUUCCAUUGUUUGUUCCCAUAGAUUCCUUUCAAAAAGUGUGAAGGUUAAAAACUGUCCAUCCUUGAUAUCGUUGUUUCAUUUUGGAUCCCUAGAUUCAAAUACGAAACAAAAUGCGGUAUUGCUCCCUGAAUUGGUAAGGAUCAAUGUUGAAAGCUGUCCCUCCCUAGAAUCGUUUUUUUAAUUAUGGGUCCCUUAAUUCAAAUGCGGAGCACAAAAUUAUAUUGCUCCCCAAAUUGGAGGAAGUAAGGGUGAGUGGAGCAAAAAAGCUGAGACACGUGGUCAUGAGCCACUCCCAAAUGGUUUUGAAAUUUCCUAGUCUUAGAAAUGUCUGUGUUGAGAAUUGCUCUGACUUGAGAUAUCUCUUACCCAAAUAUACGGCCACAACUCUAACGAAACUUGAGUGGCUAACAAUUAGUAAAUGCGAACAGAUGAAUGAAGUGAUUCUCGAGGAAGAAGUUGGUCGAUCAGAGGCAGAAGUGAUGAGUUUCCCUUGCUUAAGUAAAUUAACACUUAAGGAGCUCGAUAACCUAAUUAGUUUCGGUUCAGGAAGUGUCAAGAGGCAGCUAGGCGAGACAGCCGAAGAAAAUGAUGAAUCGACACAACCGCUGUUCAAUGAGAUGGUUCGUUUUAUUCUUUACUGUGAUAAUUCGUAUUCUCACAUUAUCAUGUUUUAUAAUGAAGAAUCUAAUAAAUUUGUCCAACUUAUCCUCCUUUCUCACAUUAUCCUUGUGCAGGUCACAUUUCCAAAUAUGAGAUAUCUAGAAGUUGAAGGCGUUCCAUGCAAAGAGCUAUGGAACAAUCAUGUUCCUGCCGAUUCCAUUGUUUGUUCCCAUAGAUUCCUUUCAAAAAGUGUGAAGGUUAAAAACUGUCCAUCCUUGAUUCGUUGUUUCAUUUUGGAUCCCUAGAUUCAAAUACGAAACAAAAUGCGGUAUUGCUCCCUGAAUUGGUAAGGAUCAAUGUUGAAAGCUGUACCUCCCUAGAAUCAUUGUUUAAUUAUGGGUCCCUUGAUUCAAAUGCGGAGCACAAAAUUAUAUUGCUCCCCAAAUUGGAGGAAGUAAGGGUGAGUGGAGCAAAAAAGCUGAGACACGUGGUCAUGAGCCACUCCCAAAUGGUUUUGAAAUUUCCUAGUCUUAGAAAUGUUUAUGUUGAGAAUUGCUCUGACUUGAGAUAUCUCUUCCCCAAAUAUACGGCCACAACUCUGACGAAACUUGAGUGGCUAAUAAUUAGUAAAUGCGAACAGAUGAAUGAAGUGAUUCUCGAGGAAGAAAUUGGUCGAUCAGAGGCAGAAGUGAUGAGUUUCCCUUGCUUAAGUAAAUUAACACUUAAGGAGCUCGAUAACCUGAUUAGUUUCGGUUCAGGAAGUGUCAAGAGGCAGCUAGGUGAGACAGCCGAAGAAAAUGAUGAAUCGACACAACUGCUGUUCAAUGGGAUGGUUCGUUUUAUUCUUUACUGUGAUAAUUCGUAUUCUCACAUUAUCAUGUUUUAUAAUGAAGAAUCUAAUAAAUUUGUCCUACUUAUCCUCCUUUCUCACAUUAUCCUUGUGCAGGUCACAUUUCCAAAUAUGAGAUAUCUAGAAGUUAAAGGCGUUCCAUGCAAAGAGCUAUGGAACAAUCAUGUUCCCGCCGAUUCCAUUGUUUGUUCCCAUAGAUUCUUUUUAGAAAAUGUGAAGGUUAAAAACUGUCAAUCCUUGAAAUCGUUGUUUGAUUUUGGUUCUCUAGAUUAAAAAAUGAAACAAAACGCAGUAUUGCUCCCUAAAUUGGUAAGGAUUGAAGUUGUAAGUUGUCCCUCCCUAGAAUCAUUGUUUAAUUAUAGGUCCCUUGAUUCAAAUGUGGAGCACAAAAUUAUAUUGCUCCCCAAAUUGGAGAAAGUUAGGGUGAGUGGAGCAAAAAAGCUAAGACACGUACUGUUCAUGCUGAAGCUCUCGACUGGGUUUGCGCGAGCACUGUUCAUCGCCUGCGCGUCUCCCAUUUCCGGCCGUUCUGGCCGGCCGAUUGCGCCCAUGCUUGGAGACAACAUUCCUCUACAUCUGAUCUUGUCUUCUACCGAGCGGUUUUCCCUGGUAUGUCUUCCUCAGCUGGAAUCUCGGAUCUGAGUUCUUAGGGCUUGAAAUUUUGAGUUCGCCGUCUCCGAAUGGCGUCUUCCUCUGAGGUAGUGGAAGAUAACCGGGGUAAAGCCCAUGUUGUUGCUCCGGUUGAGCACCCUCACUCCCCCACACCCACUCAUAACCCUGUUAUGCGAUACUCCUCGGCUCUAAGAGGACCUCGCGCCCACUCUGGGCGUUCGCGAAGCAGGGGACAAAGCAGGGCUCGUCCUCUGCUGGGUAUUCCUGCUCGGCUAAAUGCUGUUGGGCGUGAUAACGCCUCUGCUGGUCUAAAUCGAAAGGAUAGGAAGAUCUCCUUCAGCCGUGACACUGCAUCUAUCCCUGUUCUCCACGGUCGUGAGGCCAAAGGGCGUCCGAAUGCCCCGAAUAAGGCGCCGGAGGAGCCAUUUCUGAAUGUACAUGUUCCCCCUGUGAAGGAAACUCCCCCUCCUGCUCGCUCCUGGGCUGCUGUAACCCGUUCGGCAACCAAAGGCUAUGGUUUAUCCUUUGUUCCUCCGGCCACAAUUGAGAACUCUAAGAUUCUGCAGAUGCCGGAGGAGAUUCUCGAAUCUACUCACCCGAAAUGGGAAGAAUGUCUGGUUGGUUACUACAUUGGGAAGCGCCUACCCUUCCACCUCACAGAGGACGCCCUCAAGAAUGCCUGGGGCCAUCACUUGGUCGAAGUUAUUGCUGCUGACCUUGGUUUUUACUUCUUUCACAUUCCGGAUAGUGAAUUCAGGAGGAAAGUCUUGGAUGGAGGCCCGAUUACAGUAGCCAAAAUCCCCUUGAUCCUGCAACAAUGGCACCCUAUGUUGGAGCUCAAGAAAUCAACUCAUAAUACUGUCCCCAUCUGGAUUCGACUCAGGAACGUCCCUGUGGCUCUAUGGUCUGCUGCUGGCAUCAGUUUUCUGGCAAGUAGUAUUGGUAAGCCCUUAUUUGUUGAUAAUCGAACUGAACAGAUGGCAAUGGUAGCUUUUGCUCGAGUCUGUAUAGAAGUUGAUACGUCUAACUCUUUCCCUGAAGUUAUAGAGUUUAUGAUGAAGGGUGAGCUUAGAUCAGUGACAGUCCAAUAUGAGUGGAUCCCGACACUUUGUCCAACCUGCUCUUCAUUUGGCCAUAGAUGUCCUGCCCCCAAUUCCUCAGAUCCUACUAAACCUGGUCCCUCAGUCCCGAAGGCACCUGUCCCUCGUCCAAACGAAUGGCGUGAAGUGCGUGGUAAACGCAAUAAGCGCACCCCGAUGCCUGCAAAUGAUGGCCUGAUGUAUGAUCCGGUCCCGAAUCGUCCCAAGUCCCCCCGUUCUGAAGGAAACCAGAUUGGAGAUCCGAUGCCUCAGAUUUCAAUGGCCCUUCAUAGGCAACCAGAGUUAACCAGGCAGGAGGAUCAUCAUCCUUCCUUUGAUCUGUUCCCUGCCACCUCUAUUGACCCAGAUUCCGCUGCUGUGAUGCAAAGACAGGGUUCCCCUGGCUCGAAUAAGUCUGCACCUUCAGAUGAAAAUCAUGAAGAUAUCAGCUCCGAUGACGGUGAAUCUGUAUCACCUUGUAAGGUGCCCUCGUCCAUACCGGAGGAACGCGAUAAAUUUCCCCCUCCGAAGGUCAAUCAGGAGGCCCCUGUUCGUCAAAAAGGAAUCCUCCGCUCUGAAUCUGCUGAGGCAAGUAUUCCUGCUGGCCCGAAGCUUAUGCCACACUCGGUAAGGAAACGAGGUGGCAAGAGAAGGUAAUCCUAUUAUCUCAUUCCUAUGUUUUUUGGUGUUUGGAAUAUUAGGGGUCUUGGACAAGCCCUCAAACAAGCUGAGAUUAGGAAUUUUGUGAGGACUAACCGCCUCUGCUGUAUUGGUAUUUUGGAGACUAAAAUAUCCCCUGCUGCCCAUUCCCAUGUUUCAGCAUCCCUUCUUCCUAGGUGGUCUUGGUCUACAAAUUACUCUUAUUCCAUCAGGGGUCGUAUUUGGGUGGGUUGGAACCCCUUGGCUGCUUCUUUUUGCAUCUCAGCUUGUUCUGCUCAGGCCAUUCAUGGCCGGUUGGAGUGUUUUAUUUCUGGUGUUGCUUUUAAUCUUUCGGUAGUCUAUGCGGAGCAUUCUUUUGUCUUGAGAAGACCGCUUUGGAAUGAUCUGAUCUCCACUAGUUCCAUUUGUCUGGACAUCCCCUGGAUUGUUGCUGGUGACUUCAAUGCCAUUCGGUAUGCUUCUGACAGAGCAGAUAGAUCCAAUUACUGGAUCCCAGCCUUUGAAGACUUCGGAGAUUGCCUCAUCCAAUCUGGUCUAGAUGAUCUCCGCUUUGUGGGUAACAGGUUUACUUGGUCUACUUCGUCUGGUCCUAAUCGAAGGCAAAGAAAGAUAGACAGAGUUCUUACUAAUGCAGCUUGGAUCUCGGCCUUCUCCUAUUCGGAAGCCAACUUUCUUGCCCCUGGAGUGUCUGAUCACUCUCCUAUGGUGGUCAGGAUUCUCCCUGUUCCUAGCUCGCGUAAACCCUUCAAGUUCUUCAAUUUUUGGAUGUCACACCCCAACUUCUUUGAGUUGGUUCGGCAAAUCUAGGAGCUGCGUAUCUCUGGUACGCCUAUGUUUGUCCUUUGUAGUAAGCUUAGGUCCCUUAAACGCAGACUCAAAUUAUUAAACAGGGAGGCUUACUAUGAUAUUUCGGCUAGAACUUCUGACGCCAGACGUCUUCUCGUGGAAGCUCAAAACGCUAUUCAGUUUGACCCUCAUAAUCAAGCUCUAGCUGAUGCGGAAAAGGACCACCUCCGUGUCUUUUCUGACCUUCGCCUCAAGGAAGAAUCUUUCUACAGACAAAAAUCAAGGGUCAGAUGGCUUAAAGAAGGUGACUUAAACACCAGGUUCUUCCACCACUCGGUGAAGCGAGGCCAUCUCCGGAAUAGAAUUCUCUCGAUUUCUGAUGGUAGUAAUGUAAUUACUGAUGAAGUUGAAGUGCAGCAACUCUUUGUUAAUCACUUUCAAAAUCUGCUGUCAGACGCUACCCCCUCCGCCGUCCCGUCUGUUGAAGAGAUUCGUGCGAAUCUGGCUUCUACGCUCGAUGAUAAUCAGAUCCAAGCCAUCUCUCAGCCAUUCACUGAAGAAGAAAUCCAAACUACUUUGUUUUCAUUGGCCACCGGAAAAGCCCCUGGCCCGGAUGGUUUUAAUGUUGAUUUCUUUAAGCAAUCGUGGGAUAUUGUAGGCCCUUCCGUUCUAUUGGCAAUUCGGGACUUCUUAUCUACAGGCCAGCUGCUUCGUGAGAUCAACACCACUAUUCUGACCUUGGUCCCGAAGUCCCCCAAUGCUUCCACGGUAAAUGACUUCCGUCCUAUUGCUUGUUGCAACACUAUAUACAAGUGUAUCACGAAACUGUUAGCCAAUAGGUUAGCUUCUAUGCUCCCAUCUAUAAUUAGUCCCCCCCAGAACGCUUUUGUUAAAGGGAGGAGGAUAAGUGAUAAUAUCAUGCUUGCUCAAGAAUUAUUUGCUCACUUCCACCAUGAGCCUUACUUUCCAAAGAACAUUAUUAAGGUUGAUUUCUCCAAAGCUUAUGACUCAGUUGACUGGAACUUUAUUGAGUCGACUCUCCAAGCAUUUGGCUUCCCACCCACAUUUAUUGAUCGAAUUAUGACAUGCAUCAGAACCCCCAAGUUCUCUAUAGCUUUAAACGGUGAGUUGCAUGGUUUUUUCCCUAGUGGGAGAGGUAUCCGACAGGGGGACCCUCUGUCCCCAUAUAUCUUUACUCUUGUAAUGGAAGUUUUUGCGGGCAUUAUAAAUGCCCGCACCUGCAAACCCGGAUUUCAGUUCUUUUGGCGUUGUAAACCCUCCAAGUUGUCCCAUCUAUUCUUCGCUGACGAUGUGUUGCUCUUCUCGGAAGCAAACAUGCCGUCUCUAAGCCUUCUAAUGGAUGGAGUAAACACUUUUGCUGCCUGGUCUGGUCUCAUCCCAAAUCUUAAUAAGAGUGAAAUCUUUAUCUCUGGGGGGCAUGAGUCUUUGAAGAGUGCAAUGGUUAAUGCAUCGGGGUUCAACCUUGGAUCAUUGCCCUUUCGAUACCUUGGCGUCCCCGUAAUUUCCUCAAGAUUAGGCAAGGAAGAGUGUGUAUCUCUGGUGGAUGCUAUAAUGAAGAGAGUUCAGUCAUGGACUAACCGCUUCCUUUCAACUGCUGGUAGACUCCAACUUAUUAGAUCUGUUCUCCAUUCCAUUCAGGUGUAUUGGUCUUCGGUUUUUAUCCUCCCCUCCUCAGUUAUUAAUCGAAUUGAGCAGAUCUUCCGCCAAUUUCUUUGGCGUGGCCCGAACCUUGGAUCUGGUGGUGCUAGAGUUUGUUGGGAAGAAGUCUGUCUUCCUAAAGCGGAAGGAGGACUAGGUAUUCGCUCACUUCGAGUUAGUAACAUUGCUGCCAUGACUAAGCAUAUAUGGUUGCUUUUCUCUGAUAAGGAAUCGCUCUGGACCAAAUGGAUACAUUCAGUCUUCUUAAAACACAAGAAUUUUUGGAUUGCGCCUAGACCGACCGUUUGUUCUUGGUCUUGGAAGAAACUCUUUGGCCCGCGUGAAUUGAUUCAGAGGUAUUUUGCCUGGAACAUUGGUAAUGGGUUAUCGACUUCUUUUUGGUUUGAUACCUGGCACCCUCGUGGCCCAUUCAACAAGUUAUUCUCGGAUCGUGACAUAUAUUGCUCUCGUAUCCCUCGGAAUGCUUCUGUUGCUACGGGUAUUGCUGCCCUGUCUAUCCCGUCUAAUGUAGCUGUUGCUAUCCAGACUUGGGUUGAUCCUCUCCCCAGCCUCAACAGUCAGGAUGACCGUCUGGUGUGGCUUGGCCACUCUUCAGGUCAGUUCUCUACUGCUUCUGCAUGGACUAUGCUUCGAGCUAGAGGCUCCUUGGUUAACUGGUCUCGAUUUGUCUGGAGCUCCACUCUUCCCCCGCGUUAUCAGACCCAUCUAUGGCUGAUCACUCGGAAUAGAUUGCCAACCUAGGUCUUGCUUCUGUCGUAUGGGAGGAUCCCGGAUGUUUCCUGUGCCUUCUGCUCAAGUAGGCCAGAUUCAAUCGACCACUUAUACUUUGGUUGCUCAGUUACGGGUAGAUUGGCCUCUUUCUGGGCUUCUAAAUGUAAUUUGAGUUGGCGAAAUGGUCCUUGGAAAGAGAAUCUACAGUGGAUGGUCAGCCAUCUCUCGGACUCGUGCUUCCACCAUUCCAUUGCUCGCUUUGCAUUUGCUACCCUGUGCUACCUUAUAUGGAAGGAGCGAAAUAACAUCAUCUUUCGGAAUCAAAGCCUAUUCCUGCCCGCUCUCAAAGAUCGUCUUCGGAAAGCUGUCAAAGAUAGAGCCUCCACAUUCUCAAGAGUUCCGGAUAACCCGCGUAACCGAAGACUCCAAAUGUGCUGGGGAAUCCACCCUGCAAUCUUUGAGUAAGGUCUCCAUACUGGCCUGUCUUCCUUGCGCUGUGAGAUGUUGCUGCUGUUGAAUAUGCGUCCUGCUCUCCCUUCGCAAGGCUGGUCUGCCUCUGUUUCAGUUGUUGCCGAGAUAUUCCCCUCCGCAGGCUCCUUGGCUUGGCAGUCUGUGGUUCCCGGGUUCUUGGCGUUUGCCUGGUUUUUUUUAUUGGCCGUCGUGUUUGGCCUUUUGCAGCUUUUGCUGCUAUUGUUUCCUUUUGGCUUUUUAGGCCCCGCCUCCCAUCCACUCAGUCUGACGCCUGUGUCAUUUUGAGUGCAUGAUUGGAGUCGCCUGUCUGUCUUGCCUCUUUGUAACUCCUUGUUUCUUUAGCUAUAAUAUUCUUACCUCUUACCAAAAAAAAAAAAAAAAAGCUAAGACACGUGAUCAUGAGCCACUCCCAAAUGGUUUUAAAAUUUCCUAGUCUUAGAAAUGUCUGUGUUGAGAAUUGCUCUGACAUGAGAUAUCUCUUCCCCAAAUGUACGGCCACAACUCUGACGAAACUUGAGUGGCUAACAAUUAGUAAAUGCGAACAGAUGAAUGAAGUGAUUCUCGAGGAAGAAGUUGGUCGAUCAGAGGCAGAAGUGAUGAGUUUCCCUUGCUUAAGUAAAUUAACACUUAAGGAGCUCAAUAAUCUGAUUAGUUUCGGUUCAGGAAGUGUCAAGAGGCAGCUAGACGAGACAGCCGAAGAAAAUGAUGAAUCGACACAACUGCUGUUCAAUGGGAUGGUUCGUUUUAUUCUUUACUGUGAUCAUUCGUAUUCUCACAUUAUCCUGUUUUAUAAUGAAGAAUGUAAUAAAUUUGUCAAACUUAUCCUCUUUUCUCACAUUAUCCUUGUGCAGUUUACAUUUCCAAAUAUGAGAUAUCUAGAAGUUGAAGGCGUUCCAUGCAAAGAGCUAUGGAACAAUCAAAUUCCCACCGAUUCCUUUCAAAAGUUGGAAUAUCUGUUAUUGAGUAACUGUGACAAUCUCCAACAUAUUGCCACUUCUUAUAUGUGGAAGAGGCUGCAACGUUGUCUCGAGAAACGGCAUUUCUCCCUGAAUUGGUAAGGAUCAAUGUUGAAAGUUGUCCUUCCCUAGAAUCGUUGUUUAAUUGUGGGUCCCUUGGUUUUGCAUGGUCUCGAAAACUUGAGGUGCAUUUGGCAGUUCGACAGUCUCCCAAACAUCCCGUUCCCAAACUUGAGAGAUGCAGAGGCUAUGAGGUGCCCCCGUUUGGAAAUGCUUUUUCCUACCUUCACUGCAAAAUUUCUCGGGCAAAUCAAAGAGCUAGUGGUGGAGUCAUGUGAAGAUAUGGAACUAAUUGCUAGCCAUGAAAAAUGGGAAGAAGCGACCGGCACCACAAUCACCUUCUCCAAGUUAACUGCUCUUAGACUUUUUAAGUUGCCGAAAUUCAAGGGCUUCUUACCUGAGAUAUACUCUCUGAAAUUCCCAUGCUCUGAGGACUUCCCAUCCUUGCGAGUCUUGAGUAUAGAAAGCUGUGGAGUAGAGCCGGACCAAGUCCUUGGUGACUGGCGUCACCAACGAAGUUUACGAGAAUUACAAAAAAAGGUACUCCUUCAAUAUUUCAUUGCUUAAGUUUGACUCUCUGUUCCUUUGUAUUAGCUAAGACACAAUUCUCAGUGGGACCCACACGUGCUCUACAUCAUGUGGCCGUCUCUCUUCCUUUCUCUCUCUCUAGCUCUCUUUCUUACUCUCUUCAACUAACGAUCUAUCGAUUCCCUUAUAUCCGUCCACCAACAGUCGAUGUCGAGAGUCCAUUGCUGGCCACCAUAGGACUAGGCCUAAGAAGGGACAAAGAACAGAGAGCAUUGAUCAAAGGCUCUCGGUGAUUUCAAUUGAAUCCUUUCCUCUCACUUCUCUGCUGGUCGUCACCGCUUCCCGAUCACCACCUGUUUUGCUACCGUGAAGAAGUUCUGUAAUGCCGAAGUGCUCGAACUUCGAUCAUAGCUGCCUGCUUCGACGAUUCCAUUCCUUGAUGUUGCUUCUGUUAUCUCCUUACUCAUGUCCGAUGUCAAUCACUAUAGGUAAUCAUUCUUCAUUCAACUAAACCACAUGUGCUCUGUUAGUUACUGUCUGUGUGCAAAUCGUAAGUGAUUGAGGCUGUAUUAAUAAUUUGAACUAGUGCUUCUCAGACGAAAUGUGUACCGCCUGUUUGAUGAAAUCCCUGAACUAAGUCGGUGUGUAUUUUUUAUUCAGUUCUUGACUGAGAAUUCCUUUCAUUACUAGAUUGUCGAUCUAUUCCGGUAAUAUAAGUGUAUUUGAGUUCUGUUUUUUCAUAAAGAAUCAUAUGUAUUCAAUUUUGAACUUGUUUUCAUUCUGCUGGAACCUUGUCAAUACAUGCUGAUUCAUGACUAUUGUGGGCUUGAACUGAUGUCGAUGGGUGCUUGAUUUUAUGCUAUUCCACUCAAGUAAGCAUUGUGUAGUGAUAUAAGAUUGUAUUAUGGUGAAUUUCAUGUUUGCUUGGAAAAGAAAUUAUGUCAUGAAUGAAAGAAAUUCUACUGGAAAUCGAUUUGCGGAUGUUGAUCAUGUCUUGAUAUCCCUGAUUUGUUGUGCAUUUCAUUCCAACUUGAGGCUAGUUUGGUUAUGGGGAUCAUAUAUGUUCAUGCUAGGAAAGUGAUAUGGAGAAUCUCAUGCCAAUUUUGUGAGAAUUAUAGUCAUAACCGAACUAUAAUAUGCUAGAAUCAAAGCAUUGCAUGCUGGUCCUGAUUGCUUUGUUUGAAUUUGGCAUUACUUUGGUCUUGGAUUAAUGCCAUUUUGAUCAAGUAGACUCAUAUGCAUUUGGAGGAAGAUAUGGCUUCAAUUUCAUAUCAUUAGUCAUCAAAACGAUCAUGAUUUGCGGACUUCUAUGCCCUGUCACAAUUCUGAACUUGUGCUGGAAGUUGUGGCUUAAGCAUGAAUUAGAUGGAUUUUGUCUUAGUUUGGUUGUCUUUUUCAUUGCCCGUGGAUAAGUGAUAUGUGUGUGCAUGAUUAAAUUGAUGAGAUGUGCGUUUGAUAUUGCCAUGAGAGUCUUGGCCUAGUUAUUAACUUAGAGAAGUCUGGUGUUAAUUGAAGUUUAAUUCCAUGAUUCUUGUGAUUUCAAAGCUUGGAGCAUCUAUUUUUUGUAAUAUUGAAUAUUUUGAAGAAUACCGACUUCAUCUAAAGGUGAUCUGAUAGACUAACCAGAUUUGAGGAAAUCUCUCGACUUUCUCGGUCAUUGAGGCCCCUUGAAAUAUCGCAUGGACAACACUCACCAAUAAUAUACCAAUAUUCUCUCCCUCUCCUUCGACGUUCAGCAUUCGAGGCUUAUUCAGAAGAGCUUUUGCUUAGAUCUAAUUGAUCUUUCAGGUGCGUGCAUUUGUGCCGACAUACUGUGCACAACACUGUUGACACCGAAAUUUUCGUCGACAUUUUAAUCAUCCAUUUUGCAAAAAUAUAAAAAAAAUAAAGAGCAAAAAAAUAAACAAAUAAAUAAAUAAAAGGAAAAGAAACAAAAAGAAAAAAAAAGAAAACAAAAAGAAAGCAAAAGAAAACAAAAAAAAAUUAAAAUGAAAUGAAAAGAAUGAAAAAAAUAUAUAUAAGGAAAACGAAAAAGAAAAGGGGGAAAAAAAUAAAAGAAAGAAAAAAUAAUAGAAAAAGGGGUUCUCUUUUCUCUCGGGGGGAUUUUUCGGUUCUCUCGGACUCUCUCGCUCUCUGGCUCUCUCUUUGGGGGGGACACUCAGAUACUCUCUCCCGAGAUUCUCUCUCCUUAGGGCCGUCUCCAAAACGGACGAUCUCUGCCUCUGAAUCGGCGGUUAGGGCCCUUCUGCAAUGGCGCCGGCCGCUCCUUGAUUCAGCGACCGCGCACGAUAGCCGCCAUGAUCUAGCCCCGCGCUCUGACAUGGCGCCCGAGAAGAACAACUUCGGUGCUAGCGAUGGCGCCAACGCUCGAUUGGAAGUUCUCUCUCUCUGAUUCUCUCUCUGGUUUGCUCGAUUGCGGCGACAUCCGCGAAGACGGCGGCGGUGACAGCGGCUCCCAAUCUGUGGCGUGAUUCAGCUCUCCACCGGAUACUAUGCUCAACCCCUGUUCGCUUGGCUCUCGGUCCCCUGGUGCAGAAGCUCGCCGGAGGUUGGGCGGAUCGGUGACGAUGAUGCUUAACCGAGUUUGUCUCUGGAUCGAACUCACCGCUUUGGUGAGUUCUCUUUCUCUCUUGAUCCGAUUAAGUUUUUAGAAUCUGGUUCUCUCUCCCAUUCUCUCUCUCUGACCUCGCACAUUUUCUCUCGCACCGGAUCUGAUCCACUGGAACGUCUGGUCGAGGACCUCGGAGUUCAAGGCACAGAUUCGCGCGGCCCGCUAAUCUGCAACUCCCCUGCAGCAUCGGUGACAGCGUUGACGGCAGCGACGGCUUCGAUCUUUCGUCGAUUCAUUCAAGCUGAGCUUCAGAUAGUGCGGUAUUCCUUCCGAGGUAAGUUUCUUGACUGUUCCUUACUUACAGAGAUUAUGUCAUGCAUUCUUGAACUUUGCCAAUCUGCGCCGUUUCUUGGCUCACUUCCAGAGAAUAUGUCAUGAGUCAGAUUUUGUGAAAAAUGACCUUUUCAUUGUUCUUCAAAAAUGAAUAGAUGGAUGGCCAUUUGUACUUAUUUUGUCUGUCCCUGGAUUGUAUGAGAUAGCUUGUCUUUAGUUUGCGAGUCUAGCAACCUAUGCUGAUCAGAACAAAAGGGUUUUGACAAUGACCUCUACGAUCCUUCUAAGCCUUGUAAGCCUUGAAAUCUUUCAAGUGCGAUUCAGAGAAUUUCAGAAAACUCGAUCCCAUCUCUUCCUGCAAUAGUUUGGAAAGCAUUUGUUUCUGCGUUGCAUUGGUUUUUAACAUGCUUCAGAUGUAUAAAUAAUAUAGAGGUAGGUUUUUGUGAGUUGGUAGUGUAAAACAAAAUUUGCAUUACAAUUCAAUGUUCUGCCAAGUCAAUUUGUAUUGCCAUUACAAUUCACUGGCUCAUCACUAUAGUCUCAGUUACCUUUAGAUAAUCUGGAUGUUAUUACUUUUGCUUAUUACAGAAUAAUCACAUCUUUGUAAAUGGGUUUAAUGUCCCUUUCAAGACUUUCUAAGGAUUUCUCCCCAAUGCCUCCAGUCAAGUCUUUCUUCAAGACUGACUUGUAAUGCAUGUGUUUUAUCAUCUUGUAUCUGUGUAACAUACUGUGGCGUGAAUGACCUCACCACAUCUUGUGGAGUUUAAGAAAUGUUCCACCGAACAGACUAUAAUAACUGCAAGUUUCAUGUCUUGAUAUGACUACAUUCUUCUGCUUUGCUUGGUUCAUUGAGUAUUUCAAUGUCAAUGUAUACAGUUUUGUAGCUCUGUUCUAUAUGGGUUAGGUUGUUGUGAGCCAUUUUGUCUACCUCCUCAUGUGGUACAAGGAUGUACACUUUGUAAUGUGUUUCUUUUUUUAUGAAGUUCUGGUAAUUUCAAUGUGUAGACAUUGUGAUUGUGUCAACAUGCGGGCAUGUCUGGAUAGAUUUUGCUUCUUUCUUGAUAUUUUGUAAUUGAUGUCGGCUUUUGGAAUGCAUCAAAGUAGUUGGAUACUGCUCACGUAUACAUCUGGUUGUGGAUCAUGCAGUGUAGCUGUGCCGAUAUCCCUACGUUUAAUGCAUCUGUGUACUGAUGUACACAUGCACAAGUGCUUUAACUUUUGGUCAAUCAAAACUUCUUCCUUUGUUCAGCCUUGCUCUUUGGAUGGCAUGUCACUGCAUUUGUGAGGCUAUAUGUUAAUCUGUUCUAGGAUUUUGGAGGUUAAUGAGUCAAUGUGAUUAAUAGAUUGAUUUGGCAAUUAAACGCAGAAAUUAAUGGAAGAAAUCAGCUAGAAAAAUAAUUCUGAUUUCUUAAAGCUUCGAAUCAGUAGGGUGCCUAUUAAAAUUGAGGUUCAUUUGCUGUGAGAAACAAGCCACUAAAUCUAGGAGCUGAAUCUGGGAAUUUUGACUUCAAUUCUUCAAUGAUAGUUUCUGGCAUGAUCUAUGUUUGUUCUCUAAUCAUACAUUGUCUUGAAUAUAUUGAUAUAAUCUACUGAGGUUAAUGAAUUUCUGUAGAUUGAUGGUCAAUGAUCAUGAACUUGAAGUUGAUUGAACUUGAUUUGCCUUGAUAUGUCACUUUCUGUUUUGGCUUAAAUGAGGUGAUAGAUGAGGCUUUCUGGUCUUGAGCCCUUUUAGACAUAGAAAAUAGACUUCUCAAGCUUUGAUUUGAUAUGUUGCAUGCCCUGAACAGACGUCAUUCGGUCAUUGAAAAACACAUACAAAAUCUGUCAAUUCUGCAGUAGUUUUUUUAGGUUGAUUUGCUGUUUUGACCUACUGCAAUUUUCUGUUUUAACUGGAAUGAGCUGAAAGAUGAUGUUAUUAGGACUUAAUGUCUUCUAGAGAUUCGUAAUAGGCUUUUCAAGUGUUCCAUAGACAUAUAAUACGUGCGAUUUGGCCACCAUUUGCCCUGCCUGAUGCUUCUUGCAAAGAGCACUAAUCUGCUGAUGUGUUCUGCUUGUUAUGAUCUGAUCUGACCAUUUAUACAAAUGGCUUUGCUUGAGCUAGAAAAAGACUUAAAUUGCAAUUGUCACCUAAUAGGAAUUCGUAAAGGACACCUUAAGCUUUCUAACGAUGCUUAGUUUGUCCAAUUUGCCCAUCAUUUGCCCUGCCUUUCUUUUUUUUUAAAUUGAGCUUUGAAAUCUGGAAUUUGUCUUGAACUGCAAAUGUUGUCUUUUCUGUGGCUAGUUGUUGUUAGUCUUAAGAUGAAAUAGUAGAUUUGUCCAAUUGCUUCCAAAUAUGUUGUAGAAUGACGGUGUGACAUGUUACUAUGCUCUAUUCUGGAUUGACUUGUUUUUUUUAGAUUUUUAGAAAUUCAUGUGUUGAUAUGAUGAUAGUGUCUAUGAAAUUUAUUUGGGAUAUCAUCUAGAAUUUGAUUCAGAGACCUUGUGACUUUAGUCACUCUUUUUGAAUAUAAAAAUGUCUUGCUUUUGAUUGUUUUGAUGCGUUUGCUCGUCUCUUUCCAUUGUAUGCAUUUAGCUAGAAGUUUCCUAAGCUAGGUUUAGAUUAGGACCCCGAAGAUGGAGAAGGCGUGAAGAUGGUGAAGGUCGAUGUCCACUCCGACUGUUAUCAUGUAAUGCUCAUUUUCCCGACAUAUGUCUCGGGUUUUAUGCAUUGUAUAAAGCCCGACGAGUUGCGGGUUUCCUUUCUUUCUCGAUUGUUUUCUCUUUUAUAUUCUUUAGAAUUGCAUGAUUAGGUUUACUGUUUUAUCUUGAUUGUUUACUUCAUGUCUUGCAAUUUAAUUUUCAUUUUCAUUGUUUGUUUUCUUUUCAGUUUUUAGAAAUAGAAUAGAAUGAAAGUAAUCCGUCACGCAUGAUCACUUAGUAUAGAAUUGACGAUCCUGAAAAUAUAAAAAGAAAUACAUGGACAUGUAUAGGAAAAACACAACAUACUGUUUAGGUACCGAAAGGGCGCUGAUAGCAAUAUUAGCGUAACCUAAGUCCCCGAACCUAGAUAUCUGGUUGCGUAGGAAUCGAGGGAAUACUCCCGACCCUCGAUUGGGUUUCUAGCCGACCCCCAAAAAAAUGAGGCUAGUGGCGACUCCUGUAUAUUUUUAGGUUGUUAAAUACCUAGACCGUAUAAAUAAAUCCGUUGUCACGCGGGGUAUGAGUUUCGAUGAAACUCACUAUGGUUUAGCAGACUUGAUGUGGGAGUAGCCCAAAGGAUGAAGUGAUGCCAUCCUAAUGGGUGAAGCGUACUAUCGAGAGGGCUACCAUGGUAAAAGUACCCUUAAAUUCGAUAUCCACAUUCGACUCCUUUUUUUAGGUGUGUCGCUUAUGUGGGUAUGGAUCGCGACAUUCCGCUGUCACGCGGGGUACGAGCUUGGGAGAGCUCGCGAUCUCGUAGAGGGAACUCAUGAGAGGCUUGAUCCAAAAGGCGAGGUGAUGACGUCUUUUGGAAUGCGAUCUCGUGAGGAAACUCUCGUGAUCAAGUACCCCUAAAUCCGACAUUUCCCACCUUGGAUACUAUUUCGAGGGGCGGCGAGAUCGGGUCGCGACAAACACCAAUUGCGACCUACUCAUUCAUGAUGUCCUUUCCUUCCUCAGGCCACUGCCAUUCAUAAUGGUAUUUCAAAGAUAUGAUUUUUGUUUCCUCCCUCCCCCAUUGCGAAUUCAACAGGGCAAGGAAGACUAGUCACCAGUGCUACCAGUAUCCUGCCCUUGAAAUCCAUUAGGACCUUGCCCAUAUGUUCCGCUAGAAGUAGGUGCAUAGUUCCAAUUGUCUUUCCUAUGAACUAUUCUGCACUGAAGGUGCAAAGCUCCAUCUAUCUCCUUGCAGCAGGUCCCUCUGUUUGCUGAUGGUAAUUGUUGUUAUGACCCUGUCAACUGUAGUUUCCCUGAUAUGAAGGCAUCGGAUCUCCCCUCUGUCCUUGAUAUGGAGCCCUGCUGCUGGCAGCAUAAUCCAUAUUGCUCAUUGGCAAGGGAUUUCUUCUUUCAUCUUGUCCCGAGGACCAUAACUUUUCUGACGAGAAGAUAACCAUAUUGAGGACUCCCUUGUCUAUUUGUCAUUUGACCACCUUGCCCGUCAUAUCUAGGUUGGUCAUAGUUUCUAUUGCGAUCUCACAUUCUCCUGCCCAGCCUCCCAUAUUGGACUAGUGGUGGUCUCUGAGUAAUUACUCCAUUUUCAUACUUGUCACCUAAUGAUUCAAUAAGUUAAACAAAGCCAGCGGUGCUGCAGGGCCACAAAUCAUAGACAUAUUGGAGAGUUGAACUUAUGGAAUUAGAGGAUGAAUGGACUAAAUGAUUGAAAAAAUUUGGCAAAGAUGUAUAGGAGACGAUCUUAUGUGGAGCCAAGUCAUACCUCCGUAUUCCUUAUUUUGGGGAUCAACGUAGGAAUCAGGUAAUAUAAAGAUAACUCCAGGUAGAUCUGUUUAUAGCUCAAUAAAUCAGUGCACAACAAUGAUGCAAUUAUUAAUCAUUCAUUGAUUGCAAUGCGAGACUUAUCAAAGAUACUUGCCUUUGAAUUGCUUUGAUUCUGCUUCAGUCAUCACAACCUAAAACCCAGAUUGGUGGUCGUGCUACUAGCACAAAUUCUCUUUUUGGCUUCCUCCAAAUUGAAACACGAAUGUCAAAUGUCAUCUCAAAUUUGCAAUGUAGAUCAUGCCAUGGUUGCCUCGGGACAUAGAUCCCAUGAUCAAGAAAUAUAAUAUCCAUGUUAUUACAGUGCUAAAUGUAAACAUUAGCUUAAUUACCGCAAAUGUGGGGUUGUGCAUGUCAAUUUUUAAAGAUGGUGUCAAGAUCGCUAUAGAGCCGGUGCUCAGGAGAGUCGUAUUGACCAUCGCAUUGGUCCAACCCACCAAUGAAAGCCGUUAUUUUGUGGUUGUUUCCCAAAACAAUCUAUUUGUAUCUUAUUCUUACCCUUUACCAAAAAAAAAAAAAAAAUCUAUUUGUAUCCAGAAUAAGUACACAAUAAGAAAUGUUUUUAUGAUGCAAAAAAGUUGAAUCUUUUCCCUCUAAGAAGUUUAUGCCAUAAAUGUCGAAUGGAAAACAAUUAGCCAAUGAUAACUUGAUGAACCAUAUAUAUUUAUCUUAACGUUCACACCAACUCAUCCGAAGGAUUUUAUACAACAAUGACAUCGCAUGUCAUGCCCACAACUUACUUUAAUUAGUAGGGAGUAUCUAUCUAAAUCACAACGAACUUUGUCAUGCCCAUGAAUGCUCAUUCUACUCAUAUUUCUCAAUUUCAGUUGUUUAAAAUAUUUAAAUUUAACUCAAAAUUACUUGAAAAUUUUGGUAUAUAUCAUUGCAUUUGCACACUCUCAAAAUCGAAUGUGACUAAUUUACAUAUUUGAUCAAGUUGUGAGAGCAUUGGGAAGAGUGGUAGGCAACCUAAGGAUUUUGCCACCCACAUCAGGAAAUGUUUCGAAACCGGCGCUCCUUUACAUUGAUCUUGCUUGUAAUGUUCACUGCCAGCUCUAUCGGCACUGAAUUGUUUGCACCUGCUUGUCAGAGCCAAAUCAAGCAUUGGUUGCCAUCAAAACUUGAACUCAAGAAAUUAAAUAAGCCAAAAUGAAACUUGAAAAUGGAGGAAAAAAAAUCAAAAUUUAGAAAGUUCAGAGAGUCAAGUCUCGAAAAUAUAAUAUGUAGGAACUUUGUAAGGUGCUCAUCAUUCCAUAAUAGGGCCCUUUGAAUCAGAAUUCAGUUUUAAUGUCCAAUAUGGUGAGUUCUAGCUAUUAUUAGCUGAUACACAAUUCUCAGAUGGAGCAAAGUCUGAAUACUCCUUACCAGAGGGGUUGUUGCUCUUUCAACUCAGUCAAUCAACUUCUUUUUGUUAGUCGCAAUCGCAAAUCUCUCUCGUCUAUGCGAGUGUUUCUCUACCGCCAUGGUAGUGCUUCCCUUCCCCAAACCCUAAGAUCCACCUACUUUUCCAUAACCUUUUUUCCCUUUUCUUGUGUUUCUCCUUUUAGUAACCCUACUGAAAAACCAAAAAAAAAAGAAAAAGAAAAAUAGAACUCUCUUCUGAUGUUGCUGUGUCGAGCUCCGAGCCGCCAAUCGAACAGUUGGGUUGUGCCGAUCUAGCAAUUGCAGUCUUGUACAAGUUGGAUAUCGCAGCUUUUCCCUCGAAAUCACUCUGGGUCUCUUUGGAUAUUAGUUGAUUAGCUUGGAUCUUCCGUCUCUGGCUGAUUUUCCUUGAGUCUCUGGUCCUGGUUGUGAUGGAGUAGUUGAUGCCUGGAUCUGUUUUUGAGGAAGAUGAGCAUUCUCGAUGCUUCAGUGCUGGCAGAUUGGUAGAUAUUUGUUUGUUUUUCUAAGACAUCAUCCUGUUUUAGUUUUCCGAUGAAUCUCACAAAGGCAGAAGUUCUAAGUAUCGAAAAAGGAGACAUACUUGGUUAGCCACUUCAGUAAUCCACCUUGUUCUCUGUCACAACUACAGAUCUAGUAAUGUCUUAAAUCAGUAUCCAUGGAGAGUAAAGAAGAAAAUGAAAUGCGAGUGGCAGCACUAUGUAAACGCCUGGGUCACCUUUGGUCUGAGAAGGAUGUUGUUGAAGUCUCCACUGAAAUCUCUCCGCAAAAAAAGGGAGGAAUGUAAAUGUAUACUCUUUGGCAAGCUCUAUUCCAAACCCAAUGUCAAUUACCCAGACUUUUUAUCCACAAUGAAAAAAGCAUGGAAAACUAAAACUGUAACCUGUUCACAAAAAGAACCUGGGCUAUUUACCUUUGUCUUUCAAGCGGAGGAGGAAAAAGAGAGGGUCAUGAAGACAUCACCUUGGUCUUAUUCUAGUAACUUGCUAGUUUUAAGACAAUGCGAGCCGGAAGUUCCAAAGCAUUGUUAUGAUUUUACUAAAGCUGCUUUCUGGGUGCGUAUUGGAGGUAUUCCCCCUGGCUGGAGAGUAGAGCAAGUCUUUAAAGAUCUGGGAAGCAGACUCAUACAAGUUAUGGAAGUUCACCUUGAUACAACAGGUAACCAUCAACAGAAAGGAGGAAGAGUGGGAAUAGAAGUUGACCUGAAUGUUCCAUUGAAAUCGAGGGCAAUCUUGGAUAUUGGUUCCAAAUGGCUUUAGGUGGAAUUCAAGUAUGAGCGUCUCCCACAUUAUUGCUAUUCUUGUGGGAGAAUAGGGCAAUAUGCUUCUGACUGUGCUGAAAUUCCUUAUGCGCAAUCACCUUGGGCAAACAACAAAAUAGGACCAUACGGGCCCUAGCUGAAGGUAGAAGCAUGUGAGCACAGCUCUUAUUGGGAAACAUUUUAUGGUAAAAUUGAAGAAGGAAUUAUUGUGGAAGAGACAGUACCUAUUACAUCUUCCCAAUCUAGUGGCAUGGAUAUCAUAGCUCAUGAGGCAGUUCCUGAUAUGCAACUAGGAGCCUGCAACAAAAGAAGACUAGAUAGCGCUCACGACAAAGAGAUAGCCCAAGUUAAUGAAGUGUAUGCUAAUGAAGCCAGAGACUAUGGCAAACAGAUGCAAUGCUCUGAAAACCAUAAACAAGUUCUAUCAAAAGUCGGGAAAUGCAGUAAGAAGAAUAUGAAGGUUCAUAAGGCUAAAAAACAAAAGUGAAUACCUGGAAAAACCCCUCUCUUGAUUGAUGAUACUGAACUCCUGGAUACCCCUGUGAAAUUGAUUGCAGAAGGACAAGAAUGGGCUUUGGUGGCUAGCCCUAAUAAGCCAUCAGUGACACAAUGAAAAUCAUUAGUUGGAAUUGUCAGGGGCUAGGCAACCCCCUGACAAUCCAAGAACUAAAAGCCUUAACGGCUCAAGAAAGGUCUAGUUUACUUUUUCUAAUGGAGACUAAGAAUAAAGAAGCAAUGGUGGAAAAAGUUUGCAAAAAGUUACAUUUCCAUAAUGUUUUUCUAGUGAAUCCAUCAGGCAUAGUGGGGGGUUUAGCUCUUAUGUGGCAUAAGGAAGUAUCUUUGAAGGUGAAAGCCAGCUCAAAGCACUAUAUUAAUGUGGAUUGUACUGAUCCAGACAGCAGGCAACAUAUGCAAAUUACUUUUGUUCAUGCAUCUACCAAUUUCGGAGAGAGACUGACCUUAUGGAAAAUGUUGGAAAACAUUAAACCCCAUAAUUCCUGCCUAUGGAUCUGCAUGGGAGAUUUUAAUGAGAUUUUGUAUGUAUGGGAGAAAGUUGGGAAAAAAGAAGCUGAUAACAGUCGUAUAGCAGCAUUCAGAAACAUGAUCAAUGAACUUUCUUUAAUGGAUAUAGACAGUCAUGGGUGUGCAUAUACAUGGGCAAACAAUAGAGAUGGGGAGGAUCUCGUUAAGAAAUGACUAGAUCGAAUAUUAUGCACCUUGGAGUGGAGAAUUACAUUUCUUGAAGUUAAAGUCCAAGCCCUUCCAACUAUUGGCUCAGACCACAGCCCUCUGGUUCUUCGGCUCUAUCCUGGGAAGAAGAAGACAAAAAGAUCUUUCAAGCUAGAGGUUUUCUGGACAGAGCAUGAGGAGUAUUAUGAAGUUAUCCAACAAACAUGGAAAACUAAAUUUAUCUAGCCACACACUCUUUCAGGAAAAACUACAGGAGACAUCAAAAGUGCUGGCACAAUGGAGCAAAGAGAAGUUUCCCAAUGCAAGGUUGCAGAUAAAAGAGCUAAAUAUGGCCCUAACAAAGCUUACUAAUCAGCUUGACCAGCACACCAGCAGAAAGCAAAAACAGAGCAUUAUCUAUCAGAUAGAGAAACUGCGAAGGCAGGAGGAACAAUUUUGGGGUAUGAGGUCACGCAUUAAGUGGCUGCAAUGGGGUGAUAAGAAUACCAGAUUUUUUCAUGCAUCAACUAUACAGAGGAGGCAAAGAAAUAGAAUCACUAUGCUAUAAUUAGAAGAUAACAACUGGUGUAGAGAUCCUAUAAUGAUCCGCAACCAUAUUCUAUCCUCUUACAUAGAGCUAUAUAAAUCAGAGGGCCCAAGGCAGUACCAACCUAUCCUCAUCCAAUGUCCAUCACCUAUAACACAGCACAUUAAUGAAGAUCUGGCGGAUGUACCUUUGAUGGAGGAAAUUAAGGAUGCUGUUUUUCAGAUGGGAGCACUCAAAGCACCUGGUCCAGAUGGCUUCAGUGACAUUUUUUUUAUCAAUAAUCAUGGGAUACCGUGAAAACUGACCUGUUACAGUUAGCUCAGAAUUUUUUCCAGACAGGUAUUCUUGAUCCCCUCCUCAACUAGACACAUCUUUCCUUAAUCCCUAAAGUGAAAAACCCUGAGAAUAUUAGCCAAUACAGACCUAUCAGUUUAUGCAAUUUCAGUUAUAAAGUAAUUUAAAAACUUCUAGCAAACAGACUAAAGAAGUGGUUGCCAUCUAUUAUUGAACCGGAGCAAUGUGCAUUUGUUCAAGGCAGACAGAUACAAGACAAUAUCUUCAUUGUGUAGGAAGUAUUGCACCAGCUGCGCAUCACAAAAAAGAGGAAAAAACAUCAGGCCAUACUUAAAUUAGAUAUGCAGAAAGCAUACGACAGAAUCGAAUGGGAUUUUUUGCAAGAUUGCAUGUUGUACAUGGGGUUUUGUGAAAAGUGGGUAACACUCAUAAUGCAGUGUGUGUCUACAGUUUCUUUCAGUGUGAAGAUAAAUGGAGAACCUACCCCUUUCUUCCACCCUUCGCGAGGAAUCAGACAAGGCGAUCCCCUGUCACCUUAUUUAUUUAUCUUGAUUUCAAAUGUUCUAACUUGGAUGAUGAACAAAGCUAUCGCAGAUGGCAGCAUCCAAGGCAUACAGAUAAAUAGGUUUUGUCCUAAACUCUCACAUCUGCUGUUUGCGGAUGAUGUUAUGUUUUUUCUGGACGGUACUAUGAUGGAAUGUCAGAACCUAGCACUGAUACUUAAACAGUACUGCUAUGCUUCGAGACAAGCAAUCAACUUAAACAAAUCAGGGGUGUAUUUUAGUGCAAAUUAUCCCUUACCUUUGAAGAGAAAUAUGGCCAUAGAAUUAAGAGUCCCUGUGUUUGAAAAAAUAGGGAAGUAUUUGGGCAUCCCCAUAUAAUGGGGUCAAUCUAAGAAAGAACUGUUUGCAUGGAUAUUAGCCAGGGUCAAUACAAAGCUAGAAGGGUGGAAAGAGAAACUACUUACUAAGGCCGGGAAGGAGGUGUUGAUCAAAAGUGUUGUUCAGUCCAUACCUAUGUAUGCUAUGUCCAUAUUCAAGCUGCCAGUCUCUAUCUUCAGAGCAAUAAAACAACGAAUUGCAUCAUUCUGGUGGCAAAAAGGUGAUCAUAAGAGGGGCAUUCAUUGGAAAAAUUGCGAUGUGAUGAAAACCCGAAAGGACGAAGGAGGAAUGGGUUUCAAAGAUUUGAUUACCUUUAAUUGUGCCAUGCUGGGUAAGCAAGUUUGGAGGCUAUCAAAUUCUCCCUCUGCCCUGUGGAGUAGAGUGUUGAAAGGAGUCUACUUUCCAAAAGGGGAUAUCUGGACAGCAUGCACGGGCCAACGCCCCUCAUGGGGAUGGCAGAGUUUGUUAAUUGGCCGAAAUACAAUCAAAGAGAACAUCAAAUGGUCCGUUGGGGAUGGUCAAUCUAUUCACAUCCGAGAAGAUAAGUGGUUAAUGCAAGGGGUAAUUGGAGGACAUAUUAACCCAACAGAACCUCUGAUGGUAUCUGAGCUAAUACAUGCAGAGUCCCGAGAAUAAAAUGUACAGAAGAUUCAACAGUUCUAUAAUGAAAGUAUCGUAAAUGAAAUUUUAGCUAUCCCAUUGAGCCCACAACCGCAAUCAGAUUACCUAGUCUGGAUAGGUAAUAAUACAGGGAAAUAUUCUAUAAAGAGUGGCUACAACAAAGCAUAUUCAGAAACUACAAGCCAAAACCACAAUAGGGCCUCCUGUUCGUUCCAACCACCACGUACCUUAUGGACCAAGAUCUGGAGCCUCGCUGUGCCACCAAAAAUCAAAACUUUCCUUUGGGUUCUCUGUCAAAACGCCCUUCCCACGAGAGAAAACCUAUAUAAACGAAAAAUUGUUCAUGACCCAUUAUGCCAAGUUUGUCACACGAAGGUAGAAACAACAGAGCAUCUAUUCUUUUUAUGUAAAUGGACAAAAGGCAUAUGGGAAGAUCCAACAUUUAGAGGCCUCAGUCCCACAAGCACAAUCAGAAGGACGGACCAGUGGAUUAUGGAAGCUUUCCGAGUGAACACGAACAUACCUGAACGAGAAUACACUAGCCUGGCUCUCUGGCACAUAUGGAAGGCAAGAAAUGGAUGGAUUUUUCGAGCAAAAGCCCCGAACUCUGCAAAAUCUCCUGAGUAUUGUACAUGAUCAGCACUUCAAUUUCACCCAAGGAAAGAAGACCCAUAAAUGAUUAAACCCUAAUCGAAACAUACCUGGUAGAUGGAAACCACCGGAUCGACAAGAUCUGAAGUUGAACGUUGAUGCUUCUUGGACUCCGGGUGAGUUUCUUUGCUCUAUUGCUGGUAUCGUGCGUGAUUCGUCAAGGCAGGUGCUCGAAGGCUUCGCCUGUACUUCUAGGGUUUCUUCAUCGCAAGAGGCCGAAGUCGAAGCGAUUUUACAUGGACUCUUUUAUAUUAAGGAACUUCAUAUGAGGCACGUGGGAGGCUUCUGGAGUCAACCACUUCGAUGGAUCUGCGAAAAUGACUGUUCCCCUGCCGUUGAACAGGUUUUGGGCUGGGCCGAAAUUCAGUGGAAUCUAAAAGAAACUGUUCUACGGUGCAUAUGCGAAUUGGACCACUGCGAUAAUGUUAAGGUAAGCUAUUGCACCCGAGAAGAGAACUGUGCCGCGGAUUGGAUAGCACAAACCCACCGAGCAAACAAGCUUCCUCUUAAUUGGUGGAAUACUCCUCCUUUGCCUUUAUGGAAUAUAUUAUGUUCGGACUUUAGUCCUUAUUCGUCUUGUAAGACUCCUUUUAAGUAAGAAUAGAACGUGCUUUCUAUUUUGACCAAAAAAAAAACUCAGUCAAUCAAAAUGCAUAGAAAUGGUGCAUCUCAUACCUGCAUUUUUGUAUGAUGGCCAAUGAUAGGAAGAGCCAAGAAAAUACUGGUUUUCAAUGUAAAUGAAAUGUUGUGCUGAUCUAAUCACUUUCACAGAUGCCAUAUGAAUGCUCUUGUCUACUUUCAAGUUCUUUCCGCAUAUAAGAUUCUGCAACCAUGAAGUAAUUGAAAGAAGCAACAUUGUCAAUGUUCCUUUUUAGCUUCUUCAACACCAGAGAUUGUGCAUAAGAAAGAAGAGCAAAAAGAGCAACUUUCUAAUGUAGGGAAAACUUUUCAAGCAUGUAUAACAGCCAAUUGUAAAUCUACUAGCAUGGCAUUAGCAGCUAAAACUUAAUUGCUUUUUAGCUUCUUCAACGCUCUUUAGCAAUUCCUUUACAGAUCCCAAAUCAAUUGAUCUAAAGACCUGUGCCAACAUUAAAUAGAAAUUAAAGGUGAUUGUUACCCUUCAUUUUGUUCCCAAUUGAAGUCCCUCGAAAAAGCCAAUUAAUUUUUAAGUAAAUUCUCUGGACUUGCGCAUGCCAAUUUUCCAUGUUGUCUUCUUCCCUGACUUGUACUUUUGUGUCUCCAUCGGGGCUUGUCGAGGGACAAAGUGUCCACAAAAUCCUAUCAAGCCUUAGCAGAGCAUUCUCAUGCCAACACUUGACGUAACUUGCGCCACUUCACCGCCUCUUUCCAUCUCUGUUCGAAAUUCUUCAAUAUGUCGUACGUAGCUUGUCCCUUAACUUUGCAAUGUAGAUCAUGCCACGGUUGCCUUGGGACAUUGACAGUGGACUACAGUAGUCACAAGAAAAGCAAUAAACACAAGAUUAGAAAAUAACACAAACAUGUGUUUACAGCGAAUGUGAAUGUGGGUUGUGAAUGUCAUUCUUAAAGACGGUGUCAAGAUCGCUACAAAGUUUGUGCUCAGGAGUGUCGUAUUGGCCAUCACUUAUGUCCAACCCACCAAUGAAAGCCAUUAUUUUGCGGUUGUUUCCCGAGGCUUGAGUGUCAAGAACCAUGUGCUUUUGGUGGUGCGUGUAUACGGUCCCCACCACCUGCACUACAAAAGAUCCAUACACCAACAAAUUAAACCAAACAUUUUCGUAGAUUUAUGCUUGAAUUUAAACGAAUGGACAGCCUCUCCAAUACUAUAUAAAAUUCCCUACUAGAACUAUCGUAAAUGCAUGUCAUUAUGCCAGAAACACAUGAUAUGAUCUAGGACAGAAUGAGACAAAUCAAUAAACUUCCGCAAAUUGUCUGCUAAAAGGAAAAACUUUCCUAUGAAAUUAUACCCGAUGGAAAUAAUCAGGUAACAUAUAGCAAAAGCAAUGCUUUUGAUGCAAUCAAACGAAGAGAUUUUGAUUAAGAAUCAACCUAAACGUCUAAGGAUACAGACCCGUUGUUUGAAAAUGCUAAGAUUGGUACUUGCAUAACAAGGACCAAGCACACAGUGGAUGCCAAAGUGUUGAAGAAACUUCUUGGUCUCUACAUCGUGAUCUAGGCCACCGGUAUCUCCACGACCCCAAUGAGCUCGGUCCCAAACACAUCGUUGUCCUCCAUGUGGAACUCCACCUUCAAGAUUGGGCAUGCCAUGGGAAUGUAGAACCAUUAGUCCCAUAGGAUUUUCUCGCAAUUCGGGGUUGUUAGCACUUGAAUUUUGCUGAGAAAGUAUGAAUAAUAAUAAAGGUAAUUUUGUCAUACGCCUAUUGAUACCCGAAUUUUCCUGACCAUUCAACUGUCCAUUUCUUUCAAAAUAUAUAUAAAGAAUAAGAAAGGAGAGAGAUUAAAAAAAAAUGGAAAAAAAUAUAAAAAAAUAAGAGAAAAAAGAAGAAGGAUAUAAUAAUAAAAUCGAGUGGGCUGGUGUUGUCCAGCCCACUUGGCAAUUUUCAGCCUUUUAAUUCCCAACCCCUCUCUUUCAGCCCAUUUAUUUUAGUUCGGUUAUUUUCUUUCGGCCCAUGCGUCCAAGUCACUCUCCUUGGCCCAUCUCUUUUAUCUUUUCUUUGUUCUCAUAAGCCCACCAGAGCCUAAAAAAGAAGCCCAGCCCAUCUUCUCCUUUUCCUUGCACGCUCUCACCCCCGUGAGAAGAAGAGCGUCGGUGACGCAAGGAAGAGAGAAGCAAGAGUGACGCGCGGGUAACGGAGGAGCGUGUGACUGCACGUGUGCGGGAGCGGGGCUGUGAGCGACGAACCGUGACGAGAGCGAAGCCGGCGCCUUUUAAAAUUUUGGAUUAUAUGGGUAGGUAUAUUUUACCAUCAAUUAAAACUAUUUUUCAUUCAGGGUGAUCGACCGAAUUAAUAUUGUUAGUUUUUUUUUUUAAAGAAUAUUUGUUACUGUCAUUUGUAAAAUAAUUGAUAUAAAUUUGGGACUAGAUAUAUAAUCAUUAUAUGGUGCCCACAUUAACAUGAUGAAGUUAAUAUUAGUCUUCAUAUAGAAGGAGUCUGAAUGACGCAUAGGACAGUACGGAAGCCUCAUGUUAGCUUUCAUUUAUGAAGUUGAACUAUCAUUUGGAGUGUGAAGUUGAUAUAACGCAAUUCUUGAUAAUUGCUAUGUUCAGUUAUGAAAAUUGAAUUAAAUCAUGAACUACCGACAUCAAAGCAGAUACAUAUUAAUAAAGGGUCUCUACUACUAGAAGUAAAUAUUUACUUGUGUAUGAAGAACUCGUCAUUCGCUUAGGCCCAUCAAUCCAUAAUAAGAAAGAAGAAGUAGAGAUGAGUUGUGAAUGAUUUGCAUAGACAAACAAAGUGGACGAACAAGACGUCUUUAUCCCAUGCACGGUGCAUUGAGAUGUAUUAUAUAGGGGUAGGAGGUUUUCUAUCUAUCUAAUUUCGAUAAUUAAUAUCUUCUAAUUUAUUCCUAUGCCACCUAUCUUUGGUAUAGCAUUUGAAUAUCACAGCUACAUAUAGAAUAUAUACCUUUUAACUUAGAAAUUUUUUUAUGCCCACCGUCAACAAAAAACAUCUUCCAUUGUGGCACCACACUAUUUAUAAGUGCAUGUUGACUAUUUGAUUGUAUCAAGCUAUUUAAAUUUUGGAUUAUAAGGGCAAGUAUGUUUUACCAUCGAUUGAAACCAUUGUUUGUUAUGGGUGAUCAAAUUGAAUCAGGAGGCUGUUAUCAUUUUUUUUUUAAAGAAUAUAUUAUGCUUUUAUUUGUCAAAUAAUUGGUAAGAAUUUGCAACUCGAUAUAUAAUCAUUAUAUUGCACCCACUUAAUAUGAUGAAGUUAAUAUUAACGUUCAUACGUAUGUGUUGCGACCUCUUUUUUUCGGCGCCCGCAAUUGGGUAUGGGCACCUAAAGAGGCUAAUGGCUCGGCUGAAAUUAGUUAUGCCCGGACUCUCCCAAGUCCACCAAUUCACGACUUUAAUAGUCUGAGUUUUUAACCUGUAAAUCAAUUUUUUAAAAUAAAGUCGCCACUAAUCGAUUUGGGGUGGGUUGAUUAGAAACCCAAGUGAAGUAUCGGGAGAAAUACUCACUCCUGCGCAACCAGAGAAAUUAGGAUCGGGGACUUGAUUACACUAGUUAAUCACUAAUGCCCUUUCGGUACCUAAUCUUGUUUAAACCCUAAGGCUUUUUGGAUUUUUGAGGGAUUUUCCAUGCAUUUUUGGGAGGAAAAACAUUUUUGAGUAUUUUUCUAAUUUUUUGGAUAUAAAAGGGAUUUUUUUGGACCUUUUUUGGUAUUUUUGGAAAAAUACAAGUCUUUUUGGCUUUUUAUGAAUUUUUUGGCUUUUUCAUGAAUUUUUGGCUUUUUUUUGGAUUUUUGGCAUUUUUUGGAAAAUAUGAAAUAUUUUUGAUUUUUUUAUUUUUUCGGAAAAUAGACAUUUUUUGGAAAAUAAAAUAUUUUUUGAUUUUUUGGAAAAUAUUAUUUUUUCUGUUUUUUAAUAUUUUUCGAAAAUAAAAUAUUUUUUUGAUUUUUUUGAAAAUAAAUUAUUUAUUUAUUUAAAAUAUUAUUUUAUAUUAAAAAUAACAAAAUAAAACCGACCCGGGUCGGAUCCGCGGGUUGGGUCCGACUCGGGUCGACGACCCAAAACGCGGACGCGCCCGCAACGCGCGCCCGACUCAAAUUUUUUUUCUUUUUCUUAAAAACUCAGCCCACACACACGGAAUUGGGCCUAUUUAAAAAAAAGGGAUGCCUAGCCCGUGGAGAAGCUGGCCUUGCGUAACCCUAGAGCGCCGGGUCACACGACCGACCCGACGACCCGCUCCCCCCUGCGAAACCCUACCCGACCUGGCUCCAGCACCCGACCCAACUUCUGCUGCCCCUUAAAUCGCGGAAACCCUACCCAUUUUCCAAACCCGGAUCCGCUUCGUGACCCAGAAAUCGCAAACCCUAGGGUUUGCGAAUCCGCGGCGCCAAGGAGGGAGAGGGCCAAGGCACAAUUGCGGGGACGACGGUGACGGCGGCGGCGACAGCGACGGUAGUGAAGAGGGUUGAACUGCGGAGAGGGGGGAGGUUAUGGCGACGGCGAUGGCGAUGGCGGCGGCGGCGGUAGCACUACCUGUUCGUGGCGAUGGCAGCAUCAACGAGGACUGGACGACGGGGGGUUUGCGAUGGCGAUGACGGCGGAGGGUGCCCGAACUCUGCUCCCUCCCUUUGAUCUGGGCUCGCGAGCGUCGAGCCUCCCCUGAAGUCUCUCGGGGGAAGCUUGAAUGCUCGCGGCUUCGAUCUCUCUCCUCUCUCUGCUCUCGAGUUCUCGCAGAUCUGGGUUCGCUCACCGCCGGCCUCCCCCGAAGUCUCUCGGAGGGAGGUCGUUGAGCUCGCGACCCGAUCGCUUCGCCCUUGCUCGCUCUUUGAGUUCCCCGAAGUCUCUCAGGGGAUCUCUCGGAGCUCGCAGGCCUCUCUCUCUCUCGCUUGCUCUUCAACCUCCUCCGAAGUCUCUCAGGAGGAGGUUUCCAAGCUCGCGAUCUUCUCUGGUGUCCCUUUUGACGACGAAAAUGCUUCGCUAUUUAUAGGCGAGGAGGUCCGGUCGACGGAGAGGCUCGGCCGCCGGUCUUUGGCUUGCCAACCGAACCCUCGUGGCCGAACCGGCGUCCCAUCCGCCACCUGUCCUCCAGCUGCCCCCCCCCCUUUGUUGCCGUCCGUCCGCUCAUCCGACGUGGCGCUCUCUGCGCGUGUGUUGCAGAGCGGACGAAGGAGGAAGAAGACCGAAAAGGGCUGGGCCGGAGGAGAAGGAAAGUGGGCCGUAGAGGCCCAUGCGGAGGGGGAAGAGAGGGAGAAAAAUGGGCUGUUUUUUGUUUUAUUUUUGUUUUUUUUGUGUUUUUGGUUUUUUUGGUUCAUUUUUAUUAUUUUGUUUUUAUUAUUUAAAAGAAGGAAAAAUAAAAGAAAUUAAAGCCUAAUUAAUAACCUAAUCGAAAUUUAGGUGUCAACAGUAUGAAGUUUGAAUGACGAAUAGGACAAUACAAUAGAGUUGUGUCCCCCACCAAUUCACCGAGGCAUCAUAUUAGCUUUCAUGUUUAUGAAGAUGUACCGCCAUCUGGAUCGUGAGGUUGACAUAACACCAAGGUUAACAAUUGCUUUGCUCAUAUAUUCAAAAUUGAAUUAAAUUGUGAGUUGCCCACAUCAAAGCAAAUAUAUACUAAUAAGGGGUCUCAAUUGCUAGAGGGUAGCAUUCACUUUUAUAAUCACUCACCUUGGUCGUCCAAGGCGGUCGGGCCCAAAGGCAGUUUUAGUACAAAAGAAAUGGUGGAGUGGGCCUCUUUGUCUUUUACCACGGAGUACAGGACAUUGGAGUUCAAAAAAAAGAAAGAAAAAGAAAAUGGUUUCCUUGUGACUAUUGGCAAUUUUUAGUUGGAAAUGUCCGUGAAUGUUAACCAACAAAUUAAAGUCAAACAACGGUACUAAUUUAAUUAGAUAAUUAAUUUCUAAAUUUUGACUCAAUAUACAAUGUAAUCUAUGAACUUUAAGUUUGUUCAACAUGGUUCCUAAACUUCAACUAAAUAUGCAAUAUUGUCCUUGAAAUUUUAAUUUAUUUGAUAUGAUCCUUAGAAUUUUUUAUACAUGUUCAAUUUAGUCCCUAGAAUGUAUAAAGAUAUUUAAUACUAUCUUUGCAUUAUUUAAGUUCAGUGAAAAUAUUAAACAUUUGCAUUAAAUUAAACUUGCAAUAAAAGUUCUUGCUAUCACUGGCAAAUGCCCUAGAUUUGAUUGGCAAUGACCACGAGCACAUGAAAUUAUAAUUAUUUCCCUCGUGUAACAGGAGGGAAUCAGAUAAGCAAAAAUCAUAAAAUCAGCAAAAACUCUAGAAAUCUUCAAGUGAAAUUAAACGUUACAAAAGAAAUCGAAAGUAAUGGGAGGGGUGGAGUAAUUAGCGGAGAGUAUUCGAGAGGCCACGAAGGAAUUUGCCGUUUCGAUGUAGUGGAUGCCAUCCCAGCUCACAUGGUGUGACGCCUCCUCGCACACAUUGCCAUUGCUGUAGCAUGCCAUUAACGGGUUCUCAAAUCCUACUCAUAUUGCAAUGCAAAAAACACACAAACUUAAGUAAAUCGACUAUCAUUGUAAGUUUGUAACCACUCCUAGGGCACAAAACAAAUGAGCAAGACACUCUCGCUAACUCUUGAGUUUCGACUUGACAAUUGGCCCUAACAUAACUUGAGGGGACUCAGAUUAGAGGCGAUGGAAUCCAUACCAUGUAUUAGGGGUGAGCAGUUCCCGGUUCCGGUUCAGUUCCGUCUGGAACCUGGAACCUACCCUCGGGUACAGGUUCCUCAAUUUUUGGAACCUAGAACCUACCCGUCAAAACCGAGAACCUGGAACCUACCCUAUCACAGGUUCCGGGAUCGGUUCCAGGUUCCAACAGGUUCUUUUUUUUUUUUUUUUGGUUUCAUUUUCGUAGUGAGCGCGAAUAUCCAAAAGCCGAAAUAAUUCAAUAUUGGCCCUCCAUUUUCGGUACCUGCCAAUACACAGCAAUGUAAAUCUUUUACAUUUAGACGGUCAGCUCUACUUCCAAUUUGCUCCACACUCUAAUACAAAAUCAAAGAGAUUCCUCAUAAGGGGAAAAGGUAAACAUACAGGUUGGCCAGAAAAAAAGAUAAGCAACACAUACAACACAUUCCUAUCAGAGAAAAUCUAUAUUCUCAUUUCUAUCAAGACUCCUUGAGUAAAAUUGUCUCGUGGCUAAUUCUUAAGGUACAAGCCAGAGAAAUCCUAAGACAGAAAAUGCACAAGAGCCUAUGUUUACAAACAAGAAAAACUGUCCGAAAGCAAUAACAAAUUUGAUCUGGCAACAAGAAUGAAUAUGCAUGACAGCAAAGACCAGCAGAAGGCUAGCAUGAAAAAUCCAUUUACCUCUGGCUCUUCCCCAGAGACAUACUACUGGAGCUGAUCUCCCAAGAUCAUGCCCUUCAGCAAUCAUUGCAGCCAUCUUCUAGUAUUAAUAUAUGAGAUGGACAAGGUAGGGCACAAUGGUUAGACAGGGAGGUAGAUAUAUACAGAACUUAAAAUAUUUUAUGAAUUUCUAUUGUAUUAUCUAAGUACAUUACCUGCAGCAACAGGGUACUCUUGCCAACACCAGGAUCACCUCCCACCAAAAUUAAGGAACCUUUAGAGCCACAAUGCAGCAAAAUCAAUAGCUUUGAUAAAAUUAAAAUCUUCAAACUUCCAUACAUCUCAAGUGAAAGUUCAAGUAAUGCAGCAGAUUCGUGCGGACCAUACAGCAAAAAAGUAGGUCGAACCUGGCACAAGACCACCGCCUAGCACUCUCGAAACCUCCUCUCCAAAGGGUCCAUACCUAAACAUCAAGCACCCCAAGAGAUCAUUUACUUUAAGGAAUUAGGGCGACAUGCCAUCUGAUUCAUCGAGCCGCGAGCGAGGUUCGCGAAGCUCGGCCACCGGCACUUCGCCAUCGAAUCGUUUGUAGCCAGAUCGAUCUUCGAGGGAGGUCCGGCGACGGCAAGCACGCGGCGACGGCAACAGCGGCGAAGACACGAGUCUCACGGCACCAACGGCGGCACCAACGGCGCAGCGAAGACGGCGGCGAUCACGGCUCAACCCACGGCCAAGGGGGGAAGAGCUCGGUUCUGGCGGAGGCGGUGGCGGUUCGAAGCAACGACGGCCCGGACGGCGGAGCGAGCGGCGGCGGCAAAAGGUGGUGAUGGUGGCUUGGAGACGGCGGCGGCGGCUCACGGCGGCGAGGGGUAACACGGACAGCGCGACAGCUCGUCGGGCUCAACGGCGAGACGACUCGUCGGACGAGCGGUGGGUGGUUGUGGUUCGGUGGCCAAGAGAUGGUGGUGAGUAGGGCGUGGGGCGGCGGUGUGGUGGUGGGUGAAGCAGCAACCAGCAAGAGGAAGAAGAAGACUACGAAGAAGAAGAAGAAGAAGGAGGAGGAGUGGGGUUUCGGCCGAGAGAGGGGGAAAGAGGAGAGAGAGAGAGAGAAGAAAAGAAAAAAGUUGGGGGGGCAAGAAGUGACGUGAUGAGUGAAAAGUGGAGAAAAGAAAGAGAGAGAGAGAAAGAGAGAAAAAGAGGAAGGGGGGAAGAAUCGCAGAGGCGGGAAAUCACGUGGGGGAAGCUAGGUUUUUUUUUUAGAAUUAUGACCGGUUCCGGUUCCCGGUUCCAUUAUUCUAGGAACCGGAACCGGUGUGGGAACGCCGGUUCCUAGAAAAAUGGAACCGGGAACCGGAACCGGUGUCUUUGGAACCGGGAACCGAACCUAACCCUCCGGUUCGGUUCCCCGGUUCCCGGUUCUACCCGGGAACCGUGCUCACCCCUACCAUGUAUAGUGUAAUUGGCGAUGAGAUUGUAUUUGAUCGCGAAGAUGUCGACGUACACGAUCGUGGCAUUCUUCAUCUGACCCCUCAGUUCUUCAAAAAGGGACUGCAAUAGCCGAUUGAAUUCCCGAGCAACAUCAUUGCGAGAUCGGAGGCAUCCGAGCUCAUCAAUGUCGCUCGCAUCAUGGGCGGUGGUGACCAAUAUGCUAGGCAAACAGCCCAAUGGCCCAGUGUUGUACACCCAGAAAUUCUUCCCUCCACUUUGGUAUAUGCUCUACAAAACAUUAGAUAUACUCUACAAAAAAAUUAGUUAUAUAAAUUAAAUUUACAUAGAUGGGAUUAUGUCUAAUCUUUUGGUAAUUGUUGACUGACCCAUAUGGCGAAUCUGAUUUCUUCGAUGAAGAUCGGGAUGUUCCCGACAACCUACAAAUACGGAAGGGUGGUGAACUGAGCUGUGAGAUCGUUUUGGCCAAUGUCAAUGGUGUAAAGAGCGUCGGCGAAACCAUCCUUGCCGACCAAAUUCGCGUGGCCUGAAAUUCGGGACACCAAAUCGAGAUAUCUGGAUUUUGCCUUCUUGUAGAGGUUAAUUUGUCUAGUUAAAGGAUAGAUUACCUCUCGAGAGAAGCAACGGAGAGCGAGAUCGGAAAAGGAGGAACUGGCGGAGUUGGACGCCCAAGUUGAAGGGCUGGUCGCGAGGGAUGGUGGCUGCGCUGGACACAGCAAAAUUGGCACCGUUGCUGAAAUUUGGGCCCAGUGAUUCCAAGUAUGGACUCAAGAAGCUUGUGUUCAGGCAAUCCUAUUUUAAUAGAUGUAGUCCAAAAAAUUCCGGCAUUUACAUGAUUUGGUCCUCUAACUUUUAUUCAAUGAAGUCACCUAACCUUUUGGAUUUAUGCGAUUUGAUCAUUGUUGACACCUAAAUUUUGGCGACCCGUUUAGUCAUUUAUUGCAUUAAAAAAUUAGGGAUUAAUUUUAUCUCUAAAAAAAUAAUUAAUUGCAUAGCAUAUAGUUUUAGGUGCAUUUAUCUUUAAUUUGCAUUUACAUUGAGUCGGUGACGGAUGGGUUCGAAUUGAUGCUUCAUAAACUUUAAUUUGAUAAGUUGGACUAAGCCCACUAAAGGAGUAAAUCGGCCCAAAGCCCAUAUCCUCUAGGAGAUUUUACGAAUUUAUUUAACAAAUAUUGCGUUUCGAAAAGAAAAUAUUGCGUUUGAAAAAAGAAAUCUUCGUGGAUAUUGAUUUGGAAAAAUUAAAAUCCUAAUCCGUGACCUAUAAAUAGGUAAAAGCGCCUAGGGUUUUGAGGGGGCCAAACAUUGACACCUACGGCCAUUGAGAGUAAAACGUGAGUGGGGCUUCACAAUUGAGAGACGCGUGGAGAGAGUGAGUUUUCUUGGCCAAUUCUUGACCAAGACCCACGUCGAUGCUUCUGCCGCGGUGCUUUCGUCGUCCCCGAUACAUUGUCAACGAGCUGCCAUCCUGUUGAGUUAUUACUCGAUCGCUUGACGACGCCACCGCAGCCCCUUCAUCGAUAUGACGUCACUGCAGCUCCGACCCUCGUAGUUGCUGUUCUGACUAUUACCCGAUCGCCGCCGUCGCUGCUGCCACGAGACCACGCGUUGAUCUGUUGUCCAGCUGUUAACUUGUUGACGCCAUCCCUGUCUUGCUGAUCUGUUCCGAACCGAGAAGGCCCUGCACCGUUUACUAGCCCCGACCUUCCAUGACAGAGCAUCACCGUUCGAUCCACUGUCCUUCAAUCACGAGCCACCGCCAUGAUCCCAUGAAUUGCUUCGGAUUCAUGCCUCCAAUUUGAGUUUUUAUUUUAUUUAUUUAUUUUCUCUUGACUACCCACUAACCAGGAAGAAAACUUCUAGGGGAGAAGCCGAAAACACCCUGGGCACGUUACGCUCACAAAUUCUUCGACAACUUUAGCAUCUUCACGGAGAUCCUCAACGCGAGUUCCAGUCUCGGUUUCCGGGCGAGUUUUAGCAAUAAUUCUGCAGUUUUAUUUGUCUCUGCUACAACGACACGUCAGCCUUCGACGACCUUUGCAGCCUCCAAGCAAGACGCCAUAGCAAUUUCAACGAUCUUUCAGUCCAGCGGUCAUCGACGCUUCAAGAAAUUCUGGGCUGAGUUCAAGACCACCUUCGAUUAACAAAGCGGCGGGGGUCAAGUUCACAUAGUCAUGGCAAAAUUCCACUUAAUGCAUGGUCACACAAGAGAAGGGCACACGUCCUUUCAGUAAAGGAGGACGUGUACAUUGAAAGGAGGGACGAUUUCGCACACCUAUUUUAUUGAAAUUUGGAGCAUCUCCCCAUCGUGGUUCUCUAGGUCUCUCGGCAAGCUUUGCUACUGCUGUGACAACAAAAGUUAUCGUUUUGCAUAUUGUUUCUCGAGGUUCAUGCGCAUAUCGUUGAAUCGAGCAAUCAUCAAGGAGCCGCACGCAAAGCCCCCUCCGAGUAGCCAUCCCGUGAACCCCGCUAAGCAGCACCACAUCGGGUCGCGAGUAGCCGUUUGAGGAUUAUAAUUCGAAAGCCAAUAUUCGAAUUAGGUAAAAAUCUUAUCUAUUUUGAUUUUCGAAAAUUCUGUUUCCUUAUGCUCAUGAUGGAAAUUUCCGAUAUGCUAAGAUAUGUGAAAUCUCGAGUAGUCUUCUAAAUUAGGAAUUCUUCCUAAUUUCGCAACGUGCAUAUGAUUGGCGGUCCAAUUUCAUGCUUGAAAUACGACCUGCAAUCACACGAAAAAAUCACCAAUCCGAUCUUACACUCGAAAUACGAUUUGUGAUUUUGUCUAAAAUUGGCCAAUCCGAUCUCAUGAGCAAGAUACGAUUUGUCAAUUUAUUUCCAAAAUUAAAUGGACAUGGAUGAUAUUUUACUGGAUUUGUUGCCGCAUUGUCCUUUAUUUGUUUGCUCCCGUAAAAGAAAAAAAUAAAAAUAAAAAGAACAUUUGAGUUAGAUUAGAUGCAUCUUAGGAUAUUACUUGUUUUAGGGUUAUUUUGCAUGUCUAGAAUAGGAAAUUUAUUUAUUUCGAAUUUCUUAAAUAAAAAAUACCAAAAACAUAAAUUUAGGAUGUUAGAUUUUCGUUUCACUAAUUUAAAUUGCAUGUUAAUUAUUUGCCAAUCUUAAUUUCGAAUUUUUAUCAAAAAAACAAAAAUGAUCAUGCAUAUGUCAUGUAGAAUUAAUACAUUCUUUGCACGUCAUUGCAUAUUAGGAUAAAAUUUCAUGUUUCAUUUUAAGUUUAGAUAUUAGAUAGAUUGCAUUUUAGGAUUAUUUGGGUUAAGAUAAUAUUUUAGUUUAAAUUAGGAUUUGGCUUAACCUAAUUCCUAAUGCAAAUUAAAUAGAAUCUUAAUCUAGUUAGAUAAUUUUCACAUUUUUCCUAAUUUCGAAUUUCAUGAAAAAUACAAAAAAAAUGUCUUAGAAUAAAUUAGUUCCAUUCUUUAGGAUAAAUUGCAUUUUUAGGAAAAAUAAAAAAUGUCAUGUAAAUGUCAUAUAGGAUUAGAUUCAUGAAAUGCACGUCAUUUAGAGAUUGUUAUUAGGUCCAUUUAAUUAGAAAUUGCAUGACAUUAUAAUUAGGUUAUUUAGUUAUAUUGCAUUGCAUAUUGCAUGAUUUUCAUUAAAUAAGUGAAAACAAAACAAAAAAAGAAAAUUGCAUGUUAAUUAAAAAUCAUACUUAGAACUGUUGAUGUUAAUUCUGAUCUAACAACGCAGAUGUUUUCGUUGCUUUGAGGUAAGUCCUACAAUUUAUUUAUUGCUUAAUUUGAAUGUUAAAUUGGUGGUUUGCGCACCCGCAUGAUCGCCUCACAUGUUAGGGAAAUAGAUUUAAAAUCAAUUUUAGCUGCCUGCAAAAGCAUUUUUGAAAAUAAAAGAAUGGUACCGAAAGGGUAUUAGAGAAAUCUAAUGUAACCAAGUUCCCGUACCUAGAGUCUUUGGUUCGUAGGAGUAAAAGAAAUCUCAUGUUACUUUACUUGGGUUUCUAAUCAACCCACCGAAAAUAAAUUAGUGGCGACUUCUGAUUGAAAAUCAUUUGCAUGUUAAAAACUUGAAUCUAAGUCGCGAAUUGGUAUGGGCUUGGAAGAGCCCGAGUUAAGUCUAGGCUUAACAAUCCAUUAACCAAACCCUAGGUGGUUCAAACCCAAAAAUUUGGUCGUGAUAGGCCACGAUUGCUUUCGGUAAUUCCACUUGCGUAGCUCGCUGCAUCAGAGGGAUCGAGUCGACUAAAACCUUCCACGAAGAACAAUAAUCAUCGAUGCAUCACAUGUAACAAAAAUCAUCGAUGCGCCGUUCCGACAUGAGCAAGAUCAUCUAGAAGCAGUUUCCCUUGGAUAGCGAAACGGCCAAAUAAGAAGGAAGCAACGGCAGGACAUCAUCACUUGGAGCUUGAAUUCAUGGAAACGAGCAGCGAUGGCAAUGAUCUACAUCUGGUGCGGCUGAAGGUCUUAUGGCAGAGACAUUGCUAGCCGAAGACAACGAACGUGACUCGGUAUCUCUUUCUACUCCAUGCUUAGCGUUGAGGCAGAACGAGCGUUCCUUUCUUCGGUCAGAUCAACUGUUGCGGUAAUUAGGCUAAUGGGUCUGGGCCGCGGAUCAGAUCAAUGGGUUGCUCCUGUGGGCUGCUCCAGUUGGACCAACUUUGGGCCUUUUUUUAAUUUGUUAUUUAUUUCUAUUUGUUUAUUAUUCAUUUUUUUGUUCUUUUUACUACCAUUCAUUGUUUUUAUUUUUUAUUUUUUACAAAAAUGUAAUUAAGGUGUCGAUAGUUUCGAAUUUAUUUACUCUAAUAUUUGAAGAAGAAUUUCAUGCCAUUGAGAACACAGUACAAGACGUAUGUUUUGUUGCGUCAAAUCUUUACCUACCAAAGGCGAGAGUCAUUUCAAAUCAAUGGGAGAAAUUGACCUAAAACAUGGAAUGAUCCAGUUGAAUAGAAUCAGAUAGGUGUUGAUGAUUUAUCGAACCCAUUUAAAAUGACUUGAUUAACGAUGGAUGUGUUACGAGAUCAAUGGUGGGAGCCCAUCCCCUGGGAAAAGCUACAAGUUGGAGAUACUGUCAAAGUGAGUAGUCUUUAUGCUUUCGGACUGAUUUUUUUUUUUUUUUUUUGGUGAUUUGUCAUGUGACUGUGUUUCUUCCGGUGAAAGAACCUGUAUUUUAUUGAAGUGAAUCAUUUGUGUGUGGAAGGGUGUCAUCUUCGGAGUGUUAUAUUUAUGUUGGAAUUGGCAAUAUCAUGCAACACAGUUUUUACCAUUUUGUGUUAGCUCUCCGAUUUUAUAUGGGGUGAUUAUUACUAAUUGAGCUUCUAUAACCAUACUGCCUUCACUGUUUAUUCCACAAAUUCUAAAUAUAUCUCUCUCCGACAUCCAAGCUUGUCUUCUGCGUUUAAGACUUUACUAUGCUUGUCUUCUGCCUUUGAGAGAUUUUGGUGCUUGGAAGAAGCCAUUUGCUCUUCUAAUUCUGGGAAACGGUGACUGAGCAUCAUGUGGCUCCAAUUAAGGAUAAGGUGAGAGAAGUUCGCCUGAGAUGAUUUGGUCACAUUGAACAAAGGUUUUUGGUGCUUCAAUGAGGAGAGGUAAUCUGAAUACGAAGACUGGGGUUAGAAGUGGGAAGGGAAGACCUAAAAGACGUGGAAAGAGAUGACAAAGAUUUGGACCACAUAGAGGUUAUAUAAGAAAGAAGACACGGUGCAAGUAGCUGGCUUCACCUAGAGGGAUAAGGCUUUUCUUGUUUGCUGCCGUGUCGAUCCUUCACAGAAAGUGCAGGUAGCCUCUGAUGACUGUUAAUGUUGCAUGUCACAAUAGGUCAAAUUAGAUUCAUGCUAAUUGAUUAUGGAUCACAUAAUUUCAGAAAUAUCAGCUCCACCGUAUUGGAAAUUGGUGCUGGCUGACAUUUUUAAUUGUCUUGUCACUGGUUUCAUAUCUUUUGAAUGUAAGUGGUGCUUUUGAUAACAUUUACGCCACGACUCUUUGGGAAAGUGAUCCUGCAACUGGGUCACAAAAACUGUCAUAUGCUAUACGUUCAUAUUUCAUUUUUGAAACUUCAAAUUGGUGCCAAUAUUCGUCAAGGAAGUGCAGGAAGAACUUUCCCUCCGUUAUUUGAUUUACUGAUCAAAGAAGUGUAAAACUUUUAAAAUGGAACGACAAGCAAACUAAGCCUUAUACCACUAACUUUGAGUGAGCUAUGGGGAUCCUUUGGGACCAAGCAUUGUAACUACAUCGAGUCUUCCGUAAGCUGCGAAUACUGCAUGUCUUUAUUUAUCGUCUCCUUCCACGUCUUUCAGGAAAGAUAUCAAGCACUUAGAGCUUACAGGAUUUGAUACAGAAUAGAACGCAAUAGCGUAAUAAGAUGUUGUAUAGCUGAGCCGACUAAUGGCUAUAUGGUAAAGGUUUAAUUUUGUUCCAGUGUCAUGAGUUUCCUUUCUUUAUUUUAAUGCCAACAUAUGUUUACGGGGAUGUUUGGACGGUGGUCAUAUCUCAGAAUAUGCAAGGUCGAGUAUACGUCGUGGGACUUGAUAUAUUAUCGGAUAAGAUAGAUGGCCUGAUAAACAGCAGUUUUCUGUCUCUGCAGGUUAUUACCUACUUCUUCUACAAGAACCUUACAAUCACCUCGACUCAACUUUGGUUCACCCUUCAAGCUGGAUUUUCUGGUCAGAGAUUCUAUAAUGAUUGGUUCGAUUCAUCGGACAACGCCGUGUUUACUUCUCUUCCGGUGAUUGAUUUUGGGCUUUUUGAGCAGGUAAGUUUCAUUUAUUAAAUAUACUGCACCUAAAAUUAGUUUCAUUUAUUAAAUAUACCGCACCUAAAAUUCCUAGAAGGAUAAACUCGAUGCGACUAUUCUUUUUUGACUCAAUGAGUACAUGAGAUCUUGCAUUCCGGAUGAUAAACUCUGUUAGUUGUCCUGCCUAGUUGCAAAUUGCAAAUCUUCUAAAAUCUUCGUGAGAGAGAGAGAGUGGGAGGGAGAGAGAAUAAUUAAAUAUUACAUCCUUACUAAAUACCUAUAUAAAAGAGUACAUGGAUGGCUCUAAUUAUCGAUUACGAGAGAUGCUAACAAAAUCCUAAUUUCCUCAUUUGUAACCGCCCACUAACUAUUGACCCCCCAAAAUUUUGUGCACACAGCUUACAUAUGCAAUGUUCAGCUUUCUCUCAAAGUCUGUGAUCAAAGUGCUAUGUAAGCGGGAUCUUAUGCUAGAUAAUGGAUGUCGAUACAUUGGUUUUAAGACAAAGGACAAUUGCAUAAGCUGGAUCUUACACGAAAAAUUGAAGGUAAUCCAUAUUAACACCAGAUUUGAUAGAGAAGCUGUGAAGAAACACAAAGUUGACACCUCUUUCUCAACAACCGGGUCGAAACUGUUGCGAUAGGGCGAGCAAUCGAACAAAAUAUAGACGGAAGAAGAAAAAUAAAUCGGACACCAGAUUUACGUGGUUCAGUCGUAAAGACCUACGUCUACGGGGAGAGCAGCAGUGAAUUUCACUAUAGAUCAAGCGAUACAAGGAGAUUACACACUCAAGUCACUCAAACACUCUCUCGGUGUUUUCCAAGCUCCAAUUACAUCCAAUACACCAAUUUUUCUUGAAUGUAAAUCACGAAUAAAUUUUGCCGCACAAGAAACACGAAGACCCGCUAUCAAGCACCCAGCGCCUACAGACGUCUCUCGCAAACAGAGAACACCCACGGCACUCAAAUAAACGGCGCUUCAAUAUGUGGCUUCGCUCAACACAUACGUAGGGUUCGGCGGCUUCUUUGAACAGCACCCUCAAAAGAAGACCUCAAUAAUACUUCCUUUUAUACGUGUGCCCAUGAGGUCAAAACUUUGACCAUGGGCCCACCUUCGUUUCCUUUUUUUUUUGGCUUCACACGGCAGACUUCCUCUCUCGGCUUUUACGUGCAGGGACUCCACGUGCGAAGGCUUCAUUCUUUCCACUGUGUGCCCAAAGUCAAAUAUUUGACUUUGGGCCCCACCUUUCGAACGCGUACAGAAAACUUCACCCGUAGCUUUUAUAUUUUAUCUUGGGCCUACGAGGAAACCUUCCUCUUCACGUGCAUGUAGGUUUUCUUCCUUCCGCAUUUCGGAUUCCACAAUAAAGAGGAAACUUUUCUCCAAUUUUAUUUUAUUUAAAAAAAUCAGUAAUUCGUUUCGGGCUUAAACUCGAGACAUAUUUAACAAUCUCCACAUUGGCUUGACGUUUGAGCUAAGUCACAAUCGCUUCGCAAAAAUUCAAACUCUGUUGCUACUUUCCCAUAACCCCUAGUGGGCUUAACCGCCACAGAUAUUAUCCAAGUCCAAGCCUCGCUUGAACUUCGCCAUAACUGAGCACCUCAUUAGAAUACCAACUCCACAUGCACUUUUAACUGCUCUGCAAGGAUUUUCUGACGCAACCUUCUCAACCGCAGAUAAAGCAAAACCAUUAUUGCAGCCAUAUCUAUCAGGAGAUUGAAUAUGUACCUUGUCAAUAUCAGCAGUUACAGCAACCGUUGGCUCUAUAAGCUCCACCUCGCUACAAGCACCAUCUGUGUCGAUUACUUUGCUAGUACUCGUACUCGCUACCUUAGGAGUUUCUGGUUGCAACUCCACCUCAAGCUGAACACCGUUCAGAUCCGUAUUAACAUUGCUAUAAUCACUCCUAGCCAGAAGUAUUGGAGACUCAUCAAGGGUAACUUCUCUGCUGUAAACAGGUAAAUUUAUAUCUGGGCACCACAACAGAUCACCUCGCUCACCUUGUGCAUAGCCAUGGAAUAUGCAUCUUGCCCUCCCAUCGAGCUUACCAUCACUCACUCGAAAAUAACACGGGCAAUUAAACAUUCUAAUAAUAGAAUAGCCAGCAACGUUACCUGACAACACUUCUUUAGGAGUCUGCCAUUCAAUAGCAGUUGAUGGGGAUCUAUUCACCAGGCAGCUUACCGUACUUAGCACAUCAGCUAGGAUUCUCCUAGCAAUACCAGCACUAGAGAUAAUUUUUCGAGCCAUCUCUAGUAAUGUUCUGCUCAUCAAUCCUGCAAAUUGUUGUGAUUUACUGGCACUAGUGCGGUGUUUCACUAUGCCCUCUUUCAUGUAGAAUUUAUUUACCAGCUCUGAGCAAAACUCCAUGCUAUUGUCAGUCUGCACAUGCUUGAUCGACUUACUUGUCUCCAUCUCGAUCAAAGCUUUUGACCGCGAGAUCUUGACACCAGCAUCAAACUUGUGCCUUGGCACAAACACCCAAGUCUUCCUCGAGCAGUCAAAAGACUCUCGAACAGAUGUAUCCGACGUCUCCGCAGCGAAAUUUAUCACUGUCUCACCUUGAAGUUUAUACAGGCCAUUGUGCUUGAUUCCUUUCAUUAUCACCAGGGCACCUCGAACAACAUUCAAAACUCCACCUUUUGAAGAAUACCCGCAACCAGCUGAAUCUACGGUACCCAAGGAAAUUGAGUUCUUUUUCAAUUCUGAAACAUGCCUCACUCUAAUCAAUGUCCUCACGAUACCAUCAUGCAUUUUGAUUUUAACAUCACCAACACCCAUAACAUCGCACUCAACGUUGUUCCCUAACUGGACUUUACCACUACCUGUGUACCGAUAAGUGAUAAACCAGUUUCUAUUUGGUGUGACAUGAAAAGAACAACCAGAAUCCAUAACCCAUCCAUCAAGUGAUGAAUCAUUAGUGACAGACAAGACAUAAUCGGCAUUAUCUACUACAGCUGCAACAUUAUCUGCAUAAUCAACUUUAAUUCCCUUACCCUUCUCAUUCUUCAGCUUAAGGCAAUCUCUUCUAAGAUGUCCCCUCUUGCCACAGCUCCAACAGACAACAUUAGUAGUCCUAGAUUGACUACGUCUGUUCAUAUUAGUAUUACCAUUACCCACACGUGUUACAGAUCUUCCUCUAUUUUCACCUGCUAGAGCAGUAGAUACAGAUUCGCCAGAUUCGCCAGAUUCACUUCUACGAAUAUCCUCGCUCAGAAAUAAAUCUCGAACCCCAUCAAACGUCAAACUUGUUGACCCAGAGGAAUUACUAACAACAGUAACGGUAGUAUUCCAACUAUCAGACAAUAAGGAUAACAAAAUCAAAGCACGUACCUCUUCUUCAAAAUCAAUCUCAACUGAAUUCAAUUGACUAACAAUCACAUUGAAUUCAUUGAUAUGAUCUGCAACUGACGCACAUUCUUUCAUCUUCAAGUUAAACAGACGUCGCAUCAAACAGACUUUGUUGAUCGCAGAGGACUUCUCAUACAUAUCCGACAGGCUUGCAUCAAAUCAGCAGUGGUCUUCUCCUUCAGGAUGUUAAACGCAACGUUACGAGCCAACAUCAGCCGAAUAACACCCAUAGCUCGUCUAUCCAGCAAAUCCCAAUCAGCUUGCUUCAUCGUCUUUGGUUUCUCUCCAAAUAAAGGCAAGUGCAGAUUCAUCUGGUAAAGAUAAUCUUCAAUUUGCAUCUUCCAGAAACUAAAAUCAUUCCCAUCAAAUCUGUUGAUUUUCACUUUUACUUCUUCUGUCGCCAUCGAUUCGCUUCAACUUAGCCAAACCUGGCUCUGAUACCACUUGUUGCAAUGGGGCGAGCGAUCGAACAAAAUAUAGACGGAAGAAGAAAAAUAAAUUGAACACUAGAUUUACGUGGUUCAGUCGUAAAGACCUACGUCCACGGGGAGAGCAGCAGCAAAUUUCACUAUAGAUCAAGCGAUACAAGGAGAUUACACACUCAAGUCACUCAAACACUCUCUCAGUGUUUCCCAAGCCCCAAUUACAUCCAAUACACCAAUUUUUCUUGAAUGUAAAUCACGAAUAAAUUUUGCCGCACAAGAAACACGAAGACCCGCUAUCAAGCACCCAGCGCCUACAGACGUCUCUCGCAAACAGAGAACCCACGGCACUCAAAUAAACGGCGCUUCAAUAUGUGGCUUCGCUCAACACAUACGUAGGGUUCGGCGGCUUCUUUGAACAGCACCCUCAAAAGAAGACCUCAAUAAUACUUCCUUUUAUACGUGUGCCCAUGAGGUCAAAACUUUGACCAUGGGCCCACCUUCGUUUCCUUUUUUUUUUGGCUUCACACGGCAGACUUCCUCUCUCGGCUUUUACGUGCAGGGACUCCACGUGCGAAGGCUUCAUUCUUUCCACUGUGUGCCCAAAGUCAAAUAUUUGACUUUGGGCCCCACCUUUCGAACGCGUACAGAAAACUUCACCCGUAGCUUUUAUAUUUUAUCUUGGGCCUACGAGGAAACCUUCCUCUUCACGCGCAUGCAGGUUUUCUUCCUUCGGCAUUUCGGAUUCCGCAGCAAAGAGGAAACUUUUCUCCAAUUUUAUUUUAUUUAAAAAAAAAUCAGUAAUUCGCUUCGGGCUUAACUCGAGACAUAUUUAACAGAAACAUGUGAGAAUUCGACGUCUGAAUUGUGUUAACUAAACUGCAUCACCCCCAUGUAGCUUUGACUCUUGCUGCCCGAGAGUUGUGCUCGACUCUGGCGCUCAUAGCUGCCUGGAAACUUGACGGCAACUUCGCUCGUCGAUGAUGUUGACCAGUCAAAGAUAGUCUUAUGGAUGACGUCCACUUUAGAAAUGUGGAGAUUUCAGAGAAGUGGAAUUGGGAAUUCGCUGAAGAAAAUGACCUUUGCAGUUGACAGGGAAACAUACUCGGGGUGAACAAGCUGACAUACAUGAAGGACCAGAAAGUAGUAAAGAGCAUAGUUGAACUUGAUGAAGAAUAAGACUUAGCUUGAUGAACACGAACUGGAAAUGAUGGAGAUUGACGUGAAGAAACAAAGACAGUGAGUCGGGCAAGACUCGACGGACCCCUAGAUCAGUGAACAGAGGGACUCGACCGAGAGUGUUAUCCUACCAUGGAGAAAAAGAGACAAGGACAGAGUUGGCUGAGCGAGAGUGAAGUGGACAGGUCCACAGCGGAGAGAGCUCGCUUUUGACAGAUGAAGGUCAACUGGCGAACUGAUGAAGAUGAGCAAUGAAGAUGGCUCGUGACUUACGAUGGAGGAUGAAAGAAGAGGGAGACUGACGAGCAGCAGUGAACAGUGAGACUCCGGUUGACGAUGAGCAACGAUGAGAAGGACAUGUGGCAGAGGUCGCGGCUGGAGAACUCGUUACUAUAUGGAGUCAAUGACAACACUUGCUCGAGUCCCCAAGGCUGAGAAGAACAGAGGGCAAGCUUUAAUUGACACCUAGACUGAUACUAGGAUUAUUACCGUAGACAAAUGAUGUGGACAAACAUGAAGAGAUUGUUCAGAUGGAGUUGACUGAAUAGUGAUGGCUAUGUUCUUUUUACUGAAGGCAACGGGAAAAAUAGAGUUGGAGUUUUGAUUUGGAUCCCUCUUCCUCGGUGGCUCUUAUACCAUGGAAAUAUUUCUAUGAUUUGCAAGCGAGAGGGAGAGAGAGAAUCAACAAAUACUACACCUUUACUCAAUAGCCGAAUAAAAGAGUAUAUAGUAGCUCCACUUAUAAAGCAUGAGAGACAUUAACAAAGCUUCGGUUACCUUAUUUGUGACCACCUGCUGUCGACUACUAUUCAUAGAUAUGCUCCAACACAGAUCACAAUUGGAGCAAAUACUUGACAGUGUUUUUGCACGCUUUUCUAGGAUGUUAGUGCGUCAUUUUCAAAGAAGUAUCCACAACUGUACAAGGAGGGAAUACGGAAUUCAUACUUCAACUGUAGAGUUGUGGCAGCCUGGUCUUUUUCUGCGGUCUACCAGUCUCUCGUCCUUUAUCACUUUGAGACAGCUUCUAGUUCUACUGGUCUAAAUUCAUCGGGAAAAAUGUUCGGCCUCUGGGACGUCAGCACAAUGGCAUUUACCUUUAUUGUUGUCAAGGUCAACUUACGCCUUCUUUUGAUGUGUAAUUCAAUAACGAGAUGCCUUCAUAUCGCUGUCAGUGGAAGCAUCCUUGGGAUGCUUGUUUUUAUUUUCAUAUGUUUACUUAUGAGGAUGAGUCUUCUCCCUUUCUGGGGGUUCUUUUCUUCCCUUCACCUCAUCUAGUCCUCUUUUGGAUAGCAAUUAUUCUGAUAUUCGUCUUAUUACAUGUAUGCGCAAGAAAGUCUCUACCAUGUCAUCCACGUAUCAAUGAGUACAGUCUACUUCUACCUGACAUUUCUUCUGGUUCCAAUUGUCGCACUGCUUGGUGACUUCUUAUGCCAAGGGUAAGGUUUCAGACUCAUAUCUGGCCCAAAAAAAAACAGUCCGGCUUUUUUGUUCUUAGACAAUUUCUCGUUUUAGAAACAGAGAAUAACACUAUAACAUAGUUCUCAAGUAAAUUUGCUCAUGAAUACUGAUUGCGAAUCUGCAAUUUCGCUUUUCUAAAAGUGACAAAUGUAGUUUGUCAUGGAAAAUAUAAUGGAGGACCUCCUUUUUCGUUCAAAUAGCCUUCAUCAUCUUCAUUGUCGAUUUCGUGGGUCCUUUUUUCCCUAUUUGCUCCAACACAAGAUACAGGGCUUGUCAUGUCCGUACUUUUCCAGUUUCUCAGAUGGUCCAUUGGGAAUUGCAUCUGCACUGCUUCUCUCUCUCUCUCUCUCUCUCUCUCUCUCUCUCUCUCUAACCCCUCUUCCUUCUCUCUGGGCUGAAGAUGGCCUUAUGUCUGGAAUGCGGUUACAGGAUAAAUCCAUAUAUCAACCUUAAUUGGUAUAAGUAUUUAUUGGCUUGUGGGAACUUGACAGCUCGCUCAUCUCAAGCGAUCGAUUUCUGGAUUCACCAUAUUCUAUUUUGCGGAUUCUGUUUAUUAGCAACGAGUGUUUUCUUCAGGCAAUUGCAACGGAUACUUCCUCUGCUUAGUUUCUCUCUUUUUUCUUUAUUUUCUUUUUUCACGCACUGAUUUUUCAUGCACUUGGUUAUAGGGUUCAAAGGUGGUUCUUCCCAUAUGAUUAUCAGAUAUUACAGGAAAUUCUAAGGGCACAAGCCACGGGAUGAGGACGAAGCCAAAGACAUUGCCCAGGAGCUCCGAUUUACAGAUGUUUUUUAAUACUGUAAAAUGAAAAUUUUAGACUGUUCGAGUUUCUCUAUUAUUGUCAGAAUCACAAGCAUACGAUCUUUAGGAUUCUCCCUUCCAAAAUUCGUACCCAGCCCUAAGCGGAAGGAAAGGGAGGGAUGUGAUCAUAAUAGACUUCUGGACUCCUUCCAGACGCCAAGAGUAUCGCACGUUUCAGAGCAGUAGGAAAGCAGCUUACGUUAAUUCUGUUCGUGCAUUUAUGGGCUAGCUCUAGCCCAACCGCAAAGUCCUAAAUGCUUUUCUGGAAACGUUUUUUUAUAUCUUUCUGUUCAUUGUUUCUUGACAAAGCUUGCUUCACAAAGGAGGCUCACCUUUUAUUCCCAGCCACGCUGCUCAUUUCUUGCAUUGCGACUGCUUAUAUGGCAGCAAUAAGGAGUUCCUUUGCCUGUUCAUUAAUUCUCUGGUCGCUUUUUCUCUGGCUGAGUGGGAGAUGUGUUAACUGUUAGGUUAUUUUAGAUGCUACUCUGGGAGCCAUCGCUAGCUGCAUCCCGAAGUUGUUUGAGGAUGACAAACUGACCGUGCAUCUGUCGGAAAAAGUCGAUUUAUUUAGGAAUUGCUAAAAGUGUGAUUGUUGAAAGCACCUCAUUAGCUGAAGAAGGAACAUUUUCUCAGAUUUUUAUAACUGAUUCCAACCGUGUCCUAUGAUCCCCUUCCGACAUAGAAGUAAUUAUGGACUCGGCUCAGUCCUUGCAUAAAUACCAGCGGCUCCGUACUUGAUCAUUCCGUCUUAUGCAGGGGAAAGGCAGAGGAUAUCUGUUGGAGCAGUAUCCUAUUCUAUUCUGUAAGCAAAAGACGUUGCAAGAAUCGCAUAUAAUCACCUUAACGAUGGACCAAAUAUCUCGCGAGGAGCUGAUGAACUUGGCCAAGUUUCUGAGACACUUGACUGCUGGGAUUCGUCCAACCGUUCUUCAUUACCAUCAUCAUCAUCAUCAUUCUCAAAAACCAGCUAUAUCCGGCGCUUUUUCAGCGAGAGCCCAGGAAAGUAUGGUGGGUCUCGCAGGACUAUAUCUAUUCUUGUCUCCUUUGAACAUCCGAACCAUUGGCUUGAAUUAUGGAUAUCUAAUCUGGUAAAGCUGGUCUUCGCUUGUGUCAUUUAAUGUCUGACGUGUAUCGGAUCUUCAAGCCUGAGAAGCCAUCCUUUAAUGUCCUCGAUUGCUGGUAGCGGAAUGUUUGCCCAGUUUGCACUGUCCAUAGAGACAACAACAGCGAAAAUCAUUCCCUCUAACCCCGAGGUUCUUCUUCGGAGCAGCAAAAUGAGGAACUUCCUGACAAAACCAUCCAGGAAUGUCACUCCCAGGGACACUCGAGUUGUGCAAAUGCUUUAGAGCAACCUGAAAUUUCUUCUGAAAAGACACAUUUAAGGUCAAACUUUUUGCAUUCAUGAUUGAAGAUACUGAACAAAGGUGGAGAAACGGAACUGAUGAGUAGUUUUCCCAAAAUGGGAGUUAUGAGUGAUCUUUUUCACCUUUUCAAUUCUUCUCUCCCAAGAGUAAAAGCCUCAGAGAUUUUAAUACCCGGAGACCAGUGAUGUCAACUAGAUUGCUGCAAUCAGUAAAGUUUAGCUCCUUCAAAUCAGUAGAAUUCAGAUGAAAGGCGUAAAUUUGAAAUUGAUUAACCUCAACGCGGGAUAGUUCUCGGGGAUGAUGGCCACGACAGCGCCGAGUAGUCGAUCGCCUCCAGAAGGCCCGGCGCUAUCUCCUGCCCUCACUCGAGGCCUUCUUCGUCGAGCUGGAGCCACGGCACGCUGCUGAGCAUGUGCUCGCGGUAGAGGUGAUCCACGAUGCCGUGGCGGGGGGUGUCGGCGCCGUGGGAGCUGAGGAAGACGUCGCAGCGGAAGCGAGAUGAGAACAUAGCGUCGUCCUCUUCGGGAUCGUCCGUCAGCAUCGUCGCUUUUCGGCUUCUUGAUCGACCUCACUUAGGAGUCGCCGGUCUUUUGGCAGAGGCGGUCGUUGCAGAGAUCGAAGCGCCACGUAACGAUGAGCAAUAAGCAACGAGCACCUUGCGGACGGACUCGUGUUCCCUUUGAAAAGAGCGAUUUCCACGGCACGGGAAAUGCGCUGUCUUAAUUUUUAAUUGACAAAUCAUGGCAUUCACAGUAGUAAAGGGAAAAUUAUCCAAAAAAUUUUAAACGACCAAUUCAAUUUUAAAUCUAUAUAUUAAUUUAAUUCUAAAUAGUUAUAAAUAUUUUAAUUAUGUCAAUUUAGUUAUAAUUCUUUUAAAAAUUAUAAAUGUAAGUCUUUCGGGUAAUUUUGACAAAAAUCUCUGACUCGGUGUUCUAAUCAAUGCUAGCCAUCCUACGUGGAAGGUCGGUAUUAAUGUGGACAAUCGUGUUUAAUUUUUUUUAAAACAUUUUUUUUUCUUUCUUUUCUUUUUAUUUUAUGGUUUUCCUCACAAGGCCGGCAAGUCCACCGGUCACUGGCCGAGGGCCAGCAGCCCCGCCACCCCUGUAAAGAAAAAAAAGGAUAGUAAAGAAAAUUAUAUUUUAAAGAAAUUAAAAGAAAAAAUUCUUAGUAAUCAUGAUGAUGGAGAGUUUAUGCCAUGACAUAGCAACAUGUGUCCUCGAUACGUGACCAAAAUUAUCACCGCAAGGAUGUUCAUACCUACUCCGGUUAAAAUGUAGGAAUACAAGUUUUGUCAAUUUAGCCUUGAUUUGGUUUCAAUUUCAAUCCUUUAGACUAAAACUAAUUAGACGAUGAGGCCGCACGCCUUGCACGUGCUGGUGUCGGAGAACGUCAGCACCUCCCUGCACCGACGGUUGCGGCACGCCGACGUCUUCUUCUCCCUUGGGUCGCAGCCCCCGGAACCUCUCUUGCCUCUGCAAGAUGACCUCUCUGGUCUUGAUCUGCACAUGAUUUGCUCGUUUGCAUGUAAAAAAUGUGUGAUUCAGGAUCGAAAAAUUAUUGAACAAAUCUUUCUUUCUGUAUAAAUUUUUAAUGGAUUGGCCACCAAAAUCACAAACUCGAUUGCUUCAUGAUCCGACGGAAGCAAUCGAAGUGAUGAAUUACCUCACGAUAACCGUCACGGGUGGAAGAAGGAGAUCAAGGAGAUUGCAAUCUGGGAAAGCCCAUGUUCCUCCUCCUAUCUCUCUCUCUCUCUUUGACAAUUGAUUGAGGCUGAAACCGUUUUGAGUUUGAGGGAUAGUAUCAUGAUUUCGAGUUUGACGAAGGUUGAAUGUGGGUUGGAAUCGGACAUAACGAGGAUUUCUUUGACUGGGUUGAGUAUUUGAAUCAUCAUGAUUCUUAUCAAGGUAAACUUCGCAUGCUCUGUCUCUGCUGGAGGUGGGGACCGAGUGCUUGAUUCUGCAGGCGUGAAAUCUGGUUGAGUCUGAGAUUGUCCUGAUGAACUCAUACAAGUUUCAAUGAUUCGGUAAUUGUUUGGAUGCACACCUUUUCCUUAUCAUUGCAUUUAGGUGCCCCUACCGAAACGCUUACCCCAUGUUUGAUUGAAUUCCUUAACGGUAUUAGCAUGUGUAUUUCGUAAGCAUUCUUGUAUCGUGAUGAUUAUCUGGCAAUGGCAUGCUUAAACUGAGAGUUCUCCAGUUUGUAUGACAUUAUUUUCCUUGAUGUUGGUUGAACCUCUAAAGUUGUGCUCAAUGCUCCCAUGACUGAGAAUUUGAACAUGCUAUGUUGGCUUAAUUUACUAGGAAUUAUGUUAUCUAUAUCAAUCUACGAUGUUUGUAUGUGGGUAUUCUAACAUUUGAGACAAUUACCAUCCUUGUACUAGAAAUGGUGAAAUCCUUCUUCGAAAUGUGCAUCAUGUGUUGUGUACUUCAGUAAACACCUGUACAAACUUCAUCCUUUGCUUGAUCUCGAAAGUAAUUGGUUUCAUAUGCUUGGAUGAUUAUGCCUUGCAUUUCUGGAUCCGUUCAUUGAUACCUCAAUACCUUCUGUAUGUCAAUAAUAUUUGAUUCAUUUUUUUAGGCGAAUGCACGCCCUAUACCUGUUUGAUUUUCUUCGUUGAUUGAAGAUUCUGAAGUUCAUUCCUUGAUGUCAAAACUAACAUUCGAUGGCUGAGUGCAUAGUGAGCUUUUUAUGCCAUGACCGAAUGCUUUGCUUGAUUCUUUGUCCAUUUUGCAAUUUGUAUACAAGUUCAGUUGUUGCUGAAUGAGUCUCAACUAUGAGUAUUGACUGUAGAACGCGGCUCAAUGCUGUUUUCCUGUGUUUAUGGGUAGACAGGCAUGCAGCAUGCUGGAAAACAACAAAAAGAGCUAAGAAAACUUGCUUCCGCGGGUGGCUUCCCAACUUGAAGGCACAUUAUCGUCUCGGCAGGGAGGGGAGGAGGAGAGCCAAGGCCAUCCGCGCACUCGAAUUGUAGAUUAAAAUAAUAAUCUAUUUCUUCUAAAGAUAAUUUUUUAGUUCACCACAUGCAAGACGACAUUUUAAAGCUUUGGCUUCCAAGGGCGUCCGAUUUGUUAGACCUCAAUGAUUUUCUCUAGCAAAUCUAUUCAUGUUGGUAAUUCUUUUCAUAUAGUUAGUGAAAUCUUAAAUAGAGUGGUAACCUGAGAUAAAUGAAGUAACUUGUACUCGGCAUCUACAAAUUUUAUUGUUCGCCUUUAGUUUUCUCUAAAUACAUUGUCAAUUUCAGUACAAGUCUAGAUUCCCUAUUCAAUUUUUCACCUAUACUUUCAUUUGCUUGGGAUUUCUUUCCUGCAUUUUGACUUGAGUUGUUUAUUGUUUCGGAAAAAAAAAAUUCAUUUAAUUUCCCAAAAACAAAUACCAAGUGUAGAAAACAGGGGUAAAAGAUGCGAAGGAAAUCUCAGUAAUUGAUGCUAGCUUUCUCUCAGUAACGAAUAAGACUCAAAUGGCUAACUUCAAAAUUUUCAAGUUCGAUUCCAAGGGAAGAAGGGAACUCUGGAGUCAAUUUCACUUGCAUAGCUCUUUUGCAUCAAAGGGAUUGAGUCAACUAAAACGUUCUAUUGACAUCCGAAUUUUCAUCAACGUCCUAAAUAUCCAUUUAUCUCGAAAAAAUAUAAAAAUUUAUAAAAAGAUAAAAAAAGGAAAAUAAAAAUAGAAUAAUGAAUAAAAAUGGAUCAAAUAAAAUGAAUGAAUGAUGAAAAAUGAAGUCGUGUGGGCCGGCGUGUCUAGCCCACUUGGUUAUUUUCAGCUCACCCCUUAACCGGGCUUCCAGUUUACUUUAUUCUCUUUGGCCCAUUUGCCUUCUUUUUCUUCAGCCUACCAGAGCCUAAAAAAGAAGCCCAGCCCAUCACUCAUUCUUGCGCGCGCGCGCGCGCUCGUGUGAAGAGCGUCUGUAACGCAAGGAGGAGAGAAGGUACAGUGACGGUCACCGAACAAAUGCCCGUGAGCGAGGGAUGAGAAAGGAUGCUGUGACGGAAGCAGAUCCGAGAGCGUGAAUCUUCAUCGAAAUACUCGCGGCUCAACCCCGCGAAAACGAGAUAUAUUCGUGCGAGAUAAUGAUGUCUAGAACCUGUCGCGUCGUGUUUUGGUUGGAAAAUAGUGUCAAAGCUGAAUCAAAGACCUGUUCUCGUGGCUGCACAACAUGUGUUCGACAAAAUGCUCGAAUGAUGCGCCCAAAUCCAUGUUAUCCGAUCGACGUUAUAAAUUUAGUUCGAGACUUGAUUGCGCAUAUUUUGUUGACGCUCGUCUGCUUUCUUCGUGUUUUGCUAUGUUUUUGUUUGAUUUCACGGCCCAACUUUUGAUGUUCGUCGACGGCCAUGCAGAACCGAACUUGGUUCGGCCAUCGCCGGCGAUAGGCCGACGACGGCCGGAGAUGUAAUCUGGUGAUGGUGUGUGGUGGUGUGAGCGCCGGUGUCCGUACAUGGCCACUAGUUGUAUGGGUUCAAAAAAUGGAGAAGAAGAUGAAGGUUCAGAGUGAAAAAAUGGCUUCCGGGAAGAAAAGGGGAAGAAGAAGAAGAAGUGCAGUAGAAAAGGACUUAAUAAGGAAAAACACAAAAGAGGAAAAAAAAUUUAAAAAUAAUAAAAAAAAUUCAAAAUAUAUUUUUUGUAAAUCCUACCGGGUCGGAUCCAGGUAGACGGGUUGGAUCGGGUUAACUCAUUACCCAAAUAUAAUAAUAAUAAUAAUAAUAAUAAUAAUAAUAAUAAUAAUCAGAAAAAUCAUAAAAAUUCAGAAAAUUGGAAAAUUUCUAAAAAAAGUGAAACAAAAAAGAGGAUUCUUUGUUUUGUAUUGUCUUUUUAUUUUUUUAAGGAUAAUAUUAGGAUGCUUAUAUAGUUUCCUUUAUAAUUAUAAUUGAUUACGCAUUUCAAUAUUUUGAGUGUUACUUUCUUUUUCUAGAAUGGUUAGGACGAAUCUUAAAUUUCAUUUGGAUAAGUUGUUAUGGCGUUCGUCAGCACAUAAUUGAGUAGGUACUAAAAGGGAGUUAGUCUUAAGGCUAACAUAAUCAAAUUCUCAAGUCUAGAAUAUAUGGUUAUAAAAAAUAAGAUAUCCUCCCGUAUUUUACUUGAGUUCUAGUCAACUGAAAAAGGCUAAUGACGACUCUUUUGUCAAAAUUUGCGUAUGCUUAAUUGAUUUAAAAUUUAAACGUUCGAUGUCGUGCGAAGUAUGAGCUUGGCAGAAUCCGAGUCAAUAAAAAGUAUGACAAUACCCCCAAAACAUAACUCUCUUUCCCCCAAGGGGUUAGGUCACGACACCUUCUAUUAAGAACAGAAUAACACAAUCCAAAACAAUAAUCAUUGACACAUUGCACGUAACAAUAAUCAUCAAUGCACCAUUUUGAUACUAGCAAGAUCAUCUAAAAGUAAUUUUGCCUAGAUAUUAAAAUGGCCAAAUAAGAAGGAAGCAAUUGGAAUGACAUCAGCUAGAGCUUGAAUUCUAGAAAUGAGCAGCAAUGGCAAUGGUUUGCAUUUGGUGCGCCUGAAGGUCUUUAUGGUAGAGACAUUGCUAGCCGGAGACAAUGAACGUGACUAGGAAUCUCUAUCUACUCCAAGCUCAGCAUCAAGGCAGAGCAAGCACUCCUAUCUACUCCAAGCUCAGCAUCAAGGCAAAGCAAGCACACCUUUCUUUGGUCAAAGAGAAGACCAGGCCAGGGGAAAAAGCUGAAAUGUUGCGGCGAUGGGGCUAAUGGGUCUGGGCCAUGGAUCAAAUCAAUGGGUUUGCUCUUGUGGGCUGCGCCAAUUGGCUUUUUUAUUUGUAUUUAUUUUUAUCUUUUUAUUAUUCUCUUUUUUUGUUCUUUUUGCUACCAUUCAUUGUUUUUAUGCUCUUUUUUUACAAAAAUGUAUUCUUAAUUUGUCUACUGAAAAUUAGGUAUCGACUGUUUCAAAAAUAUUUACCUAAUAUUCAAAGAAAAAUAUCAUGCCAUCACGAACAAACUACAAGACAUUGUAUGUGCCGUUGCACCAAAUCUUAACUUACUAAAGGUUAUCGUAAUUUCUUGAUCAAUGGAAGAAAUGAGCCAAACAUAUAUGACAAUCCCAUCGAAUAGAAUCAGGUAUGUAUUGAUGAAAUAUUGACUCAUCUCAAAUGACUUCACUUAUGACUCGGAUUAAUAUGGACCCUAAUUCCAAUCUCACCCAUUUGGUGAGUCGAAGUCCUACAAAUUAGAAUGGAAGAUUAAACAAAGAUUGGUACGAGGGAAGAGAAAGAGAUGGCUUUUUAUAGUGGAAGAUGAUUCUUUCGCGUUUUGGUUUUCCUGCUCUAGGAUUCUUUUUCAAUUUAUCUGAAGUUUUCAAAGUGAGAAAUGAUUAAAUAUGGCAAAGAGUCACGGAAAAAGAAAAAGAAAUGAAUACAUAUAUUGAGAAUAACAUAGAUUUUAAUAAAACUAAUGUUUAUAAAGUUUCAGUUGAAAACCCGAUCAGAUGACUAGUCAAGUGGCCCAAGACUUGAUUUGCAAGUCAAAAGUCGCAAGUUUAAUUUCCCAAUCUAUUAUCCAUUUUGGGAUAAUUAUGCGAAUAAGUUGGCAGAAUUAAUUUGAACAAUAUCUUGUGGCGAACACAUUCACCCGUUUGGGACCAAAGAUUAUUGUGGGUUGGAGAAAAUCCAAAUAGAAUGUCCAACAAAAACAUUUGAGUCGCCAUUGAUGCCCCUCGAUGAAGGGCUGUGACUCCACUUCGACGAAUUUCCACUUCCACCAUGAUGUCGAGACAAUUUCCUUCACGCGCAAUAGCAUAAUUAACAAUAACCUUUUUCAACAAUAACAAUAAUAAUAGACAAUUUUGUCUCCAUACCAGAAAAGAGGCGAAUAUAUGGUGGAGUAGUUGGCACUGAGCAUUCGCCCCUUGAAAUUUCAUUUGCUUCCAACUAUAUUUUUCUUGUCUUGAAUAAGUGUAAGCUUUAUUUGGUAUUUCAGCACAUGAAGUUACAAUUGAUGUGAAAUUGCAACAAUCAAGUCAUAACGAUGAAUUAAAUGUUGAUAAUUAGCUUAUGUAGAGGAUGAUGGUGUGAAAUAACUGAAUAAAACGUAUAUUUUGUAGGUAGUGUGGCUCGAAGGUAAUUUUAGUACAAAGAAAUGGUGGAGUGCCUCACUUGUUUUCAAUUAGCGGAGCAUAGGAUUCGGGAUAAUUUUUUUAAAAAAUAAUUUUGGAUUCUUUGAGGUCAAGCAUAAUCAAAGCAAGCAUUUAGUUUUUUUAGUGAUUAUUUGGAUGUUGUAGAUGAUUAAAUAAUGCACUGUACAACCUGUGCGCAUUGAGGACGGGCCAAGAGAUGCAAACAAUCCACAAUCUAGUAACUCAACCUUUUGUCUACUAUCUCUAAUAAUCCAUCCGUUGGUAGUGAAGGUGGAUUUUGAUGAUACAGUUCACGCCGAUAGAGUGAUCAUGUCAUGUUCCACCAUGGAAAGAAUAGGAAAACACAAUACUUUGGCCUUCCAUCAUCAUAGGAGGUCGACAUUGUCUUCCUCGAAUUUUUCAAAUGUAGUUCCCAUCAUCCUUGCAGAGAUAUUCAUUCACCUCACCAGCAAUCGGCCCUGGAGUGCUUGAGGCCCGCUGUUCUUUUUUGGGGCACAUGUGGCCCAAGAGCACGGGUCUGAAGUGGCACGGCCCGUCGGCCAUCCUAACUAAAAUUUAUCUGGGCUCAUAUACAGAUAUUAGAACAUUUUCUGAUAGUCGAGGACCCUUCCCUGAAAAUAAGUGUUGCUGACACCUUCACAGAUAUUUUUGGCGCUCCAAUCCAUCUCAUUCGAACAUCAAAUCACAUUUCCCAUCUUGCAUUCACUUUAUCCCUCAUUCACUGUCUCCUGUCUUUCACCGAAAGUGUUACCGACAGUCUCGCAGAAUAUUUCGGAACCUCAACCCAUCGGACAUCUGUAAAAUUUCCCAUCUCGCAAUCACUCUCUGUCCUUUCUAUCCUUCACCGAAAAUUGAUGGUGACAGCUUCAUUGAGGUUUUAGCAGCCUCGACCAAUCUUAUAUGAGACAUCUAUGCUGGAUGAUUGGAGCCGUGAGAUUGUGUCAGGGCCCAUAAGAAAAUAAGAUAAUUUGUGUAUCAGUCACGUGUCCCAGCUCGAAACGAACAAGAGUCUGGAAAAUGCAAUAUGUUAUGGGCCCACUGAACUUGUCUUUUAAGGAAAGAACUCAUUUUGCAUUUCCCCUCGCUUUCUCCCGACUUUCCGGAGGAAAAUAUCUUGUGGCCCCCCACAGGAAAAUCUUUCUCAACGGUUCUCUUCGUAUUCCUUGAAUCUUUAUUUUCCUCGCUUCUUUUUCCCCCAAUUCCUGAAACCGGCUUCAUUCUACGGAAUGGCUCCAUUCGGAUUUAUAUAUACUGGUCUUGCUCUCAAAAGAAAAAUCACGGUAGCAAACAUUUGGAGUGGCUCCAUAAAUAACAUCUUUCGUUUGAUGAGAAACUCGAGAUAUAAGAAUUCUCCCACAAGUGUUGAUGGUCUCAUUAAUAAUAAUAUGUGUCGACUUGACUACUAUAGUUGCAUGAGUAGACAUUCCUCAAAGAAACGUCAAUAACAUUGGUAAGCUUCUAAAUUCAAAUUAUGUUUUGCACUCGGCAUUAGAGCCUGUCGUUUUUUUCUGGUCCAUCAAGCUAUGCUAAGAAUGAAGUAAAGAUGAGAUGUGAAUGGUUUGGGCAAAGAAAAAAGUGGAUGAACAAGACAACGUCUUUGUCCUCAACAAUGGUGCAUAGAGAUUUUUUGCAGAGGAGCGAGAGGUUCUUUUAAGUUCUUCCGUUGAUCGAUAUCUUGCAAUUAACUAUCUUGUAUUAUCUGUUUUUAAAUAUUGAAAUUGAAUGUCAUGGCUACAUAUGGAUUAUGUACCUUUUUAACUAGAGAUUUUUGUUAGCUCCAUAGUUGAUAGAAUAACAACUCCAAUUGUGACACUAAAACAAUUAUACGUGUAUCAUGAUUAUUUGAUUAUGUCAGGUUAUUUAAAUUUUUUGGUCAUAUUUUUAAGUAUGUUUUCCCAUAGUUUAAAGCAGUUUUUGUUUUGGGUGAUCAACUGAAUAUGUUUUUUUUUUUUUUUCAGAAUUAAGAAGUUGCCUUUUUUAGAAUAUUUGUUGUUGUUAUUCGUAAAACAAUUUGUACAAAGUUGGGACCAAAUAUAUAAUCAUAUAUGGCUACGCACAUAUUAAGUCGAAGCUAGACGGGACAACGUUGAGAGAGAGAGAGAGAGAGAGAGAGAGUAUAGUGGAGUCGGUCUUCCGACGCGAGGUUGAAAAAUGAAAGAAUGCGUAGAGAAGCAAGAAGCGUAGAAGUUUGGGGAGAAAUCUUUUGUGUUUCUUCAGUUGUAUUCAAUGUACAAAACUUAGUAAUUAUAAUACAAGAUGUACAUGAAGAAAAGGUAAUGAAAUAUUCUACAAAUCAAUCUAAUAUCUCAAUCUAAUCCCUAAUUGAUUUAGUGUAUGAUUAUAAUCAAAUCGGAUUCCCGAAAUAUCUUCCGAAUCUUCAACUAUAUCUUCCAACAAAAAAUCAAGAAACUUUAAUAAUUGCAACACGAUCCACAAUGUAUAAAGUCGUACUGUCUAUAUGCAUCACGAGGCUGACAUAACACUAACCUUCAAUAAUUGCAACGUGAUCCACGGCAAAAAAGCAACUUAACUUUAAGCCGUUUAAACUCUUAACCUCGCUUUGUUAAGUCUUUCUCCCUCCUCCUCCUCCUCUGCAUUUUAGAGAGAGAGAGAUAUCAGUAGUAGCAUCAGAGGAACGAUUGUGGACGUGUGUGAUCGGUACUUGUUAGGGAAGGAGAGAGAUGCAAGGAUUUGGAGUUCAUAGAGAAUCGGAAAGAGGAUCAUUGAAUUGUUAACGAGGUGUAGUCAAUCAAUGCAAUUGUCGGGUUUUCUUUAAAAAUAUUAAAAGUGAGGUUUUGAGAAAUAAGUGAUGAGUAUAAUUAGUAAUUUUUAUUAAAAAAAUGAAAAGGCGUUUGUCAUGGACCUUCAAUUUCUCUCAAUGGAGUUGUGUAUGUAGCUCAAAACCUAUGCAUGUUCACAAGAUUGACAAAUUGUUGUCUUUUAAUUAUUAAUGGAGUGCCGGGAAGCAUCCAACAAAUCUCCAUCAAAUGUGGCACUUCCUCCAUUUCAUACAGAUUGGAUAAUUAUCAAAGACAUAUUUUUUUUUUUUUGAUACACAUGUGAUAAAUUUAUUUUUUAUAUUAUUAUCUUUUGAAAAUGGGCAAGUUGCCACACUUGAUUUUUUUCAUCUCGAUUUCUAUUUGAAGUUGAUUUUGGCAGAUUAACAAUCUACACUUGGGAGCUGAGCCCUCCUUCCCUUCUUUUCCUUUUAUUCUUGGGAAGGUUUGGUGAGUAUUUCUUCUAUACUAUAAACUAUUAGUUAUUUAAAUUGCAACCUUAAUAUCAAAUUAUUCAUGUUUUUUUGCACGUGAAAAUAAAAUUAAGAUAUUGAGAAUGAGAAACUACUUCCAUUAAAGUUCACAUAUUUAAAUGAUGAGGCAUGACCAACUAAAAUUUAACGAUAAAAUUUCGGGUCAUCAGCUUGGAAGAAUUUAUGAUUUGAUGGUCGUAGCAUAAUCAGCUUAGAUAUUAAGAUUGAUGGGGAAAUUGAGUGCGACUCUUGUGGAUCUUAUCUUCAAUACGUUUUGUCAAAUAAACUGGGUGCUAUUAGAGACGCAAUGCCUAUCUUCUCGAGAAUUGAUGUAAGGGGCUGAACAUUUUCCUGUACUUUUCACAUGUCAAUUGUCGUACCGAGCAUCUAAGUAAAAGAAAGACGGACAAUUCGGUGGACAAUUCGGUGGAGUUGGGUCCCUCGGUGAUUGGCUGAGUAGCCUUCACGUGCAUGAAGCCGUACUGCCCAUGGGCACCACUAGGUUGACAUAACAUGAAACUUUAAUAAUUGCCAAGCGACUGCUGAUGGCCAAGCAGCAACUUCAUCUCCAUCCUCAUUAACUCUUAACAUCACUUUGUUCAAUCUUCCUCCUCCUCUGCGUUUUAGAGAGAGAGAGGGGGGGAGAGCACCGUCCCAACUGGCACGACCCAUUGGCUAUCCUAAUUAAAAUCCAUUCGAGUUCAUGUACCAUUUUCUGAGAGUGGAGGAUCCUCCAUUAAAAAAAAAAAAAUGUUGCCGACAGCUUCAUAGAUAUUUUUGGAGCUUCAGCCUACCCCUUUGGAACAAUCGUUCACAUUUCCCAUCUCGUGUGCACUUUAUUUCCGUCCUUCAACAGUCUUCUGUCUUUCACCGAAAGUGUUGCCGACAGCUUCGCAGAUAAUUUCGGAACGUCAAUCCAUCAAUUCGGACAUCUGUAAAUUUUCCCAUCUGGCAGUCACUACCAAAAAUGGUGAGUGACAGCUUCGUUAACGUUUUAUGAGCCUCGACCAAUCUUAUUCAGACAUCUAUCCACAUUUCCCGUCUCCCGAUUCAAUUUGUGUCCUCACUGUCUUCUGUCCUUCACCAUAAUUCAGACAUGCGCCCCCGUCGAAUCUCCAAAUGACCAAGAGUCCAGAAAAUGCAAACAUGUUAUGGGCCCACUGAGCUCGUCAUUUGAGGAAAAGAAAGAGCUCCAUUUUGCGUUUCCCGCUAUUUUCUCCCCACUUUCCGAAGGAAAAUAUCUUGAGGGUCCCCACAGGAAAAUCUUUCUCUACCAUUCUCUUCGUAUUCCUUGAAUCUUUUAUUUUCCUCACUUCUUUUCACCCAAUUCCUGAAACCCGCUUCAUUCUACGGAAUGGCUUCAUUCGAUUCUAUACAUACGGGUCUUUCUCUCAAAAGAAAAAUCAAGGUAGCAAACUUUUGAAGUGGCUCCUCAUCCAUAAACAACAUCUUUUGUUUGAUGGAAAACUCAAAAUGUAAGACUUCUCCCAUAAGUGACGAUAACAUUGUUAAUAAUAAUAAUAUGUAUAGACUCAGCUAUAGUUGCAUUAGUAGAUGUUACUCAACAAAAUGUCAAUAGUAUCAGCAAGCUUCUCAACUCAGAUUAUGUUUUGCACUCUGCAUUUAAAAAUGAAGUAAAGACGAGAUGUAGAUGGUUUACACAGAAAAAAAGUGGAUGAACAAGGCGACGUAUUUAUCCUCAGCAAUGGUGCAUGCAAAUGUUUUACAUAGGAGACAGAGGUUCUUUUCAUUUCUUUCGUUGAUCAAUAUCUUGUAAUUUUUAUCUUAUAUUAUCUAUUUUUCCAUAUAGAAAUUGAAUAUCAUGGCUACAUAUGGAAUAUAUACAUUUUUAACUAGAAAUUUACAAUAACUUUACAUGCAUGAUGAUUUCGGGUUAUUUAAAUUUUUUUGUCAUAUUUAUAAAUAUGUUUUCCCGUUGUUUAAAGCAAUUUUUGUUGUAUAAAGCAGUUUUUGUUUUGGGUGAUUGAUCGAAUGUGUUUUUUUUUUUUGGGUGAGGAUGAUUAACCCAAUUAAGAGGUUGGUUUCUUUAGAAUAUUUGUCGGUCUUGUCCAUAAAACGAUUUGUACGAAUUUGGGACCAAACGUUUAAUCAUAUAUGGCUUUGCACAAAUUAAGUCGAAGCUAGUGGGACAACGUUUAAAUUGAUAGAGAGAGAGGAUAGUACGGUGGAGUGGGGUCCCUCGGCAUGGGGUUCAAAAAGCAUGAAGCUUUAAUAAUUGCAACAUGAUCCACAAUGUAUCAAGUCAUACUGUCCAUCUGCAUCACAAGGUUGACAUGACACCUCAGUUAAAUUCUUAACAUCACUUUGCUUUGUCCUCCUCCGUUUUAUAGAGAGAGAGAGAGAGAGAGAGAGAGCAGGGAGCAAUGGUCGUGGAGGUGUGUGCCGUGUGGUCAGUACAUAAAUCAAUAGAAUCAGGUCUUCUUUAGAACUAUUAAAGUGAGAUUUUGAGAAAUAAAUGAUGAGCAUAAUUAGUAGUUUCUAUACAAAAGAAAAAUGAGAAGGCGACUUUCAUGGAUCUUCAAUUUCUCUCAAUGGAGUUGUGUAUGUACCUCAAAGCCUAUGCACAUCCACAAGAUUAAUAGAUUGGUGUUUCUUAGAUAUUAACGGAGUGCCUAGUUCUCUUUGAGCAUCUCGUGAAUCUCCAUCAAAUGCGGCGGUCCCUCGAUUUUAUAACAUCGGAUAAUUACUGAAGACAAACAGUUUUUAUUAAUAUAUUGGUGAUAAAUUUAUCUUUUAUAUUACAUUUUUUUGAAAAGGGCUAGUUGCCACAUUUGAUAAUAUUAUCUCAAUUUCUAUUUGAAUGUUGGUUUUGGCAACUUAACGGUCUUAAUUUGGGAGUUGAGCCCCGUUCCUUUUAUAGGACGGUUGCUUAGGUAUCAUAAUUUUUUGUCAAUUAAGUGGGUGUCAUGACUUAAAAAAAAUUUCAUUUAAGUGUCAUGGCCUUCAGUUGCUCAUUUAAAGACUACAACUCCCAUUAUCACAAGUGUCAUGAUGCUAGCACUAUUGGGCAAUGUUUUUGAAAAGCUUAUAAUGCUCAAGUGAAUAUUUUUUAGAGGUUUUAAAAUAUUUAAAUAAUCAGAAAAAAUAAAUUUAUGAUGCUUAAAUAAGCGUCAUAUGUGGUGACCUUUUUUCAAAAUUAACCUUGUAUAGUUAGGGCAUUGCAAACUUCUACAUGCUAUGACAAUACAAUUACACAAGCACUGUAAGAUGCUUUUGUAUGAAAAUGAUACAAACUUUUAUGAAGAAGAAGGGAUGAGAAAAGUAUUUUGGUCAAAAUUGGUGGUCUCCACAUAAUACAACAUUAGAAAGCCUUAUUGCACUCGGCGGGCUCUAUUGUUGUGCAACUUUAUUAAAGCUGAUACUUAAAAGAGCUCAUGAAGCGACUGAAAUUGGAGUGUAUCAUCUGAAUCGGAUUCUGGACUCAUAGAGAUUGGGGCCUCGCCGCUGUUGAUAGCUGGAGCUGAGCACGUAUGAAAUGAUUGAUAGACAAUGAUAGUCAUAGACAGCUGGAUAAUUCUCGCAUUCUACCCGCGGUGGGGUCCGAAGGCAAUUUUAGUCCAAAAAGAAACGGUGGACUGGAUUUUUUUUGAACCGUUAAAUUGAGGUUCUCCAUUGAGGUGCAUCAUCUGAACCGGAAUCUGGACCAUAGCUCGGUCCCAAGUGGAGAUUGGUGCAUCGCUGCUGCAGUGCUGCUGAUUUCCGGAGCUGAGGUCAGAUGUGUUAAACGAUUAAGCAUUAAUCAAAGGGAAGAAAAUAUUUGAGGGUCCCGACUGCCAAGCCAGCGUGUACGCCUACCAAUGACGAAGUGACGCGUGGCUCCACGAUGCGCUGGUGGUUCCACUGGUUUUUAUGCACAAAAUAAAUUAUUUUCCCUUUUCUGCUUAAAAAUUUACAGUCAUUAAUAAAUCUGUUGCUGCUUUUUUCUCUCUCCUCUCUAAUGGAGGCCUGCACGCAGUAAAGGAGCUUUGCCUCUCGUCCUUUCUUUCCUUCUCACUUGAAAAUUUUAAGUGAGAAUUCGCUCUCUGGCCCAAAGGCACGUUGCUCCUCCGCCUUGCUCCGGCGCCGGGUCAUCUUCGCUCUCUGCCCCAGAGUUCGUUGCUUCUUCGGCCUGCCUCGUUGUGUUCCUUCUCCGCCCUCUGCUCCCGUGUGGUUUCCCUGCGCAAGACGGCGAGGAAUGUUCUUGCUGUAAGUCGCAAACUCCAAGCGACAAGAAGUUCCAGCUCUCUCCGAUUCGGCUUCGGUUCUGCUACGUUCGCGGCUCAUACCAGUGAGUUGAUUCUUUCCCUGAUUUUUGUACUCUUCUUUUCUUUUCUUUUUCUCUGCUGUUUUGCCUCUCUUUUUUUUUUUUUUUUUUUUAAUUUUAGUUUCUUUUGUUGGUGGGUGAGUGUCCGGUGUUGUGAUAUUUGGGAGGUUGGUUUGUCUAGGCUAGCACUGAGUUUCAGUCCGAGGCGAAACGAAUGGUUGGAAGUUUCCGCGAAACCGGGGAUAUUAGUAGAAAACGAAUGCUUAGUAAUAUUGGAGAUGAUGUGGAAGUAUUUCGUUGAAACGAAUAGUCGGCACUUGUCUGAUUUUUCUGUUGCUGGCUUUUGUCUUCAAGUAUUUCGGUGGAAGUAAGUCGAUUGGGCAAAAUGGCGGAUAUUGUUCCGCCUCCCUCGGCAUAUAUACAUUCUUUAACUCUCGUUUCUCCGCAGAGAAGGGAAGAAAACCAGAAAGAAUUCAAAAAGGGGGAAAAUGGCGGAAGUCGUUCUGGGCGCAGUUUCCAUAGUGUCAGGGUGCCUGGUGGCUCCGGUCAAUCGUCUUUGCGGCUAUGUGAUAUCCUACGAAGGUGACGUUCGCAAACUUAAGGCCAAAGUUGCGGAGUUGGGCAACGCGAGGCAAAACGUGCAGGAUUCCAUCAAGGAUGCUCAAAACAACGUGAAGCCUAUCAAAGCCCAUGUCAAUAAAUGGAUGGAAGAUGUAGAGAAGGACACCAAGGAGGCGCACCGUGUUCUGGAUGACGAAGAAAGAACUAAGAAAACUUGCUUCUACAGGUGGCUUCCCAACGUGCGAAAUCGUCUCGGCAGGGAGGCGAGGAGGAAAGCAGAAGACAUCCAGGGACUCAUUGAUCGGAAACCAUUUGGGGAGGUCUACGACGAUCCUCCUCCAGGGCUCGUUGAUGGUACUUCCGACGUGAUUUCCUCGGCCGGUGAUCGAGGCGACACUACCUUCGAUUCUCGAGCUUCCAUCUUAGAGGACAUAAUGAAUGCUCUGUAUGACGAGGAGCACAAAGUGAUUGGGGUCUACGGGCCUGGUGGCGUGGGGAAGACUACGCUGUUGGAGGAAGUCAACAAGAAGCUCAGGAAAGAGGGGAGACCGUUCAACAUGAUCGUCAAAGCAAAAGUCUCACAGACUCCGGACUUGAAUGAUAUCCAAUACCAAAUCGCUGACGACUUGAAUCUGAAUCUGAAGGACAAGCAGAGCCAACAGGGAAGAAGAGAUCUUUUGUUUCAGAGAUUGCAAAAGGAUCCGAAUGAGAAGGUUCUCAUAAUAUUGGACGAUCUAUGGAAAGAAUUUGAUCUGAAGGAGGUUGGAAUUCCUUCAGGAGAUGAGAGCAGAGGAUGCAAGUUGCUGUUAACAUCCAGAUUUAAAAAUGUUCUGGAGCAAAUGAAGUGCGACACUCCCAUAUUUCAUCUUGAAGGUUUAAAGAACGAUGAAGCUUUCAGGCUAUUUGAGAAGAUGGUCGGCGACAGGCUCAAAGACAAUGAGCAAUUGAAAACAAUAGCGGAUCAAGUGGUCAAGAAGCUUGCAGGUUUGCCUCUUUUGAUUAUCUCUGUUGCAAGCUUUUUGAAAGAAAAGGAUGAGUGCGCAUGGAGAAACGCGCAGAUAGAAAUAGAUGAGUCAAAUAAAGAAAAAAAAGAAACGAUAGUGAAGUUGAGUUACAACCAUUUGAAGAGCGAGGAUGCCAAGACUUUAUUCUUGCUCUGUGGUCUUAUUGGUGGGACCAUUCAAGUCGAAACUCUGCUGGUUCUAGGCAUGGGUUUGGGCUUGUUUGGGGAAUUCAGAAGGACGAUGCAAGAUUCGAGGGAUAGAUUGAAUACUAUACUCGAUGAAUUACGUUCCGCUUGUUUGUUGCUGGAUGGUGGUGAUGACAAGAACGAUGUGACCAUACAUGAUCUUUACAGCGAGGUGGUUGUCUCAACUCCAUUUAGGGGUCAAGAUUCUUUGAUAAUGAACAGCAAUUAUGGCUCAUGGUCAAAGGAAAAGCUUGAGAAAUGUUGGGCUAUAUGCUUAGCUGAUGUUGACCAAAAGAGACUUGAUGAACUAAUGAAGUGUCGGUCUCUUCCUGACUUGAAGAUACUCAUGUUGUCUCAACCGGAAGGCUGGCGUUGGAAACAAGUACACGAACGUGAAGUGGGAGAUUGCUCGGGACUAUUAGAUUUCACAUACAUGGAGGAGCUCCCCGUCCUAUAUUUUUGCUCCAUGCAUAUCGCCAGGUUUCCUCGCUCGAUUAAAAUCCUCAAGAACCUCCACUCUUUAUACUUAGACCAUUGCAAUGUGGACGAUGUGGCAAUACUUGGCGAGCUCGAAGCAUUGCAGAUUCUCAGCCUCGUAGGGUGUGCACUUUCUAGGCUGCCUAAAGAAAUCAGAAACCUGACAAGUCUGAGAUCGUUGAAUCUAAGCAAUUGCAAGGAGCUUUGGACAAUUGAGCCUGGUGUGUUGGAAUGCUUAAUCAACUUGGAAGAGUUAUAUUUGCGGGGAAGCUUUGAUCGAUGGAUGGGCAAGGAUGGAAUACCGUCGAAAUCACGUAACGCCAAGCUUGCUGAAUUAAAAAGCUUGACAAAGAUAGUCUCUCUAGAAAUAUCGAUCCGUGAUCCCUCUGUACUUUUGGAGGACGAUGACUUUCCAUUUGGGAAUUUGAUCAAAUUUUGGAUCAACAUAGGAGAUGGAAAAGGGAUUGGAGGUUGGAGAACCAUCGAGCGCAAAUUGGAAGGUUUGAAUACAUUGGAGCUCAAUUUGGAAGAAUGGGAUAUUUUUUUUUCAAAGGAAUGGGUUCAAAAAAUUCUGCAAAAAACUCAAUGCUUAUAUUUGGACGGGUUGAAAAAGUUCAAGAAGAAUGCUCCCGAGUUGUGCACAGAAGGAUUUAGAGAACUAAAGUAUCUUGAUAGUAAUGAGAGCCCCUCAAUUGAGUACCUUGCCAAUUCAUCUAAUGGUCUCCCUCUCACCGCUUUUACAAUUUUAGAGUCUUUGUUCCUCAAAAAUCUAAUUAAUCUAGAGAAGAUAUGUAAUAGCCUUGUCACACCAAAGUGCUUCAGCAUAUUGAAAGUCGUGAAUAUUCAUCAGUGCCACCGAUUGGAAAACUUGUGGUUCCUGUCAGAGAUGCAGAGACUUGUACAUUUGGAAGUGCUUCAAGUCCGUGAAUGUGACUCAAUGCGAGCCAUUAUCACAGAUGGUGCAGGAGAAAUAGAAGUUCUUGCUUAUGACACAGUUGAGUUGCCUAAUUUACGUCGUUUGAAAUUGUGUGAGUUACCAAAAAUGACGAGCUUUCGUACUAGCGCUGAUGGUGCUCCAAUUCAGGUAACUUAUUUGUUUUCUCCCUAUGUCAGUCUAUGUUAUUGAAAAAAUAUAAAUUUCGUUAAUUCUUAAUUUCACAAACGAUACCUAGAUCAUACUAGCACAGGGGGAUGAUAAGAUGAUAUUGGUGUUCACCGAACAUUAAUGCAUGUUGCGUUAAAUUUGAUGCACCUUUUGAUUCACAAAUAAACAAUCCAUUUAAAAAAAACACAGACCUUACACUUUUAUUCACAUUUAACUAUAGCCAGGGGGAAGCCUUUUUAAACGAUCGUUUUUUUUUUUUCAUUUUAUUUUCAAUGUUAGACAAUUGCACUGAUUACCUGGGCUCUAACUUGGGUUUUUACCAUGACUAAUUUGUUACUCAUUUAACAUUUUUAAUGAGAACAAAAAACAUUGUAGUGAACGAGAAUGAAUCUUGAACAAAUGAACGAAAUUCAACAAUUUCAAAAUGAAGAAACUGAGAGAUCAAAUAAAUGGAAGGCGAACGUUGAACCACGUGACAUCACAUAAUUCAUGUUUCACCUACAUGCGAGUUGCAAUUGAUUCCCCAGCAUCACCGUGCUAUUGUCGUUUUACUUCUGACAUUUCUUUCGUCAGCUACUUCAGGGAUAUUUCCUUCUCCAUUCUUUCGGGCACGAUGAAAGAUCUACACAUUUCGCCCUCUGAUCAACUGAGUUUUAAAUAUUUAGUUUUGAUCAAUUGAGUUUUUGACAUUCUUAAGAGAAGUCAAGCCCAUUCAUUUAUUUAGGAUUCGUUUGUUUCAUUGAAUAUUCUUUGUUGCUGAAAAUAUUUUCUUAGUAAAUCGUUUUGCUAGAAAAUGAAUUGUUUUCUUGUAUUUUUUUUUUUUUGGUCGGUUGUUUUCUUGUAUUUGGUUAUGCUGAAAAUGCAAAUCGAGAAAGUGCUUAAUGAUGUUUAUUAAUGAAGCGCAAAACUUUACAAAGCAAAGACAAACAUUGUUCACGGAUCCUCAAUAGAAAAAAAUCCAAAUAAGUCAUAUUUACUUGUUCGUAAUGGAAAGCAAUAAGUUAACAAAAAAAUUAUUUAAAAACUCCAGUAUGUAUUUGUUUUCAAUUUUGAAGGUCGAAAUAGAAAAACAAAAGAAAACAAAAUUAUGGUAGUUGUUUUGAAGAUCGGUCAAUGAUUUCAAAAUAAAAGAGAAAACAAUUAUGAUGAGAGAGAGAGAGAGAGAGGAGAGAGAGAGAGAGAGAGUUGUGCAGUUCUGCAAUUGUGCUGCGUUACUAGCAUGAUAGCGACGAGGAUAUCCUCAUGACAGUGAUUUCGCUUUUAACGGAAGACAAGUUUUUUUAAUUUUUUUUGUUGGUAUUUUAGCCCAAGCAUAUCAUUUUUUUUCUCGUGAAAAUAGCUUUACUUCUAACAAACUCACCUUCAAUGAGUUUCACUGUGGUGCUUUGCUAGGUUUCAUUGCCUCGCUUGGAAUCCCUAGUGAUGGUUGGAUUCCUUGGUCUAGAAGAGAUACUCUCCAGCGAAUCUUCAUUAAAAUACAACAAUCUAAAAUUGCUACACAUAGAGGGGUCUAAAUCCACGUCAAGUAUUCCGAAAGAUUGGAUACUGAAGCUGCCGAAUUUGGAGUCAGUGGAAAUUGUGAGCUGUCGAUCAACAGAAGUAGUUUUUGACUUGGAGGAGCUAAAAGUCACCGGAAAUGCCGAGAUUCUCUCUCGGCUAACGGAAUUGACCUUAUUUUUGUUGCCCAAACUGCAGUGCAUGUGUAAAAAAGAUGUACAGUUACAAGGAAUAUCAAUAUUUCGAAACCUAGAGAAGCUCUAUAUCAACAAUACGGGGCUGUCAUUUCUCUUUCCGGUGUUUGUGGCCAAAUGUCUUAGAGAAAUUAGAGAGAUUAAAGUGAUGGAUUGUCCAAAUAUGAUGGCGAUGAUUGUGGAUGAAGGAGGAAGAGGUGAUGGGAUAGAUGAUAUUAUAAAGUUCCCAUUAUUAAAGCGUCUAUUUAUGCGUGGCUGUCCCAGAGUGAAAUUCUUCUCAUAUCCUCAUGGAAAGAAAAAGUCGGUAACCACUAGUUCAGAUUCACAAGAUGCUAACUCCGAUUCCUUCUUUGUUCAAAAGGUACAAAUGCCUUCUCUUUGAGAUUAUACCUAUAAUUGCCAUAGGCAAGCACUUGGUGGGGGUGAUUAAUAAAAUCUCUUUGAAGAUUUUUGUUUCGUUCAUUAGUUAAAGUGUGUUCAUAAUUUAUACGUACACUUGUCAGAGUAAGGGCACUGGUAAAAAUUCAUUUUUCCAUUUCAUCAAAUAGAUUGGUUAGGAUUAGGCUAAAUUGUCAAUUUUUUCAUUGCUACGAUCUGACGCAUAAAUCUCAUGAGCAGGUGAGUUUACCUAGCUUGGACACAUUAGAUAUUAACGGGUGUUUUGAAAUGAGAGAGUCCUUGAAAUGGAUAUGGCACAGUGAACUUCCUAGAAGUUCAAUCUGCGAAUUAGCCACCGUCAGAAUUAGGAAUUGCUUAAAGCUACUCAACGUCUUCCCUUCCACAAUCAUAGGGAAAUUGCAAAACCUGAAAGAAGUUGUUAUCGAGAAAUGUGACUUCCUAGAAUCAUUGUUUGAUUGUGGGUCCUUUGAUGCAAAUAUUGAGCAACCAACUGUAUCACUCCCCAAAUUGGAAAGAAUGAAGAUUAAGGAUGCAAGCGAGCUGAGAUGCAUAGUGAAGGCUGACUCCCAAAUGAUUUUGGGUUUUCCUAGUCUAAAAGAAGUUUACGUUAACAAUUGCCAGAAGCUGAGGUAUCUCUUCCCCAAUUUCACAGCCACAACGCUAGAGAAACUCGAGAGGAUAAGUAUUGAUAGAUGCGACCAGAUGAAGGAAGUGGUUCUUGAGAAAGGUGGUGGUCAAUCAAAGGCAGAUGUGAUGAGUUUCCCUUCCUUAAGAGAUCUAAGUAUUUGGAACUGCCUUAAUCUUGGAGCAUUCAUCAGGAGUCCUACAAGUGCUAAGAGGCUGUUAGGUGAAACGGCCGAAGAAAAUAAUGAAUGGUCACAACCGUUUUUUAAUGAGAUGGUUUGCUCUAUCCCUUACUUUGAUCAUUCGUAUUCUCAAAUUAUCAUUUUUUAGGAUGAACAAUGUAAUAAUGUGGUCCUCUUUAUCCUCCUUUCUCACAUUAUCUUUGUGUAGGUCACAUUUCCCAAUAUAAGAAGUAUAUGUUUUGGAGGCCUUCAGUGCAAAGAGUUAUGGGACAAUCAAAUUCCCGCCAAUUCUUUUUCGAUAUUGAAAUCUCUUGGAUUGAGGAACUGCAACAACCUCCAACAUGUUGCCCCGUCCAAUAUUUGGAAGAGGUUGCAGCUCUGUCUUGAGGACCUAAAAGUGGUUUCAUGCCAUUCGAUCAAGAUAAUAUAUGAAGGUGAUGGGAUGGAUACAAAAGGUGGUGAAUUAAGGUGGCUAUAUUUGCGUGAUCUGGAAAACUUGAUGCACAUUUGGCAAUCCGACGGUCUCCCAAACAUUAUGUUUCCAAACUUGAGAGAAAUAGAGGUUGUGGGGUGCUCUCGUCUGGAAACGCUUUUCCCUACCUUCACAGCGAAAUUUCUCGGGCAAAUCGAAGAGUUGGUGGUGAAUUCAUGUGAAAAAAUGGAACUAAUUGCUGAGCAUGAAAAAGGGGAAGAAGGGAUCUGUACGACAAUCACCUUCUCCAAGUUAACUCUCCUUGGACUUUUCAAGUUGCCCAAAUUCAGGAGCUUCUUACCUGAGAAAUACUCUUUGAAAUUCCCGUGCUCUGAGGACUUAGAGCACUUCCCAUCCUUGAAAGUCUGGAGUAUAGAAAGCUGUGGAGCAGAGCCGAACCAAGUCAAUGUUGACUGGGAACAACACUAUAGAGAACGACUAUGGCGCAAGUUACCACGGGAUCAGGUAUUCCUUCGAUAUUUCAUUGCUUUUUGGUUUGGCUGUCCCGUCCCUUUGAAUCAAAAAAUCAAUUGGUCUUACCUAAUGCAAAAUUCUCGGUAGGACCCACAUCCACUCUACAUGACGUGGCCCUCUUCCUUUCUAUCUCUAGCUCUCUUCCUUACUCUCUUCUACUAACGAUCUGUCGAUUCCCUUUUAUGCUCAGUAUCCGAGGGAGCAGUGGUGGCGCAUAUGAUCUUCAUUCCUUCGUCAUUCUCCCUCUCUGUCGCCCUCCAUCCACCAACAGCCACCGCCCGACAUGCACGCUGAGAAGGGGCAAAGAACAAAGAGCGGUGAUCGAAGGUACUCGGGUGAUUUUUUAGCAUCCAUGAGUCAACUGUCUCGGUGAUUUCAAUUGAAUCCUUUUCCGCUCGCUUCGUUGCUGGUCGUCACUGCUUCCCGAUUCCUGCCACUAGUUUUGCCGCCGCGGAGAAGGUCUGUAAUGCCGAAGUGCUCGAACUUCAGUCAUGGCUGCCUACUUCGAUGAUUCCAUUCCUUGACGUUGCUUCUGUUAUCUCGUUAGUCAUGUCCGAUGUCAAUUACUAUAGCUAAUCGUUCUUCAUUCAAUUAAACCACAUAUGCUCCGUUUUCCGUUGCUAUAGCUACUGUCUGUAUGCAAAUCGACUGUGAUUUAGGUUGUCUUGAUGAUUUGAACUGGUGCUCAUCGGCCGAAAUGUAUACCACCCAUUUGAUGAAAUUCCUGAACUAAGUCAGUGUGUAUUUUGAUUCAGUUCUUGACUGAGAAUUCCCUUCAUUACUAGAUUGUUGAUCUACUAUUCUGGUCAUAUAAGUGUAUUUGAAUUCCGUUGCUUCAUAAAAAAAUCAUAGGUAUUCAAUUUCAAACUUGUUUUGAAUCUGCUGUAACCUUGUCAAUGCAUGCUGAUUCGCGACUGUUGCAGCCCUGAACUGAUGUCAAUUGGUCCUUGAUUUUAUGCUAUUCCACUCAAGUAAGCAUGUGCAGUGAUAUAAGGUUGUGUUAUGGUGAAUUUCAUGUUCACUUGGGAAAAAAAUUAUGGCAUAUGAAUGAAUGAAAUUCUACUGGAAAUCGAUCUGUGGAUGCUGACUCUGUCUUGAUAUCCUUGAUUGGGUGUGCUUUUGAUUCUAGCUUGAGGCUAGUUUGGUUAUGGGAUCAUUUAUGUUCAUGCUAGGAAAGUAAUAUGGUGAAUCUCAUGCCAAUUUUGCGAGAAUUAUAGUCAUGAACUUGAACAUGCUAGAAUCAAAGCAUUGCAUGCUGAUAGUGAUUGCUUUGUUUGAAUUCAGUAUUAAUUUAGUCUUGGAUUGAUGCCAUUUUGAUCAAGUAGACUCAUAUGCGCCUGUAGGAAGAUGUGGCUAUAGUUCAUGUCAAUUAGUCAUUAAAGGAUCACGAUUUGUGGUCUUGUAUGCUCUAUUACAAUUCUGAUCAUUUGCUGGAAUUUGUGGCAUAAGCAUGGAUUAGAUGGAUUUUGUCUUAGUUUGGUUGCCUUUUUGAUACCUUGUGUUCAAGUUCCUUGUCAAUUUCACAUAAUUGGAUGGCAAUUGCAUGAUUAAAUUGAUGAGAUUGAAGCUUGAUAUUGCAAUGAGAGUCUUGGCUUGGUUAUUGACUUAGAGAAGUCUGAUGUUAGUUGAAGUUUAUUUCCAUGAUUCUUGUGAUUUCAAUGCCCGGGGCAUCUAUUUUUUGUCAUAUUGAACAUUUUGAAGAAUACCAACUUUGUCUAAAGGUGAUCUAAUAAAUUAGCCAGAUUCGAGGAAAUCUCUCGACGAAGCUGGUCAUUGGGGCCCCUCAAAAUAUUGCAUGGAUGACACUUGAAAUACCAAAAUUCUCUCCCUCUCCUUAGAUGCUCACCAUUCAAGGCUUGUUUGAAGAGCUAUUGCUUAGAUUCAAUUGAUCCUUUAAGUGCAUGUGUUUGUGCCAACAUACUGUACAUCUACACAGCACAAAUUGUGGUCUACUCAUUCAUGAUGUCCUUUCCUUCCUUGGAGUGUUCACUGCCCACUGCCAUUUGGAAUGAUGUUUCAAAGAUAUGAUUUUUGUUUUCCUCCCUCCCUCAUAGAAUUCGCAAAAGCAACCCUCAAGCAAGGCGGCCUCAAAGCUUACUGCAACAGCUUAAGAGGGCUGCUUUUGCGAAUUUCUAUGGGGGAGGGAAGAUUAGUCGCCAGCACUACCGGUAUUUUGCCCUUAAAAUCCAUCAGGACCCUGGCCAUAUGUUCCGCUAGAGUAGGUGCAUGGUUCCAAUGGGGUCUCCUAUAAACCAUUCUGCACUGGAGGUGCAGAGCUCCAUCUAUCUCCUUGUAGCAGGUCUCUCUGUUGCUAAUAGGAAUUGUUGUUAUGAACUUGCUGAUUGUAGUUUCCCUAAUAUGAAUGCACCGGGUCUCUCUUCCGUUCUUUAUAUGGAUCCCUUCCACCGAGGGCAUAAUCCAUAUUGCUCAUUAGCAUGGGAUUUCUUCUUUCACCUUGCCCAAGGGUAGCAUGACUUUGCUGGGGAGUAUAAUUUUGCAGAGCGUCCUGCUGCAUAGGUUGUUGAUAAUCGUAUCGAGGGCUCUCUUGUGUAUUUGCCACUUGACCACCUUGCCGGUAUAUUUAGGUUGGCCGUAGUUUCUUUUGUGGUCACACAUUCUACCUCCAGGCCUCCCAUAUUGAACUGGGGGUGGUCUGUGACUAAGUACUCCAUUUUCAUACUUGUCACCUAAUGAUUUAGUAAGUUCAACAAAAGAAGCAGCGGUGCAGGAUCACAAAUCAUAGACAUAUUGGAAAGUUGAGCUUGUGGAAUCAGAGGAUGAAUGGAUUAGAUGACUGAAAAAAUUUGACAGGGAUGUAUAGUAGAUGCUCUUCUGUGGAGCCAAGUCAUACCUCCGUACUCCUUGUUUUGGGGAUCAAUGUAGGAAUCAGGUAAUAUAAAGACAUCUCCAGGGAGUUCUGUUUAUAGCGCAUUAUAUUAGUGCCUAACGAUGAUGAAAUUGCCUCUGGAUUGCUCUUAUAUGCUUCAGUCAUCACAGCCUGAAAAACUUGAUAGGUGGUUGUGCUACAUGCAUAAAUUCUCUUUCUUGCUUCCUCCAAACUGAAACAUGAGGAUCAAAUGUCAUCACAAAAAGCAAUCAAUUCUAAUGACCAGAAAAUUACAUGUCCAUGUUAUUAUGAUGCUAAAUGUAAACAUUAGCUUAAUUACCAUAACGUGGGGUUAUGAAUGUCAAUUUUUAAAGGUGUCAAGAUCGUUAUAGUGUCUGUGCUCAGGAGAGCCAUAUCGGCCAUCGCAUAGGUCUAGCCCGUCAAUGAAAACCGUUAUUUUGUGGUUGUUUCCCAAAACAAUUUAUUUGCAUUGAGAAAAAGUAGACAAUAGAGAUCCCCCAUUUUAUUGAAUGAUUUUUUAAGGUUACAUCAUCCUUUUGAAUUAUUUUUUUAAUAGAGAUAAUUUUAAAUAUGAUUAGUUAAUGAAAAUUAGUCAUACACGUUGCCUAACUACACUUGCUAGCAAGGAUAAUUUGCUUUGAGAAAUUCGGAUGCCCAUAACGAUUCAUUUUGGCAUAAUUAUGCCAAAUUAUUCAUUUAUUCGUAUUUAUCAUUACAAAUCCUUGUUUGACAAAAGAUCCCCAUCCUUACAGAUUUAACGUUUUGCUCUCUAUCGAUUGAUUAUUUUCAAACUGUCCCCUCUAAUUUAGACGUGUGUAACUUCUCAAAAGCAGCAUGUGACUUCAUUUAGGAUUAAAUGUAGAUUAUGACUUUUGAAAAUACGAAAUUUGGUGAAUUUUCCAUUCCCUUCUAAUUGCAUUUUUGCAUUAGCAAUAUUUUAAUACUGUUCCAAGCAACUUUAUUGUAUUUAUUUUCUGAUUUCAAGUUUGGUCUGUUUUUUUUGUUUUUUUGGUCGGUAGUUUGGUCUGUUUUAGGUGCGAUUGAUUAUAAUAACUUUCUUCUUCUUUUUGGUCCAGCACCACCACUGUCUUCCUUCUCUGCAUGAGAGAGAGAAAGAAAGAGAGAGAGAGAGAGAGAGGCAUCAGAGUAGCAAUGGUGGAUGAAUUAGGCAGGGAGAGACACAUAAGGAUUUGGAGUUUGCGAUGAUAAGCAUCGGUUUUGUGAGUUGUUACGUUACUUUUGCAGAGAAUGAAUCUGGGAGAGUGGUCCUGAUAUGACCUCAAAUUGCUUCGCGAGAGAAAGAGAGAGAAGAGAAGAGCCUCCCCCGGGGGGUGGGGGCGGUUGGGUUUGUGUGGUCAGGCUCAACCAUUAAAAAAACGUGAGAUCCAGACAAUCCAUGAAAUAGACUUACACCAAUAUAGAGUUAAUGAUCCAAUUGACAUACAAAUGCAAACAUACUAAUGCACUUUAUAUUCAGUUGUCCAUUCAUGAGAGGUACAUCAUUGCGUAGUGGAAGAAUGCCUGGCAAGGUCAGUGCAAGACCCACUUCUUCUUUUUUUCUUUUUGGCUACUUUCAACUAGAAAGUAUCUCUCCCGCGCUGGGUCCUCGGUCCAAACCAAACCAAACACAACUGUUCUUGGAAAUAGCAAACAGAGAAACCCCAAGCAACAUGUCUAGGACUCGCCGGCCUCCGAUGUUGUCAUCUCUGCUGACUUCCACUUUGGUGGCGAUGAUGGCUCUACCACUACUUUGCCUACCUAGACAUUGACCACCUAGGUAGCAUGGACACUCUUCAAAGACCUCCAUGUCAAUGUUGAACACAUGUUGGAUGUGUCGGACAUCAACGUGCGACCAAUAAAUGUCAAACAUCCAACACUCUAAACACAUUAACGCCACGUGAGUAUAGCAUCUUCACAUGCCAUUUUGACAUGCACAGCUCAAUUUUAAACAUUUUUAAUAAAUUAAGGGUCAAAAUGUAAAUCUAUAAUAUAUAUAUAUAUCCAGCCAUUCCAAAAUUAGGCUAUAUAUUAUUUAUUUUAUUCAUGGAUUUGAAUCAAAUUAAUUUAAUAGAAAUAAUUAUAAAAAUGAUGAUUUAUUAUAUAUAAUAUAUGUUUAAUGUACAAUAUUUCCUAACAUUUUUCAUGAAUUUUGCCAACAAUUCAUGAAUAACCAUAAGAGUAAUUUUGCCAUGCGCCAUAGCUAGUACGAUAGAAUUUGUCAUAUUCCCUGGGCCCAGCGCCGAUUUUCCCUCCUCUCCUGAAUUCGGUUAAAAUAGCAAUAACUAAAAGGAAAUUUUCGUCGUUUUAAAGCAGGGCACUCUCGUCAUUUGACGAGGAAGUUCUCGAUUGUACUUCGCGUCCGUAGCCUCUCCCGUCCUUCCUAGCUUGCCCGCCGGCCGCCGGCUCCACCGGAAGCCACCGCCCGUCUUCCAUCUCCGAUCACGGCAGACGCACGAAGGAAGGCCCACAACACACGCACAGAAGAAACAGAGCUCAAUCCUGGAAUCCGAACUUCAUUUUCGUUGAUUCGAGGUUCGCCAGAGGUGAAUCAACGUCGAUUCCAGUGUUCAUGACUUCGAUUGCAGGUUCCGGUGUCCUCUGGUUGCAGUUCCGAUCGUGUAUUCUGACUGCGAGGCGCUCCUUUGGUUCCUUCUUUCGCUUCAGUGAUCGGUGGAACCGCAUAGAAAAGGACGCCCCGAUUCAGUUGACUCCAACCAUCACUUUGGAAUCUUCUCCUCACCGAUUGAGCUCUUCCACUUCUUGGUCUAAGUCAAGCCCAAGAGUCGUCCUCGUCAAAUGAAUGUACGAAUACUGCUCAGGCAGUGUUCGACGAAAUGACCGAAAGACUAUCCGUUAUUCUGUCCCGUUACUGGCCAUUAGAAUCAAUGCUAUAAUAGUGAGGCUGUGCUCGCUGUCUUGAAAGUCGCUGAGUCGUCAUCUCGAGCUCACGCCGUCCUCGCCACCAAAUCAUCAGGUCGUCUCUUCUCCAAUUAAGCUUUGUUGUUGGUGUCGAUUUGUUCUCCACUGGCCUCUCUUGAUCUCUGCUCUGUUCCUUUUUUUUUUCUUUUUUUUCGUUUUUUUUUUUGGCUCGCCUUUCGCUUGACUGCUUCAUCGUCAGACAUUUGCUGCGUCGUCGUGCGGGGACACUCCUCAUAACCAAAAGGCAGAAGCGGGACUGCGACGGUAGAAGCCAAGGAGAUGCGGUCGCGAUUGCUUUCGAUAAUUCCGCUUGCGUAGCUCACUGCAUCAGAGGGAUCGAGUCGACUAAAACCUUCCACGAAGAACAAUAAUCAUCGAUGCAUCACACGUAACGAUAAUCAUCAAUGUGCCGUUCCGAUACGAGCAAGGUCAUCUAGAAGCAGUUUCGCCUGGAUAGCAAAAUGGCCGAAUAAGAAGGAAGCAACGGCGGGGCAUCAUCAGCUGGAGCUUGAAUUCAUGGAAACGAGCAGUGAUGGCAAUGAUCUGCAUCUGGUGCGGCUGAAGGUCUUUCUGGCAGAGACAUUGCUAGCCGAAGGCAAUGAACGUGACUCGGUAUCUCUGUCUACUCCGAACUCAGCGUCUAGGCGGAGCGAGCGCUCCUUUCUUCGGUCAGAUCAACUGUUGCGGUAAUUGGGCUGAUGGGUCUGGGCCGCAGAUCAGAUCAAUGGGUUGCUCUUGUGGGCCGCUCCAGUUGGACCAACUUUGGUCUUUAUUAUUCAUUUUUUUUGUUCUUUUUACUACCAUCAUUGUUUUUAUUUUUUAGUUUUUACAAAAAUGUAAUUAAGGUGUCGACAGUUUCGAAUUUAUUUACUCUAAUGUUUGAAGAAGAAUUUCAUGCCAUUGAGAACAAAGUAGAAGACAUAUGUUUUGUUGCGUCAAAUCUUUACCUACCAAAAGCGAGAGUUAUUUCAUAUCGAUGGGAGAAAUUAACCAAAAAAAUGGCACAGUCGAGUUGAAUAGAAUGGGGUAGGUGUUGAUGAUAUAGCGACCCAGUUAAAAUGACUUGAUUAACGGUGGAUGUGUUACAAGAUCAACGGUGGGAGCCCAUCCCCUGGGAAAAGCUACAAGUUGGAGAUACUGUGAAAGUGAGUAUUGUUUAUGCUUUCGAACUGAUUUUUAUUUUUUUUGCGUGAUUUGUCAUGUGACUGUGUUUCUUCUGGUGAAAGAAACUGUAUUUUAUUGAAGUGAAUCAUUUGUGUAUGGAAGGGUGUCAUCUUCGGAGUGUUAUCUUUAUGUUGGAAUCGGCAGUAUCAUGCAACACAGUUUUUACCAUUUUGUGUUAGCUCUCCGAUUUUAUAUGGGGUGAUUAUUGCUAAUCGAGCUUGUAACCAUACUGCCUUCACUGUUUAUUCUACAAAUUCUAAAUAUAUCUCUCCGACAUCCAAGCUUGUCUUCUGCGUUUGAGACUUUACUAUGCUUGUCUUCUGCCUUCGAGAGAUAUUGGUGCUCGGAAGAAGCCAUUUGCUCUUCUAAUUCUGGGGAACGGUGACCAAGCAUCAUGUGGCUCCAUUUAAGGAUAAGGUGAUAGAAGUUCGUCUGAGAUGAUUUGAUCACAUUGAACAAAGGUUUUUUAUGCUUCAAUGAGGAGAGUUAAUCUGGGUACGAAGACUCGGGUUAGAAGGGGGAAGGGAAGACCUAAAAGACGAGGAAAGAGAUGACAAAGAUGUGGACCACAUGGAGGUUACAUAAGAAAGAAGACACGGUGCAAGUAGCUGGCUUCACCUGGAGGGAUAAGGCUUUUCUUGUUCUCGUUGUAGACAUCCCCGUAUUGUGAGGGUGUAGCUUUGAAACCGAGAGGAACCUGCUAUGAGAACCCUUUAUUGUAGGAGUGUAGUUUCUCCUAGACGUGCAAUAAUGCUGCAUUUUGUUGGCUGUACUCUUCAAUUAUGCUGCAUUUGGCUGUUUCCCCAUGUAUCAAUAAAUGUCAUUAAUUUUGGCAACGGCUGAUUCAUACUCUGAUUUUCUUUUUACUGUGGUGAAAUUGUUUCUUGCACCCGUUGCAGGUUAAACAGGAUGACUCCCUUCCCGCAGAUUUGCUUUUUCUUGCUAGUACAAAUGCUCAUGGUGUCUGCUACUCUGAGGUUUAAGGUCAAUCAUUCUUGAAUCUCGAUGACCCGGUUGCAUUCCAUUGCUGUUAUAUAUCUUUGUCAUGUUUUUUUUUUGGUAAAAGGUAAGUAGAAUAUCUUUGCCAUGUUUAGCUUUGCUUUUUCAAAUUUUCAGACUGCAAUUUUGUAUGGCGAAACAACUAUAAAAAUCCGGAUGGCUUUGGAGAGGACAUGGGAUUAUAAUACCCAGAGGAAGCGUCGGAAUUCCAAGGUGAAGCUUUCUUUUGAUUUCUCCGUUGAAUUCUCAGUAUUUCUACGGAUUCCAUGCCCAUUCUUUUUUCUUUACUAUUAAUAUUUCCGUAUGACUUCAUUAAAUUUUAUUUGUGACAAAAAGGACAUAUUUGAUUUAUACGCACUAGGAGGGGAAGUGCCGAAAGAUACUCAUGAUUAUUAGCGUAGGUCUAUACUCGGUCCAUGGUGUACAGUGGGAUAUCUAUAAUUACUAUAUUGAAUAAUAUGAAUAGUAAGGGAGACCAACCCCAACCUUCCAAUGAUCCCUCUCUUGGAUAUCAUUUAUACGGUCAUUUAUAUGUUUCCGUGACCAAUUUUCAAGCAAAAUGUUUGUUGUUUUGUGCUAUUAUUACGCUUUUAAACUUUCAAUGAUAAGAUCAUGUUAUUUUGUUAAAAAUACUUUGGAGUCUGAGAUUACUAGGCAAACAUAAAACUUAAGUCAGUUGUUCACCGACCAUUGCCAAAUGCGGACUGGUUGCAAUUGUCAUUUUGCCGUAUAAAUUCUUGCAUACCACACUUUUAAGAGCUCUUAUUAGCACAACUUCAUGCUAUUAAAAAAGGCUUUAAUAUAUUCACGGAAGGAUUCGACAGUUUGCUCUGCUCUUCCUCUCUCUCACACACUGCAAAUUUCGCUUACCUUCUCUCAGAAGUUUCCUAUACCUCCUGCUUUAUUAGAAUGGGGUGGAAUUAUACUCUUUUUACCUUUAAUCAUGUUGGUAAAAGAUACCUUAUCUCUUAUCCGAUGAAUAUUAACAUCACAUGAGGAGAAUAGAGGAGGAAAGCGCUUUGUAUGGAUGAAACAAAGACCCUGGACGCAAAUCAAGGCAACCAGUAGAUAAUCUGAAAAUAGAAAGGAACUUAGUCGCUUUUUUACAAGAGAAUCACUGUUUGGAUAUACAAGAGCCUAAAGGUUGAACUCUUAAAUAAGGGCCGGAAGUUUCUAAUACCCUCCAAUAUGUUUUUUUUUUUUGGAAAGAUUAACUAUGCCACAUGGUGUAGGUUCCAUAUAUUCGUUUGAAUCAAUAAGCUCAUCCCUUUCUUGUGCAAGUCCGUGUGCUCGAAGAUUAAGUGGACAUAGCUUGUUCAUUGUCUUCAACUUUGUAAUAUAGUAGUGGGAAGAUGAGAUUGCUUUAUUCUUUUUGCUGGAAAGUUUCUGGUGGACAUAGCUUCUAGCCUUGACAUAUCUCUCCUUUCCUUUCCUUUGCUUGCUUUUUACAACUUCAUGUUGUUCUGAUUUAUACCUCCAUAUGAUGAGCUCUGGGAACAUUGAUGGCUGUUGAGGAUCUUCCUGAUGGUGGUGUAUAUUUUUGAAUGAAACAUGAAGAUGUGAAUGACCUCUCUAACCCCUCCUUUGAUGUGCUGUACAUGGACAUGUCUCAUUCAUUGUUAUUUGCUGGUCGAUUUUCUUAUGCCAAUAAAUCUCAGAUGAAAAGCCAUUUUAUACGAUCUUUAUUCUUCCCAGAAUCCCUUUUGAAGCCAACAAAUCAGCAUUGAUACUACUUCCAGUUAGCUUUGCUUUUUAAUCCCACGCAAGGAACCGAAUAUGUUGGUGUUCUAGUUGAUGGGUUGGCAUGCCUAGAAUUUCCUUCCAAAAUGACAUGUAUUUUUGUUACUUAUGAGAUGUAAGAUCUGGAACUUUUACCCACAGACCUGCUUGGAGCGCCAAUGCUGGAAUGCCGAUGGAUCAAAUUAUAGAUUUUAUGACCAGUUUCGGAAUAUUUGUGAUGAAGCAUUCUUUUGAUUGCUGUGUAGUAGAUUAAACCACAAGCAUUUGCCCUCCAGUUGGCUUUUUGUGAGGUCUAAGUAGCUAUUGUCUUCUCUGCUUCUGUGAACUAAAAUUAACAUGCGCUCUGUUUACGCACUUGUACCACAAGCAUAAACAAUGGCUUCCUAGCAUGCACUAAACAAUCAUCAUGUUCUCCGUAUCUGCCUUACAGAGCUCACAGAUUUACCUUCCAACAGAAAAAGCAAAAAAAAAUAAAAAAAUCAUGAAAUUCUUUGGCUAAUUGCAGGCGAAGUGCAUUGUGAACAACCAAACAAUUCGUUGUACACGUUCACUGGCAAUCUUACACAUCAAAAGCAAACUGUACCUCUCCCCCAAAUCAAAUUCCGUUGUGGGUAUGGUUGCUUUUCUGCUUGUUUAUUGUCCUUGAUUUAUUUUGUAGGUCUUCAUUUUUUUAUUCAUUGGGUUGUUGUAAAGUUUUUUGACGCAUGAACCUCUUACUCAAGUUCUCUGCAUCUCUUGUAAAUAUGUGCUUUAGAAAUACGUUUGAUCAUUCAAGUAAUGUGGAUUUAAUCUAUUCUUCUGCUUCUAAAUGUUAUUUAUGUUGAUGUGGACUCUUCAUUCACUAAACUGUGUAACCGUGGCAUAACUUGUUCCCAGGGAUGCAGUCUUAGGAACACUGAACAUAUUGUUGGUGCUGUCAAUUUUACUGGUCAUGAGACUAAGGUAUGCUUCCAGAAAUCUCUGUUUUGGUCCUUUGUUACUUUCCUUACUAGUGGAGAUCUCUGAUUAGAUGAAACAGAUUUAAUUCUGCUGAAGUGAAAAUGGUAUCUUUGCAAUACAAAUAUGCCCUGAAUUGUGACAGGCAUUCUCCACCUCUCUUGAGAACAUUGAUUUUAUUAGGUCCAUCUCUUUUUGGCGCUUGCAGGUUAUGAUGAAUGCUGCGAAUGUUCCUUCCAAGAGGAGUACAUUAGAGAGAAAACUGGACAAACUUAUACUCACCCUUAUUGCUACUCUCUUUGUCAGGUGCGCAUUGGAGCCAUUGGCAGGUGUGGCUAUUUCCUGCUACGGAUUUCUCAAAUGUGCUCCCGUUAUUACAUGAAAUUACUUAUUCUUAAAAAGUUCGGAGAGUCGGUCUCAGAAAUAUAACAUAUUGAAUCAGAAUGCACUCUUAAUGUCUUGUACAAUGAAUUCUAGCGAUUAUUAGCUGAUACACAAUCCCCAGGAGGAGCCAAAUCUGUACACUCUUUACUGGAGGCGUUAUUGCUCGCUCAAUUCAGUCAGUCAAAAUGAAUAGAAAUGGGCAUCUUAUACCUGCAUUUUUGUAUGGUGGCCGAGCAAAUAUUGGCUUUCAAUGUAAAUGAAGUGUUGUGCCAAUCUAAUUGCUUUCACAUACGCGGUGUGAAUACUCUUGUCUACUUUCAAGUUCUUUCCACAGAUAAGAUUAUGCAACCAUGAAGAGAUUAGAAGAAGCAACAUUAUCAAUGUGGAAUUCAAUCUCUACUCAAAAACACUAAAGACUCUGCAUAAAAAAGAAGAGUGACUUUCUAAUGUAAGAACACUUUCCAAGUUAUACACAUAUAACAGCCAAUUGCAAAUCUACCAGCAUGGUAUUAGCAGCUAAAACUUACUUGCUUUGCAGCUAAAACAUAUUCUCCAAUUGCAUCUUGUAAAGGCAAGCCAAAAGAAUGAAUCAUUAGAGGUCAAGAAUUUGUGUAAAGAAAAAAAACAGAUAACUUCUUAUAUUGUAAACAUUCAUGAAGCCGAUAGUAAAAGUAGGAAAAUCUUUCACUGACUACGCACCAUUGAUAAAAGGAUGAUCCUUACUCUACUACACAACAGUGAUGGAAGCCACAGGUAGGCAAAUUUUCUCAACCCGAUAGUACUCCGAUCAUCCCGAAAACCAUAAAGACAUUUCCAUGUUUUAGCAAUGCUUAAUUACAUGUGAGUAUGGUCUAGUAUUACUGUCUUCAAAAGGUUGAGCUCAGGCCGAACGCAUUGUGGUCCUUCACACAGAAGUGCUCAUCUUGCAAGGGGUUCUUAUAGGUCGGGAUUAUUGACACCGGAAUUGUACCAACAACGAAACAAUAAAAAGAAGAAUAACAAUAAUAAUAAAAAUUUUGUCAUACGCGACAGCUAGUAUGAUAGAAUUUUUCAUUCCCGAGGGCCCACCGCUGAUUUUCCCUUCUCUCUUGAAUUCGGUUAUGACAGCAAUAACCAAAGUUCUCGAUUGUGCUUCGCGUCCGUAGCCUUUACCGUCCUCCCUAGCUCCACCGGAAGCCGCCGUCGGCCUUCCAUCUCCGAUUACGGCAGAUGCACGAAGGAAGGCACACAACACACACGCAGAAGAAACGAAGCUCAAUCCUGGAAUCCAAAGUUCAUUGUCGUUGAUUCGAGGUUAGCCGGAGGUGAAUCGACGUCGAUUCCACUGUUCAUGACUUCGAUUGCGGUUCCGGUGUCGCCUGGUUGCAGUUCCGAUCGCGUGCUGUGCUGACCACGAGGUGUUCCUGCGAUUCGUUCUUUCGCUUCAGUGAUCGGCGGAAGUUUUCGGUAGAUUCGAAUCGCAUGGAAAAGGACGCCCCGUCUCAGUUGGUUCCAACCAUCGCUUACGAAUCUUCUCUCCACCGACUGAACUCUUCGACUUCUUGCUCUAGUCCAAGCCCAAGAGUCGUCCUCGCGUCGAAUGAAUGUACGGAUACUACUCGGGAAGUGUUCAAUGAAAUGACCGAAGGAAUCCAUCCGUUAUUCUGUCCUGUUGAUGGCCGUUAGAAUCAAUGCUAUAAUAGGGAGGCUGUGCUAGUCGUCAUCUCGAGCUCGCCGUCAUCGCCACCAAAUCAUCAGGUCAUCUCUUCUCCAGUUAAGCUUUGUUGUUGGCGUCGAUUUGUUCUAGACUGGCCUCUCUCGAUCUCUGUUCUGUUCCUUUUUUCUUUUUCUUUUUUUUCCUCCCCUUUCGCUUGACUGCUUCAUCGUCAGACAUUUGCUGCGUCGUCGUGCCGAGACACUCCUCAUCACCAAAAGCCAGAAGCGGGACUGCGACAGCAGAAACCAAGGAGAUGCGGUCGCGAUUGCUUUCGAUAAUUCCGCUUGCGUAGCUCGCUGCAUCAGAGGGAUCGAGUCAACUAAAACCUUCCACAAAGAACAAUAAUCAUUGAUGCACCACACGUAACGGUAAUCAUCGAUGUGCCAUUUUGAUACUAGCAACAUCAUCUAAAAGCAGUUUCGCCUUGACAGCAAACCGACCGAAUAAGAACGAAGCAACUGGAAUGACAUCAGUUGGAGCUUGAAUUCAUGGAAACGAGCGGCAGCGACAAUGAUCUGCAUCUGACGCCCCUGAAGGUCUUCUGGUGGAGACAUUGCUAGCCGAAGACAAUGAAUGUGACUUGGAAUUUCUGUCUACUCCGAGCUCAGCGUCGAGGUAGAGAAGGCCAGGCCAGGCAAGGGGAAAAGUUUGAAAGGUGGGAGUAAUGGGGUAGUGGGUCUAGGCUGCGGAUCAAAUCAAUGGGUUGCUCUUGUGGGCCGUACCAAUUGGACUAACUUGGCCUUUUCUAUUUGUUAUUUAUCUUUUUAUUACUCUUUUUCUUUUGUUCUUUUUUACUUCCAUUCAUUGUCUUAUGCUCAUUUUUUUCAGAAAAACGUAUGCUUAAUUUUUUGACUAAAAUUCAGAUGUCGACAAUUUCGAAUAUGUUUACCCUAAUAUUUAAAGAAGAAUAUCAUGCCAUCGUGAACAAAGUACAAAAUAUCGUAUGUUUUUGUUGUGUCAAUUCUUUACUUCCCAAAAAGCUAGAGUAGUUUAUUGAUCGAUGUAAAAAAUGGGCCAAAAAAAUGGGACAAGCCAAUCGAAUUGAAUCGGAUGUGUUGAUGAAAUAUCAACUCAUUUAAAAUGACUUAAUUGAUGACUUGGAUUCAUAUAGACUCGAUUUCCAAUCUUGCCCAUUUGGCAGGUUGAAGUCCUAGAAUAUCACGAUGGAAGAUUAAACAAAGAUUAGUACAAGGCAAGAGAAAGAGAUGGUUUUCUUUAGUAAAAAUUGAUUCCUUCGUGUUUUAUUUUUCCUGUUUGAGGAUUCUUUUCAAUUUAUUGAAAGUUCUCAAAUCGAAGAAAUGAUUAAACAUGGCAAAGAGUCAAGGAAAAAGCAAAAGAAAUGAAUAAAUAUGUUGAGAAUAAAAUAGGUUUUAAUAAAAUCAAUUUUUAUAAAUUUUCACCCAAAAAACCGGACAUGAUUGGUCAAGUGGUCCAAGACUUGAUUUGCAAGCCGAAGGUCACAAAUUUGAUUUCCCAAUCUAUUAUCCAUUUUGGGAUAAUUAUGUGAAUAACUUGGCAGAAUUAAUUUGAACAAUAUCUGGUGGCGAACAUAUUCACCCAUUGGUGGCCAAAGAUUGUUAUGGGUCGGAGAAACUCCAAAUAGAAUGUCCAGCAUAAACAUUUGGGUUGCCAUUGAUGCCCUUCAAUGAUGGGCUGUGACUGUACUCUGACGAGUUUCCAUUUCCAUGAUGAUCUCGAAAGACUUCCCUUCGCACAUAGAAUCAUAAUUUCAGAAAACCUUUUUUGACAAUAAUGAUGCUGAUAGACAAUUUUGCCUCCAUACGAGAAAAAGGCAAAUCUAUGGCUGAGUAGUUCGCACUGAGCAUUUGAUCCUUCAAAUUUCAUUUGUUCCUUUUGUUUGUUUAGGAGAAUAUAAUGUUCUCUACUUUUUUUUUUUUUUUUUUUUUUUUUUUAAGGUUCCCUCAAAUGCUGAAAAAGAAAAUUUGCUCGACGAGACUGAAAACAUGGUAGUGCAUUAUUCUUCUAGUGUUUUGCACAUGGCAUGAAGAAGCAGUUCAAGAAACUAGCCAGGAACUAGGAUUAUUUUGGAAGUAAGAUAAUAAUUACGAUCCCGGACAAAAGCUUCGUGAUGAUCAAGCAGGAAAUAUUAGACCAGGACAUCGUGAAACAACAAAGGAGGUUUUGGCUUAUGAGGUAGAGUUAAUGUACUUAGAUCAAGCCCUCCAGCCUUUGAGGAGACGUGCCUUCGCAAGAGACUCGCCUCCAAAUGGUUAUAACAUAACAGCCUCUUGGAACAUGUCAUCUCGACGAUCAUCGGUCCAUUUCUUUCUUGUCAUAUAAAUCCGUGUCAAUAGACACGUUGAAGAAGGUGCGGGUAAUUGUCCCAAGGAAGUCCAAGAAACAUUGAUGAUAAGUUCCAAGAAGCUAGACUAUGAGGAAAAACAAUUAUUUCUUGAUUGUGUUGUUUGGCUCUCGCUGGGUGUGCAAUGAUCACUUCCAAUUAUAGUCCUUUUUCCUCUCUUGAAUAAGUAUAAACUUUGUUUGGUAUUCUAGCACAUGAAGUUCCAAUCCAUGCCAAAUUGUAACUAUCAAGUCAUAACGGUGAAUUAAAGGUGGAUGAUAGGCUCCUAUAGAAAAUGAUAGUGUAGAGUGUGGGACAACUGGACAGAACUCAUAUUUUGCAGGCAGUGAGGCCCAAAGGUAAUUUUAGUACAAAGAAAUGGUGGAAUGACCCUUUUUGUUUAAAUCAGUGGAGCAUAGGAUUUUGGGGACUUCUUUAUUUUCAAAAUAUAAUUUUGGGUUCUUUAAGGUCAAGCAUAAUCAAAUGGACAUAUUUAUUUUUUUAGUGAUCACGUAGAUGUUAUAGAUGAUUAGAUGAUGCAUUGUACAACCUGUGCCCGUUUGUUAGUACUGAAGGUGUACUCUAACGAUGCAUACGAUACCAAUGGAGUGAGCAUGUCCUGAUCCACUAUGGAAAGAAAAUGAAAACAAGAUGCUUUGGCCUUCCACCACCGCAAACGGUCACCGUUGUCUUCCUUGAACUUUCCAAACAUGGUACUCGUCAUCCUUGUUGAGAUGUCCAUUCGCCUCAGUAGCAGCCGACAUCGAUGUACUCGAGGCCUGUCCAUUAUAAUUGGGGGGCGCAUGUGGCCCGAGAGCAUGGGUCCGAACUGACCUAGCCCAUUGGCCAUCCCAAAUAAAAUCUAACCAGGAAGAACCUUAUAAUAUUUUCUGAGAGUCGAGAAUCCUUCCUUGCAAGCGUUGCCAACACCUUUGUAGAUAUUUCUGUAGCUACAACCCAUCUCAUUCAAGUAUAUUUCACAUGUCCCAUUUAGAAAUGGCAGUCCAGAAAAUGCAACUAUUUUAUGGGCCCAAUGAACUCGUGGUUUAAGGGAAGAAGGAACUCAUUUUACAUUUCCUGCCCUCUCCUUUUUUUUUUUUGGUAACCGAGGAAACUCGCGCACCGUAUCAACACGGACAAUCCAAAAGAUCCGGAAUAAUGGAAGUAAAUCCUGAAAGCAACAUGUGCUAGCCACCAAACACGUUUCACCGGUCAUCACAUACGUUUCCCCUCUCUUUCCUCCCACUUUUUGGAGCCAAAUAUCUUUACAAUGUGACCCACGAUGCAUCGAAGUCGUACGGCCCAUCUGCUGCAACAUAAAUGAGAUUUUGACAUAACCCAUCUGCUAUAACAUGAAUGAUAUUUGACAUAACUCAUCCCAGUCAAAUAUCUAUCACAUAUCCCAUCUCGAAAUGACAGAGUCCGGAAAAUGUAAAUAUAUUCUGAGCCCAUUGAAGUCGUCAUUUAAGGGAAGAAGGAACUCGUUUUGCCUUUCCCCUCUCUUUCCUCCCGCUUUAUCUUUGCAAUGUGACCCACGAUGCAUCAUAGUCGUACUGCCCAUCUGCGAGAACAUAAAUGAGAUUUUGACAUAUCUGCUACAGCAUGAAUGAGAUUGACAUAACUCAUCUCCGACAAAAAUCCAUCACGUGUCCCACCUCGAAAUGACAAAGUCCAAAAAAUGCAAAUAUAUUCUGGGCCCAUUGAACUAAAGAGGAUCUCAUUUUGCAUUUUUCCUUUUUUUUUUUUUAUGACUUAAGGAAUCCCAUAAGCCAAUUGACAACAGACAAAUCGUAGGGCAACGCUAGCAAAAGACCCACCAUAAAGACAUCGCGCUUAAGGUCUCGUGCGUCUCUCGGGAUUCGAACUUCUCCGUCUUGGAUAGACGUCAUAGAAGCUUUUAUUCAGCUGGACCACUACAGAUGAUGGUGCAUUUCCCCUAUCUUUCCUCCCACUAUUUGGAGGAAAAUAUCUUUGCAAUGUGACCCACGAUGCAUCAAAGUCGUACUACCCAUUUGUUGCAACAUAAAUGAGACUGCUAUAGCAUGAAUGAGAUUGACAUAACUCAUCUCAAGCAAAUAUUUAUCACAAAUAUUUGAUUAAGAAGCAGAAUAAUAAUGAUAGGAUAUGAAGACAAUAUUUAGAAGAAAAUAAAAUUUUCCAAUCAUGCCUUGAAAAGAAUAUAGGUCUCAUUAAUGUAAAGCUGAUCUAAAGCUGAUCUGACCAUUUUGGAUUCUCUUAUUUUCCUUUGUUUCCCCUCACAAGUAAGGGAAUAUUUUGUGGACCCAUAGGAAAUUUUUUCUCUUCAGUUCUCUCCUCUAGAUCAAUCAACAUGGGCAAUGUAAUUAAUGCAUGGUUUUCUCUGAUAUCAUACUCAAAAAGAAGAAAGAAAUGAAUAGUUUCUUUUAAGAGGGAGAUGAAAUUUGGUGAAAAUUGCCAGAAUAAUUUCCAUACAUUCCAAUCUCCAGUCGAAGAGAUUUAUUGAUUAUGUUAAGCCCCAGGUUUAGGUUGCACCAACUUGGAUCCAGAAAAGGACAAAGAUUAUAAAUAUUCAAUAAUGCUCAGAGGAUGUUUAUUAUAUAGAUAAUAAAAUCUAGAUUACUGGGAACAGGUAUGGAAAGGUUGAAAAGUACAAGACGAGCGCAUGCAUGCAUUGGACAAGGACAGGCUAGAGAGCUUGUCCCCUUUCUUGAGACGGGCUUUAGUGUAGUUUUGGUGCUGCCCUUCCUUGGGAUCAGAAAAUCCAACUUGAAUUUUGCUGGACUGGACGACGUGCAAAAAAAGAGAAUAGGACGGACUGGGGUCCCUGACCAUGAGGUUGACAUGACAAGGAGCUUUAGGGCUUGCAUGGAAACACUCAUUGUUUCUAUUUUUGAACAAUUUUUUUGUUUUUUUUUCUUGGAACAAAAUUAAAACAAAAAAAACUUACUUCUUGUUCCAAAAUCAAUUUUGAAGAAACACUUCUUCUUCUCUCUUCUCUUUUCUUCUUCUUUUUUUUUUGCCGAUCGCCGGCCUUGGCCAUGGCCGGCGAUCGUCGGGGCUUCUGGCGCGAGCAAAGGCGGUGGGUCGCGAGCGGAGACGAGCUCGGCUCAGAUCUGCCUGCGUCGGGUAGUUGGCGACGGGCGUUGAGGCAGAGCACGGCAGCGACGGGCGUCGAGCGGCGAGGGUUCGCGCGAGCGACGUCGGUGACUGGCGUCUAGUGGUGGUGGCCUUGAGGGCGAGCGGCGUCCGGCGGCAAGACUCAGAGCGGCGUCCGGCGAGACUCUGAAAAAUGGAAAGUGAGGGGGUCGGUAGUCUCGGGGGAGUGGGGUUCCCUUUGGAACCCUAAGCGGUUCCAAAACCGGUUCCACGACUGGUUCCCAAAAAAAAGGAACCGGAACCGGAACCGGGAACCGAACCGGACCCUCCUUCGGUUCGGUUCCGGUUCCCGGGUAACCCGGGAACCGUGCUCAGCCCUAGGGGAAAUGGACGAUGGUGGGAGGGAAAGAAUAAAAAAUUAAUUUGGGGGUGGGGGGAAUCGACCGCUGUCAGGUGGUGGGGAGGGAAAAAGAAAGCAAAAAAAAUUUGGGGGGAAAAAAUACGAGGGAAGCUUGGGCGCAGAUUGGGGGGUGGGAGGUUUGAAAAUUAAAAGUAAAUUUGGGGAGAGGGGAGGAUUUCGAAAAAUAAAUAUAAAUUUGGGAUAAUGAAAUAAAAAAAAGUGUAAAACUUAUUAAUAUUAUUAGUAUAAAUUCAUUGUAAACUCUUUAUUUAUUUAUUUAUUUGUUUAUGAAUUUGAAUCAAAUUAAUUAAAAAUAAAAAUAUUUAUUUAAUAUUUAACGUGUCGGAACGUGUCAAAAUUCUUUACUUUUUGAGAAAUGACGUAUCGCGUGUCCGUGUCGCCGUGUCUGUGCUACCUAGGUUGGUACGUGUUAUGGAGGGAAGGAUGCGGCAAGGAUUUGGGAGUCUACAGUGAGAAGCGUCGGCUUUGUGAAUUGUUACGUUGUUUUUGCGUAGAAUGAAUCGGAAAGAGAAAGAGGGUCAUUUCGUGGAGGUUUAUAGCAAAGAGUGGUCAGCGAGAGAGGGAGAGAGAGAGAGAGAAGUGGUCCCAUAUAGUCCAUGACAGAGGCUGACAUUAUCGAGUUCAAGGAACACUUCUAUGGAUCUCAUGAUCCCGUUAAACAUACAUAUAAUUACAUACAUAUAUGCUUCGUAUUCACGAGAUCCGUUAACGAAGUGUAAUCGAUCAAUAAAAUUGCAUUUUCUUAUAACUAUUAAAGUGAGGUUUUUGAGAAAAAAUUAUGAUGAUAAAAGAAAAUAACAGGGCAUUUUCCAUGAACUUUCAUUUUUUUUCUCAAUGAAGUGUUUAGGUCUCUUUGAAUAUUUAACUAAUCUUCAUUAUGUGCAGUGGUCCCUCCAUUUCGCACGCGCCGAAUAAUAACCGUUGACACACCGUUUUUAUAUUACAAUCUUUUGAAAAUCUGAUGGUUGCCGCACUUGAAACUUCUUUUUAUCUAGAUUUCUAUUGGAAGUUGAUUUUGGUCGCUUACCAUUUUAAACUUGGGAGCUAAUCCCCCUUCCAUUUUUGAACUCCUGAAAAGGUUUGGUAAAUAUUUUUUGGGUAAAAGUCAACAAUAAUUUUAAAUUAUAUCCAUUGUAACAUAUUUAUCCUGAAAAGUUUUUUACGACACAAAAAAUACUAAAUUUAUAUUUAUGUGAUAUAUUUAUCCCAAGCUUGUAAAGUGUAAUAUAUUUUCCACAAAUUUCUUUUUGAGACACUAAAGAUCCUAAAUUUAUAUUUGUAUGACACAUUUACAUAAAGAAUUGCAUCUUCAUUUUGAUGUGAAACAUGAGAUGUACAAAAUUCUCCCACAAGUGUCGAUGUCCUUGUAUUUAACAAUGCACAUCGACUGGACUAUAGAUGCACAUGUUAUUCAAAGAGACGUCAUUAUUGUCAUUUUAAGUUCUCAACUCGAAUUACGUUUUGCACUUCGCAUUAUAGCUCAUCAUUCACUUAAUUCCAUCAAGCUAUAAUAAGAAUGAAGAAGUAAAAAUGAACUGUAGAUGGUUUGCAUAAAGAAACAAAGUAGAUUAACGAGACAACGUCUUCAUCCUCUGAAAUGUUUCAUGGAGAUGUUUUUGUAUAAGGGUGGUAGCUUCUUUAAUUAAAUUUCGCCAAUUAAUAUUCGCUUAUUUAAUCCUAUAUUACCUGAUUGUGGUUUAGCAAUUGGAUAUUAUAGCUACAUAUGAAAUAUAUACCUUUUUACUAGAAUUUUUAUUAUGCCCGCGGCUUAUAGAAGAAUAGUUUCCAUGCGGCACUACACUAUUUAUAUGACUGUUUGAUUAUGUCAAGUGAUUUAAAUUUUGGAUUAUAUGGGUAAGAAUAUUUUACAAUAGAUUAAAAUCAUUUUCGUUUUGAGUUAUAGACCUAACUAGGAGGGUAGCUUUAUUUGGGGCUAAAUAUUUGUGGCUGUGCAUAUAUUAACAUGAUGCUUUGAGGAUAUUUCAGCAAGUCGUUUUCUAAUUUUUAUUUUUCUAGGUAAAUACGUGUUCUUAAAUAGACGAUAUUCUUUGCUCCUCUUCCGAUUUUGAGAUUUGUCUAUCUUCUGUACAAUUGAAGUGGGCCUGAACAUUUUCCUAUACUGUUCACGCGUCAAUUGUCGUGCAGAGUAUUUAAGUAAAAGAAACACAGAUGGGACGACCCGGUGGAAUUGGAUCCCUCGGUGAUUGACUUGAGUAGCCUUCACGGGCAUGAAGUCGUAUUGCCCAUCUGCACCGCCAGGUUGACAGAACACGAAGCUUUAAUAAUUUCCAUGUGACCGGCGAUGGCCAAACAGCAAAUUUUAACUCCACCUUGGUUAACUCCUGACGUCACUUCGUUCUAUCUUUCUCCUUUUCUGCGUUUUAGAAAGGGAGAGCGCAGCAGCAGCAUCAGAGCAACGAUGGUGGACGUGCUGUUGGCACGUGUUUUUUUUUGGGGGGGGUGGGGGUUGUUGGGGGGGUGCCCGUAAGGAUUUGGAGUCUGCGAUGGCAAGCGUGAAUUGUUGCGUUAUAUUUUGCAGAGAAUCGUAAAGAGCGUCAUUACGUGGGGGUUAAUAACAGAGAGAGGUCACAGCGACAGGUGGUCAGGCUUGACCAUUGAGUAGCGUGAGAUCUGUAUAAUCCCUUUAAUCCCGUUAUCAAGUCCAUGCAACUUUUAACCUGUACAAUUUAAUCCCUUAACUAUUGAUGAUUGUCCGAUUUAAUUACUGAAUUUUCAAUCGGCUUAAUUUAGUCUCUAAACUAUUGAUAAAUGUUCAAUUUUUUCAUAACUGACAGAUCAAGGUUCUCAAAAAUAGAUGUUAUGCUCAUUAAUCCUGAUAAAAUUAAAUGAAAAGUCAGUAUUCCAAUGGGGUUAUAUGUAUAGCUCAAAACUUAUGCAUAUUUAUGAGACUAAUAGAUAGGUGUCUCUUAAAAAUCAAUGGAGUGUCUAGAAUUCUUUUAACGAUCAAAUAAUCUCCAUCAAGUACGGUGAUACUUUUGUUCUACGCACAUCAACAAUUACCGGAGACACGGGCCUGUGUUCCCAGUGGUGGCCCUAAGAUAAGAAAAUGCACAGAUGUGAUAAUUCAAUCACAUGCCACAAGUGAGGAGGAUAGACACAAUCAUGACUUGAGCAACCUCCUAGAUUUAAAAAAUAGGCACCACUUAGUUUUCUUGGAAGAAAGCUUAAUUUUCCCUUAUAAAUAAUUCUUGAUUUUGUAAAUAAUAUCUACAAUUGUGAUCAUGGUUUUAUAUUACAAUCUUCUAAAAAAUUUUAGUCGCCGCCCUUGAUUUUUUUAUUCUCAAUUUCAAUUGGAAGUUGAAUUUGGUAACUUAAUUUUUUAAGGGAUAAAUCUAAUGAAAAUUCUAAAACUUGUCAUGAAAUUGCAAUUAAGUUAUAAAAUUUUCAAAAAGUGCAAUCAAAUUUUAAAACUUGUCGCGAAAGUAUAAUUGAAUCCUAAAACGUUAAAAAAAUAUAAUUUAAUCUUAAAACUUGUCAUAAAAGUAUAAUCAAGUUAUACAAAUUUCAAAAUAUGCAAUCAACGGAAGGACUUGAUUGGACCAAUUUGACAUAUUUUAUGAUUUAAUUGUACUUUUGUAACAAGUUUUAAAACUUAAUUGUAUUUUUUGAAAGUUUUAUGACUCAAUUGUACUUCAUAACAUGUUUUAAUAUUUCCAAUGCACGUAUUCCAUGUUUUGAACUUGGGAGUUGAGCCCCACUUAUUUUCUUUUAACUCAUGGGAAGCUUUGGAGAAUAUUUAUUUUACACUCGAAAUAUUUCAUUAAAGUUUAGAUUCAAAUGAUGAGGCAUGAUCAAUUAAAAUCUACUAGUAAAAGUAAUGGGUCACAAGCUUGGUAAAACUUGGAGUUGAUUAUUGUGGUAUGAUUAGCUUAAAUAUUAAGAUAUACAUGGAAAUAGAGUGUAACUCUCAUGGAUCUUAUCUUUUUAGGAGAGUCAUGGCAAAACCAUUCUAGUUUGUUGGCAUCGAAACUUUAUGUUGUUGCCCUACUACCACAUAUUUCAAAUAGACUUUGAAAACUUGUCAACUCUCCUUAUCAAUAAAUGCGCGGCACUUUCCUGUUUUGAAAGGCUUGGUGAAGUGGAGGGAACUGCAAAUUAUCAGGUGCAAAUGCCUCACGAGGACACCUGGUCUGUCGGGCUACAAUCCUCGGAGACACCUAGUGAGAUUCAAGGUUUGUGGGAAUUAAGAUCUUUGUUGCACUCAGUAGUUUCCUACUGUGAUUCAAUUGAAAGAUUUCCUAAUCUAUCCAAGUUGAAGAAGCUUAGGUGUGUUGAACUGAAAGCUUUUCCUAAGCCAGGAGCCAUGGAAUGCCGCAAUAGACUAGUCUUUAAAGUACCUGGAGACGAAUCGAAUAUCUCUUGGAGCUACCACCUCGAAGGUACACCUUACGAAAAUUGCACUGUGCUGCCUGUGCAGGAGACAUUAUUGCCCAUUGACUUUCAACAAUUCAAGUCAAUAUAUAUAUAGAUAUAAUUUUGCGAACAAUUCCAGUCAAGUUCAAACACUACAUUUUCUUGAAAGCUGUAUGAAAUGUUAUUUUUUAGUUCUUCUUUCGACUUGUUUUAGCAAUUAUUCUCAACAAACAUGAGGAACUCCAUGAUAAAGGAAAAUGCAUUUUCUAAAAACAUGAUAUGUUUUCCUUUAUUUGGUAAUAUAUAAUCGAAAUUGCUUCAUGAUGUUUGGACUUCAUUGGAAAAUGAUUUUAAUCUCAUGAUCUUAUUUCAAGCAAAAAAAUUACAUUUUUAAUUUUUUUUAAAUUAGAAUUUUUAAUUUUUUUUUCUUUUUAAAUUCGAAUUUUGAAUUAUUUUUAUUUUCCUUUUUCUCUUUUCUUUCCUUUACUCUUUCCUAAUUCCCUUGCCAUGACUAGCCGGUGACAACCACAGGCAAGCUCGAGCUCAUUGGGAUCAAGCGAGUUCCAAGCUUGUUGGCUUUGACGAAGCUCAAGCUUGCCUGGAUUUGGCGAGCCGCGAGCUCAAGCUCGUCAAAAUUGAGCGAGCUGUGAAUUGGCCAAGCUCGAGCUCACCUAGAUCGGUCGAGCCUUGAGCUCGCUGGCUUGCAUCAUGGCUAAUUGCCAAGCUACUGACCCUCGCUGAGGCACCCGGCUGGCGGAGGAAGAAGGAGAAAGGAAAAGAAAGAAAAGAGAAAAGAAGAAAAAAAAAAAAGAAGAAAAGAAAAUAAUAUUUGAAAAUUUUGUAAAGAAAUAAUUAAAUAAUCAAUUUUUUAAUAAGAAUAAAAGUUUUAUUAACCAAUGACCCAAAGAGUAGAAUAAUUUUGAGCAAACGUUUUCUAGUUCCUUUAUAAGGGAAAUCAUUUUCUUGAAUUAAAAUUUUAGUACGUAAACCAUUUAUGUGACUCAUUUUCCUAAAUGAACCAAAAGUUGAAAAAUGAGAAAAAUAUUUUUCGCCAUAUAAAAGCACCCUUAAUUUUAUUACCAAGCAUGUGGCAGUAUUGAAUGAUCAAGAAGGCAUAAUGAAACCAUCAGAUGCCGAAUAUGAAGGAGUACAUCUUAUUACAAGACAUCUGAUCGGUGGCAAUGGUAACGUGACUCUUGCCGAUGUUAUCUUAAGCCAGUUAUAGGCUAGCUUCAACUCUACUACAACUUGAAGAGCGGGGUUGGCCAUUGAAGGGUGUAUGAGGACUCAAAACACUUUCCUACACCUAUGUCCUCACAAGUGCCAUUAUAUAUUGAAUUUCCGGCAUUUGUAGUAAACAUUUUCAAAAAUAUUAUGACAUGAAAAGUUUUUAGAAGUCAUGAUAUUUUAAAUAAUAAAAAAUUAUAGAAGUUAAGUGACUGAAAAAAUUAUGAUAUUUAAAUAAAUGUGGUACGAAAAUUACGAUGACUUUUUUUUAAGGUUAGCAAUACAUUUACGCAAGCACUUGCAAGAUGUUUUUGCAUGAAAAUGAGACAGUCUUUUUACGGCAGAGGAAGGAAUGAAAAAAGCAUGUUGUCCAAAACGGGCGGUUGCCACAUAGCACAACAGGAGAAAAUAUUAUUGCGCUUAGUGGGACUCUAUUAUUUGUGCAACUUUAUUGAAGCUGAUACCUAAAAGAGCUCGUGAAGUGAAGUUACUGAUAUUGAGGUGCAUCAUCUAAAUCGGAAUCUGGACCAUAGCUCGGUCCCAUGUGGAGAUUGGUGCAUCGCUGCUGCAGUGCUGCUGAUUUUCAGUGCCGAGGUCAGUUGUGUUAAACGAUUAAGCAUAAUCAAAUGGGAGAAAAUAUUUGGGGUCCCGACUGCCAAGCCAGCAUGCACUCCUACCAAUGAGGAAAUGACGCGUGGCUCCACAAUGCGCUAGUGGUUCCACUGGUUUCAGUUUAAAAAUUUAGAAAAAUGUCACAAACGGUCCCUAUACUAUUAUUUAAUGUGCAAUUUGAUCUCUGAACUUUCGAUCGGCUCAAUUUGGUCUCUGAAUUAUUGAUAAAUGUUCGAUUUGGUCCAUAAACUUUCAAUCGAUUCAAUUUGGUUUCUGAAUUAUUGAUAAAUAUCCGAUUCGGUCCCUGAACUUUCGAUCGACUCAAUUUGGUCCCUAAACUAUUGAUAAAUGUUCGAUUUAGUCAUUCUUUACUGUUUUUUUUCUUUUUUCUCUUUUUUUUCUUCUCUCUUCCCUUCGCCGGAGCUGGUGGAGGGAACCCAGCGUCCGGCGAGGCCAGCUCCGGCGAAGGGAACAGAGAAGAAAAAAAAAAAGAAAAAAAACAGUAAAGAAUGACUAAAUUGAACAUUUAUCAAUAGUUUAGAGACUAAAUUAAGCCGAUUGAAAGUUCAGUAAUUAAAUCGGACAUUUAUCAAUAGUUUAGAGAUUAAAUUGAACCGGUUAAAAGUUCAAGGAUUAAAUUGCAAAUUAAGUAAUAAUAUAUGGGUUAUUUGUGAUAUUUUUCCCAAAAAUUUACAGUCAUUAAUAAAUCUGCUGCCGCUUUUUUCUCCUCUCUAAUGGAGUAGGCCUGCACGCAUUAAAGGAGCUUUGUCUCUCGUCCUUUCUUUCCUUCUUUCCUUCUCACUUGAAAAUUUUGGGUGAGACUCUGGCCCAAAGCACGUUGCUCCUCCGGCGCCGGGUCAUCUUCACUCUCUGCCCCAAAGCUCGUUGCUUCUUCGGCCUGCGUCGUUGUGUUCCUUCUCCGCCCUCUGCUUCGGUGUGUUUUCCUUGCGCAAGACGGCGAGGAAUGUUCUUGCUGUAAGUCGCAAAGUCCAAUCGACAAGAAGUUCCACCUCUCUCCGAUUCGGCUUCGGAUCCACUACGUUCGCGGCUCAUAACAGUGAGUUGAUUCUUCCCCUGAUUUUUGUACUCUUCUUUUCUUUUCUUUUUCUUUGCUGUUUUUGCCUCUCGCUCUCUCUCUCUCUCUCUCUCUUUUUAGUUUAAGUUUCUUUUGUUGGUGGGUGAUUGCACGAGCUUGGCUAUCGAGUCGGCAAUUUUGCCCGUGAGUGUCCGGUGUUGUGAUUUUUGGGAGGUUGGUUUGUCUAGGCUAGCACUGAGUUUCAGUCCGAGGCGAAACGAAUGGUUGGAAGUUUCCGGGAAACCGGGGGAGAUUAGCAGAAAACGAAUGCUUAGUAAUAUUGGAGAUGAUGUGGAAGUAUUUCGUUGAAACGAAUAGUAGGCACUUGUCUGAUUUUUCUGUUGUUGGCUUUUGUCUUGAAGUAUUUCGGUGGAAGUAAUUCGAUUGGGGAAAAUGGCGGAUAUUGUUCCGCCUCCCUUGGCAUAUAUACUUUCUUUAACUCUCGUUUCUCCACAGAGAAGGGAAGAAAACCAGAAAGAAUUCAAAAAGGGGGAAUAUGGCGGAGGUCGUUCUUUGUGCGGCUACCACAGUGGCAGGGUGCCUGGUGGCUCCGGUUGAUCGUCUUUGUGGCUAUGUGAUUUCCUACGACAGGGACGUUCGCGAACUUGACCACGAAGUUGAGAAGUUGGGCAAUGCGAGGAAUGAGGUGCAACGUUCCAUCCGUGAAGCUCGAAACAUCAUGAAGCCGAUCAAAGCCGAGGUCGAGAAAUGGGUGAGAGAAGUGGAGACCGUCACUAACGAGGCGCGUGACGUGCUGGAUUACGACAGAAGAGCUGAGAAAACUUGCUUCUACGGGUGGCUUCCCAACCUGAAGGUGCGAUAUCAUCUCAGCAGGAAGGCGAGGAGGAAAGCCAAAGACAUCCAGGGACUCAUUGGUCGGAUUCCACCCGGGGAGGUCUACGAUGAUCCUCCUCCAGGGCUCGUUGUUGGCGCUUCCGACAUGAUUUCCUCGGCCGGUGAUCGAGGUGACACUAACUUCGAUUCUCGAGCUUCCAUCUUAGAGGACAUAAUGAAUGCUCUGGUUGACGAGAAGAACAAAGUGAUUGGGAUCUACGGGGAGGGUGGUGUGGGGAAGACUACGCUGUUGGAGCAAGUCGAGAAGAAACUCAGGAAUGAGAAGAGAUUGUUCCACAUGAUCGUCAAAGUGAAUGUGUCGCAGAACCCGGACUUUAAGAAAAUCCAAGAGGAUAUCGCUUACGACUUGGGUCUAAAAAGUCUGAAGGAUGUGACGAAUGAAGAGAGAAGAAAAGAACUUCUGUCCAAUAGAUUGCAGAAUCCGAGUGAGAAGGUUCUCAUAAUAAUGGACGAUCUGUGGAAAGAUCUUGAUCUGAGAAAGGUCGGAAUUCCUUCGAGAGACGUGAGCAAGGGAUGCAAGUUGCUGCUAACAUCGAGAUAUAGAAAUGUUCUGGAGCAAACGGAGUGUCACGAUUCCAUAUUUCGUCUUGAACGUUUAAAGGACGAUGAAGCAUUCAGGCUAUUUGAAAAGACGGUUGGCAAGCUCAAAGACGAUGAGACAUUGAAAGCAAUAGCGCCUAAAGUGGUCAAGAAGCUUGCAGGUUUGCCUCUUCUGAUUAUCUCCAUAGCGAGAAGCUUGAAAGAUAGGGAUGUGGCUGCAUGGAGAAUCGCUCUGAAAAAAAUAGACCCGUCAAAUAUAGAAACUAUAGUGAAGUUGAGUUACGACCAUUUGAAGAGUGAGGACACCAAGACCUUAUUCUUGCUCUGCGGUCUUAUUGGCGGGACCAUUGACGUGGAAAUCCUGCUGGUUUUAGGCAUGGGUUUAGGCUUGUUUGAGGAAUUCGGAAGGACGAUACAAGAUUCAAGAGAUGGAUUGAAUACUAUGCUUGAUGAACUCCGUUCUGUUUGUUUGUUGCUGGAUGGUGGUGAUGACAAAAACAAUAAGACCUUAACUGAGCUGUUGUAUAAUGAUGACUACAAGAACGAUGUGACCAUACAUGAUCUUUACAGUGAGGUGGUUGUCUCAACUCCAUUUAGUGGUCAGAAUUCUUUGAUGAUGAACAGCAAUUAUGGCUCAUGGUCAAAGGAAAAGCUUGAGAAAUUUUGGGCUAUAUGCCUAGCUGAUGUUGACAAAAGGAGAUUUGAUGAACUAAUGAAGUGUCAGUUUCCUGACUUGAAGAUACUCAUAUUGUCUCAACCGGAAGGCUGGCGUUGGAAACAACAACACGAACGUGAAGUGGGAGAUUGCUCAAGACUACUAGAUUUCACAUACAUGAAGGAGCUCCGUGGACUAUAUUUUCGCUCCAUGCAUAUGGCCAGUUUACCUCCCUCAAUUGGAAUCCUCGGGAACCUCCACUCUUUAUACUUAGACUGUCGUGAUGUGAAGGAUAUGGCAAUUCUUGGCAAGCUCAAAGCAUUGCAGAUUCUCACCCUCGCAGAGUCCACCAUUUCUAGGUUGCCUAAAGAAAUUGGGGAACUCACAAAUCUAAGAUCGUUGAAUCUAAGCAAAUGCUACGAGCUUAACACAAUUGCGCCCGGUAUCCUAAAUCGCUUAACCAACUUGGAAGAGUUACAUAUUUACCGCUUUUCUCAAUGGAUGGGUAAGGAUCAAAUACCGUCAAAAUCAUGUAAUGCUAGGCUUGCCGAGUUGAAGAGCUUGACAAAGCUAGCAUCUCUGGAAAUAUCGAUUUCUAAUCCCAUCAUACUCUUGGAGGAUGGUGACCUACCAUUUGAGAACCUGGACAAAUUUUGGAUCAACAUAGGAAAUGCUGGGGGGCAGAGACGUGGAGGUUUGCCAACCAUGGGGCUCAAUUUGGAAGGGUGCGAUAGUAUUCUUUCGACAAAAUGGGUUAAGAAAAAUCUGCAGAAGACUCGAUACUUAUAUUUAACCGGGUGUAGGGAGUUCAAAGAGAGCCCUCGCGAAUUGUGCACCCAAGAAUUCCAAGAAGUGAAGUGUCUCCACAUUGGAGACAGCCCCUCAAUCAAGUACAUUGUCGAUUCAUCCAAUGACCUCCCUCUCACUGCUUUUGGGAAGUUAGAGUCUUUUUCCCUUGAUAAUCUUAUUAAUUUGGAGAAGAUAUGCCACGGCCCCAUAGCGCCAAAGUGCUUCAACAAAUUGAAAGAUGUGAGUGUCGUACGAUGCAACCGAUUGAAAUACUUGUGGCGUCUUUCAGAUGUGCAAAGACUUGUACAAUUGGAAGAGAUUGACGUGUUUCAGUGUGGCUCAAUGCAAUCUAUUGUCACACAUGAUGCAGGAGAAGAUAUAGUUUCUACCAAUAACAGAGUUGAGUUGCCUAGCAUACGUCGUCUGCGAUUGCAUGAGUUACCAAAUAUGACAAGCUUUUGUGAUACUUCAAUUCAGGUAACUUUUUUUUAUUUCAUUUUUCCCCGUCAAUUUGUUCUGUUAGGAUGAGAUGAUAUUGGUUUUCACUCAACGUCGGUACAUAUUGCAUUUAACUUUGACUAUUUGUACAAUUUGAUUUAGGUUUUGAUUUACAAAUAAAAAAUCCUCUCAAAUAGAACACAGACCAUAUUAUAGUUAAAAGGGAAGCCUCUUUCCAUGACUGAUUUUUUUAGUUUUUCAAAAAAAAAAAAUGUCAACAUUAGAUAAUUGCACUGUUAACUUGGGUUUCUUCUGUGACUAAUGUAUUACUUAUUUAACAUUCUUAAUGAGACGAAAAAAUAAUCUACUGAACGAAUGAAAGGGAGAAUGAAUCUUGAAUGAAUAAAUAAAAUUCAGUAAUUUCAAAAUGAAGAAAUAACCGUCCAGAGAUUCAAUAAAUGGAUGGAGCCACGUAACAAAGAAAGUCCCCAUAAUUCAAGUCCCACCUAACAUGCAAUUUGCAACUGAUUCCAACAUGUCAUUCCAAGUUGCCAACAUCACCGGAUCAACAUCACUGUUAAUUUGAGCUGCAUUAACGGCAUGAUAGCAGUGAGGAUUUCCUCAUGAGAAUGAUUUCGCUUUUCACGGAAGAGAAAUUAUUUCCCCUUUUUUUUUUUUUUGUAUUUUAGCCCUAGAGUUCCACUUAUUUUCUUGUGAAAAUAGCUUUACUUGUAAUAGACUUACCUUUAAUGAGCUUCAUUGUGGUGCCAGGUUUCAUUGCCUCACUUGGAAUCCCUAAUAAUGGUUGGAUUCCUUGACCCAGAAAAGAUACUCUACAGUGAACCUUUAUUAAAAUAUAGCAAUCUAAGAUGGCUAAAAAUAAGAGCAUCUAUAUCCACAUGGAAGAGUAUUAUGAAAUUAGAUUGGAUUUUGAAGUUGCCGAAUUUGGAAUCAAUGUCACUUGGGAGCUCUCCAUCAGCAGAAGUAGUUUUUGACCUGGAGGAGCUAAAAGUCAUCAAAGAUGUCGAGAUUUGCUCUCGGCUAACGAAAUUGACAUUAGAGCAAUUACCAAACCUGCAACGCAUGUGGAAAUGGGAUGUAAAAUUACAAGGAAUAUCAAUAUUUCGAAACUUGAGGGACCUCUUUGUCUAUAAAACGGGGCUGUCAUUUCUCUUUUCGGUGUCUGUGGCUAAAUGUUUUAGAGAAAUUAGAGUCAUUAGAAUGUGGGACUGUCCAAAUAUGAAGGCGGUGAUUGUGGAUGAAGAAGGAAGAAACAAAGGGACAUAUGAUAUUAUAGAGUUCCCACUACUGGAGCAUCUAUCUAUACGGCAAUGUCCAAUGGAGAAAUUCUUCCUAUAUCCUCAUGGAAAGAAAGAGUCAGUAACCACUACUUCAGAUUUGCAAGAUGCUUACUCCAAUUCCUUCUUUGAUCGAAAGGUACACAUCCCUUCUAUCGAGAUUUUACCCAUAAUAGCCAUAGGCACACGCUUUGUGGGGGGUGUAAUAAAAUCUCUUUGAAGAAUUUUAUUUGGUUUUAUUAGUUAGAAUGUGUUCAUUAUUUAUAAUUACAUUUGUCAUAAUAAGGCCAUUAGUGAAAAUUCAUUCUUCCAUCAUAUCAAAUAUAUUGCUAGGAUUUGGCCAAAUUGCCAGAUGUUUCAUAGCUAUGAUCUAAUGUAUAAUGAGUAGGUUAGUAUGUCAAGCUUGGAAUUUUUAUGGCUUCAUUCAGUAGGAUCCUUCAAAAGGAUAUGGCAAGAUGAACUUCCAAGAAGUUCUUUCUGCGAAUUAGCCACCCUCAUCCUUGAAAAUAGCUCUGAGCUACUCAAAUGUCUUCCCUUGACAAUCAUAGAGAGAUUGCACAAUCUAGAAGUCAGAGUUUCAAAUCGUUGUUUGAUUGUAGGUCCUUUCGCAUUAUCAUGUAUUAGAAUGAACAAUGUAAUAAAUUUAUCCUAUUUUUCCUCCUUUCUCACAUUAUCCUCAUGCAGGUUACAUUUCCUAACAUAACAGAACUGGAAAUUGGUGGCCUUCUGUGCCAAGAGAUAUGGAACAAUCAAAUUCCCACCGAUUCGUUUCAGAAGUUGGAAUCUCUUGUAUUGACGAAGUGUGACAGUCUCCAAAGUAUUGCUACUUCUUAUAUGUGGAAGAGGCCGCAGCGCCAUCCUGAGAUCCUAAAAGUGAUUUCAUGUCGUUCGAUCAAGGUCAUAUACGAAGGUGAUGGGACGGAUAUAGAGAGUGGUAAAUUGAGGAGGCUAGUUUUGCGUGAUCUUGAAAACUUGAGGUGCAUUUGGCAGUCCGACAGGCUCCCAAGCGUCCCGUUCCCAAAUUUGAGAGACGUAGAGGCCGUGAGAUGCCCCCGUUUGGAAAUGCUUUUCCCUACCUUCACUACGAAAUUUCUCGGGCAAAUCGAAGAGCUGAUAGUGGAUUCAUGUGAAGAUAUGGAACUAAUUGCUGGCCAUGAAAAAGGGGAAGGAGCGACCCACACGGCAAUCACCUUCUCCGAAUUAACUCUUCUAAUGCUUGUCGAGUUGCCGAAAUUCAAGAGGUUCUUACCUGAGAAAUACUCUCUGAAAUUCCCGUGCUCCGAGGACUUCCCGUCCUUGCGAAACUUGGGUGUACAAAGCUGUGGAGCAGAGCCGGACCAAGACCUCACUCAACUGGUAAUUAUCCAAUUAAUGCGAUACAUGGCCAACGAUUCACAGUUGGAGAAAGUCCUUUGUGAUCAGGAUUUCGACAAUAUAGAAGGAGAACGUGGCAUGGGAUUUUGGAAGUGAGGUAUUCCUUCAAUAUUUAAUUGCUUUGGUUUGGCUCUCUGUUCCUUUGAAUCGAAAAUCGAUUUGUAUUAGCUAUAAGACACAAUUCUCAGUGGGAGCCACACGCACUCUACAUCACGCGUCCCUCUCUCUUCCUUUCUCUCUCUCUCUCUCUCUCUCUCUCUAGCUCUCUUCUCUCUUCAACUAACCAUCUGUCGAUUCCCUUUUAUGCUCAGGAACCGUGCCUUCUGGAGUUCCCUUGAUCUUCGUUCCUUGUUCAUUCUCCCUCUCCGUCGCCCCUCCAUCCACCAACAGCUGCCGCCGAGAGUCCAUCGCUGGCCACCACACGACGUGGCACGCUGAGAAGGGACAAAGAACAGAGAGCAUUGAUCGAAGGCUGUCGGUGAUUUCGAUUGAAUACUUUCCUCUCACUUUGCUGCUGGUCGUCACCGCUUCCCGAUCACCACCUGUUCCGCUGCCGCGAAGAAGUUCUGUAAUGUUGGAGUGCUCGAACUUCAGUCACGACUGCCUACUUUGACGAUUCCAUCCCUUGAUGUUGCUUCUGUUAUUUCUUUGCUCAUAUCCGAUCUCAAUUGCUAUAACUAAUCGUUCUCUAUUCAACUAAACCAUGUAUCCUCUGUUUUCCGUUGCUAUUGUUACUGUCUAUGUGCAAAUCGACUGUGAUUGAAGGGUUGUAUUAAUGAUUUGAAGCAGUGCUCCUCGGCCGAAAUUAAUGUAUGCAACCUGUUUGAUGAAAUUCCUGAACUAUGUCAGUGUGUAUUUUUUAUUCAGUUCUUCACUGAGAAUUCCCUUGAUUACUAGAUUGUUGAUCUAUUCUGGUUGUAUAAGCAUAUUUGAGUUAUGUUUCUUCAUAGAAAAACCACAGGUGUUCAAUUUCAAACUUGUUUGGAAUCUGCUGGAACCUUGUCAAAACUUGCUGAUUCGCCAUUGUUGCGGCCCUGAGCUGAUGUCGAUUGGUCCUUGAUUUUAUGCUAUUCCACUCAAGUAAGCAUGUGCAGUGAUAUAAGGUUGUCUUAUGGUGAAUUUCAUGUUUGCUUGGAAAAGAAAUUAUGUCAUGAAUGAAUGAAAUUCUACUAGAAAUUGAUCUGUGUAUGCUGACCCUAUCUUGAUAUCCCUGAUUGGGUGUGCUUUUGAUUCUAGCUUGAGGCUAGUUUGGUUAUGAGAUCAUAUAUGUUCAUGCUAGGAAAGUAAUAGGGUGAAUCUCAUACCAUUUAGCGAGAAUUGGGUUCAUCUCCGAACUUGAAUAUGCUAGAAUGAAGUAUUGCAUGCUGACCAUGAUUGUUUUGUUUAAAUUUGGCACUAAUUUGGUCUUGGAUUGAUGUCAUUUUGAUCAAGUAGACUCAUAUGCACUUGUAGGAAGAUAUGGCUUCUAUUCAUGUCGAUUAGUCAUCAAAGAUCACGAUUUGUGGUCUUUAUGCUGUGUCACAAUUUUGAACGUGUGCUGGAAUUUUUGUCUAAGUUUGGUUGCUUCUUUAUUGCCCGUGGAUAAGUGAUAUGCACGUGCAUGAUUAAAUUGAUGAGAUGUGUGCUUGAUAUUGCCAUGAGAAUCUUGGCCUGAUAAAUAAUUUAGAGGACUUUGAUGUUAAUUGAAGUAGAAUUCCAUAAUUCUCGCGAUUUUAAAGGAAACCCUCUACUAGUACACAUAUUUUGAAGGUGAUCUAUUAGACUAAGCCAGAUCUGAGGAAAUCUCUUAAGAAAGCUUGUCAAUGAGGCCCCUCGAAAUAUCACAUGUAUGACACUUGCCACCAAAGUACAUGUAUUAUCUUCCUCUCCUUCGAUGCUCAGCAUUCAAGGCUUAUUUACAAGAGCUAUUGCUUAAAUCUAAUUGAUCCUUCAAGUGUGUGUGUUUGUGCCAACAUACCAAGCACAACACCAAUUGCAACCUAUGUCUUUUUUCUCGAAGCGUUCACUGGUCACUACAGUUCAGAAUGAUGUUUUAAAGAUACGAUUUUUGUUUUCCUCCCUCCCCCAUAGAAUUCGCAAAAGCAUGCCACCAGCACUGCCAGUAAUCUGCCUUUGAAAUCCAUCAAGACCCUGCCCAUAUGUUCCACCAAGAGUAGUUCCCUAGUUCCGAUCGUCUCUCCUAUAAACUAUUCUGCAAUGGAGGUGCAGAGUUCCAUCUAUCUCCUUGCAGCAGGUCUCUCUAUUGAUGAUAGUAACUAUUUUUUAUGAGGCUGCUGAUUGGAGGUCCCCUGAUCAGAAAAAGUUGAAUCUUUUCCCUCUAAGAAGUUUAUGCUAUAAAUCUCGAAUGGAAAACACUUAGCCAAGAAGAACUUGAUAGCCAAGAAGAACUUGAUGAAACAUAUGCAUUUAUCUUAAUGUCCACACGAUAACAUCAACUCAUCCAAAGCAUUUUAUACGACAAUGGCAUCGUGUGUCCUUUCCACAAGUUGCUUUAAUUAGUAGAGAGUAUCCAUCUAAAUCACAAUUUUGUCCUGCUCAUGAAUGCUCAUUCUACUCAUAUUUCUCAAUUUCAGCUGCUCAAAACACUGCGAUUUAACCCAAAAUCACUUGAGAAUUUUGUUAUAUAUCAUUGCAUUUGCACACUCUCAGAAUCGAAUGCCACUAAUUUUACAUAGUCGAUCAUGUCGUAAGAGCAUCGGGAAGAGUGGUGGGUGAUCCGAGGAUUUUGCCACCCACAUCGGGAAAUGUUUCGAAACCGGCCAAAGGACCAACUUUACCGUCUCUGCUCACAUGGAUGGGAUACUGCAUCAAGUGGCCUCUCAUUUCCUUGGGAUUAUGUUGGUCCUCAUCCACAUAAGCUUUCCAAUUCCGUUCGGCUAUUUUGUUCACCUUCUUCACGCAUUCAGUGCUUUGAGGUUCCCUAAAACUGUCCUCUAAAUCUCCCAAGUGCUCCGCCCAAAGCGACAUCCUAUAACCGUAAACCUGCGCAGCAUAAGUUAACAUUAUUAGUCACAAGCUUAAGGUUUUGAUAUAUGUCGCUACCCUCGCAAGGGUGUCUACCUAGUACCUCCAUUUAGAUAAGAGGAUAAUCCGAUGUACUAACCUGGCCAUGCGGAUGGCUCUUUUUCCCAGCCCAAGUGUGAUGCGGCUGAUAGGCCCCCAUCGCGAUUUCGGUGUCUCUUGAGCCAUCUAGAGAUCUUUGGUUGAUAUUUGCCGAUCCCAUGAUCACAUACUCAUCAUCUACUAUCAUCCCUUUGGCAUGCACAUAUAUCAUGAACCUGCGAAACUUUUGAACCGAAGCCUGCAUGGAUGGAAAUGACAGCAUGUUUCAAAGCAGAAGUCUUUCUACCACUCAUUCAAAAACCAUAGCUCUUAAUGACUAUUUUUGUUUUGCUUUUUUAACAGAUAAGUCAAAGGAAGAAUCCAUGAAAAGAGUAUAGACAUAUACCAAGGCAUUAUUUUCGGAUUGUUGAUUCAUUGCUUGGGAUGAAGACUGUGUAGAGGACAAGGGCUCCCGCUUGCCAAGGCAAUAGAAGUUCAAGUAAUCUGACGGAUGGUACUUGUGUGACAACCCGGCUUUUUCGAGAGCCUGGGCUAUAAUUUUGUACAUCAUCGUCAUGGUUUGUCCCUGUCCACAUUAUCAAUACACUAAUAUGAGAGUAGUGAAUGUUUAUCGCUUGGAGAAAAAUACUAAGAUGACCUAAACAAGGUCGGGUCUCAAAUUUUCCCCUUUAAGUAGCUAGGUUUGUUCUGCUUGGAUCACUUCCUUUUCUACUUAACUCUGUUCAUUGUGUCAUUUAGUUUCAAUUUGCUAGGACAUUAUAUUUAUUGAUAUACCGUUAUCGAGAGGCAUGUGUCAUCGCUACUUCUUUGCAAGAUGAAAGAGUUUAUCCUUGAUCUGACCUGCCAGAAGAGAAUUUCCUGCACUGCAGCACUAGUAGGGACACCCUCCGGCCACAUCGGUAUCACUAUAUACACACAGAAGCGCUCGUUUUCACUUAUCUUACUUGCGAUCUUCAAUGCCAGCUCCAUCGGCACUAGAUUGUUUGCACCUGCUUGUCAAAACCAAAUCAAGCGUUGGUUGCCAUCAAAACUUGAACUCAAGAAAUUAGAAAGGCCGAAACAAAACUAGAAAUGGGGGAAAAAAUCUAAAUUUAAAAAGUUUUGAUCUCAGAAAUAUAACAUAUUGAAACAGAAGUCAAUUUUAAUGCCUUACACAGUGAGUUCUAGCUAUUAUGAGCUGAUACACAAUCCCCAGAGGAAGCAAAGUCUGAAUACUCUUUACUAGAGGUGCUAUUGCUCACUAAACUCAAGUCAGUCAGAAUGAAUAGAAAUGUGAAACUUAUACCUGCAUUUUUGUAUGAUGGCCAAUGGUAGGAAGAGCCAAGAAAAUACUGGUUUUCAAUGUAGAUGAAGUGUUGCGCCGAUCUAAUCGCUUUCACGUAAGCUGUGUGAAUGCUCUUGUCAACUUUCAAGUUCUUUCCGCAUAUAAGAUUCUGCAACCAUGAAGAGAUUGAAAGAAGCAACAUUAUCAUUGUGGACUUCAAUCUAUAUUCAAAAACACUAAGGAUUGUGCAUAAGAAAGAAAAGUGACUUUCUAAUGUGAGGAAAACUUUUCGAGUUACGUAUGUAAUGGCCACUUGCCAAUCUACUAGCAUGGUAUUAGCAGCUAAAACUUACUUGCUUUGCAGCCUCUUCAACGCUCUUUGGGAAUCCCUUUACAGAUCCCGAAUCAAUCGAUCUGAAGAUCUAUACCAACGUAAAAUAGAAAUGAAAGACGAUCAUUACACUUUGUUUUGUUUACGAAUGAAGUCCUCAAAAAUGGUCAUUAAUUUUACAUAAAGUUUCCCAACCUGCACGUGCCAAUUUUCCGGGUCAUCUUCGUCCCUAACUUGUACUUUUUUGUCACCAUCGGGACUUGUCGAGGGACAAAGUAUCCAUGAAAUCCUGUCAAGCCUUAAGAGAGCAUUCUCAUGCCAAUGCCUGACGUUUUUCAGCUUGAACUCGCGCCACUUCGCCACCUUUUUCCAUCUCUGUUCGAAAUUCUUCAAUAUGUCAUACGCAGCUUGUCCCUCAACUUUGCAAUGUAGAUCAUGCCACGGUUCCCUUGGGACAUUGACAGUGGACUACAGUUGUCACAAAAGAAAAAAAAAAAAGCAAUGAUCAAAUGAUCGGAAAAUAACAUUUACAUGUCUUUACAGUGCUGAAGGUAAACAUUAGCUUAAUUACCAUGAAUGUUGGGUUGUGAAUGUCAUUCUUAAAGACAGUGUCAAGAUCACUAUAGAGUCUAUGCUCGGGAGUGUCGUAUCGGCCAUCACAUAGGUCCAACCCACCAAUGAAAGCCGUUAUUUUGCGGUUGUUUCCCGAGGCUUGAGUGUCGAGAACCACACACUUUUGGUGGUGCGUGUACAAGGUCCCCACCACCUGGACUACAAAAGAUCCAUACACCAACAAAUUAAACCAAACAUUUUCGUAGAUUUAUGCUGGUUUUCAAUCGAAUGGGCAGCCUCUGCAACACUGUAAAAUUCCCUAUUAGAACUAUCCUAAAUGCAUGUCAUUAGGUUAGAGAACACAUGAUAUGAUCUAGGACAGCAUGAGACAGAUCAAUAACUUCCGUGGAUUGUCUAAUGAAAAGAAAACCUUUCCUAUGAAAUUAUACCCGAAUGGAAUAAUCAGGUAAUAUACAGCAAAAGCAACGCUUUUGAUGCAAUCAAACAAUGAGAUUUUGAUUAAGGAUCGACCUAAACAUCUAAGGAUACAUACCUGUUGCUUGAAAAUGCUGAGUUUGGUGCUUGCAUAACGAGGAGCAAGCACACAGCGGACACCAGAGUGUCGGAAGAACUUCUUCGUCUCUUCAUCAUGAGUUUGCAUCACGCCAUCCUGCACUAACAACAUGGCACAUGCCGAGUCUCAAUGAUGAGAGAUCUCAAUAAAGAACUAUCUUUUCCUAAGUUGAUAAACGUACAGAUUUUCUGUCACAAAGAGCAUGGAUUUGAAAUUUGGCCAAAUGGUGGGUUGCACCAUAAAUAAGGAUACUUAUCCAAGAAAGAGCCAUGAUAUAACAUAUUCUCCAUUUGCAUUUUGUAAAGGCUAACUGAAAGAAAGAACUAUUAAAGGUCAAGAUUUUGAUUAUUCCAGCCUUUGUGUUAAAAAAACAGAAAACUUCUUAUCUGUAAAUAUUCAUUCAGCCAACACUAAAAGUAAGAAAAUCCUUUACUAACUAUGCACCAUUGAUAAAAGGGUGAUCCUUAAAUGCGAUGCUGGUAGAAUAAAAAAUGUGUUCGCAUACAGCUCUCAUCACCAUUGAUGCAUUAGUCAUAACUUGAACCACUCUACUGCACCGGCCCAACAAAUCAAUAGUGUUGGAAGCCGUGGGCGGACAAAUUUUUCUCGACCCAGCAGUAUUCCGAUCAUUUUGCAAACCAUAAAGACAUUUCCAUGUUUCAGCAAUGUAUUACAUGUAAGCGUGGUUUAGUAUUACCGUCUUCAAGAGGAACUUGUCGUGUGAAGUCUUGUCGUCCCAAACAAGCACGACCACUCGGACACCUUCCUCGGACUUGUACUUUAGGAGCUCCCCUAAAGAGAGCUCUCCUCCAUUCGGCAAUUCCCUUGUGGGCUCUCUCACAAGCCUCACAGGAUGAUAAAUGGACCAACCAAUGAUGUAGAUCAAGUGGUGGGCCUCCAAAAUUGCAUGGCAUAUGUCCUCCCAGCACCUGCCUUGCUCAUAAAUCUUCCCAUCAUCAAGCAAAAUCUGAGGCAGCUUGCCCAUUGGGACAUGAGCAUCUUGGUACAGUGUCACAUCCCCACCUUUCCUAAGUGGAAAAUAUGUGUUUGGGACACCAACAUAGUUUGGCCCAACCCCAACACCAUCCUUGUAUAAGGGGUUGUCACUGACUGGCCUGAAUUGGAUUGAGAUGUGAAGUUCCGGGUAGGGCUUGAGAGGGCUCCCGAAGUUGCCAAUUAUCGGGAACCAGUCAUUAAUCAUGUCGCUGGAUACGAUCUUGGCCACUGGUAUCUCCACGACCCCGAUGAGCUCAGCCCCAAACACAUCAUUGUCCUUCACAUGAAACUCCACUUUCACAACCGGAUGCGCCACGGGAACGCAAAACCGCUCGUCCCACAGGGGGUUCUCGCAGUUCUGGAUCACCCGGGUCUGGGCAACCGUGGCUCCCGCCAGGCAGACGGAUACGUAGGGGUCACUCGUGAUCAUUGAGUUCUUCCCUGAGGAGCGGGCAGGGACGGGCCGCUGCCCGUGUAACGCAGGCACGCAGGGUGGCCCGAUCAUGGAGCAGCACUGCCUUAUUCUCUCCGAGGCCAGGUCCAUGUUUGGGAGGGAUUUGGCCUCCACUAUGUACAUGUCCAAUUCGCCGUGCAAGAAGAUUGGCCCUGUUGUGACGUUAAGCCCAUUGAGUUUUCCCGGUUCAGUGUCUGCGUUCCCUGGGAUUUCAUCCUCGUUGCCCACGCUUCUUUGCGCCGGGUGCGAAUCUUCCAUCUUCUCAAGCACUUCUUGAUCACCUCAAUUUAACCCAAAUUUGGGCAGACUUUCGCACCUAAUAAAAGCUGAUGCGGUCUGCUAAAUUGAAACUCAGUUGCUCUAAAGGAAUGUACCGAUUUGUUCGCUUAAUUUCUGAAACCCUCAACGAAUUCGGUCUCUGCAGAAUUAGGAUCCGCAGGCGCUCCUUGCUGAAAAUCACACGGAAUUAGGGUACAUUAUUUUUCUUGCGCAUGAGAGAAAAUGAUCCCAUUCGUAAGUUCAUUAAAAGAGGUACAAGAAAAUCUUUAAUAACUUUUUUCCAAAAAGAACAGAGAUUAACAGAUCUUGUAAUUCAAGGAAAUGACAAUCCUCAAAUCACAAUUGAUCGAUAGGUUAAAACAGUAUGCCCGGAAAUCUGAAGCCUUGGGGAAAUAGCUUGACGAGAAGGAAAAAGAGUGAAAAGGAGAGUUACCUGGUGUUGGAAAGAGCAAGGAGGACCCAGAAUUGGGGAGACGAAAAGACACCAGACAAUGGAAAAAGAGCUUUGCAAGGUUUUCGCUCGUUGGAGAGAGAAAACAGAGGGAAAUGGUCAAAAGACAACACCACAGAGAGAGAAUACAGGAAAAAUCGAAAGCGAAGAUGGUGGGAAGCCUCAGAUGAUGAUGUAUAAACCAUCUUUAUCUCAAGGACUCGACUUGUUGAGUCCCUUUCUUAUGUGACCCGAUGAGGUACACCUUUCAAUUUUAGAUGGUUGAUGGGAAAGUAAUUGCGGGAAAUUAGGGGGUCGAUCGAAUGUCAUUCGAUUCAUCCUCUCUAGUCAUUAGCAAAACUUAAUUAAUUGACUUUGCCAUAGUCCACUGAAAAAGAAGAAAAAAAUCACACAUGUAUGUGUGAGAUCUAGAGGAAAAAGGCAACAAGUUUCGUUGAACCAUAUCCAGGCAUUCAGUAAAGCAGCUUAUUCACCAGUGGUGCAAGAGAGUGACGAUCCAACGAGGUAUAUUUUGAAUAAGUACACAGACUUGGCGACGAAAGUUAAAUCUGACGCAAGAAAUCCAAAUUUUCUGGAAGAAAACAAAUGCAUAAUCCAGCUCACAAUCGCAUUAAUUUUGGUGAAUUAGAUGGGAUAUCCAUUUUGUAGUGAUUAUUAUUGUUUCCAUGCAUGUUUGCUGAACUUGGACUUGCAUGCAUGCACAAAUACCCACACACAGGGGAAUCCAUCUCAAACCUCACAUAAUAAGAGAACCGCCAGCGUAUGUGAAAAAUGACAUGAUCUAAAAAGAGGACUUAGUUCUCAACCUACUAUCCUGACCAUGUGUAAUAUCGUGCGACUCCUGCAGGAACCAUAUCAAAUCCUCUCGAGAGAAGUCAUGUAAAUCGCCAUCUUUGCAAGGCUUGCCAUCCCAAGGACCCCAUUUGAGCUCUCUAAUAUCUCCUCUGCAGAAGACAGCGGUGUUGAGGUAUGUCAGAGGCAGCAAGACAAGAAAAGCUCACACUUUAACAGCUACAAUGUAACAAGUUAAGAUAUCCCCAAAUGAAGCAAUGAAUUGAUGAGAAGAAAAGCAAAUGCAAUACUGGACAACACUAAAAUAAUUUCUCUCUUUUCUAUCAUAUUUCCGGGGCAGAGCAAGAGGUAAAGAAUGCCUGUGAGCCUACCUUGCCCAUAAACUUGGAAAAGCUAACCCCAUAAAAAACAAAAUAACACAUCAGAUAGCAAAAUUCUCAUGUUAAAGACUACAAUGCAGAAGUAUGCUUCUGCCCGAGAGGAAAAGAAAAUACACAAAUAUAAUGAGAUUUGGAUGAGUACGCACAAAAAAUCAUGCGACAGGACAUGUUCAUCUGUAUUUUAAUCACAGAAAAAAGAUGGCUAAUUUCAAGGUCCAGCCCGCAACCAACAUUAAAGCCAAUGUCAUGACAGAUGCAGUGCAAGCAUGCAUCUCCAUCUUAAAACAAGAAAAUGUGCAUUACUUUGGAAGAGCAGCAUGACUAACUUCGCGGCCCUUGUUCACAAAAGCAACCGCCCACUGUAAACUACUUAAGUUUACACACGACAUAGAUCAACCGUCCCCUUAUCCAAGUUCAGUGAAGAAAUCUCGCUAAGCAUCCCACUUAACACCUCUCUUAAGAGUAAAAUAGCAACAAUCAAAACCAAUUCUUCAUAAUCUUAUGGCAGAAGCACAGCAAAGUACUCAUUUGCCUCAACGCAUCACCCAAACUUGGCAUAGUUGAAAUCCCAUACAAUGAUAAUCAUUUUACACAUGGCUAACAAGUAAUGACUACCAUACUCUUUAUUUAUUACUCCACUCAAGGAUCUAUUUCAAUAGACUAUAAAAACUUACUUGCUCAAUUCCCCCUUGUCCUUCUGGUCUGUAGCUCCUCUGGUCUUGCUGCGUGCUGCACUGGUCUUCCUGCACAUUCUUUUGCCCUGGUGGUGUGAACCUUUGACCUUCGCCAUAUCCCAUAUAAUUCUGUCCAUAACUGGGAUUCAUUCCUUGGCCUUGUGCACUACCAGUACCCUGCCCUUGAAAUCCAUCAGAACCCUGCCCAUAUGUUCCACCAGGAGCAGGUCCAUAGUUCCGAUUGUCACUCCUAUAAUCAUUCUGCACUGGAGGUGCAGAGCUCCAUCUAUCUCCUUGUGGCAGGUCUCUCUGCUGCUGAUUGUAACUGUUGUUAUGACCCUGUUGAUUAUAGUUUCCCUGGUAUGAAG